rnacentral:lncRNA from 1 species
AACAACAAAUUUGAGGUAGAAACUGAAUAUCCAGUUGGUUGGGUUCCCCUGUUUCAGUUGAAGGCUCUUUUUCUAUCCAGCUGUAAGCUCACCGGUGACCUUCUUGGUUUUCUUCAAUACCAAUUCAGGUUAGUGGGGGUUGAUCUCUCACAUAAUAACUUGACAGGAAGUUUUCCUAAUUGGCUGCUUGAAAACAAUACGAGACUAAAAUCUCUAGUUCUGAGGAAUAACUCUUUAAUGGGUCAAUUACUUCCCUUGGGACGUAAUACCCGUAUUGAUUCAUUGGAUAUCUCACACAAUCAGUUGGAUGGACAACUUCAAGAAAAUGUGGCCCAUAUGAUUCCAAAUAUUAUCUCUCUAAAUUUAUCCAACAAUGGUUUUGAAGGUAUUCUCCCAUCCUCAAUAGCUGAACUAAGAGCCUUACGGAGUUUGGAUUUGUCUACCAAUAAUUUCUCUGGAGAAGUACCAAAGCAAUUGCUUGCAGCAAAAGAUUUGGAGAUUCUGAAAUUAUCAAAUAAUAAAUUUCAUGGUGAAAUAUUUUCAAGGGACUUUAACUUGACUUGGUUGGAGUAUUUGUAUUUGGGCAAUAAUCAGUUCACGGGAACUCUGUCAAAUGUAAUCUGCAGAAGCUUUAGGUUGAAAGUGUUGGAUGUGAGCAACAACUACAUGUCAGGUGAAAUUCCAAGCCAGAUAGGUAACAUGACCGAUUUGACUACACUGGUGUUGGGCAAUAAUAAUUUUAAAGGCAAAUUACCACCUGAGAUUUCUCAAUUGCAACGGAUGGAGUUUCUUGACGUUUCUCAAAAUGCUCUUUCAGGAUCUCUUCCUUCUUUGAAGAGCAUGGAGUAUUUAGAGCAUCUACAUUUGCAAGGGAACAUGUUUACAGGAUUAAUACCCAGAGAUUUUCUCAAUUCCUCAAAUCUAUUGACUUUGGAUAUUAGAGAAAACAGGUUAUUUGGAAGUAUUCCCAAUUCAAUCUCUGCACUUUUGAAGCUAAGGAUUCUUUUGCUGGGAGGAAACCUUUUAAGUGGUUUUAUUCCAAAUCAUCUUUGUCAUUUGACUAAAAUAAGCUUGAUGGAUCUUUCAAACAACUCUUUUUCAGGGCCAAUUCCCAAAUGCUUUGGCCAUAUCCGAUUUGGGGAGAUGAAAAAAGAGGACAACGUGUUUGAACAGUUCAUUGAAUCUGGGUAUGGAUUUAAUUCUCAUAUUGUAUAUGCAGGUUACUUGGUGAAAUAUUACGAUUCCCCAACUUUAGUAUAUAAUGAAAAAGAUGAAGUUGAGUUUGUCACCAAGAACAGGCGUGACUCCUACAAAGGUGGCAUCCUUGAAUUCAUGUCUGGAUUGGAUUUAUCAUGUAACAACUUGACAGGUGAAAUACCUCAUGAACUUGGAAUGCUAAGUUGGAUUCAUGCAUUGAACUUGUCUCACAAUCAAUUGAAUGGCUCCAUUCCAAAGGGUUUCUCCAAUCUUUCUCAAAUAGAGAGCUUAGACCUUUCUUAUAAUAAAUUGAGUGGAGAAAUUCCUCUAGAGCUUGUUGAACUCAAUUUUUUAGAGGUGUUUAGUGUGGCUUACAACAACUUCUCUGGUAGAGUUCCAGAUACCAAAGCACAAUUUGGGACAUUUGAUGAAAGGAGCUAUGAAGGUAAUCCUUUCCUUUGUGGGGAACUAUUAAAGAGGAAAUGCAACACAAGUAUUGAGUCACCAUGCGCACCAUCACAGUCUUUUGAAAGUGAGGCAAAAUGGUAUGAUAUCAAUCAUGUUGUUUUCUUUGCAAGUUUUACUACUUCAUAUAUCAUGAUCUUGUUAGGAUUUGUUACCAUCCUUUACAUCAAUCCUUAUUGGCGUCAUAGAUGGUUCAAUUUUAUCGAGGAAUGUAUAUAUUCCUGCUAUUAUUUUGUUUUUGAUAGUCUUUCCAAGUUAUCAGCAUAUUUGUAUAAUUAGAUACUUUUAAUUGGAUGAUGUUUGCAUAAUUAACUACUAUUUGUUUCCAUGGGAUAGAAAAAAAUGGGAUGUAUAAUGCUAUGAGCUGAAACUUACAUACUUUGCUCAAAUUCUAACAUCUUUUGAUUUUAUUUUCAAGUUCCGUUAUUUAUUAUGUAUUGUUUAAUUCAAGAUUUAACCAUAUUAUGUUACUCUUAUAAAAACAAAUUCAAAUUUUUAGGAACUUUUAGCAUUAAAAUAAUUUCAUAGUUAGAUUUUAAAAAAUAAAAAAGAAAGAAAAUAAUAAAUAAUUGGAAAAACAAUUCAAGGGAGUAUUAAAUUAUCAUCUUAGAAUUGUUUGGCAUAGUAUGGGAAUUCAAAAAUAAUCUUUCAAUCUGUUAGAAGCGUUUAUUUAUUUAUAAUAGCAAUGAUUGAAAUAUCAAUCACAAAGUAAUGUUUUCUUUUCUUUUGUAGGGCACUAACACUUUUUCUUAGAUAGUAAUAAUUGAUAAAUAUAUUACACAAUUAUUUGUUUUUAAAAAAGGAGGGAUGACAAAUAUAAUAACAUGUGAAAUAUUUCUAAAACGGAAAUAAGCCAUCUAAUUAGGGUGCAAUAUUAUUCAUUUUAAUUUAUAUGAAUUUACUUAUUUUUAUUUGCAUCAUAUUUUGAACUAUUUUAUGAAAUUAAGGGAGAUUAAAACAUCAUGAGUUUCUUAUUUUAAUUUAUAUUUUUAAUAAUAAAGCAUGAAAUAUUAAAAAAAAAAUCAUGAAUUUCUUUAAUUCCUUAGGAAACCAAUAUAUAAAAAAAUUAAAUAUAUCAUUACUUUAUGUCCUAAAUCUUUAAAUUUAUUCAUCGUGUAUUAUUUUUAUAUUAAAUUUAUUAUCAAUAAUUAUUUUUUAUAUAUUAUUAUUUUAUAUUUAAAAAUAUCCAUAAAUAAUUAAAAUUAAUAAAUAAAAAAAAUGAAAUAUUGAAAAAUUAAAUUAAAAAGAUUUCACCAAGCUAACAUAUUUAAAAAAAAAGAAGAGCAAAACAGAAGAUGGGGAUAUUAUAGAGGAGAGGAAAAAGAUAAAAGAAAAAUCAUGUGGUAUAAUAAUUGCCACAUGUCAAAGUUAUUUUCUUUAAAAAUUAAUUAUAGUAAUGAUAACUCCUUUGUCUUAUCAAAGUAAAUUAAAAAAAAAAAAAGCGGUAGUUGGCCGGAGGUGAGAGAGGAGGAUUUGAGGUAAGUUUGAAAUAUUGAUUAUUUUCACUAAGUAGAUAUUUUGAAGGUUAUUUUUUGCCCGAAACUCAUAUUCUUUGAAAAUAAAAAAUUAAAGUUUAAAAAGAAUACAAUUUUUUUUUAAAUGAUGCAUAAUUACAUCAUCCCCUAUAGAUUAUUUGUUCCUUUAAACUUUAGUUUGAAUAAAAUUAGUUUUAAUUAUUUUCUUUUUGGAAUUAUAUUUAACAUAUUAUUAAAAAUAUAAAAAACAUCGUAAUAAUAUUUUUAGUGAGUUUUUUUAUAUAUAUUUUGUAAAAUAAUUAAAUUUAAAAAUAUUUAAAUUUAGUAAUGGGCUGCCCAUUUCAAAAUAAUAAGAAUCUCAUAACCUAAUUUUUCCAAAUUCCAGGUAAAUAUGCUCAUCUAAAAAAAAUUUAUUAGGUUUUUAUGUGCUGAUUGGGUUUUUUUAUACUCAAGAUGCUCUCCAAUCUACCACUUAUCAAAGUAAAUAAAAAUAAAAUAAAGAAAAGGGAAGAAAAAAAAAAUUGGAAUUGGUAGUGGCCGGAGGUGAGAGAGGUUUGAGGGUAAGUUUAGAAUAUUAAUCAUUUUCACUAAAUAGAUAUUCUGAAGGUUAUUUUCCCCGAAACACAUAUUUUUUGGAAAUAAAAAGUCAAAGUUUAAAAAAAAUGCAAUUUUUUUUAUUUAAAUGAUGCAUGAUUACAUCACUCCUCCUAUUUGUUCCUUCAAACUUUAGUUUGAACAAAAUUAAUUUUAAUUAUUUUCUUUUUGGAAUUAUAUUUAUCAUUUAUUAAAAAUAUAAAAAACACAUAAGUGUAUGAUCCUCUUUCUCGAGUCUUCACAUUUUGAGACACUGAACCCAAAUCAAAAUUAAUCCUCCAAAUAAGCCAAACCCUAACUGCUGCCCCGUUUUCUUCUCAAACAUAGCUAUCCGAAAAACCCUAACCCCUGCCUCCUCUUCCUCUUCCCGGAAACCUAAAUCCCGUGACCCUAACCCCUUCUCUUUCCGAAAACCCUCCGGAAUCGGAAGAUUCAUAAUUCUUCAGAAUUAAUUUUCACCUCGAAGCCAAACCCUAACUGCCUCAUCUUCCUCUCAUUCAUAUCCCAAAAGUAGCUUCAACAGUCAGGCCAGUAGCCAUGAAAGCCGUAGUGAUCGCCACUUCCGGUGAUCCCCAAGUUCUCCAGGUGCAAGAAGUCGGAAACCCUGAAAUUGGAGAUGUUGAAGUUCUAAUUAGAGUGGACGCCGCUGCCAUUAAUCGAGCAGAUACGCUUCAGAGGAAGGGCUUGCACCCUCCCUCAAAGGCGGCAGUCCCUACCCCGGUCUCGAAUGUUCUGGAAUCAUCGAAGCUGUUGGAAAGGUCGUCGUUAGAUGGAAGGUUGGCGAUCAGGUAUUUCAAUUGCCUAAUAUUUUGAUUCCGUUUCUGUUCCUGUAUUUUUCUCGGCUGUCAAACACUAGUAACGUGUAAAUAAGGAGGUUAGUUGAUUGCGAAAACGGGAAUUUUUUGUUCGUGUUUGUGUUAAGGAGUCUUUGUUGAGAAUUUUGGGGAAAUUUAUGAUAAGUUUGUGAUUUUAUGAUUAAUUUUGUGUAUCAAUAUAGGUUAAAUUAUUGAGCUUAUUGGUUUUUCAAAUUUAUGGUUGUAAGAAAAUUGGUCAGUGUAAGGUUAUGGGGUCAUUACCAAUUUGCUUACUGAAAAUUUUUCCAGAUAUUGUGGAACAGUUUGAUAGCAGAAAUAAGAACUGUGUUUUCUUUUCCAAAACAGAAAUGGAUGCAGAAAACUUGCUUGGUAGCCUACUUUCAGAACCUGUUUCCGAAAAUAUUUCCUGAAAAUGAAUUAUUUCAGAACUUGUUUUUAAAAAAUGCAAACACUUUAUCAAUUUAAAAGGUUCUGAAAUGGACAUGUUCAUGGUCCUCAUUUUUUAAAAUUAAAGCUUUUAUGAAAAAACCAUUUUCCCUUCUACUAAACAAACAGGCUCUAUAUUGUAACGGAUCAAUUGGCCAUUUCCUUUGUCAUGUUUUGUGAAUCAUGGCAACACUGGAAUCCACUCCAUUACCAUCUGUUAGUGAUUAGGAGAGCAAACACUGAUUUUAAUGCUAUCCUUUAUGCGAUUUUGCUUCCUCCUGAGUACAAGUUCAUAUACAUGGUACAUGGUGAAUCUGUAUGACAGUUCAUGGUAUACAGGUGUGUGCUCUUCUUUCUGGUGGAGGGCAUGCUGAAAAAGUGGCUGUUCCAGCUGGGCAAGUUCUUCCUGUCCCAUCUGGUGUUUCUCUGAAGGAUGCUGCUGGAAUUCCUGAGGUUGCAUGUACUGUUUGGUCAACUGUUUUAAUGAUGAGCCGACUGUCUGCAGGAGAAACAUUCCUGGUGAAUUUUUUGUCUUUUUUAUUUUCUGAUGCCUGAUAUAUUUACCAGCACAAAUUUACCCUGUUGCUGUUUAAUGUGUGUGCAUCAAUUUUGGAUUAGGGAGGUAGAAGAGCCAUGGUUCUAAUUAAAACAUUACAUCAUCAUAUUCUUAUUUAGAUACAUUGUAUCCCACAAUUUCAUUGCAUCCAAGGCUAUGUUGUUUUUUAUUGCACGGUUUGUGUCAUGGUAAUUUCUCAACCCUUCUCUGGAAAAUUAUGUUGGAUGGCUACUAUUAAUUACCCCAAAAGAAGAAAUUUUAUGUUGAAGUAAGAUGAGUAGCACAAAGAGUUACUUGUGGUUGAUCCUAUCAUCAAAUGGGCGAUUGAUGCACAAUCCAAAUGGUAAAUUUUUUCCCCCUUUAUCCAGAUGGAAUUUUUAUGCAUGGUUGAAUAGUGAAAUGAGGACUGAUAAUAUUUCAGGUUCAUGGGGGUUCAAUUGGAAUUGGUACCAUCUAUUCAAAUAGUGAAAUACUGAGGAGCAAGGGUAUUUGUUACAGCAGGUUUGCCAUCACUGUUCUACCUCAUCUCACAGAAUGCUUAUCUCAUGGCACCAAUUCCUUUUCUUCACAUGUUUUCAACCAUUUUUUCCACCCAGGAACGAGGAAAAAUUAGCUGUUUGUAAGGAUCAUUGAGCAGAUGUGUGCAUCAAUUACAAGACUGAAAACUUUGUUGCAUGGGUGAAGGAGGAAACAGGAGGGAAAGGUAUAUUCUAUUGUAUCUUAACGAUAAUUUCAAUUGAAGGUGGAAUUGAUUUUUAUUUUUUAGUGCACCAAAUCCACUAGUCUGGAAUGUUUGAAAAGAUAAAUAGUCAUCUUCCACUUGAUUCCGAUUGUGAAGAUCUAACCCCAAAAAUGUUGAAUGACAGGUGUUGAUGUUAUACUGGAUAAUAUUGGAGGGGCCUACUUUUGGGGAGACAUCAAUGGUUUAAAUGUUGAUGGAAGGCUUUUUAUUAUUGGUUUUCAGGGUGGAACAGUGGUACAAGUAAAUCUUUCAGGUUUACUUGCAAGGCGCCUUACAGUGCAAGGUACCGCUUUCUCUGUAGAAGAUUUUUCUGUAGUUUUGGAGUUGAAUCAAUUUGAUUAAUCUCAUCCAAGUUCAGAACUGAGGUGGAUUCUGGCAAGCCAAGGAAAAACCAAAUUACCAUAAAUUCUUUUUUUUUCUGGAUCGUUUUACUUCUUGGAAAUCCUGUUUCUCGAUCUGGUCAGGUAUAUGGAAAUUCCAAGGAAAAUAUGUUUUACAUUUUCCAUAAUUGGAAACACUCAGGAAUUUAAUAUUUUCCUCUGAAAUAGCAAUGGUUUUCUAAUUACGACAUUUGUUUUUUCUUGNNNNNNNNNNNNNNNNNNNNNNNNNNNNNNNNNNNNNNNNNNNNNNNNNNNNNNNNNNNNNNNNNNNNNNNNNNNNNNNNNNNNNNNNNNNNNNNNNNNNCUAGAUUGUCAAUGCUUAGUUUCUUAUGUAGCCCUGUCAUUUGAGAAUAAAAACCAGCCUUCCCGUCCUAACAUUUAGACUACUGGAAUCUAAAGCUUCAAGAUAGUUGAAACUGAAUUUUCAAGUGCAAACACUCUCCAACCUCCACAAAUGAGCUUACCUUCCUCAUCUGAAGUUUGAACAAAAAUGUAUCAAAUGGUUAGGUAGAACUGUCUAAGAAACCAGAGCUUGGCUGGUUGAUCACCUUAUUUACAGAGCUUGGAUGUGAGAGAAACCAGCGCCCCUAAAGCUCAGGACAAGAUUACCAUUCCACCAAAGUUGAGCCUUGCAUGCAGUCACCUAGUAUUUUCUUUAUUGGAGUCUUCCCCUCUACCCUGGCACUGGGAUUGAAGGCGAAUGAAAAACGUGCAUAGAUUGAAGGUGUGCUGCUUGAGUUGAUUGUAGUUUGAGCAUAAAAAUUUGAAGAUCCAGAACAGCAAAUGAGGAAUGCCUAUCAAUUUGAAACCAGCAUGGGUGGAUGAAUGGAGAGGUUCUUCACUGAAUUUGUCCAUGAAGCUUUUUAGCACUCUAGGGCAAGGGUCUCCAAGCCUAGCUGUUGAUUGCACAUCCCUCCUGCGCAGUAUAGGCCUGUAGUGAAAUUAUACUAAGAACAGAGUGAAAUGCGAAUGCAGGAAAGAUGAGAGUGUAAGUUGCUAGUUUCAAAUGCAGGAAAGGGUGUUUCUUAGCUGUUCAACAACUGACAAUACAUUGGCAUGACAAUUCCCUGGAUCGAAUGUGCCACAAUGCCCUCUUGGAGUUCCAAAGCUUGUUCAUAGGUCAAUUGAACUUGAGGGUUUUGGGACAUGAACUCCAAGUUUGGUUGCCAAGAAUCUCCAGGUGGAGGAUCAGCUUCUGACACGUGUGCACACACCUCUUAUUGCAAUUUUUAAUAAAUUGCAAAAAAAAUUAUUGCAAUUUUUAUGGUUCAUAUAUUCAUUUUAAGGUUAUUCCCCACCUUAAAAUGGAUAUUGGAACCCAAGGUGCAUCCUAAAGACAAUUUGGUGCAUCAUUUAUAAAAUUUGGUACAUAUUUCAUAAAAUUUGGCACAUCCUUAAAACAAUUUUGUACAUCCAAUCCAUGAGCUACCAGGACCUCUAUAUUAUAACCCAUGGUUUGUUUAUUUCUUUAGGGAUCUUUAGGAAGUAAUCAAAGGUCAUUCCCUACUCAGAAACGAACUUUGGAACCCUAAGUACAUCCUUAAGGAAAUUUGGUACAUCGUUAAGAAAUUUUGGUACAUCAAAUCCUCCGGCUAUCGAGACCCUAUCUAUCUUCCUAUGGUCCAUAUUAUUCUUUAAGGACCCUUAGGUAGUGAUUGAAGGCCAUUCCCCAUAUUAGAACGAACUUUGACACUCUUGGUACAUCCUUUACAAAAUUUGGUACAUCCUUAAAAAUAUUUGGUACAUACUUGAGCUAUUGAAACCUUUAUCUUAUUACCCAUGAUCCAUUUAUUCCUUUAAGGAUCUUUGGGAAGUGAUUAGAGAUCGUUCCCUACUCCGAAAUGGACUUUAGAACACUUAUAUCCAUUUCCAUAGUCCAUUUCUUCCUUUGGAGACCCUCAGGAAGUUAUUGAAGGUUGUUCCCCACCGCAUAACGGACUUUGGCAACAUUAGUACAUCAUUUACAAAAUCUGGUACAUUAUUUACAAAAUUUGGUACAUCCUUUACAAAAGUUGGUACAUCCUUUACAAAAUUUGGUACAUCCUUCACAAAAUUUGGUACAUCCUUCAUAAUGUACCAAAUUUUGUGAAUGAUGUACCAAGGGUUCCAAAGUGCAUUUCAAGGUAGGGAUCAGCCCCCAAUCACUUCCUUAUGGGUUCCAAAAUGAAAUCAUGUGUUAUCCAUAUUCAGAUGGGGGUCCCGAAAGCGAUAGGAUUAGAUGUACCAAAUUUAAUAAAGGAUGUACUAAAUUUUGGGAAGGAUGUACCAAGGGUUCCAAAGUGCGUUCCGAGGUGGGGAUCGGCCCCCAAUCACUUUCUUAUGGGUUUUUAAAUGAAAUUAUGGAUCAUCCAUGUUUAGAUGAGGGUCCCGGAAGUGAUAGGAUCGGAUGUACCAAAUUUAAUGAAGGAUGUACCAAAUUUUGUGAAUGAUAUACCAAGGGUUCCAAAGUGCGUUUUAAGGUGGGAUCGACCCCCAAUCAUUUCCUUAUGGGUUUCUAAAUGAAAUUAUGGACCAUCCAUGUUCAGAUGGGGGUCUUGGAAGUGAUAGGAUCGGAUGUACCAAAUUUAAUGAAUGAUGUACCAAAUUUUGUGAAGGAUGUACCAAGGGUUCCAAAGUGCGUUUUAAGGUGGGGAUCGACCCCCAAUCAUUUCCUUAUGGGUUUUUAAAUGAAAUUAUGGAUCAUUCAUGUUCAGAUGGGGGUCUCGGAAGUGAUAGGAUUGGAUGUACCAAAUUUAAUGAAGGAUGUACCAAAUUUUGUGAAGGAUGUGUCAAGGUUGUGCUCUUUACUAGUGCACAUAGCCUACCAAUAUAAUGGUUUUAGCAAUAGGCAUGCCUCUAAAAUCAAGGGUGUGCCCCUAGUUUGCAUACUGCAUAUAGUAUACCAAAAUAAUAUUAUCAUACCCAUGGGCAUGCCUAUGCAACGAAGGGUGCACCCUUACUUUGCCUUUUGCAUGUAGCAUAGUAAUAUGAUGUCAUUCAACCAUAGGCAUACCUUUGAAAUGGAAGGUGCGCCCCUAGAUUUCCUUCUGCACAUAACAUACCAAACUAAUGUUAUUGUAUAAAAAAAAUUCCAUUUAUUCUAAGGAUAAGGUGUAAAUGUUAUAAUGCUUUCCCAAUGUGUUAAUGGGUCAACCUCCCUUUUACCGACUCCUCACAUAACACGAAGCCAAUCCCUACCUUAAGGAUUUGAUACAUCCUUCACAAAAUUUGGUACAUCCUUUAUUAAAUUUAGUACAUCCGAUCUUAUCACUUUCGGGACCCCCAUCUAAACAUGAAUGGUCCAUAAUUUCAUUUAGAAACCCAUAAGAAAGUGAUUGAGGGCCGAUCUCCACCUCGGAACGCACUUUGGAACCCUUGGUACAUCCGUCCCAAAAUUUGGUACAUCCUUAACAAAAUUUGGUACAUUCGAUCCUAUUGCUUAUGGGACCCCUAUCUGAACAUGGAUGGUCCAUGAUUUCAUUUGGAACCCAUAAGGAAGUGUUUGGGGGCCGAUCCCCACCUCGAAACACACUUUAGAACCCUUGGUACAUCAUUUACAAAAUUUGGUACAUCCUUCAUUAAAUUUGGUACAUUCUUCAUUAAAUUUGAUACAUCCGAUCUUAUCGCUUCCGAGACCCCCAUCUGAACAUGGAUGGUCCAUAUUUUCAUUUAGAAACCCAUAAGAAAGUGAUUGAGGGCCGAUCCCCACCUUAAAACGUACUUUCGAACCCUUGGUACAUUCUUCACAAAAUUUGGUACAUCCUUCAUUAAAUUUGGUACAUUCGAUCUUAUCAUUUCCGGGACUCCCAUCUAAACAUGGAUGGUCCAUAAUUUCAUUUAUAAACCUAUGAGAAAGUGACUGGGGGCCGAUCCCCACCUCGGAACGCACUUUGGAACCCUUGGUACAUCCUACACAAAAUUUGGUACAUCCUUAAUUAAAUUUGGUAUAUCCGAUCCUAUCGCUUCCGAGACCCCCAUCUGAACAUGGAUGGUCCAUAAUUUCAUUUAGAAACCCAUAAGAAAGUGAUUGGGGGCCGAUCCCCACCUUGGAACGCACUUUGGAACCCUUGGUACAUCCUUCCCAAAAUUUGGUACAUUCGUCAUUAAAUUUGAAACAUCCGAUCCUAUAACUUUCGGGACCCCCAUCUAAACAUGGAUGGUCCAUAAUUUCAUUUAGAAACCCAUAAGAAAGUGAUUGGGGGCCGAUCCCCACCUCGAAACACACUUUGGAACCCUUGGUACAUCCUUCAUUAAAUUUGGUAUAUCCUCAAAAUUUGGUACAUCCGAUCCUAUUCCUUAUGGGACCCCCAUUUGAACAUGGAUGAUCCAUGAUUUCAUUUUGGAAUCCAUAAGAAAGUGUUUGGGGGUCAAUCCCCACCUCGAAACGCACUUUGGAACCCUUGGUACACCCUUCACGAAAUUUGGUACAUUCUUCAUUAAAUUUGGUACAUUCUUCAUUAAAUUUUUGUACAUCCCAUCAUAUCACUUCCAGGAUCCCCAUCUGAACAUGAAUGGUCUAUAAUUUCAUUUAGGGUCGAUCCCCACCUUGGAACGCACUUUGGAACCCUUGGUACAUCCUUCACAAAAUUUGGUAUAUCUUUCAUUAAAUUUGGUACAUCCAAUCUUAUUGUUUCCAGGAUCCCCAUUUGAACAUGGAUGGUCCAUGAUUUCAUUUUGAAACCCAUAAAGAAGUGAUUGGGGGCCGAUCCCCACCUCGAAACGCACUUUUGAACCCUUGGUAUAUCCUUCACAAAAUUUGGUACAUCCUUAAUUAAAUUUGGUACAUCCGAACCUAUUGCUUUCAGGACCCUCAUCUAAACAUGGAUGGUUCAUGAUUUCAUUUUGAAACCCACAAGGAAGUGAUUGAGGGUCGAUCCCUAUUUUGGAACGCACUUUGGAACCCUUGGUACAUCAUUCACAAAAUUUGGUAUAUCUUUCAUUAAAUUUGGUACAUCCGAUCUUAUUGUUUCCGGGAUCCCCAUCUGAACAUGGAUGGUCCAUGAUUUCAUUUUGAAACCCAUAAGGAAGUGAUUGAGGGUCGAUCCCCACCUCGAAACGCACUUUUGAACCCUUGGUACAUCCUUCACAAAAUUUGGUACAUCCGAACCUAUUGCUUUCGGGACCCCCAUCUGAACAUGGAUGGUUCAUGAUUUCAUUUUGAAAUCCAUAAGGAAGUGAUUAAGGGUCGAUCCCCAUUUUGAAACGCACUUUGGAACCUUUGAUACAUCCUUCACAAAAUUUGGUACAUCCUUCAUUAAAUUUGGUACAUUCUUCAUUAAAUUUGGUACAUCUCAUCCUAUCGCUUCUAGGACCCUCAUCUGAACAUGGAUGAUCCAUAAUUUCAUUUAGAAACCCAUAAGAAAGUGAUCGGGGGCCGAUCCUCGCUUCGAAACGCACUUUGGAACGCUUGGUACACCCCUCUCAAAAUUUGGUAUAUCAUUCAUUAAAUUUGGUACAUCCGAUCCUAUUGUUUUCGGGUCCCCUAUCUAAACAUGGAUGAUACAUGAUUUCAUUUUGGAACCCAUAAGGAAGUGAUUGGGGGCCGAUCUCCACCUCAGAAUGCACUUUGGAACCCUUGGUACAUCCUUCACAAAAUUUGGUAUAUCCUUCAUAAUGUACCAAAUUUUGUGAAUGAAGUACCAAAUUUUAUCAAGGAUGUAUCAAAUUUUUUAAAGGAUAUACCAAAUUUUGUAAAGGAUGUACCAAUGUUGCCAAAGUCCGUUAUGAGAUGAGGAACGACCUUCAAUAACUUCCUGAGGGUCUCCAAAUGAAGAAAUGAACUAUGGAAAUGAAGAUAAGUGUUUCGUUAGCUCAAGGAUUGGAUGUAUCAAAUUUUCUCAAUGAUGUACCUAGGGUUCCAAAGUCCAUUUCGGAGUAGUGAACGAUCUCCAAUCACUUCCCAAAGAUCCCUAAAGGAAUAAUCGGACCAUGGGUAAUAAGAUAGAGGUUUCAAUAGCUCAAGUAUGUACCAAAUAUUUUUAAGGAUGUACCAAGAGUGCCAAAGUUCUUUCCGAUGUGAGGAAUGACCUUCGAUCACUACGUAAAGGUCCUCAAAGGAUAAUAUGGACCAUGGGAAGAUAGAUAGGGGUCUCGAUAGCCGGAGGAUUGGAUGUACCAAAAUUUCUUAACGAUGUACUAAAUUUCCUUAAGGAUGUACCUAGGGUUCCAAAGUUCGUUUCUGAGUAGGGAACGACUUUUAAUUACUUCAUAAAGAUCCCUAAAGAAAUAAACAAACCAUGGGUAAUAAUAUAGAGGUCCUGGUAGCUCAUGGAUUGGAUGUACAAAAUUGUUUUAAGGAUGUGCCAAAUUUUAUGAAAUAUGUACCAAAUUUUAUAAAUGAUGCACCAAAUUGUCUUUAGGAUGUACCUUAGGUUCCAAUAUCCAUUUUAAGGUGGGGAAUAACCUCUAAUUCCUUCUCAAGGGUCCCCAAAGGAAUAUAUGAACCAUGAAAAUGAAAAUAGGGGUCUUGGUUCCUCUAAGAAUGGAUAUACCUAGGAUCCCAAAGUUCUUUUUGGGGUAGGCAAAGACCUCCAAUUACUUAUCAAGGGUCCUAAAGGAAUAUAUACACCAUGAUAAGUAUGAUAGUGUCUUCGGUUCUCUUAAGCAUUAAUUUACCUAUUUUUUUUAAGAAUGUACCUAUUUUUUUAUUAAAUUAAUAUAAAAGGUUAAAUACAAUUUUUUAUGAAAAAUAUAUUUUCUUUUAAUUAAAAAAUAAAGAUUUUAACCAAAAAAAAAGUUAGAUCCACAAUCAAUUUAAAAUCAUAAGAAAAAUGAUAAAAGCAUCGUCACUUAUUGUGAUUUUGAUAUGAUAAAUUUAAAAUAAAAAUUAAAAGAAAAAUAAUGUAAAUAAUAAAAUAGUAUGACGAUGAUAUUUUUACUUUUACAUGUGAUAGAAUUUACAAAAUAAAUAAAUCUUUUGUUUAGUUUUAAUAUAAAAAAUCUUAUAUCAUAAACUUCUAACUAAUAAAAUGGAGUUUUUAAAUUUAAACCUUAAUUUAUAAAAUGUAUUAUUAUAAUUAAUAUUUAAAAUCAUUAUUAUUUGUGGGAUAAUAUUUUCAUUUUUUUACAUUAUAUAUAUUUUUUAUUUAAUUUGUUAUAUUAAUUAUUUAUUAUAUAUUAUCAUUUUAAGUUUAAUAUGUCAAAAAAAAAAUUAAAAUCAAUAAAUAUAGACAAAUUAGAGAGUAAAAAAAUUAAAAUUAAAGAAUUUUUAUUAAAAAAUGCACGAGCAUAUUAAAAAGAAUAUAAAGACAAAAAAUAAAAAUAAUAAUAAAAAUUAUAAUAGGUGACAAUGGAUUAUGGUGGCAAGAGAGGAAAAAAAAGAAAAAAGAAAAAAGUGGAAACAAAAAAGUGGAAACGUGACAAGUGGUAUGGGAGAUAUAUUGAUAUGAGAAAAAUAAUAAAAUUAAAUGACCCAUAUACUUGUUAAUAGAUAACAUUAAAUUGAUGUGUACUUUUGUCUUUUACUUUUGAGGGUAAUUGUGGAACAAAUUUGAAAGCACGAGUGUAUGAAUAGACAAUAUUUUUUUCCAUUUUACACCAAAAUUUAAAAAAAAAAAAAGUAAAGUUCCAAAAUCUCAUAUUUUUUGUAGUUGGUGUAUGGUUAGAUGAUUUUCCCUUUUUCUUUUUUUCUUUUCAAACAAACUGCAAAAAUCUUUUUUUUUUUUAUAAAAAAAAAAAAAAAAAAUUCUCCAACAAAGUGAUUUUUUUUUGUGGCAUGACUCGGUUUGACCACUAACUCGGUGAACUGGUCUACCGGCUCAAGUUUGGAUCCCUUAAUUUUGUGGCAAAUUGGGCCUCAAGCCCAACAACCUAACUUUCAUGCGGGCUAUCUACUGGAUCUCACGCAUUGUAACUUGGUCUGGGUGAAUGGCCAUUAUAAAUUUCAUUUUAUCCUCAUGUGAUUUUGAUGUGGGAAUGGGAGAGAUGAGGAUUUGACAUUUGGACCUAAGGCUCAAUGGGUUUUAACUCUACUCAACUACUUUAUGCCUUCUAUUUAAUAUUGCAAACCAAAAUAAUAAUAGACAUGAUUCUUUUCAAAAAUUUUAUAAUGUAAUAUUUUUUAAAAUUAUAAAAUAAUAGGUUAUAUAAAUUUUAAUAUAUAGGUAAAAUUCAUUAAAUUUUAACAAAUAUCUUCACAUUUAGACAUUACAUAUUUUUUAUUUAAUAAAAUUUUAAAAUAUUAAUAUAUCUAAAUAUAAUAUUAAAAAUGAAAAAUAAAAUAGUAAUAAUUUUUAUUUUCUUUAUAUAUUUAAAAUUAUAUAAUUAUUUUUUAUUUUAAUAACAUAUAAAUUGUAUAUUUAUAAUAUUAUUGGUUCAACUGUGAUUCAACCAUCGCUCCAAUUAUUCAAUUAUGAAUUAAUAAAUUUUUUAAUUCAAUGAUAGGUUUGAUUAUAAAAAUAUUAUGUUUUUUUUUUUUAUGAAAAGUACUCAAGAAAUAUCAUUAAUCACUAAAAUCACGUGGUUGGGUUAGGUGUAUCCGAAACAUAGGUAUUACUCUCUUCCUUAGUUAGGGCUUAGCUUUUGAAAAUGUAGAUAGGUAAAGUGGAUGGAAAGUCUAUAACUACGUAGAGAUUGAGCUUGGAGGCCAAUCUAGCAAAUGUGGAGAUUAGAAAUAGUUUACCAUCUAGAUAGUCAAGCAUAGCAAUUUACCAAACCCUUACCAACCAUCCAUACUAACCAAUUGUGGUUAAAUGUUUACAAAAAUGUACAUUAAAUCAAAGAGAAAAAAGAUUAAAAACGAACAAGAGAGAAGAAGUACAUCACCUAAUUUUGGUAAUAAAUGAAAUUAAAAUAAAUUCAUAAAUUUUUUAAAUUAAAAUGAAUUUGAACUCUAGAGAUUUGUGUAGAUAUCUUAUUAAAAAACCAAAAAGUUUGUAGCAUAUAUAAUUUCAAUAAUGCAUAAAUAAUUACAACAUACGUAAUACAAUAAUAUUACACAACUAUAUUUUCAAAUAUAAUAUAAGAUCAUUAAAGUGAUAAAUUGUAGUUGUAUAAAAUAUUUAUACAAGUAAAGAAGAAAUUAUGAGAUUAAAAUGCUUGUUGGAUUUUAAGUAAAAAAGAAAUGAGAUAUAGAGAUUGUCCCAUCAGACAUAUAGAAUUUCAUACACAUAAUUUUCCCUUCAAGAAAAUUUAGGGUCAAAUUGAAAAUUUUUCAUUCAUAGAUUUUGGAAAAACCUCUAUCUAGUCCCCCAAGUCUUGUAUACAAAAGUAAAUAACAUUGGUAUGAGGGGUUUGAAUGCUUAAUUUUAGAUUGAAAAUCCUUGAGAUAAUUUUUGAUCGACUUCACAUGUGUUUUUUAUAAACUUGGAACAUUCAAACUUGUAUUUGAAGAAUCUUCAAAUCUUCAAUUUGAUCUUAAAUAAUGUCGAAACCUUCGAAAUUUGAAUAGAAGAAUCUUUAAGCAUUUGAGAUUGAAGAAUCUUCAAAUUUGUGCCUGAAGAUCAAAGGCUAAGCUUGAAGAGUUCUUGAAGCUUGAGUGGUAUCUCCGAUUUUGUUUUGUAUUUUAUAAAAACUUUUAAGUAUACUAUAUUUAUAGGUUUGAAGAGACAUUGAGAUUUUGUAUACAUGUUUGGAGUUUUAAACCUUGAAAUAUUACUCUUUUAUGAAAUUAACAUUUAUAAAAUUUGGAAGAACAUAAUUAGAUAAUCUUUUAAGUUAUUUUUAAUGAAAAUUGAUAAUUACCUUUUAAUUAUCAAAUUCACUAUUUCUAUUUAUUUUUGUAAUAUAUAUUAAUUACUAAAAUCAUUUAUUUCCUUUAUUUAGUUCGAAAGCAAUUAUAUAUCUUUUGUUUGUGUAGAGCUCAUGUGACACGACAAAUUUUAUUUUGUAACUUGCUCUGGAUGAAUGGCCAUUAUAAACUUCAUUUUAUCCUCAUCUGAUUUUGAUGUGGGAAUAGGAGAGAUGAGGAUUUGACAUUUGGACCUAAGCCUCAGAGGGUUUUAACUCCACUCAACUACUUUAUGCCUUGUAUUUAAUAUUGCAAACCAAAAUAAUAACAGACAUGAUCCUUUUCAAAAAUUUUAUAAUAAUAGAAGUGUAAAUAAUAUAAGUAAAAAUAAUGUAAUAUUUUUUAAAAUGAUAAAAUAAUAGGUUAUAUAAAUUUUAAUAUAUAGGUAAAAUUAAUUAAAUUUUAAUAAAUAUCUUCACAUUUAAACAUUACAUAUCUUUUAUUUAAUAAAAUAUGUAAUGUUUUAGAUAGUCAAGCAUAUCUAAAAUAAUACAAAAAAAUAUAUAGAUAGUCAAGCAUAGCAAUUUACCAAACCCUUAGCCACCAUCCAUACUAACCAGUUGUUGUUAAAUGUUUACAAAAAUAUACAUUAAAUCAAAGAGUAAAAAGAUUAAAAACGAACAAGAGAGAAGAAAUACAUCACCUAAUUUUUGUAAUAAAUGAAAUUAUAAUAAAUUCAUAAUUUUUUUAAAUUAAAAUAGAAAUUCAAAUACAUGUAACUAUUGUUUUUGCCUUGUAAAUCAUCCAAUUUUUCAAUGAAUUUAAACUCCACAGAUUUGUGUAGAUAUCUUAUUAAAAAAAGCAAAAAGUUUUCACUAAAAUCAUAAAAUUUAGAUUAGAAAUGAUUUACUAUAUUAGUUCAAAAUUCAUCUCCACAAAAAUUGAAAUAAAUUAAUUAUCUUCAAUUCAAAUAAAAUUUCUCCAAUUAAAUUUCCAAAUAUGUGCUUUAAUACCUAUAAUGGAAUUAGUAAUUUUAAUUAAAAAAUAAAUAAAAAUAAGGAUUUGAUCUUUUUCUUACCAUUUGAUGAAAAUUAUAAAAUAUAUUAAAAUGACAAGUGAUCAGACAUUUGAAAUUUGCAUCAUUUCUACCAUUGCAAACACCACCAACUCCAUAUUUCCCAUUUUUCUACCUCCUGCCAAUUCACUCAUCUCUCUGGGAAGAUUUUUGAGGUUAUCGUCAUGCUUGAGAUAAUCCAGAAAGUUGAGCGGCAUCACUCUCUAAAAGGUGCCUUACAGCAUGGGUAAUGUAUGGGAUACAUUUGAUAGCUUGUCAUAUCCAUAAACCACUAUAUUAAACCAUGGUUCAUAUCCCCAACGCCACACGAGAAUCUGUACUCAUCCCAAGCAGCUUGGAGAUCAUAAAAUUAGGUUUUGAGGGCCUCCCGAGACAUGCACAGCUUCACCCUUUGUGCAUUCCUUUGAUUUGGAAAAUUUCUUCUGUAGAAUUCCCCAUUAUCAUGCCCUGAACCAAGACAUAUCAUGAUUGGAUGGGCCCCUUCACCAAUUUCACAAUAUCCAAUAGCAUAUCAUUUACUUCCAUUUUGUCAAUGGGAAUUACCAUUUUGCAUAGGAAGCACCAACGGAGAUGGGGGUUUUCAAAUUGGAUCACUAGCAAAGAAACCCACCGCAACUAUCUGAAUAAUUGAGCACAACAUCGGCUUUAGAGAACUCCUCCUGAAGGCGAAAUCGUCAUCUUGGCUAAACGUAGUCAUAGUUGGGUUGUGAGAAAUGGAGAUGAAUCACAGAGGGCUUUCAGUUUGAUAGCAACGAAAAGGUAAAUGUACUCUAGAGAAGUUUUGACCUUGGGAGAAGUGCUUUUGAAUCCAAGUCAAGGUCUGUUCUGGAUCCCUUUUUGACUCUCUCUAUUAAAGGAAAAUAAUCUGCCCAGGAUUUGGAUGCAAGCCUGCAAGGCCAUGUUUAGGAGACUUAUGCAAAAUAUUUAUCCAUAGCUCCCCGCCUGAAACAUCUACAUAAAGCGUCUUCCAAGUGUGAACCAUCGUCUUGGGUCCUUGAGAUGAACAAAAACUGAGACAUAUCGUGAGUUGGAUGCAUUGCCUGAAAAUGCCGAGCAGUAGUAUGACCUUCUUUCUGAUCAACUGUUUUGUCAAAUUCUAGAGCUCUCAUUCCAAAUCCAUCAGUUUUCUCAGAUGAUUGGCCAGUGGAGAUCCAUGGAUAUAACAUAUGAAAUGUGCACAAUAAAAGUAAUCAAACGGUUGGUUGGUUUGGCUGAAUCCCACAAUCGCAAAGACUUAUCAUACGAAACUGUUACCAGCUGAGUUGAAUUUGGCCUAAAAAGGAUAUCCGUUACUACAAACUAGCGUUCUUUCGUGGUGCUCUCUCUUUGCAGGCUAUCCAUGUUCCAAAGAAAAACUCUCUUGUCAUGUCUGGCACUGGGCACUGAUUAGAGUGUGGGACGUUCAUUCUCCAUUAUCACCAAACACAUGCAGGAUAUAUAUAUAUAUAUCAAUUCAUUCAAAAUAUGCCUUCAUUUUAUGGAACAUACCCGAAUCCAUUUUGUUUGUGUUGAAGAGGUAUAAAUCUUCUAAGGCUGUGGAGGGCACCACCUUUUCUCAGAAUUCUCUCUGACGAUGGGAAGCCGAAGAGAACGGGUUCUAUUUUUAUUUUGAAAAUGUUGUUAUCCUUAAAGAACAAACACUAUUCUUUGUAUUUAUACCCUCCUGCCUUAUGGACCAUACCGUUUGGCUAUUGGGCCUCACGAGUCUUAGGCCCAUCAUCUAAGGCCCGUGAUGGCACUAGGCUCUACACAUAAGGUGGCCCAUACUCUGGAACGAAUAGAAAUCAUAUGUAUAUAUAUGGAUAGCUAAAUCCUGAACAAUGGUUAAUAUGAUGUCAGUCCACAUUUAUUCUAUCAAUCUCCCACUUGGACCACAUAUAUUACAAAACAAUGUUCAUGAUAGUACUUUAUUGAGCUCAUCUUUGCUAUCCUAUCUUAAUAUCCUUAAACAAUCCGGUCUACUAGUUAUGCUAACAUAGGAUCAAAGUGGUCUUCAUUAAUCAUAAUUAUAACUAGACACAUCAAUGAUCACAACAUUAAUAAAAUUAGCAACAUAGAUCAAGUAUGGAUGUGUGGCAUGGAAAUUACAUAAAAUGUGAUCUUUAUUAUGUCUAUUUCCAAUUGGUCUUACUUUAUGACUAAAAAAUAGUCAAAUUCCACUUUCAACACUUGAUGCUAAACUGCUUCUGAAAGUCAUCAUUUCAAUUCAGAGAAUUCAAAUACAAUAGUCUUUAAAAUCAAGGUUUGUACAGAUAACACAAUAUAACAUCAUAUCAAGAAAACAAACACAAAAUCUAAAUAUAAACUCUCACUAUACUGGAACAUCAUCAAUAUGUACAACACCCAUAUGUGUGACAUGCUCAUGAUAUACUUUGGGUGGCAAACCCUUAGUAAGCGGAUCCGCAAUCAUGAAGUUUGUGCUUGUAUGUUCAAUCGAUACUUGAAGACUCUGAACUCUUUCUUUCACAACCAAGAACUUGAUGUCAAUGUGUUUGGACUUUGACGAACUUCGGUUGUUCUUAGAAUUACAAUUCUGUAGCUUUAUUAUCACAAUUUAUUCUUAAUGGUUUCUCAAUCUCAUCAACGAUUCGCAACUGAGCGACAAAAUUCCGCAGCCAUAUCCCAUGGUUUGAUGCUUUGUAGUAGGCUAUGAAUUCUGCCUCCAUGGUGAAAGAAGCAAUAAGUAUUUGUUUAACACUUUUCCAUGAAACUGUUCAUCCAGCCAACAUGAAGAUGUAGCUUGAAGUGGAUCUCUUGCUGUCAAGACAUCCCGCGAAAUCGGAGUCCGAAUAUCCCAUGAUCUCUAAAUAACUGGAUCUACUACAUGUGAGCAUAUAAUCUUUAGUUCUUUGUAAAUACCGCAUAACCUAUUUUGCCUUUUUCUAGUGAUCCAUACCUGGGUUACUCAAAUAUUUGCCUAACAUUCCAAUAAUGUACGCAAUAUCUGGACACGUACAAACUUGUGCAUACAUGAGACUUCCUAUUGUUGAGGCAUAGGGAAACCUCUUCAUAUCCUUCUUUUUAAGUUCAUUUUUCGGACAUUGGUGCAAACUAAAUUUAUCGCCUUUUGCUAUAGGCAUGUCUCCUGGUGUACAAUUGCUCAUGCCAAAUCUACUCAACACCUUAUCGAUGUAGGCCUUUUGUGAUAACCCAAGUAUACCUCUUGAACAAUCCCUAUAGAUCUAUAUACCCAGCAAAAAAGAUGCAUGACCAAGAUCCUUCAUGUCAAAUUUACUAGAAAAAAAUCGCUUGGUUUCAUGCAAAAGUCCCACAUCACUACUUGCAAGUAGAAUAUCAUCAACAUAUAGCACCAAGAUAAUGAAUUUGCUCCCACUAAACUUGAGAUAUAUGCAUUGAUCAAUGGUGUUUUCCUUAAAACCAAAUGAAGUAAUCACCUGAUCAAACUUUUGGUACCAUUGUCAAGAUGCUUGCUUUAAACCAUAUAUGGACCUUUUUAAUCUGCAUACAAGUUGCUUUGAAUCAUUAGACUCAAAGUUCUUCGGUUGCAUCAUGAAUAUUGUUUCAUCAAUGUUACCAUUAAGAAACGCAGUUUUAACGUCCAUUUAAUCUAGUUCUAAAUCAUAAUGAGCCAUAAGUGCUAUGAUGAUUCUAAAGGAGUCAUUUGACGAAACCGGUGAAAAGGUCUCCUUAUAAUCAAUGCCUUCCUUUUGAGUGAAACCUUUUGCGACUAGACGUGCCUUAUACCUAACAAUGUUACCUUUUGAAUCCCACUUGGUCUUAAAAAUCCAUUUACAACCAAUCGGUUUUACACUUUCAGGCAACUUUACUAGGUCCUAAACACCAUUGUCUUUCAUUGAUUUCAUCUCAUCCUUUAUGACUUCUAUCCACUUUUCAGAGUCAGAACUUUUUUUGACUUGAUUAACUGAAAUUGGAUCGUCUUCCAGACCCAUGUCAAACUCUUGUUCCUGGAGAUGUACAACAUAAUCAUCUGAAAUUGUACUUCUCCUUUCUCUAGUGGAUCUCCUCAAUGGAACUUGUAUUUGAGGUUCUUGAGGCUGUUGAGUUACCUCUUCAUAAACUUGAAUCGGUUCCAUAACUUGAGCAGGAGGAAUCUCAAGUGUGUUUUGAAUCUAUGUUAUUGACUGUACAUUCUGGAUAGUGUCAUCAAACAUAAUAUGACCAUGUCCAGUCGUAAUAAUAGGAAUACUAACAGAUUCCUCUUCAAAUACCACAUUUCUUAACGGUUCUCUCCCAUUUAACUCAACAUCCUCAAUAAAUUUAGCUUUGCCCGUUUCAAAAAAAGAUCUAGUUGAGGGGUCAUAAAACUUGAAACCUCUCAACCUUUUAGAAUAUCCUACAAAGUAGAAACUCACUGUUUUGGAGUCCAAUUUCUUUUCAUUUGGUUUUUAAGGCCUAGCUUCAACUGGACAACCCCAGACAUGUAAGUGCCUAAUACUAGGUUUCUUGCUAGUUCAUAACUCAUAUGAGGUUUUGGCUACUACUUUGCUUGAGACUCUAUUCAAAAUAUAAAUUGUUGUUUUGAUGGCUUCGCCCCAAAGUGAUUCUGGUAAGGUGGAAUGACUGAUCAUACUUCUUACCAUAUCCUUAAGAGUACGGUUUCGCCUAUCUGCUACACCAUUUUGGCUUGGAGUCCCUAGCAUGGUGUAUUGAGGAAUGAUACCACACUCCAUCAAAUAUUUGGUGAACGACCCUGGACGUUGUUCACUGGAUCCGUCAUAUCUAUCAUAAUAUUCACCUCCACGGUUAGAUUUGAUGACCUUUAUUUUCUUGCUUAGUUGGUUCUCAACUUUAGCUUUGAAAUUCUUGAACACAUCUAAUGAUUGAGACUUCUCAUGAAUCAAAUAAAGAUAGCCAUAGCGUGAGUAAUCGUCAAUGAAAGUGAUAAAAUAUUGUUGUCCAUUCCAAGAAGGGGUAGGAAAUGGACCACAAAUGUCCAUAUGUAUCAAUUCAAAGACGUCACUACACUUGUUAGCAUCAUUUUUUUCUCAUAUUUGUUUGUUUACCCUUAAUACACUCUAUACAGACUCGAAAGUCUAAGAAAUUAAGUUGAUCAAGAAUUCAUUCUGACACAAGCCUUUGAAUACGUUGAUUUGAAAUAUGACCCAAACGCCUGUGCCAUAACAUCGAUGAAUUCUCAUUUGUUAAUUUCCGUUUAAUGUCAUAAUUACUUGAAUUCAAGGUUUCAUUUCCAUUAGUGGUCUUUAUGUUUAAUUUGUAUAAUUUGUCUGUUAGACUACCUGUACCAAUAACAUUUGAAUUUAGAUAAAGACUAACCAUUCCAUUUCUAAAUGAACAAUAAUAUCCAAAUUUGUCCAGAUAUGAAACAAAAAUUAAAUUCCGUCUAAACGACGGUACUACAAAAGUCUCUUCCAAAUCCAAAGUACAUCCAGAGUCUAACUGUAAUCUAAAAAGACUAAUAGUCUUGACUGCAACCUUGUUGCCAUUUCCCACAUAGAUGUAUCUUUCACCAUCAAUUGGCAUUCGGCUCCUUAGGCAACCCUACAUCGUGACACUUAUGUGAGUAGUUGCACCCGUAUCUAUCCACCAAGUGUCAGUAGGCACUAUGACUAAAUUAAUUUAUGAACAAACAAAGUUGAGAAGUGUACCUUUCUUUUCACGCCAAGCAGCGUAUUUGGUACAUGUCUUCUUCAUAUGACCAACCUUCUUACAAAAGAAUCAAGUCAUCUCCUUAUCUUGUUUCUUUUGCACCUUUUGCAUUGAUGUCCCAAAAAUUGCAGUUUGUUUUUCUUUAUUGUCCCUCUUUCUUUUCUUGUUGGUACCAAAUCCCUGAGAUGUGGAAGCCAAGUGAGCACUUUCUAUCUUUUCUUGUUUCAAUCUCUCAUCCUCUUGUGCACAUUGAGUAAUAAGCUCAUUCAAAGUCCAUUUUUCCUUUUGUGUGUUGUAACUGAUUUUGAAUGGAGUGAAUUGUGUGGGCAGAGAGAUCAAGACCAAGUGCAUGAGUAUGUCUUCCGAAAACUCUAACUUUAGUGUCUUUAGUCUAGUCACAAGAUUAGACAUUUCCAUAAUAUACUCCCUUAUAUUCUUUUUCCCUUUGUACCGCAUAGAGACAAGCUUACUAAGAAUAGUGCUUGUCUCAACCUUUUCAUUUGCAGCGAAUCGGUUUGCUAUCUGGUCUAAGAAUGCCUUGGCUCGAGUUUUCUCAGGUAUUGCACUCCUUAUAGCUUUUGGAAUUGAGUGCUUCGUUAUCAUUAGACUCAUGCGAUUGGAUCGCUCCCAUUUUUCCAUAGUAGACCUUUGCUCAGCAGUGCUGGCACUAGUAAGAUCUGGAGGGCGAUCCUCUCUUAAUGCAUAGUCUAAAUCCAUGCACCUAAGCACAAUUAUAGCGUGCUCCUUCCAUUUCUUGAAGUUUGUGUCAUUAAGCACAGGAAUGUUAUUAACAUUUUCAGAUAUAGAAUAUGUUGAAUUCAUAAUAAUAAAGCUCACAAUCAGCCACAUAAACAUCAUACAUACAUGAAAAAUAACAUCAUACAAGAUACUUAGCACAAACAUUAAUAUUCUGUCUUUGGACAAUAAAUAUUAACUUGUAAUUGGUAUCCUUAUACAAAAUUAAUUCAUAAAUAUUGACAAUAAAACCAAAAACAAUAUGCCUGUCUUUAGAUUAACAUAUCAAAUGCAAGAUAAACUUUAUAUGUCACAUAUUUAUGACUACUUUAUUUAUUAUUAUAUUAAAAUAAUCUUCAUUUGGGCCGAUUAUUUUAAAUAAUAAUAAUAUGUUUAGAUAUUAUAAAAUAAAUAAAUUAUAUAAUAUAAGUUACUUUGGCAAUUAACAUACAUAAUUCAUUUAUUUUAAAAUAUUAAACACAAACAUAACAAGAAAUAAUAAAUUCAAUUAAAAUUAUUUAUUUAUUUAUGCAUAACCCAUGUAUAUAUAUAUAUAUAUAUAUAUUAAUUGAAGCAUAAAAAACCAUCUACAUGUGUAUAUAUAUCAAUUGAAGCAUAUAUACAAGCUUUAGUCUAAUGGUUUAAGCAAAAAAUAGGCCAUGGUAAAGGGUUUAAGCCAACCCGCCCCUUUAGUUUGGUUUUUGUUUUAAUUUCUUUGGGGCUACUGACCAUGCAUUCUUUCAUGGCCCAACGACCACUUAUGGUCACUUACAAGCCAAGCCCUUUCCAUAUAUAUAUAUAUAUGUUUUUUUUUUUUAAAUUUUGUCCAUUGCAGCCCAAAGCGACCAUCCCUUGUAAUGGCAUCAUCAAUGGUGCCAGAGCUGUCCUCAAACGACACCGACAGUGAAACGCCGCCACCAUCAUUGGAACGGUGUCACUACCGGAAUGACGCUGUAAUGUCAUCGCUGGGAAGCAGCCUAACCUGUGGCGUGACACCGUGACAAGCAAUGCCGCAAGCAAUGAAACGUUGUCGCCAUCACCGGAACGGUGAUUUUCCAUCGCCAAACGAUGGCACCACCACCGGAACAACGCUGUAACGACAUCACUGGGAAGCAGCCCCACCCGCGGCACCAAAAUGGCACUUGGAUGGCAUUUGGAAUGCUUGCAAUAGCGCUCAAAUCAGUGCUUCUCACUGGCAAAUGACGCUUGAACGACGUCUGGAAAUAAUGCCUACAACGCCUAAAAAUUAUGCUCUUUUGAACGCCUGAAACAACGUUGAAAUGAUGUCUACCGGCGUCUGGAAUUGCACCGCUGUCUAGAACGAUGUCAUGAUGAUGUCUCACUCGCCUUAAAUGGCACCAACCAUCAUGACUUGCAGCCCAAAAAAUGGCACUUGAAUAGUGCUGAAGCGUGCCUAGAACGACGCUGCAAACGAUGCCUGAAAUGGUGCCUUUUGUAUGCCUGAAAAAGGCACAGGAAUGACGCCUAAACUACGUCCACUUUGAACACCUGAACGGUGUCCUAAUGGCGCCUGGAAUGGUGCCUGAAUGACGCCUGGAAUUGGCGCAGAUUUAUUUUAUGUUGUUUCCUUCCUCUUGGAUCUUUUGUUUGUGUUUUAAAAAAAAAAAAAAAGUGUUUUGGUGAAAAUGGGAAAUGCAACCAGGCUCUGAUACCAUUUUGUGGGACGUUCAUUCUCCAUUAUCAUCGAACACAUGCAGGAUAUAUUUAUAUAUAUCUAUCAAUUCAUUCAAAAUAUGCUUUCAUUUUAUGGAACAUACCCGAAUCCAUUUUGUUUGUGUUGAAGAGGUACAGAUCUUCUAAGGCUAUGGGGGGUACCACAUUUUCUUAGAAUUCUCAUUGAUGAUGGGAAGCCAGAGAGAACAAGUUCUAUUUUUAUUUUGAAAACGUUGUUAUCCUUAAAGAACAAACACUAUUAUUUGGAUUUAUACUCUCCUACCUUAGGGACCAUACCCUUUGGUUAUUGGGCCUCACGAGUCUUAGGCCCAUCAUCUAAGGCUCGUGAUGGCACUAGGCUCUACACAUAAUGUGGCCCAUACUCUGGAACGAAUAGAAAUCAUAUGUAUAUAUAUGGAUAGCUAAAUCAUGAACAAUGGUUAACAUGAUGUCGGUUCACAUUUAUUAUAUCAUAGAGACUUCCCAUAUGAAGAAAAUCGACAGUAGGUAGCUUUGCCAUUCUUAGUCCAUAUACAACCAACCUUAGCAAGGGUUGAACCCUUUGAUGCUUAGUUGUGCCAUACAGAUCCUUACCACCGCCUACAACAUGUAAUCGAAAUGAUUCGAUAAUAUCAUCUAGUGAACCAAUACCUCCAAAUGAGAGACCAUUGCCUUGGUAACUAGGGCUCAUGACUGAGAAUUGCAUGAACCCCUUUGCUUGGGUUGGAGCUUGACUGAUGCACAAAAUAUUCAUAGGCCUCUUCCCAUAACUGGCACCUUGUGUUUGCAACAUAAUUGAACAUGUAUUGAAGUGAGUUUUUUUGCAUCUUUUUGUAAGAAAAUUCUAAACAACAGAGACUACUUAGUGUGCCCGGCUCCUCAGGGAAUCAAGGUUCAUUCCUGUAGGGCUAGUUUUUUCACAGUCGAACUAGAUAACAUGGAGAGUAUGUUGCAAUGCUUCAACGGGGUAUUUCUUAGGAAAAUCCACCUGAAGCUGGUAUAAUUCGUUGGCAUACUGAGUUCCUGGAGCUCUAUUGACUUCAAUCACCCAUCUCUGUAGAUUAUCGGUGACUUAUGCUCGGAUCCUGUAGGAGGAUUGACCUGACAUUCCACUAGCUCUUUCUAGAAGGCGAUCUUGUUUAACACCUUGUGAGAAGAGGCAAGGGAACUGGUCAUUGUUUCUUCAAGAAGAUCAGUGGUCGAGGAUGGGUUUGGACCAGAAUUGCUAUAUGGGUUUUCUUUGGGUGAACCAAUUAGUGGAGUAGGUGGCUAUAUAGCAACUAAAGGGUGGUCAUACUAACGAGGAGCUAUUAUUUCAUGCAUGUGGAGAGAAAAUGAGUAGCUUCUUCAAGGAUAUAUGAUUAUUCAUCUCUAGCUUACGUUGAAUCCUAACAAAUUUCUGCUUUGAAGCUUCCUUAGUUUCACUACAGUUAACUUGGCCAACUUGGUUUCAUCAUGUUUCCUACAACCUCUAAGCAAAGCACGCCAGAUCACCGAAUCAGGUUCUAUUCACAUUUUGUCCAUAAACUCCUUUGCCUAUUGACAAUAGACUGCCCCUCAAAAUUUGAUGAGAUAACAUCAACGCUGACAUGUUGGCCAUCCCCAUAAGCAUCUUUAUAGAGAUUGAUUCUAUGUUUAGAUAUUUCUCUCUCCUCAAGUGAGUUCAACUUUUUUGUAACAUCCUUCUCCUUCUCUACUAAUAGUCUUAGCUGAACAUCCAACCUAUGUUCCCAAAGUGCCAGCAUCUCAUAUCUGAUGACAAGCCAACAACCUUGCCCUUGCUGAGACCCAAAUAAGUAUCCAGAACCAUCAGCAUCAACCCUUUCAUAGGCCUUUGUGUUUGAAGGUCGAAUUGGGAUUGCUUUGAAUGCACUGGCACUGCAAUACACAAUUGUUUCUUCUCCAAUAAAAACACCAUAAAGAGGUGAGGGGACUGGUAUUAGCAAAGAAGUGUUGUUAUUUAUAUUGUUCUGAGCCCGAGUACCCUCAACAAAAUCCUCAUCCUCAUCUGUACUUUUCCAUUACAUCCCUAGGCUUUUCAAUGUGAUCCACAUGGCUUACAGGAAUCCAAAAAUACCGGUCUGUAUAAAAGUUGCUCUUAUGGGGCUCUCAUAGAAAACAUCCCUAUCAAGAUGAUCAACCUAGCUUAGAUGCUCAGCACCCCAAACUUACCAAAAAUAGAGGAAUAAAAAGCAAGGAUAGGAGCCAAAGUAAAAAACUGAGGAAAGAGUAAAUAGGAAAUCAAGCAAAACAUGAAUGUACAAAGCCUCAUUUCAGGUGACAUCUUUAGGCUAAUAAUAGGUGGAAUUAACAAAGUAGAUAAGCAUGAUUGUUAUAAAUAUCAAGUUCAAGGAUGAAGUCGUGCAUCAGCUACUUAUUGGGGGAGUCAAGGAAACCAAGAUAAGAUCAAAGAGAGCAUGUAUGCAAAUGAACAGAUUCGACAAAAUAGACCAAACAGCUCGUGAAUAUCCUCCUACAAAAAACUACUACACGUGGCAAAAAGUGAUGAAACAAAAAGAGUUGGGUCCGCAUAUACAUAUCUUAUUCUAUCCUAUUCCUUCAAAUCCAAAGCAACCUGUAUUUUCAAUGGGAUUUGUUGUGAUGAAUUUUACUAGAUUGUAACAUGUAAAUAUGUUAAAAGAGGCUUGGGACAUUCCUAUAUAGUAACGCAUAAAGGUACUUCCAUUGUGAAGUUGUCAAAAUUGCAAAUUUAAAUUACAAAAUUUGAAAACAUAGAGAUGAAAGAUGAUGAAACCUUCUUUGAAAUUUUAUAUUGAACUCAUUAAUAUUAUUAAUUUUCAUUUCAGUCUGGGGGAAAGAAUUCUUUACUCUAAAGUGGUCACAAAAAUAUUAAAAUUCCUUGUCGAGAUAUUUAGACCUAAAGUGACCAAUAUAGAAGAAAGUAAAAAUAUUCUAAGUGUAGGUAAACUUGUAGACUCAAAUGACUCUACCUUCUCAUAAAAAAUCCUCAAUUUUAUAAAUUAUAUAGAUUUCUUCAUUUGAUACAAAAUUUGAAUAAAGAUUUUUCAAAUGACAACACAAGGAAAGGAAAAAAAAAAUCUCUCCAAAUCAUAUUAUUUAAUCACUUAAAUUAUUUAAAAAUAAAUAUGUUUACUGCUAACAUUAUUUAGGUUCAUCUUUCUUUUGAUGGAGGUUAAAAUUCAUAAUUUUGAGGAAAAAGAUGAGGAUUCUCAUUUUUUUUUUUCCAUGUAUGAAUGGGAUUCUCAUUGUGUAUAUAUGGGUUACUAAAUGGCAAAUUUGGGGGCCAAUAUGAGGGAAAAAAUGAAAUUGAGUUUGUCACCAAGAAUAGACAUGGUUCCUACAAAGGUGGCAUCUUUAAUUUCAUGUUUGGAUUGGACUUGUCAUGUAACAACUUAACAAGUGAAAUCCCUCAUGAACUUGGAAUGUUAAGUUUGAUUCAUGCAUUGAACUUGUCUUGCAAUCAACUAAAGGGCUCCAUUUCAAAUAGUUUUUGCAAUCUUUCUCAAAUAGAGAGCUUAGAUCUUUUUAAUAAUAAACUAAGUGGAGAAAUUCCUCCAAAAUUGGUUAGACUAACUUUUUUAGUGGUGUUCAAUGUGACUCACAGUAGCAUCUUUGGAAGAGUUUCAGAUAUGAAUGCAUAAUUUGCAAUAUUUGAUGAAAGUAACUAUGAAGAUAAUCCUUUCCUUUGUGGGCCACCAUUAAAGAGAAAAUGCAGCAUAAAUGUUAAGCCACCUUACCCACCAUUAGAGUCUUCGGAAAAAAGUGAUGCAAAAUGGUAUAAUAUCGAUCUUGUGGUUUUCUUUGCAAGUUUUACUAUAUCAUAUAUCAUGAUAUCAUUAGGAAUUUCAACCAUUCUUUACAUUAACCCUUAUUGGUGUCAAAGAUGGUUCAAUUUUAUCGAGAAAUAUAUAUACUUUUGCUAUUAUUUUGUUUCCUAUACUUUUUCCAAGUUAUUAACAUAUUUUGAAUAAUUAGAGAUUUUUGUUUUCAAUAAUAUUUACAUAAUUAACUACUAUUGGCUUCCAUGACAUGGAAAGAAAUGCGGUGAAGGCAACAACCACUUUUUUUUCUCCUCUACUAGUGCAUGAUUGAUAUGAGUUAAAACUUGCACCCUUAUCUUUGCUUAAAUUUUCUCAGCUUUUGUUUCAAUUCUUAAUUAUCAUUUCUUUUAUGUAUUGUUUAAUACAAUAUCCUAAACACAUUGCUUUGAAGGUUACUUAUUUAUUAAGCAUGAUAUUUAUUUUCAUAAAAACAAAUUCAAGUUUUUUAGGAAUUUUAGAAUUAUUAUAAUUAUUAUAAUUUGGAGUUCACAUUAGAGGAAAAAAGGAAAGAAAAGAAUAGAUGAUUAAAAAAACAAUUUUAGUAAGUAUAAUUUGUCAUCUUCGGUAUAACAAAUGGGAAUUCCAAAAUAAUAUUUCAAUUUGUUAGUCUAUUCCUUAUAGUAUUAAUUGAUAUAUCAAAUAGGAAGUCACGUUUUGAUUUUUUAUUAGCUUGAAUUGCAUGUCACAUAUAUUUUAAAAUCAAGCAUACAUCAGCCGGGAAGUGCUUGUAACAUGCAUGAACCCUCUUUGUUUAAUAAUAAUAAUAAUAUACUACACAUUAUUAAAUCAUAUAUGUAUAUUUAUAGUCGUAUAAUAUAUUUAUAUAAGUAACAAUAAAUUAUAUUGUAUAAGGUUUCGGUAGGAGUUUUCAAUUCCCUCAUACAAUAAUAUCUAUCAAUAAUUGGAAUAAUAUAUUUAAAUAAAUAUUUUGCAGGUUGUGUGAAUAAAUAUAAUUGCUAUGAAGGGUUUCAAUUUAAUUUUACUAGCAAAUCCAUAAUAGGUGAAAAGACAAAACUACCAUUUUUGUUUUUUUUUUUCUUUAUUUACCUUUUUUCUCUCGUAACCUUACUCCUUUCUCCUUUUUGUUUUUUCCUUUUUAAUUAUUAAUUUGUCUUUUUCCUUUUUCUCAACUAACUAUUUUUUUCUUGUAAUUGGUAUUAUCAUUCUUAUUAUAAAUAUUAUAACCUUAUAUUAUAAAUUUUUAGUUUAGAUUAUAUUUAAACUAACUAAUGUUGUGGUUUUAAUUGACAUGGAAAAGAAUGUGGUUAUACAUGUGAUUGUCGCCUUUUUUUUUUCAAUUAGUUAACUAUUGAUACAAGUUAAAAGUAAAAAUUGCAAUAUUAUCUUUACGUCAAUUUCACCGAUCUUUUGUUUUUAUUUUCAUGUAUCAUUCCUUUUUUGUUUAUUUAAUCAAAAGGAUUAAAAAAAAAUCACAUAUUCACAAGAAUAACCUUCAUAUUUUAAAAACAUAAAAUAAACAUUUUUUUUUUAUAAAUAUACCCUCCAACUAUAUUUUUUAUAUCCAUAUUUCAAAUCCAAACACUUCUUUUAAAAAGAAUAAUAAUAAAUAAGGGCAAAAAUGUCAAACUGGGAUUAUAUUUAUAAUUUUCAAUAAUUAGAGGGUGUUUACUUUACAUAACGACAAAUUCAAUUUUUUUGGAAUUUUUUAAUGUUAAAAUAAUUUGGAGCUUAAUAGGCAAAAAAAAAAAAAAAGAAUAAAUAAUUAGAAAAGCAAUUCAAAAAAAUAAAAUUUAUCCUCUUAAAUUGGUUUUGUGUAAUACUAUAGAAGCCAUUUCUUGAGUUUGAUAUGGUAGAAUUCGGAUUCAUAUUUAUUUUAAAAUCAAGAAUUUCAAGGGUUGGUAGCAUCAAUAGAAUCUUAACAAAUUUGCAAAAAAAUAUUUAGGUUGAUCACAUUUAAAUAUAGCUAACAGAAUAAAAAAAUUAAUAUUAUUAGGAAGACAUGAUCAAUUAAAUCUUUUUUCUUAUCUAUGACACCGAUUUUAUAUUUUUACAUAGUCAAUAUAAUUUAUUACAACUUAUAUGUCAUUAAAUUAUACACGUUUAUAUUAAAUAUAAUAUAAGAUCAUUAAUGGAAUAAUUAUGCAAGUAAUAUAAAUUGUAUAUAAUAUAAAAAAUUUAAACUCCAUCAAACUAAUGGAAUCUAUUAUAAUAAGUAGACUAGACACCAUGUUGGCCCGAGUUGGAGGCCUGGGCCAGAUUUUAAAGGCUGGGCUUUGAGUUGCCCGUGGGCCUGAGCCAAGGCCUUCUCUUGGUAUCAUCAUUUUGAAGAAAUAAAUUGCUGAUACAGAGAAAAAAACUAUACUAAAUAGAAAAAUAAAUAAAAGCAUUGACUAAAAUGAAGGUCAAGGUCCUUGAAAAAUAAUCUUUAAAUUGUUGCAUAUAUAAUUUCAAUAAUGCAUGAAUAAUUGCAAUAUAUAUGAUAUGAUAAAGAAUUUGGAAUUAAAAGAAGAUUGAUCUAUUUUAAAUGUGGCUGAAAUAUUUCUAAAUUUGCGAUGGGAAGUUAGACAGCCAAUUAGGGACCCAUAUUAUUUAUUUUCAAUGCAACAAUAUAAAAUAUGUCAAUUUUCUAAAAUUUAAAAAGUAAUUGUAAAAGAAAUUUUUUAAUUAUUUUUCUGAAAUUGAGUUUAUUAUAACAUUUUUCUUUACAUAAAUUUCGUUUUUAUUUUUAUUUUUUAAAAAAUGAGAUAUGAAAAAAAAAGAUCAAUAUUAGUAAAAGUAAAACCCAAUAUAUAAAAAAAAUGAAUAAAUGUUUAUGAAAUAAGAUUUAAAAGUGAGAAGGUAAUAUAUUUUUUCUCUUUUAAUUCCUAUUCAAUUCAUUACAAAAAAUAUUUUUGGUUUUUAUGCUAAAAUUUAUUGUUUAUUCAAAAAUUCUAGUAUAUCUAGCUAUCUUAGAAGAGCUCCAAAAUUUUAUUGUUUAAGAGAAUAUGUGUUGCCACUUUAAAAGAUUUAUAUGCAAAAGGGAUUGAUAUUUUUUUCCUUUGGAUAUGUUUAGUUCCCGGAAAAUUUAAGGGAAAAUGUGAGGGAAGAAAAAUAGAGAAGAAAAGUAUAAUGAAAUAAAAAGUGAAAGAAAAUGAAAAAUAGAUUUAAAGUUAAUAAAUUAUUUUCAUUGGUUUUUUCAAAGUUAUUUUACUUAUUUUAUUCUAUUAAAUAAAGAUUAACUAAUUUUAAUUAUAUUUGGUUUGAUUUUUAUUAUUUUUCAAAGCAAAACCAAAUAUGAAAAAAAAAACAUUUUUUUUUGUUAUUUUUUUCUUUCCUUAUUACUUUUCAGGACUCAAACAUAGCUUUUAGAUCUGGAGCAUGGAAAGAUAAGAGUAUUGAAUAAAGGUUCUAUAUAUGCCCAUGCCCAUGAUACCAUUGAAAAAAAUGGAGAGAGGGUGAAACCUUUACUAGAUGAUAAAUUAUUCUCUUCAAUGGAAAUCAAAUAUAAUUAUUUUUAUCUUGUAUUAAUUGAAUGUUAUACUCCAUAAACUCAAAAUUAAAAUAAAUAAAUAAUUUAAAAACUAGCACAAUCCCAUUUUUUUUCAAUUUCUUAAAAAGAAAUUAAAUUAUAUUUAUUUAUAUCUAUUUUCAUCCCUACCCAAAAAAAUAAAAAAAAUUAACAAGGUGGGACAUGUAUGAGAAAUUCUCACACUAACUCUCUCUAGUUUAUUUUUUAUUUUUUAAAAAAAUCAAUUUCUUUAAAAAAAAAUUAAACUACAUAAAAAAUAAACAAAUUUUACAAUUUUUUUUAAGAAAAGUAAAUUUCUUAUUUUAUAUAUGUUAAAAAUAAAUAUAAUCUUUUAUUUUUUAUAUAUAUAAUCGGGUAAGGUAGAGUGGGACAAAGAAAUAAUCCCCUUCGAUUCCAAUCCGAAUUUUUAAAAUAUAAAAUAAAAAUCUUAAACUCAUCCCAAAUUCAUUUAUUUUUAAUCCUAAACUUGUCUUAUUAAGAAUAAGACAAAGUGAGUACAUGAAAACACUUCUUUUAUCAUCAUCUCUACAAGUUCUAAUAUUUAGACUGCAAUCCAUAUCAAAGAUUUAUAAAGAAAGAACAACGAUGAAUUACAUAAACAUUUGAAAGCAUAUACAAAGUUUUAAAUAAUAUUGCUUGAGGUGCAAAUAUUAUUUGGCGCACAUGUUGAGGGACUUCAACUGGUGUAGUCUAGGUUUUUUACACUAGUAAGUAAUCUUGAAUAUCUAGAGUAACUUGAUCAAAAUCUCUUUAAUUUUAUUUUCUUUGAUGGUUGUAUGAUGAAUUAGAAUGCUUAUAUAACAUGAUUAAAAAUUUUAAGAAAAAAAACUAAGAAGAAAGAAAGAAGCACCGAUCUUCCAAAUAUUGCUUCCACUUUAAUAUCUAGAAGGCUCUAAGAAAAGAACUUUAUUCAUGAAUCAUAACCCAAGUCGAAAAUAAAUUGAAUCCAUUUUCUAAGUUAAAAUUUGAAUUUUUUUACUGAUGAAUGCAAAUUGGGAAAAUGUAUAUAAAUAUAAUUAAACUAGAAUAGUAGGUUAGGUUUGUAGGUGGAGUUUGUUUGAAUUGUUGGAACUUCCAAGUCGUUGUGGGUCUAGUGGUCUCAUAGCUCUCUAUUAAUUUCCACCAUCAAUUUUCUACAAUAAAGUCAAGUCAUUCCUAACCCCUAUAUUAAGUUGGCCUUAAAAGUUAAGUCAUUGAUCAUAGUUACAUUCAUGAAUCACAACCCAAGUCGAAAAUAAAUUGAACCCAUUUUUUAGUUCAACUUUGAAUUUUUUACUAGUGAAUGCAAAGUGGGAAAACAUAUAUAAAUAUAAUUAAACUAAAAUAGUAGAUUAGGUUUGUAGGUGGAGUCUGCUUGAAUUGUUGAAACUUCCAAGUCAUCGUGGGUCCAGUGGUCCCUAGCUCUCUAUUAGUUUCCACCAUCAAUUUUUUGCAAUAAAGUCAAGUCAUUCCUAACCCCUAUAUUAAUUUGGCCUUAAAAGUCCAGUCAUUGAUAGCUACAUUCAUGAAUCCCAACCCAAGUAAAAAAUAAAUUGAACCCAUUUUCUAAGUUCAACUUUGAAUUUUUUUUAAUUGGGAAAAUGUAUAUAAAUUCAAUUAAAUUAGAAUAGUAGAUUAGGUUUGUAGGUGGAGUCUGCUUGAAUUUGUGAAACUUCCAAGUGGUCGUGGGUCUAGUGGUCCCAUAGCUCUCUAUUAAUUUCCACCAUCAAUUUUCUGCAAUAAAGUCAAGUCAUUCAUAACCCCUAUAUUAAGUUGGCCUUAAAAGUCAAGUCAUUGAUCAUAGUUACAUUCAUGAAUCACAACCCAAGUCGAAAAUAAAUUGAACCCAUUUUCCAAGUUCAACUUUGAAUUUUUUACUAGUGAAUGCAAAUUGGGAAAACAUAUAUAAGUAUAAUUAAACUAAAAUAGUAGAUUAGGUUUGUAGGUGGAGUCUGCUUGAAUUGUUGAAACUUCCAAGUCAUCGUGGGCCCAGUGGUCCCAUAGCUCUCUAUUAAUUUCCACCAUCAAUUUUUUGCAAUAAAGUCAAGUCAUUCCUAACCCCUAUAUUAAUUUGGCCUUAAAAGUCCAGUCAUUGAUAGCUAAAUCCCAACCCAAGUCAAAAAUAAAUUGAACCCAUUUUCUAAGUUCAACUUUGAAUUUUUUUUAAUUGGGAAAAUGUAUAUAAAUACAAUUAAACUAGAAUAGUAGAUUAGGUUUGUAGGUGGAGUCUGCUUGAAUUUGUGAAACUUCCAAGUGGUCGUGGGUCUAGUGGUCCCAUAGCUCUCUAUUAAUUUCCACCAUCAAUUUUCUGCAAUAAAGUCAAGUCAUUCAUAACCCCUAUAUUAAGUUGGCCUUAAAAGUCAAGUCAUUGAUCAUAGUUACAUUCAUGAAUCACAACCCAAGUCGAAAAUAAAUUGAACCCAUUUUCCAAGUUCAACUUUGAAUUUUUUACAAGUGAAUCCAAAUUGGGAAAACAUAUAUAAGUAUAAUUAAACUAAAAUAGUAGAUUAGGUUUGUAGGUGGAGUCUGCUUGAAUUGUUGAAACUUCCAAGUCAUCGUGGGCCCAGUGGUCCCAUAGCUCUCUAUUAAUUUCCACCAUCAAUUUUUUGCAAUAAAGUCAAGUCAUUCCUAACCCCUAUAUUAAUUUGGCCUUAAAAGUCCAGUCAUUGAUAGCUAAAUCCCAACCCAAGUCAAAAAUAAAUUGAACCCAUUUUCUAAGUUCAACUUUGAAUUUUUUUAAUUGGAAAAAUGUAUAUAAAUACAAUUAUACUAGAAUAGUAGAUUAGGUUUGUAGGUGGAGUUUGCAUGAAUUUGUGAAACUUCCAAGUGGUCGUGGGUCUAGUGGUCCCAUAGCUCUCUAUUAAUUUCCACCAUCAAUUUUCUGCAAUAAAGUCAAGUCAUUUCUAACCCCUAUAUUAAGUUGGCCUUAAAAGUCAAGUCAUUGAUCAUAGUUACAUUCAUGAAUCACAACCCAAGUCGAAAAUAAAUUGAACCCAUUUUCCAAGUUCAACUUUGAAUUUUUUUACUAGUGAAUGCAAAUUGGGAAAACAUAUAUAAAUAUAAUUAAACUAAAAUAGUAGAUUAGGUUUGUAGGUGGAGUCUGCUUGAAUUGUUGAAACUUCCAAGUCAUCGUGGGCCCAGUGGUCCCAUAGCUCUCUAUUAAUGUCCACCAUCAAUUUUUUGCAAUAAAGUCAAGUCAUUCCUAACCCUUAUAUUAAUUUGGCCUUAAAAGUCCAGUCAUUGAUAGCUAAAUCCCAACCCAAGUCAAAAAUAAAUUGAACCCAUUUUCUAAGUUCAACUUUGAAUUUUUUUAAUUGGAAAAAUGUAUAUAAAUAAAAUUAAACUAGAAUAGUAGAUUAGGUUUGUAGGUGAAGUCUGCUUGAAUUUGUGAAACUUCCAAGUCGUCGUGGGUCUAAUGGUCCCAUAGCUCUUUAUUAAUUUCCACCAUCAAUUUUCUACAAUAAAGUCAAGCCAUUCCUAAACCCUAUAUUAAUUUGGCCUUAAAAGUCAAGUCAUUGAUAGUUAUGUUCAUGAAUCACAACCCAAGUCUAAAAUAAAUUGAACCCAUUUUCCAAGUUCAACUUUGAUUUUUUUACUAGUGAAUGCAAAUUGGGAAAACAUAUAUAAAUAUAGUUAAACUAAAAUAGUAUAUUAGGUUUGUAGGUGGAGUAAGCUUGAAUUAUUGAAACUUCCAAGUCGUCGUGGGUCUAAGGGUCCCAUAGCUUUCUAUUAAUUUCCAUCAUCAAUUUUUAUAUAUUAAGAUUUAAAAGUGAGAAGGGAAUAAAUUUUUUCUUUUUCAAUUCAUUACAAAAAAUAUUUUUGGUUUUUAUGCUAAAAUUUAUUGUUUAAUCAAAAAAUUAAAGUAUAAAAAUAUAAAAAUAUAUAUAUAUAUCUUGCUAUUAUAGAAGAGCUCCAAAAUUUUCGUGUUUAAGAGAAUAUGUGUUGCCACUUUAGAAGAUAUAUAUACAAAAAGGAUUGAUGUUUCUCCUUUGACUAUGUUUGGUUCCCAUAAAUUUGAGGGAAAGAAAAUAAAUAAAAAAAUAGUAAAAAAGAAAAAAUGAAGGAAAAUAAAAAAUAGUUUUAAAGUUAAUAAAUUAUUUUUAUAUGCUUUUUCAAACUUAUUCUACUUAUUUUCUUUCAUUAUAUAAAGAUCAAAUAAUUUUAAAAUGCAUAAAUUUCUAACUAAUUUUAAUUAUAUUUAAUUUUUCUUUUAUAUUUUUUAGACGGGAUCCAACACAUGAAAAAAUCCAUUUUUUAGCAUCUUUUUUUCUUUUCUUAUUACUUUCCAAUAACCAUAUAUAACCUUUAGAUUUAGCCUUUAGACUUGGAGUAUGGAAGGAUACUGAGUAUUGAAAGAAGGUUUUGUAUAUGGCCAUGAUACCAUAGAAAAAAUAUGCGAGAGAGAAAAAACCUUUAUUAAAUGAUAAAUUAUUUUUUUCAAUGGAAAUCAAAUAUAAUUAUUUUUAUAAUAAUUACUUUAUUUUUUUAAAAAAAUAAUAAAAAAAAAAAUAAUUUGUUGUUGCAUAAAGUAUUCUUGCAUUUGGAGAAGCAUGUUACUACUUACUACAUAAAUAGAUAUUCAUGGAGUGCAUUCUAUAAAAAGCUCCAGUCUCAUGAAAAUAGAAAGAUGGACCGGCCGGUGAACCGGUUCGAGUUUGGAUUUAUGGGCUGCCUCAGCCUUACACGCAUGAUAGGCUGUUGCAGGUGAAGAACUAAUUAAUUUAAAGCGUUCUUCUAUCCUCUCCUAUUCCUCAGUGUAUUUAAACUAAACAUUAGGAAGGGUGACUGAAAUUAACCCUCUAGGUAUAUAUGUUUACCAAAAUUUUUAUUGUUUAUUUUUCAUUUAAUGUUUGCAUUUAAACAUUGAAAAUGAAUUGUUUUUCCAUAUGUUAACAAAAAGAAAUUUGAACACCUAUAAAAAUGAAAUCUUGUAGUAAAAUUGGAGUUACAUUAUCAGACUUUUAACGAGUGUUUAUGUUUAGAAAGGCCAAUUAAAGCAAGCAUGCAUCUAGAAAUUGUAACUUAGAUGCAUCAAACAUGAGCAACAUAUUUGAUAUAACUAAUAGUUUCUUAAGUAACUAAACACUUCUUUUUCUAUAAAUUUACUUGAUUAUCGAUGAAUACUUACAUAUAUUUACAUAGUUUGAUAAAUAUUUUAAAAUAAUAUUAGAAUAACUUUGUUUUUUCUCAAUUAUAUUAGAAAAUAAUAUAAAGUUACUUAUAAACUUUAUAUCAUUUUCUCAAAGUCAAGUCAUUUACAAUUAUUUCUAUCUAGCCUUCUCCGUUAUGACAACUUUUAUAUGAUAGUCGUUGAUUGGAAGAAUCUACACGUCUUUUUUGAUAGGAUAGUUGUUUUUAUUUUUUUUAUUUUUUUUAUUUUUUUUAUUCCAAAAAUUUGCUUCUAUCAUUGAAACUUUCAAAUCUUUUAUAUAUAUUACCAAUCAUUUUACAAGUGAGUUAAUUUCACUUAGGGUAGAUAUACUUAGCCACAACCCUAUAGAUGUAAUUUGUGUUUAAAUUUUAUUUUUUAUUCAGGUAAAAAUAUCUUAGGUAUAUGUGUUCAACAAUUCUCUAAAAAAUAAAUUUUCUUAUCUAAAAGUUUAUAUAGACAAAAUAUAUCUAUAGAAGUCCUAACUAAUGAAAUUUAAAAUCAAUGGUUGUUUAGUGUAUUUACAUUAAACCUUAUGGGGUAUGAUUGAAAUUAACUCUUUUACAAGCACUUGUAGCUUAUAUGUUUGAAGUUGUAGUGUUGGAAAUUGAUCAUUUUCUUGAAGGCCUCUAAGAUAUUGGAAAUAUUGCCAUAGUUUUAGACUUUUUUUUAUUACACCUAAUAAAAAAUAUUAUUAAUUUAACAUAUAUAUUCUUGACUUAAAAGUAAAGUCUCUCCAUAUUGUAUGAGCCCUUGGGUGACAAUAUUAGGUGAAGUUUUUCUUUCGUUUAUUAAAAAAUAUAAUAAUUUAUUAUUGUAUGAUAAAAUUUUAUGUAAUAUAUUUUUAUAGAUGUAAAAUUAUUAAUUGGGUUUUAUUUUAUUUUUACUAAAUUGUCAUUUCAAUAUAUAAAACUUAUUUGUAAAAAGACAAUUAUAAACUAUAUGAAAUUGAAAAACAUUUAGUUUUUUUAUUUAAUUUAGAAUUUUAUUUGGAUUAAUAAUUGAUAUUUGUAAGAUUUUUUAAUAUUUAAAAAAGUUAGCAUACUUAAGAAAGAUAUUCAAGAUCGGGAGUGUUUGAUAUUGGAUUAAUUUCCUUAUUUUCUCUAUUUUAAUAAAUUUUCACGUUCAUUACAAAAUUUUUGUUGUUUAUUUUUCACUUCAAUAUUUUUAUUUUGUAAUAGACAUUUGAAAAGAUUUUUUCCUACAUGUAAAAAAAAAAAAUUUGAACACUCCUAAAAAAGAAAUAUUGUAAUAAAAUUAAAGUUUACACUGUAGGACUAUUAGCAAGUGCUAUAUACAUAAAAUAGACCAAUUAAAGUAGAAAUACUUCUAAAAUUGUAAUUUAGGUAACAAUAAUAUAAAAAGAUAAUAUUUUUGAAACAAUAGUUCUCUUGGAGUUUUGGGUACGAUGGACUAGACUUUAUGUAACAACAGAUAUCCGAACUUUCCAUUAACAUCUUAAGAGACAUGAUGAGGAGCAAAGUCAUCCUAGAAGGUACCAUAGAGGUACCUUAGCUCCAUUCAUCUAGACUACAUAAUGUUUAAAGAUCAAAUUCAAUGACUAGCUAGAAGGUACCAUAGAGGUACCUUAGCUCCAUUCAUCUAGACUACAUAAUGUUUAAAAAUCAAAGUCAAUGACUAGAUUUCAAAAAUCAAUAUAAGCUUUCUCAUAUUCUACUCUAUAUAAGGCAAUGGUAUGAUACCUCUCUUGUGUCAUAGAAUACACCAUGAAAACCUUAUCAUUUUGACAUCAGUUUGAAACUUAAAAGUCACUUAGCACAUUCUAGUUAUUAAUUUAAGAGCAUUAAAAGAAAAUAUAAAAAAAGUUACUUUAUCCUUGUGAUUUUGAUCUAGGACUUUUAAUGAUAUUUAAAAAAAAAAACAAAACAGAAAAAUAAAUGGAAAUAAAAUCAACAAAUUAAACAAUUGAAUUAGGUUAGUUUAGUUUUUGUAUCAUUAAAUAGGUAAAUAUGUGUGCAUGUUCCCACAACUCAUUAGCUACUCAUAAGCUUUAUAUCACUUUCUCAAAGUCAAGUCAUUUUGUAAUUAUUUCUAUCUAGCCUUCUCCAUUACGACAACUGUAUAAGAUAUUGAUUGGUUGGAAAAAUCUUCAUGUCUUUUUUUAUAAGAUAGUUUUAUUAUUAUUAUUAUUAUUCAAAGAAUUUGCUUUUAUUAUUACUUUCAAAUCCUUUAUGUCUAGUGGUCCUACAAUUCCCUAUUCAUUGGUAUUUCAUAUUACCAAUCAUUUUACAAAUAAGUUUAUUUCACUCAGUAAAUAUACUUAACUACUAAUGGUUUCAAAUUUAAUUGAUUAACACACUUAUAGAUGUAAUUUGUUUUUAAAUUUUAUUUUUUUAGAAGAAUUGUAGGUAAAAAUAUUUUAGGAAUAUGUGUUCAAUAAUUCUCUAAAAACAAUUUAUAUAGAUGGAAUACAUUCAUGGAAGUUCCAACUAAUGAAAUUUAAAACCAAUGACGAUUUAAUGUAUUUGCACUAAAUCUUAGGCGAGGUGUACUAAAACUAGCCCUUUUACAAAUAUUUGUAGCUAGUAUAUUUGUAGUUAUAGUGUUGGAAGUUGAUCGUUUUCUUAAAGGCCUCUAUGAUAUUAGAAAUAUCGCCAAAGUUUUGAACUUUUUGUUUCACCUAAAAAAAAUAUCAUUAAUUUAAUAUAUAUACUCUUCGCUUGAAAGUAUAGUUUCUUCAUAUUGUAUGAAGUUGUAGCUAGGUGACAAUAUUAGGUGAAUUUUUUUUGGUUUACUAAAAAAUAUAAAUAAUAUAUUUAUUAUAUGAUAAAAUUUUGUAAAAUAUAUUAUUAUAGAUGCAAAAUUAUUAAUGGAGUUUUAUUUUUUUACUAAAUUAUCAUUUCAAUAAAUAAGAACUUAUUUGUUAAAAGAAAAUUAUAAAAUAUAUGCAGUUGAAAAAAAUUUAAUUUUUUUAUUUAAUUUGGUAUUUUAUUUGAAUUAAUAAUUGAUAUUUGUAAGAUAUUUUAAUAUUAAAAGAAGUUAACAUAUUUAAAAAAGACAUUCAAAAUCAAGAGAGUAUUUGAUAUGAAAUCAAUUAAUUUAUUUUUUCUAUUUAAAUAAAUUUUUACAUCCAUUAAAAAAAUUUUAUUGUUUAUUUUUCAAUUCAAUAUUUUUAUUUUGUAAAAGAAAUAGAAAUAAAAUCAACAAAUUAAACAAUUGAAUUAAGUUAGUUUAAUUUUGCCACCGUUAGGUAAAUGAAGACUCUUAUAUUUGAUAUUAACAUGAACAUCAUGACUUCAUUGAAUCUCACAAGAAAAUUUUAGUUUGAAAGAUUUUAUCCUUUAAUCAUGUGGCACAUAUUAAAGUGAGACCAAGUCUUCCCUAUAAUUUGUAUCUAUCACAAUUUCUUUCCUAAUGAAUAGCCUUUUUGAAUAGAAUAUAGACUUUAGCAUGCAUGGUGGGGCCUAGCUAUCAAACUACUAGUCAAAACAACUCAUGGGCAAGAAUGAUGUACCAACUAGAUUAAGUAUUCUCCAUCUAUUUGCAUAUCAAGAGUAAUUUAGUAGUAUCUUUCUUGUGUACCUCAUUUCUAGACUUUCAAUGGAGAGUUAUUUAUCUUAAAAUUUGACGUGGGUUUUCAUACAAGUCUUGGUUCAGAUAUGUGAAUGCAAAGGUUGCAUCGAAGAAGAGAAGUAGGCUAAGUCAUCUUACAAAUUUUCAAGUUCAAAUUAGAUGCAUCAAACAUGUGCAACAUAUUUGAUAUAACUAAUAUUUUACCAAGCAACUAAAUACUUUAUAUAUAUAAAUAAACAAAAUAAAAAAUUUAAAAAGAAUAUAUAUAUUAGUGGUCCCACAACUCAUUAGCUACUCAUAAGCUUUAUAUCAUUUUCUUAAAGUCAAGUCAUUUACAAUUAUUUCUAUCUAGCCUUCUCCGUUGCGACAACUAUACAAGAUAUUAAUUGAUUGAAAAAAUCAUGUCUUUUUUGAUAGGAUAGUUUUUUUUUAUUCAAAGAACUUUCAAAUCCUUUAUGUCUAGUGGUCCUACAAUUCCCUAUUCAUUGGUAUUUCAUAUUACCAAUCAUUUUACAAAUAAGUUAAUUUCACUCGGUAAAUAUACUUAACCACCAAUGGUUUCCAAUUUGUAGCACUCUUAUAGAUGUAGUUUGUUUUUAAAUUUUAUUUUUGAGAAGAAUUGUAGGUAAAAAUAUUUUAGCUAUAUAUGUUCAACAAUUCUCUAAAAACAAUUUAUAUAAAUGAAAUACGUUCAUGGAAGUUCCAACUAAUGAAAUUUAAAACCAAUGAUGAUUUAAUGUAUUUGUACUAAAUCUUAGGGAGUGUGGACUAAAAUUAGCCCUUUUACAAAUAUUUAUAACUAGUAUAUUUGUAGUUGUGGUAUUGGAAGUUGAUCAUUUUCUUAAAAGGUUUACCAUUGAAGUUAGUUGAAUAUAAAGUUAGGUGAACUUUACCAUUGUUAAAUUGGUAAAUGAAGACUCUUAGAUUUGAUACUAACAUGUACAUCAUGACUUCAUUGAAUCUCUCACAAGGAAAUUUUAGUUUGAAAGACUUCAUCUUUUAAACAUGUGGCACAUAUUAAAGUGAGACCAAGUCUUCCCUAUAAUUUGUAUCUAUCACAAUUUCUUUCCUCAUAAAUAGCCUUUUUGAAUAGAAUUAAUAUAGACUUUAGCAUGCAAGAUGGGCCCUGUCAAACUACUAGUCAAGAUAAUUUGUAGGUAAGAACGAUGGACCAACUAUAUUAAAUACUCUUCGUCUAUUUUCAUAUCAAGAGCAACUUAAUAUUGUCUUUCUUUUGUACUUCAUGUUUGAACUUUCAAUGGAGAGUUUGUCAUCUAAAUAUUUGAUGUGGGUUUUUAUACUACUCUUGGUUCAAAUAUGUGGAUGCAAAGGUUGCAUCGAAGAAGAGAAGAUGGGUUUGCUUGAAUUCAAGGCUUUUCUUGAAUUGAAUAAUGAGCAUGCAGAUUUUCUUCUCCCUUCAUGGAUAGAUAACAACACUAGUGAAUGUUGUAAUUGGGAGCGGGUUAUUUGCAAUCCCACCACAGGUCGAGUUAAGAAGCUUUUCCUCAAUGAUAUAACGCGACAACAAAAUUUCUUGGAAGACGAUUGGUACGAUUAUGAAAAUGUUAAAUUUUGGUUACUAAAUGUCUCCCUAUUCCUUCCUUUUGAAGAACUUCACCAUCUAAACUUGUCUGCAAACUCAUUUGAUGGGUUUAUUGAGAAUGAAGGUAUGUUACUUCUCACCUUUAAAAUUUCUUUUCACUUAUACUCCAAACAUUCUAAAGGAACUACUAGCAUAUGUUCUUAAAAGUGUUCAGGUGGAGACCAAAUGGUCACUAGUAACUAUUGAAUUUAAUAUAAGAACAAUUACAUAUUAUUAAAAUUUAUAAUGUAAAUUAACAUUUAAACAGAACAAUAAAAAAAUUAUUAUUUUAGAAAACUAUAGAUUACAUUAGCCUUAUAUAUAUAAGCAUACUUUUUAUUUAUGCCAUCAUUUCACACUCAACCCAAUAAGUGGGAUUCAACUAAGAGUGAGCAAUUUCACAAUUAUUAAUUAACAGGAACACUUAGGCUCCCAUAUCCUUAUCCUUUUUGCUGAAUUGUCUUUCUUUAUCUUCCAUUCCUAAAAAGCUUGAUUUCUAUAUUCCAAAUUGAUAGAGAUUGGUUAAAGAAAGGUGAUCACAAAAUUUGACUAUUGCUUUCAAAUGAGGAAUCACCAUCUUCAAAAUUUCACAUUUACAAAAAAAAAAAAAAAAAAAAACUAGCCUCGGGUAAGGUCCAAGCCUUAUUGUUUUAAGCUGAUGUCGGGUUGGUUUAAUAAUGAACAGAGUAAAUCCUAACCCAUGACCAUCUACGCAUUUCCAAAUUCCACCCAUCCACAACCCAUUAAUAUGACAUUUUCAGGGACAAAAUUUAAUCAAUUAAACCUAUUAGAUGGAUUCUCCAUACAAUGUUAAAAUGAAUAUAAAAACUUUAAUUCAAAAAAUAAUUUCCUUUAUUUAGUUAGGAUUCAAAUUAUAGGGGCACAAAACAUGAAAAUUUUCAUGUUUAAAAUUCACAAAGAUCACAAAAGCUCUUUGAAGCUCUAUGGACUAUUUUAUUUCUAACAGUUAAACACAAAAAUCACCAAAUUGAAUUAGAAACUUGGAUGCAUAUUCUUAUAUUAAAGACAUGUAAGCUUACAUAUUUAAAUAUGAAGAUCUCAACUUGUAAUUACAUGCUUCUAAUUAAAGUUAUAUUACUCUAUUUUACAGGAUUUAAAGGGUUAUCAAGUUUAAAGAAAUUGGAGAUCUUGGACAUAAGUGGUAAUGAGUUUGACAAAAGUGCCUUAAAAUCUUUGGGCACAAUAACAUCACUCAAGACAUUGGCUAUUUGCAGCAUGGGACUGUAUGGAUCUUUUUCCAUUCGAGGCAUGUUAUAUGUCCACAUUGUUUCUUUGAAAUUAAGUAAAAUAUAUUUCUAACUUUUAAUGUUCCUUAGUUAAUCUCUCUUUUGAUUCAUGUUUGUUGCAGAAUUAGCUAGUUUGAGAAAUUUGGAAGGGUUGGAUCUAAGCUAUAAUGAUUUGGAAAGCUUUCAACUAUUGCAAGGUACUUCAUUAACUUGCUAAAAAAACUUAUAAUAUUUUGUUAUUAAAUUAAAGGUAAGAUUAACAAACAAUUUCUUCCCAUUAGUUACUUUUCUUUGUAAUAUCAUUAAAUUUGAUAUAAAGUAGUCUAAAUCAUCCUUUCAAUUUAUAAGUUUUAAUUAAAACGCAUCAAGCAUGCACAAGAUGUUUAAUAUAACUAAUAUUUUCAUAAGUAAUUGAAUUUUUUUUAUGAAUUAAUUAACUUGAUUAUCAAUAAAUACUUACAUGUAUAAGAUUAAUAUAGUUUCAUAAGUAUUUUAAAAUUGUCUUACAACACACACACACACACACAGGGAAAAUGAAAGGUAUGUGAUACCUUUAUGCUAUGUUUGGUUCCCAAAAAAAUUGAGGGAAAAUGAAAGGAGAAAAAAGUAGAGAGGAAAAAUAAAAGAAAAGAAAAAAAGUGAAGAAAAAUAUAAAAUUGAUUAAAGUAAAUACAUUAUUUUUAUAUGUUACUUUAAACUUGUUUCACUUAUUUUAAUUCUUCAAUGUAAAGAUGAAAGAUUUGAAAAUGCAAAAGUUUCUAAUUAUUUUUUAUUAUAUUUUAUUUUAUUUUAUAGUUUUUACAAUACAACCAAACAUAAUAAAAUCAUUUUCUUUAAUUUUUUUUUUCUUUUCUUAAUACUUUUCACGAACCCUUAAGUUAUGUUUGGUUUGCAGAAAAUAUGAGGAAUAGAAAAUAGAAAAGAAAAUUAGAAGGAAAGAAAAAAUGAAGUAAAAUAAAAAUAAAUUUAAAUUUAAUAAAUUAUUUUUAUAUGCUACUUUAAACUUAUUUCACUUAUUUUAAAUUAUUUAAACUCAUUUCUAAUAAAUAAUAAUGGAAAUUGUAGAGAAGUUUGUGUUAUUCAAGCUUUGCAAUGACUUUUCAAGGUGAAGGAAAAUAUUCUUGCUGAAAUUGAAAAAGGAAAUACCUUCUUAAAUAGCCUAUUGACCGAAAACACAUUGCCCUAACAUAUACACACACCUUUAUUAUUUAUACAAUCAUGUAAUACUUAAUCCAGUUAGUGGGAUUCUAGUGGUUGUUUCUAUCUUGGUUUCCAAUAUUUCUGAUUGAUAGUGUUCGAUUAAUGAAAUAUCAUAAAUUUUGACUCUAAUAAGGACCAAUCCUUAUUAAAUGUAAUUGGGUUGACCCAAGACUAAAUGUUAGACCCAACUAAUAAAAACCCAUCUGUUUGUUGGAGUCUAAAUAACCCGGCCUUAGGUAGGGCCCAUGCCUUAUUAUUUUAAGAUGUAGUCCAACUGGUUUGACACUAGAUUGAGUAAAGCCCAACUUUUGAGCUUUUGUGCAUUUCCAUCCAUCCACAACCUAUUGGCAUGGGCAAACUUUGGUCAAUUAAACCUAUUAUAACUGUAUACAAAAUUUUAAGUUCAAAAGAUAAUUUUCCUUAUUUAGUUAGGAUUCAUAUUAAAAAGGCACAAAGCACGAAUUUUCAUGUUUAAAUUCACAAAUAUCAUGAAAGCUCCUUCAAGCUCUAUGGACCAUUUUAUUUGUAACAUUAUUUUACUCUUAAUUAUCAAAUUAACCAACAAAUUCUUCUCAUUACUUAUUUUUCUUUUGUAAUGUCAUCAAAUUUGAUGUAAAGUAGUAUUGGUCAUCAUUUCAACUUUUAGGUUCCAAUUGGAUGCAUCAAGCAUGUGCAACAUAUUUGAUAUAACUAAUAUUUUUAUAAGUAAUUGAAUUUUUUUUUCUAUAAAUCAAUUAACUUGAUUAUCAAUGAAUACUUUCAUACAUGAUAUUGAUGUAGUUUCAUAAAUAUUUUAAAAUAGUCAUAGAAGUCUUUUAUCUGAUUCACUAGAAAGAAAAAUAAAUUAAACUAUUCUAAUGAAAAUACUUGAUGAUUUGAAGUGAUUGCUUUUGAUUUUAUUUGAUUGCUACCAUUAUUAAUUGUUAGAAAUUGGCAACAAAUACCCAUUUUGCAUCACUUCUAUAUGCAUAGGGGGAAUGAAUUAUAUUUCAUAGAGCUAACAGGGCAAAACUCAUACUUUUGGAAUUAUGGAAAAGGUUGCUAGAAAGCUAAUUAACCAUUUAUAUUAUGAUUAAGACUAGUUGGGUUAGAAAUAAUUCAUAUGGAGAUUAAAAAAAACUAUGUAAUUUAGUUUAGUAGCAAGGGUGCUAUUGUAAUGAUUAAUGAUCUGCAACUUGAACACAUCUACUAGUGUUUUCUACUUGUAUAGCUAAAUUUAUGUUACCACUUUGAACUACAGUACUUACAUGAGAAGAAAGCUAUUCUUUAGUGAUAAUGCAAAAGAAAUUAACUAUCAGUUUUUGUUAAACUAACAAGUGAUAGUUUAGAUAUGGUUUGAAUACACUUCCUUUCUUCUAUUUUUUUAUUUUGAAAAAAAAAACUCUUUAAUGAAAUAUAAGAAAUCUUAUAUGUAUAAAAAGUAAAGACUUAAACAAAAAAAUUCUUCAAAUUUGAAAAUUUUCGAGAAGUAUUUUUAAGAAUUUGUAUUUUUAGUAUAAUAAUUCCUAUAUUUUGUAUAAAAGUUUUUGUUUAAAAAAAUAGAAGUGUAUCCAAAUUACAAAUUAAUUGUUAAAUUAAGAAUGUUUCUCAGAUCAAGAGAUAAUGAAAGUUGUAGAGAGUUUGCAUUACUCAACCUUUGCAAUUACUUUUUGAAGAUAAAAGAAAAUACCUUCCUACAUAACAUAAAAUGACAGGUUCUGGUUUGUAAGAAACAAAUAAAUGAUUGAGGAUAUGAAUAAGACUUCCUUUAUAAUAGAUAUGUAGAGAAGAAUAGUCGAUGAUAGGAGGUGAAAAUCUUGUAAUAAAAUAUCAAUAUCGGUUAUAAGAUAAUCAACAUUUUCUCUAUUUCUUGUACCUAUGUGAUUAAGAAUCUUGUAGCUCCCUUAUUGAAAUAUAAUAUAAAAAUAUAAAUAAACUAUUUAGAAGUGCAUGUAGUUUUCAACAUGAGGAAGUUCAAAAGCAAGUUAAUUAUGAUAAUUUUCUGUUGUCUAUAUUGAGCACAAAUUAUUUUUGCUAAAGGUUCAAUUGUUCUAUGAAGGUUAAAAGUUUGAAUUGUUUACAUAUGCAAAUGUGAAAUUUGAAAUUUUAUAAUUUUUUAUAAUUUUCUUGUAGAUUCAAAAAGCUUGUCCAUAUUCAAAAAGCUCGAGACCUUGAACCUCAAUUACAACAAGUUCAAAAACACUAGCCUACAACAAUUGAAUAUAUUUACAUCCCUUAAAAAUCUUUCUCUAAGAGGGAACUAUGUUGGAGGAUUUUUUCCGAUCCAAGGUAUGUGUAAUUAUUAUUAUUACUUUUAAUGAUAAAAUAUUAUAAUUGCCAACAUCUUUUAUCUUUUUUCCCCUCAAUGGUGUUGCAGAAUUAUGCACUCUAGAAAACUUGGUGAUGUUGGACCUAAGGGGGAAUUUCUUUAUUGGCAUGCAAGGUAAAUACAAAGUGAAGUUUUGGUUAUAUAUAUAUCAUGUAAGAACAUAACUAAAAUCAACAUUCUUUGCCUAUCAAUUUGUGCAUGACUAUUAUUUAGUUAUUCUUCGUAACAUAAUUGAAAGAAUGUCUAGGUGUACAACAUUUAAGAAUUUUACAUGGCACAAUGAAAAACAUGGUAAUCAAUGUAUGCAAUAAAAUUCUAAUAGUUGAAAAAGAAUUUUCUUGUAAUUUUAUGUUUGUGUAUAGUAAUCAAAGAGAAAAUCAUGAAAAUCUAUAUUAGUUAGACUUUAUAUAUCAAUAGACAAAAAAGAAAGAAAAAAAAAAGAUUAGUUCCUUAACUUAUCCUAAAAUUUUCUAGAUAACAAGGAGUUUUUUAUUUUGGGCUAUAAGGUUUACAACCUGAAAAGUGAAGAUGAUUAAUAUUAGUAAUAUAAUUUUGAAAUAUAAAAAUUAAUGAAAUAAUGUUCUCUAUAACUAUAAUUGCAACUGCAACUAUUAAUAAAAGAUAAUAAAAGUACUUUAGGCUUUGAAUCCAUGGUUAGGUUUGCAAUUUUUUGAUGAUCAAUAAAGCUACAACUUAUGCUGCAAAAGGCUAUACAAAAUGUAUUAGGAGCAUUGCUAAGCUCAUUUAUCAAUAAAAGAAAUCCAGUAAUACUUUGAUUGGAAAAAACCUAGAAUCAUGUUUGAUAUAUUAAUAGGUGAAGAAACAAAAUAACAAUUCCAUGGUAUUAGUUAGUUUGAUAUCUCUUUUGUUAUAUGGAAUAAUUAUUCCAUUUUAAAAUAAUUAUUUCAUCUUAUCGCUAGAACAAAAAAUUUCAGGCGGUUAUAUGGGCUUUUGGGUUUCUUAAGAAUUUAAGCAUUUAUGGGUCACCCAUAUAUAUAUAGGAAGAAUAAAAAAAAUAUUCUAUGGAGACAAGGGUAGACACCCAUAAAUGUACAUAUAAUUAUUUAAAUAAAAAUAUCAAUAAGAAACAAUAUACAACAAAAUAGAAAAUUUUAAUCUUCUUAAAUUUUUUAAAAUAAAAACUAAAUGAAAAAAAAAUUAAGAAGUAAAAAUAAUAAUAAAAAGGUCAAGAAUACAAAUAGAGAAGUAAACAAAAUACAAAAAAAUACAUAAAUUAAAAUUAAAAUUUUUAAAAAAAUACAUAGAUUAAUAUGAACACCAAAUGAGGUUUUUUGAGAUAGACUUAGUUAGACUUGAAUUAGAUGGAUAUUAAAAAAAAUUAAAAAAAAAAAUCAAAGAAAUAAAAACUAAUUAGAUGCUAAAUAUUGGAUUAAAAUAACCAAAUGAAUAAAGAGUAAUUAUUAAUUUUUAACAUUUUUUAUUCCCUGGAAUUAUUAUUUUGUGUAUUAAAUGUAUUCUGAGUGUAGUGGUAUAAAAAAUGUAGUUAAGAAUACUAUGAAGAAUAAUAAUAGUGAUGAUAACGGUGACGGCACUUAAUACCUUUUAUUGUACAUUUAGAAAAAAAUGAGGUUCUUGAUCUUUAUGGAGAUUAUCAUUACUCAUCCGCAAGCAUGUUGAUAGUUGAAACUACUUAAUUAUCAAAAAUUGAAUUUCUAACCUUCAAUUUUUCUCUCUCAAAUGUAUAUGUGGGUGAGAAAGCACUAGGAAGAUUAUAAGGUCUCACAUGUAUAUGAGUCAUAGGAUAAAAAAUAUAGAGACAAUACUAGCAUUUAUUUGAUCUAGUGGCAAAUAGAGAAAUAUAACAUAACCAUAACCAUAAUGUUCUAACCUUAUAUAUACCAGAACCAUGUUUCCUUCAUUCAAUUUUGCAACUUUUUCUUUUCAAAUUAGAAUGUAACUCGUAGGAUCCAUUGCCCAUCAAAAUUUUGAAUCAAAUAUUAUAAGAUAUUUCACAUUUCUACCUACUAAAGCAUGAGCUUCAAUGUUCUCAUGCACUUUUGGCUACUAAGUUAAAGAAAUCUUUGAGGAUUAAUGGAGUUUCUAUGAGUAGCAAAGCAUUAUAAUCACAAAGUCUUAUCAGUGAUAUGCAAUUUGACCAAGAACUUAUUCCCGACUAUUUUAUGACUUUUAUGACUUUUCUUGGCUACUUGUAGGCAAGCUAAAGAAAUUUUCUGGUUUGUUCAAGUCUAAAAAGUGGUUUCAAGUUUAGGGCCAAGCUUGGGCUGCACCUAGGUCCUUGGGCCUUGUUCAGCUCCACGUUUAAACCAACCUUGAGUCCAUCUUUGUAAUUUUUCUCCCAAUUCAUUGAUUAAUAUUAGGAUUUUAUAGAGCCUAUAAAUUGACCAACUAAAUAAAGUAGGUUCAUAAACUUUUAGGUGAAAAUUUUCUCUCUAAUAAAUGUUAAUUCAAGAGUCUCUGUAAUAUUUUUAUAUUCAUAUUAAUUGGUAUUUAAACCGGCCUUACUAUAUUAAAUUCAAAUACCAAAUAGUGAAUACUAUAUCUGCUACUACCACUAUGAUGGUCAUAAACAUAGAAUGCUCCUUUUUUUAGAGUCAAUUGAUGCUUAUAAACAACUUUGUUUGAAAAUAAAAUACAUCGAGUGAUUGCAUCAAGAGAUUGAUGUAAUAAUUGCAUACUUGAUCUUGAUAAUGCUAAUAUGAGUUGACUAAAUAAAUGAGUAUUUACUUAUAAGGUAGCCCAUAGAACAUUAUUUGUGGAAAUAUUCAUGCACCUCUACAUAUGUUCGUGAUAACUUAGGUUGAUAAAUUUAAGAAGAACAAAUUCAUAACCUUGGGCAUAGUUAGUAAGAAAUUUCACCAAUAGAGUUUGGUAUCAUGAUUCUAAUUGUUCAAAUUGUUUUAAAGGAGUAUUUUAAAUUGCAUGUUAAUUUGCUUCUAAUAAAUGGAGAGAAACCAAUUCAAGAAGAGAAUUGUACUCAAGCUAUGUAUAGCAUUCAUGAAGAUGUAGAAAAUAUUGAUGAACUUACUUUUGAGCAAGUUGAAAUCAUAAUUAAAUAAAAGAACAAACCCAAGGGUUAAGAUUGUCAAGUAAAACUUUAACUAAAAUUUAUUGAUUUUUUAAAUGCCUAUUAGAGGGACAAUAGAAGUUCUAGAUAGAAAGUAAGAACUUUUCUAAGGAAUCACUUGUUAGAUUUUAAGUGAUCAAUAAAUAUAAUGUCCAAUUUAAAACUUUUAUAAAAGCAAUACUUCUAAAGAAUAACUUGAUUUGAAUUUAAAGUUAUUAUUGAUAUUUGUUUAUAAUGGAUGUAGUUAAUCAACUGAACAUAGUAAAAAACACAUAAAUUUUUCAAAAUACCUUCUAGUUGUUGGGUAUAUUUAAGUAGUCAUCCAUAUCUCAUUAUCUUUUCACUCACAUACUAAUCUCCUUAUUGAGUAUUUACCAAUUACAAGUAGGUUGAAAGUUACUUGAAUUUAAGUCACUAAUCAAUGUUAACUUGAUAACAAAUAAGUCUCUCUUUGAAACUUGUUUUACAAGAUAGCGAAAUGUAGUUGAUCAAUCAUCAAAACAAUGUUUAAGCAUUAGGAUUUAGUUGUUAAUUUUUAUUUUUUAUUUUUUGUGCUUAAACAAAGACAAAAAUGAUAAAAACUCCUUAAAAGUACAUAGUAAUUGAAUUUAAUUUAUACAUCAAACAAGAACAAACUAGUCUUGGAUUUAAAAUUCAUCAGGUUUUGUAAUUAUAAUUCCUAAAAAUUUGUAAGGCAACAAAAUUAUUGGACACUAGGUUAUUGGGUGUGUAUGACUAAGAGGUGAAGGAGGGUUCAUCUUAUACAAAGGAUGAUUUGAUUAAUUUUAAAGAUUGGAUAAACAAUAAUUGCAUAUUCAAGUAAAAAUAACAUUGCUAAAAAGGAAAAUAAGUAUUUUAGUCCUCAAACCUAAAAUGGCUAAAAAAAUUUAAUUAAUACAAUACAACUUCACCUACAAAAGAAAAAAAAAACCCAAAACUUUUCAAUAGCACAACUAAGUCCAUUUAUCAAAAGCUCUAUGAACAACAACAACUAUCAAAUCACAUAAAUCAUGUUGUUUUCAAAGUGCCCUCGAUGUUUUAAAACUUAAGAUAUUACAUAAAAAUCAACCAAUAGUGUAUGACAUUAUAAAAAACAUAUCCAAAUCCAUUGUCGAACUUAAACUAAAUUCAACUUUAUAUGCAUAGUCGCAAGUGCGUCUUUUUGUCCUUCAAUUUGGGUCAAAUUCAGAUGUUAGUUUUUUACACGACAAGGGAUUAUCAAGAUGAUAAUUCAUGCAUAUAAAUAGUAUUACUAAUAUAAAAAAAGAUGGUAAAUGCAAUUUUUUUGUAUUCACUCACCAUUUGGCAUAUCAAUAAGAAAAAAAUAUAUAAUAGGUGUUAUCAAUAAUAUUACUCAUCACUAGAAAGUAUAAUUUUUCAUUUUUUGUCACUAUUUGUGCACUUUGGAAAGCUUGCUAGGUACAACAAAUUAGCUCAAUGAAGAAAUUGAUCAAUUCCUUCAUUUCUAAAUAAAUUUGCAUAUACACUAGAAUAAAAACAACUUUUUAACUUAACAAGUUGACUGAGUCUCAGAACUUAGUAGGUUGAAGACAUAAACUUCCAUCCAAACUCAUUUACUAGCACCACAUGUUGGAAAAAUAAAUAAAAAUCAAAACACCUGAGUAUAGUUGCAAACCAAUCUAAAUAUAGAGUGAAAUCUACCUUUCUUUGAAAGUUUAAAACAAAUUUUUAUUUUUAUGGUAAGACUAUGCAGUACUUAUCCCUCUCUUACAAGUCUAUAAUCAGUCCAAAGCAUGGGAUCUUGCAUAAAUUCUUGAACUCAAUUAGCCUUUAAUCGAUGCCUUUCAAGUAAAUGUAAAACCUGGUGUACUUGUUCUUGAUUCACAUCCUUGUCACUAUUAUCAUUACUUGUUCUUGAAUAUAGAACCUUAUUGUCUAUUAACAAGCAGACCUAUGUUCCUCCAUGAUUCAAGAGUAUUAUGUUUUGUUCAUCAUUAGUUGGUCUUGCUCUAAAGCUUCUUUUUUAUGACUAUCAAUAACCAAACUUAGAUACCAAAAUUUAUGCAAGAGAGCAUGUACUUUAUACAGUCAAGAACUUGUGAGUUUAGAUUUUGUUAUCUAGGUAAAAGAAUAAAUUGGUUUGUUAAAAUAGCUAGCAUUAGGUAUCUAUUCAAUUCCUAUCUUAGACAAUAAAGAUAGAAGUGAUCAAAUACAUUCUUAUUAAGAAACAUUUGAUACCAAAAGUGAUGUAAGACAACAUAGUUCCUCUAUUCAAUCAAGUUUAAGGCUUAGAUGAACCUAUGAAUUUAUAUUAAUUAAUUGGGAAAGAGAAUAAAUAGGCUAAGUAGAAGUGAUAGGAUUGUAAUAGCAUUAAGUUAAUGAUCUUGUUUAGGUCUUCUACUAAAUUAGAGAAGAAACAAACAAAAGUAAUCAAACGUGUUAGUGAUAAUUAUAUCUACUUAACAUUGAGACAAUAGUUGUACUAAUGGUAAUUAUAUUAUUUCUUGAGAGUUUAAACAAUAUAUAUUGAAAAUAUUUUUAAAGGUUUAGCAACUACCAAGGUUAUGAUCAACUACGAGCUUUUUAUUUUUAAAAAUAUGAAAUAUUAAUAUCUUUACUUUUUUUUAUCUUCUUGUAGGUUUUAAAAGUUUGCCUGAGCUGAAAAAGCUGGAAAUCUUAAACCUUCGUUAUAAUUGGUUCAACAAGACCAUUAUAAAACAGUUGAGUGGACUCACAUCCCUUAAAACACUAGUUGUAAGCAACAACCAUAUUGAGGGAUUUUUUCCUUCCCAAGGUAUUGCUUAUUCUUUUAAUAUCCUUAGUAACCACUCUACCAUGAUUUUUUUUUUUCAAUUUUUUUUUCUUACUUGAACCAUCUUAUAGAAUUAUCUAUUUUUGGAAACUUGAUGACACUGGAUUUAAGCUGGAAUAGAUUCAAUGGCUCCCUAUCAAUCCAAGGUAAAUUCUAAUCAGAAUUAUCAUUAUAUUUAGGGCAUAUAAUAAAUUAAUUAAAUUAUUUUAUCUAUUAUCAUUACUUGGUUAUUUGGAUUUUCUUGAUAUUGUUUAGCAUUUUACAUAGAAAAAUGAAAUGGAAAAAAUCAACUCAUGGUUAGUGUUUAAGCAUUGGGCUAGAAGUAUAUUUGUCUUCCCAAUUUAAUCAAAGAGAAAAGUUAUAAAUAACAUAAUUUAACUUAUACCUUAUAUUGAUUGAAGAGGUUAGACUACUUUUGGAUUUAAUGGUCAAUAUUUUUUGAAGAUAGGGUUUCCUAAAUUUGAUCAAAAGAACUUCAAUUUAAAUUACCAUAACUACAUAAAGUUGUGACUAGCAUAAUUAAACUCUUUUAUUAAUAGAUGUUCAUAGACUAGUAUUAUAAUCCCACACACACAGAUAAUCAAAUUUUGAAAUUAGACUUCAAAUAACUAUGCAAUAUACGAAACUACAAAAUGAAUGGUAGGUCAUAAUUAAUUAAAUUCGUACUAUAUUCAAUGUUGGUCAACACGUGUCAAGUAAAAGUUUUAGCCUAAGUGUAAGGGCUCACUUGCUCCUAUAUAGAUGUUAUUCACUUUGGGUCAAGGCCUACUUUAAAAUAUCUCUAUACAUUUAUGAGAAGUCUACUUUAAAAUAACCUAUUCUCCGGAAAUCUUUCUUCCCCUCUGUUACCUAAUCUCACAUCCUUGGAGUACAUCGAUCUCAGUUACAAUCAUUUUGAGGGUUCAUUCUCUUUCGGCUCUUUUGCUAAUCACUCCAACUUUCAAGUGGUCAAACUUGGAAGGAAUAACAACAAAUUUGAGGUAGAAACUGAAUAUCCAGUUGGUUGGGUUCCCCUAUUUCAGUUGAAAGCUCUUAUGCUAUCCAACUGUAAGCUCAUCGGUGACCUUCCUGGUUUUCUUCGACACCAAUUAAGAUUAACCGUGGUUGAUCUCUCCCAUAAUAACUUGAUUGGAAGUUUCCCCAUUUGGCUACUUGAAAACAAUACAAGACUAGGAUCUCUAGUUCUGAGGAAUAACUCUUUAAUGGGUCAACUACUUCCCCUGAGACCUAAUAGUCGUAUCACUUUAUUGGAUAUCUCAGACAACCGACUUGAUGGGGAACUUCAACAAAAUGUGGCCAAUAUGAUUCCAAAUAUUGAGUUUCUAAAUUUAUCCAGCAAUCCUCCCCUUCAUUUCAUCCAUAUUUGGAUCUACCUUUAAAUCUCUAUUGCAUACAACCCAUAUAUGAUUCCCUCUAAAUUUAGCCUUCAUUUCUUGUUAAGAGGUUUUAAAAGCCAGCAAUUUAAUUUACUUUCAUCCUCUAGAUAGAUGAGAACUCUUAUAUUUAUCCAAUGAUAGGUAACAUUUUUGCAAAUUCUUUUAUUUGAUUUUUUUAAUUGGUCUUAAAAAUAAGUGUUAAUAAAGAUCCACAAUAUAAAAUAAUAAAUUAUAUCUCAAUUGACCUCAAGAUACUAUUUACUUCUACUAACUCAUUUUACAUCUCAAUUGUUCUUAAAAAGUCUAUAAUGGUAAUUAACUAUAGAAUUCAAGUUUUAAUUAUGCAAAAAAUAUAUAAAGGUUUUUAAAAUUAAUAGAAAAAGAGAUUCUGAUAAAUAAUAAGUAGAUCGAAACAUUUACUUCUAGAAGUAGAGAAAGAUGGAGGAUCAUAAAAGUUGAAAAAAGAAUAAUUUGGAAGUCAUAAAAUUUUGGAAAAAGAAUAAUACAUAGAGACCUCAUUAACAACAAGUAACAACUAAUUGUAAGUAACCAUGAAAAAAGUAAGGAGAAAAAUAAAGGAAAAUCAAGGAAAGUGGCAAAUUUUUUCAUCCCCAUAAAAAAUGCUAAGGAAGAAAAAGGUGAAGAAAGUUUAAAGAAAGUAUAUUUUUCAAAAAUUGAAUUUUCUUUCCCUUAAAGUUGGUAUGGACAACCAAACAAGAAAAUGAUUUUUAAAUUCUUUUUUGACCUUUUUCUAUCAUUUUUUUUUUCCUUACUCUAUUUCCUUUCCCUCAAACUUUCUAGGUAGUAAACAUUACCUAAGAUAAAUAAGGAAGAAAAUAUUUUAUCAUUUAUUUAUUUAGUAUUUUUCUUACCUUUUUUUGUAUUUUAUCCAAAUAUAAGAAAACUAUUUUUCUUUAUUUUUUUUAUUUUCCUUGUUGCUUUUCAAGAAUCAAGCAUACUUUAAACUCUAAUUAAGAGUUUUAUCUCUAGACUAUAAUACUAAAUCACUUAAAAAAAACUCCUAACAUCGUUUAUGUUCAUCUUUCUUUUUAAGGAUUUGAAAAACCCAAUAAUUUGGAGAAAACUGAUUCUAGGAAGAAUAAUUUUUAGAAUAAAAGAUUAUUAUUUAAGAAGAUCAUAAAUAUUAUAGUCAUUGUUGAAUAUGAUAAAUGAUUAAAAAAAAAAGGUAGUUGGAAAUUUAGAUACUUUUAUAAGACAAAUGCAUUUUUCUAGUAUGGUAUGAAAAAAGGUAAAAUGAUAGGCUUUGAUCAUUUUUUAAGGUAGUUUGUUUAAAUCAUUUUAAUUUAUUUUGAUUUAAGAACAAUAACUUUUAUUACACUGGUUAUUUUGAUUUUCUUUUGAUAGAUUUUGCAAGCUUAAGCAAUUUGGAGGUAUUGGAUUUGAGUGAUAAUUCAUUUAGUGGGAUCCUUCCAUCGUCUAUAAGAUUGUUGUCUUCUCUCAAGUCUUUAUAUCUGGCUGGAAAUCACCUCAAUGGUUCCUUACCAAAUCAAGGUACAUAUAUUGUGAUUACAGGCUUUUUUGUUUUCUUUUUUAAUAUCUUGUUUGUUCUUUAUGCCAAUUAAGUCAUACAUGUCUAUUAAUUUUUGGUAUGCAAUGAAAAACUUUAUUUUUAAUUCAUAAAGACCUCAUCAAUCGUAAGUAACAACUAAUUGUAAGUUUGGGGGCAUUGACAAGACGAGGAGAUGAUUGGUUACAUGUCUUAUCCUCUUUUGUAGGCUUCUGCCAAUUCAAUAAGUUUCAAGAGUUAGAUCUUUCUUACAACUUAUUCCAAGGGAUCCUUCCUCCAUGUUUGAAUAAUUUCACAUCUCUGAGGUUAUUGGAUCUCUCUUCCAACCUAUUCUCCGGAAAUCUUUCUUCCCCUUUGUUACCUAAUCUCACAUCCCUGGAGUACAUCGAUCUCAGUUACAAUCAGUUUGAGGGUUCAUUCUCUUUCAGCUCUUUUGCUAAUUACUCCAAGCUUCAAGUGGUCAUACUUGGAAGGGAUAACAACAAAUUUGAGGUACAAACUGAAUAUCCAGUUGGUUGGGUUCCCCUGUUUCUAUUGAAAGCUCUUGUCCUAUCCAACUGUAAGCUCAUCGGUGAUCCUGGUUUCCUUCGACACCAAUUAAGAUUAACCGUGGUUGAUCUCUCCCAUAAUAAUUAGACUGGAAGUUUCCCCAUUUGGCUGCUUGAUAACAAUACAAGACUAGGAUCUCUAGUUCUGAGGAAUAACUCUUUAAUGGGUCAACUACUUCCCCUGAGACCUAAUAGUCGUAUCACUUUAUUGGAUAUCUCAGACAACCGAGUUCAUGGGGAACUUCAACAAAAUGUGGCCAACAUGAUUCCAAAUAUUAAGUUUCUAAAUUUAUCCAACAAUGGUUUUGAAGGUAUUCUCCCAUCCUCAAUAGCCGAAAUGAGUUCCUUACCGUCAUUAGAUUUGUCUGCUAAUAGUUUCUCAGCGGAAGUACCAAAACAAUCGCUUGCGGCAAAAUAUUUGUGGCUUCUGAAAUUAUCAAAUUAUAAAUUUCAUGGUGAAAUAUUUUCAAGGGACUUUAACUUGACUCAGUUAGGGUUUUUGCAUUUGGACAAUAAUCAGUUCAGGGGAGCACUGUCAAAUGUAAUCUCCAGAAUCUCUAGGUUGUGGGUGUUGGAUGUGAGCAACAACAUGUCAGGUGAAAUUCCAAGCUGGAUAGGUAACAUGACCGAUUUGACUACAUUGGUGUUGGACAACAAUAGUUUUAAAGACAAAUUACCACUUGAGAUUUCUCAAUUGUCGGGGAUGAUAUUUCUUGACGUUUCUCAAAACGCUCAAGAGCAUGGAGUAUUUAGAGCAUCUACAUUUGCAAAGGAACAUGUUUACAAGAUUGAUACCCAGAGAUUUUCUCAAUUCCUCAUAUCUAUUGACUUCGGAUAUCAGAGACAACAGGUUAUUUGGAAGUAUUUCCAAUUCAAUCUCUAGACUUUUAGAGCUAAGAGGAAACCUUUUAAGUGGUUUCAUUCCAUAUCGGCUUUGUCAUUUGACUAAAAUAAGCUUCAUGGAUCUUUCAAACAACAAUUUUUCUGGGUCAAUUCCCGGAUGCUUUGGUCAUAUCGGAUUUGGAGAUUUCAAAACUGAGCACAAUGUGUAUAUACCGAUGUUGGAUUCAUAUUCAGAAAGCAAUCCUUCUAUAUAUACGGGUUACUUAAUAAAAUAUUUAUUUUUCUCUAGUGAACUCCCUGAUGAAGUAGAUGAAGUUGAGUUUGUUACCAAGAAUAGGUAUAGCUCCUACAGAGUAGAUAAAAAUAUUUGUUGGGAAUUUAGAUAUUUUUAUAGGACAAUAUACAAGUAUUCUAAUUUAUAAAAACAAUGCAUUUCUUUAGUUUGGUAUAAAAAAAAUGAAACGAUAGGUAUUGGUAAUUUUUUUUGAAGUAACAAACGUUUUAUUUUAUUUGUAUUUAAGAACAAUGUUUUUUCUUAUACUAGUUAUUUUAAUUUUCUUUUGACAGAUUUUGCAAGCUUAAGCAAUUUGGAAAUGCUAGAUUUGAGUUAUAAUUCCUUAAGUGGGAUUAUUCCAUUAUCUAUAAGAUUGAUGCCUCAUCUCAAGUCUUUAUCACUGGCCGGAAAUCACCUCAAUGGUUCUUUACAAAAUCAAGGUACAUAUGUUAUGAUUUGUUUGUUUCAUAUAGAUUAGAGAAGAUAAAUAUUGUAAAAAAAAAAAAAGUUGUAGUUAAUGUAAGCUUGAAAUAAGUAUCUUGCCUUAUAAAUUAUAUAAGCAUGUGUUUGUUCUUAAUGAAUCUUUACAACAUUUAGAGUUACCAAUGCUUCUAAUUCAUAAAGACCUCAUUAAGAGUGAGUAACAACUAAUUGUAAGUAAUUGUGGAAAAAGUUAAGGAAAACAAAAUGAGGGAAAAGCAAGUAAUUAGGAAAUUAUUUUGUUCCCAUUAAAAAAUGCUAAGGAAGAAAAAGGUAAAAGAAAGUUAAAAAAAAGUAUAUUUUUCAAAAAUUUAUUUCUCUUUCCUUUAAUUUUGCUAUGGACAACCAAACAAGAAAAUUAUUUUAUAAUUCCUUUUUUAUUUUUUUCAUUCUCUCUCUCUUUUUUUCCCUACUCUAUUUCUUUUCCCUCGAACUUUCUUGGUAGUAAACACAACCUAAUAUAAAUGGGGAAGAAAAUUUUCAGUUUUUUAUUUUUUUUUUUAAUUUUUUUAGAAUGUUUUCUUACUUUUUUGUAUUUUAUGCAAAUAUAGGAAAAUUAUUUUUUUUUUUCUUGCUCCUUUUCAAACAUGAAUCACACUUUAAAAGAAAAUUAAUUUUUAAUUAGGAGUUAAGAUAAAUUUAAGGAGAAACAAUGAAUCACGAAAAACAAAAAAUUAAGGAAAUUGAAUUUUUGGAAGGAAGUAUAAUCAAAUUGCUUCAUUUGAUACAAAAUUUGAAUAAAAAUUCUUUCAAUGAAAAUUCAAGGAAAGGAAAAAACAUUUUUGUCUCUAGAUUAUAAUACUAAAUCAUGUAAAAAAUCUCUUAAUAUCAUUUAUAUUCAUAUUUCUUUUUGUAGAUUUGAAAAUUUCAACAAUUUGGAAUAAACUUAUUCAAUGAAGAAUAAUUUUUAGAUUUAAAGAUUAUUAUUUAAGAUCAUAAAUAUUACCAUCAUUGUUGAUGUCUAAGAAGAUCAUAUUCAACAAUUUUUUUAAUAUGUUGUUUUUUAUGGUAAUUAAUUGAUGUCUUGUAAUUUUUAAUAUUUAAUGAAAAACAUUAUUUUAAUUCAUCUAGAGCUCUUAAUUCAUGAAGACCUCAUUAAUGGUGAGUAAUAGCUGGCUGUAAGUUUGGAGUCAAAGACAUGUCAAGGAGAUGAUUAGUUACAUGUCUUAUUCUCUUUUGUAGGUUUCUGCCAAUUGAAUAAGCUUCAAGAGUUAGAUCUUUCUUACAACUUAUUCCAAGGGAUCCUUCCUCCAUGUUUGAAUAAUUUCACAUCUCUGAGGUUAUUGGAUCUCUCUGCCAACCUAUUCUCCGGAAAUCUUUCUUCCCCUUUAUUACCUAAUCUCACAUCCCUGGAGUACAUCGAUCUCAGUUACAAUCAGUUUGAGGGUUCAUUCUCUUUCAGCUCUUUUGCUAAUCACUCCAAGCUUCAAGUGGUCAUACUUGGAAGUGAUAACAACAAAUUUGAGGUAGAAACUGAAUAUCCAGUUGGUUGGGUUCCCCUGUUUCAGUUGAAGGUUCUCUCUCUAUCCAGCUGUAAGCUCACCGGUGACCUUCCUGGUUUUCUUCAAUACCAAUUCAGGUUAGUGAGGGUUGAUCUCUCCCAUAAUAACUUGACAGGAAGUUUCCCCAAUUGGCUGCUUGCAAACAAUACGAGACUAGAAUUUCUAGUCCUGAGGAAUAACUCUUUAAUGGGUCAACUACUUCCCCUGAGACCUACUACCCGUAUCAGUUCAUUAGAUAUCUCACACAAUCAGUUGGAUGGACAACUUCAAGAAAAUGUGGCCCAUAUGAUUCCACAUAUUAUGUCUCUAAAUUUGUCCAACAAUGGUUUUGAAGGUAUUCUCCCAUCCUCGAUAGCUGAAAUGAUUUCCUUAAGGGUGUUGGAUUUGUCUGCCAAUAAUUUCUCAGGAGAAGUACCAAAGCAGUUGCUUGCAACAAAACGUUUGGAGAUUCUAAAAUUAUCAAAUAAUAAAUUUCAUGGUGAAAUAUUUUCGAGGGACUUUAACUUGACUUGGGUGGAAGUUUUGUGUUUGGGCAAUAAUCAGUUCACGGGAACUCUGUCAAAUGUAAUCUCCAAAAACUCUUGGUUAUCGGUGUUGGAUGUGAGCAACAACUACAUGUCAGGUGAAAUUCCAAGCCAGAUAGGUAACAUGACCGAUUUGACUACACUGGUGUUGGGCAACAAUAGUUUUAAAGGCAAAUUACCACCUGAGAUUUCUCAAUUGCAGGGGUUAGAGUUUCUUGACGUUUCUCAAAACGCUCUUUCGGGAUCUCUUCCUUCUUUGAAGAACUUGCUGAAUUUAAAGCAUCUACAUUUGCAAGGGAACAUGUUUACAAGAUUAAUACCCAGAGAUUUUCUCAAUUCCUCAAAUCUAUUGACUUUGGAUAUUAGAGAAAACAGGUUAUUUGGAAGUAUUCCCAAUUCAAUCUCUGCACUUUUGAAGCUAAGGAUUCUUUUGCUGGGAGGAAACCUUUUAAGUGGUUUUAUUCCAAAUCAUCUUUGUCAUUUGACUGAAAUAAGCUUGAUGGAUCUUUCAAACAACUCUUUUUCAGGGCCAAUUCCUAGAUGCUUUGGCCAUAUCCGAUUUGGGGAGAUGAAAAAGGAGGACAACGUGUUUGGACAGUUCAUUGAAUCUUGGUAUGAAAUGAAUCCUCAUCUUGUAUAUGCAGGUUACUUGGUGAAACAUUGGGGGUUCUCAAGUCCAAUAUAUAAAGAAACUGAUGAAGUUGAGUUUGUCACCAAGAACAGGCGUGACUCCUACAAAGGUGGCAUCCUUGAAUUCAUGUCUGGAUUGGAUUUAUCAUGUAACAACUUGACAGGCGAAAUACCUCACGAACUUGGAAUGCUAAGUUCGAUUCAUGCAUUGAACUUGUCUCACAAUCAAUUGAAUGGCUCCAUUCCAAAGAGUUUCUCCAAUCUUUCUCAAAUAGAGAGCUUAGACCUUUCUUAUAAUAAACUGGGUGGAGAAAUUCCUCUAGAGCUAGUUGAACUCAAUUUUUUAGAGGUGUUUAGUGUCGCUUACAACAACAUCUCUGGUAGAGUUCCAAACACCAAAGCACAAUUUGGGACAUUUGAUGAAAGCAACUAUGAAGGUAAUCCUUUCCUUUGUGGGGAACUAUUAAAGAGGAAAUGCAACACAAGUAUUGAGUCACCAUGCGCACCAUCACAAUCUUUUAAAAGUGAGGCCAAAUGGUAUGAUAUCAAUCAUGUUGUUUUCUUUGCAAGUUUUACUACUUCAUAUAUCAUGAUCUUGUUAGGAUUUGUUACCAUGCUUUACAUCAAUCCUUAUUGGCGUCAUAGAUGGUUCAAUUUUAUCGAGGAAUGUAUAUAUUCCUACUAUUAUUUUGCUUCUGAUAGUCUUUCCAAGUUAUCAACAUAUUUGUAUAAUUAGAUGCUUUUAGUUGGAUGAUGUUUGCAUAAUUAACUACUAUUUGUUUCCAGAGGAUAGAAAGAAAUGGGAUGUAUAAUUGCUAUGAGUUGAAACUUAUGUACUUUGCUCAAAUUUCGGCAUCCUUUGCUUUUAUUUUCAAGUUUUGUUAUUUUUUAUUUAUUGUUUAUUUCAAGAUUUAACCAUAUUAUGUUACUCUUAUAAAGACAAAUUCAAAUUUUUAGGAACUUUUAGCAUUAAAAGAAUUUCACAUUCAGAUUUUAGAAAAUAAAGAAGAAAGAAAAUAAUAAAUAAUUGGAAAAACAAUUCAACAAAAUAUUAAAUUAUCAUUUUAAAAUUGUUUGGCAUAGUAUGGGAAUUCUAAAAUAAUUUUUCAAUUUGUUAGAAGCAUUUAUUUAUUUAUUGUAACAAUGAUUGAAAUAUCAAUCACAAAGUAAUGUUUUCUUUUCUUUUUAAGGGCAAUAACACUUUUUCUUUUAUUGUAAUAAUUGAUAAAUGUAUUACACAAUUAUUUGUUUUAAAAAAAAGUUAGGGAUGACACAAUUAAUAAUUGAGGGUAAGUUAGGAAUAUUAAUUAUUUUCACUAGGUAGAUAUUUUGAAGGUUAUUUUUUCCGAAACACAUAUUCUUUGAAAAUAAAAAAUAAAAGUUUUAAAAAAAUAUAAUUUUUUUUAAAUGACGCAUGAUUACAUCAUUCCCCCUAGAUUAUUUGUUCAUUUAAACUUUUGUUUAAAUAAAAUUAGUUUUAAUUAUUUUCUUUUUGGAAUUAUAUUUAACAUUUAUUUAAAAAAAUAAAAAAACAUAGAUAUAAUAUUGUUAAUGAGUUUUCUUUUUAAUAUUUUGUAAAAUAAUUAAAUUUAAAAAUAUUUAAAUUUAAUUAUGGGCUGCCCAUUUCAAAAUAAUAAGAAUCUCAUAAUCUAAUUUUUCCAAAUUCCAGGUUAAUAUGCUAAUCUAAAAAGAAAAUAAUAAGAAUCUCAUAACCUAAUUUUUAUGUGCUGAUUGGGUUUUUUUCCUUUAAUUAAAAAAAAAAAAAAGGAAAAAAACAGAAGUGUGCGAUCCUCUUUCUCGAGUCUUCACAUUUUGAGACACUGAACCCAAAUCAAAAUUAAUCCUCCAAAUUAAUUUUCACCUCCAACCCAAGCCCUAACUGCUGCCCCCGUUUUCGUUUUCUUCUUUCCGAAAACCCUCUGGAAUCGGAAGAUUCAUAAUUCUUCAGAAUUAAUUUUCACCUCGAAGCCAAACCCUAAGUGCCUCAUCUUCCUCUCAUUCAUAUCCCAAAAGUAGCUUCAACAGUCAGGCCUGUAGCCAUGAAAGCCGUAGUGAUCACUACUUCCGGUGAUCCCCAAGUUCUCCAAGUGCAAGAAGUCGAAAACCCUGAAAUUGGAGAUGAUGAAGUUCUAAUUAGAGUGGACGCCGCUGCCAUUAACCGAGCAGAUACGCUUCAGAGGAAGGGCUUGCACCCUUCCUCAAAGGCGGCAGUCCCUACCCGGGUCUCGAAUGUUCUGGAAUCAUCGAAGCUGUUGGAAAAGCCGUCGUUCGAUGGAAGGUUGGCGAUCAGGUAUUUCAAUUGCCUAAUAUUUUGAUUUCGUUUCUGUUCCUGUAUUUUUCUCGGCUAUCAAACACUAGGAACGUGUAAAUAAGGAGGUUAGUUGAUUGCGAAAACGGGAAUUUUUUGUUUGUGUUUGUGUUAAGGAGUCUUUGUUGAGAAUUUUAUGAUUAGUUUGUGAUUUUAUGAUUAAUUUUGUGUAUCAAUAUAGGUUAAUUAUUGAGCUUAUUGGUUUUUCAAAUUUAUGGUUGUAAGAAAAUUGGUCAGUGUAAGGUUAUGGGUUCAUUACCAAUUUGCUUACUGAAAAUUUUUCCAGAUAUUGUGGGCUGGUUUGGUAGCAGAAAUAAGAACUGUGUUUUCUUUUCCAAAACGGAAAUAGAUGCAGAAAACUUGUUUGGUAGCCUACUUUCAGAACUUGUGUCUGAAAAUAUUUCCUGAUAAUGAAUUAUUUCAGAACUUGUUUUUAAAAACUGCAAGCACUUUAUCAAUUUAAAAGGUUCUGAAACUUUUAUGAAAAAACCAUUUUCCAUUCUACUAAGCAAACAGGCUUUAUAUUGUAACGGAUCUAUUGGCCAUCUCCUUUGUCAUGUUUUGUGAAUCAUGGCAAUACUGGAAUCCACUCCAUUACUCUCGAUUAGUGAUUAGGAGAGAAAGCACCGAUUUUAAUGCUAUCCUGUAUGUGAUUUUGCUUCCUCCUGAGUACAAGUUCAUAAUAUACAUGGUACAUGGUACAUGUCUGUAUGACAGUUUGUGGUAUACAGGUGUGUGCUCUUCUUUCUGGUGGAGGGUAUGCUGAAAAAGUGGCUGUUCCAGCUGGGCAAGUUCUUCUUGUCCCAUCUGGUGUUUCUCUGAAGGAUGCUGCCGGUAUUCCCGAGGUUGCAUGUCCUGUUUGGUCAACUGUUUUAAUGAUGAGCUGUCUGUCGGCAGGAGAAACAUUCCAGGUGAAUUUUUGUUUUUUUUUUUUCUGAUGCCUGAUAUAUUUACCAGUACAUAACUUAGCCUGAUGGGGUUGUGCAUAUUCCAAUGGUUUAAAAACGUCCAAUGCACACAAAUUUACACUGUUGGUGUUUAAUAUGUGUGCAUCAAUAUUGGAUUAGGGAGGCAGAAGAGCCAUGGUUUUAAUUAAAGCAUUACAUCAUCAUAUUCUUAUUUAGAUACAUCGUGUCACGAUUUCAUUGCAUCCAAGGCCAUGUUGUUUUUCAUUGUAUGGUUUGUCAUGAUAAUUUCUCAACCCUUCUCUGGAAAAUUAUGUUGGAUGGCUGAUAUUAAUUACCCCAAAAGAAGAAAUUUUAUGUUGAAGUAAGAUGAGUACCACAAAGAGUUACUUUUGGUUGUUCCUAUCAUCAAAUGGGUGAUUGAUGCACAAUCCAAAUGGUAAAAAAAAUUUCCCCCUUUAUCCAGAUGGAAUUUUUAUGCAUGGAUGAAUUGUGAAAUGAGGACUGAUAAUAUUUCAGGUUCAUGGGGGUUCAAUUGGAAUUGGUACGUUUGCUAUUCAAAUAGCGAAAUACCGAGGAGCAAGGGUAUUUGUUACAGCAGGUUUGCCAUCACUAUUCUACCUCAUCUCAUGGCACCAAUUCCUUGUCUUCACAUGUUUUCGACCAUUUUUUACAGCUGAAAACGAGGAAAAAUUAGCUGUUUGUAAGGAUCUUUGAGCAGAUGUGUGCAUCAAUUACAAGACUGAAGACUUUGUUGCUUGGGUGGAGGAAACAGGAGGGAAAGGUAUAUUCUAUUGUAUCCUAACAAUAAUUUCAGUUGAAGAUGGAAUUGCUUUUUAUUUUUUAGUGCACCAAAUCCACUAGUCUGGUAUGUUUGAAAAGAUAAAUAGUCAUCUUCCACUUGAUUCCGAUUGUGAAGAUCUAACUCCAAAAAUGUUGAAUGACAGGUGUUGAUGUUAUACUGGAUAAUAUUGGACGGGCCUACUUUGAGGGAGACAUCGAUAGUUUAAAUGUUGAUGGAACGCUUUUUAUUAUUGGUUUUCAGGGUGGAACAGUUGCAGAAGUAAAUCUUUCAGGUUUACUUGCAAGGUGCCUUACAGUGCAAGGUACCACUUUCUCUAUAGAAGAUUUUUCUGUAGUUUUGGAGUUGAAUCAAUUUGAUUAAUCUCAUCCAAGUUCAGAACUAAGGUGGAUUCUGGCAAGCCAAGGAAAAACCAAAUUACCAUAAAUUCUUUUUUUUUCUGGAUUGUUUUACUUCUUGGAAAUCCUGUUUCUCGAUCUGGUCAGGUAUAUGGAAAUUCCAAGGAAAAUAUGUUUUACAUUUUCCAUAAUUGGAAACACUCAGGAAUUUAAUAUUUUCCUAUGAAAUAGCAAUGGUUUUCUAAUUACAACAUUUGAUUUUCUUGUAUCAUCCCAAAGUAUUUUUUAGGUGUUUGUUCUCUCUUGACACAGCUUUUAAUCGGGUCUGUCUUGCUUUUCGAUAGAUCUCUUGACAAGUUGCUUUUAUAUCAUACUUUCGUUAUUGGUUUUGGAUCAUGCACCUUGCUUUGUCAGCCCUGUUAUCACUACCCAAACUAGUAAAUUAUGCACAAAACUCCAUGUGUCAGUAACUGUGGUUAUUAGGUUGUAUUAAAUAAUUUGUAAAUACGGUGGAUGAGUUUGUACUAAAUGGCAAUUGUUUCUGCAGCGGCAGGUUUGCGAAACAGAAGUCUGGAAAACAAAGCUGUAAUUGUGAGUGAGGCGGAGAAGAAUGUUUGGCCUGCAAUCACAGGCGUACAAGUAUUUUCCAUUGACGGGAGCAGCAGAGGCUCACCAGCUCAUGGAAAGCAGCAAGCAUGUUGGGAAGAUACCGUGCAUUCAAUUAUGUUAUGGUUAUGAAUGAUCUUAUGCCUCAGAGGGAUGACAUGAUUUUAAAACUCUUAAUGAGUAUCUACUAUCUUGAGUUGAUUGUAGUUGAUUGUAGUUUGAGCAUGAAAAUUUGAAGAUCCAGAACAGCAAAUGCAGAAUGCCUAUCAAUUUGAAACCAGCAUGGGUGGAUGAAUGGAGAGGUUCUUCACUGAAUUUGUCCAUGAAGUGGUUUCCAUUAAAUUGCUUGAUUUGAAAAAGGAAAAAAGCAUAUAUUGCUUAUUUGAAGUUAGAACUUAAGUUGCCAGAAUGGUUUAUGCUUAUAGUGCUGAUUUUAAAGUAUGAAACAAAUUGGAACUAACACAAAAAGUAGUUAUAUACCACGAAAGAAAUGAAUAAAUUUCAUCUUAUAUCUCAUAGUUAUAUACCACGAAACAAAUAAUUUAAAAAAAAAAUAACUAAAAUCUAGAAUGAACUUUUUUUUAAUCAAAUCUUAAAACUUCUUUUCUAAAAAGAAAUAAAAUUGAAAACCUUUUAUUGUUUAUUUAUUAGUUUAGGUAAAUAAAGUUGUAAAAAUCAUGUAUUAAUAAAAAUAAUAAAAGGUUAUGACCAAUUUGCUCAUAGUUACAUUUUCUUCUGCAGCAUUCUUAAUGUUUGAUAUUUAUUUAAAAUAAAAAUAUAUUCUAUUUCAAUAUUUGGAAUUUAAAAAAAGAAAUGAAAUCUCUCUCAUAUUUAAUAAGUAAUUUUUCUUUUUGUCAAUAAUAUUCAUAAUUGAAAUGUGUAACAUUUACACAUAAAAAAAGUGAUAUUAUUUCUUUCAAAAAAUAUUUAUUAAGUAAUAUAAAUAUUAGUAUUAUUUUAUCAUGUAAAGGCAGUGGGUAGGACUCAAGAGAUAUAUGCAUGGCAUGUUAGAAUUUUUAACCAAUAUUAUCGAGGCUCAAUGAGUUGGUACCAAUAUUGUCUCCAACAGCAAGAUAGGGUUCCUUCACCUACCAAUUCCAUUGAACCACAUCAAUCCUCAUUUUGGUACUAAAGGGUCAUUGCAAUGUAAUAUGUACAAAUUAUUGAUAUUUAAUGAAAUCAAAUCUUUCAUGAAACUUCAUAAUGAGUGUACAAUUACAAAAUUCACAUUUCUUAUCCACCAACAUGAUAUAAUUACAUUUAAUAUCGCAAAUUAUAUCAUACAUAUAUCAAAAUUUUCAACAAAAUAACUUUAAAUUGUCUAUUAUAUUUCUAAUUACAUUGUUAUGAGGUUUUUCUUACAUUUCCAUGAGUUUUGAUCACCUUUUGGCAUACCGAAAUUUUUUUCCAAAAUAUCCACCGAUAUUUCUCCGAUAUAUCCGUAAAAUCAAGUUACCGAUAUAUUCGUGAUUACCGAUAUUUUCAUCCUUGCUCCUGAGAGACAAAGUCGAGGAUCUUCUCGAGUUAAGUAUAAAAUUUCCUAUAAUAAUUUUAAUGCAAAUGCAGGGAAGAUGAGAGUGUAAGUUGCUAGUUUCAAAUCGAAUAUGAGCAAGAAAAAGUCUUUCUUACCUGUUCAACAACUGACAAUACAUUGGCAUAACAAUUCCCUGGGUCGAAUGUGCCACAAUGCCCUCUUGGAGUUCCAAAGCUUGUUCACAGGUCAAUCGAACUUGAGGGUUUUGGGACAUGAACUUCAAGUUUGUACCAAUAUUGUCUCCAACAGCAAGAUAGGGUUCCUUCACCUACCAAUUCCAUUGAACCACAUCAAUCCUCAUUUUGGUACUAAAGGGUCAUUGCAAUGUAAUAUGUACAAAUUAUUGAUAUUUAAUGAAAUCAAAUCUUUCAUGAAGCUUCAUAAUGAGUGUACAAUUACAAAAUUCACAUUUCUUAUCCACCGACAUGAUAUAAUUACAUUUAAUAUCGCAAAUUAUAUCAUACAUAUAUCAAAUUUUUCAACAAAAUAACUUUAAAUUGUCUAUUAUAUUUCUAAUUACAUUGUUAUGAGGUUUUUCUUACAUUUCCAUGAGUUUUGAUCACCUUUUGGCAUACCGAAAUUUUUUUCCAAAAUAUCCACCGAUAUUUCUCCGAUAUAUCCGUAAAAUCAAGUUACCGAUAUAUUCGUGAUUACCGAUAUUUUCAUCCUUGCUCCUGAGAGACAAAGUCGAGGAUCUUCUCGAGUUAAGUAUAAAAUUUCCUAUAAUAAUUUUAAUGCAAAUGCAGGGAAGAUGAGAGUGUAAGUUGCUAGUUUCAAAUCGAAUAUGAGCAAGAAAAAGUCUUUCUUACCUGUUCAACAACUGACAAAACAUUGGCAUAACAAUUCCCUGGGUCGAAUGUGCCACAAUGCCCUCUUGGAGUUCCAAAGCUUGUUCACAGGUCAAUCGAACUUGAGGGUUUUGGGACAUGAACUCCAAGUUUGGUUGCCAAGAAUCUCCAGGUGGAGGAUCAGCUUCUGACACGUGCGCACACACUUCUUGGCCAGUUUGUGUUAUUGCAAUUUUAAUAAAUUGCAAAAAAAAAAAAAAAAAAAUUAUUGCGAGCAAUUUUUUCUUUUUAAACAAACUGCAAAAAUCCCUUUUUUUUUUUUUUAAACUGAAUGGUUUUUUUUCUCCAACAAAGUGAUUUUUUUUUUUUUUAUAAAACUGCAAGAUUUUAUUUUUUUAUUUUUUUAAAAUAAAAUUGCAAAGUCUUUUUCUUUUAAAAUAAAAAUUGUAGAAUCAUUUUCAAAAAAAAAAAAAAGAAAGAAAAGAAAACCAUGAAAUCAAUUUUUAGAUAAAAAGAGUAAAAAAUUUCAAGUGAAAAACAUAAUGUUCUUAAAGUUGUAAAUACAAUUGAAAAAUUAUUUUUUUCUUAAUAAAAAUAAAGUUGUAAAUAUUUUUUAUUAUUGUAAAAUUGUGAAAAAUCAUUUUUUUAAAAUAACUAAAAUCUAGAAUGCAUUUUUUUAAUCAAAUCUUAAAACUUCUUUUCUAUAAAAAAAUAAAAUUGAAAACUUUUUAUUGUUUAUUUAUUAGUUUAGGUAAAUAAAGUUGUAAAAAUCAUGUAUUAAUAAAAAUAAUAAAAGGUUAUGACCAAUUUGCUCAUAGCUACAUUUUCUUCUGCAGCAUUCUUAAUGUUUGAUAUUUAUUUCAAAUAAAAAUAUAUUCUAUUUCAAUAUUUGGAAUUUAAAAAAAGAACUGAAAUCUCUCUCAUAUUUAAUAAGUAAUUUUUCUUUUUGUCAAUAAUAUUCAUAAUUGAAAUGUGUAACAUUUACACAUAAAAAAAGUGAUAUUAUUUCUUUCAAUAAAUAUUUAUUAAGUAAUAUAAAUAUUAGUAUUAUUUUAUCAUAUAUUUUGUAGUUAUUUUUUAGUUUUUUUAACAACAAAUUUAAUUUUUUAAUCAUUUUUUUUUCAAAAUAAGUAAUAUAAAUUUUUUUUUAAAAAAUUCUCAUAUAUAUAUAUAUAUGAACUUUCAAUUGAAUUUUUUGAAAGUUUGAAAAGUGCCAUAUUUUAAGAAAUAUUUUUUUAAACUGCAAUAUUUAUUUCAAAAUCCCUUGGACUUUUAUGGUUGGAAGAAGCAUCAUAUAUCAACUCCUCUUUAACCAACAUUUACUUCAACCAACUUUGCCAUCCUGCAGAAAAGCUUGAAUGGCUUCUUCUGCUCUCUCUGUAAUUCUGUAGAAUGCGAAUUCUCUCCAAUAUAAUCAUGAAAUAGUGUGUGUCAUACACAAAAUCUACACAAGGGAUGAUUUCAUUAUUUGAAAUAAUAGAAGUAUAUAAACAUGAACUUUAAAGGGAUGAAAUAGGAGUUGGUUAAAGAGAAAGAUCCGCCAAGUCGAAAGUCCUUGAAACAGCUUUGCACCAAGACUCCACCUUCUUAUUCCUCCGUUCCUCGUCUAAUGCAGGAUAAAAUGUGGUAGCAAGCUUCACCUUUUCUCCAGAAUCAAAAAUCUCGUCUUCUGUCCAAAUCCCCACUGCUAAUCCAGCUGCAUAAGCGGCUCCAAGAGCUGUUGUCUCUAUAUCAGCUGGUCUAACCACCGGGUUCCCCAGCAGAUCAGCCUGCAAAUCAUUAGACAGCAAAUUGUCAAAUAAAACAGUUCAAACAAGGACAGUAUGGGAUUAUGGGCAGUCUGAUAUAAGAUACCACAAGCAUGAAGACAGAAUAGGAUUGUACCACAUGAUCACCAGCCAUUGACAUGAACAAAAAUAAAAAGAAGAUAAGUUCAAACUCAUAUCAAUUUGUUAAAACUUCAUAUGGGCCUGAAGUGAUGACAAAAUUGUUGUUUACUUUCAUUUGGGAAAAUGGCUAACAUCAGUUCAAACAAAUGAAAAAAAAAAUGUGGAGGAAAAAAUAGGAAUGCAAAAAAAGUGAUCACACCUUCAAAAACAUAAUUCUUGUUGCAGCUUUUGCUAGAUGUACACAAAAUUAUAGAACAAAAGAUUGGAACGGAGUGGAACAAUUCGAGGAAAUUAGUGCAUUUCAUGAUUAGACGAUACCAAAUCCAGAACCAAAAUCUUACAUUAUUAUCAUGAUUGCAGUAUAGAAGGCUUACAGGUAAUGUAUAGGUUUAAGUUUUGUAAUUCCCAUCAAAAAGGGGAGAAUUGAAACAAGAGAAGUUUAGCAAUGCAGAAAACAGAAACCAUUACUGUUACGUGUUACAGCAACAAAGCAGAUAUUGGAUCAAAGAAUAGCAGAAAAUACGAACCUGAAUUUGCAUCAAAAGAUUGUUAAUGGUUGCACCACCAUCAACUCUAAGCAAGAACUCCCCCUUCUCAUUCUUGACCUCACCCUUCUCCCCUGCAUCCUUGUGCAUUGAAUCUAGGACAUCCUUUACCUGAAAACACAUACUCUCAAGCACAGCUCGAGCAAUGUGAGACUUGUUUGUAAAUCUUGUGAUCCCAAUGCAAACCCCACGUGCAUCAUCACGGCACCAUGGAGCAAACAAUCCAUUGAAUGCUGGCACAAAAUAAACCCCACCCGAAGAAUCAACCAAGGCCGUCUCCGAGCUCCUGCAAUUACAAUAGAGCCCUCUAAAACAUAGUUGGUAUCUGAUGUGGGUUUAUCCCAAUCAAGGGUUUUGAGAUUCACGAGCAUUGUUCCAGAUGCAUUUGAGACAUCAGUGACAUGAACCCCCACCAUUCAAGCCUCCUGUCAUACUCCAGAGAAGCUUCAAUGCACUGAAGUAUGUGCUUACGGGCAAACCACGUUUCCACAAAAUGCUUUCUUCCCUCAGGAAAUUCUUUCUCCAAUUUCCUGUAAAAACAAAAUGUAGACACCAUCCAACUGAUCCCUAACAUGGGUUUGUUUUCACAUUCAUUAUGUGGGACACCCACUCUCUUUGUUUAAUAAUAAUAAUAAUAAUAAUAAUAUAUUGGGCCUUGACUUUGAGAUUGGGCCUUGAGUUUCCUUUGGUCAAGGCCUUGACUGGUGUUGAUAUAUGCCAUUAAAUUAUAUGUGUCUAAUAUAAAAUAUAAAUAUAAGAUCAUUAAAGUAAACAAAUUAUAGAUGUGUAUUAAUUAUACAAGUAAUACAAAUCAUAUUGUAUAAAUUAUAGUUAAAAAUUUUAAUCUCCACCAAACUAAUAGAAUCUCUAUUAUAAUAAUUGGAGUGAACACCAUGUUGGCCCGUGUUAGGCCUGGGCCAGAUUUUAAAGACUAGGCCUUGAGUUCCCCUUGGGCCUAGGCCAGGGCCUUCUCUUUGUAUCAUCAUUUUGAAGAAGCACAUUGGUGUGACGUAAAAAAAAACAAAUAAAAGCAUCAACUAAAGUAAAGGCCAAGAUCCUUGAAAAAUAAUCUUUAAAUUUGUUGCAUAUAUAAUUUCAACAAUGCAUAAAUAAUUACAACAUACGCAAUACAAUAAUAUCACACAACUAUAUUUUCAAAUAUAAAUUGUAGUCGUAUAAAAUAUUUAUACAAGUAAAGAAGAAAUUAUAAGAUUAAAAUGUUUGUCGGAUUCUAGGUAAAGAAGAAAUAAGAUAUAGAGAUUGUCUUAUCAGACAUAUAGAAUUUCAUAUACAUAAUUUUCCCUUAGAAAAUUUAGGGUCAAAUUGAAAAUUUUUCAUUCAUAGAUUUUGGUAAAACCUCUAUCUUGUCCCCCAACUCUUGUAUACAAAAGGAAAUAACAUUAGUAUGAGGGUUUGAAUGCUUAAUUUUAGAUUGAAAGUGCUUGAAAUAAUUUUUGAAUGACUUCACAUGUAUUUUUGAUAAAGUUGGAACAUUCAAACUUUUAUUUGAAGAAUCUUCAAAUUUUCAACUUGAUCUUAAAUAAUGUUGAAACCUUCGAAAUUUGAAUAGUAGAAUCUUCAAACAUUUGAAUUUUGACUUAGAAUUUUGAAAUGUGAGAUUGAAGCAUCUUCAAAUUUGGGCUUGAAGAGUUCUUGAAGCUUGAAUUGUAUCUCCAAUUUUGUUCUUUAUUUAUAGGUUGAAGAAACAUAUUGAGAUUUUGUAAACAUGUUUAGAGUUUUAAACCUUGAAAUAUUACUCUUUUAUUAAAUUAACAUUUAUAAAAUUUCGAAGAACAUAAUUGGAUAAUAUCUUAAGUUAUUUUUAAUGAAAAUUGAUAAUUACCUUUUAAUUAUCAAAUUCACUAUUUCUAUUUAUUUUUGUAAUAUAUCAUAAUUACUAAAAUCAUUUAUUUCCUUUAUUUAGUUCGAAAGCAAAAUUAUAUAUCUUUUGUUUGUAUAGAACUCAUGUCAAUUUAAGAUUCGACCAAUAGAGCCUAUCCGGUCCGAGUUAUCAUCUAAGUCAGAAUGGCUAUCAAACCGCCACUGAACCGAUCAAUCAAUGGUUUAACCACUAAUUGGUCUACCGGACCAUGUUUGGAUCCCUAAAUUUUGUGGCAAAUUGGGCCUCAAGCCCAACAACCUAACCUCCAUGCGGGCUAUCUACUGGAUCUCACGCAUUGUAACUUGAUCCGGGUGAAUGGCCAUUAUAAACUUCAUUUUGUCCUCAUCUGAUUUUGAUGUGGGAAUGGGAGAGAUGAGGAUUUGACAUUUGGACCUAAGGCUCAAAGGGUUUUAACUCCACUAAUGACAAUGGUGCGGGUCUUUUCGGGUACCCACUUCGUCUCGUCCUUAAUGGAACGGGGUUUAAUUUUAAUAAAUGGGUUUAAGAAUUUUUUUUUAAACCCGGGGUGGGUGGGUUCGGGUAUUGCCACCCCGCCUGUCCCGUCCCAAUUAUAUAUAAAAUUUAAUUUUAAAUUAAAAUAAAAUUUAAUUUUAAAAUUAAAAUUAAUUAAUUUUUAUUUUAUUAUUUUUAAUAUAUAGAUAAUAAUAAAUAUUUUUAAUAAAACAAGUUAUAAAAAAUAUAAUAAUUUAAUUAUUUAUAAAAUAUAUUUAUUUUAAUAUAAUUAAAAAUUUUAAAAGUAAUUUAAAAAAAAAUUUUUUUUAAAAGUUAAACAGGAUGGGUAUGAGAAUUUAUCAUACCCAUCCGUCCCGUUUAAUUUUUUAAAUGGAACAGGGAUGGAAAUUGUUUCUAAUAAACAGGGCAGGGUUGGGAUGGGGGCGACUCGUCCCGAACCCGCCCCGUUGCCAUCCCUACACUCAAUUACUUUAUGCCUUGUAUUUAAUAUUGCAAACCAAAAUAAUAAUAGACAUGAUUCGUUUCAAAAUUUUUAUAAUAAUAGAAGUGUAAAUAAUAUAAGUAAAAAUAAUGUAAUAUUUUUAAAAAUUAUAAAAUAAUAGGUUAUAUAAAUUUUAAUAUAUAGGUAAAAUUAAUUAAAUUUUAUUAAAUAUCUUCACAUUUAAACAUUACAUAUCUUUUAUUUAAUAAAAUGUUAAAAUAUUAAUAUAUUUAAAGUUAUAUAAUUAUUUUUUAUUUUAAUAAUAUAUAAAUUGUAUAUUUAUGAUAUUACUGGUUCAACUAUAAUUCAAUUACCGGUUCAACCAUUGAACCAUGAAUUAGUAAAUUAUUAAAACUAUUUUUUGAAUGGAUUAUGUCAAUCUAGAUAAGGGCAAAGAAAUUACCAAUUUGAUAUGACCAAUUGAUAACACAAUUAAAAAAUAAUAUGAAUUUAACAUAUUUGAAUUCAUCAUAAUCAUGUCCAUGACCUAAUUUUACACAUCCUUAAAUCGUGGUUGAUUUAUGUAACAAAACUAUACCGUCAACAGAAAAUAGAUAAAUAAGUAAAAUAAUACAAAAAUAUAUAAAUAUGAAUUAAAAAAGGAAAUAGGAAAUUAGAUCUAACCAAGUGUGGAGAUUAAAAAUAGUUUACCAUCUAGAUAGUCAAGCAUAACAAUUUACCAAACCCUUACCCACCAUCCAUACUAACCAAUUGUAGUUAAAUGUUUACAAAAAUGUACAUUAAAUCAAAGAGAAAAAAAGAUUAAAAACAAACUAGAGAAAAAGUACAUCACCUAAUAUUGGUAAUAAAUAAAAUUAAAAUAAAUUAAUAUUUUUUUAAUUAAAAUAGAAAUUCAACUAAAUGUAACUAUUGUUUUUCUCUCAUAACUCAUCCAAAAUUUCAAUGAAUUUAAACUCCAUAGAUUUGUGUAGAUAUCUUAUUUAAAAAACAAAAGUUUUCACUAAAAUCAUAAAAUUUGGAUAAGAAAUUAUUUACUAUAUUAGUUCAAAAUUCAUGUCCACAAAAAUUGAAAUAAAUUAAUUAUCUUCCAUUCAAAUAAAAUUUCUCCAAUUAAAUUUCCAAACAUGUGCCUUAAUACCUAUAAUGGAAUUAGUAAUUUUAAUUAAAAAUAAAUAAAAAUAAGGAUUUGAUCUUUUUCUUACCAUUUGACAAAACUUAUAAAAUGUAUCAAUUUGCAUCAAAAACAGAAACCUCAAUUUGCAUCAAAAGGUUGUUUAACAAAUGAAGAAGUGGGUUUGAAAUUUGCAAAAAGAGGAGAAAUAGCAUAAGAAAUGAACUGGCUAUGAAUAACGAAUGGAACAAUGAAACAUAAAACGAGAAUACUAAUAAUAUUUUGCAGACAAAAGUAUGAUUGCUUUACAAUUUAAUCUUGCGUAUUUCUUAUUUCUUGGGAGUUCUGUUUGUUGUUUCAUGUGGGUUUUCUUGGGGGAUGAUCCAAUCCAAUCGUGCACUCAAGGAAAGUGUUUUUUUUUUUUCAAAUAUUUAUUUCUUGGAUUGACCAUAUAAACAUGCACCAUCAAUAAUGAUGUCUUUGGUUGACAUGAUUCAUAUCCGAAGAUAUAAAAUUUAUUACUCUUCAUAAGUAACAUAUUUUAGAAAACAUGUUCACACAAGAUGUUAUGGUAUCCACUCUGCCCAACUUCAAAUUUUUACCAUUGAUGGUGAGUAAUUCUUUUCCUUUCUUACAUAUUGGAUGUAACUUAUUUUGAUGGGUCUUAUCUAUCUCAUGAUAACUUCCAACUUCUUCUUUAUAUUCAAAUUUGAGUUGUUCGAAUUCGUAAAAUUUAAGGUAAGUAUGUAAUUAUGGUUACUAAAGCUUUCAUAAUGGGUAUUUCCUAAUUCAGGUUAUACUAUAUUUUAAUUUCAAAUUUUUUGCAUAAGUUUUAAAAUUAUGUUUAUCUCUAAAAUUGGUGUUUUAUCUAAAAAGUUAUUUUUUUUUUGGAAUGUUUUAAAAUUAGUAAAAUCUUUAUAAUUAGAUACUAGAGUUUUAUAAGUAUAAAUAUAAAUAUUUUAUUAAAAAUAAUUGAACUUUCAUGAACCUAAGAGAGUAUACCUAUUGAUCAUAAAAAACUUGAACCUCCGUUUCUCAAACCUUUCAAAAAUCUACCAUGAAAGUACAUUUACUUUAAACAAAGGUGAGAAAUCUCAUCGUAAAAAGUUUGAGGGAUCCUCUAAGGAUUACAAGGGAGUGUUACAUUAAGGUUAUAAAAAAAGAGUGUAGGUGCUGAUAAUAUAAGACCUUAUGGAGUAGGUGCAUCUAGUAAGGUAAAACUGUGUACUAUAAUUGAGUGACUACAUGUGGGUUUUUAAUCCUACUAGGUUGAUAGGUGGUUUUUAUAUGUUACACCCUAUGUUUUGUGUGGAAAUAGUUUUGUUUAUUUGUACAUGAGAUUGUUACUUUCACUAAAUAAUUAAUAUAGAUGGAUAAAGCAAAAGUAGGUAAUAAAGAAUUUAAUUUGAAAAAUAAUAUAGAGAUCACCUAUGUAUGUAGGGUAUACAUAUAUUAUGUAUCAUAAAUUUAUUUUUUAUAUUAUUUAUUUUUCAAAAUAAAAAAUGAUUAAAAAAUUAAAUUCGUGGUUAAAAUAAAAGAACUAAAAAAUAUUUAUAAGAUAUAUUGUAAAAUAAUGCCACUAUAUGUAUUAUUUAAUAUAAGGGUGCAACUUGGAAGGGUUGGUCCGACCCAACCCAAACCUAAUCCAAUGUUUGGAUGGGUUUGGGCAAACAUUUUCAAUACUUGGGUUGCACUUGACUCAAGUUCUCUAAACCCGAGUUCAAUUUGGGUUGGGUUUGGCCCAGGUUUGAACAACCUAAGUCUAACCUGAACCUGAUUUAACAUUUUUAUAGUGUUUAUAUCCUUUGAAAUAAUAUUCAUUUUCAUUUUAGAUUCUAAAGAAAAAAUAAAAAUUAUAAUUAUAUCAUAUACCUUUUUUUUUAAGAGAGAUACAUAAGUUUACUUUUAUUUUUUUUAUUGUUAUUUUGAAAAUUUGUAUUAUUUACUAUUUAUAUUUUGGUAUAAAUAUAUAUAAUUUUUUUUUAUAAAUAAUAUGGAUAGAUUUUGAAUCAUGCAACCUAAUCAUCCCAAUUAACCUAAGUUUAACAUGUUUAGCACAAUCAACCUGAGUUUAACAACCCAACUUUAACUUGACUAACCCAAUUCGCUUAGAAAAAUGACGUUGGGUUGAGUACCUUGAGUUAGAGAUCGGGUUGAAUUGAGUUUGGGUUGAUUGUUUUUUAAUUUGGGUUAGGAUCGAGUUAGCCAUUAACCCAACUAACCGGCCUAAGUUGUAACCCUAAUUUAAUAUAUAUUAAAUUAUUGUUAUAUAUUGAAUAACAUAAUAUAGAAAAAAUGAUUUAUAAAUUUUAAAUCUUUUAGUCUUAAAUAUUGUUAAACAAAAGAAAAUUUCCAUUUUUUUAAUAGUGAAUAUUGGAAUGCAAUAUAAUUUUUAUUUUAAACAAAUAUUGAACAUUGGAAAAAAUAUAUAUUCCAUUUCAUUUUUUUAUUCAUUUUACAAACUAAAUAUUAACAUAACAUAGCAUAUUUUAUUAUGUAUACUACCUCAGAAUAUCAUAUCCAUUAGAUAUAAUAUACAAAGAUAUCACAUCCCUUUAGAAAAAAUAGUCUUGGAUAUAUUGUGGACCCGAAUUUUUUUGCAUGUGUUCCCAUUCAAUGGCAAAACUCAUUUUUUAUUUGAAAAACUACUUUUUGAAAAUUAUUUUUAGAAUCACCACUUAUUUUUGUUUUAUUUUUAAAGAAAAAAACAAAAUAAAAAAGAAAAAUCGUAAGUGUGACUCCUAAAAAGGAAAAACAGGUUUGAAAAAAUCGAGUUGGGGUUUAAAGGUCAGGUUACUUAUUGAAAAUGUACAGUAGUAAGUCAUAGUAGUUUCCCUCUAAGCCCUAAAAAUUAGGUUUCUACUAAUUGGCUAAGGCAAGUGUAGCAAUUGAUUGAUUAAUGGUGGAUACCAAAGAUUGGGAUAUAGAAUAAAGCAAAGUAUGCACAAGAAUGAAUAAACAAGCAAUAUGGAGAUGAGAGCAUACCUGAGUGACAAACAAGAGCGCUUACAUGGAAACAGGGUUAGUGCACAAGUAUAGAGUAAUCACAUGUAAAUCACAAAAUAGAUCAAAGUCAAUUAAUAUUUAAUCACAAAUGUUGGGCCCCACCAAAACCCAAUUUAUUUACAUGAAUUAAUUCUAAAGAAAAUAUGAAAAUGCAUGGCGGAAGAUCAAUUUGGCAGCAAAAAUUUAUUGAAAUCAACAUUUUAUUGCUUAAGGAAAAUCUAAGGAUGGAUCUUUGAAAGUUGGGAUUAUUCAGUUGAAAACAGGUUUGGGUAUCUAAUUCAAAAAUUGUAAGUUACGAAAAAGAAGCCUCCGGAGGAGGAGAGUGUGCACCAAGGUGGCCAUGCACACAUGGGGCCCGGGAGGAAAAAGUGGAAAGAGUCUUGGGCAAUAAUCCUAUGAAGAUAUUCAUCACUUACCACAAAUUUCUGCCCUUGUUACUUUCCGGAGUCGGACCCAUUUUAUGCAUUCCCAGAAGUUGACUCUGCUGCAACUGUACUUGGUUGGGCCGACCAUCAUUUCUACCAUUGAAAACACCACCAACUUCAUAUUUCCCAUUUUUCUACCUGCUACCAAUUCACUCCUCUCUUUGGGAAGAUUUUUUAGGUUAUCGUCAUGAUUGAGAUAAUCUAGAAAGUUGAGCGGCAUCACUCACUGAAAGGUGGCUUAUAGCAUGGGUAAUGGGAUACAUCUGAUAGGUUGUCAUAUCCAUAAACCACCAUAUUAAACCAUGGUUCAUAUCCCCAACACCAAACGAGAAUCUGUACUCAUCCCAAACAACUUGGAGAUCAUAAAAUCAGGUUUUGAGGACCUCCCAAGACAUGCACAGCUUCACCCUUUGUGCAUUCCUUUGAUUUGGAAAAUUUCUUCUGCAGAAUUCCUCAUUAUCAUGCCUUGAACCAAGACAUAUCAUGAUUGGAUGGGCCUUGUAGAAAGCCAAGAAUUGCUCGGUCACCUUACUAAUGAAGAUCCUGUUCCAUCUCAAUACACCAUACCGGAUUCCAGUAAUCCCCCAACUGCAGAAACUUCUACACCAAGAAUAACCGAAGCAUACAUCGCAUGGCGAAAAGUCGAUCGUCUUCUUCGAGGGUAGAUAAUUGGAAUACUCUCUGAAGAAACACUUAGCCUCGUCAUGGGCUUAAAUACAACAAAUGCCGUAUGGGAAGCAUUGAAAAAUGCCUACGCUGAAGAUUCACAAGAACGAGAAUUCACACUCAGGCAACAAGUAACAUAUCUUCGAAAAGAAGAUGACAAAACAAUUGGAGAACAUAUUCGAACCUUCAAAAGCCUAUGCGACAGUCUUGCGGCAAUUGGGAAACCAAUCCCAGACAAAGAAAAUGUAUUUUAUCUUCUUACUAGUCUUGGUCCUCAAUAUGAAACUUUUACUACUACCAUGCUCAAACCACCAAGACCAUCAUACUCUGAGCUUGUCUCACAACUUCAAAGCCUUGAUCAAAGACGAAAUUGGUUCUUAAACCAUGCAAAUGCCACCCAUGCACUCACCCCUCAAAUGGCCUUCUACGGACAACAACAACAAAGAUAUCCAUAAUCCUCCACAAGAUAUCGAGGCAACAAACAAAAAUUCCCUUCAACAGGAAGAGGAUUUCAGGCACAACAAUCAAAGGACCAAAAUCGUGACUACUCCCUUAGCCCAAGUCCAACACUAAACAAAGAUGAUCCUUCCCCACUUGGAGAGCGACGUAUGACACCUACUGAAAGAGACCUCUAUCGUGAAGAAAAAUGUCAAUACUGUGGCAUGGUAGGACAUAUUGCAAAAAUAUGUUGGUGAGUGCCCAAAAGGCCAACACAACAAGAUGACAUACCACAAGCACUGGCAACACUUACCUUGGAUAACACAAUUGCUGAAAUGGAAUGGACUUUAGACACAAGAGCCUCAAAUCACAUGAUAGGUAAGCAAGGUAUGUUAACUAAUAUUCAAAAUUAUUCUGGUUCAGAUUUAGUUCUUAUUGGUGAUGGAUCUUCUCUACCAAUUCUUGGUAUUGGAGAUUCUAGCAUUAAGCAAAAGAAUAAAUUCUUAUCGCUUCAUGAUGUCUUGCUAGUCCCUCAUUCGAAAAAAAUCUGCUCUCCGUAAGUCAACUAACAACUCAGUUUCCAGUUAAUUGUGAAUUCACUAAUGUUGAUUUUUAUGUAAAGGAACGACAAACAGGACAACCAAUGAUCACAAAGAGACGCAAGGGUGAUCUCUAUGUGCUUCCCAACUCGUCGGAGCUCUAUUUUUCUCAUCGUUUCAAAUCCAGUUCCGCAAACAUUUGGCAUCAAUGUUUAGGACAUCCCCAGUUUUCUGCUUUACAGUUUUAAAAAAAUAAAGGGUUGAUUGAUGUUAUUGGCAAUGUUAAAUCCGAACAUAUUUGUGAUAGUUGUCAAUUAAGGAAGCUUAGUAGAUUACAUUUUUCUUGUUUUAAACAUCUAAGUUCUAGCAUUUUUGAAAAAAUCCAUUGUGAUUUGUGGGGACCUGCUCCUAUUUUAUCUAUUGGAAAAUUAAGAUAUUAUGCAUGUUUAGUUGAUGAUUUUUCUAAGUAUACUUGGAUAAUUCCCUUACAACAUAAAUCUAAUUUUGUAAAUGCUUACUUAGCUUUUGAACAAUAUGUCAAUAGACAAUUUAACAAAAAGAUCAAGGUUUUUCACUCGGAUGGAGGAGGAGAAUUCAUAAACUUCAAGUUAUCAUCUCACUUCCUCUCCACCGGAAUUAUGCAUCAGGUAUCAUGUCCAUACACUCCAGAGCAAACAGGUAUGGUUGAAAGGUAACAUAGGAUAAUACGAGAACUUGGAAUGACCAUGUUAUUUCAUAGUGGAGCUCCUCUGUUUCUAUGGGUAGAAGCUUUUUCCACUGCUAUCUACCUAAUAAAUCGCUUGCCUUCAUCUGCUCUUAACUUUGAAACUUCAUACUUUGCACUUCAUGGCACUCAUCUCGAUUACACUUCACUUCAUGUAUUUGGUUCCAAAUGCUUUCCUUAUACUUGGGAUACAAGACAACACAAGUUCAAUGCUUUGAUGAACUUUUUUUCCUUAUAAAAACACUUAGAACCAAAGCAUUGUACCACCUACAUCUCAUGUCAUAAGCAUUUUUUACUCAUGGUUGCCUCACACUAACUCCACUCACAAUGUUGAAAUUGAAUCCCAAACAUUAACCCCACCAUGUACAAGUCCUCUACUUGCGAUACCAUUAAUCACUUCGGUUUCUAACAUUGUCACAGGUUCCUUCUCAAACAUGCAUGAAAGUCAGCAACUCAGGACUACACUUGAGACCGAUGUGUUGUAACCCUCUACAAACGAAACAUUACAACCUGAGACCGAUGUGUUAUCUUCCUUGUAGGUUGAAUUGUUUGAGCAAUCCUUCAACACUCCACAUAAUGAUAUUGAACCAAAUCAACUCGACUUGCAAUCCCAAACUCAUCAAAAGCAACCACCACAAACACAACUCUCACCUUCUAUGAUCAUUCAGUCACAAACUCAUUAACAACAACCACCAUAAACACAACCCUCACCUUCUAUUAUCACUCGAUCUCAAAGAGGAAUCAUUAAACCCAAUCCAAAAUAUGCCUUGACUUCCACCACAAACUCAACCAGUAUCCCUCAUGAACCUCACAACAUAUGAGCUGCUCUAGCUCAUCCGGGAUGGAAAGCAGCAAUGGAUGAAGAACUCGAAGCCUUGCAUAAAAAUAAAACUUGGGUGCUUGUUUCACACACCUCAGACAUGCAUGUUAUUGGAUCAAAAUGGGUAUUCAAACCAAAACUUAAACCCGAUGGUUCAUUAGAUCGCCUUAAAGCUCGUGUUGUGGCCAAAGGGUAUCAUCAAGUGGAUGGUCUGGACUACACCGAAACCUUCUCUCCAGUCAUCAAACCUGGAACUAUUCAAAUGGUCAUCACUAUAACUCUUGUUAAAAAAUGGCCCAUACGUCAACUUGACGUAAAAAAUGCAUUCCUUCAUGGUUUAAUUUUAGAAGACAUACACAUGGAACAAUCUCCAGGAAUGGCUGAUCUCAAACAUCCAACACAUGUGUGCAAGUUUCACUCUAUGGUAAUCACCUCUUGCUUGGUUUGAUCGAUUUAGUGCUUUUCUUCUUAAAUAUGGAUUUUUUGUAGCCUAGCCGACCCAUCUUUGUUUAUUUUUCACUCUAACCUUGGAACGCUAAUUCUCCUACUUUAUGUAGAUGAUAUACUCCUCAUAGGUUCCUCCACAACUCUAGUAUCAACCUUCAUUCAACUCUUGAGCUCUGAAUUCGCGAUGAAGGACUUGGGCCAAAUUCAUCACUUCCUUGGCAUCGAGAUCUCUCAAACAUCUAAUGGUCUUCACAUGUCCCAAUCUCACUAUGAUCUUACCAUCCUUGAGAGAGCCAACAUGGUCGAUUGCAAGACUAUGAGCACACCUCUUGAAGCCAAAACUAAGACAUCAUCAAAUAAUGUCUUGCUAAAAGAUCUGAGUUAUUUUAGAGGACUUGUUCUCUCACGAGACUAGAUUUUUCAUACAGUGUGAAUUAUGCAUCACAAUUCAUGCAUGCUCCCACCGUCGUGCAUUUAAAAAUGGUUUGGACGAUCUUAAGAUAUGUCAAAAGCAUAAUUAACAUCGGUUUGCAUUUUACUUCCAAUACAACACUUGAUCUUUGUGUUUUCUCUGAUGUAAAUUGGGCGGGGUGUCCAACCACAUGACGAUCUGUCACUGGAUACUGUACGUUUCUUGGAGGAAAUCUCAUCUCCUGGUGUGCAAAAAAAUAGCAUACAAUCUCUCGGUCGAGCAUCGAAGCGGAAUAUCGAGCCAUAAAAAAUAUAGCAGCUGAACUCACAUGAAUGCCAUUUAUUCUUAAAGAUCUUCACAUUCCUUUGGCAUCUACACCAACUCUCUACUGUGAUAACAUAAGUGCUCUUCACAUGACAAUAAAUCCGGUGUUUCAUGCUCGUAGCAAACACAUCGAGUUGGAUUACCAUUUUGUGUGCGAACGAGUUGCACUUGGACUUCUCGUCACUCAACAUAUCUUCACUGAAAAACAAGUAGCAAACUUCUUCACCAAACCAAUGUCAAAAGCUAUACUUAGUAACUUUUGAACCAAACUCUGCCUCUAAUCUCGACACAGUUUGAGGGAGGGUAUUGGAACAAUCCAACAUCUUGGCGUGAAUUGUGGGACUCAAAGGAGUGAUAAGGUUGAGCAUAACUAUGGAAGUGAUAAGGUUGAAAACUCCCACAAUUCAUGCUACAAUAGCAUAGAGACGUUGAAAGAUGAAGGAGUAUCAAUGGCAACAACUUCAACCCGAAAUGGUAGUUCAACUAGUUAAAGAAAUCUCAACAAAUUGAUGGAGCAAAUCCUGGAUUCAAAACAGAGCAUAUCUUGAGUAUUCUUGCAAAGCAUAUCUUGGAAUGUUGACGCAGCAUAUCUCAAAGACAGAAUAAAUCAAAUUACUCUCAUAUAGUCUUGGAUUUUUUGCUACCAAUUAUACGGAUUCUAUGUAAUCUGUUUUUGGAAAAAAUGUAAUUUUGUUAUCCCAGGUUUUUUUGUGUUUAAAUAGAGGAUGUGGUCCUCCGUGUGUUGCAUUAUGAAAAUAAAAAAAUGGGGUUACAUCUCCAGCCAUGUUCACGUAUACAAAAGUAGACUUAUUCUUUCUUUCUUUUGUUUUUCAAAUUUUCUUUUUGUUCGGGAUCCCUUCCCGACUCUCUCUGUUAAAGGAAGAUAAUCUGCCUAAGAUUUGGAUGCAAGGCCAUGUUUAGGAGACUUAAUGCAAAAUAUUUAUCCAUAGCUCUUCGCCUGAAACAUCUGUAUAAAGCGUUUUCCCGAUGUGAACCAUCUUCUUGGGUCCCUGAGAUGAACAAAAACUGAGACAUAUCGUGAGCUAGAUGCAUUGCUUGAAAGUGUCGAGUAGCAGUAUGGCCUUCUUUCUGAUUAACUGUUUUUGUCAAAUUCUAGAGCUUUCAUUCCAAAUCCAUCAGUUUUCUCAAAUGAUUGGCCAAUGGAGAUCCAUGGAUAUAACAUAUGAAUUGUGCACAAUAAAAACAAUCAAACGAUAGGUUGGUUUGGCUGCAUUCCACAAUUGCAAAGAAUUAUCAUACAAAAUUGUUCUCAGUUGAGUUGAAUUUGGCCUAAAAAAGAUAUCCGUUAUUACAAACUGGUGUUCUUCCGUGGUGCUCUCUCUUUGCAGGCUAUCCAUGUUCUAGAGAACAACUCUCUUGUCAUGUCUGGCACUAAUUAGAGACUUCUCAUCUGAAGAAAAUCAAUAGUAGGUAGCUUUGCCAUUCUUGGUCCAUAUAUAACCAACCUUAGCAAGGGUUGAACCUUCUAUGCUUAGUUGUGUCAUACAUAUCCUUACCACCGCCUGUAGCAUGCAAUCAAAAUGAUUUGAUAAUAUCAUCUAGUGAACCAAUACCUCUAAAUGAGAGACCACUGCCUCUGUAACUAGGGCUCAUGACUAAGAAUUGCGUGAACCCCUUUGCUUGGGUUGAAGCCUGGUCGAUGCACAAAAUAUUCAUAGGCCUCUUCCCAUAACUGGCACCUUGUGUCUGCAACAGAAUUGAACAUGUAUUGAAGUGAGUUUUUUUUAAUCUUCUUGUAAGAAAAUUCUAAACAACAAAGAUUGCUUAGUGUACCCGACCCCUCAGAGCAUCAAGGUCCAUUUCUAUAGGACCAGUUGUUUCACAGUCGAACCAGAUAACAUGGAGAGUAUGUUGUAAUGCUUUAAUGGGGUAAUUCUUGGGAAAAUCCACCUGAAGCUGGUACAAUUCGUUGGCGUACAGAGUUCCUGGAGCUUCAUUGACUUCAAUCACCCAUCUAUGUAGAUUAUCGAUGACUUCAUGCUCGAAUCUUGGAUGAGGAUUGACCUAAUAUUCCACCAUCUCUUUCUGGAAAACGAUCUUGCUUAACACCUUGUGAGAGGGGGCAGAGGAACAUGUCACUGUUUCUUCUAGAAGAUCAGAGUGGCCGAGGAUGGGUUUGGACCAGAAUUGCUAUCUAGGUUUUCUUUAGGUGAACCAAUUAGUGGAGUGGGUGGCUAUGCAACAACUAAAGGGUGGUCAUAUGAGGAGCUAUUAUUUCAUGCACGUGGAGAGGAAAGGAGUAGCUUCUUCAAGGAUUUAUGAUUAUUCAUCUCCAGCUUGCGUUGAAUAUCUUUUGACAAAUUUCUGUUCUGGAGCUCCCUUAGUUUCACUUCAGCUAACUUGGCCGACUUGGUUUCAUUAUGUUUCCUACAACUUCCAAGAAAAGCACUCUAGAUCACUGAAUCAAGUUCCAUUGGCAUCUUGUCCAUAAACUCCUUUGCCUAUUAACAACAUACUACCCCUCAAAAGUUAAUGAGAUAACAUCAACGCUGACAUGUUGGCCAUCCCCAUAAACAUCUUUAUAGAGAUUGAUUCUGCAUUUAGAUAUUUCUCUCUCCUCAAGUGAGUUCAAAUUCUCUGUAACAUUCUUCUCCUUCUCUGCUAAUAGUCUUAGUUGAACAUCCAACCUAUGUUCCCAAAGUGCCAACAUCUCGUAUCUGCUGACUAGCCAACAACCUUGCCCUUGUUGAGACCCAAGUAAGUAUCCAAAACCAUGAACAUCAACCCUCUCAUAGGCCUUUAUAUUUGAAGGUCGGAUUGGGAUUGCUUUGAAUGCACUGGCACUGCAAUAAACAAUUGUUUCUUCUCCAAUAAAAACACCACAAAGAGAUGAGGGGACUGGUAUUAGCAAAGCAACUCGUUGUCUAGAUUGUUCUAGGCUCGAGUACUCUCAACAAAAUCCUCAUCCUCAUCUGUAUUCCUCCAUUACAUCCCUAGGCGUUUCAAUGUGAUUCACAUGGCUUACAAGUAUCCAGAAAUAUCGAUCUGUAUAAAAGUUGCUCUUAUGGGGCUCGCAUAGAAAACAUCCCAAUCAAGAUGAUCAACCUAGCUUAGAUGCUCAGUUCCCCAAACUUACCAAAAAUAAAGGAAUAAAAAGCAAGGAUAGGAGCCAAAGUAAAAAUUGAGAGAAUAGGAAAUCAAGCAAAACAUGUACAUAGCCUCAUUUCAGGUGACAUAUUUAGGCUAAUAACUGGUGGAAUUAACAAAGUACACAAGUAUGAUUCUUAUAAAUAUCAAGUUCAGGGAGGAAGUCGUGCAUUAGCUACUUACAGGAGUCAAGAAAACCAAGAUAAGAUCAAAGAGAGCACGUAUGCAAAUAAACAUAUUCGGUAAAAUAGACCAAAUAGCUCGUGAUGGCCACAUCAAUCAACAAGAUGACUUCCUGACAUUUGCAGAAAAAUGGAACAGAAUAAUGUGAAAAUGAUAGAGCGCAAAGUUCACAGUGACCAUACCUGGAAGUCUUCUCUCCAAGCACAGCUUGCUCAGCUUCAAGUGUUUUCUUGCCUCCUCCUCCAUAGCACAACUUUUCUCUGUUGUUCUCUCUCAAAACCUACUAUCUUAUAAUAUCAUAAUUCUCCAUUCUCUGCUCUCUAAUGUGUCUUUCUCGACUUCUCUCUCACAGUCCUAGUGCCCCCCAAAACCUCCAUUAAAAAAAUCCCAAAAUACUCCUGCUUUCAUCAUUCCCCAUUGUCCCUCCCAUAGCUCCUCCUCACAACUUUUUUCUUUUAGCCUCAAGACAUUCUGCAGCUCCAAACAGCCUGUGCUAUGUCUUCUUCCCUGGAUCCCCCCUUAGAAAAUCACUGCUCCACUCUCUGAAAAGGUGGUCUCUAACUAACCUUCACUAUAGAGAAUGUUCUCUCUAACAGCUCACUUAUCCUACAAAAAAAAAAAAAAAAAAAACUAUUACACGUGGCAAAAAGUGAUGAAAAAAAAAGGAGAAUUGUGUUUUGGGCCCAAAAAUUGUGUUCUGGUCCAUGUAAUUGAUCCAUUUAAGCUGAAAACCUAUAGGAAAUGUCAAAAUUAAAAAGAAGGAUAUGUACUUUUAUUAAUUCCAAAAAUAACCUUUGCUGAUUAUGAUAAAAAAAUAAUAAUAAACCAAAAUAUCUAGGUUGGAAUUUUGCCCUAAUUUUGCUAUCUCUUCAGCAUUUCAAGCCUAGACAGCCGUUUUCUUCUCUUCCUUCCCAUUUCCUCCAUCGCUUGCAUCUCAUCUCCGUGCCUCUUUCAUUUUUUUUUUCGCAUUCGUCUCUCCCGAAAAUUUGAAUUAAGACGAAAUAUAUUGUUUUAAUCAAGCUCUCGAUUUCAGUUGGAUGUCUUUUUUUCAUCAUCGAUCCGCAUCAGUGUUGCCGUUCGUGCCGACCGUCGUUGGCUAUUUGAGGUUAGUAGGUUCUCUAAUUUCAUUUUCUCCCGAUUUCGUCUUUGCCAAGCAUUUUAUUUCAACCCAAAAUACAUUGAUGUAAUCUUUCUCUCGAUUUCAGUUCGGUGUGUUCAUCUCGGUGCAGACUCUUGUUGCAUAUUUGAGGUUAGUAGAUUGCCUAAAUCUCGACCUAGAUUUUCUUAGUCCUAUAUUUUGUUUAAUCCUCAUUGGUAUGAGGAAAGGGAUUCUUAUUUUCUGCCUUUAGUUUACGAAGUGAAUGGUGAGUGUUAUUUUAAGGACAUUAAAUGAACAGUUGAGGCAAAGUAGGUGAUUUGGAAUUCUUUGCUGUAGAAAUAUCCUGGAAAGGGAUUUCCAUACUCUGUAAUUCUAAAUAAGACAUUAUAGAUUUGUUGUAAUGUUUUAAAAAAGAAAAUUUUUGCUUUUGGAGUAUUUAUAUUUUGAAAAAUAUUUUUGUUGGAAAGACUUCAAAAUCUUGGUGGAAUAGCAACACAAAAUUGGAAUUAAGUCUUUGAUUUUGAUAGAUCUCAUCUCAAAUGCCCAAAGUUGGUAGUCAGACAGUUUGAGUUAUUCUAAGUUGUGCUAGUCCAUUUACAAGUUGUAUACGAGUAGGAGGAAGUAUGCCUUUGUUUGUAGCUUAUGCCAGAGCUAUCAAGGGAAAGAGUUAUAAAGUUGAAACUUUUGAAAUCAGCCAAGUCACUUUAUACUGCAUGGUCAAGGAAUCUAAUUCAACCUAAAUUUUUCUUAUGGUGCCUUGGUUUGAGAUGUAGGCACAAGUAACAAAUUUAUCUCUUUUUAUCUAUUAGUUUUUACAACCCUUAAACCUUAAAUGUGUUCAACUAUUGUUUAUGGUUUUGUAUGGAUCAUCUAAAGUAGGACAUGAUAGUUUAGAAGAGAAUUCUAUAUUUGUUGCAUUUUUUAGGGUAUUAUCUCUUCAUAUUAUUUUGCAAAGCAACGCUUUAUAAUUAAUAUUUAAAUAUCUCCAUUCUCUUUGAAUAAGUUUGUAGGCAUGUCUGAUAUAGUAGUACCAACAGAAAUUGUCUAAGGGUUUGAGUGAGAAUGAGAAUUUGUUUUCUACCUAGUGUAAGUAUAGAUCAGAGCUUAAUAAAACGUGGGGGAUUAUUUCCUAUCGAAUGUCUUAUAGUUCCAUAAUUCCAAUGUUUUUGGUCUAUAUAUAUAUAUGUUCUGGAGUAUUAUGUCGAAUCGGACACAAAAUCCUCCUACUUUACUAGAUAUUGUUGUGAUGUUCUGUCUUAAAGUUCCAAGUACUAACACUCAUCAUCAUUUAUUUGCAGUCAUCAUCAACUGGGAUUGGUACUCCUGACACUAUGUAUUUUUGCAGGGUCCAUUGGUUGCAGAAUCUUCUGUGCAUGGAUAAAACUAAUGGCUCUAAUGAUACUAAUGAUACUACAGUUUUCUCUCUCUCCCCCUAUCUCUCCUUACUCUGCUCUCCUUAAUCAUCCAUUUGGUACUACUUCAUUCUGUAACUAUUGGAAAUGACAUCUUUACUUUUUGACUUGGUUUUUGCAUCACCAACUGCAAUGAUGUUGCUAUUCCUAACAUGGCCAUGUUGUCAAACAUUGCAUGCAGGGCCCAUCAAUGUUUACACGAUGCUCAACUACAAGAUUUAAGAAAAUUUGCAAUCGUUUACUAGAGGAAAAAAUACAAGCCAUAAGAGACCUCCAAUUUGGAGGUCUAUUGAACUUAAACUGCAUAGAAGUGCUCCAUAACAUCUGUAUCUGUCUAAUCCAACAUUUCAAUGUUGGAUUUAGACGGAUAGAGUUCUCAGCCCAGAAACACUAUCCUGUUACAGCCAUCGAUGUUGGCCUCAUUUUUAGCCUCCCAACAGAAGGGCAGAUUCUGCAAGUGACCUCUACAUAAUCAGAGCAUCCAUUUGGGACUGUUCGGGCAUGCGAGGAGAAAAUCCUCAACUUACUUGUUGGGGAGGAGUUUCGUAGAGCAUUCAUUUACUACGCAUGUGCCACAUUGUUGGCUCCCACAUCUAGGCUCAAUGGUUGUCGUAACUUAUGGCAUACCAUCCAUGAGGAUGGAUUCCGAAAUGACGUUAAUUGGGCCCAGUUUGUGCUUGACCAAUUGGUUGAGGGAAUUGGGCGAUAUCAACAGUCUAACACCUCUUGGGUACAUGGCUGUGUAUUAUUUAUACAGGUAGUGAACUUAUUCAGUAUUUGUCUUCCAUUUUUUUAAUAUAAUUUUAUUGCAUAACUAAGUAACAUUUGCCUGCUAAUGUUUGUAUUUAUUAUGCAAUUGCAUUAUGUCAUUAAAUUCCAAAUUCCUUUAGUCUAAGUCCCCAUUACAAUGCCCCCAGCAUUGGCAUGGACUGAUGAUUUGAUUAAGCGGUGACUAGCCGCUGAGAUUAAGGAGUUUAGAGCAUUCGGACAUGCUGAGGUUGAUUUUUUAACUGAUGCAUGCAUAAAUAUAUUGUCAUUACCAGCAUAACACUCAUUAUUUAAGUACUAAUCUUCAGUGCUAAUUAUAGGCAUCCCAGAGAUCUUCAACCGUAGAGACAACUAUGGAGGCAGAGACUAAUGUGGACCAUGACACAAAUGUUGAGGCUAAAAAUAGUGAUGUAAGCUAUUAAUUUUUUUAAAAAAUUAAUAAAUGUUCAUUUCAUUGUCAUUGUAAUUUAUUUUUACUUCUUAACUACAAAGAAAUAUGUUGUUGUGACAUUUUGUGCUCAAAGAUUGACAAUGAUUGUGUGCACAUUAAUUUACAUGUGAUAGGAAAUAUGACAUCAAUAUCAUGAUGCGGAACGAGCAAUCGACCAAUAUUAACGGGGCAUUCAACAGCAGCUGAGAAUAAUGUGUGGCCUUAUGCAUAAGUUAGGGGCUCGAAGACAUAGUGGGGUAAAUUCAGAUGUUGCUGGUCACUCUGGCUAUGCACCAGCCAACACUUCCACAGCCGAUGACCAUGCAUUUCCUGGUGAAGAGGACAUGGCUUGGCAUGGUGCAGACCAUGUGAUAUACACACUAGAUCGCGUUGUCGCCCCUGACUAUGAGUUGCAACCCAGUGUACCCAUUAAUCCAGUAAGUGGUAAGUGAUAAAAUUUAUGCAAACACCCAUAUGGUAAACAACCCAAGUACCCAAUCAUAAUGUAUACCUUUGCUGACUAGUGCUAAAUCUCAUAUUGCAGAUGGUGAGGAACAACUAGAAGGUGAUGUUGUCCCCACAAAUAGGAACGUUCGUAGACGCCGAGUGCGUCGAAUGGCUCUAAACCUCUUGUCCCCAUACAUAUCCCAACCACAAACCAAACAAUCUGCCAUCAGAAUGGACCUAAAAUAAGCAGCUGCACUGGUAUUUGGAGAGGAUUUGGAUGCUAGGUAACAUACUUUAGAGACACUCCUCUCAUUGUAUGAUAGUGAUAAAACAAAAACUAAAUUGUAUGUGUUUGUAACAGUGAAGAACUAGUGUCUAUGCAUGACACUAUCCUAACCAGAGGCAAUUUGGGCUGCUUCGAAGGGAAUGGCUGGAUAGGGAACGACGUGCAUAUGACUUCUUAUCCCUCUUUAUGCAUUAUUUUAAGUUUGAAAAUUAAAGUGUGGUUCUGAUAUAACUAGUUGCUUACACUUUUAUGAUAUACGAAAUUAGGUUGUCGAUGCCUACUCUAGAUUGUUGUAGUAUGAACAUGAACCAAAGAUGAAAUUGUUUCUAUCCCCCUACAUAGUUGUAAUGAUGACUGAUCCAUUAAAUCAUUGUUGAACUUUAUUUUAUGUCUUGAACCAUGCAUUACCUACAAUGACAAAUCUGAUGCUAUCCCUUAUUUGAUAUGCAGGAAAUGGUAAUCCACUCCUAGGCAAAACACUUAGUGAGGGAGGCAGUUAUAAGACGAUUUGAACCACAUGUGUAUCCGAUGGAUAUUCCAUAUGUGAAUGUUAACGAGGUGGAUUCCUGUGUUUCAUGCUUGGAAUUGUUUUUUUAUUGCAUGAAGGUCUAAUAUUUAGAUGUAUGUUUAAUGGCAGUCUAUUGGUGCAGGUCUUCUUACCAAUUCUCAUAAAGAACCAUUGGACACUUUACUUAUAUGACCUAUCAAACAAGAGAAUCCAACUGCUAGAUUCUCAUCCUAGUAGGAAGAAGACAACUUUGAGUGGAAUACAACAAAAUCUGGUAAAGUAACAAGAAACAACUAAUAAUUUGUUAGGUAUGUCUUCCCAUAAAAAUUUCAAUUGUUGUGUUAAUAAAUGUUUCAGGCUAAGGUUGUCCUAUGGUUGGCUGCACACAAGAAAGAGGUAUCACCUUAUGAAUUGAGGACAUUCAAUUUCCUAACACCUGAUGUACCCCUCCAACCUAAUGAGUGAGUGUUGACCUUGCAAUCCGGGAUGAUAUUAAAAUGGAUUGCAACUUAUUUUAAGUUCCUCUCUUAUUUAUAAUUCCACACUUAAUAAUGUUUUGGUCAUGAUAUUGAUGUAGGCACGAUUGCGGAGUGUUUGUAAUGAAAUUCAUGGAGUUGUGGUCAAUGGGCGAGUUCUCCAAAUCAAUCGAUGUGGUACGCAUGAAGAAUUAUCUAUUACCAUCUCAUUAAUGUUAAAAUAGUUAGAAAAGCCUAAUUAAUUAAUUUUCUUAUUUGUUGCUAUAAACUUGAAUGAAUGCAGGGGAAAUUGAAACAUUAUAGGUUGAAGAUUAUGGGGAGUUUGUUGUUUUCACCACAGAAUACACACCGAUAGCGUGUCCGGAAGGAUUAAUGGGGAUUGUAAUUUGUGAUGAGACUGUAUAAAGUUAGCACAUUUGCAUCUAAUUUAUGGUGGACAAACGUAGUUCUUUAAAUGUUUUUUUUUAUGGUGCCACAUGCGGAAAUGAACAUUGGGAGUAUUGGAUUAGUAGGAGUUUGACUGUUUUUUGACUUAAGUUGAUUAUCAUUGCAUUGUAAGUGAAUAGGGAGAAUUGAAGCCUUCGUUUGUGAUUGUAUAUGUGUGUUCAUUGUUACAUGAACCUAAUGUAAUUGGAAUUAUACAACAGAAUGAAAGACCUUACUCUUUGUUACUCUUAGAGGGUGCAUGAUGCUUGUAUUUGUAAGCUAAUUUGGAUUGUAGAGAAACAAUUUUAUACAAAGACCAACAAUAAACAAUUUAAACAGCAACUUCGUAACUGAGUUUUUCAAAUUGAUUUUUAAACAUCAUUUAUGGAUAACCUUGAAGCCUUUGAGUAUGAGAAUUUUCAUGUGAUGAUUGUAGCCUUGGAAAUUAGUGUUUGCUUGACAUUCUUAAUACAACAGAAAAACUUUAGCCCUCAUAAUUGGGAGACCAGAAACUUCGGUCACAUUUUAAGCUCGGAGUUUCUCUACCCAUACUGGAUUGUAGGAAUACAAAAUUAAGAAUACAUCAGUUUGCACAUUUGCGAAUUCCAAAAAAUGAUUAUAACUCAUAUCCAACAUACAUAUAUGGCCCGAACAAGUAUAAUACUGAUAAAAACAUUCAACAUUUGUUUUUUUUUUUUUCACUCGAACACUUAAGAUAGGAAGCUCAAUAACAUAUCUUAAAUCAUUAAGAUAUUUGGCAAAACAACAUAAUAUAACAACUUUAGAAAUAAAAUAAGUGAUAAGUUCAAAUAAUUAACUCUUUCUAAAUCCCAAAUAUCAUUUACCUUAAUAAUCCAUGUAGGUUUUCCUUUUUUUUUUUCCCCCUUUUUAUAUAUCUAAUUAUUUCAUUAAUGAAACAGACAUGUCAAUUUAAUAGUAUUAAAAAGAAUAAGUUCAUUUUUUAUAAAUAAUCUUAAUACUUAAAAGAAUUAAAUAGUGAGUUUUAGAAGUUCAAAACUUUAAAAGCAUAAUUCAACAUUAAGUACUAAGUUUGCUUGCACAUCCACUUAGUUCCUAUACAUACAAGAGAAAACAAAUGAUAAUAAAAUAAAACUCUAAACUCAAUACAUUACUUUCUAAAAUUCACCUAGUGCUUUCCUAUUGCUACCCAAUUGAGCAGAAAAUACAAUAGGGACAUAAAUGCAAAUGGUGUUCUGGAAACUUCCAACCACAGUGAUAACACCAUUAAAUAUAUAUGGCCUCUGGAAGGUCUACCAUGAAACAUUCUAACAGAAGCAGGAAAUACAUUAAAACACAAAUGUAAAAAUAGACAAAUGAUAUACCUCACCUAAAGGGUUGCUAAUGAUGUCAGUGGCAGGAAACAUGACAAUUUGUAGUAAAAGAUAUUCCAAGCUUUGUACUAAUGGGAAUGACACCGUUCAAGCACAAAACACCUUCUUGAACACUAAGUACUUGGUUAAAAAGCUAAUCUAUCAAGUCAAUUCUCGUUAGAUUACAGGCAAGCUACCUCUAUAAAUCCUAACUUACAACUAUUACAAUUUUUUAAGCAUGUGUUUCUCAUACAAAGCAAUGAUGUCUCUCUUGUUGGGAUUCUUGAACUGAAGCAGCUCAACCCCAUAUUGAUGUUUUGUGAGUUCUUCCAUAAGUUUCAGCACAAUGAAUUUUGUAUAGUCCUUUGGGUUUGUAUGUUGGCUGUUGUUGUUCUCGUUGGCUUUGAAUAUUUAAACACCUUCUUCUGACUGCGUGAACUUCAAAGGGAUAGUUGUGAUCCUUGACAUCUUAUUUAUUCUUGUUAUUCUUUGAUUAACAUCCAUAUCUUGAACAGAUUCAAUAGUCGGGUCAAAGUCAUCUACUCUCGAACGUUGCCCAUGGGAAGUAGUGUUGAGCUUACCGUCCAUUGCUGUUUUAUUUAAAGAAAUUAAUGUUAAUUGUUGCUGAAGUAAAUCAAGUUUUCCUUGUGUGGAUUGUAGUUGAACAGAAAGAGCUUUUGCCCUGUUGUUUGUUUAUGCACGUGCUGCACGCUCACUUUCCAAAAGGCCUUCAAGGACUUGAACUGUACGAAGUGUUAACCUUGGAUCAGAUUCAGAACAGAGGUUGGGCUUUGGUGAAUAGUUGUGUCCUUUGCAACUACAACGACAUUAAAUAACAAUCAUUCCAAUAAUGCAAGCUUUCUUCAGAAAACCAAGGUGGAAAGAAAAAGCUUGGAAAAGAAAGAAAAAAUGAUCAAAUUCAUAAAAACUUAAAUCUCAAAAUCAGUGCUUACUGGAGGCUGCUUUACAAAGGCUUUUAACAUCAUCAAACACCAACCAGUACCUACUUGGCAGCCGACACACUCGUCUCUCUAUUAUGCCUUUAUUUGCUUUCUCACUAGGGGAAAAAAAAACACAUACCCUUUAUCAGGUUGAAGACAAUCAUGAGGAGGCCCACGUGGAUAUCAAUCAAUGAAAGGUUAUUAUCAUUUGAUUUGAGGAAUGAGCAAGCAAUUUUUUCAAAAGCAUUUGAAAUCCUUCAAGAUAGGUAGCAUUGUACACAGUUGUACAGUUAGCACAUUUGCAUUGUACACUUAGUGUAAAUGCCUUGUACAGUCACGAAAUCCCACAUAGGCACAAUUGAAUGAGUGCAUAUGGGUGGGUAACCAAUGUUUCCAUUCUAUGGAUUAGGGAAAAUGAGAAAAAACUUUACCCUAAUUUCGGUUCAUAUUCAUCAUUACUAGGGAAGCUAAUAUAAUGAAUUAACAUGGUAGACAUCAAAUAAAAUGCAUGCAAUGAGUGUCUUGUCAAGCAAUAUGUGUAAGGAAUGUCCCCCACGAUUGGAAAAAGUAAGAUAAACACCCUUAUACACCCUUGUACAUUUAGUACAUUGGCCUUGUACACUUGGUGUAAAUGCCUUGUACAGUUGUAGAAAUUCGAUCUACGUACCUACAACUGAACUAGUGCAUAUGGGCAAGUUAACCACAUUCCAAUGCCAUGGCUCAGUUAAAAGGGGGAAAAUGACACCCAAUUUAGUUUCCUAUUCAUCAUAAGUGCGCUAUCUCAUCCAAUGAAUGUGUACGAAGGGAAAUGAGGAAUGUCCCCCUUAGAAAAAAUAAAUGAGCAAGCAAUUUUUUCAAAACCAUUUCAAAUCCUUCAAGAUAGGUAGCCUUGUACACACUUGUACAGUUAGCACAUUUGCAUUGUACACUUAGUGUAAAUUCCUUGUACAGUUACCAAAUCCCACAUAAGUACUUAUUUUCAAGUGAAUAUGGGUGGGUAACCAAUGUUUCCAUUAUCAUGGAUUAGGGAAAAUGAGAAAAAAGUUUACCCUAAUUUCGGUUCAUAUUCAUCAUUAAUAGGAAAGCUAAUAGAAUGAAUUAACAUGGUAGACAUCAAAUAAAAUGCAUGCAAUGAGUAUGUUAUCAAGCAAUAUGUCUGAGGAAUGUUCCCCACGAUUGGAAAAAAUAAGAUAGACACUCUUGUACACCCUUGUACAUUUAGUACAUUGGCCUUGUACACUUAGUGUAAAUGCCUUGUAUAGUUGCAAAAAUUUGACCUAGAUACAACAGAACUAGUGCAUAUGGGCGGGUUAACCACAUUCCAAUGUCAUGGCUCACUGAAAAGAGGGAAAAUGACACCCAAUUUAGGUUCCUAUUCAUCAUAAGUGCGUUAUUUCAUCCAAUGAAUGUGUAGAAAGGGAAAUGAGGAAUGUCCCCCUUAUAAAAAAUAAAUGAGCAAGCAAUUUUUUCAAAAGCAUUUGAAAUCCUUCAACAUAGGUAACAUUACACAUAGUUGUAUAGUUAGCACAUUUGGAUUAUGCACUUAGUGUAAAUGCCUUGUACAGUCAUGAAAUCCCACAUAGGCACAAUCGAACGGGUGCAUAUGGGUGGGUAACCAAUGUUUCCAUUCUCAUGGAUUAGGGAAAAUGAAUAAAAACUUUACCCUAAUUUCGGUUCAUAUUCAUCAUUACUAGGGAAGCUAAUAGAAUGAAUUAACAUGGUAAACAUCAAAUAAAAUGCAUGCAAUGAGUGUGUUGUCAAGAAAUAUGUGCGAGGAAUGUCCCCCACAAUUGGAAAUAGUAAGAUAGAAAGUUCUUCAAAAUCACUUGAAAUCCCCUAAGAUAGACACCCCUAUACACCCGUGUACAUUUAGUACAUUGGCCUUGUACACUUGGUGUAACUGCCUUGUACAAUUGCAGAAAUUCGACCUAGCUAGAACAGAACUAGUGCAUAUGGGCAAGUUAACCACAUUCCAAUGUCAUGGCUCAGUUGAAAGGGGGGAAAUGAAACCCAAUUUAGGUUCCUAUUCAUUAUAAGUGCGCUAUCUCAUCCAAUGAAUGUGUACGAAGGGAAAUGAGGAAUGACUAUGAGGAAUGUCCCCCUUAGAAAAAACAAAUGAGCAAGCAGUUUAUUCAAAACCAUUUGAAAUCCUUACACAUAGGUAUCAUUGUACACACUUGUACAGUUAGCACACUUAGUGUAAAUGUCUUAUACAAUGGAAAAAAUUUGACAUACCUACAACUAAAAGCGUGCAUAUGGGUGAGCUACCAUGUUCCAAUGUGAUGCCUAAGGGAAAAGGGGGAAGUGAAACCCAAUAUAGGUUCCUAUUCAUCAUUACUGUGGUUGAUCAUCUAAUGAACAUAUAUGAAGUAAUAAAAUUGAACGGGAUGAGUACGUGAUCAAGGAAUGUGUGUGGGGGAAUGUUCCUCAUCCUUUCAAAAUGGAAAUGAUUUUAAAACGAUUGCAAAUACUUCAACAUAGGUACCUUUGUACACCCUUGUACAUUAAGCACAUGUACCUUAUACACAGACAGAAAUUCCAUACAACCACUACUGAAUGUCUACUCCUGCAUAGGUUAAUCAUGUUUGCAAUCUUUUGGUUCGUAAAAUAAGGAAAAACUGAAGUAUCAUUUUGUUCCCUAACUACUACUCAUCAUAUUAAUAAUCUUCUACUCAAACAUAAAGGAGUUUCAAUCAUAUAAUUACUAGGGUUGUGUUUUGGAUCAUAGAAGAAUAAUUUUCAUAAAUAUGAAUGUCACAAUUCAUCCCUAAACAUAAUUAAAACACACUCAAUCCUCCAUCAACCUAGCUUCGAAUUCUAGAAAAUAUGCUUACCCCACAAUAGGGCAUAUACCCUAUUUAGCAUAUUUCCAUCUUCAUAGGAGGUUGUUGGGCCACUGCCAUCAUCACGACCACAGUUGUGGCCUAAACCUUCAUCAGAGUUCUUCAUUUUCUCUGUUUCGUCGGGUGGACCAACUUCUCUGCUGUCAAAAUAUGUUUGAUCUAAAGGAUAGCUAUUUUGGAUGAAUUGCAUCAUCACCGGACAAUCUUCUUCCCCAAAGCUCACCGUCUGGAUGAAACCCAUUUAUUCUCUCUGGACGAUGAUGAUAAAAUACCUACAAAUGCCUCAACUUGAUCAAAUCAAAAUGUCAGAAAAUAAUUCAGACCCCCCCCUCCAUCCUUUGGAUUUGGGAAUGAUGAUGAUAAAAUACCUACAAAAGCUUUUUUGAAAUGCUCACAAUCCUCGGCUGCUGAAGAAAGCGAUUGGGGGACAGUCACAGUCGUCAUUGUUUGUGCGUAUGCUGUUUACGGAGGGAGAGGAAGGGGUAGGAAGAUUCAUAAUUUUCAAUCUGAUGACAUGGCAUUUCAAGUUUACUAGCUGUGAAACCUAUUAAUUUACAACCAUUUGAGUUGGAAAUGGAAAGGGCAUUUUCGUCUGUUAACAUCUGAUAUCCUUAUCAUUAAUUAGGUAAGUUACAUGGACCUUCUCUUAAUUUUUGGGCCUAACUGGGCCCAAAACACAAUUCUCCCAAAAAAAAGCUGGGUCCACAUAUACAUAUCAAUAUUCUAUCAUAUCCCUUCAAAUCUAAAGCAAUCUGUAUUUUCAAUGGGAUUUGUUGGGAUGAGUUUUACUGGAUUGUAACAUGUAAAUACCCACUGUGAUGAGUUUUACUGGAUUGUAACAUGUAAAUAUGUUAAAAAAGGCUUGGGACGUUCCUAUAGUAACACAUAAAGGUACUUCCAUUGUGAAGUUGUCAAAAUUGUAAAUUCAAAUUACAAAAUUUGAAAACAUAGAGAUGAAAGAUGAUGAAACCUUCUUUGAAAUUUUAUAUUGAACUCAUUAAUAUUAUUAAUUCUCAUUUCAAUAUAGGGGAAAGAAUUCUUGACUCUAAAGUGGUCAGAAAAAUAUUGAAAUUCCUUAUUAAUAGAUUUAGACCUAAAGUGAUCAAUAUAGAAGAAAGUAAAAAAUUUUGAGUGUAGGUAAACUUGUAGACUCAAAUGACUCUACCAUUUCAUAAAAAAUCCUCAAUUUUAUAAAUUAUAUAGAUUUCUUCAUUUGAUACAAAUUUUGAAUAAAGAUUUUUCCAAUGACAAUACAAGAAAAGGGAAAAUAAAUUAAAAAUCUCUCCAGAUCAUAUUAUUUAAUCACUUAAAUUAUUUAAAAAUAAAAAUGUUUACUGCUAACCUUAUUUAGGUUCAUCUUUCUUUUGAUAGAGGUUAAAAUUCACAAUUUGGAGGAAAAAGAUGAGGAUUCUCAUCUUUUUUUUCCCAUGUAUGAAUAGGAUUUUCAUUGUGUAUAUGCAGGUUACUCAAUGGCAUAUUUGGGCCACCAGAGUUUGUAAUAUGAGGAAAAAUAUGAAGUUGAGUUUGUCACCAAGAACAGACAUGACUCCUACAAAUGUGGCAUCCUUAAUUUCAUGUUUGGAUUGGACUUGUCAUGUAACAACUUAACAAGUGAAAUCUCUCAUGAACUUGGAAUGUUAAGUUUGAUUCAUGCAUUGAACUUGUCUCACAAUCAACUAAAGGGCUCCAUUUCAAAGAGUUUCUACAAUCUUUCUCAAAUAGAGAGUUUAGACCUUUUUAAUAAUAAACUAAGUGGAGAAAUUACUCCAAAAUUGGUUAGACUAACUUUUUUAGCGGAGUUCAAUGUGACUCACAAUAGCAUCUUCUGAAGAGUUUCAAAUAUGAAUGCAUAAUUUGCAACAUUUGAUGAAAGUAACUAUGAAAAUAAUCAUUUCCUUUGUGGACCACCAUUAAAGAGAAAAUGCAGCAUAAAUGUUGAACCACCUUACCCAACAUUAGAGUCUUCGGAAGAAAGUGAUGCAAAAUGGUAUAAUAUCGAUCUUGCAGUUUUCUUUGCAAGUUUUACUACAUCAUAUAUCAUGAUAUUAUUAGGAAUUUCAAUAAUUCUUUACAUUAACCCUUAUUGGUGUCAAAGAUAGUUCAAUUUUAUCGAGAAAUAUACAUACUUUUGCUAUUAUUUUAUUUCCUAUACUCUUUCCAAGUUAUUAACAUAUUUUGAAUAAUUAGAAAUUUUGUUUUCAAUAAUAUUUAUAUAAUUAACUACUAUUGGCUUCCUUGACAUGGAAAGUUAUGCAGGGAAGGCAACAACCACCUUUUCUCUCCUCCGUUAGUAAAUGAUGGAUGAGUUAAAACUUGCACCCUUAUCUUUGCUUAAAUUUUCUUAGCUUUUGUUUCAAUUCUUAAUUAUCAUUUCUUUUAUGUAGUGUUUAAUACAAGAUCCUAAACACAUUGCUUUCAAGGUUAUUUAUUUAUAAAGCAUGAUAUUUAUUUUCACAAAGACAAAUUCAAGUUUUUUUAGGAAUUUUUAGAAUUAUUAUAAUUUGGAGUUCACAUUAGAGGAAAAAAAGGAAAGAAAAGAAUAGAUAAUUAAAAAAAAACAAUUUUAGUAAGUAUAAUUUGUCAUCUUAAGUAUAACAAAUGGGAAUUCCAAAAUAAUAUUUCAAUUUGUUAGUCACAUUCCUUAUAGUAUUGAUUGAAAUAUCAAAUAUAGGAAGUCACGUUUUGAUUUUUUAUUAGCUUGAAUUGCAUGUCACAUACAUUUUAAAAUCAAGCAUACAUAUGAUCAGCCGGGAAGUCCUUGUGUUUGUAACAUGCAUGAAGAUGAUAUGAUCAAUUAAAUAAUUUUCUUAAUUGUUUGAGACAUAGACCCUUUUUGUUUAAUAAUAAUAAUAAUAUGCUACACAUUUAUUAAAUCAUAUAUGUAUAUUUAUAGUCAUGUAAUAUAUUUAUAUAAGUAACAAUAAAUUAUAUUGUAUAAGGUAUUGGUAGGAGUUUUCAAUUCCAUCAUACAAUAGUAUCUAUCAAUAAUUGGAUUGGACACCAUAGUGGCCAUGAGAGAGGCAUGGGCUUGACAUUAAGACAACCUUGAGUGGUGUUGAUAUUAUCACUUGAACCAGAAAUGCAGUCAUGUCAAAAACUAUAUUAUAUAGAAAACCAAAAUAAAAGCAUUAAUUAAAAUAAAUACCAAGAUCCUUGAAAUCACGUUUCAAUAUGUUAAAUUACCAUUUUUUUUAAAUAAAUAUUUUAUAGGUUGUGUGAAUAAAUAUAAUUGGUAUAAAGGGUUUCAAUUUAAUUUUUCCUGGAAAUCCAUAAUAGGUGAAAAGACAAAACUACCAUUUUUUGUUUUUUCCUUUUUCUCAACUAACUAUUUUUUUCUUGUAAUUGUUAUUAUCAUUCUUAUUAUAAAUAUUAUAACCUUAUAUUAUAAAUUUUUAGUUUAGAUGAUAUUUAAACUAACUAUUGUUGCGGUUUUAAUUGACAUGGAAAAGAAUGUGGUUAUACAUGUAAUUGUCACCAUUUUUUCAAUUAGUCAAUUAGCCAUUGUGCAGAUAGCACAUAUAUGAUUUUGUAUGCAGAUAGCACUAUAUAUAUGCUUAGCAUAAAAAGGACAGGUUGUUUCUUAGUUUGGGUUUUUGCUGCAUUUAUUUUUGUUUUGCUCCAGUGUUCCUUGUAUGCCUCCUGUCUACCUAGGUUACCACUAUUUAUGUUCGCCUACAGAAAAAAAAAUGGUGAUUUCUGUAGUUGAGAGCCAGAUCAAUUACUGAUACUGUGCCUGAAUGGCAAUAUUGGUGUCGCAUAGUUGGGAAGAAGUCAUUUCAGAUACAGGAUGAAGAAAACGGAGGAAAUUGGCUUGAACAGUAAUGGAAGGUUAAUCGAGUAAUCAGACCAUGCGUCAAACUGAUGACUCAAGCCCAUAGCAAUACUGGAGAACACUAAAACAGUAGUUUGGAUAUCCAAAGGAUGUCAUUUUAUCCCUUCUUAGUCGACAAUGAGAAAUCAAAUAUUACCAUGUUUCUAUGCAAGCAUGGAUGGCAGAAGAAGACAGAGAGGCAGACAAAGGUGGACCUGUAAGUAGCUUGUUUUGGAAAUGCAAUUUCAGGGGAUGGGCAAAUGAUAACAACAACUGUGCCAGAGUUUAAAAAAGAAGAAGACGAAGGAAGAAGAAAACUGGAUAUUACAUGUUCUUGCUACCUAACUCCCCUUGCUCCAAUAUGCCAUGUUUCUAAGCAAGAUGGGAGAAGUGGGGCUGCACAGUGGCUAAUUGAGAAGAAUGUGGUUGUACAUGUAAUUUAAUUUUACUAGGAAAUCCAUGAUAGAUAAAAAGACAAAACUACCAUUUUUGUAUUUUUUUUCUUAAAACCUUUUUUAUUAUUGAUUUGUCUUUUUCCUUUUUCUCAACUAACAAUUUUUUUUAUUGUAAUUUUUUAGUUUGGAUGAUAUUUAAACUAACUAUUGUUGUGGUUUUGAUUACAUGGAAAAGAAAGUGGUGAUACAUGUAAUUUUCACCCUUUUUUUUUUUUCAAUUAGUUAACAAUUGAUAUGAGUUAAAAGUAAAAAUUGCAAUCUUUUCUUUACAUCAAUUUCUCUGAUCUUUUGUUUUUAUUUUCAUAUAUCAUUUCUUCUAUUGGUUAUUUAAUUAAAAGAAUUAAAAAAAAUCACAUAUUCAUACAAAUAUAACUUUUUUUUGGAUAAAAAUAUCCUCCAACAAUAUCUUCGAUAUCCCUAUUUUACAUACAAACACUUUUUUUUAAAAUAAAUAAAUAAAUAAGGGUAAAAAUGUCAAACUGGGAUUAUAUUUAUAAUUUUCAAUAAUUGAGGUUAAUUUUCCAAAUGUAAAAAUUAUCUCGUCACUUUGGCACAAAUACUUCUUUCUUUUAUGUAUUGUUUUAUUCAAAAUAUUAAACACAUUACUCUCAAGGUUACUAUUUAUUAUGAAUGGUGUUCACAUUUAAAUAUAGCUAACACCAUAAAAAAUUAAUAUUAUUAGGACAAUGUGAUCACUUAAAUAUUUUUUUUUAUUUAUCACACCGACUUUAUUUUUUUACACAGCCAAUAUAAUUUAUAUUGGUAUAAGGUAUUAGUAGGACUUUGAACCAGAACUGCAGUCAUCUCAAAAACUAUAUUAUAUAGAAAAGCAAAAUAAAAACAUUAGUUAAAACAAAUGUCAAGAUCCUUGAAAUCACGUUUCAAUAUGUUAAAUUACCAUUUUUUUAAAUAAAUAUUUUAUAGGUUGUGUGAAUAAAUAUAAUUGCUAUGAAGGGUUUCAAUUUAAUUUUACUAGCAAAUCCAUAAUAGGUGAAAAGACAAAACUACCAUUUUUGUUUUUUUUUCUUUAUUUACUUUUUUUCUCUCGUAACCUUACUCCUUCCUCCUUUUUGUUUUUUCCUUUUUUAUUAUUAAUUUGUCUUUUUCCUUUUUCUCAACUAACUAUUUUUUUUCUUGUAAUUGUUAUUAUCAUUCUUAUUAUAAAUAUUAUAACCUUAUAUUAUAAAUUUUUAGUUUAGAUUAUAUUUAAACUAACUAAUGUUGUGGUUUUAAUUGACAUGGAAAAGAAAGUGGUUAUACAUGUGAUUGUCGCCUUUUUUUUUUUUAAAUUAGUUAACUAUUGAUACAAGUUAAAAGUAAAAAUUGCAAUCUUAUCUUUACGUCAAUUUCACCGAUCUUUUGUUUUUAUUUUCAUGUAUCAUUCCUUUUUUUUGUUGGUUAUUUAAUUAAAAAGAUUAAAAAAAUCACAUAUUCACAAGAAUAACCUUCAUAUUUUAAAAACAUAAAAUAAAUAUUUUUUUUAUUUUAUAAAAAUACCCUCCAACUAUAUUUUUUAUAUCCAUAUUUCAAAUGCAAACACUUCUUUUAAAAAUAAUAAUAAUAAAUAAGGGCAAAAAUGUCAAACUGGGAUUAUAUUUAUAAUUUUCAAUAAUUAGAGGUCGUUUUUCCAAUGUAAAAAUUAUUUUGUUCCUUUGGCACAAAUAUUUCUUUCUUUUAUGUAUUUUUUUAUUCAAAAUAUCAAACACAUUACCCUCAAGGUUACUAUUUAUUAUGAAUGGUGUUUACUUACAUAACGACAAAUUCAAUUUUUUUGGAAUUUUUUAAUGUUAAAAUAAUUUGGAGCUUAAUAGGCAAAAAAAAAAGAAUAAAUAAUUAGAAAAGCAAUUCAAAAAAAUAAAAUUUAUCCUCUUAAAUUGGUUUUAUGUAAUACUAUAGAAGCCAUUUCUUGAGUUUGAAAUGGUAGAAUUCGGAUUCAUAUUUAUUUUAAAAUCAAGAAAUUCAAGUGUUGGUAGCAUCAAUAGAAUCUUAACAAAUUUGCAAAAAAAAUAUUUAGGUAGAUUACAUUUAAAUAUAUAGCUAACAGAAUAAAAAAUUAAUAUUAUUAGGAAGACAUGAUCAAUUAAAUCUUUUUUCUUAUUUAUGACACUGAUUUUAUAUUUUUACAUAGUCAAUAUAAUUUAUUACAACUUAUAUGUCAUUAAAUUAUACACGUUUAUAUUAAAUAUAAUAUAAGAUCAUUAAUGGAAUGAUUAUGCAAGUAAUAUAAAUUGUAUAUAAUAUAAAAAAUUUAAACUCCAUCAAACUAAUGGAAUCUAUUAUAAUAAGUAGACUAGACACCAUGUUGGCCCGAGUUGGAGGCCUGGGCCAGAUUUUAAAGGCUGGGCGUUGAGUUGCCCGUGGGCCUGAGCCAAGGCCUUCUAUUGGUAUCAUCAUUUUGAAGAAAUAAAUUGCUGAUACAGAGAAAAAAACUAUACUAAAUAGAAAAAUAAAUAAAAGCAUUGACUAAAAUGAAGGUCAAGGUCCUUGAAAAAUAAUCUUUAAAUUGUUGUAUAUAUAAUUUCAAUAAUGCAUAAAUAAUUGCAAUAUAUAUGAUGUGAUAAAGAAUUUGGAAUUAAAAGAAGAUUGAUCUAUUUUAAAUGUGGUUGGAAUAUUUCUAAAUUUGUGAUGGGAAGUUAGACAGCCAAUUAGGGAUCCAUAUUAUUUAUUUUCAAUGAUAUGAAUUUAUUUACUUUUAUUAAUAUUCUUAAUGCAACAAUAUAAAAUAUGUCAAUUUUCUAAAAUUAAAAAAGUAAUUGUAAAAGAAUUUUUAUAAUUAUUUUUCUGAAAUUGAGUUUAUUAUAACAUUUUUAUUUACAUAAAUUUCUUUUUCUUUCUUUUUUUUAAAAUGAGAUAUGAAAAAAAAGAUCAAUAUUAGUAAAAUUAAAACCCAAUAUAUAUAUAAAAAAAAUGAAUAAAUGUUUAUGAAAUAAGAUUUAAAAGUGAGAAGGUAAUAAAUUUUUUCUCUUUUAAUUCCUAUUCAAUUCAUUACAAAAAAUAUUUUUGGUUUUUAUGCUAAAAUUUAUUGUUUAUUAAAAAAUUCUAGUAUAUCUAGCUAUCAUAGAAGAGCUCCAAAAUUUUAUUGUUUAAGAGAAUAUGUGUUGCCACUUUAAAAGAUUUAUAUGCAAAAGGGAUUGAUAUUUUUUUCCUUUGGAUAUGUUUAGUUCCCGGAAAAUUUGAGGGAAAAUGUGAGGGAAGAAAAAUAGAGAAGAAAAGUAUAACGAAAUAAAAAAUGAAGAAAAAUGAAAAAUAGAUUUAAAGUUAAUAAAUUAUUUUUAUUGGUUUUUUCAAACUUAUUUUACUUAUUUUAUUCUAUUAAAUAAAGAUUAACUAAUUUUAAUUAUAUUUGGUUUGAUUUUUAUUAUUUUUCAAAGCAAAACCAAAUAUGAAAAAAAAAAACAUUUUUUUUGGUCAUUUUUUUCUUUCCUUGUUACUUUUCAGGACUCAAACAUAGCUUUUAGAUUUGGAGCAUAGAAAGAUAAGAGUAUUAAAUAAAGGUUCUAUAUAUGCCCAUGCCCAUGCCCAUGAUACCAUUGAAAAAAAUGGACAGAGAGUGAAACCUUUACUAGAUGAUAAAUUAUUCUCUUCAAUGGAAAUCAAAUAUAAUUAUUUGUAUCUUGUAUUAAUUGAAUGUUAUACCCCAUAAACUCAAAAUUAAAAUAAAUAAAUAAUUUAAAAACUAGGACAAUCCCAUUUUGUUUUCAAUUUCUUAAAAAGAAAUUAAAUUACAUUUAUUUUAUCUAUUUUCAUCCCUACCCAAAAAAAUAAAAAAUAAAAAAUAACAAGGUAGGACAUGUAUGAGAAAUUCUCACACUAACUCUCUCUAGCUUAUUUUUUAUUUAUUUUUUUUUAAAAAAUCAAUUUCUUUUAAAAAAAAAUUAAACUAUAUAAAAAAUAAAUAUAAUUUAAAAUAAAAAAAUUAAACAAUUUUUUUUAAGAAAAGUAAAUUUCUUAUUUUAUAUAUGUUAAAAAUAAAUAUAAUCUUUUUAUAUAUAUAUAUAUAUAUAUAUAUAUAUAUAUAUAUAUAUAUAAUCGGGUAAGGUAGAGUGGGACAAAGAAAUAAUCCCCUUUGUUUCCAAUCUGAAUUUUUAAAAUAUAAAAUAAAAGUCUUAAACUCAUCCCUAAUCCAUUUAUUUUUAAUCCUAAACUUGUCUUAUUAAGAAUAAGGCAAAGUGAGUACAUGAAAACACUUCUUUUAUCAUCAUCUCUACAAGUUCUAAUGUUUAAACUGCAAUCCAUAUCAAAGAUUUAUAAAGAAAGGACAACGAUGAAUUUCAUAAACAUUUGAAAGCAUAUACAAAGUUUUAAAUAAUAUUGCUCGAGGUGCAAAUAUUAUUUGGCACACAUGUUGAGGGACUUCAACUAGUUUUUUACACUAGUAAGUAAUCUUGAAUAUCUAGAGUAACUUGAUCAAAAUCUCUUUAAUUUUAUUUUCUUUGAUGGUUGUAUGAUGAAUUAGAAUGCUUAUAUAACAUGAUUAAAAAAUUUAAGAAAAAAAACUAAGAAGAAAGAAAGAAGCACCGAUCUUCCAAAUAUUGCUUCCACUUUAAUAUCUAGAAGGCUCCAAGAAAAGAACUUUACUCAUGAAUCAUAACCCAAGUCGAAAAUAAAUUGAACCCGUUUUCUAAGUUAAAUUUUGAAUUUUUUACUAGUGAAUGCAAAUUGGGAAAAUGUAUAUAAAUAUAAUUGAUUACUACUCAAAAAGUGUUAUUUGAUAGCUUGUAAUAAACUCUUUUAAACACUUUUGAGUAGUACUUAUUGCCUUUUAACCCAAUUAACAUGUUAAGGAUCCUUGCAAUCAAUUUUAAUCAAAUUGUGUUAAGUUUUGGUGUUUUGAUAGUCUUUUGAUCACCAAAGCAAUUCGAGAUUGAGGAGAGUUAUAUGGAAUCUUGGGCAAAGCAAUUGGAAGCUCAGAAACAUGAAGAACUAAAGCUUUGAAGCCCUUUGCCAAGAGUAAAUCCGGAAUGCAAGGAGAAGAAGUAAAGAGAAUCUGCCAUGAAGCAUAUUCUUGAUGACAGUCGUGUCAGCCACUUUUGGAGUACUUUCUAAAGUCCAAUUGAUGCAUACUAUAUACCAUUUCAAAUCUCAGGAAGUCAAAAAUCCAAUGCUUCAAACGGUGUACAAUUCGGAGUUGAAACGAAGAAGUUACAGCCAUUGCAAGUCAAUCACUCUAAGCUGAAGGAAGCAUUUUGCAAAGUGUUGCGAAAUCACCCUUUUGUUGCGAAGUGAUUUCGCAGCCUUUUUGUACAGUGUGGUGGAUUUCCUCCUAAAGUUGCCUGAUAUAUGCGACAAGUUGGAAGCUGAGAACCUCAAGAUGAAAGCCAACUUCGCAGCCUUGCGAGAAUAGCCUUUUGCUGCGAAGUGAUUUCGCAGCCCUUUUUGGAUGUCUGCGAAAUCUCGUAGACAUCAUUUUCUCUUGCGAAAUGGUCCUUAGUGCGUCCCGAUAUUUGCUACCGACAUUGGGAGAUAUUUUCCAUCAGAUUUUUGUUGUCUAAAUCCCAAAAUUCUCCUUGUAAGCCACCAAUUACAAGAUUCCUUAGCUUUUAAGUUAGUAAAAAGAGUAAAUAUCCAUGUAAUAAUUAGUUUUGUAUUAUGUUCAUAUAUAUACCUCUCGAGAGCCUGUUCAGAGAGGAGGAGACCCUUUGUAAAGUUUUGGAAAAGCAAGUAAAGUUCAGGUCCUUUGUUUUGCCUUACCUUCUCACUUUGUAUUUUUCAAUUUUUACUAAGUUAUGCACUCUCUGAGGAAUUUUCCCCAGAGAAUGAGUAACUAAACCUUUAGUUCCUUGGAGCUAAGGUUGCCGGGGAAGGUUCCAAGUGCAAGGAUGCAAAGCUUUGUGGUUUCAGCCAUGAAUGAAGAGGAAGUGAAGUCCUUUAGUGAUUUCUAUGUUUUUAGUUAACUUAAAACACCUUAGAGUCACCUGGGCCAACACUUGGUAAGGCAAGUGAUCUCCGACCAUGGAGAUGCACUAGUUUACCCCUUGCGAGCCUCUGGUAGGUGACUUUAAGGUAGGAUUUUCUGGAAUUGCCAACACUUGGUAAGCUUUUGGACUCCAAGGAGACAUCCAUUAGUUAUCUCUUGCGAGCUUGAGAAGGGAGGUCCAAGGUUAAAGAUCACCUUGAAUGGUUAAGGCUUAGUGAGAGGCUUGAACCAUUGCAAGUUGCAUCAGUGAGAGAAUUAAAGUUGAAAUCUAAUUAAAGGAUGUAUCUAUACAACACCGGUUAGAGAAUUGACUAUAUGUUGAAUCUCUAACGCGAGGAAAUGAACCAUCUGACCGGAGCUAUGUCUUUUGCAUGAGGAACCACCCUAGUGAACCUGACCCUCCAAGGAAUGUUUUUCUUCCUAAGUUAUUCCCAUUACUUGUUUUGUUAGUUGGUUUGAAUCUAAAUCUUUACCAAUCAAGGUUUGAGUUUUAUUUCUUAAGCUAACCUUGAAAUGAAACACUACCAAUUCACUUUGAAUUGAUAUUAUUGAUAAUUUGCUAAUCCUUCCCAGUGAACGAUCCUAGAGUCGCUAUGCUAUAGUAGCUUUUUCUUUGCUACCCAAGUAUAUGGUGUAAUAGGUUAUAAAUUUUGUUGAUUACUCCCUCAUCCAAGGAGCACCAGCUGGACACAAAUCAGCUAAGACACCAAUUGGGCACAAAUCAAUAAUUAAACUAGAAUAGUAGGUUAGGUUUGUAGGUGGAGUUUGUUUGAAUUGUUGGAACUUCUAAGUCGUUGUGGGUCUAGUGGUCCCAUAGCUCUCUAUUAAUUUCCACCAUCAAUUUUCUGCAAUAAAGUCAAGUCAUUCCUAAUCCCUAUAUUAAGUUGGCCUUAAAAGUCAAGUCAUUGAUCAUAGUUACAUUCAUGAAUCACAACCCAAGUCGAAAAUAAAUUGAACCCAUUUUUCAAGUUCAACUUUGAAUUUUUUACUAGUGAAUGCAAAUUGGGAAAACAUAUAUAAAUAUAAUUAAACUAAAAUAGUAGAUUAGGUUUGUAGGUGGAGUCUGCUUGAAUUGUUGAAACUUCCAAGUCAUUGUGGGCCCAAUGGUCCCAUAGCUCUCUAUUAAUUUCCACCAUCAAUUUUUUGCAAUAAAGUCAAGUCAUUCCUGACCCCUAUAUUAAUUUGGCCUUAAAAGUCCAGUCAUUGAUAGCUAAAUCCCAACCCAAGUCAAAAAUAAAUUGAACCCAUUUUCUAAGUUCAACUUUGAAUUUUUUUAAUUGGAAAAAUGUAUAUAAAUACAAUUAAACUAGAAUAGUAGAUUAGGUUUGUAGGUGGAGUCUGCUUGAAUUUGUGAAACUUCCAAGUCAUCGUGGGUCUAGUGGUCUCAUAGCUCUCUAUUAAUUUCCACCAUCAAUUUUCUGCAAUAAAGUCAAGUCAUUCCUAACCCCUAUAUUAAUUUAGCCUUAAAAGUCCAGUCAUUGAUAGCUACGUUCAUGAAUCCCAACCCAAGUCAAAAAUAAAUUGAACCCAUUUUCCAAGUUCAACUUUGAAUUUUUUACUAGUGAAUGCAAAUUGGGAAAACGUAUAUAAAUAUAAUUAAACUAGAAUAGCAUAUUAGGUUUGUAGGUGGAGUAAGCUUGAAUUGUUGAAACUUCCAAGUCGUCGUGGGUCUAAUGGUCCAAUAGCUCUCUAUUAAUUUCCACCAUCAAUUUUUAUGAAUUAAGAUUUAAAAGUGAGAAGGGAAUAAAUUUUUUCUUUUUCAAUUCAUUACAAAAAAUAUUUUUGGUUUCUAUGCUAAAAUUUAUUGUUUAUUCAAAAAAUUGAAGUAUAAAAAAAAUAUAUAUAUCUUGCUAUCAUAGAAGAACUCCAAAAUUUUCGUGUUUAAGAGAAUAUGUGUUGCCACUUUAGAAGAUUUAUAUACAAAAGGUAUUGAUGUUUCUCCUUUGAUUAUGUUUGGUUCCCAUAAAUUUGAUGGAAAGAAAAUAAAGAAGAAAAGUAGUAAAAAAAAAAAAAAAAAAAGGAAAAUAAAAAAUAGUCUUUAAGUUAAUAAAUUAUUUUUUAUUAUAGAAAAAAUGGGUGAGAGAAAAAAAACCUUUAUUAAAUGAUAAUUUUUUUUUUCAAUGGAAAUCAAGUAUAAUUAUUUUUAUAAUAAUUACUUUAUUUAAAUAAAAAAAACAUAGGAGAGAUGAUUAUUAGGAGGGGUGGGACCACCCAGUAAUUUUUUUUAAAAAAAUUUUGUUAUGAAAAUUGUUAUUGGUAAAUGAAAAUUGUGAAAAACCUACUAAUGCUAAUACUUUUCACCACAUAAUUAAAUAUAAUAAACUAGAAUAGUGAUUCAUUGAUGUCUUAUAAAGCUACAUGCCUUCUUUGACUUGUUAGUUGAUUUUUGUAGGUGGAGUCCAUUUCCAUUUGAAUUGUUGAAACUUCCAAAUCCUUGUGGGUCUAGUGGUCUCUCUAAUAAUUCCCACCAUUAAUUUUUUGUGAUGAAAUGCAGUCAUUGAUAGCUACUAUAUCAAUUUGCUAUUAAAAGUCAAGUCAUUGAUAACUACUAUUCAAUCUUUUUCAAUAUGGAAAUUGGAAUCUCUAGCACUACUCUUCUCAUUGUUCAUUUUCAGGUAAUGUGAGAAUGUGUGAACAUAAAUGUCUUCUAAUCAACCAAUUUUUUUUGAAAAAAACAUGUACAAAAUUGCAAAACUUGCAAAAUCAAACUUUCUUGUUGAAUAACCAUAGCUUGAUGGUUUUGAAGAAUCAAAGGAUGAAUCAUAAAAGGGUAUUUGAUAAAAAAUAAAAAGUAAAAAAAUUAAAAGACAACUACUCCCUUAAGUGUAAUAAGUGUAUUUGGUAGCACAAAUUUCCUACCACUUAUUAUUUUUUCCUUUCUUAAAAAAUUAUUUACUCUAUUAAAUAAACUAACCUUGGCUUAUCACUUAUAGCAAAAUAGGUUAAGUAGUUUUUAAAAUUUUAUAAUAUUAGAUUUACAUUUUUAUCCUUCAAAAUUUCAUUAAUGCUAGAUUCUUCUAUAUGCUUAACUAAUAAAUAAUUUUUAGCAUUUUUCUUUUCUUAUAAACAUAAAAAAAAUAAAAAUAUUAUUAACUUAUUGGUAUAUUUUAAAAUUUUAAUUAGAUUUAAGCUUUUAUUUGUCUGGAUUACCAAUUAUACAUAUAAAUCCUUUAUUAUUAUUGUUAUUAUUGAAAGAAAGGGGUUGAAUAGGUAGUCCCUCAAUCCCCAAAUUAAAUUCUUUAUUGCCUACUUUUGGUUUAUUCCUUUACAUGAAUUCCUUGGUGAGAGUAAACAUUUCAUUAAUGGAUAAAUAAAAUUGAUUCCAUAUCAUAGGGUAUAAUGUGGAAAAAUCACCAGUCUCAUGUGUUCCUUAGUGGAUCCUUUGGAGCCCUUAUCAAAGUUUCAUGAUGAAACCAUUGACUUUUGUUUAACCCAAAUGUGCUUUCAAGACAAAUCUUGAAAGAUUUGAGAGAUGGAGGUUCAAGUCUUUUAUGAAUGACCAUGUUCUCUUAGGGUUCAUGAAAAUUCACACCUUUUGAUAAAUAAAACUUAUCUAUUUAUACGUCUAAAACCCAGUAUUUAUUUAUUUAAUUAUAGAAAGUUUCUUAGUUUUAAAAACAUUUCAAAAAUCAUUUUUAGAAUCAAAUAACAAUUUUAGAGAUAAACACAAUAUUAAAAUUUAACAAAAACAAAAUUUCAAAUUAAAAACACAAUAUAAACUAAAUUAUAAAAUAUAAAGUAAUUUUUAUCCUAAUUUCUUGUUGUAAAACCAAAUGGAACACCUAGAAGGGGAGUGAAUGAGAGAUUUUAAAUUUUUUCAAUAAUGAUUAUAAGUUAUACCCAAUUCUUUUAUCCUGCGAGUUGUUAGGGACUAUCAAUUCUUUCCUUUUGGCAAUUCAAACAAUAUAUCAAAUAAUAAAAAGAUAUAAAUAAUGAGACAUAAAGAUUUUUACGUGGAAAACCCCCCACACUAACCAUGGAGAUAAAAAGUCAUGGAGUCUAAGACCUAUUAAUCUAAAUUCAUGGUAUGAAAUCAAGUUACACAAAUUUAUUUGGCAGCUUUACCUUAAAGACUUACUCUCUGGUACUGUCAACUUGAUUCACGUCCAUGAUGUAGCAACCCUCGAUUACUCCAAUGGAUCACUUCAAGCUUACUGAAAGGAUGAAGGCCUUCAAACCAAGAUUCAAAAAUCAAUUCCUUAAAUGAGAGAUCAAGAAUGGUGUGCCACUUUAGGCUUUCUCUCUAAGAUCUUUAAAAUGCUCUCCUCAAUGAAAACCUCUUAAACAAAAUGAGAUAUUUCUCCACAAUCUCUAACCCUCAAGGGGUUAUAAUGAGAUAUUUAUAAGAAACUAAGUUGAAGAGUUUCAGUUUUGGAAGGUUUCUCAAUUGAAUUUGUAUGAAAAACUCGGUAGAAUCAACAUGACCGCUUGAGCCAACACACUUCCCACUUGAGCGUUUCGGACACUUGAGCGGUAAGGCUCGCUUGAGUUGUCCUAAGCACUUGAGCAUUCCAGGCUACUUGAGCAAUCUUGCUCUAUUUCAAAAGUUAAUUUUAAAUCAUUGUAAGUUCAAAACAAAAUUGAUUCCCUUUAUACCUCAAAGGAGCCUAACUUGCCACAAACCAAACCUUUUUAGAUAUACUUGUGACUUCCUGGUUGGACGAAUAACAACUCUUAAUCUUCAAUGGAGAGCAAGUCACUAUCUAAAAAGAUUUAUAUGGUCAAACAUAAAAAAACAAAAAAAUUGCCAACAUAACAACAAGACGCAAUGUCCUAACAAUCUCCCCCUUUGGCAAUUUUAUGACAAAAACAACGUUACAUAAACCCACCUGAACUCUCAUAAUGGAGUUUAAUAAUACACAAUAACGUUCAAUUAAAAAUAAACUAAGGGAAUACUUUGUAUCACUUUGUAGUAUUUGUCUUCCAACUUUGUAACCUACACACAUAUAGAAAACUAUACCAAAGGUAAAGCAAUGUGCAGGAUAAGAUAUGAUCAAGAAAGCAAAAUAGGAUAAUUGGAAAUUUUGCUUGAUGCCUUGUGAAAGCAUGAAAAAAGAACAAAUUCAUUUAGUAAUACCAAGGGACAAAGCAAAACUCGAGAAGAAUAUAUAUGUAUGCAAAUCAACCAAACAUAAUAAAAGCUACAUAAGAUGCAAUAGGUCAAUAAUAAUGCCUAGGGGUCUAUCUCCAACCAGAAAAUAGGGAGUGAAGAUCAUAGGAAGAACCUUCUAUGACUUAGAAAGGUUCUAGAGAGAUAGUCAAUUCAAACAUAAAUAUCUUGUUGGAAACAUCUAUGUUAUGUAUCUUUCUAAACCUUCUAAGUUAUGCUUUCAUCAGUUGAUUUGGUUUUUCUCCAAUGUCUCAGGUUUAAUUCCCUCUAAUAUUUGAAUUAGAGAGAAAUUGGUAGUCGAUUGACUUAGUGGGUGUUUGGUAAAACUUAAUACUUAUUAUUUAAUGAUUAACUUUAAGUUAAAUUGUUCUUUAAGUUAUUAAUUUAAAAUUUAUUACUUAUUCUGUAUUUAAGUAUUAAGGUUAUUUGAAAAAAUCGACUUAAAAUUUAUCCUAAAUCAUCAAAUUGACACAUUUACCCUUAUUAAUUUUAACUUAUAUUUAUUUUCAUUAAUUUUAAACAAUAAAUUUAUUCAUAAAACAUCUAUAUUUUUGUAGAUACAUAAUAACCAUAAAAUAUUUACUAUAAAAAAUGAGUCAUGGAUGUAGAAUUAUAAUUCUAAAAUAUACACUUAUGAGUGUGGGUAAAUAAGGCAAAAAUGAUUUGAGAUUAAGAGUAAAGUUAAUUAUUUUGACUUAAGACUUCAAGUUAAAAAUAACUUUAAGUUGCAAUAUUAAGUUAUUUUUAUCAAACAUGCUUAAUUUACUUAAUGACUUAAAUUAAGUUAUUAAGUUGAUUUAUCAAACACCCCACUAGUAGUAUGUUGAAAAUGAAGAGCAUCCAUAGCAGAUAAUGUAUAUGUAUUUGUGUUUAGAGUAGAAGGGCACUACGACAAUGGACUUGCAUGUGAUUUGGUCACGAUAUGAUUUUGGUGAGAAUAUUUUAUCAUCUUUAAAAUAUUGUUAUAUGAAAUGCUAGACUAUGUUAGUAAAUAAUAGUUAUGUUAGUAGAAAUGAAAGUUUGUUUUAUAAUGCAUUGACCAUCCUAACACAUGUACUUAAUUAUCAUUAGUAGUUAGACAUGUAUUCCUUUUUUUCAAAUUUUUUUCUUCUUUUUAAAUACAUUCUAGUGGUACUUUGCCUUAUGACUUAAUUUUUGUUACACUUACUACUUUUGGUUUUAGUCAUAUUUUGUUUUAUUAGUAUUUUCAUUUUGUGUUACAAUUUUAUUUAGUUUCUCUAUAUUCUCUUUUGGAUGGUGAUUUCACUUCAAAUUUUAAUUCAAAUUAAGCUUAUUGUCCUCUUAGUAAGCCUUUUCUAGGCGAGUUGUUAUAGAAAAUUAAACAAACCUCUCCUAAGGUUGGCCUUGUUACAUAGACUUCUUUUCUAUUUUGAAAUAUUAUAUUGACCUCCUUUGUUAGAUAUUGGUUUUUACGAUUACUAAGAAUGCUUCUUAAUCAUUAUUAAGGACGUCUUCUUUCUCCAAUUUUCUUCUUCCUCCUCCAUACAUGCUAAUUUGCAAAAAUUUAUACCCAUUAUUUAAAUGAAAUUUUUCGAAAUAAAUUAAAACCUUCCUUAUUUGAUAUUAUAGUAACCUAAUUUAAAUAAAAUAUUUUGAAAUAAAUUAGAUAAAAAAAAAACUUGUCAUCAUUCUAACCCAAAUCAAAUUUUAAAGAAUAAUUAAAUAUUUCAAGUCUCAUUUUGUCUCAAUAUCACCUUUGCUAAUCAACCUAUCCAAUCUUAGAUCAAACUCAAAUUGCAAUCAAAUUUUGACAAGAAAAAAAUCUACUUAAGACUGAAUAAGAAAACUUGUGGAAAGAGUCUCAUCAAGAAGGUGCAUGAAACCCUCAGUUCAAAAACUUCUUCUAAAAUAAAAUUAAAAAGAAAAAAAGAAAAGAAAGAUAUUCAAUGUUAAAGGACUUUUAAGAUAAAUCAAAAUUUGAAAAUGAAUGUUAAUACUUGCAAUAGAUUCCACAUUCAUGAAUAAAUUACCGUUGCACCACUUAUUUUCAAUUCACACUUUAAUUUACUAUCCAUAGAAACUUUCAUUAAAUUUUCCAUAAAACAAACAAAGAGCCUUAACCCCCAAAUAUUUUAAUUCUUAAAAAUACAUCAUUUCAUCAAUUUUUUAAACCCUCAUUUUAACACAAAUUAAUUUUUUUACAAAUUAUUAAAAGAAUAAAAAGAAAAUUAAGAAGAGGUUGUCAUUAUUAUUCUUGCAAAGUCACCACAAAAUAAAUUAUAAAAAAUAUAGAAAAUAAAAUAAUAUGACGAUGAAGAUGCUGCUUAGAAAGUUAGAAUGAGGAAGAUAAUAUCAUUUAGAUGAUUUAGGUUAAGAUGAGGACUAGAUAAGGAAAGUGACAUCAAUUGCCUAAUUAUUUGGGGUUUUAGAGAUACAAAAUGAGGGAGAUCACUAAAAUUAUGGUUUAAUUAUUUUGGUUAAGGAUUAUUAAGUUAUUUUAAGGAAUUAAUUAAUUAAUUUAUAAUAAAUUUAGAAAUUAAUUAAAAGUUAAUUAUAAUAAUUAUUGAUUCAUAGUUUAAUUUAAAGCUAAUUUGAAUAAAAGAUGAAAAACUGAAAGUCCAUUAGGGUUCCACCUAGAGAGGGGAGAGGAGGUGGAUGAUUUAAAAAUUUUCAAUAAAGAUCUAUAUGUUAUAUCCAAUUUUAUUUUACCCUGUGAGAUGUUAGGGAUAACCUUUUCUACCAAUCUUAGGUAAUUGAAACAAAAUAUCAAAUAUAAAAGAUAAGAACAAUAAGGUAUGCGAUUUUUAUAUGGAAAAUCCUCACACUAACUAUGACGAUAAAAACCACGAGGUCUAAGACCUAUUAAUCUAAAUGCACUAGAUGAAAUCAAGUUACACAGAUUUACUUGACUGCUUUACCUUAAAUAUUUACUCUCCGGUAGGUACAAGUUGAUUCAUGUCCACAACAUAGCAACCCUUGAUUGCUCCAGUGGAUCACUUCAGUUUCCUUGAAGGGAUGAAGGUCUUCAAAAUAAUAUUUAAAGAACAAAUCCUUGAAUGAGAAAUUGAGAAUGGUGUGGCAAUCUAGGAUUUGUCUUUAGAAGACCCUUUUUAGAGAAUAAAGUCUCUCAACAAUCUAUCUCCAAUCUCUUCAAGAUCUCUUACCCUCAAGGGGUUAUAAGGGAGGUAUUUAUAGACAAAAGUUUGAAGAGUUUCGAUUUUGGAAGGUUUCUUAAUUGAAAUUUCGUGAAAAACUUGGUAGAAUCAACAUGAUUGCUCGAGCCAACUCACCCAUCGCUUGAGCGCCUCAAGCACUUGAGUGGUAUGGCUCACUUGAGUGGUCCUAAGUUCUUGAGUAGUCUUUAGUGCUUGAGCGCUCUAGGACACUUGAGCAGUCUUGCUCUCUUUCAAAAAUCAAUUUUAAAAUCUUUUUAAGUUCAAAACAAAAUUGAUCCUCUUUAAUACCUCAACAUAGCCUUAUUAACAUAAGUCAAACCUCUUUAAACAUGUGACUUCUCAAUUGGACAAACAACAACCCUUGAUCUUCAAUGAAGAGUAAGUCACUAACUAGAAAGACUUCUAUGACCAAACAUUACAAAGAACAAAAUAGCCAACAUAUAGGCAAGACUUAUUGUCUUAACAAUCUCUCCCUUUGACAAUUUUGUGACAAAAAAUCGUUACAUAAACCCACUUGAACUCUCAUAACGGAGUUUACAUAACACACUUUAAUGCUUAAUUAAAACUAAAUUAAGGGAAAGCUUUGUAUUAGUUUAUAGUACUUAUAUUUCAACCCUGUAACCUACACACAUACAAAAAACUAUGCUAAAGGUAAAGUAGUGUGAGGGAUAAAGUGAUGUUGAGAAAGCAAAACAGGAUAGUUGGAGGUUUUGCUUGAUGACUUGUGAAAACAUGAAAAUGGAACAGAUUUUUGUAGAGACACUAAGGCACAAAGCAAAGCUUGAGAGGAAUAUAGAUACACACAAAUCAGGAAAACAUAAUAGAAGCUUGAUAAGAUACAAUAGAUCAAUAAUAAUGCUUAGAAGUCUAUCUCCAACCAGAUAAUGGGUAGUGAAAACCAUGGAAAGAAGCUUCUAUGACUCAGAAUAGUUCUAGAGUGAUAAAUAGUUUAAACAUAAAUAUCUUAUAAGAAACAUUCGUGUUAGGUAUCUCUUUAAACCAUCUAAUUUAUGCUUUCAUCAGUUGAUAUGGUUUUCUCCAAUUUCUCAAGUUUAAUUUCCUCUAAUAUUUCAAUAAUUUCCCUUAAUGGAUGAAUGAAUGAAUGAAUUGAAUUAAAGAAUUCAAAAUUUUUAACUCAUAGUCACUCCCCUUAAAUUACAAUCAAUACAAUAAUUCAAAUCAAGUAUACAAAAACAUAAAUAAUAGAACAUUUAUGCAUUAGGUGGCGGUAGAGAGAUAGAGCUUGAAGCGCCCUGAGAAUGGAUACAUGAAAAGAUGUAGUUAAGUUAUCCCUAAAUCUCUCGGAGUUGGAGAUCCUAAGAGUCCAUCUUUUGAUGAAGUCGAGCCAUGGAAUUUAGAGCCUCAUGGGCAUUGGGUCUACAGAAGUAAAAGCCUUGUGUGUAGCUCGGGAAGAACUAACACAACCUCAACUCUAGAGUGAGUCCUCGGAGCAGACUCUAAAUAGUCUGUCUCUAGAAUUCCACCCUGCUCCAUAGCUCGAAGCUCAUCCUCCUGGACAACUGCCUCUGCAUGCUGGCCUACAUCAUGUGGUUCAUAAUCUGGAAUAGCCAUCAAACUGUAUACAUGAAUGUAGUGCUUGGCCCAGGAACUCCCAUCCAAAAAGGCAUGGGUAGCCUAGACCCCUAGUGUAGGAUCAAUCUUAAAUCCCACAUCCUCGAGCAUCCGCGUGAUGAGGAGGGUAAAGGGGAGAGUGCCUCCUCUAAAGGAUAAACCACGAAGGGGAAUGAUUGUAUCCAGGAUGACCUAGCCAAUGUCAAAUUGUUAGCUUGAGAGAAUGGUGUGAAUAAAGUGAGCAGAUGGUCAAUGGAUUUGGGUGCAGUGUGUAAAUGGGUAGAAGGAGUAAGUGAAGAAUGUGGCAAACAACUAUGUUAACUUGGAGAAGCCAAAAAUCGGGAUAUAAGAAGGAAAGGGGCAAAGACUGCCAUAAAGAGAAGUCAGAAUGGUGUCAAGUUUCUCUUGGGUGAGAGCCUGAACCUCUAGGGAAAACGAAGGAAUGAGAGCCUCAAUUUGCGACUUGCUAAGGACACAUUGAAUGGAAUGGGAGGAAAUAAGGAAAAAUUGACCAUGCAUGGUCACCUGAAAGGUGACUCCGACCACAAUAUAAUGCAUGUUCUCAUAGAACAUGUGAACAAGAUGGGGAUAGGAAGUCCCCUAGAGAGAAAACAAAGUCUCCUAACCCUACUCUUGAAUGAUGAUAGGGAAGACAGUGUCCUGAAAAGCUUAGAGGUUAAUGGCAUGCUCAGGCUCGACACACUGAUAUGUGAAAGAAGCGUAAUAAUGGUCCUGUGCCACCUGGCAGUGAAAGCGCUCAACCGGAAGUGCAUCUAGGUUAAAAAGACCCUGGAGUGGGAUGCCCUAGACGGUUUCAGUGACCUAGGAAAGGUCACCUCCCUUUGACAUCUAUGACUAGCCAUAUCUAAGGUAUAUAAUAUGAAAAAACAAAAGCUAAAGAAAAUCCAGAGAAAAGCUAAACCACUAAAAAUGUUAAACUCAAUGCGUCAAACAAUACUAUACAAAUGGAAAUGAAAAAUAUGAAGUGAAGACAAAAGGACAGUAACCCCGAGGGCUCAAAGAGGAAUAGGAAAGUUUGAAAUGAAUAUGGCGUGAUAGAUGACCUUUAUAUAGCUUAUAGGAGUGCUUGAUGCAGAUUAGCACUCGAGCGUCCUUACUAACUUAAAUCAAAUUAUUUAUUAAUAUGUAAAUAUUUUAAAAGUUUCAAAGGAAGUAUUCAAUUUAGAACCUUUUUAGAUUUUUUUUAAAGAAACAAAAACAAAGCGUUAAAUAUUAUGUGUUAAAGGUGUUAGAAGACAAUAUUGUCUAAUCCAAAGCCUUACCCAUUCCCACAAAAAAAAAAAAAAGGAAAAAGAGAUAUAUUAUAUAAGAUUUUGAUCACAUCUAAUAGAAACUAAUAUUUAGCAACAUAUCACCAAGCACUAUCUUAUUAGAAAGCUUUAACAUGUUGGAAAUUUAUGUAAGGUUCCAUAACAACUAACAACUUUUUCUGAGGUCUCAGUAGUGGACCAUUUGCACUUUAACUACAUUAUUGAAUUUAAAUCAUAUUAGAAUAGUAAUUGACUUCUCUUUUGUGAGGCUACAUAUCUUGUAGGAUGGGAUAGGUGAUUCAUUUCAUAUAUGAAAUUUACUUGAUUUAGUAAUGCAUCCAGGUUCAUUAUGAAUCUAAUGGUAUCACAACUCCUUGAAUAUUUGUAAUCUGUAAUCUUUGUUUCAACUUCUCAAGUCUAGUCAUUUAUCGGCAUAACUAGUUUGCUUCAAUUAUCUCUCAACUUUAUUAUAAAACUAAGGGAAAAGAUUAUCACACAUUUUAUAUUAACUUAACCAAACAUCUUUAUAUAUCUUACAUAUAUAUAUAUUGUAAAUUUAGGAAAAUUUCAUCCAUUAGCCAUAGUAAGUAAGAAUCAAAUAAGGGAUAUGUAAGCCAAUGGUGAUAUUGAUGGCGUCAAAUCAAUGACAUAGUAGAAAAGUGGAUUGUCUAUUUUCAAACCUUUAUAUUUUCAUCCAAUAGUAAAAGGGUUUAGGCAUCACUUGAAAAGUAGUUCGUUUUUUACCUUGGACUAUGAUUUAUGAAUAAAGUUCUUCUAUUGUAUACCUUUUGUGAUGCCCCAAACCUAAUUUAGGGGUAAAAAAAAUAAUUUAGAAAAAAUUAAAUAAAUUUAAUUAAGGUAAAAAUGUAUUUUCGUAUUUAAAAUUCCUAGGUAUCAAUUAUAUAUUUCUUGUCUUCUCUAUUCAAAAAACCCUAUUACACAAAAAAUCAAAUAUCAGAGAACAUAGGACAACGCAUGGUUGAAGAUUUGAAGGUUUAGGGUUGAAGAUUAGUUUUCCAGGUAAGUUUCUAACCCUUAAAUUAGUAUUUUAGAUUCGUUAAUUAGUUUAAACACUUUAGUAUUCUUUGAAAAAUCUAAAUCUACGUUAGGGUUUGUCAAAUUUAAUUUUUAAAUAAAAAAGAUUGAAAAUUUAUGAACAUAAGUAGAGUUAUUAUUAAAGAUUGAAAUUUUUUGAAUAUUUGAAUUAAAAAUCUAGAAAAAAAGAAGAAAAUAAAUUAUAGCUUUGGAUAUGGAAAAAAAUUAAUAUUAAUAAAUAAAUAAAACCUAUGAGUAUGGAGGUAGAAAAAUAUGAGAGUUGAAAGCAAAGAAAAAAAAAAGGAAUAAUGUUUUGUGGUUGUACAUGCCUCCUUAGUGGAAAAAAAAUACAAGGUUGCUUGCAACAGGAUAUGACAAAGAGAGAGAGAUAAAUGCUUAGAUGUUGAUUUUUGUGGGGAAAAAAAGAUUGGGUAAUGUAGGAGAGAAAUAGGUAGCACUUGUAGAGUUGGUGGAGUUGUAAAAGCUUGUAGGGGUAAUUGUUAGGUAGUAGUAGGGUAUGAGAUUAAUUGUUAGGAAACAUUAGGACUUGAAAUAAUAAUAAUUGCUUCUAGUAAAAGUUUUAAUUUAGUUUAAGUAUAUAAAAGAAAUAGAUGAUUAGAAUAAGAUUUGGAAGGAAUAUGAAUUCAUAAAAAUUUCGAAAUUUACUAAUUUAGAUUAAUAUUGUUUUGGAAGUUGAAUAUAAUAUAGGUGAUAAUAUUAUUAAUAUAGGAAAUGAUUAAGAUUCUCAAACCUACAAUUUUAGAUAAAUAGUUAAUAGUAAUAGAUGAUUUUUUAUUUUUUUUAUUUUUUUAUUUUUUAUGUUAUGUUAAGUGAAUAAUGGAUUCUUUGAUUAAUAUUCUAAGGUUUCUAAGUGCUUCUUUAAGGUAAGGGAUGUUAAUACUGAUUUUGUAAAUGAAAAUAUUUCUUUUUAUAAGUUAUUUUAAAUUAUGAAAAAUUUUAUUCUUAUUUAUGCAUGGAUCAAAUAUAUAUUUUUUCAUGAGAAACAUGUUUGGGCAAUUUCUUUGUUUAUAAAUAAAUAAAUAAAUAAUGAGAACUUUGGAAAUAUAAUGUUUUGUUUUGUAAGUUUAAAAUAAUGAAAUAAAGUUUUUGGCUCUGGUUUAUAUGACCUUAGUUAAUGGGUUAUAAUUGUUGACAUUUUCAACUCCAGUCAACGAUUAUAAUUGUUGACAUUUUCGGCUCCAAUCAACGAUUAUAAUUGUUGAGAUUUUCAACCCUAGCCAACGGGUUAUAAUAGUUGAUUACUACUCAAAAAGUGCUAUUUGAUAGCCUAUAAUUAAUCCUUUUAAACACUUUUGAGUAGUAGUUUAGGCCUUUUAACUCAAUUGGCAUGUUAAGGAUCCUUUAAAGCAAUUUUAAUCACUUUGUGUAAGUUUUGGUGUUUUUAUUAGUAUUUUGAUCACCAAAGCAAGUCAAGACUGAGGAGAGCUAUGAGGAAUCUUGGGCAAAGCUUAUAAGUCAUUUGCUAAGAGUAAAUCUGGAUUGCAAGGAGAAAAAGCAAAGAGAAUCUGCCAUAAAGCAUAUUCUUGAUGACAGUCGUAGCAGCCACUUUUGGAGCACUUUCUGAAGUCCAAAUGAUGCAUGCUAUAUACCAUUUCAAAGCUCAGGAAGUCAACAAUCCAAUUCUUCAAACAAUGUGCAAUUCGGAGUUGAAACGAAGAAGUUGCAGCCAUUACAAACCAGUCACUCUGAGCUGAAGGAAGCAUUUUGCAAAGUGCUGCGAAAUCACCCUUUUGUUGCGAAGUGAUUUCGCAGCCUUUUUGUACAGUAGGGUGUAUCUCCUUCUGAAGUUGCCCGACAUAUACCGCGAGAAGGAAGCUAGGAACCUCAAGGUGGAAGCCAACUUCGCAGCCCUGCGAGUUUAGCUUGUUGUUGCGAAAAUAUUUCGCAGCCCUCUUGAGUGUCUGCGAAAUCUCGCAGACACCAUUUUUCUCCUGCGAAAUGGUUCCUGAAGCCUCCCGAUAUUUGCUACCGACUUUGGGAGAUAUUUUCCAUUAGAUUUUUGUUGUCUAAAUCCCAAAAUACUCCUUGUAAGCCACCAAUUACAAGAUUCCUUAGCUUUUAAGUUAGUAAAAAGACUAAAUAUCUAUGUAAUAAUUAGUUUUAUAUUUUGUUCAUAUAUAUACCUCUCGGGAGUCUGUUCUCAGAAAGGAGUUCCUUCUGUAAAAGUUUGGGUAAGCAAGUAAAGUUCAUUUCUUUCUACUGCCUUAUCUUCUCACUUUGUAUUUUUUAGUUAAUACUAAGUUAUGAACUCUCUGAGGAGUUUUCCCCAGAGAAUGAGUAACUAAACCUCUAAUUCCUUGGAGCUAAGGUUGCCGGGGAAGGUUCCAAGCGCAAGAAUGCAAAGCUUUAUGGUUUUAGCUAUUAAUGAAGAGGAAGUGAAAUCCUUUAGUGAUUUCUAUAUUUUUAGUUAACUUAAAACACCUUGGAGUCACCUGGGCCAACACUUGGUAAGGCAAGUGAUUUCCAACCAUGGAAAUGCACUAGUUUACCCCUUGCGAGCCUCUGGUAGGUGACUUCAGGGUAGGAUUUUCUAGAAUAGCCAACACUUGAUAAGCUUUUGGACUCCUAGGAGGCAUCCAUUAGUUAUCUCUUGCGAGCUUUUGACGGGUAAUCCAAGGUUAAGGAUCACCUUGAAUGGUUAAGGCUUAGUGAGAGGCUUAAACCAUUGCAAGUUGCAUCAGUGAGAGAAUUAAAGUGAAAUCUAAUUGAAGGAUGAAUCUGUACAACACCAGCUAGAGAAUUGACUAUAUGUUGAAUCUCUAACGCGAGGAAAGGAACCAUCUGACCGGAGCUAUGUCUUUUGCAUGAGGAACCACCCCAGUGAACCUCACUCUCCAAGGAAUGCUUUUCUUCCUAAGUUAUUCCAAACUUUUGUUAUGUUAGUUAGUUUAAGUCUAAAUCUUUACCAAUCAAAGUUUGUGUUUUACUUCUUAAGCUAACCUUGAAAUGAAACAAGACCAAUUCACUUGGAAUUGGUAUCAUUGAUAGCUUGUUAAUCUUUCCCAGUGGACGAUCCUAGAGCCACUAUACUAUAGUAGCUUUUUCUUUGCUACCCUAGUAUAUGGUGUUAUAGGUUAUAAAUUUUGUUGAUUACUCCCUCAAUCAAGGAGCACCAGCUGGACACGAAUCAGCUGAGACACCAAUUGGGCACGAAUCAAUAGUUGACCUUAUAGCCCUAGUCAAUAGAUAUAAUUGUUAACCUUUGGUUUUGCCCAUCUUAAAAUGAACAAAUUUAAGGCUAGCCAUUUAUUUGUAAAGUCUCACCUAACUAAGUACCAUUUGUUAUUUAAUAACCAGAGUAAAGAUAUUUUGAAUGUAUUUGAUAUGAAAUUGUUUUGAUAUAAAUAUGAAAAUGUUUGGUUGAAAAGUUCAAUGUUUAAUGCAUGUUGAAUUCAAAAGUUUUUAUGAAAAUGAUUAUAUGUUAUAUCUCCUAUUUGUAAGUUUGAUCCAUGAAACUGUAUUAAUAUUCCUUAUUGGACUUUGAGCUCAUUCCCCUUUGUUGACAAUUUUUUUUUUGUAUUCUCAGUUUGGGCAAGGAGUGAUGACUGGGUUGGGGAAUUUUCUUUGUUAUGAUUUUGGUUCAAUCUUUAUUUUGGACAUUGUUUAGAUGUUAAAAUUUAAUUCUCAUUUAAAUUAUUUGAGUUUGGAGUUAUUUGGACGAUAACACUUUGAUUGAUGUGUUAGUUUUAAAGUUGAGAAUUGAAAAUUAUAGAAUUUAUUUAUCUUACUACUUUGAACAGAAAUUUAGUAAUUAUCCAGUUACAAGAUGAAUAUUAUUUGUGUCGUUUCCACUUUGAGCAUUCAGGCUUAGUGUGUGAAAUGACCGUUAUGCCCUUAGAGUGGGUAUAUUGUUUAUUUGAAUUUAAUGGUCCCCGAACUCCUUAAUUACUCAUAACUUUAUAUCACCUUCUCAACUACUAUCUAGCUACUUUUCUCUACUAUGACAACUUUAUUACAUAGUGAUUAAUUGAAAGAAUUUACAUGUCUUAUUUCAUAGGAUAGUUGAUUUUUUUACUCAAUGAAUCUUGCUUUUAUUAUUGAAAUUUUCAAAUCAUUGUAGUCCAACAAUUUCCUAUCCAUUGGUAAUUUCAUAUUACAUUUCCAAAUUCUAAUCAUUUAAAAACACUUGUAGUUAAUAUAUUGGCAAUUGCAUUGUGGGAAGUUGUUCACUUGAUUUUAAUGUUGAAACUUUCAAAUUAUUGUAGUCCAACAAUUCCCUAUCCAUUGGUAAUUUCAUAUCACAUUUUCAAAGUAUAAUCAUUUACAAAUACUUGUAUAUAGUAUAUUUGGUGAUUGUAGAGUGGAAAGUUGAUCGUUUUCAUGAAGACCUCUAAAAUAGAAAUUUUUUUCAUUUCAUUUAAUAAAGAAUUUCAUUAAUUGAACAUAUAUGUUUUUUUAACCGGAAAGUAGAGGCCACAUUAGGCCUUAGGUGACAAUACUAGGCGAGGGUUUUUUUUAAAAAAAAUUAUUUAUUACGAAAUAUAAAUAAUAUUAUUUAUUGUGUAAUAAAGAUUAUUAUAAUAUAUUUUUUAUAGAUGAAAAAAAUAUUAAUUGAGUUUUAUUUAUUUUUAAAUAAUUGUUUUCAAUAAAUAACUUAUUUGUAAAAAGAAAACUAUAAAAUAUAUGCAUUUGAAAAAUAUUUAAUUUUUAUUUGAUUUAGUAUCAAUUAAUAUUUGGAAUAUUUUUUAAUAUUAUAGAAGUUAACAUACUCAAUUAAGAUAUUCAAGAUCAAGAGAAUAUUUGAGAUUGAAUUAAUUUCUUUAUUGUUUAUGUUUUAGUAAAUUUUUAUAUCCAUUACAAAUUUUUUAUUGUUUAUUUUUCAUUCAAUGUUUGCAUUUUGUAAUAGAUAUUAAAACGACUUUUUUUCUUGUAUGUUAAAAAAAUAUUUCAAUGUCUUUAAAAAUAAAAUAUUGUAGUAAAAUCAAAAUUACAUUGUGAAACUUUAAGCGAAUGUUUUAUACUUAAGAAGUGCUAAUUAAAGUAAGCAUGCAUCUACAAUUGUGAUUUAGAUGUCAUACUGAAACAUUAGUUCUCUUCGACUAUAUCAUAAAAUUUGGUUCGAAUUACUUUAAGUCAUCUUGUAGAUUUUCAAGUUCCAAUGAUAUGCAUCAAGUAUGUGCAACAUACUUGAUAUAAUUAAUAUUUUCUUAAGUAAUUGGACACUUUUUUCUAUAAAUUUACUUGAUUAUCAAUGAAUACUUUUAUGUAGGGUAUUGAUAUAAUUCGAUAAAUAUUUUAAAAUAGUAUUAGAAUAGCUUUGCUCUUUCCCAAUUAACAAAUUUACUAAAUUAACUUAUAUAUAUUUGUUUAUUUGAAUUUACUGGUAUUUGACUCAAAUUGUUAUUAUUUUUAAAAUUAUAGGAAAACCAUUAUUUAUAGAGUUUAAUUAUAUUUGGUAAAUUAUCUUUUUAAGUUUAACUAGGAUUAGGAAACUAUUAAUUUAAGAUUAAUCCAUAAGGCUCUAUAAAUUUGCAGUUUUAUAUAGGAUUUAAAAAAAGUAAGAAAAAGUAAGAAAAAGUGAAGAGAGAUAGGCAAAGAGUGCAUUGGGUUUUAGAUAGAGAAAGGUUGGGAGAGUUUUGAUUACUACUCAAAAAGAACGUAUUUUAGAUAGUAAUUCUCAUGGGUUUCACAUCUUUUGAGCAUUAAUUAUGCCUACAAAUGCUCAAUUAACAUGUUGUUGCCCUUGCAAGAGUUACUAGCAAGUUUUAUAAAGUUUUGGAGUCAUUUCAAGUUAUGAUUUUAAUAAAUUGGUGACAAAAGAGAUGAAUUGAUUUGAAGAAGGCAAAUAAUAUUGAUGAUGAUCCAAAUGCAUAAUGAAAGAAGCAAUAUAAUUAGUUUGAUCGGGAUUUGCUGCUAAUUUGGAGGUAGUUAAGGUGGAGUCAAAAGAAGAAAAUGGAAGAAAUGACAAAGAGGAGCUUAAAAACCAAAUGUUGUAGAUUUGUAUGAUCAUGCAAAAAUUUUACAUGACUACGCGAAAUGGAUUAGAGAAGGAAAAUUGACUAUAGUAUAAGGAGGAUGCUUAAGUUGAUUUAGCAUGAACAUGAGAAAAAUUCGCAUGAACAUGCGAAAAUUUUGCACAAUCAUGUGAAAUGGUACAAAAAGCUUUCUAAUGUUGUUGUUGAUCCACUAAUUUCGCACCACCAUGCGAAAUCGAUCUUUUCAUGCAAAAUGGCUGAAGCUCAUGUGAAAUCAUGAUUUUGAUGCUAAACUCUAGAUUUGUGAAUUUGGAAGGUUUUAGAAGACCAAUGAGAGGUUGCCAAGUGUCCAUUUGAUCUUGGUCUAUAAAUAGAAACUUGAAUUUCCCAUGUAAAGAGCUUUGUGAUACUUUUGAUUUUAGAUUUUUCUAGAAACUCUUUCUCUAAAUAAAAUUCUAUAUUUUCUUUAAUUUUCCCUCAUUUUCUCAUUAGCCAAACAUGCCUAGUGAAACCAAAUCUCCAAGUAUGAGUGGCUAAAUCUCAUUUUUCUCAGAGGAAUGAGGAUCUAGAGGUAAGAUCUAUGGUGAAUUAUAGAAAUGAGUUUUAAUUGCAAAUGUAAUUUGAUCCAAUUGAUUGAUUAAUUGAAAUUUGAGGAUUUUUCUCUUCAAAUUGUCCUGAAUGACUAUUACAUUGCAAACUAGGUAGAUUCAUUAAAUUCUUAAAGCUAGAUUUAAUGAGACUGAAUAGUUGCAUUGUAUGAAUCAUUGGAAGAUGAUUUAAGAUGAAUUGAAUAUAUAAUUUAAAUUGAUCUCUUUGAUUAAAUAACCUAAUUUGAAGAGAAAUUAGGUUUAGACUUAAAGGUAAAUCUAAAAUCGGUUUAGAUAAGAAUUUAGGUUUUCAAUCUAACUUGAUGAAAAAUAAAUCUCAACAUCUAUUCACCAUGGAAAUUGUUUUCUAAAAAAUAUUAACUUCGAGAAUUCCUUUUCCUUAUCAAUGUUCAUAUAUUCUACAUUAUAUUGUUCUUUUCAAUUAGAAAUCAUUGUUAUUUUGAUUUUUCAUGAAUUGUCAAAUCAAUUUCACUUAACCAUAAUCAUUUCUUUUACUCCCAUUUAAGCCUUAAUUAUCGAGAAUAAUCCAUCCCAAUGGAAGACACCUAAGACCACUAUACUACCGUAGCUUUUGCUAAAAAACCUUUUUGAUCGGGCAAGAGUUACCUUAGCAUAGGUGAAUUAGGUUAUAAUUUUUUUUAUCCAAUAAACAACAAAAAAAUCAAUCGAUCAAGUUUGCAUUGUGUAUUCUUGAAUUUUAUUAAUAAAUUUGAUCCCCCUUUUUGAAGCAAUUACACCAAACCAAGUAAAUAUUUUAUCUACUUCAUUUGCUUUAUUUUUUCUAUUAAGUUUAGGUGUUGCAAUUUUCAAGAGUCAUCGUGAGAAGAUUGUGGGAAAAAUUAUUUUAAGGAUGGAGUCGAACAUAAAAUAUGAAAUUGAGUCCUUUGAUGGAAAUAAUAAUUUUAAUAUUUGAUAGAGUAUUAUUAAAGAUGUUUUGAUACAACAAAGACUUCUCAAAGCAUUACAAGGCAAAAAAACUAGAGAGCAUGACAAAUAAAAAAAUGAAAGAAUUAGAAGCAAGAGUUGUAAGUACUAUUUGUUUAAGUCUUAAAAAUGAAAUACGUUGUUUUGAAUGAAAAAUAUUCUUUUAGGGGUGUCAAUUGCUCUUUUAGAGACCAAAAAUAUUAAGCAGUCAAGUUGUUCAUCUCAUAUUGGACAAACUGUUAUGAUGAAUUCUAAACCACAUCAUCAUAGGAGUAAAUUGAAAGAAAAGUAUCUGAUAUGAGGAUGAUCAUUCCAUUCACACUUGUGGAGGAAUAUAAAGUAUUAUUACUGUGAAAAAAAAAACAUAUCAGGAGAUAUUGUAAAGAAUUGAUGAAGUACCUAGAAGAAAUGAAAAUUUUUAAAUCCCAAGAGACUUCAAAUUCUACUAAUAUUGUUGAUGAAAAUUUUGAAAUAUUGUAGUAAAUUAAAAGUUACAUUAUGGGACUUUUAGUGAGUGUUUUAUGUUGAAGAAAGGCUAAUUAAAGUAAACAUGCAUCUAAAAUUAUAAUUUGGAUGUUGUACUCAAAUAGUUGCUCUCCUCGAUUAUAUCAUAAAAUUUGGUUUGAAGUAGUCUAAGUCAUCUAAUAAUUUUCUAGUUCCAAUUACAUGCAUCAAACAUGUGUGUUAGGAAGUGUUGCAAAUUACUAAUUAAUAUAGAUUCUUUUUUUUUUAAAGAAUAUUUUAUUGAAUAUUUCUAGGUUGAUAUAUUAUUGUAAUAUUAGACUUCCUUAUAGAAUAAGGAAUGUUGUUGAAAAUAUCCCUAUAAAUAUUUUAGUUUAUAAGGGGAAAAAGUUAUGAGAUGGAGAUGGACCCAUAAAGACUAUACAAGGUGGAUAGAGAUGUGAGGAAGAAUGGGAGGUACCCAGUGGAACGAGAGGGCUCGUGGUAGGGUAUAGGUACGAAGAGUGAGAAAACAUGGGAUGUUUUGGGAACUCAAUAGUUGUAUCUGGUUAUGUCCUCUAUAAGUUCUAGUUUUGUCAUCUGCAUUGUUCUUUAUUUUAUAGUGGAAUGAUUCUCUCUUAUCUGUGGAGGUAGGCAUGGUUUUCGAACCAUGUUAAAACCUUGUGUACCGUUUGUGUUGAUUUUUUUUAUCUUUAUUUUCUUGGUUAAUGAAGUUUGCAUCAAAUCUUCUGUCAACAUAACAAACUUGUAUCAAAGCUUGGAUUAAAUAUUUCUGGAAGAGUAAAAGAUCACAGAGCACACAAGAUGAAAACAAAAGGAAUUUUUAGUGAAAAUUGAGUCGAUUUCUCUCUUGUGGUAAUAUGAUACAAAAAGUUUGUGUCGUGGAAAGUUUGAAGAUUGACUUCAUGGAAUUUGGUCCAAAAUGAAGAUUGUUAAUAAGUGUCCCAAAUUCCCAAUUAGUAUAAUUUUUUUUUUUUUGUAAAGAAUAUUGUAUAGAAUAUUUAUAGGUUGAUAUUUUAUUGUAAUAUUAGACUUCCUUAUAGAAUAAGGAAGGUUGUUGAAAAUAUCUUUAUAAAUAUUCUAGGUCAUGAGGGAAAAAAGUUAUGAGAUGAAGAUGGGCUUGUAAAAACUAUAGGAGGUGAAUAGAGAUGUGCGGAAGAACUGGAGGUACUCAAUGGAAUGAGAGGGCUCGUGGUAGGGUAUGGAUACAAAAAGUGAGGAAAUAUGAGAUGUUUUGGGAACCUAAUAGUUGUAUUUGGUUCUGUCAUCUAUAAUGUUCUGGUUACGUCCUCUAUAAUGUUCUCUAUUGUAUAGUGGAAUGAUUCUCUUUCAUCCAUGGACGUAGGCCUGGUUGUCGAACCACGUUAAAACCUCGUGUACUAUUUGUGUUAUUUUUUUAAAAAAAUUUUAAUCUUUGUUUCUUGAUUAAUGAUGUGUGCAUCAAAGCUUCAACCUACGUAACAAACUAGUAUCAGAGCUUGGGUUGAAGAUUUUUGGAAUAGUAAAAGAUCACAAAGCACACAAGAUGAAAACAAAAGGAAUUUUUAGUGAAUGUGGAGUCAAUUGUUCUCUCAUGGUGAUAUGAUACAAAAAGUUUGUGUCAUGGAGGGUUUAAUGAUUAACUCCGUGGAAUUUGGUCCAAGGUAGAGAUUGUUAGGAAGUGUCCCAAAUUCCUAAUUAAUAUAAAUUCCUUUUUGUAAAGAAUAUUGAAUAGAAUAUUUUUAGGUUGAUAUAUUAUAGUAAUAUUAGACUUCCUUAUAGAAUAAGGAAGGUUGUUGGAAAUAUUUUUAUAAAUAUUUUAAGUCAUGAGGGGAAAAAGUUAUGAGAUGAAGAUGGGCCUAUUAAGACCAUAUGAGAUGGAUAAAGAUGUGAGGAAGAAUCAGAGGUACCCAGUGAAGCGAGAGGGCUCGUGGUAGGGUAUGAAUAUGAAGAGUGGGGAAACAUGGGAUAUUUCGGGAACCCAAUAGUUGUACCUAGUUUUUUCAUCUAUAAUGUUCUGGUUUUGUCCUCUGUAAUGUUCUUUAUUGUAUUGUGGAAUUAUUCUCUCUCAUCUGUGUAGGCAAGUUGCUAAACCACAUUAAAACCUCAAAUACCAUUUGUGUUGAUUUUUUUUUUAUCUUUGUGUUCUUGAUUAAUGAUGCUUGCAUCAAAGCUUCUACCAACAUAACAAUGUGCAACAUAUUUGAUAUAACUUAUAUUUUCUUAAGUAAUUGAACACUUUUUUCUAUAAAUUUACUUGAUUAUCAAUGAAUACCUACAUAUACGGUAUUGACAUAGUUUGAUAAAUAUUUUAAAAUAGUAUUAGAAUGGCUUUUAUUUUUCCCAAUUAACAAAUUUAUCAAAUACACACACACACACACACACAAUACUCAUUAGUAUGUCUUUUAUGAAAAAACUAUAUUUGUUUAUUUGAAUUUAGUAGCCAUUCAACUACUUAGUUACUCAUAAAUUUUAUAUUACCUUCUUAAAGUUAAGUCAUUUACAAUUAUUUCUAUCUAGCCUUCUCCAUUAUGACAACUUUAUAAGAUAGUGAUUGAUUGGAAGAAUCUACAUGCCUUUGUUGAUAGGAUAAUUGUUUUUCUUUUUUUUGUAUUCAAAGAAUCUUGCUUUUGUUAUUGGAACUUUCAAAUCCGUUAUGUCUAGUGGUCUUAUAAUUCCCUAUUCAUUGGUCUUUCAUAUUACCAAUCAUUUUGCAAAUGAAUUAAUUUCAUUCACAUCCUCUGAGAUUUGAUGUAAAUUUGCUUAGUUACCAAUGAUUUCAAAUUUCAUUAAUUAGUACCCCUAUAGAUGUAAUUUGUGUACAAAAUUUAUUUUUUAAAAGAAUUUAGGUAAAAAUAUUUUAGGUAUAUGUCUUUAACAAUUCUCUAAAAUAAAUUUUACUUGCUAAAAAAUAACUUAUAUAGAUAGAAUACAUCUACAGGAGUUCUAACUAACGAAACUUAAAACUAAUGGUGGUUUAGCGUAUUUAAAGUAAACAUUAGGAAGGGUGACUGAAAUUAACCCUCUAGGUAUAUAUGUUUAACAAAAUUUUUAUUGUUUAUUUUUCAUUUAAUGUUUGCAUUUUUCAAUAAACAUUGAAAAGGAAUUGUUUUUCCAUAUUUAAAAAAAAAAGAAAUUUGAACACCUAUAAAAAUGAAAUCUUGUAGUAAAAUUGGAGUUACAUUAUCAGACUUUUAACGAGUGUUUAUGUCUAGAAAGGCCAAUUAAAGCAAGCAUGCAUCUAGAAAUUGUAACUUAGAUGCAUCAAACAUGAGCAACAUAUUUGAUAUAACUAAUAGUUUCUUAAGUAACUAAACACUUCUUUUUCUAUAAAUUUACUUGAUUAUCGAUGAAUUCUUACAUAUAUUUACAUAGUUUGAUAAAUAUUUUAAAAUAAUAUUAGAAUAACUUUGUUUUUUCUCAAUUAUAUUAUAAAAUAAUAUAAAGUUACUUAUAAACUUUAUAUCAUUUUCUCAAAGUCAAGUCAUUUACAAUUAUUUCUAUCUAGCCUUCUCCAUUUUGACAACUUUUAUAUGAUAGUAGUUGAUUGCAAGAAUCUACAUGUCUUUUUUUAUAGGAUAGUUGUUUUUAUUAUUUUUAUUUUUUUAUUCCAAAAAUUUGCUUCUAUCAUUGAAACUUUCAAAUCUUUUAUGUAUAUUACCAAUCAUUUUACAAGUGAGUUAAUUUCACUUAGGGUAGAUAUACUUAGCCACACCCCUAUAGAUGUAAUUUGUGUUUAAAUUUUAUUUUUUAUUUAGGUAAAAAUAUCUUAGGUAUAUGUGUUCAACAAUUCUCUAAAAAAUAAAUUUUCUUAUCUAAAAGUUUAUAUAGACAAAAUACAUCUAUAGAAGUCCUAACUAAUGAAAUUUAAAAUCAAUGGUUGUUUAGUGUAUUUACAUUAAACCUUAUGGGGUAUGAUUGAAAUUAACUCUUUUACAAGCACUUGUAGCUAAUAUAUUUGUAGUUGUAGUGUUGGAAAUUGAUCAUUUUCUUGAAGACCUCUAAGAUAUUGGAAAUAUUGCCAUAGUUUUAGACUUUUUUUUUUAUUACACCUAAUAAAAAUAUUAUUAAUUUAACAUAUAUAUUCUUGACUUAAAAGUAAAGUCUCUCCAUAUUGUAUGAGCCCUUAGGUGGCAAUAUUAGGUGAAGUUUUUCUUUCGUUUAUUACAAAAUAUAAAUAAUUUAUUAUUGCAUGAUAAAAUUUUAUGUAAUAUAUUUUUAUAGAUGUAAAAUUAUUAAUUGGGUUUUAUUUUAUUAUUUUUUUACUAAAUUGUCAUUUCAAUAUAUAAAACUUAUUUGUAAAAAGACAAUUAUAAACUAUAUGAAAUUGAAAAACAUUUAGUUUUUUUAUUUAAUUUAGAAUUUUAUUUGGAUUAAUAAUUGAUAUUUGUAAGAUUUUUUAAUAUUAAAAAAAGUUAGCAUACUUAAGAAAGAUAUUCAAGAUCGGGAGUGUUUGAUAUUGGAUUAAUUUCCUUAUUUUCUCUAUUUUAAUAAAUUUUCACGUCCAUUACAAAAUUUUUGUUGAUUAUUUUUCACUUCAAUAUUUUUAUUUUGUAAUAGACAUUUGAAAAGAUUUUUUCCUACAUGUGAAAAAAAAAAAAAUUUGAACACUCCUAAAAAAGAAAUAUUGCAAUAAAAUUAAAGUUUACACUGUAGGACUAUUAGCAAGUGCUAUAUACUUAAAAUAGACCAAUUAACGUAGAAAUACUUCUAAAAUUGUAAUUUAGGUAACAAUAAUAUAAAAAGAUAAUAUUUUUGAAACAAUAGUUCUCUGAGUUUUGGGUACAAUGGACUAGACUUUAUGUAACAAUAGAUAUACAAACUUUCCAUUAACAUCUUGAGAGACAUGAUGAGGAGCAAAGUCAUCCAAGAAGGUACCAUAGAGGUACCUUAGCUCCAUUCAUCUAGACUACAUAAUGUUUAAAGAUCAAAUUCAAUGACUAGAUUUCAAAAAUCAAUAUAAGCUUUCUCAUAUUCUACUCUAUAUAAGACAAUGGUAUGAUACCUCUCUUGUGUUGUAGAAUGCACCAUGAAAACCUUAUCAUUUUAACAUCAAUUUGAAACUUAAAAGUCACUUAGCACAUUCUAGUUAUUAAUUUAAGAGCAUUAAAAUAAAAUAUAAAAAAAGUUACUUUAUCCUUGUGAUUUUGAUCUAGGACUUUUAAUGAUAUUAAAAAAAAACAAACAGAAAAAUAAAUGGAAAUAAAAUCAACAAAUUAAACAAUUGAAUUAAGUUAGUUUAAUUUUUGCAUCGUUAAAUGGGUAAGUAAAGACUCUUAGAUUUGAUAUUAAUAUGAACAUCAUGACUUCAGUGAAUCUUACAAGAAAAUUUUAGUUUGAAAGACUUCAUUCAUUAAACGUGUGGCACAUAUUAAAGUAAAACUAAGUCUUCUCUAUAAUUUGUACCUAUCAUAGUUUCUUUUCUCAUAAAUAGCCUUUUUUGAAUAUAAUAUAGACUUCAACAUGCAUGGUGGGGCCGAUCAAACUACUAGUCAAGACAACUCAUGGGCAACAACGAUGUACCAACUACAUUUAAAUACUCUUCAUCUAUUUGCAUAUCAAGAGUAAUUUAGUAGUGUCUUUCUUAUGUACCUCAUAUCUAGACUUUCAAUGGAGAGUUCUUCAUCUAAAAUUUUGACUUGGGUUUUCAUACUAGUUUUGGUUUAGACAUGUGGAUGCAAAGGUUGCAUCAAAGAAGAGAAGUAGGCUAAAUCAUCUUACAAAUUUUCAAGUUCAAAUUAGAUGCACCAAACAUAUGCAACAUAUUUGAUAUAACUAAUAUUUUCUUAAGUAAUUGAAUACAAUUUUUUUUUAAUAAAUUUACUUGAUUAUUAAUGAAUAACUACAUGUAUGGUAUUGACACAGCUUGAUAAAUCUUUUAAAAUAGUAUUAGAAUAACUUUGCUAAAAAAAAGUAAAAAUAAAAAUAAAAAUACAUCUAUAUAUAUAUAAUUAAAUAAAAUUAAAAAUUAAAAAAGAAUAUAUAUAUAUAUAUAUAUAUAUAUAUAUAUAUAUAUAUAUAUAUAUUCUCUGUGUGUGUGUGUGCAUGGUCCCACAACUCAUUAGUUACUCAUAAGCUUUAUAUCACUUUCUCAAAGUCAAGUCAUUUUGUAAUUAUUUCUAUCUAGCCUUCUCCAUUACGACAACUGUAUAGGAUAUUGAUUGGUUGGAAAAAUCUUCAUGUCUUUUUUUAUAAGAUAGUUUUUUUAUUAUUAUUAUUCAAAGAAUUUGCUUUUAUUAUUGAAACUUUCAAAUCAUUUAUGUCUAGUGGUCCUACAAUUCCCUAUUCAUUGGUAUUUCAUAUUACCAAUCAUUUUACAAAUAAGUUUAUUUCACCCGGUAAAUAUACUUAACUACCAAUGGUUUCAAAUUUAAUUGAUUAACACACUUAUAGAUGUAAUUUGUUUUUAAAUUUUAUUUUUUUUAGAAGAAUUGUAGGUAAAAAUGUUUUAGGAAUAUGUGUUCAAUAAUUCUCUAAAAACAAUUUAUAUAGAUGGAAUACAUUCAUGGAAGUUCCAACUAAUGAAAUUUAAAACCAAUGAUGAUUUAAUGUAUUUGCACUAAAUCUUAGGGGAGGUGUACUAAAACUAGCCCUUUUACAAAUAUUUGUAGCUAGUAUAUUUGUAGUUAUGGUGUUGGAAGUUGAUCAUUUUCUUAAAGGCCUCUAAGAUAUUCGAAAUAUCGCCAAAGUUUUGAACUUUUUGUUUCACCUAAAAAAAAAAUCAUUAAUUUAAUAUAAAUACUCUUCGCUUGAAAGUAUAGUUUCUUCAUAUUGUAUGAAGUUGUAGCUAGGUGACAAUAUUAGGUGAAAUUUUUUUGGUUUACUACAAAAUAUAAAUAAUAUAUUUAUUAUAUGAUAAAUUUUUUUAAAAUAUAUUAUUGUAGAUGCAAAAUUAUUAAUGGAGUUUUAUUUUUUACUAAAUUAUCAUUUCAAUAAAUAAGAACUUAUUUGUUAAAAGAAAAUUAUAAAAUAUAUGCAGUUGAAAAAAAAUUAAUUUUUUUUAUUUAAUUUGGUAUUUUAUUUGAAAUUUUUUAUAUUUAAUUUGGUAUUUUAUUUGAAUUAAUAAUUGAUAUUUGUAAGAUCUUUUAAUAUUAAAAGAAGUUAACAUACUUAAAAAAGACAUUCAAAAUCAAGAGAGUAUUUGAUAUGAAAUUAAUUUAUUUAUUUUUUCUAUUUAAAUAAAUUUUUACAUCCAUUAAAAAAAAUUUAUUGUUUAUUUUUCACUUCAAUAUUUUUAUUUUGUAAAAAAAAUAGAAAUAAAAUCAACAAAUUAAACAAUUGAAUUAAGUUAGUUUAAUUUUGCCACCAUUAAAUUGGUAAAUGAAGACUCUUAUAUUUGAUAUUAACAUGAACAUCAUGACUUCAUUGAAUCUCACAAGGAAAUUUUAGUUUGAAAGAUUUUAUCCUUUAAACAUGUGGCACAUAUUAAAGUGAGACCAAGUCUUCCCUAUAAUUUGUAUCUAUCACAAUUUCUUUCAUAAUGAAUAGCCUUUUUGAAUAGAAUAUAGACUUUAGCAUGCAUGGUGGGGCCUAGCUAUCAAACUACUAGUCAAAACAACUCAUGGGCAAGAAUGAUGUACCAACUAGAUUAAGUAUUCUUCAUCUAUUUGCAUAUCAAGAGUAAUUUAGUAGUAUCUUUCUUGUGUACCGCAUUUCUUGACUUUCAAUGGAGAGUUUUUUAUCUUAAAAUUUGACGUGGGUUUUCAUACUAGGCUUGGUUCAGAUAUGUGAAUGCAAAGGUUGCAUCGAAGAAGAGAAGUAGGCUAAGUCAUCUUACAAAUUUUCAAGUUCAAAUUAGAUGCAUCAAACAUGUGCAACAUAUUUGAUAUAACUAAUAUUUUACUAAGCAACUAAAUACUUUAUAUUUAUAUAAAUCUAUUGAUGAUCAAUGAAUACCUACAUGUAUGGUAUUGAUACAGUUUGAUAAAUCUUUUAAAAUAGUAUUAGAAUAACUUUGCUAAAAAAAGUAAAAAUACGUAUAUAUAUAUAAACAAAAUAAAAAAUUUAAAAAGAAUAUAUAUAUUAGUGGUCCCACAACUCAUUAGCUACUCAUAAGCUUUAUAUCAUUUUCUUAAAGUCAAGUCAUUUACAAUUAUUUCUACCUAGCCUUCUCCAUUGCAACAACUGUACAAUAUAUUAAUUGAUUGAAAAAACCAUCAUGUCUUUUUUGAUAGGAUAGUUUUUUUUUUAUUCAAAGAACUUUCAAAUUCUUUAUGUCUAGUGGUCCUAUAGUUCCCUAUUCAUUGGUAUUUCAUAUUACCAACCAUUUUACAAAUAAGUUAAUUUCACUCAGUAAAUAUACUUAAUCACCAAUGGUUUCCAAUUUGUAGCACUCUUAUAGAUGUAGUUUGUUUUUAAAUUUUAUUUUUUAGAAGAAUUGUAGGUAAAAAUAUUUUAGCUAUAUAUGUUCAACAAUUCUCUAAAAACAAUUUAUAUAGGUGGAAUACGUUCAUGGAAGUUCCAACUAAUGAAAUUUAAAACCAAUGAUGAUUUAGUGUAUUUGUACUAAAUCUUAGAGAGUGUGGACUAAAAUUAGCCCUUUUACAAAUAUUUAUAACUAGUAUAUUUGUAGUUGUGGUAUUGGAAGUUGAUCAUUUUCUUAAAAGGCUUACCAUUGAAGUUAGUUGAAUAUAAAGUUAGGUGAACUUUACCAUUGUUAAAUUGGUAAAUGAAGACUCUUAGAUUUGAUACUAACAUGUACAUCAUGACUUCAUUGAAUCUCUCACAAGGAAAUUUUAGUUUGAAAGACUUCAUCCUUUAAACAUGUGGCACAUAUUAAAGUGAGACCAAGUCUUCCCUAUAAUUUGUAUCUAUCACAAUUUCUUUUCUCAUAAAUAGCCUUUUUGAAUAGAAUUAAUAUAGACUUCAGCAUGCAUGGUGGGCCCUGUCAAACUAUUAGUCAAGAUAAUUUGUAGGUAAGAACGAUGGACCAACUAUGUUAAAUACUCUUCAUCUAUUUGCAUAUCAAAAGCAACUUAAUACUGUCUUUCUUUUGUACUUCAUGUUUGAACUUUCAAUGGAGAGUUUGUCAUCUAAAUAUUUGAUGUGGGUUUUUAUAUUACUCUUGGUUCAAAUAUGUGAAUGCAAAGGUUGCAUCGAAGAAGAGAAGAUGGGUUUGCUUGAAUUCAAGGCUUUUCUUAAAUUGAAUGAUGAGCAUGCAGAUUUUCUCCUCCCUUCAUGGUUAGAUAACAACACUAGUGAAUGUUGUAAUUGGGAGCGGGUUAUUUGCAAUCCCACCACAGGUCAAGUUAAGAAGCUUUUCCUCAAUGAUAUAAGGCAACAACAAAAUUUUUUGGAAGACAAUUGGUACUAUUAUGAAAAUGCCAAAUUCUGGUUACUAAAUGUCUCCCUAUUCCUUCCUUUUGAAGAACUUCACCAUCUAAACUUGUCUGCAAACUCAUUUGAUGGGUUUAUUGAGAAUGAAGGUAUGUUACUUCUCACCUUUAAAUUUUCUUCACUUAUACUCCAAACAUUCUAAAGGAACUAAUAGCAUAUGUUCUUAAAAGUGUUCAGGUGGAGACAAAAUGGUCACUAGUAACUAUUGAAUUUAAUAUAAGAACAAUUACUAAUUAUUAAAAUUUAUAAUGUAAAUUAUCAUUUAAACAAAACAAUAAAAAAAUUAUUAUUUUAGAAAAAGUAUAAUUACAUUAGCCUUAUAUAGAUAAGCAUACUUGUUAUUUAUGCCAUCAUUUCACACUCAACCCAAUAAGUAGGAUUCAACUAAGAGUGAGCAAUUUCACAAUUAUUAAUUAACAGGAACACUUAGUCUCCCAUAUCCUUAUCAUUUUUGCUGAAUUGUCUUUCCUUAUCUUCCAUUCCUAAAAAGCUUGAUUUCUAUAUUCCAAAUUGAUAGAGAUUGGUUAAAGAAAGGUGAUCACAAAAUUUGACUAUUGCUUUCAAAUGAGGAAUCACCAUCUUCAAAAUUUCACAUUUACAAAAAAAAAAAAAAAAACGAGCCUCGGGUAAGGUCCAAGCCUUAUUGUUUUAAGCUGAUGUCGGGUUGGUUUAAUAAUGAAUAGAGUAAAUCCCAACCCAUGACCAUCUAUGCAUUUCCAAAUUCCACCCAUCCACAACCCAUUAAUAUGACAUUUUCAGGGACAAAAUUUAAUCAAUUAAACCUAUUAGAUGGAUUCUCCAUACAAUGUUAAAAUGAAUAUAAAAACUUUAAUUCAAAAAAUAAUUUCCUUUAUUUAGUUAGGAUUCAAAUUAUAGGGGCACAAAAAAUGAAAAUUUUCAUGUUUAAAAUUCACAAAGAUCACAAAAGCUCUUUGAAGCUCUAUGGACUUUUUUAUUUCUAACAUUUAAACACAAAAAUCACUAAAUUGAAUUAGAAAUUUGGAUGCAUAUUCUUAUAUUAAAGACAUGUAAGCUUACAUAUUUAAAUAUGAAGAUCUCAACUUGUAAUUCAUGCUUCUAAUUAAAGUUAUAUUACUCUAUUUUACAGGAUUUAAAAGGUUAUCAAGUUUAAAGAAAUUGGAGAUCUUGGACAUAAGUGGUAAUGAGUUUGACAAAAGUGCCUUAAAAUCUUUGGGCACAAUAACAUCACUCAAGACAUUGGCUAUUUGCAGCAUGGGAUUGAAUGGAUCUUUUUCCAUUCGAGGCAUGUUAUAUGUCCACAUUGUUUCUUUGAAAUUAAGUAAAAUAUAUUUCUAACUUUUAAUGUUCCUUAGUUAAUCUCUCUUUUGAUUCAUGUUUGUUGCAGAAUUAGCUAGUUUAAGAAAUUUGGAAGUGUUGGAUCUAAGCUAUAAUGAUUUGGAAAGCUUUCAACUAUUGCAAGGUACUUCAUUACCUUGCUAAAAAAACUUAUGAUAUUUUGUUAUUAAAUUAAAGGUAAGAUUAACAAACAAUUUCUUCUCAUUAGUUACUUUUCUUUGUAAUAUCAUUAAAUUUGAUAUAACGUAGUCUAAAUCAUCCUUUCAAUUUAUAAGUUUUAAUUAAAAUGCAUCAAGCAUGCACAAGAUGUUUAAUAUAACUAAUAUUUUCAUAAGUAAUUGAAUUUUUUUUUAUGAAGUAAUUAACUUGAUUAUCAAUAAAUACUUACAUGUAUAAGAUUAAUAUAGUUUCAUAAGUAUUUUAAAAUUUUCUUACAACACACACACACACAAGGAAAAUGAAAAGUAUGUGAUACCUUUAUGCUAUGUUUGGUUGCCAAAAAAAUUGAGGGAAAAUGAAAGGAGAAAAAAGUAGAGAGGAAAAGUAAAAGAAAAGAAAAAAAGUGAAGAAAAAUAUAAAAGUGAUUAAAGUAAAUACAUUAUUUUUAUAUGUUACUUUAAACUUGUUUCACUUAUUUUAAUUCUUCAAUGUAAAGAUGAAAGAUUUGAAAAUGCAUAAGUUUCUAAUUAUUUUUUAUUUUAUUUUAUAGUUUUUACAAUACAACCAAACAUAAUAAAAUCAUUUUCUUUAAUUUUUUUCUCUUUUCUUAAUACUUUUCACGAAUCCUUAAGUUAUGUUUGGUUUGCAGAAAAUAUGAGGAACAGAAAAUAGAAAAGAAAAUUAGAAGGAAAGAAAAAGUGAAAUAAAAUAAAAAUAAAUUUAAAUUUAAUAAAUUAUUUUUAUAUGCUACUUUACACUUAUUUCACUUAUUUUAAAUUAUUUAAACUCAUUUCUAAUAAAUAAUAAUGGAAAUUGUAGAGAAGUUUGUGUUAUUCAAGCUUUGCAAUGAAUUUUCAAGGUGAAAGAAAAUAUUCUUGCUAAAAUUGAAAAAGGAAAUACCUUCUUAAAUAGCCUAUUGACCGAAAACACAUUACCCUAACAUAUACACACACCUUUAUUAUUUAUACAAUCAUGUAAUACUUAAUCCAGUUUGUGGGAUUCUAGUGGUUGUUUCUAUCUUGGUUUCCAAUAUUUCUGAUUGAUAGUGUUCGAUUAAUGAAAUAUCAUAAAUUUUGACCCCAAUAAGGACCAAUCCCUAUUAAAUGUAAUUGGGUUGACCUAAGACUAAAUGUUAGACCCAACUAAUAAAAACCCAUCUGUUUGUUGGAGUCUAAAUAACCCGGCCUUGGGUAGGGCCCAUGCCUUAUUAUUUUAAGAUGUAGUCCAACUGGUUUGACACUGGAUUGAGUAAAGCCCAACUUAUGAGCAUCUGUGCAUUUCCAUCCAUCCACAACCACAACCUACUGGCAUGGACAAACUUUGGUCAAUUAAACCUAUUAUAAAUGUAUACAAAAUUUUGAGUUCAAAAGAUAAUUUUCCUUAUUUAGUUAGGAUUCAUAUUAAAAAGACACAAAGAACGAAUUUUCAUGUUUAAAUUCACAAAUAUCACGAAAGCUCCUUCAAGCUCUAUGGACCAUUUUAUUUGUAACAUUAUAUUACUCUUAAUUAUCAAAUUAACCAACAAAUUCUUCUCAUUAGUUAUUUUUCUUUUGUAAUGUCAUAAAAUUUGAUGUAAAAUAGUAUUGGUCAUCAUUUCAACUUUCAGGUUCCAAUUAGAUGCAUCAAGCAUGUGCAACAUAUUUGAUAUAACUAAUAUUUUUAUAAGUAAUUGAAUUUUUUUUUCUAUAAAUCAAUUAACUUGAUUUCAAUGAAUACUUUCAUACAUGAUAUUGAUGUAGUUUCAUAAAUAUUUUAAAAUAGUUAUAGAAGUCUUUUAUUUGAUUCACUAGAAAGAAAAAUAAACUAUUCUAAUGAAAAUACUUGAUGAUUUGAAGUGAUUGUUUUUUAUUUUAUUUGAUUGCUACCAUUAUUAAUUGUUAGAAAUUGGCAACAAAUACCCAUUUUGCAUCACUUCUAUAUGCAUCGGGGGAAUGAAUUAUAUUUCAUAGAGCUAACAGAGCAAAACUCAUACUUUUGGAAUUAUGGAAAAGGUUGCUAGAAAGCUAAUUAACCAUUUAUAUUAUGAUUAAGACUAGUUGGGUUAGAAAUAAUUCAUAUGGAGAUUAAAAAAAACUAUGUAAUUUAGUUUAGUAGCUUGGGUGCUAUUGUAAUGAUUAAUGAUCUGCAACUUGAACACAUCUACUAGUGCUUUCUACUUGUAUAGCUAACUUUAUGUUACCACUUUGAACUACAGUACUUACAUGAGAAGAAAGCUUUUCCUUAAUGAUAAUGCAAAAGAAAUUAAGUAUCAGUUUUUGUUGAACUAACAAGUGAUAGUUUAGAUAUGGUUUGAAUACACUUCCUUUCUUCUAUUUUUUUAUUUUGAAAAAAAAAACUCUUUAAUGAAAUAUAAGAAAUCUUAUAUGUAUAAAAAGUAAAGACUUAAACAAAAAAAUUCUUCAAAUUUUAAAAAUUUCGAGAAGUAUUUUUUAGAAUUUGUAUUUUUAGUAUAACAAUUCCUAUAUUUGGUAUAAAAGUUUUUGUUCAAAAAAAUAGAAGUGUAUCCAAAUUACAAAUUAAUUGUUAAAUUAAGAAUGUUUCUCAGAUCAAGAGAUAAUGAAAGUUGUAGAGAGUUUGCAUUACUCAACCUUUGCAAUUACUUUUUGAAGGUAAAAGAAAAUACCUUCCUACAUAACAUAUAAUGGCAAGUUCUGGUUUGUAAGAAACUAAUAAAUGAUUAAGAAUAUGAAUAAGACUUCCUUAAUAAUAGAUAUGUAGAGAAGAAUAGUGGAUGAUAGGAGGUGAAAAUCUUGUAAUAAAAUAUCAAUAUCGGUUAUAAGAUAAUCAAAAUUUUCUCUAUUUCUUGUACCUAUGUGAUUAAGAAUCUUGUAGUUCCCUUAUUGAAAUAUAAUAUAAAAAUAUAAAUAAACUAUUUAGAAGUGCAUGUAGUUUUCAACAUGAGGAAGUUGAAAAGCAAGUUAAUUAUGAUAAUUUUCUAUAGUCUAUAUUGAACACAAAUUAUUUUUGCUAAAGGUUCAAUCGUUCUAUGAAGGUUAAAAGUUUGAAUUGUUUACAUAUGCAAAUAUGAAAUUUGAAAUUUUAUAAUUUUUUAUAAUUUUCUUGUAGAUUCACAAGGCUUGUCCAUAUUCAAAAAGCUCGAGACCUUGAACCUCAAUCACAACAAGUUCAAAAACACUAGCCUACAACAAUUGAAUAUAUUUACAUCCCUUAAAAAUCUUUCUCUAGGAUGGAACUAUGAUGGAGGAUUUUUUCCGAUCCAAGGUAUGUGUAAUUAUUAUUAUUAUUAUUAUUAAUGAUAAAAUAUUAUUAUUGUCAACAUCUUUUAUCUUUUUUCCCCUCAAUGGUGUUGUAGAAUUAUGCACUCUAGAAAACUUGGUGAUGUUGGACCUAAGUGGGAAUUUCUUUAUUGGCAUGCAAGGUAAAUACAAAGUGAAGUUUUGGUUAUAUAUAUAUCAUGUAAGAACAUAACUAAAAUCAACAUUCUUUGCCUAUCAAUUUGUGCAUGACUAUUAUUUAGUUAUUCUUCGUAACAUAAUUGAAAGAAUGUUUAGGUGUACAACAUUUAAGAAUUUUACAUGGCACAAUGAAAAACAUGGUAAUCAAUGUAUGCAAUAAAAUUCUAAUAGUUGAAAAAGAAUUUUCUUGUAAAUUUAUGUUCGUGUAUAGUAAUCAAAGAGAAAACCAUGAAAAUGUAUAUUAGUUAGACUUUAUAUAUCAAUAGACAAAAAAGAAAAAAAAAAAAAAAGAUUAGUUCCUUAACUUAUCCUAAAAUUUUCUAGAUAACAAGGAGUUUUUUUAUUUUGGGCUAUAAGGUUUACAACCUGAAAAGUGAAGAUGAUUAAUAUUAGUAAUAUAAUUUUGAAAUAUAAAAAUUAAUGAAAUAAUGUUCUCUAUAACUAUAACUGCAACUGCAACUAUUAAUAAAAGAUAAUAAAAGUACUUUAGACUUUGAAUCCAUGGUUAGGUUUGCAAUUUUUUGAUGAUCAAUAAAGCUACAACUUAUGUUGCAAAAAGCUAUACAAAAUGUAUUAGGAGCAUUGCUAAGCUCAUUUAUCAAUAAAAGAAAUCCAAUAAUACUUUGAUUGGAAAAAACCUAGAAUCAUGUUUGAUAUAUAUAAUAGGUGAAGAAACAAAAUAACAAUUCCAUGGUAUUAGUUAGUUUGAUAUCUCUUUUGUUAUAUGGAAUAACUAUUCCAUUUUAAAAUAAUUAUUUCAUCUUAUUGCUAGAACAAAAAAUUUCAAGCAGUUAUAUGGGCUUUUGGGUUUCUUAAGAAUUUAAGCAUUUAUGGGUCACCCAUAUAUAUAUAUAGGAAGAAUAAAAAAAAUAUUAUAUGGAGACAAGGGUAGACACCCAUAAAUGUACAUAUAAUUAUUCAAAUAAAAAUAUCAAUAAGAAACAAUAUACAACAAAAUAGAAAAUUUUAAUCUUCUUAAAUUUUAAAAAUAAAAACUAAAUGAAAAAAAAAAUUAAGAAGUAAAAAUAAUAAUAAAAAGGUCAAGAAUACAAAUAGAGAAUGUAAACAAAAAAAAAAAUACAUAAAUUAAAAUUAAAAUUUAAAAGAAAAAAUACAUAGAUUAAUAUGAACACUAAAUGGGGUUUUUUGAGAUAGACUUAGUUAGACUUGAACCAGAUGGAUAUUAAAAAUAAAAAUAAAAAAAUUCAAUGAUGUAUUAAAUGUAUUGGAUCAAAACUAAUUAGAAGCUAAAUAUUGGAUCAAAAUAACCAAAUGAAUAAAGAGUAAUUAUUAAUUUUUAUAUUUUUUAUUCCCUAGAAUUAUUAUUUUGUGUAUUAAAUGUAUUAUGAGUGUAAUAGUAUAAAAAAUGUAGUUAAGAAUACUAUGAAGAAUAAUAAUGGUGACGACACUUAAUACCUAUUAUUGUACAUUUAGAAAAAAAUGAGGUUCUUGAUCUUUAUGGAGAUUAUCAUUACUCAUCCGCAAGCAUGUUGAUAGUUGAAACUAUUCAAUUAUCAAAAAUUGAAUUUCUAACCUUCAAUUUUUCUCUCUCAAAUGUAAAUGUGGGUGAGAAAGCACUAGGAAGAUUAUAAGGUCUCACAUGUAUAUGAGUCAUAGGAUAAAAAAUAUAGAGACAAUACUAGCAUUUAUUUGAUCUAGUGGCAAAUAGAGAAAUAUAACAUAACCAUAACCAUAAUGUUCUAACCUUAUAUAUACCAGAACCAUGUUUCCUUCAUUCAAUUUUGCAACUUUUUCUUUUCAAAUUAGAAUGUAACUCGUAGGAUCCAUUGCCCAUCAAAAUUUUGAAUCAAAUAUUAUAAGAUAUUUCACAUUUCUACCUACUAAGCAUGAGCUUCAAUGUUCUCAUGCACUUUUGGCUACUAAGUUAAAGAAAUCUUUAAGGAUUAAUGGAGUUUCUAUGAGUAGCAAAGCAUUAUAAUCACAAAGUCUUAUCAGUGAUAUGCAAUUUGACCAAGAACUUAUUCCCAACUAUUUUAUGACUUUUCUUGGCUACUUGUAGGCAAGCUAAAGAAAUUUUCUGGUUUGUUCAAGUCUAAAAAGUGGUUUCAAGUUUAGGGCCAAGCUUGGGCUGCACCUAGGUCCUUGGGCCUUGUUCAGCUCCACGUUUAAACCAACCUUGAGUCCAUAUUUGUAAUUUUUCUCCCAAUUCAUUGAUUAAUAUUAGGAUUUUAUAGAGCCUAUAAAUUGACCAACUAAAUAAAGUAGGUUCAUAAACUUUUAGGUGAAAAUUUUCUCUCUAAUAAAUGUUAAUUCAAGAGUCUCCGUAAUCUUUUUAUAUUCAUAUUAAUUGGUAUUUAAACCGACCUUACUAUAUUAAAUUCAAAUACCAAAUAGUGAAUACUAUAUCUGCUACUACCACUAUGAUGGUCAUAAACAUAGAAUGCUCCUUUUUUUAGAGUUAAUUGAUGCUUAUAAACAACAACUUUGUUUGAAAAUAAAAUACAUCGAGUGAUUGCAUCAAGAGAUUGAUGUAAUAAUUGCAUACUUGAUCUUGAUAAUGCUAAUAUGAGUUGACUAAAUAAAUGAGUAUUUACUUAUAAGGUAGCCCAUAGAACAUUAUUUGUGGAAAUAUUCAUGCACCUCUACAUAUGUUCGUGAUAACUUAGGUUGAUAAAUUUAAGAAGAACAAAUUCAUAACCUUGGGCAUAGUUAGUAAGAAAUUUCACCAAUAGAGUUUGGUAUCAUGAUUCUAAUUGUUCAAAUUGUUUUAAAGGAGUAUUUUAAAUUGCAUGUUAAUUUGCUUCUAAUAAAUGGAGAGAAACCAAUUCAAGAAGAGAAUUGUACUCAAGCUAUGUAUAGCAUUCAUGAAGAUGUAGAAAAUAUUGAUGAACUUACUUUUGAGCAAGUUGAAAUCAUAAUUAAAUAAAAUAACAAACCCAAGGGUUAAGAUUGUCAAGUAAAACUUUAACUAAAAUUUAUUGAUUUUUUAAAUGCCUAUUAGAGGGACAAUAGAAGUUCUAGAUAGAAAGUAAGAACUUUUCUAAGGAAUCACUUGUUAGAUUUUAAGUGAUCAAUAAAUAUAACGUCCAAUUUAAAAUUUUUAUAAAAGCAAUGCUUCUAAAGAAUAACUUGAUUUGAAUUUAAAGUUAUUAUUGAUAUUUGUUUAUAAUGGAUGUAGUUAAUCAACUUAACAUAGUAAAAAACACAUAAAUUUUUCAAAAUACCUUCUAGUUGUUGGGUAUAUUUAAGUAGUCAUCCAUAUCUCAUUAUCUUUUCACUCACAUACUAAUCUCCUUAUUGAGUAUUUACCAAUUACAAGUAGGUUGAAAGUUACUUGAAUUUAAGUCACUAAUCAAUGUUAACUUGAUAACAAAUAAGUCUCUCUUUGAAACUUGUUUUACAAGAUAGCGAAAUGUAGUCGAUCAAUCAUCAAAUUUAAGCAUUAGGAUUUAGUUGUUAAUUUUUAUUUUUUAUUUUUUGUGCUUAAACAAAGACAAAAAUUAUAAAAACUCCUUAAAAGUACAUAGUAAUUGAAUUUAAUUUAUACAUCAAACAAGAACAAACUAGUCUUGGAUUUAAAAUUCAUCAGGUUUUGUAAUUCUAAUUCCUAAAAAUUUGUAAGACAACAAAAUUAUUGGACACUAGGUUAUUGGGUGUGUAUGACUAAGAGGUGAAGGAGGGUUCAUCUUAUACAAAGGAUGAUUUGAUUAAUUUUAAAGAUUGGAUAAACAAUAAUUGCAUAUUCAAGUAAAAAUAACAUUGCUAAAAAAGGAAAAUAAGUAUUUUAGUCCUCAAACCUAAAAUGGCUAAAAAUUUCAAUUAAUACAAUACAACUUCACCUACAAAAGAAAAAAAAAACCCAAAACUUUUCAAUAGCACAACUAAGUCCAUUUAUCAAAAGCUCUAUGAACAACAACUAUCGAAUCACAUAAAUCAUGUUGUUUUCAAAGUGCCCUUGAUGUUUUAAAACUUAAGAUAUUACAUAAAAAUCAACAAAUAGUGUAUGACAUUAUAAAAAACAUAUCCAAAUCCAUUGUCGAAAUUAAACUAAAUUCAACUUUAUAUGCAUAGUCGCAAGUGGGUCUUUUUGUCUUUCAAUUUGGGUCAAAUUCAGAUGUUAGUUUUUUACAAAACAAGGGAUUAUCAAGGUGAUAAUUCAUGCAUAUAAAUAGUAUUACUAAUAUAAAAAAAAUGGUAAAUGCAAUUUUUUUGUAUUCACUCACCAUUUGGCAUAUCAAUAAGAAAAAAAUAUAUAUAAUAGGUGUUAUCAAUAAUAUUACUCAUCACUAGAAAUUAUAAUUUUUCAUUUGUUGUCACUAUUUGUGCACUUUGGAAAGCUUGCUAGGUACAACAAAUUAGCUCAAUGAAGAAAUUGAUCAAUUCCUUCAUUUCUAAAUAAAUAUGCAUAUACACUAGAAUAAAAACAACUUUUUAACUUAACAAGUUGAUUGAGUCUCAGAACUUAGUAGGUUGAAGGCAUAAACUUCCAUCCAAACUCAUUUACUGGCACCACAUGUUGGAAAAAUAAAUAAAAAUCAAAACACUUGAGUAUAGUUGCAAACCAAUCUAAAUAUAGAGUGAGAUCUACCUUUCUUUGAAAGUUUAGAACAAAUUUUUAUUUUUAUGAUAAGACUAUGCAGUACUUAUCCCUCUCUUACAAGUCUAUAAUNNNNNNNNNNNNNNNNNNNNNNNNNNNNNNNNNNNNNNNNNNNNNNNNNNNNNNNNNNNNNNNNNNNNNNNNNNNNNNNNNNNNNNNNNNNNNNNNNNNNAGUAUUAUGUUUUGUUCAUCAUUAGUUGGUCUUGCUCUAAAGCUUCUUUUUUAUGACUAUCAAUAACCAAACUUAGAUACCAAAAUUUAUGCAAGAGAGCAUGUACUUUAUACAGUCAAGAAUUUGUGAGUUUAGAUUUUGUUAUCUAGGUAAAAGAAUAAAUUGGUUUGUUAAAAUAGCUAGCAUUAGGUAUCUAUUCAAUUCCUAUCUUAGACAAUAAAGAUAGAAGUGAUAAAAUACAUUCUUAUUAAGAAACAUUUGAUUCCAAAAGUGAAGUAAGACAACAUAGUUCCUCUAUUCAAUCAAGUUUAAGGCUUAGAUGAACCUAUGAAUUUAUAUUAAUUAAUUGGGAAAGAGAAUAAACAGGCUAAGUAGAAGUGAUAGGAUUGUAAUAGCAUUAAGUUAAUGAUCUUGUUUAGGUAUUCUACUAAAUUAGAGAAGAAACAAACAAAAGUAAUCAAACGUGUUAGUGAUAAUUAUAUCUACUUAACAUUGAGACAAUAGUUGUACUAAUGGUAAUUAUAUUAUUUCUUGAGAGUUUAAACAAUAUAUAUUGAAAAUAUUUUUAAAGGUUUAGCAACUACCAAGGUUAUAAUCAACUACGAGCUUUUUAUUUUUAAAAAUAUGAAAUAUUAAUAUCUUUACUUUCUUUGAUCUUCUUGUAGGUUUUAAAAGUUUGUCUAAGCUGAAAAAGUUGGAAAUCUUAAACCUUGGUUAUAAUUGGUUCAACAAGACCAUUAUAAAACAGUUGAGUGGACUCACAUCCCUUAAAACACUAGUUGUAAGCAACAACUAUAUUGAGGGACUUUUUCCUUCCCAAGGUAUUGCUUAUUCUUUUAAUAUCCUUAGUAACCACUCUACCAUAAUUUAUUUUUUCAAUUUUAUUUUCUUUCUUGAACCAUCUUACAGAAUUAUCUAUUUUUGGAAACUUGAUGACACUGGAUUUAAGUUGGAAUAGAUUCAAUGGCUCCCUAUCAAUCCAAGGUAAAUUCUAAUCAGAAUUAUCAUUAUAUUUAGGGCAUAUAAUAAAUUAAUUAAAUUGUUUUAUCUAUUAUCAUUACUUGGUUAUUUGGAUUUUCUUGAUAUUGUUUAGCAUUUUACAUAGGAAAAUGAAAUGGAAAAAUCAACCCAUGCUUAGUGUUUAAGCACUAGGCUAGAAGUACAUUUGUCUUCCUAAUUUAAUCAAAGAGAAAAGUCAUAAAUAACAUAAUUUAACUUAUACCUUAUAUUGAUUGAAGAGGUUAGACUACUUUUGGAUUUAAUGGUCAAUAUUUGUUGAAGAUAGGGUUUCCUAAAUUUGAUAAAAAAGAACUUCAAUUUAAAUUACCAUAACUACAUAAAGUUGUGACUAGCAUAAUUAAGCUCUUUUAUUAAUAGAUGUUUAUAGACUAGUAUUAUAAUCCCACACACACAAAUAAUCAAAUUUUGAAAUUAGACUUCAAAUAACUAUGCAAUAUAUGAAACUACAAAAUGAAUGGUAGGUCAUAAUUAAUUAAAUUCGUACUAUAUUCAAUGUUGGUCAACACGUGUCAAGUAAAAGUUUUGGCCUAAGUGUAAGGGCUCACUUGCUCCUAUAUAGAUGUUAUUCACUUUGGGUCAAGGCCUACUUUAAAAUAUCUCUAUACAUUUAUGAGAAGUCUACUAAAUAUAAAGUCGUAGAAACUUUUCUUCUUAGGUGAUGUGGAAUUUCACAUUAGGACCAACAUUGUAUAUAUUUUGAAAACAUAAUUUAAUUAACAUUUUAGAACUAAUUAUUAGUUAUCCAUUUAUAAUCCUAGAGGAAAUUCCUUUUACCUAUGCAAAUUAUAUACCUCUAGUAAUUACCUUUAAUUUCUCAUUUACAACUUCCUAAAAUAAUAUGAAAAAUGACAAAGUGUACAAUAUCUACCAAUAUGGGUGGAAUAUGCAAUGAGACCCACAAUGCUCAAUAUAGUACUAGUAUCUAUGUCAUCUAAUAGCAAUGAAAGCACUAAGUAAUAAAAACAAUUGUUUUGGGCACUUUAUGCAAUUGGCCUUGUAAAAAAAGAAAUCUAAGGUAGUUGGACUCAUUUACUAGUAAUUUAACAUAUGACUAGAACCUAUUGAAUCAUUUGCAAUAGCACUUACUUUGGUCAUGUCCAAAUUUAUUGCACAUGGUGCAAAAAGGGGUGUUGCUAGAGGAUGCUUUGUUUUCCCACUUAUGGAAGUCUCAAUCUUGCUAAUAUAUUUUAUGCCAUGUUUAUCAUAUACAAAUUUAGCCUAAGUGUAAGGGCUCGCUUGCUCCUAUAUAGAUGUUAUUCACUUUGGGUCAAGGCCUACUUUAAAAUAUCUCUAUACGUUUAUGAGAAGUCUACUAAAUAUAAAGUCGUAGAAACUUUUCUCCUUAGGUGAUGUGGAAUUUCACAUUAGGACCAACAUUUUAUAUAUUUUGAAAACAUAAUUUAAUUAACAUUCUGGAACUAAUUAUUAGUUAUCCAUUUAUAAUCCUUGAGGAAAUUCCUUUUACCUAUGAAAAUUAUAUACCUCUAGUAAUUACUUUUAAUUUCUCAUUUACAACUUCCUAAAAUAAUAUGAAAAAUGACAAGGUGUAUAAUAUGAGCCAAUAUGGGUGGUAUAUGCAAUGAGACCCACAAUGCUCAAUAUAAUACUAGAAUCUAUGUCAUCUAAUAGCAAUGAAAGUACUAAGGAACAAUUUAACAUAUGUUUUGGGUACUUCAUGAAAUGGCCUUGUAAAAAAAGAAAUAUAAGGAAGUUGGACUCAUUUACUAGCAAUUUAACAUAUGACUAAAACCUAUUGAAGAAUUUGCAAUAGCACUUACUUUGGUCAUGUCCAAACUUAUUGCACAUGGUGCAAAAAGGGGUAGUGCUCGAGGAUGCUUCCACAUAAGAAAGACCCUACUUAACUGUUACAAAGUUUAUUUUCCCACUUGUGGGAAUGCUAACCUUGCUAAUAUAUUAUAUGUCAUGUUUAUCACAUACAAAUUUUUCUUUACUAAAUAUUUCUUAAUGAUCUUAGACCUAAAAUUAAAUAUUUCAUUAGUAUUGGUCAUGUCGUUCCUCAACUUUUCAACUUUUAGAGUUAAAUCUUUAUCUUUAUCAUUGAUAGUUUUAUGUUUAGUCCUUAGAAACUUCACCUUAUUAACAAUAUGUUCAUUUAAUAUGUUGAUAUUUUUAAUUUUCAAAGAAUCAUAGAGCUCAUUAAUUUUAAUGUCUUUUUAUUCACUUUUAUGCUUUCAACCUUUGUUUUUAGUUUUCCUUGUACAUCAUUAAAAUAAAACUCAUUUUUUUCAUUAGGAUUCAAUUAACCCAAUGGAUCAUAAUCAAAAUUAGCUGCAUAUGAACAAAAGCAAUAAGAUUAUCAUUUUGUACAUCUUUACUUUCAUUUGAGUUCUUAGCCCUACAAUCAUCAAACAUGGAAUUACUCCAAGUCACCUACAUAGCCUUCAUACCUAAUGUUUUUAAGGCAAGGACAAUCAACAACCAUGUGUCCCAUUCCCCCAAUGGUUCACUACAAACAAGGUACAUAUGUUAUGCUUUCUUUGUUUCAUAGAGAUUAGAGAGGAUAAAUAUUGUAUAAAAAAAAAAAGUUGUCAUAGUUAAUGUAAGCUAAAACUAAAAAACUUGUUUUUUCAAUUGUGUAAGCAUGUUUUGUUCUUGAUUAAUAUUUACAACAUUCAGAGUUACUAAUGUUUAUAAUUCACAGAGACCUCAUUAACAAGAAGUAACAACUAAUUGCAAGUAACCAUGAAAAAAAAUAAGGAGAAAAAUAAAGGAAAAUCAAGGAAAGUGGCAAAUUUUUUCAUCCCCAUAAAAAAUGCUAAGGAAGAAAAAGGUGAAGAAAGUUUAAAGAAAGUAUAUUUUUCAAAAAUUGAAUUUUCUUUCCCUUAAAGUUGGUAUGGAUAACCAAACAAGAAAAUGAUUUUGAAAUUCUUUUUUGACCUUUUUUUAACAUUCUUUUUUUUUCCCUACUCUAUUUCCUUUCCCUCAAACUUUCUAGGUAGUAAACAUUACCUAAGAUAAAUAGGGAAGAAAAUAUUUUAUCAUUUAUUUAUUUAGUAUUUUUCUUACCUUUUUUGUAUGUUAUCCAAAUAUAAGAAAACUAUUUUUCUUUAUUUUUUCUUUUCCUUGUUGCUUUUCAAGAAUCAAGCAUACUUUAAACUCUAAUUAAGAGUUACAUAGAUUUACGAAGAAACAAUGCAACUAGUAACAAAAAAUUAAGGAAAUUUAAUUUUUUGAGAGUAAGGUGGUGUUUGUUUUUUUACUUAAUUCUAAAUAGAACCUUAAUACUUAAUAGUAUUAAAUAUUAGGUUGUUUGUUUUUGUAGUAUUUUAUUUCUAUUAAGUAUUAAAAAGUAAAAAAAACCAUUGUGUUAUUUUUUUCUAUUUAGAAAAAGCCACAUAUUUUGGCUUUUUCUAUUUAGUAAAAAGUUUAUAAUAAGUCAUGAAAAAGUAAAAAACAAACAACCUAAAUUCUAAAACUAAAUGGCUUUCAGCAAAAAGACAAAAAAAACAAACACCACCUAAGUAUAAUGAGAUUGGUUUGUUUGAUACAAAAUUUGAAUAAAAAUUCUUUCAAUGAAAAUUCAAGGAAAGGAAAAAAAAAACAACUUUAUCUCUAGACUAUAAUACUAAAUCACUUAAAAAAAUAUCCUAACAUCGUUUAUGUUCAUCUUUCUUUUUAUGGAUUUGAAAAACCCAAUAAUUUGGAGAAAACUGAUUCAAGGAAGAAUAAUUUUUAGAAUAAAAUAUUAUUAUUUAAGAAGAUCAUAAAUAUUAUAGUCAUUGUUGAAUAUGAUAAAUGAUUAAAAAAAAAAAAGGUAGUUGGAAAUUUAGAUACUUUUAUAAGACAAAUGCAUUUUUCUAGUAUGGUAUGAAAAAAGGUAAAAUGAUAGGCUUUGAUCAUUUUUUAAGGUAGUUUGUUUAAAUCAUUUUAAUUUAUUUUGAUUUAAUAACAAUAACUUUUAUUACACUAGUUAUUUUGAUUUUCUUUUGAUAGAUUUUGCAAGCUUAAGCAAUUUGGAGGUAUUGGAUUUGAGUGAUAAUUCAUUUAGUGGGAUCGUUCCAUCGUCUAUAAGAUUGUUGUCUUCUCUCAAGUCUUUAUCCCUGGCUAGAAAUUACCUCAAUGGUUCCUUACCAAAUCAAGGUACAUAUAUUGUGAUUACAGGUUUUUCUGUUAUCUUUUUUAAUAUCUUGUUUGUUCUUUAUACCAACUAAGUCAUGCAUGUCUAUUAAUUUUUGGUAUUUAAUGAAAAACAUUAUUCUUAAUUCAUAAAGACAUCAUCAACUGUAAGUAACAACUAGUUGUAAGUUUGGGGGCAUUGACAAGACGAGGAGAUGAUUGGUUACAUGCCUUAUUCUCUUUUGUAGGCUUCUGCCAAUUGAAUAAGCUUCAAGAAUUAGAUCUUUCUUACAACUUAUUCCAAGGGAUCCUUCCUCCAUGUUUGAAUAAUUUGACAUCUUUGAGGUUAUUGGAUCUUUCUUCCAACCUAUUCUCCGGAAAUCUUUCUUCCCCUCUGUUACCUAAUCUCGCAUCCCAGGAGUACAUCGAUCUCAGUUACAAUCAGUUUGAGGGUUCAUUCUCUUUCAGCUCUUUUGCUAAUCACUCCAACCUUCAAGUGGUCAAACUUGGAAGGAAUAACAACAAAUUUGAGGUAGAAACUGAAUAUCCAGUUGGUUGGGUUCCCCUGUUUCAGUUGGAAGCUCUUAUGCUAUCCAACUUAGUGGUGGUUGAUCUAUCCCAUAAUAACUUGACGAGAAGGUUCGCCAAUUGGUUGCUUGAAAACAACACAAGACUAGAAUUUCUAGCCCUGAUGAAUAACUCUUUAAUGGGUCAACUACUUCCCCUGAGACCUAAUACUCGUAUCAGUUCAUUGGAUAUCUCACACAAUCAGUUGGAUGGACAACUUCAAGAAAAUGUGGUCCAUAUGAUUCAAAAUAUUAUGUUUCUAAAUUUAUCCAACAAUGGUUUUAAAGGUAUUAUCCCAUCCUCAAUAGCUUAAAUGAGUUCCUUAGGGUCGUUGGAUUUGUCUGCUAAUAGUUUCUCAAGGAAAGUACCAAAGCAAUUGCUUGCGGUAAAAUAUUUGUGGCUUCUGAAAUUAUCAAAUAAUAAAUUUCAUAGUGAAAUAUUUUCAAGGGACUUUAACUUGACUCAGUUAGGGUUUUUGCAUUUGGACAAUAAUCAGUUCAGGGGAACACUGUCAAAUGUAAUCUCCAGAAUCUCUAGGUUGUGGGUGUUAGAUGUGAGUAACAACAACAUGUUAGGUGAAAUUCCAAGCUGGAUAGGUAACAUGACCGAUUUGACUACACUGGUGUUGGGCAACAAUAGUUUUAAAGGCAAAUUACCACCUGAGAUUUCUCAAUUGUCGGGGAUGAUAUUUCUUGACGUUUCUCAAAACGCUUAAGAGCAUGAAGUAUUUAGAGCAUUUACAUUUGCAAGGGAACAUGUUUACAAGAUUGAUACCCAAAGAUUUUCUCAAUUCCUCAUAUCUAUUGACUUUGGAUAUCAGAGACAACAGGUUAUUUGGAAGUAUUUCCAAUUCAAUCUCUAGACUUUUAGAGCUAAGAGGAAACCUUUUAAGUGGUUUCAUUCCAUAUCAGCUUUGUCAUUUGACUAAAAUAAGUUUCAUGGAUCUUUCAAACAAUUUUUCUGGGUCAAUUUCCGGAUGCUUUGGUCAUAUCGGAUUUGGAGAUUUCAAAACUGAGCACAAUGUGUAUAUACCGACGUUGGAUUCGUAUUCAGAAAGCAAUCCUUCUAUAUAUACGGGUUACUUAAUAAAAUAUUUAUUUUUCUCUAGUGAACUCCCUGAUGAAGUAGAUGAAGUUGAGUUUGUUACCAAGAAUAGGUAUAGCUCCCACAGAGUAGAUAAAAAUAUUUGUUGGGAAUUUAGAUAUUUUUAUAGGAAAGUAGGCAAGUAUUCUAAUUUAUAAAAACAAUGCAUUUCUUUAGUUUGGUAUAAAAAAAAAAUGAAACGAUAGGUAUUGGUAAUUUUUUUUAAAGUAACAAACGUUUUAUUUUAUUUGUAUUUAAGAAAGAUGUCUUUUCUUAUACUAGUUAUUUUAAUUUUCUUUUGACAGUUUUUGCAAGCUUAAGCAAUUUGGAGAUACUAGAUUUGAGUUCUAAUUCCUUAAGUGGGAUUAUUCCAUCAUCUAUAAGAUUGAUGCCUCAUCUCAAGUCUUUAUCCCCGGCCGGAAAUUAUCUCAAUGGUUCUUUACAAAAUCAAGGUACAUAUGUUAUGAUUUGUUUGUUUCAUAUAGAUUAGAGAAGAUAAAUAUUGUAAAAAAAAAAAAGUUGUAGUUAAUGUAAGCUAGAAAUAAGUAUCUUGCCUUAUAAAUUAUAUAAGCAUGUGUUUGUUCUUAAUGAAUCUUUACAACAUUUAGAGUUACCAAUGUUUAUAAUUCAUAAAGACCUCAUUAACAGUGAAUAACAACUAAUUGUAAGUAAUUGUGGAAAAAGUAAGGAAAACAAAAUGAGGGAAAAGCAAGGAAUUAGGAAAUUAUUUUGUUCCCAUUAAAAAAUGUUAAGGAAGAAAAAGGUAAAAGAAAGUUUAAAAAAAGUAUAUUUUUCAAAAAUUUAUUUCUCUUUCCUUUAAUUUUGCUAUGGACAACCAAACAAGAAAAUUAUUUUAUAAUUCCUUUUUUAUUUUUUUCAUUCUCUCUCUCUUUUUUUCCCUACUCUAUUUCUUUUCCCUCAAACUUUCUUGGUAGUAAACACAACCUAAGAUAAAUGGGGAAGAAAAUUUUCAGUUUUAUUUUUUUAUUUUUUUAGAAUGUUUUCUUACUUUUUAGUAUUUUAUGCAAAUAUAGGAAAAUUAUUUUUUUUUUCUUGCUCCUUUUCAUACAUGAAUCACACUUUAAAAGAAAAUUAAUUUUUAAUUAGGAGUUAAGAUAAAUUUAAGGAGAAACAAUGAAUCACGAAUAACAAAAAAUUAAGGAAAUUGAAUUUUUGAAAGUAAGUAUAAUCAAAUUGCUUCAUUUGAUACAAAAUUUGAAUAAAAAUUCUUUCAAUGAAAAUUCAAGGAAAGGAAUAAACAUUUUUGUCUCUAGAUUAUAAUACUAAAUCAUGUAAAAAAUCUCUUAACAUCAUUUAUAUUCAUAUUUCUUUUUAUAGAUUUGAAAAAUUCAACAAUUUGGAAUAAACUUAUUCAAUGAAGAAUAAUUUUUAGAUUUAAAGAUUAUUAUUUAAGAUCAUAAAUAUUACCAUCAUUGUUGAUGUCUAAGAAGAUCAUAUUCAACAAUUUUUUUAAUAUGUUGUUUUUUAUGGUAAUUAAUUGAUGUCUUGUAAUUUUUAAUAUUUAAUGAAAAACAUUAAUUUAAUUCAUCUAGAGCUCUUAAUUCAUGAAGACCUCAUUAAUGUAAUGGUGAGUAAUAGUUGGCUGUAAGUUUGGAGUCAAAGACAAGUUAAGGAGAUGAUUAGUUACAUGUCUUAUUCUCUUUUGUAGGUUUCUGCCAAUUGAAUAAGCUUCAAGAGUUAGAUCUUUCUUACAACUUAUUCCAAGGGAUCCUUCCUCCAUGUUUGAAUAAUUUCACAUCUCUGAGGUUAUUGGAUAUCUCUGCCAACCUAUUCUCCGGAAAUCUUUCUUCCCCUUUAUUACCUAAUCUCACAUCCCUGGAGUACAUCGAUCUCAGUUAUAAUCAGUUUGAGGGUUCAUUCUCUUUCAGCUCUUUUGCUAAUCACUCCAAGCUUCAAGUGGUCAUACUUGGAAGGGAUAACAUCAAAUUUAAGGAAUUUGGAAGGGAUAACAAAAAAUUUGAGGUAGAAACUGAAUAUCCAGUUGGUUGGGUUCCCCUGUUUCAGUUGAAGGUUCUCUCUCUAUCCAGCUGUAAGCUCACCGGUGACCUUCCUGGUUUUCUUCAAUACCAAUUCAGGUUAGUGGGGGUUGAUCUCUCCCAUAAUAACUUGACAGGAAGUUUCCCCAAUUGGCUGCUUGAAAACAAUACGAGACUGGAAAUUCUACUCCUGAGGAAUAACUCUUUAAUGGGUCAACUACUUCCCUUGGGACCUAAUACCCGUAUCAAUUCAUUGGAUAUCUCACACAAUCAGUUGGAUGGACAACUUCAAGAAAAUGUGGCCCAUAUGAUUCCAAAUAUUACGUCUCUAAAUUUAUCCAACAAUGGUUUUGAAGGUAUUAUCCCAUCCUCAAUAGCUGAACUAAGAGCCUUACAGAUUUUGGAUUUGUCUACCAAUAAUUUCUCUGGAGAAGUACCAAAGCAAUUGCUUGCAGCAAAAGAUUUGGAGAUUCUGAAAUUAUCAAAUAAUAAAUUUCAUGGUGAAAUAUUUUCAAGGGACUUUAACUUGACUGGGUUAUUGUGUUUGUAUUUGGGCAAUAAUCAGUUCACGGGAACUCUGUCAAAUGUAAUCUCCAGAAUCUCUUGGUUGUGGGUGUUGGAUGUGAGCAACAACUACAUGUCAGGUGAAAUUCCAAGCUGGAUAGGUAACAUGACAUUAUUGAGAACAUUGGUCAUGGGCAACAAUAAUUUUAAAGGCAAAUUACCACCUGAGAUUUCUCAAUUGCAACGGAUGGAGUUUCUUGACGUUUCUCAAAAUGCUCUUUCAGGAUCUCUUCCUUCUUUGAAGAGCAUGGAGUAUUUAGAGCAUCUACAUUUGCAAGGGAACAUGUUUACAGGAUUAAUACCCAGAGAUUUUCUCAAUUCCUCAAAUCUAUUGACUUUGGAUAUUAGAGAAAACAGGUUAUUUGGAAGUAUUCCCAAUUCAAUCUCUGCACUUUUGAAGCUAAGGAUUCUUUUGCUGAGAGGGAACCUUUUAAGUGGUUUUAUUCCAAAUCAUCUUUGUCAUUUGACUGAAAUAAGCUUGAUGGAUCUUUCAAACAACUCUUUUUCAGGGCCAAUUCCUAGAUGCUUUGGCCAUAUCCGAUUUGGGGAGACGAAAAAGGAGGACAACGUGUUUGGACAGUUCAUGUAUUGGUAUGAACUGAAUUCUGAUCUUGUAUAUGCAGGUUACUUGGUGAAACAUUGGGAGUUCUUAAGUCCAACAUAUAAUGAAAAAGAUGAAGUUGAGUUUGUCACCAAGAACAGGCAUGACUUCUACAGAGGUGGCAUCCUUGAAUUCAUGUCUGGAUUGGACUUAUCAUGUAACAACUUGACAGGUGAAAUUCCUCAUGAACUUGGAAUGCUAAGUUGGAUUCGUGCAUUGAACUUGUCUCACAAUCAAUUGAAUGGCUCCAUUCCAAAGAGUUUCUCCAAUCUUUCUCAAAUAGAGAGCUUAGACCUUUCUUAUAAUAAACUGGGUGGAGAAAUUCCUCUAGAGCUAGUUGAACUCAAUUUUUUAGAGGUGUUUAGUGUGGCUUACAACAACUUCUCUGGUAGAGUUCCAGAUACCAAAGCACAAUUUGGGACAUUUGAUGAAAGAAGCUAUGAAGGUAAUCCUUUCCUUUGUGGGGAACUAUUAAAGAGGAAAUGCAACACAAGUAUUGAGUCACCAUGCGCACCAUCACAGUCUUUUGAAAGUGAGGCAAAAUGGUAUGAUAUCAAUCAUGUUGUUUUCUUUGCAAGUUUUACUACUUCAUAUAUCAUGAUCUUGUUAGGAUUUGUUAUCAUCCUUUACAUCAAUCCUUAUUGGCGUCAUAGAUGGUUCAAUUUUAUCGAGGAAUGUAUAUAUUCCUGCUAUUAUUUUGUUUUUGAUAGUCUUUCCAAGUUAUCGGCAUAUUUGUAUAAUUAGAUACUUUUAAUUGGAUGAUAUUUGCAUAAUUAACUACUAUUUGUUUCCCUGGGAUAGAAAGAAAUGGGAUGUAUAAUGCUAUGAGCUGAAACUUACAUACUUUGCUCAAAUUCUAACAUCUUUUGAUUUUAUUUUCAAGUUCCGUUAUUUAUUAUGUAUUGUUAAAUUCAAGAUUUAACCAUAUUACGUUACUCUUAUAAAAGAAAAUUCAAAUUUUUAGGAACUUUUAGCAUUAAAAUAAUUUCAUAGUCAGAUUUUAAAAAAUAAAGAAGAAAGAAAAUAAUAAAUAAUUGGAAAAACAAUUCAAGGAAGUAUUAAAUUAUUAUCUUAGAAUUGUUUGGCGUAGUAUGGGAAUUCAAAAAUAAUCUUUCAAUUUGUUAGAAAUGUUUAUUUAUUUAUUAUAGCAAUGAUUGAAAUAUCAAUCACAAAGUAAUGUUUUCUUUUCUUUUGUAGGGCACUAACACUUUUUCUUUGAUUGUAAUAAUUGAUAAAUAUAUUACACAAUUAUUUGUUUUAAAAAGGGGAGGGAUGACAAACAUAAUAACAUGUAAAAUAUUUCUAAAACUGUGAUGGGAAAUAAACCAUCUAAUUAGGGUGCAAUAUUAUUCAUUUUAAUUUAUAUGAAUUUACUUAUUUUUAUUUGCAUCAUAUUCUGAACUAUUUUAUGAAAUUAAGAGAGAUUAAAACAUCAUGAAUUUCUUAGUUUAAUUUAUAUUUUUAAUAAUAAAGCAUGAAAUAUUUAAAAAAAGAAAAACAAAAUCAUGAAUUUCUUUAAUUCAUUAGGAAACCAAUAUAUAAAAAAAGUUGAAUAUAUUAUUAUUUUAUGUUCUAAAUUUCUAAAUUUGUUCAUCACGUAUUUAUUUUUAUAUUAAAUUUAUUAUCAAUAAUUAUUUAUUAUAUAUUAUUAUUUUAUGUUUAAAAAUGUUCAUAAAUAAUUAAAAUUAAUAAAUAUAAAAAAUGAAAUAUUAAAAAAAUAAAUUAAAAAGAUUUCAUCAAGCUAACAAAUUUUUAUAAAAAAAAAAAAGAGUAAAAAAGAAGAUGGGGAUAUUAUAGAGGUGGGGAAAAAGAUAAAAGAAAAAUCAUGUGGUAUAAUAAUUGCCACGUGUUAAAGUUAUUUUCUUUAAAAAUUAAUUAUAGUAAUGAUGAACUCAUUUGUCUUAUCAAAGUAAAUAAAAAUAAAUAAAUAAAAGAAAAAAAGAAAAAGAAAAAAGGUGGUAGUUGGCUGGAGGUUAGAGAGGAGGGUUUGAAGGUAAAUUUGGAAUAUUGAUUAUUUUCACUAAGUAGAUAUUUUGAAAGUUAUUUUGCCUGAAACCCAUAUUGUUUGAAAAUAAAAAAUCAAAGUUUAAAAAAAAUACAAUUUUUUUGAAAUGAUGCAUGAUUACAUCAUUCCCCUGAUAGAUUAUUUAUUCCUUUAAACUUUACUUCAAAUAAAAUAAUUUUAAUUAUUUUCUUUUUGGAAUUAUAUUUAACAUAUUAUUAAAAAUAUAAAAAAACAUUUUAAUAAUAUUGUUAAUGAGUUUUUUUUAUAUAUAUUUUGUAAAAUAAUUAAAUUUAAAAAUAUUUAAAUUUAGUUAUGGGCUGCCCAUUUCAAAAUAAUAAGAAUCUAGUAACCUAAUUUUUCCAAAUUCCAGGUAAAUAUGCUAAUCUAAAAAUAAAUAAAAAAAUAAAAAUUAGUUUUUAUGUGCUGAUUGGGUUUUUUUUCCUUUAAUUAAAAAAAAAGGAAAAAAACAAAAGUGUGUGAUCCUCUUUCUCGAGUCUUCACAUUUAGAGACACUGAACCCAAAUCAAAAUUAAUCCUUCAAAUUAAUUUUCACCUCCAAACAUAGCUAUCCGAAAAACCCUAACCUCUGCCUCCUCUUCCUCUUAUCCCGGAAACCUAAAUUCCGUGACCCUAACCCCUUCUCUUUCCGAAAACCCUCCGGAAUCGGAAAAUUCAUAAUUCUUCAGAAUUAAUUUUCACCUCGAAGCCAAACCCUAACUGCCUCAUCUUCCUCUCAUUCAUAUCCCAAAAGUAGCUUCAACAGUCAGGCCUGUAGCCAUGAAAGCCGUAGUGAUCACUACUUCCGGUGAUCCCCAAGUUCUCCAAGUGCAAGAAGUCGAAAACCCUGAAAUUGGAGAUGAUGAAGUUCUAAGUAGAGUGGACGCCGCUGCCAUUAACCGAACAGAUACGCUUCAGAGGAAGGGCUUGCACCCUUCCUCAAAGGCGGCAGUCCCUACCCGGGUCUCGAAUGUUCUGGAAUCAUCGAAGCUGUUGGAAAAGCCGUCGUUCGAUGGAAGGUUGGCGAUCAGGUAUUUCAAUUGCCUAAUAUUUUGAUUUCGUUUCUGUUCCUCUGUUUUUCUCGGCUAUCAAACACUAGGAACGUGUAAAUAAGGAGGUUAGUUGAUUGCGAAAACGGGAAUUUUUUGUUCGUGUCUGUGUUAAGGAGUCUUUGUUGAGAAUUUUGGGGAAAUUUAUGAUAAGUUUGUGAUUUUAUGAUUAAUUUUGUGUAUCAAUAUAGGUUAAAUUAUUGAGCUUAUUGGUUUUCAAAUUUAUGGUUGUAAGAAAAUUGGUCAGUGUAAGGUUAUGGGAUCAUUACCAAUUUGCUUACUGAAAAUUUUUCCAGAUAUUGUGGACCGGUUUGGUAGCAGAAAUAAGAACUGUGUUUUGUUUUUCAAAACGGAAAUGGAUGCAGAAAACAUGUUUUUCUUUCAGAACUUGUUUCCGAAAAUAUUUCCUGAAAAUGAAUUAUUUCAGAACUUGUUUUAAAAAAAUUCAAACACUUUAUCAAUUUAAAAGGUUCUGAAAUGGACAUGUUCAUGGUCUUCAUUUUUUAAAAUUAAAGCUUUUAUGAAAAAACCAUUUUCCCUUCUACUAAACAAACAGGCUCUAUAUUGUAACAGAUCGAUUGGCCAUUUCCUUUGUCAUGUUUUGUGAAUCAUGGCAACACUGGAAUCCACUCCAUUACCAUCUGUUAGUGAUUAGAAGACAAAGCACCAAUUUUAAUGAUAUCCUUUAUGUGAUUUUGCUUCCUCCUGAGUACAAGUUCAUAGUAUACAUGGUACAUGGUGAAUCUGUAUGACAGUUCAUGGUAUACAGGUGUGUGCUCUUCUUUCUGGUGGAGGGCAUGCUGAAAAAGUGGCUGUUCCAGCUGGGCAAGUUCUCCCUGUCCUAUCUGGUGUUUCUCUGAAGGAUGCUGCUGGAAUUCCUGAGGUUGCAUGUACUGUUUGGUCAACUGUUUUAAUGAUGAGCCGACUGUCUGCAGGAGAAACAUUCCUGGUGAAUUUUUUGUCUUUUUUAUUUUCUGAUGCCUGAUAUAUUUACCAGCACAAAUUUACCCUGUUGCUGUUUAAUGUGUGUGCAUCAAUAUUGGAUUAGGGAGGUAGAAGAGCCAUGGUUCUAAUUAAAUCAUUACAUCAUCAUAUUCUUAUUUAGAUACAUUGUAUCCCACAAUUUCAUUGCAUCCAAGGCUAUGUUGUUUUUUAUUGCACGGUUUGUGUCAUGGUAAUUUCUCAACCCUUCUCUGGAAAAUUAUGUUGGAUGGCUGCUAUUAAUUACCCCAAAAGAAGAAAUUUUAUGUUGAAGUAAGAUGAGUAGCACAAAGAGUUACUUGUGGUUGAUCCUAUCAUCAAAUGGGCGAUUGAUGCACAAUCCAAAUGGUAAAUUUUUUUCCCCCUUUAUCCAGAUGGAAUUUUUAUGCAUGGUUGAAUAGUGAAAUGAGGACUGAUAAUAUUUCAGGUUCAUGGGGGUUCAAUUGGAAUUGGUACCAUCUAUUCAAAUAGUGAAAUACUGAGGAGCAAGGGUAUUUGUUACAGCAGGUUUGCCAUCACUGUUCUACCUCAUCUCACAGAAUGCUUAUCUCAUGGCACCAAUUCCUUUUCUUCACAUGUUUUCAACCAUUUUUUCCACCCAGGAACGAGGAAAAAUUAGCUGUUUGUAAGGAUCAUUGAGCAGAUGUGUGCAUCAAUUACAAGACUGAAAACUUUGUUGCAUGGGUGAAGGAGGAAACAGGAGGGAAAGGUAUAAUCUAUUGUAUCUUAACGAUAAUUUCAAUUGAAGGUGGAAUUGCUUUUUAAUUUUUAGUGCACCAAAUCCACUAGUCUGGAAUGUUUGAAAAGAUAAAUAGUCAUCUUCCACUUGAUACCGAUUGUGAAGAUCUAACCCCAAAAAUGUUGAAUGACAGGUGUUGAUGUUAUACUGGAUAAUAUUGGAGGGGCCUACUUUUGGGGAGACAUCAAUGGUUUAAAUGUUGAUGGAAGGCUUUUUAUUAUUGGUUUUCAGGGUGGAACAGUGGUACAAGUAAAUCUUUCAGGUUUACUUGCAAGGCGCCUUACAGUGCAAGGUACCGCUUUCUCUGUAGUUUUGGAGUUGAAUCAAUUUGAUUAAUCUCAUCCAAGUUCAGAACUGAGGUGGAUUCUGGCAAGCCAAGGAAAAACCAAAUUACCAUAAAUUCUUUUUUUCUUGGAAAUCCUGUUUCUCAAUCUGGUCAGUAUAUGGAAAUUCCAAGGAAAAUAUGUUUUACAUUUUCCAUAAGGCUCAAUGGGUUUUAACUCCACUCAGCUACUUUAUGUCUUGUAUUUAAUAUUGCAAACCAAAAUAAUAAUACGUAGAGAUUGAGCUUGGAGGCCAAUCUAGCAAAUGUGGAGAUUAGAAAUAGUUUACCAUCUAGAUAGUCAAGCAUAGCAAUUUACCAAACCCUUACCAACCAUCCAUACUAACCAAUUGUGGUUAAAUGUUUACAAAAAUGUACAUUAAAUCAAAGAGAAAAAAGAUUAAAAACGAACAAGAGAGAAGAAGUACGUCACCUAAUUUUGGUAAUAAAUGAAAUUAAAAUAAAUUCAUAAAUUUUUUAAAUUAAAAUGAAUUUGAACUCUAGAGAUUUGUGUAGAUAUCUUAUUAAAAAACCAAAAAGUUUGUUGCAUAUAUAAUUUCAACAAUGCAUAAAUAAUUACAACAUACGCAAUACAAUAAUAUUACACAACUAUAUUUUCAAAUAUAGUAUAAGAUCAUUAAAGUGAUAAAUUGUAGUUGUAUAAAAUAUUUAUACAAGUAAAGAAGAAAUUAUGAGAUUGAAAUGCUUGUUGGAUUCUAAGUAAAAAGGAAAUGAGAUAUAGAGAUUGUCCCAUCAGACAUAGAAUUUCAUAUACAUAAUUUUCCCUUCAAGAAAAUUUAGGGUCAAAUUGAAAAAUUUUCAUUCAUAGAUUUUGGUAAAACCUCUAUCUAGUCCUCCAAAUCUUGUAUACAAAAGGAAAUAACAUUGGUAUGAGGGGUUUGAAUGCUUAAUUUUAGAUUGAAAAUGCUUGAGAUAAUUUUUGAUCGACUUCACAUGUGUUUUUGAUAAACUUGGAACAUUCAAACUUGUAUUUGAAGAAUCUUCAAAUCUUCAAUUUGAUCUUAAAUAAUGUUGAAACCUUCGAAAUUUGAAUAGAAGAAUCUUUAAGCAUUUGAAUUUUGGUUUAAAGAAUUUUGAAAUUUGAGAUUGAAGAAUCUUCAAAUUUGGGCCUGAAGAUCAAAGGCUAAGCUUGAAGAGUUCUUGAAGCUUGAGUGGUAUCUCCGAUUUUGUUUUGUAUUUCAUAAAAACUUUUAAGUAUACUAUAUUUAUAGGUUUGAAGAGACAUUGAGAUUUUGUAUACAUGUUUGGAGUUUUAAACCUUGAAAUAUUACUCUUUUAUGAAAUUAACAUUUAUAAAAUUUGGAAGAACAUAAUUAGAUAAUAUUCUAAGUUAUUUUUAAUGAAAAUUGAUAAUUACCUUUUAAUUAUCAAAUUCACUAUUUCUAUUUAUUUUUGUAAUAUAUAUUAAUUACUAAAAUCAUUUAUUUCCUUUAUUUAGUUUGAAAGCAAUUAUAUAUCUUUUGUUUGUGUAGAGCUCAUGUGACACGACAAAUUUUAUUUUGUAACUUGCUCUGGAUGAAUGGCCAUUAUAAACUUCAUUUUAUCCUCAUCUGAUUUUGAGGUGGGAAUAGGAGAGAUGAGGAUUUGACAUUUGGACCUAAGCCUCAGAGGGUUUUAACUCCACUCAACUACUUUAUGCCUUGUAUUUAAUAUUGCAAACCAAAAUAAUAACAGACAUGAUCCUUUUCAAAAUUUUUAUAAUAAUAGAAGUGUAAAUAAUAUAAGUAAAAAUAAUAUAAUAUUUUUUAAAAUGAUAAAAUAAUAGGUUAUAUAAAUUUUAAUAUAUAGGUAAAAUUAAUUAAAUUUUAACAAAUACCUUCACACUUAAACAUUACAUAUCUUUUAUUUAAUAAAAUGUUAAAAUAUUAAUAUAUUUAAAAUUGUAUAAUUAUUUUUUAUUUUAAUACUAUAUAAAUUAUAUAUUUAUGAUAUUACUGGUUCAACUAUAAUUCAAUCACUGAUCCAACCAUUGAACCAUGAAUUAGUAAAUUUUUUUAUUCAAUGAUAGGUUUGAUUCUAAAAAUAUUAUGACUAUGUUUGGUUCCAGAAAUUUUUUUUUGAUGGAUUACAUCAAUCUAGAUAAUGACAAAGAUAUUACCAAUUUGAUAUCACCAAUUGAUAACACAAUUAAAAAAUAAUAUGCAUUUUAACAUAUUUGAAUUCAUUGUACUCAUAUCCAUGACCUAAUUUUACACAUCCUUAAAUCAUGGUUGAUUUAUGAAACAAAUCUAUACCAUCAAUAGAAAAUAAAUAAAUAAAAUAAUACAAAAAAAUAUAUAGAUAGUCAAGCAUAGCAAUUUACCAAACCCUUAGCCACCAUCCAUACUAACCAAUUGUUGUUAAAUGUUUACAAAAAUAUACAUUAAAUCAAAGAGUAAAAAGAUUAAAAACGAACAAGAGAGAAGAAAUACAUCACCUAAUUUUUGUAAUAAAUGAAAUUAUAAUAAAUUCAUAAUUUUUUUAAAUUAAAAUAGAAAUUCAAAUACAUGUAACUAUUGUUUUUGUCUUGUAAAUCAUCCAAUUUUUCAAUGAAUUUAAACUCCACAUAUUUGUGUAGAUAUCUUAUUAAAAAAAACAAAAAGUUUUCACUAAAAUCAUAAAAUUUAGAUUAGAAAUGAUUUACUAUAUUAGUUCAAAAUUCAUCUCCACAAAAAUUGAAAUAAAUUAAUUAUCUUGAUCAAUUCAAAUAAAAUUUCUCCAAUUAAAUUUCCAAAUAUGUGCCUUAAUACCUAUAAUGGAAUUAGUAAUUUUAAUUAAAAAAUAAAUAAAAAUAAGGAUUUGAUCUUUUUCUUACCAUUUGAUGAAAAUUAUAAAAUAUACUAAAAUGACAAGUGAUCAGACAUUUGAAAUUUGCAUCAUUUCUACCAUUGCAAACACCACCAACUCCAUAUUUCCCAUUUUUCUACCUACUGCCAAUUCACUCAUCUCUCUGGGAAGAUUUUUGAGGUUAUCGCCAUGCUUGAGAUAAUCCAGAAAGUUGAGCGGCAUCACUCUCUGAAAGGUGCCUUACAGCAUGGGUAAUGUAUGGGAUACAUCUGAUAGCUUGCCAUAUCCAUAAACCACUAUAUUAAACCAUGGUUCAUAUCCCCAACGCCACACGAGAAUCUGUACUCAUCCCAAGCAGCUUGGAGAUCAUAAAAUUAGGUUUUGAGGGCCUCCCGAGACAUGCACAGCUUCACCUUUGUGCAUUCCUUUGAUUUGGAAAAUUUCUUCUGUAAAAUCCCCCAUUAUCAUGCCCUGAACCAAGACAAUUUCACAAUAUCCAAUAGCAUAUCAUUUACUUCCAUUUUGUCAAUGGGAAUUACCAUUUUGCAUGGGAAGCACCAACGGAGAUAGGGGUUUUCAAAUUGGAUCACUAGCAAAGAAACCCACCGCAACGAUCUGAAUAAUUGAGCACAACAUCCACUUUAGAGAACCCCUCCUGAAGGCGAAAUCGUCAUCUUGGCUAAACGUAGUCAUAGUUGGGUUGUGAGAAAUGGAGAUGAAUCACAGAAGGCUUUCAGUUUGAUAGCAACGAAAAGGUAAAUGUACUCUAGAGAAGUUUUGACCUUGGGAGAAGCGCUUUUGAAUCCAAGUCAAGGUCUGUUCUGGAUCCCUUUUCGACUCUCUCUAUUAAAGGAAGAUAAUCUGCCCAGGAUUUGGAUGCAAGCCUACAAGGCCAUGUUUAGGAGACUUAUGCAAAAUAUUUAUCCAUAGCUCCCCGCCUGAAACAUCUACAUAAAGCGUCUUCCAAGUGUGAACCAUCGUCUUGGGUCCUUGAGAUGAACAAAAACUGAGACAUGUCGUGAGUUAGAUGCAUUGCCUGAAAAUGCCGAGCAGUAGUAUGGCCUUCUUUCUGAUCAACUGUUUUGUCAAAUUCUAGAGCUCUCAUUCCAAAUCCAUCAGUUUUCUCAAAUGAUUGGCCAGUGGAGAUCCAUGGAUAUAACAUAUGAAAUGUGCACAAUAAAAGUAAUCAAACGGUUGGUUGGUUUGGCUGAAUCCCACAAUCGCAAAGACUUAUCAUAUGAAACUGUUACCAACUGAGUUGAAUUUGGCCUAAAAAGGAUAUCCGUUACUACAAACUAGCGUUCUUUCGUGGUGCUCUCUCUUUGCAGGCUAUCCAUGUUCCAAAGAAAAACUCUCUUGUCAUGUCUGGCACUGGGCACUGAUUAGAGUGUGGGACGUUCAUUCUCCAUUAUCACCAAACACAUGCAGGAUAUAUAUAUAUCAAUUCAUUCAAAAUAUGCCUUUAUUUUAUGGAACAUACCCGAAUCCAUUUUGUUUGUGUUGAAGAGGUAUAGAUCUUCUAAGGCUAUGGAGGGCACCACCUUUUCUCAGAAUUCUCUCUGACGAUGGGAAGCCGAAGAGAACGGGUUUUGUUUUUAUUUUGAAAACGUUGUUAUCCUUAAAGAACAAACACUAUUCUUUGGAUUUAUACCCUCCUACCUUAGGGACCAUACCGUUUGGCUACUGGGCCUCACGAGUCUUAGGCCCAUCAUCUAAGGCCCGUGAUGGCACUGGGCUCUACACAUAAGGUGGCCCAUACUCUAGAACGAAUAGAAAUCAUAUGUAUAUAUAUGGAUAGCUAAAUCCUGAAUAAUGGUUAAUAUGAUGUCGGUCCACAUUUAUUCUAUCAAUCUCCCACUUGGACCACAUAUAUUACAAAACAAUGUUCAUGAUAGUACUUUAUUGAGCUCAUCUUUGCUAUCCUAUCUUAAUAUCCUUAAACAAUCUGGUCUACUAGUUAUGCUAACAUAGGAUCAAAGUGGCCUUCAUUAAUCAUAAUUAUAACUAGACCCAUCAAUGAUCACAACAUUAACAAAAUUAGCAACAUAGAUCAAGUAUGGAUGUGUAGCAUGAAAAUUACAUAAAAUGUGAUCUUUAUUAUGUCUAUUUCCAAUUGGUCCUACUUUAUGACUAAAAAAUAGUCAAAUUCCACUUUCAACACUUGAUGCUAAACUGCUUCUGAAAGUCAUCAUUUCAAUUCAGAGAAUUCAAAUACAAUAGUCUUUAAAAUCAAGGUUUGUUGCGUACAUUAUUGGAAUGUUCAGCAAAUAUUUGAGUAACCCAAGUAUGGAUUACUGGAAAAAGGCAAAAUAGGUUAUGCGGUAUUUACAAAGAACUAAAGAUUAUAUGCUCACAUACCGUAGAUCCAGUCAUUUAGAGAUCAUGGGAUAUUCGGACUCCGAUUUCGCGGGAUGUCUUGACAACAAGAGAUCCACUUCAAGCUUCAUCUUCAUGUUGGCUAGAUGAACAGUUUCAUGGAAAAGUGUUAAACAAAUACUUAUUGCUUCUUUCACCAUGGAGGCAGAAUUCAUAGCCUACUACAAAGCAUCAAACCAUGGGAUAUGACUGCGGAAUUUUGUCACUCAGUUGCGAAUCGUUGAUGAGAUUGAGAAAUCAUUAAGAAUAAAUUGUGAUAAUAAAGCCAUAGAAUUGUAAUUCUAAGAACAACCGAAGUUCGUCAAAGUCCAAACACAUUGACAUCAAGUUCUUGGUUGUGAAAGAAAGAGUUUAGAGUCUUCAAGUAUCAAUUGAACAUACAAGCACAAACUCCAUGAUUGCGGAUCCGCUCACUAAGGGUUUGCCACCCAAAGUAUAUCAUGAGCAUGUCACACAUAUGGGUGUUGUACAUAUUGAUGAUGUUCCAGUAUAGUGGGAGUUUGUAUUUAGAUUUUGUGUUUGUUUUCUUGAUAUGAUGUUAUAUUGUGUUAUCGUGUACAAACUUGUGCAUACAUGAGACUUCCUAUUGUUGAGGCAUAGGGAAACCUCUUCAUAUCCUUCUUUUUAAGUUCAUUUUUCGGACAUUGGUGCAAACUAAAUUUAUCGCCUUUUGCUACAGGCAUGUCUCCUGGUGUACAAUUGCUCAUGCCAAAUCUACUCAACACCUUAUCGAUGUAGGCCUUUUGUGAUAACCCAAGUAUACCUCUUAAACGAUCCCUAUAGAUCUGUAUACCUAGCAAAAAAGAUGCAUUACCAAGAUCCUUCAUGUCAAAUUUACUAGACAAAAAUAGCUUAGUUUCAUGCAAAAGUCCCACAUCACUACUUGCAAGUAGAAUAUCAUCAACAUAUAGCACCAAGAUAAUGAAUUUGCUCCCACUAAACUUGAGAUAUAUGCAUUGAUCAAUGGUGUUUUCCUUAAAACCAAAUGAAGUAAUCACCUGAUUAAACUUUUGGUACCAUUGUCAAGAUGCUUGCUUUAAACCAUAUAUGGACCUUUUUAAUCUGCAUACAAGUUGCUUUAAAUCAUUAGACUCAAAGUUCUCCGGUUGCAUCAUGAAUAUUGUUUCAUCAAUGUUACCAUUAAGAAACGCAGUUUUAACGUCCAUUUGAUGCAACUCUAAAUCAUAAUGAGCCACAAGUGCCAUGAUGAUUCUAAAGGAGUCAUUUGACAAAACCGAUGAAAAAAUCUCCUUAUAAUCAAUGUCUUCCUUUUGAGUGAAACCUUUUGCGACUAGACGUGCCUUAUACCUAACAAUGUUGCCUUUUGAAUCCCACUUGGUCUUAAAAAUCCAUUUACAACCAAUCGAUUUUACACUUUCAGGCAACUUUACUAGGUCCCAAACACCAUUAUCUUUCAUUGAUUUCAUCUCAUCUUUUAUGGCUUCUAUCCACUUUUCAGAGUCAGAACUUUGUUUGACUUGACUAACUGAAAUUGGAUCAUCUUCCAAACCCAUGUCAAACUCUUGUUCCUGGAGAUGUACAACAUAAUCAUCUGAAAUUGUACUUCUCAUUUCUCUAGUGGAUCUCCUUAGUGGCACUUGUAUUUGAGGUUCUUGAGGCUGUUGAGUUACCUCUUCAUAAACUUGAACCGGUUCCAUAACUUGAGCAGGAGGAAUCUCAAGUGUGUUUUGAAUCUCUGUUAUUGAUUGUACAAUCUGGAUAGUGUCAUCAAACAUAAUAUGACCAUGUCCAGUCGUAAUAAUAGGAAUACUAACAGAUUCCUCUUCAAAUACCACAUUUCUUAACGGUUCUCUCCCAUUUAACUCAACAUCCUCAAUAAAUUUAGCUUUGCCCGUUUCAAAAAAGGAUCUAGUUGAGGGGUCAUAAAACUUGAAACCUCUCAACCUUUUAGAAUAUCCUACAAAGUAGCAGCUCACUAUUCUAGAGUCCAAUUUCUUUUCAUUUGGUUUUUAAGGCCUAUCUUCAGCUGGACAACCCUAGACAUGCAAGUGCCUAAUACUAGGUUUCUUGCUAGUUCAUAACUCAUAUGAGGUUUUGGCUACUGCUUUGCUUGAGACUCUAUUCAAAAUAUAAAUUGUUGUUUUGAUGGCUUCGCCCUAAAGUGAUUCUGGUAAGGUGGAAUGACUGAUCAUACUUCUUACCAUAUCCUUAAGAGUACGAUUUCGCCUAUCUGCUACACCAUUUUGGAUUGGAGUCCCCAGCAUGGUGUAUUGAGGAACGAUACCACACUCCAUCAAAUAUUUGGCGAACAGCCCUGGACGUUGUUCACUAGAUCCGUCAUAUCUACCAUAAUAUUCACCUCCACGGUCAGAUCUGACGACCUUUAUUUUCUUGCUUAGUUGGUUCUCAACUUUAGCUUUGAAAUUCUUGAACACAUCUAAUGAUUGAGACUUCUCAUGAAUCAAAUAAAGAUAGCCAUAGCGCGAGUAAUCGUCAAUGAAAGUGAUAAAAUAUUAUUGUCCAUUCCAAGAAGGGGUAGGAGAUGGACCACAAAUGUCCGUAUGUAUCAAUUCAAAGACGUCACUGCACUUGUUAACAUCAUUUUUUUUCUCAUAUUUGUUUGUUUACCCUUAAUAUACUCUAUACAGACUCGAAAGUAUAAGAAAUUAAGUGGAUCAAGAAUUCAUUCUGACACAAGCCUUUGAAUACGUUGAUUUGAAAUAUGACCCAAAUGCCUGUGCCAUAACAUCGAUGAAUUCUCAUUUGUUAAUUUCCGUUUAAUGUCAUAAUUACUUGAAUUCAAGGUUUCAUUUUCAUUAGUGGUCUUUAUGUUUAAUUUGUAUAAUUUGUCUGUUAGAUUACCUGUACCAAUAACAUUUGAAUUUAGAUAAAGACUAACCAUUCCAUUUCUAAAUGAACAAUAAUAUCCAAAGUACAUCCAGAGUCUAACUGUAAUCUAAAAAGACCAAUAGUCUUGACUGCAACCUUGUUGCCAUUUCCCGCAUAGAUGUAUCUUUCACCAUCAAUUGGCAUUCGGCUCCUUAGGCAACCCUACAUCGUGACACUUAUGUGAGUAGUUGCACCCGUAUCUAUCCACCAAGUGUCAGUAGGCACUACGACUAAAUUAAUUUAUGAACAAACAAAGUUGAGAAGUGUACCUUUCUUUUCACGCCAAGCAGCGUAUUUGGUACAUGUCUCUUCAUAUGACCAACCUUCUUGCAAAAGAAACAAGUCAUCUCCUUAUCUUGUUUCUUCUACACCUUUUGCAUUGAUGUCCCAAAAAUUGCAGUUUGUUUUUCUUUAUUGUCCCUUUUUCUUUUCUUGUUGGUACCAAAUCCCUGAGAUGUGGAAGCCAAGUGAGCACUUUCUAUCUUUUCUUGUUUCAAUCUCUCAUCCUUUUGUGCACAUUGAGCAAUAAGCUCAUUCAAAGUCCAUUUUUCUUUUUGUGUGUUGUAACUGAUUUGGAAUGGACUGAAUUGUGUAGGCAGAGAGAUCAAGACCAAGUGCACGAGUAUGUCUUCUGAAAACUCUAAUUUUAGUACCUUUAGUCUAGUCACAAGAUUAGACAUUUCCAUAAUAUACUCCCUUAUAUUCUCUUUCCCUUUGUACCGCAUAGAGACAAGCUUACUAAGAAUAGUGCUUGUCUCAACCUUUUCAUUUGUAGUGAAUCGGUUUGCUAUCUGGUCUAAGAAUGCCUUGGCUCGAGUUUUCUCAGGUAUUGCACUUCUUACAGCUUUUGGAAUUGAGUGCUUUGUUAUCAUUAGAGUCAUGCGAUUGGAUCGCUCCCAUUUUUCCAUAGUAGAACUUUGCUCAGCAGUGCUGGCACUAGUAAGAUCUGGAGGGCGAUCCUCUCUUAAUGCAUAGUCUAAAUCCAUGCACCCGAGCACAAUUAUAGCGUGUUUCUUCCAUUUCUUGAAGUUUGUGCCAUUAAGUGCAGGAAUGUUAUUAACAUUUGCAGAUAUAGAAUAUGUUGAAUUCAUAAUAAUAAAGCUCACAAUCAGUCACAUAAAUAUCAUACAUACAUGAAAAAUAACAUCAUACAAGAUACUUAGCACAAACAUUAAUAUUCUGUCUUUGGACAAUAAAUAUUAACUUGUAAUUGGUAUCCUUAUUCAAAAUUAUUCAUAAAUAUUGACAAUAAAACCAAAAACAAUAUGCUUGUCUUUAGACUAACAUAUCGAAUGCAAGAUAAACUUUAUAUGUCACAUAUUUAUGACUACUUUAUUUAUUAUUAUAUUAAAAUAAUCUUCCUUUGGGCCAAUUAUUUUAAAUAAUAAUAAUAACAUGUUUAGAUAUUAUAAAAUAAAUAAAUUAUAUAAUAUAAGUUACUUUGACAACUAACAUACAUAAUUCAUUUAUUUUAAAAUAUUAAACACAAACAUAACAAGAAAUAAUAAAUUCAAUUAAAAUUAUUUAUUUAUUUAUGCAUAAACCCAUGUAUAUAUAUAUAUAUAUAUAUUAAUUGAAGCAUAAAAAACCAUCUACAUGUGUAUAUAUAUCAAUUGAAGCAUAUAUACAAGCUUUAGUCUAAUGGUUUAAGCAAAAAAUAGGCCAUGGUAAAGGGUUUAAGCCAACCCGCCCCUUUAGUUUGGUUUUUGUUUUUUUUUUUUUGUUUUAAUUUCUUUUGGGCUACUGACCAUGCAUUCUCUCAUGGCCCAACGACCACUUAUGGUCACUUACAAGCCAAGCCCCUUCCAUAUAUAUAUAUAUAUAUAUAUGUUUUUAUUUAUUUAUUUAAAUUUUGUCCAUUGCAGCCCAAAGCGACCAUCCCUUGUAAUGGCAUCAUCAACGGUGCCAGAGCUGUCCUCGAACGACACCGAUAGUGAAACGCUGCCACCAUCACCGGAACGGUGAUUUCCCAUCGCCAAACGACGGUGUCACUACCGGAAUGAUGCUGUAACAGCAUCGCUGGGAAGCAACCUAACUUGUGGCGUGACACCAUGACAAGCAAUGCCACUAGCAGUGAAACGCUGUCGCCAUCACCGAAACGGUGAUUUUCCAUUGCCAAACAAUGGCGCCACCACCGGAACAACGUUGAAACAACAUCACUGGGAAGCAGCCCUACCCGUGGCACCAAAAUGGCGCUUGGAUGGCAUUUGGAACACUUGCAACAACGUUCAAAUCAGCGCUUCUCACUGGCAAAUGACGCUUGAACGACAUCUGGAAAUAAUGCCUACAACGCCUAAAAAUUGUGCUAUUUUGAACUCUUAAAACAACGUUGAAAUGACGUCUACCAAAGUCUGGAAUUGCACCGCUGUCUAGAACGAUGCCAUGAUGGUGUCUCACUCGCCUUAAAUGGCACCAACCACCAUGACUUGCAACCUAAAAAAUGGCACUUGAACAGCGCCUGAAGCGUGCCUGGAACGACGCUACAAACGAUGCCUGAAAUGGUGCCUUUUGUAUGCCUGAAAACGACAUAGGAAUGACGCUUAAACUACGUCCAUUUUGAACGCCUGAACGGUGUCCUAACGGCGCCUGAAACGAUGCCUGAAUGACGCCUGGAAUUGGCCCAGAUUUAUUUUAUGUUGUUUCCUUCCUCUUGGAUCUUUUGUUUGUGUUUUAAAAAAAAAAAUGUUUUGGUGAAAAUGGGAAAUGCAACCAGGCUCUGAUACCAUUUUGUGGGACGUUCAUUCUCCAUUAUCAUCGAACACAUGCAAGAUAUAUUUAUAUAUAUCUAUCAAUUCAUUCAAAAUAUGCCUUCAUUUUAUGGAACAUACCCGAAUCCAUUUUGUUUGUGUUGAAGAGGUACAGAUCUUCUAAGGCUAUGGGGGGUACCACCUUUUCUUAGAAUUCUCUAUGACGAUGGGAAGCCAGAGAGAACAAGUUCUAUUUUUAUUUUGAAAACGUUGUUAUCCUUAAAGAACAAACACUAUUAUUUGGAUUUAUACUCUCCUACCUUAGGGACCAUACCCUUUGGCUAUUGGGCCUCACGAGUCUUAGGCCCAUCAUCUAAGGCUCGUUAUAGCACUAGGCUCUACACAUAAGGUGGCCCAUACUCUGGAAAGAAUAGAAAUCAUAUGUAUAUAUAUGGAUAGCUAAAUCAUGAACAAUGGUUAAUAUGAUGUCGGUUCACAUUUAUUAUAUCAUAGAGACUUCCCAUAUGAAGAAAAUCGACAGCAGGUAGCUUUGCCAUUCUUAGUCUGUAUACAACCAACCUUAGCAAGGAUUGAACCCUUUUAUGCUUAGUUGUGCCAUAAAGAUCCUUACCACUGCCUAUAACAUGUAAUCAAAAUGAUUCGAUAAUAUCAUCUAGUGAACCAAUACCUCCAAAUGAGAGACCAUUGCCUUGGUAACUAGGGCUCAUGACUGAGAAUUGCUUGAACCCCUUUGCUUGGGUUGGAGCUUGACUGAUGCACAAAAUAUUCAUAGGCCUCUUCCCAUAACUGGCACCUUGUGUUUGCAACAUAAUUGAACAUGUAUUGAAGUGAGUUUUUUUGCAUCUUUUUGUAAGAAAAUUCUAAACAACAGAGAUUGCUUAGUGUGCCCGGCUCCUCGGGGAAUCAAGGUUCAUUCCUGUAGGGCCAAUUUUUUCACAGUCGAACUAGAUAACAUGGAGAGUAUGUUGCAAUGCUUCAACGGGGUAUUUCUUAGGAAAAUCCACCUGAAGCUAGUACAAUUCGUUGGCGUACUGAGUUCCUGGAGCUCUAUUGACUUCAAUCACCCAUCUUUGUAGAUUAUCGGUGACUUAUGCUCGGAUCCUGUAGGAGGAUUGACCUGACAUUCCACUAGCUCUUUCUGGAAGGCGAUCUUGUUUAACACCUUGUGAGAAGAGGCAAGGGAACUGGUCAUUGUUUCUUCGAGAAGAUCAGUGGCCGAGGAUGGGUUUGGAUCAGAAUUGCUAUAUGGGUUUUCUUUGGGUGAACCAAUUAGUGAAGUGGGUGGCUAUAUAGCAACUGAAGGGUAGUCAUACUAACGAGGAACUAUUAUUUCAUGCAUGUGGAGAGGAAAUGAGUAGAUUCUUCAGGGAUAUAUGAUUAUUCAUCUCUAGCUUACGUUGAAUAUCUCCUAACAAAUUUAUGCUUUGAAGCUCCCUUAGUUUCAUUACAGCUAACUUGGCCAACUUGGUUUCAUCAUGUUUCCUACAACCUCUAAGCAAAGCACGCCAGAUCACCAAAUCAGGUUCUAUUCGCAUUUUGUCCAUAAACUCCUUUGCCUAUUGACAAUAGACUGCCCCUCAAAAUUUGAUGAGAUAACAUCAACGCUGACAGGUUGGCCAUCCCCAUAAGCAUCUUUAUAGAGAUUGAUUCUAUGUUUAGAUAUUUCUCUCUCCUCAAGUGAGUUCAAUUUUUUUGUAACAUCCUUCUCCUUCUCUACUAAUAGUCUUAGCUGAACAUCCAACCUAUGUUCCUAAAGUGCCAGCAUCUCAUAUCUGAUGACAAGCCAACAACCUUGCCCUUGCUGAGACCAAUGUUUUUAAGGCGUUUGUGGGGCGCGCCUUGAGGCGAGGCGCAGCGAAAACGUGUUGAGGCGUUAAAAAUAAAAUGAAACACCUGAAAGGCGUACGCUUUUCCGAUGAGGCGUGAUUGAGGCGUGCUUUGAUCGCGCCUUUCACACUCCAAGAAGAAGGUGUAUGCUUCCUCGGAUCUGAUGUGGCAAUGAACAGAGAUUUAAAAAAAAACCCUAAGUAAUCCCUAAAACCCUAGUCCCGACUGAAAACAAACCCAAAACGAAACCCUACCUCCAACGACUCAAGUGGCGACGGAGUGCUCACCCUCGGCUGCGACCAAUCGCAAUGCAUCUUCUCCGGCGACGAUCCCUCUCAUUCAUCUCCAGGUAUGUUGCGAACUCCUUCUUCCAUGGUUUCUCCCUCUUCGUUUCUCUUUCUGCAAUCCACACGGGCUUCGUCGACUCUUCAUCCAAAUUUUUUUUUUAUCAAAUCAGUUAUGUAUAUCUAUUUAAAUUUUAAACCCUUUUUUCUCUCUCUUACAGUAUAUCUAUUUAAAUUCUUUCUCGGCAAUCCACAGCCCACACUUCCAGUCCACACUUUUCUCUCUCUCCCAAUAGGCUUUUCAUUUUCCUUUUUUUUUUUUUUUUUUUUUUAAAUUAUCAAAUCAAAUGUGCCUUUUGUUAAUAAGAUUUUUUUUGAAGUUUUUUAUAUGUUUGCUUAUAGUAUCAACAAAAAAAUAUAAUUAAAAUUAUAUAAAAGACAAUUAUUUGUGAAUUUUGAAUUUUUUAUUUCUGGUUUAAUUUUAAUUUUCACCUCAAUUUUCUUUAUUUCAUUAUUAAAUUCCAAUUAAAAUUUAUGUGUAUAAUUUUUAAACUCUUUUAAAAAAAAUUGGUUUUUUUUUAAUUUAAACCAAUUAAAUUUUGUAUUUCAUUUUUAAAUUUCUUUCAAUUGUGCUUUGUUAUUAUUUUUUUAGUCAAUUAUAUUGUUAUAUGGAAAUUUGAAUAUUAUUAUUGGUGAUUUUUUUUAGAAUGAGUUCCUCUGAUUCAAAAAAUUCAAGAAAGGAUUUUGUGUGGAAGUAUGUGAUGGAAGUUUCUAGAGAGCAAUAUUUAAUAUGUAAAUUUUGCAAUCAAAGAUGUACGGGAAGGGUGAAUAGACUAAAACAUCACUUAGCCGGAACUCAUCAUGGUAUGAAACCAUGCAACAAAGUUAGUGAAGAUGCUAGAUUGGAAUGUAAAGAGGUAUUGGCUAAUUUUAAGGAUCAAAAAACGAAGAGAAAUGAAUUGCUCCAAGAAAUUGGUAUGGGUCCAACUUCAAUGCAUGAAAGUGCCUUGUCUAAAAUAAUAGGGACAUUAGGGAGUGGGAGUGGGAGUGUAAGUGGGAGUGGGGAACCUAUUCCUAGGGGACCCAUGGAUAAAUUUACCACUUCACAACCUAGACAAAGUACUUUGAAUUCAUAGUGGAAGCAAGAAGAAAGGAAGGAAGUGUGUAGAAAAAUUGGUAGGUUUAUGUAUUCAAAAGGUCUCCCAUUCAACACUGUGAAUGAUCCUUAUUGGUUUCCUAUGAUAGAUGUUGUUGCAAACUUUGGGCCCGGGUUUAAGCCUCCAUCUAUGCAUGAAUUGAGGACAUGGAUUCUUAAAGAAGAGGUGAAUGACCUAAGUAUCAUUAUGGAAGAUCACAAAAAAGCUUGGAAACAAUAUGGAUGUUUAAUUAUGUCAGAUGGUUGGACAGAUGGAAAAAGUAGGUGUCUUAUCAAUUUUUUGGUGAAUAGUCCUGCUGGAACUUGGUUUAUGAAAUCAAUUGAUGCUUCUGAUACAAUAAAAAAUGGGGAAUUGAUGUUCAAAUAUCUUGAUGAGGUGGUUGAAGAAAUUGGAGAGGAGAAUGUUGUGCAAGUCAUCACUGAUAAUGCCUCUAAUUAUGUGAAUGCUGGAAUGAGGCUUAUGGAAAAAAAGAGUAGAUUGUGGUGGACUCCUUGUGCUGCUCAUUGCAUUGAUUUGAUGUUAGAGGAUAUUGGAAAGCUAAAUGUUCAUGCUACUACACUUUCUCGAGCUAGGCAAGUUGUGAAGUUUAUAUAUGGGCAUACUUGGGUUCUUAGCUUGAUGAGAACAUUUACAAAAAAUCAUGAACUUAUUCGUCCAGCAAUUACACGGUUUGCUACUGCAUUUCUUACUCUCCAAAGUCUUUAUAAGCAAAAGCAAGCUCUUAUAGCAAUGUUCUCCUCAGAAAAAUGGUGUUCAAGCACAUGGGCUAAAAAGGUAGAAGGUGUGAAAACUCGAAGUACAGUGUUGUUUGAUCCAAAUUUUUGGCUUCAUGUUGCUUUUUGCAUAAAGACCACUGUUCCAUUAGUUAGUGUCUUGAGAGAGGUUGAUUCAGAGGAAAGACCAGCCAUGUGUUAUAUUUAUGAGUUGAUGGAUUUAGUUAAGAAGAAGAUUGCAUUUAAUUGUCGGGGCAUGGAGAGAAAAUAUGACCCAAUUUGGAGAAAAAUUGAUGCAAGAUGGACUCCGCAACUUCAUCGACCUUUACAUGCAGCAGACUAUUAUCUUAAUCCUCAAUUGCGGUAUGGAGAUAAGUUCUCUAAUGUUGAUGAGGUGAGGAAGGGAUUAUUUGAAUGCAUGGAUAGAAUGUUGGAUUAUCAAGAACGUUUAAAAGCUGACAUUCAGUUGGACUCAUAUGACCAAGCAAUGGGUGAAUUUGGGAGUCGUAUUGCAAUUGAUUCUCGAACAUUAAGAAGUCCUACAAGUUGGUGGAUGCGUUUUGGGGGUUCAACACCGGAGUUGCAAAAGUUUGCUAUUCGAGUCCUUAGCCUUACUUGUAGUGCUUCGGGAUGUGAAAGAAAUUGGAGCACAUUUGAAUCGGUAAUACUUCUAUUUUUGUAAAUUUUUAUACAUAUAUUUCUAUUUCAAUGUUAGAGAACUUUAUUUCAUUUUAACACAUAAAAUUGUUUCUUUUAUUAUUUGUAGAUCCAUACAAAAAAAAGAAAUAGACUUGAACAUCAAAAGUUGAAUGCUCUAGUGUAUGUAAGGUACAACACUAGAUUGAGAGAGUGAAGUCUACAAAGGAAACAAAAUGUUGAUCCAACCUUGGUAGAGGAGAUUGAUUCUGAUGAUGAAUGGAUUGCGGAGAAAGAAGAUCUCCUCCUCCCCCUUGAUCUUUGUUGGCUUCAAGAUAAUGAAUUAUUCAAUGUUGAUGCCAUUAGAGUUGUGUCAUCCAACUCCCAAGAGACGCAAGCAUCAUCGGAUCAUAUGGUUUCUUCACAUUCCUACAAAAGGAAACAUAAUGAAGUACCAAGUAAGUACUCAAAAAUUGAAAUCAUAAAUUUGAUUAAAUUUAAUAAAAAAAACUUUUAAUAUUUAAACAUAAUUAAUACUUUAUGCUAGGUACAAGUGGAGGCAAAGGCAAAGAGAAGGAAUUGAAUUUGACACCAAUUGAUGAAGAUGAAGAUUUAGAUGAAAUGGGGAUACAUGAUAGUGGACAUUUUCCUACUAUUGAUACAUUGGAUGAGGAUGAUGAUGACCUUGGAGAGGAGGAUUUAAGUUGAAACAAUUUACUCUAGUUGUUAUUUCAUGACUUAGUUAUGGAUUUUUUGUAAAAGUUUAGAACUAUUAUUAUGGUUGACUCUAUUUUCUAUUUCAUGACUUAGUUAUGGCUUUUUGUUAAAGUUUGAAACUAUUAGUAUAGUUGAAUCUAUAAUCUAUUUUAUGAAUUUGUUAUGGUUUUUUGUGAAAGUAAGGAACUAGUAUGUUUUUUUUUAUGAUUCUAAUGAAUUGUUUUCAUGUUUUUAUUUAUGCUAUUUUAUUUUAUAUAUUUUAAAAUAUUAAUUAAUUAUAUAAUGUGAGGCUCAAAAAGCUUACGCCUCAAUGCCUCGAGGCUUACGCCUCGCCUCACGAACACAAAAACGCCUCGCCUUACGCUUUCGCCUUUAAAAACUUUGGCUGAGACCCAAAUAAGUAUCCAGAACCAUCAUCAUCAACCCUUUCACAAGCCUUUGUAUUUGAAGGUCAGAUUGGGAUUGCUUUGAAUGCACUGACACUGACACUGCAAUACACAAUUGUUUCUUCUCCAAUAAAAACACCACAAAGAGGUGAGGGGACUGGUAUUAGCAAAGAAGUGUUGUUAUCUAUAUUGUUCUGAGCCCGAGUACCAAAAACAAAAUCCUCAUCCUCAUCUAUACUCUUCCAUUACAUCCCUAGGCUUUUCAAUGUGAUCCACAUGGCUUACAGGAAUCCAGAAAUAUCGGUCUGUAUAAAAGUUGCUCUUAUGUGGCUCUCCUAGAAAACAUCCCAAUCAAGAUGAUCAACCUAGCUUAGAUGCUCAACACCCCAAACUUACGAGAAAUAGAGGAAUAAAAAGCAAGGAUAGGAGCCAAAGUAAAAACUGAGGGAAGAGCAAAUAGGAAAUCAAGCAAAACAUGAAUGUACAGAGCCUCAUUUCAGGUGACAUCUUUGGGCUAAUAAUAGGUGGAAUUAACAAAGUAGAUAAGCAUGAUUGUUAUAAAUAUCAAGUUCAAGGAUGAAGUCGUGCAUCAGCUACUUAUAGGGGGAGUCAAGGAAACCAAGAUAAGAUCAAAGAGAGCAUGUAUGCAAAUAAACAGAUUUGACAAAAUAGACCAAACAGCUUGUGAAUAUCCUCCUACAAAAAACUACUACACGUGGCAAAAAGUGAUGAAGCAAAAAGAGUCGGGUCCGCAUAUACAUAUCCUAUGCUAUCCUAUUCCUUCAAAUCCAAAGCAACCUGUAUUUUCAAUGGGAUUUGUUGUGAUGAAUUUUACUGGAUUGUAACAUGUAAAUAUGUUAAAAAAGGCUUGGGACAUUCCUAUAUAGUAACGCAUAAAGGUACUUCCAUUGUGAAGUUGUCAAAAUUGCAAAUUUAAAUUACAAAAUUUGAAAACAUAGAGAUGAAAGAUGAUGAAACCUUCUUUGAAAUUUUAUAUUGAACUCAUUAAUAUUAUUAAUUUUCAUUUCAGUCUAAGGGAAAGAAUUCUUUACUCUAAAGUGGUCACAAAAAUAUUAAAAUUCCUUGUCGAGAGAUUUAGAUCUAAAGUGAUCAAUAUAGAAGAAAGUAAAAAUAUUCUAAGUGUAGGUAAACUUGUAGACUCAAAUGACUCUACCUUCUCAUAAAAAAUCCUCAAUUUUAUAAAUUAUAUAGAUUUCUUCAUUUGAUACAAAAUUUGAAUAAAGAUUUUUCAAAUGACAACACAAGGAAAGGGAAAAAAAAAAUCUAUCCAGAUCAUAUUAUUUAAUCACUUAAAUUAUUUAAAAAUAAAAAUGUUUACUGCUAACAUUAUUUAGGUUCAUCUUUCUUUUGAUGGAGGUUAAAAUUCAUAAUUUUGAGGAAAAAGAUGAGGAUUCUCAUUUUUUUUUUCCAUGUAUGAAUGGGAUUCUCAUUGUGUAUAUGUGGGUUACUAAAUGGCAAAUUUGGGGGCCAAUAUGAGGGAAAAAAUGAAGUUGAGUUUGUCACCAAGAAUAGACAUGGUUCCUACAAAGGUGGCAUCUUUAAUUUCAUGUUUGGAUUGGACUUGUCAUGUAACAACUUAACAAGUGAAAUCCCUCAUGAACUUGGAAUGUUAAGUUUGAUUCAUGCAUUGAACUUGUCUCGUAAUCAACUAAAAGGCUCCAUUUCAAAGAGUUUUUGCAAUCUUUCUCAAAUAGAGAGCUUAGACCUUUUUAAUAAUAAACUAAGUGGAAAAAUUCCUCCAAAAUUGGUUAGACUAAACUUUUUAGCAGUGUUCAAUGUUAGCAUAUUCGGAAGAGUUUUAGAUAUGAAUGCAUAAUUUGCAAAAUUUGAUGAAAGUAACUAUGAAGCUAAUCCUUUCCUUUGUGGACCACCAUUAAACAGAAAAUGUAGCAUAAAUGUUGUUGAACCACCUUACCAACCAUUAGAGUCUUCAGAAGAAAGUGAUGCAAAAUGGUAUAAUAUCAAUCUUGUUAUUUUCUUUGCAAAUUUUACUACAUCAUAUAUCAUGAUAUUAUUAGGAAUUUCAACCAUUCUUUACAUUAACCCUUAUUGGUGUCAAAUAUGGUUCAAUUUUAUCGAGAAAUAUAUAUACUUUUGCUAUUAUUUUGUUUCCUAUACUCUUUCCAAGUUAUUAACAUAUUUUGAAUAAUUAGAGAUUUUUGUUUUCAAUAAUAUUUACAUAAUUAACUACUAUUGGUUUCCAUGACAUGGAAAGAAAUGCGGUGAAGGCAACAACCACUUUUUUUUCUCCUCUACUAGUGCAUGAUUGAUAUGAGUUAAAACUUGCACCCUUAUCUUUACUUAAAUUUUCUCAGCUUUUGUUUCAAUUCUUAAUUAUCAUUUCUUUUAUGUAUUGUUUAAUACAAUAUCCUAAACACAUUGCUUUGAAGGUUACUUAUUUAUUAAGCAUGAUAUUUAUUUUCAUAAAGACAAAUUCAAGUUUUUUAGGAAUUUUUAGAAUUAUUAUAAUUUGGAGUUCACAUUAGAGGAAAAAAAGGAAAGAAAAGAAUAGAUAAUUAAAAAAACAAUUUUAGUAAGUAUAAUUUGUCAUCUUCGGUAUAACAAAUGGGAAUUCCAAAAUAAUAUUUCAAUUUGUUAGUCUAUUCCUUAUAAUAUUAAUUGAAAUAUCAAAUAAGGAGUCACGUUUUGAUUUUUUUAUUAGCUUGAAUUGCAUGUCACAUAUAUUUUAAAAUCAAGCAUACCUCAGCAGGGAAGUUCUUGUAACAUGCAUGAACAUGAUAUGAUGAAUUAAAUAAUUUUCUUAAUUGUGUGAGACACAAACCCUCUUUGUUUAAUAAUAAUAAUAAUAAUAAUAAUAUACUACACAUUAUUAAAUCAUAUAUGUAUAUUUAUAGUCGUAUAAUAUAUUUAUAUAAGUAACAAUAAAUUAUAUUGUAUAAGGUAUCGGUAGGAGUUUUCAAUUCCCUCAUAUAAUAAUAUCUAUCAAUAAUUGGAUUGGACACCUUGCUGGCCAUGAGAAUGGACUUGACAUUAACACAUAGCCUUGAGUGGUGUUGAUAUUAUUACUUUGAACCAGAACUGCAGUCAUCUCAAAAACUAUAUUAUAUAGAAAAGCAAAAUAAAAACAUUAGUUAAAAAAAAUGUCAAGAUCCUUGAAAUCACGUUUCAAUAUGUUAAAUUACCAUUUUUUUAAAUAAAUUUUUGAUAGGUUGUGUGAAUAAAUAUAAUUGCUAUGAAGGGUUUCAAUUUAAUUUUACUAGCAAAUCCAUAAUAGGUGAAAAGACAAAACUACCAUUUUUGUUUUUUUUCUUUAUUUACCUUUUUUCUCUCGUAACCUUACUCCUUUCUCCUUUUUGUUUUUUCCUUUUUUAUUAUUAAUUUGUCUUUUUCCUUUUUCUCAACUAACUAUUUUUUUUCUUGUAAUUGUUAUUAUCAUUCUUAUUAUAAAUAUUAUAACCUUAUAUUAUAAAUUUUUAGUUUAGAUUAUAUUUAAACUAACUAAUGUUGUGGUUUUAAUUGACAUGGAAAAGAAUGUGGUUAUACAUGUGAUUGUCGCCUUUUUUUUUUUCAAUUAGUUAACUAUUGAUACAAGUUAAAAGUAAAAAUUGCAAUAUUAUCUUUACGUCAAUUUCACCGAUCUUUUGUUUUUAUUUUCAUGUAUCAUUCCUUUUUUGGUUAUUUAAUUAAAAGGAUUAAAAAAAAAUCACAUAUUCACAAUAAUAACCUUCAUAUUUUAAAAACAUAAAAUAAACAUUUUUUUUUUUUUAUAAAAAUACCCUCCAACUAUAUUUUUUAUAUCCCUAUUUCAAAUCCAAACACUUCUUUUAAAAAUAAUAAUAAUAAAUAAGGGCAAAAAUGUCAAACUGGGAUUAUAUUUAUAAUUUUCAAUAAUUAGAGGUUGUUUUUCCAAUGUAAAAAUUAUUUUGUUCCUUUGGCACAAAUAUUUCUUUCUUUUAUGUAUUUUUUUUAUUCAAAAUAUUAAACACAUUACCCUCAAGGUUACUAUUUAUUAUGAAUGGUGUUUACUUUACAUAACGAGAUAUUCAAAUUUUUUAGAAUUUUUUAAUGUUAAAAUAAUUUGGAGCUUAAUAGGGAAAAAAAAGAAGAAAGAAUAGAUAAUUAGAAAAGCAAUUCAAAAAAAUAAAAUUUAUCCUCUUAAAUUGGUUUUGUGUAAUACUAUAGAAGCCAUUUCUUGAGUUUGAUAUGGUAGAAUUUGGAUUCAUAUUUAUUUUAAAAUCAAGAAAUUCAAGUGUUGGUAGCAUCAAUAGAAUCUUAACAAAUUUGAAAAAAAAUAUUUAGGUAGAUCACAUUUAAAUAUAGCUAAUAGAAUAAAAAAUUAGUAUUAUUAGAAAGACAUGAUCAAUUAAAUCUUUUUUCUUAUCUAUGACACCGACUUUAUUUUUUUACAUAGUCAAUACAAUUUAUUACAACUUAUAUGUCAUUAAAUUAUAUACGUUUAUAUUAAAUAUAAUAUAAGACCAUUAAUGGAAUAAUUAUGCAAGUAAUAUAAAUUGUAUAUAAUAUAAAAAAUUUAAACUCCAUCAAACUAAUGGAAUCUAUUAUAAUAAGUAGACUAGACACCAUGUUGGCCCGAGUUGCAGGCCUGGGCCAGAUUUUAAAGGCUGGGCUUUGAGUUGCCCGUGGGCCUGAGCCAAGGCCUUCUCUUGGUAUCAUCAUUUUGAAGAAAUAAAUUGCUGAUACAGAGAAAAAAACUAUACUAAAUAGAAAAAUAAAUAAAAGCAUUGACUAAAAUGAAGGUCAAGGUCCUUGAAAAAUAAUCUUUAAAUUGUUGCAUAUAUAAUUUCAAUAAUGCAUAAAUAAUUGCAAUAUAUAUGAUAUGAUAAAGAAUUUGGAAUUAAAAGAAGAUUGAUCUAUUUUAAAUGUGGUUGGAAUAUUUCUAAAUUUGUGAUGGGAAGUUAGACAGCCAAUUAGGGAUCCAUAUUAUUUAUUUUCAAUGAUAUGAAUUUAUUUACUUUUAUUAAUAUUCUUAAUGCAACAAUAUAAAAUAUGUCAAUUUUCUAAAAUUUAAAAAGUAAUUGUAAAAGAAUUUUUUUUAAUUAUUUUUCUGAAAUUGAGUUUAUUAUAACAUUUUUCUUUACAUAAAUUUCUUUUUUAUUUUUAUUUUUUUUAAAAUGAGAUAUGAAAAAAAGAGAUCAAUAUUAGUACAAGUAAAACCCAAUAUAUAUAUAAAAAAAAUGAAUAAAUGUUUAUGAAAUAUUUUUUCUCUUUUAAUUCCUAUUCAAUUCAUUACACAAAAUAUUUUUGGUUUUUAUGCUAAAAUUUAUUGUUUAUUCAAAAAUUCUAGUAUACCUAGCUAUCAUAGAAGAGCCCCAAAAUUUUAUUGUUUAAGAGAAUAUGUGUUGCCACUUUAAAAGAUUUAUAUGCAAAAGGGAUUGAUAUUUUUUUCCUUUGGAUAUAUUUAGUUCCCGGAAAAUUUGAGGGAAAAUGUGAGGGAAGAAAAAUAGAGAAGAAAAGUAUAACGAAAUAAAAAGUGAAGGAAAAUGAAAAAUAGAUUUAAAGUUAAUAAAUUAUUUUCAUUGGUUUUUUCAAACUUAUUUUACUUAUUUUAUUCUAUUAAAUAAAGAUUAGCUAAUUUUAAUUAUAUUUGGUUUGAUUUUUAUUAUUUUUCAAAGCAAAACCAAAUAUGAAAAAAAAAACAUUUUUUUUGUUCAUUUUUUCUUUCCUUAUUACUUUUCAAAACUCAAACAUAGCUUUUAGAUUUGGAGCAUGGAAAGAUAAGAGUAUUGAAUAAAGGUUCUAUAUAUGCCCAUGCCCAUGAUACCAUUGAAAAAAAUGGAGAAAGGGUGAAACUUUUUCUCUUCAAUGGAAAUCAAAUAUAAUUAUUUUUAUCUUGUAGUAAUUGAAUGUUAUACUCCAUAAACUCAAAAUUAAAAUAAAUAAAAAAUUUAAAAACUAGGACAAUCCCAUUUUUUUUUUCAAUUUCUUAAAAAGAAAUUAAAUUACAUUUAUUUAUAUCUAUUUUCAUCCCUACCCAAAAAAAUAAAAAAAAAAUUAACAAGGUGGGACAUGUAUGAGAAAUUCUCACACUAACUCUCUCUAGUUUAUUUUUUAUUUUUUAAAAAAAAUCAAUUUCUUUUAAAAAAAUUAAACUAUAUAAAAAAUAAAUAUAAUUUAAAAUAAAAUAAUUUAACAAUUUUUUUUUUAAGAAAAGUAAAUUUCUUAUUUUAUAUAUGUUAAAAAUAAAUAUAAUCUUUUAUUUUUUUAUAUAUAUAAUCGGGUAAGGUAGAGUGGGACAAAGAAAUAAUCCCCUUCGAUUCCAAUAUGAAUUUUUAAAAUAUAAAAUAAAAAUCUUAAACUCAUCCCUAAUCCAUUUAUUUUUAAUCCUAAACUCGUCUUAUUAAGAAUAAGGCAAAGUGAGUACAUGAAAACACUUCUUUUAUCAUCAUCUCUACAAGUUCUAAUGUUUAGACUGCAAUCCAUAUCAAAGAUUUAUAAAGAAAGGACAACGAUGAAUUUCAUAAACAUUUGAAAGCAUAUACGUACAAAGUUUUAAAUAAUAUUGCUUGAGGUGCAAAUAUUAUUUGGCGCACAUAUUGAGGGACUUCAACUUGUUUUUUACAUUAGUAAGUAAUCUUGAAUAUCUAGAGUAACUUGACCAAAAUCUCUUUAAUUUUAUUUUCUUUGAUGGUUGUAUGAUGAAUUAGAAUGCUUAUAUAACAUGAUUAAAAAUUUUAAGAAAAAAAAAACUAAGAAGAAAGAAAGAAGCACCGAUCUUCCAAAUAUUGCUUCCACUUUAAUAUCUAGAAGGCUCUAAGAAAAGAACUUUUUUCAUGAAUCAUAACCCAAGUCGAAAAUAAAUUGAACCCAUUUUCUAAGUUAAAUUUUGAAUUUUUUACUAGUGAAUGCAAAUUGGGAAAAUGUAUAUAAAUAUAAUUAAACUAGAAUAGUAGGUUAGGUUUGUAGGUGGAGUUUGUUUGAAUUGUUGGAACUUCCAAGUCGUUGUGGGUCUAGUGGUCCCAUAGCUCUCUAUUAAUUUCCACCAUCAAUUUUCUGCAAUAAAGUCAAGUCAUUCCUAACCCCUAUAUUAAGUUGGCCUUAAAAGUCAAGUCAUUGAUCAUAGUUACAUUCAUGAAUCACAACCUAAGUCGAAAAUAAAUUGAACCCAUUUUUCAAGUUCAACUUUGAAUUUUUUACUAGUGAAUGCAAAUUGGGAAAACAUAUAUAAAUAUAAUUAAACUAAAAUAGUAGAUUAGGUUUGUAGGUGGAGUCUGCUUAAAUUGUUGAAACUUCCAAGUCAUCGUGGGCCCAGUGGUCCCAUAGCUCUCUAUUAAUUUCCACCAUCAAUUUUUUGCAAUAAAGUCAAGUCAUUCCUAACCCCUAUAUUAAUUUGGCCUUAAAAGUUCAGUCAUUGAUAGCUAAAUCCCAACCCAAGUCAAAAAUAAAUUGAACCCAUUUUCUACGUUCAACUUUGAAUUUUUUUUAAUUGGAAAAAUGUAUAUAAAUACAAUUAAACUAGAAUAGUAGAUUAGGUUUGUAGGUGGAGUCUGCUUGAAUUUGUGAAACUUCCAAGUCAUCGUGGGUCUAGUGGUCCUAUAGCUCUCUAUUAAUUUCCACCAUCAAUUUUCUACAAUAAAGUCAAGUCAUUCCUAACCCCUAUAUUAAUUUGGCCUUAAAAGUCUAGUCAUUGAUAGCUACGUUCAUGAAUCCCAACCCAAGUCAAAAAUAAAUUGAACCCAUUUUCUAAGUUCAACUUUGAAUUCUUUUAAUUGGGAAAAUGUAUAUAAAUACAAUUAAACUAGAAUAGUAUAUUAGGUUUGUAGGUGGAGUCUGCUUGAAUUUGUGAAACUUUCAAGUCGUCAUGGGUCUAGUGGUCCCAUAGCUCUUUAUUAAUUUUCACCAUCAAUUUUUUGCAAUAAAGUCAAGCCAUUCCUAAACCAUAUAUUAAUUUGGCCUUAAAAGUCAAGUCAUUGAUAGUUACGUUCAUGAAUCACAACCCAAGUCUAAAAUAAAUUGAACCCAUUUUCCAAGUUCAACUUUGAUUUUUUUACUAGUGAAUGCAAAUUGGGAAAACGUAUAUAAAUAUAAUUAAACUAGAAUAGUAUAUUAGGUUUGUAGGUGGAGUAAGCUUGAAUUGUUGAAACUUCCAAGUCAUCACGGGUCUAAGGGUUCCAUAGCUCUCUAUUAAUUUUCAUGGUCAAUUUUUAUGAAUUAAGAUUUAAAAGUGAGAAGGGAAUAAAUUUUUUCUUUUUCAAUUCAUUACAAAAAAUAUUUUUGGUUUUUAUGCUAAAAUUUAUUGUUUAUUCAAAAAAUUAAAGUAUAAAUAUAUAUAUAUAUAUCUUGCUAUUAUAGAAGAGCUCCAAAAUUUUUGUGUUUAAGAGAAUAUGUGUUGCCACUUUAGAAGAUUUAUAUACAAAAAGGAUUGAUGUUUCUCCUUUGACUAUGUUUGGUUCCCAAAAUUUGAGGGAAAUAAAAAAAAAAUAGUAAAAAAGAAAAAAUGAAAGAAAAUAAAAAAUAGUUUUAAAGUUAAUAAUUAUUUUUAUAUGUUUUUUCAAACUUAUUUUACUUUUUUUUUCAUUAUAUAAAGAUUAAAUAAUUUUAAAAUGCAUAAAUUUCUAACUAAUUUUAAUUAUAUUUAAUUUUUCUUUUAUAUUUUUUAGAUAGGAUCCGACACAUGAAAAAUCCUUUUUUUUAGCAUUUUUUUUUCUUUUCUUAUUACUUUCCAAUAACCAAAUAUAACCUUUAGAUUUAGCCUUUAAACUUGGAGUAUGGAACGAUACUGAGUAUUGAAAGAAGGUUUUGUAUAUGGCCAUGAUACCAUAGAAAAAAUGGGCGAGAGAGAAAAAACCUUUAUUAAAUGAUAAAUUAUUUUUUUCAAUGGAAAUCAAAUAUAAUUAUUUUUAUAAUAAUUACUUUAUUUUUUUUAAAAAUAAUAAUUUGUUGUUGCAUUAAGUAUUCUUGCAUUUGGAGAAGCAUGUUACUACUUACUACAUAAAUAGAUAUUCAUGGAGUGCAUUCUCUAAAAAGCUCCAGUCUCAUGAAAAUGGAAAGAUGGACCGGCCGGUGAACCGGUUCGAGUUUGGAUUUAUUGGCUGCCUCAGCCUUACACGCAUGAUAGGCUGUUGCAGGUGAAGAACUAAUUAAUUUAAAGCCUUCUUCUAUCCUCUCCUAUUCCUCUAUCACUCCAAAUGUUCCACAUGAUAAUGACAAUUCUUUUGUUAAAUGGUAAAAAAAAAAUUUAAAUAUUAUUUAAAAUUUUUUUUAAUUCUAAAUCCAAUGGAAAUUCGACUCUAAGGUGUGUAGAAGGCCCUAGUGCCCAUGUUGCUAAUUUGAUGAUAGUUAAAUUGUCAUUUUGGGAGAUUCCACACACUAGUAUUCUCAUUUAUAAAAUCAUGAACUUUGGCAUCCUAAUUAAUGCAAUUUAAACUUUUUUUGUUUACAAAUGAAAUAAGAGGCAACAUAUAAACCCAAAAGUUAAUUUUCCUACCAUCUCUAUGCACCAUUUUAGCUUUACUCCAAUAUAUUUUCUAUGAUUAAUUAUUUUCAUUCAAACAAUAAUAUCAAAAUAUUUUAAAAUUAGACAUAUCAUAAUCAAAUACCAUUAUAUUAUUACCGAAUAAUAUUUAAUGUAAUUUAAUUAUCAACGUAUACUUAUAAAAUUUAUAUUUUUUAUUAAUGCAUAUAAUAUUAUUAUCAAAUAUGAUAAAUUAUAUAUAUAUAUAUAUAUAUAUAUAUAUAUUUCUUCAACAAAACAACUUUAAAAUAUCUAUUAUAUUUCUAAUUUCAUUUCUAAGAAGUUUUUUUUUUUUUUUUACAUUUUUAUAAGUUUUGAUCAAUUGUAGGCUAACUGAUAUUUUUUAUAUCAAAAUAUCCACCAAUAUAUCUCUGAUAUAUUAGAUAUAUCCGUAAAAUCGAAAUACCAAUAUAUCCGUGAUUAUCGAUAUUUUUAUCCUUGAGGGAUAAUAACUAAUCUAGUUUUUGCACUUAUUGAUAUUUCUCAACAUUUAGAUUGAUUUGACCAAAAUCUUUUUAAUUUUAUUUUCUUUGAUGGUUAUAUGAUGAAUUAGAAUAGUCAUAUAAACAAAUUUAAGAAAAAACGAUAAAAAAGCUCACAUUUUUCAAAUAUUGGUUUCAACUUUGAAUAUUUUUAUUGGUAAAUGAAAAUUGUGAAAAACCUACUAAUGCUAAUACUUUUCACCACAUAAUUAAAUAUAAUAAACUAGAAUAGUGAUUCAUUGAUGUCUUAUAAAGCUACAUGCCUACUUUGACUUGUUAGUUGAUUUUUGUAGGCAGAGUCCAUUUCCAUAUGAAUUGUUGAAACUUCCAAGUCCUUGUGGGUCUAGUGGUCUCUCUAAUAAUUCCCACCAUUAAUUUUUUGUGAUGAAGUGACGUCAUUGAUAGCUACUAUAUCAAUUUGCUAUUAAAAGUCAAGUCAUUGAUAAUUACUAUUCAAUCUUUUUCAAUAUGGAAAUUGGAAUCUCUACUCUUCUCAUUGUUCAUUUUUAGGUAAUGUGAGAAUGUGAGAAUGUGUGAACAUAAAUGUCUUCUAAUCAACCAAUUUUUUUUGAAAAAAACAUGUACAAAAUUGCAAACUUGCAAAAUCAAACUUUCUUGUUGAAUAACCAUAGCUUGAUGGUUUUGAAGAAUCAAAGGAUGAAUCAUAAAAGGGUAUUUGAUAAAAAAUAAAAAUUAAAAAAAUUAAAAGACAACUACUCCCUUAGGUGUAAUAAGUGUAUUUGGUAGCACAAAUUUCCUACCACUUAUUAUUUUUUCCUUUCUUAAAAAAUUAUUUACUCUAUUAAAUAAACUAACCUUGGCUUAUCACUUAUAGCAAAAUAGGUUAAGUACUUUUUAAAAUUUUAUAAUAUUAGAUUUACAUUUUUAUCCUUCAAAAUUUCAUUAAUGUUAGAUUCUUCUAUAUGCUUAACUAAUAAAUAAUUUUUAGCAUUUUUCUUUUCUUAUAAACAUAAAAAAAUAAAAAUAUUAUUAACUUAUUGGUAUAUUUUAAAAUUUUAAUUAGAUUUAAGCUUUUAUUUAUUUGGAUUACCAAUUAUACAUAUAAAUCCUUUAUUAUUAUUGUUAUUAUUGAAAGAAAGGGGUUGAAUAGGUAGUCCCUCAAUCCCCAAAUUAAAUUCUUUAUUGCCUACUUUUGGUUUAUUCCUUUACAUGAAUUCCUUGGUGAGAGUAAACAUUUCAUUAAUAGAUAAAUAAAAUUGAUUCCAUAUCAUAGGGUAUAAUGUGGAAAAAUCACCAGUCUCAUGUGUUCCUUAGUGGAUCCUUUGGAGCCCUUAUCAAAGUUUCAUGAUGAAACCAUUGACUUUUGUUUAACCCAAAUGUGCUUUCAAGACAAAUCUUGAAAUAUUUGAGAGAUGGAGGUUCAAGUCUUUUAUGAACGACCAUGUUCUCUUAGGGUUCAUGAAAAUUCACACCUUUUGAUAAAUAAAACUUAUCUAUUUAUACGUCUAAAACCCAGUAUUUAUUUAUUUAAUUAUAGAAAGUUUCUUAGUUUUAAAAACAUUUCAAAAAUCAUUUUUAGAAUCAAAUAAUAAUUUUAGAGAUAAACACAAUAUUAAAAUUUAACAAAAACAAAAUUUCGAAUUAAAAACACAAUAUAAACUAAAUUACAAAAUAUAAAGGAAUUUUUAUCCUAAUUUCUUGUUUCAAAACCAAAUGGAACACCUAGAAGGGGAGUGAAUGGGUGAUUUUAAAAUUUUUCAAUAAUGAUUUAUAAGUUAUACCCAAUUCUUUUACCCUGCGAGUUGUUAGGGACUAUCAAUUCUUUCCUUUUGGCAAUUCAAACAAUAUAUCAAAUAAUAAAAAGAUAUAAAUAAUGAGACAUAAAGAUUUUUACAUGGAAAACCCCCCACACUAACCAUGGAGAUAAAAAGCCAUGGAGUCUAAGACCUAUUAAUCUAAAUUCACUGUACGAAAUCAAGUUACACAAAUUUAUUUGAUAGCUUUAACUUAAAGACUUACUCUCCGGUACUGACAACUUGAUUCACAUCCACAACGUAGCAACCCUCAAUUACUCCAAUGGAUCACUUCAAGCUUACUAAAAGGAUGAAGGCCUUCAAACCAAGAUUCAAAAAUCAAUUCCUUGAAUGAAAGAUCAGGGAUGGUGUGCCACUUUAGGCUUUCUCUCUAAGAACUCUAAAAUGAUCUCCUCAAUGAAAACCUCUUAAACAAAAUGAGAUAUUUCCCCACAAUCUCUAAUCCUCAAGGGGUUAUAAUGAGAUAUUUAUAAGCAACUAAGUUGAAGAGUUUCAGUUUUGGAACAUGACCGCUCGAGCCAACACACUUCCUACUUGAGCGUUUCGGGCACUUGAGCGGUAAGGCUCGCUUGAGUUGUCCUAAGCGCUUGAGCAUUCCAAGCUACUUGAGCAAUCUUGCUCUAUUUCAAAAGUUAAUUUUAAAUCAUUUUAAGUUCAAAACAAAAUUGAUUCCCUUUAUACCUCAAAGUAGCCUAACUUACAAACCAAACUUUUUUAGAUAUACUUGUGACUUCCUGGUUGGACGAACAACUCUUAAUCUUCAAUGGAAAGCAAGUCAUUAUCUAAAAAGAUUUAUAUGGUCAAACAUAAAAAAACAAAAACAAAAAAAUUGCCAACAUAACAACAAGACUCAAUGUCCUAACAAUCUCCCCCUUUGGCAAUUUUAUGACAAAAACAACAUUACAUAUACCCACUUGAACUCUCAUAAUGGAGUUUAAUAAUACACAUUAAUGUUCAAUUAAAAAUAAACUAAGGGAAUACUUUGUAUCACUUUGUAGUAUUUGUCUUCCAACUUUGUAACCUACACACAUAUAGAAAACUAUACCAAAGGUAAAGCAAUGUGUAGGAUAAGAUAUGAUCAAGAAAGCAAAAUAGGAUAAUUGAAAAUUUUGCUUGAUGCCUUGUGAAAGCAUGAAAAGGGAACAAAUUCAUAUAGUAAUACCAAGGGACAAAGCAAAACUAGAGAAGAAUAUAUAUGUAUGCAAAUCAACCAAACAUAAUAAAAGCUACAUAAGAUGCAAUAGAUCAAUAAUAAUGCCUAGGGGUCUAUCUCCAACCAGAAAAUAGGGAGUGAAAAUCAUAGGAAGAACCUUCUGUGACUUAGAAAGGUUCUAGAGAGAUAGUCAAUUCAAACAUAAAUAUCUUGCUAGAAACAUCUAUGUUAUGUAUCUCUCUAAACCUUCUAAGUUAUGCUUUCAUUAGUUGAUUUGGUUUUUCUCCAAUGUCUCAGGUUUAAUUUCCUCUAAUAUUUCAAUUAGAGAGAAAUUGGUAGUCGAUUGACUUAGUGGGUGUUUGGUAAAACUUAAUACUUAUUAUUUAAUGAUUAACUUUAAGUUAAAUUGUUCUUAAGUUAUUAAUUUAAAAUUUAUUACUUAUUUUGUAUUUAAGUACUAGGGUUAUUUGAAAAAAUCGACUUAAAAUUUAUUCUAAAUCAUCAAAAUGACACAUUUACCCUUAUUAAUUUUAACUUAUAUUUAUUUUCAUUAAUUUUAAACAAUAAAUUUAUUCAUAAAACAUCUAUAUUUUUGUAGAUACAUAACCAUAAAAUAUUUACUAUAAAAAAUGAGUCAUGGAUGUAGAAUUAUAAUUCUAAAAUAUACACUUAUGAGUGUGGGUAAAUAAGGCAAAAAUGAUUUGAGAUUAAGAGUAAAGUUAAUUAUUUUGACUUAAGACUUCAAGUUAAAAAUAACUUUAAGUUGCAAUAUUAAGUUAUUUUAUCAAACAUGCUUAAUUUACUUAACAACUUAAAUUAAGUUAUUAAGUUGAAUUAUCAAACACCCCACUAGUAGUAUGUUGAAAAUUCACACCUUUUGAUAAAUAAAACUUAUCUAUUUAUACGUCUAAAACCCAGUAUUUAUUUAUUUAAUUAGAGAAAGUUUCUUAGUUUUAAAAACAUUUCAAAAAUCAUUUUUAGAAUCAAAUAACAAUUUUAGAGAUAAACACAAUAUUAAAAUUUAACAAAAACAAAAUUUCGAAUUAAAAACACAAUAUAAACUAAAUUACAAAAUAUAAAGUAAUUUUUAUCCUAAUUUCUUGUUUCAAAACCAAAUGGAACACUUAGAAGGGGAGUGAAUGGGUGAUUUUAAAUUUUUUCAAUAAUGAUUUAUAAGUUAUACCCAAUUCUUUUACCCUACGAGUUGUUAGGGACUAUCAAUUCUUUCCUUUUGGCAAUUCAAACAAUAUAUCAAAUAAUAAAAAGAUAUAAAUAAUGAGACAUAAAUAUUUUUACGUGGAAAACCCCCCACACUAACCAUGGAGAUAAAAAGCUAUGGAGUGUAAGACCUAUUAAUCUAAAUUCACUGUACGAAAUCAAGUUACACAAAUUUAUUUGACAGCUUUACCUUAAAGACUUACUCUCCGGUACUGACAACUUGAUUCACAUCCACGACGUAGCAACCCUUGAUUACUCCAAUGGAUCACUUCAAGCUUACUAAAAGGAUGAAGGCCUUCACACCAAGAUUCAAAAAUCAAUUCCUUGAAUGAAAUAUCAGGGAUGGUGUGCCACUUUAGGCUUUCUCUCUAAGAACUCUAAAAUGAUCUCCUCAAUGAAAACCUCUUAAACAAAAUGAGAUAUUUUCCCACAAUCUCUAAUCCUCAAGGGGUUAUAAUGAGAUAUUUAUAAGCAACUAAGUUGAAGAGUUUCGGUUUUGGAAGGUUUCUUAAUUGAAUUUGUGUGAAAAACUCAACAGAAUCAACAUGACCGCUCGAGCCAGCACACUUCCCACUUGAGCAUUUCGGGCACUUGAGCGGUAAGGCUCGCUUGAGUUGUCCUAAGCGCUUGAGCAUUCCAGGCUACUUGAGCAAUCUUGCUCUAUUUCAAAAGUUAAUUUUAAAUCAUUUUAAGUUCAAAACAAAAUUGAUUCCUUUUAUACCUCAAAGGAACCUAACUUGCCACAAACCAAACCUUUUUAGAUAUACUUGUGACUUCUUGGUUGGACGAACAACAACUCUUAAUCUUCAAUGGAGAGCAAGUCACUAUCUAAAAAGAUUUAUAUGAUCAAACAUAAAAAAACAAAAAAAUUGCCAACAUCACAACAAGACUCAAUGUCCAUGCAUGGUCACCUGAAAGUUGACUCCAACCACAAUAUAAUGCAUGUUCUCAUAGAACAUGUGAACAAGAUGGAGAUAGAAAGUCCCUUAGAGAGAAAACAGAGUCUUCUAACCCUACUCUUGAAUGAUGAUAGGGAAGACAGUGUCCUGAAAAGCUUAGAGGUUAAUGGCAUGUUGAGGCUCGACACACCGAUAUGUGAAAGAAGCGUAAUAAUGGUCCCAUGCCACCUGGCAGUGAAAGCGCUCAAUCGAAAGUGCAUCUAGGUUAAAAAGACCCUAGAGUGGGAUGCCCUAGACGGUUUUCAGUGACCUAGGAAAGGUCACCUCCCUCUGAAAUCUAUGACUAGCCAUAUCUAAGGUAUAUAAUAUGAAAAAAAAAAAGCUAAAGAAAAACUAAAGAAAAUCCAAAGAAAAGCUAAACCACUAAAAAUGUUAAACUCAAUGCGUCGAACAAUACUAUACAAAUGGAAAUGAAAAAUAUGAAGCGAACUGACCUCAGAAGACAAAAGGACAGUUACCCAGAGGGCUCGAAGAGGAAUAGGAAAGUUUGAAAUGAAUAUUGUGUGAUGGAUGACCUUUAUAUAGCUUAUAGGAGUGCUUGAUGCAGAUUAGCACUUGAGCGUCAUGACUAACUUAAAUCAAAUUAUUUAUUAAUAUGGAAAUAUUUUAUAAGUUUCAAAGGAAGUAUUCAAUUUAGAACCUUUUUAGAAUUUUUUUGAAAGAAACAAAAAUAAAGCGUGAAAUAUUAUGUGUUAAAGGUGUUAGAAGACAAUAUUGUCUAAUCAAAAGCCUUACACAUUCCCAAAAAAAAAAAAAAAAAAGGAAAAAAAAAGAUACUAUAUAAGAUUUUGAUCACAUCUAAUAGAAACUAAUAUUUAGCAACAUAUCACCAAGCACUAUCUUAUCAGAAAGCUCUAACAUGUUGGAAAUUUAUGUAAGGUUCCAUAACAACUAACAACUUUUUAUGACGACUCGGUAAUGGACCAUUUGCACUUCAACUACAUUAUUAAAUUUAAAUCAUAUUAGAAUAUAAUUGACUUCUCUUUUGUGAGGUUACAUAUCUUGUAGGAUGGGAUAGGUGAUUCAUUUCAUAUAUGAAAUUUUCUUAAUUUAGUAAUGCUUCCAAGUUCAUUAUGAAUCUAAUGGUAUCACAACUCCUUGAAUAUUUGUAAUCUGUAAUCUUUGCUUCAACUUCUCAAGUCUAGUCAUUUUAUCGGCAUAACUAGUUUGCUUCAAUUAUCUCUCAACUUUAUUAUAAAACUAAGGGAAAGGAUUGUCACUCAUUUUAUAUUAACUUAACCAAACAUCUUUAUAUAUAUAUAUAUAUAUAUAUAUUGUAAAUUUAGGAAAAAUUCAUCCAUUAGCCAUAGUAAGUAAGAAUCAAAUAAGGGAUAUGUAAGCCAAUGGUGAUAUUGAUGGCGUUAAAUCAAUGACAUAGUAGAAAAGUGGAUUGUCUAUUUUCAAACCUUUAUAUUUUCAUGCAAUAGUAAAAAGGUUAAGGCAUCACUUGAAAAGUAGUUCGUUUUUUACCUUGGACUAUGAUUUAUGAAUAAAGUUCUUCUGUUGUAUACCUUUUGUGAUGCCCCAACCUAAUUUAGGGGUAAAAAAAUAAUUUAGAAAAAAAUAAAUAAAAAGUUAAAUAAAUUUAAUUAAGGUAAAAAUGUAUUUUUGUAUUUAAAAUUCCUAGGUAUCAAUUAUAUAUUUCUUGUCUUCUCUAUUCAAAAAACCAUAUUACACAAAAAUCAAAUAUCAGAGAACAUAGGACAACGCAGGGUUGAAGAUUUGGAGGUUUAGGGUUGAAGAUUAGUUUUCCAGGUAAGAUUCUAACCCUUAAAUUAGUAUUUUAGAUUCGUUAAUUAGUUUGAACACUUUAGAUAUUCUUUGAAAAAUCUGAAUAUACAUUAGGGUUUGUUAAUUUAAUUUUUAAAUAAAAAAGAUUGAAAAUUUAUGAACAUAAGUAGAGUUAUUAUUAAAGAUUGAAAAUUUUUGAAUAUUUGAAUUAAAAAUCUAGAAAAAAAAGAAGAAAAUAAAUUAUAGCUUUGGACGUGGAAAAAAAUUAAUAUUAAUUAAUAAAUAAAACCUAUGAGUAUGGAAGUAGAAAAAUAUGAGAGUUGAAAGCAAAGAAAAAAAAAGAGAAUAAGGUUUUGUGGUUGUACAUGCCUCCUUAGUGGAAAAAAAAAAUACAAGGUUGCUUGCAAUAGGAUAUGACAAAGAGAGAGAGAUAAAUGCUUAGAUGUUGAUUUUUGUGGGGAAAAAAAGAUUGGGUAAUGUAGGAGAGAAAUAGGUAGCACUUUUAGAGUCGGUGGAGUUGUUGUAAAAGCUCGUAGGGGUAAUUGUUAGGUAGUAGUAGGGUAUGAGAUUAAUUGUUAGGAAACAUUAGGACUUGAAAUAAUAAUAAUUGCUUCUAGUAAAAGUUUUAAUUUAGUUUAAGUAUAUAAAAGAAAUAGAUGAUUAGAAUAAGAUUUGGAAGGAAUAUGAAUUCAUAAAAAUUUCAAAAUUUACUAAUUUAGAUUAUUAUUGUUUUGGAAGUUGAAUAUAAUAUAGGUGAUAAUAUUAUUAAUAUAGGAAAUGAUUAAGAUUCUCAAACCUACAAUUUUAGAUAAAUAGUUAAUAGUAAUAGUUGAUUUUUUAUUUUUUUUUUAUUUUUUAUUUUUUAUGUUAUGUUAAGUGAAUAAUGGAUUCUUUGAUUAAUUCUCUAAGGUUUCUAAGUGCUUCUUUAAGGUAAGGGAUAUUAAUACUGAUUUUGUAAAUGAAAAUAUUUCUUUUUAUAAGUUAUUUUAAAUUAUGAAAAUUUUUAUUUUUAUUUAUGCAUGGAUCAAAUAUAUAUUUUUUCAUGAGAAACAUGUUUGGGCAAUUUCUUUGUUUAUAAAUAAAUAAAUGAAAACUUUGGAAAUAUAAUGUUUUGUUUUGUAAGUUUAAAAUAAUGAAAUAAAGUUUUUGACUCUGGUUUAUAUGACCUUAGUUAAUAGGUUAUAAUUGUUGACAUUUUCAGCUCCAGUCAACGAUUAUAAUUGUUGACAUUUUCGGCUCUCCAAUCAAUGAUUAUAAUUGUUGAGAUUUUCAACCCUAGCCAACGGGUUAUAAUAGUUGACCUUAUAGCCCUAGUCAACAGAUAUAAUUGUUAACCUUUGGCUUUUCCCAUCUUAAAAAGAACAAAUUUAAGGCUAGCCAUUUAUUUGUAAAGUCCCACCUAACUAAGUACCAUUUGUUAUUUAAUAACCAGAGUAAAGAUAUUUUGAAUGUAUUUGAUGUGAAAUUGUUGUGAUAUUAAUAUGAAAAUGUUUGGUUGAAAAGUUCAAAUGUUUAAUGCAUGUUGAAUUCAAAAGUUUUUAUGAAAAUGAUUAUAUGUUAUAUCUCUUAUUUGUAAGUUUGAUCCAUGAAACUGUAUUAAUAUUCCUUAUUGGACUUUGAGCUCAUUCCCCUUUAUUGAGAAUUUUUUUUCGUAUUCUCAGUUUGGGCAAGGAGUGAUGACUGGGUUGGGGAAUUUUCUUUACUAUGGUUUUGCUUCAAUCUUAUUUUGGACAUUGUUUAGAUGUUAAAAUUUAAUUCCCAUUUAAAUUAUUUGGGUUUGGAGUUAUUUGGACGAUAAAACUUUGAUUGAUGUGUUAGUUUUAAAGUUGAGAAUUGAAAAUUAUAGAAUUUAUUUAUCUUACUACUUUGAACAGAAAUUUAGUAAUUGGAGAUCAUCCAGUUACAAGAUGAAUAUUUGAGUCGUUUCAAGUCGUUUCCACUUUGAGUGUUCAGGCUUAGGGUGUGAAAUGAUCGUUAUGCCCUUGGAGUGGGUAUAUUGUUUAUUUGAAUUUAAUGGUCCCCGAACUCCUUAAUUACUCAUAACUUUAUAUCAGCUUCUCAAAGUUAAGUUGUUUUACAACUACUAUCUAGCUACUUUUCUCUACUAUGACAACUUUAUUACAUAGUGAUUAAUUGAAAGAAUCUACAUGUCUUAUUUCAUAGGAUAGUUGAUUUUUUUACUCAAUGAAUUUUGCUUUUAUUAUUGAAAAUUUCAAAUCAUUGUAGUCCAACAAUUUCCUAUCCAUUGGUAAUUUCAUAUUACAUUUCCAAAGUCUAAUCAUUUAAAAACACUUGUAGUUAAUAUAUUGGCAAUUGCAUUGUGGGAAGUUGUUCACUUGAUUUUAAUGUUGAAACUUUCAAAUUUUUGUAGUCCAACAAUUCCCUAUCCAUUGGUAAUUUCAUAUCACAUUUUCAAAGUAUAAUACUUGUAUAUAGUAUAUUUGGUGAUUGUAGAGUGGAAAGUUGAUCAUUUUCAUGAAGACCUCUAAAAUAGAAUUUUUUUUCAUUCCAUUUAUUAAAGAAUUUCAUUAAUUGAACAUAUAUGUUUUUUUAACCGAAAAGUAGAGGCCACAUUAUACGAGGCCUUAGGUGACAAUACUAGGUGAGGGCUUUUUUUUUUAAUUUAUUUAUUACGAAAUAUAAAUAAUAUUAUUUAUUGUAUAAUAAAGAUUAUUAUAAUAUAUUUUUUAUAGAUGAAAAAAAAUAUUAAUUGAGUUUUAUUUUUUUAAAUAAUUGUUUUCAAUAAAUAACGUAUUUGUAAAAAGAAAACUAUAAAAUAUAUGCAUUUGAAAAAUAUUUAAUUUUUAUUUGAUUUAGUAUCAAUUAAUAUUUGUAAUAUUUUUUAAUAUUAUAGAAGUUAACAUACUCAAUUAAGAUAUUCAAGAUCAAGAGAAUAUUUGAGAUUGAAUUAAUUUCUUUAUUGUUUAUGUUUUAGUAAAUUUUUAUAUCCAUUAAAAUUUUUUUAUUGUUUAUUUUUCAUUCAAUGUUUGCAUUUUGUAAUAGAUAUUAAAACAAAUUUUUUUCUUGUAUGUUAAAAAAAUAUUUCAAUGUCUUUAAAAAUAAAAUAUUGUAGUAAAAUCAAAAUUACAUUGUGAAACUUUAAGCGAAUGUUUUAUACUAAAGAAGUGCCAAUUAAAGUAAGCAUGCAUCUACAAUUGUAAUUUAGAUGUCAUAUUGAAACAAUAGUUCUCUUUGACUAUAUCAUAAAAUUUGGUUCGAAUUACUUUAAGUCAUCUUGUAGAUUUUCAAGUUCCAAUGAUAUGCAUCAAGUAUGUGCAACAUACUUGAUAUGACUAAUAUUUUCUUAAGUAAUUGGACACUUUUUUCUAUAAAUUUACUUGAUUAUCAAUGAAUACUUUUAUGUAAGGUAUUGAUAUAAUUCGAUAAAUAUUUUAAAAUAGUAUUAGAAUAGCUUUGCUCUUUCCUAAUUAACAAAUUUACUAAAUUAACUUAUAUAUAUUUGUUUAUUUUAAUUUACUGGUAUUUGACUCAAUUUGUUAUUAUUUUUAAAAUUAUAGGAAAACCAUUAUUUAUAGAGUUUAAUUAUAUUUGGUAAAUUAUCUUUUUAAGUUUGACUAGGAUUAGGAAACUAUUAAUUUAAGAUUAAUCCAUAAGGCUCUAUAAAUUUGCAGUUUUAUAUAACAUUUAAAAAAAGAAAGAAAAAGUAAGAAAAAGUGAAGAGAGAUAGGCAAAGAGUGCAUUGGGUUUUAGAUAGAGAAAGGUCGAGAGAGUUUUGAUUACUACUCAAAAAGAACAUAUUUUAGAUAGUAAUUCUCAUGGGUUUCACAUCUUUUGAGUAUUAAUUAUGCCUAAAAAUGCUCAAUUAACAUGUUGUUGCCCUUGCAAGAGUUACUAAUAAGUUUUAUAAAGUUUUGGAGUCAUUUCAAGUUAUGAUUUUAAUAAAUUGGUGAUGAAAGAGAUGAAUUGAUUUGAAGAAGGAAAAUAAUAUUGAUGAUGAUCCAAAUGCAUAAUGAAAGAAGCAAUAUAAUUAGUUUGAUCGGGAUUUGCUGCUAAUUUGGAGGUAGUUAAGGUGGAGUCAAAAGAAGAAAAUGGAAGAAAUGACAAAGAGGAACUUAAAAACCAAAUGUUGCAGAUUUGUAUGAUCAUUCAAAAAUUACAUGACUAUGCCAAAUGGAUUAGAGAAGGAAAAUUGACUAUAGUAUAAGGAGGAUGCUUAAGUUGAUUUAGCAUGAACAUGAGAAAAUUUCGCAUGAACAUGCGAAAAUUUUGCACAAUCAUGCGAAAUGGUCCAGAAAGCUCUCUAAUGUUGUUGUUGCUCCACUAAUUUCGCACCACCAUGCGAAAUCGAUCUUUUCAUGCAAAAUGGCUGAAGCUCAUGUGAAAUCAUGAUUUUGAUGCUAAACUCCAGAUUUGUGAAUUUGGAAGGUUUUAGAAGACCAAUGAGAGGUUGCCAAGUGUCCACUUGACCUUGGUCUAUAAAUAGAAACUUGAAUUUCCCAUGUAAAGAGCUUUGUGAUACUUUUGAUUUUAGAUUUUUCUAGAAACUCUUUCUCUAAAUAGAAUUCUAUAUUUUCUUUAAUUUUCCCUCAUUUUCUCAUUAGCCAAACAUGCCUAGUGAGACCAAAUUUCCAAGUAUGAGUGACUAAAUCUCGUUUUUCUCAGAGGAAUGAGGAUCUAGAGGCAAGAUCUAUGGUGAAUUAUAGAAAUGAGUUUUAAUUGCAAAUGUAAUUUGAUUCAAUUGAUUGAUUAAUUGAAAUUCGAGGAUUUUUCUCUUCAAAUUGUCCUGAAUGACAAUUACAUUGCAAACUAGGCAGAUUAAUUAAAUUCUUAAAGUUAGAUUUAAUGAGACUGAAUAGUUGCAUUGUAUGAAUCAUUGGAAGAUGAUUUAAGAUGAAUUGAAUAUAUAAUUUAAAUUCAUAUCUUGGAUUAAAUAACCUAAUUUGAAGAGAAAUUAGGUUUAGACUUAAAGGGAAAUCUAAAAUCGGUUUAGAUAAGAAUUUAGGUUUUCAAUCUAACUUGAUGAAAAAUAAAUCUCAACAUUUAUUCACCAUGGAAAUUGUUUUCUAAAAAAUAUUAACUCUGAGAAUUCCUUUUCCUUAUCAGUUUUCUUAUAUUCUACAUUAUAUUAUUCUUUUCGAUUAGAAAUCAUUGUUAUUUUGAUUUUUCGUGAAUUGUCAAAUCAAUUUCACUUGACCAUAAUCAUUUCUUUUCCUCUCAUUUAAACCUUAAUUAUCGAGAAUAAUCCAUCCCAAUAGAAGACACCUAAGACCACUAUACUACUGUAGCUUUUGCUAAAAAACCUUUUUGAUCGGGCAAGAGUUACCUUAGCAUAGUUGAAUUAGGUUAUAAAUUUUUUAUCCAAUAAACAACAAAAAAAUCAAUUGAUCAAGUUUACAUUGUGUAUUCUUGAAUUUUAUUAAUAAAUUUGAUCCCCUUUUUUGAAGCGAUUACACCAAACCAAGUAAAUAUUUUAUCUACUUCAUUUGCUUUAUUUUUUCUAUUAAGUUUAGGUGUUGCAAUUUUUAAGAGUCAUGGUGAGAAGAUUGUGGGAAAAAUUAUUUUAAGGAUGGAGUCGAACAUAAAAUAUGAAAUUGAGUCCUUUGAUGGAAAUAAUAAUUUUAAUAUUUGAUAGAGUAUUAUUAAAGAUGUUUUGAUACAACAAAGACUUCUCAAAGCAUUACAAGGCAAAAAAAACUAGAGAGCAUGACAAAUAAAGAAAUGAAAGAAUUACAAGCAAGAGUUGUAAGUACUAUUUGUUUAAGUCUUAAAAAUGAAAUACAUUGUUUUGAAUGAAAAAAAUAUUCUUUUAGGGGUGUCAAUUGCUCUUUUAGAGACCAAAAAUAUUAAGCAAUCAAGUAGUUCAUCUCAUAUUGGACAAACUGUUAUGAUGAAUUCUAAACCAUAUCAUCAUAGGAGUAAAUCGAAAGAAAAGUAUCUGAUAGGAGGAUGAUCAUUCCAUUCACACUUAUAGAGGAAUAUGAAGUAUUAUUNNNNNNNNNNNNNNNNNNNNNNNNNNNNNNNNNNNNNNNNNNNNNNNNNNNNNNNNNNNNNNNNNNUAGUGAUUGUUUUAUGUUGAAGAAAGGCUAAUUAAAGUAAACAUGCAUCUAAAAUUAUAAUUUAGAUGUUGUACUCAAAUAGUUGCUCUCCUCGAUUAUAUCAUAAAAUUUGGUUUGAAGUCUAAGUCAUCUAAUAAUUUUCUAGUUCCAAUUACAUGCAUCAAACAUGUGUGUUAGGAAGUGUUGCAAAUUACUAAUUAGUAUAUAUUCUUUUUUUUUUAAGAAUAUUGUAUUAAAUAUUUCUAGGUUGAUAUAUUAUUGUAAUAUUAGACUUCUUUAUAGAAUAAGGAAGGUUGUUGAAAAUAUCCCUAUAAAUAUUCUAGUUCAUAAGGGGAAAAAGUUUUGAGAUGAAGAUGGACCCAUAAAGACUAUACAAGGUGGAUAGAGAUGUGAGGAAGAACGAGAGGUACCCGAUGGAGCGAGAGGGCUCGUGGUAGGGUAUAGGUACGAAGAGUGAGGAAACAUGGGAUGUUUUGGGAACUCAAUAUUUGUAUCUAGUUAUGUCCUCUAUAAGUUCUAGUUCUGUCAUCUGCAUUGUUCUCUAUUUUAUAGUGGAAUGAUUCUCUCUUAUCUGUGGACGUAGGCAUGGUUUUCGAACCACGUUAAAACCUUGUGUACCGUUUGUGUUGAUUUUUUUUAUCUUUAUUUUCUUGAUUAAUGAAGUUUGCAUCAAAGCUUCUGUCAACGUAACAAACUUGUAUCAAAGUUUGGGAUAAAGAUUUCUAGAAGAGUAAAAGAUCAUAGAGCACACAAGAUGAAAACAAAAGGAAUUUUUAGUGAAAAAGGAGUCAAUUGCUCUCUCGUGGUGAUAUGAUAUAAAAAGUUUAUGUCAUGGAAAGUUUGAAGAUUUACUUCAUGGAAUCUGGUCCAAAAUGGAGAUUGUUAAUAAGUGUCCCAAAUUCCUAAUUAGUAUAGAUUUUUUUUUUUGUAAAGAAUAUUGUAUAGAAUAUUUCUAGGUUGAUAUAUUAUUGUAAUAUUAGACUUCCUUAUAGAAUAAGGAAGGUUGUUGAAAAUAUCUUUAUAAAUAUUCUAGGUCAUGAGGGAAAAAAGUAUGAGAUGAAGAUGGGCCCUAUAAAAACUAUAUGAGGUGGAUAAAGAUGUGAGGAAGAAUGAGAGGUACUCAAUGGAAUGAGAGGGCUCGUGGUAGGGUAUGGAUACAAAGAGUGGGGAAAUAUGGGAUGUUUUGGGAACCUAUUAGUUGUAUCUAGUUCUGUCAUCUAUAAUGUUCUAGUUACGUCCUCUAUAAUGUUCUCUAUUGUAUAGUGGAAUGAUUCUCUUUCAUCCGUGGAUGUAGGCAUGGUUGUCGAACCACAUUAAAACCUCGUGUACUAUUUGUUUUAUUUUUAAAUUUUUUUUAAUCUUUGUUUCUUGAUUAAUGAUGUGUGCAUCAAAGCUUCCAUCUACGUAACAAACUGGUAUCAGAGCUUGGGUUGAAGAUUUUUGGAAUAGUAAAAGAUCACAAAGCACACAAGAUGAAAACAAAAGGAAUUUUUAGUGAAUGUGGAGUCAAUUGUUCUCUCGUGGUGAUAUGAUACAAAAAGUUUGUGUCAUGGAGGGUUUAAUGAUUGACUCCGUGGAAUUUGGUCCAAGGUAGAGAUUGUUAGGAAGUGUCCCAAAUUCCUAAUUAGUAUAGAUUUUUUUUUUUUAAAGAAUAUUGUAUAGAAUAUUUCUAGGUUGACAUAUUAUUGUAAUAUUAGACUUCCUUAUAGAAUAAGGAAUGUUGUUGGAAAUAUUUUUAUAAAUAUUUUAAGUCAUGAGGGGAAAAAUUUAUGAGAUGAAGAUGGGCCUAUAAAGACCAUAUGAGAUGGAUAGAGAUGUGAGGAAGAAUCGGAGGUACCCAGUGGAGCGAGAGAGUUCGUGGUAGGGUGUGAAUAUGAAGAGUGGGGAAACAUGGGAUGUUUUGGGAACCCAAUAGUUGUAUCUAGUUCUGACAUCUAUAAUGUUCUGGUUCUGUCAUCUAUAAUGUUCUGGUUUUGUCCUCUGUAAUGUUCUUUAUUGUAUAGUGGAAUUAUUCUCUCUCAUCUAUAUAGGCAAGUUGCUAAACCACGUUAAAACCUCGAAUACCUUUUGUGUUGAUUUUUUUUAUCUUUGUGUUCUUGAUUAACGAUGCUUGCAUCAAAGCUUCUACCAACGUAACAAUGUGCAACAUAUUUGAUAUAACUUAUAUUUUCUUAAGUAAUUGAACACUUUUUUCUAUAAAUUUACUUGAUGAUCAAUGAGUACCUACAUAUACGGUAUUGACAUAGUUUGAUAAACAUUUUAAAAUAGUAUUAGAAUGGCUUUUCUUUUUCCCAAUUAACAAAUUUAUCAAAUACACACACACACACACACACACAAAAUACUCAUUAGUAUGUCUUUUAUGAAAAAACUAUGUUUGUUUAUUUGAAUUUAGUAGCCAUUCAAUUCCUUAGUUACUCAUAAACUUUUUAUCACCUUCUUAAAGUCAAGUCAUUUACAAUUAUUUUCAAGUCAUUUACAAUUAUUUUAGCCUUCUCCAUUAUGACAACUUUAUAAGAUAGUGAUUGAUUGGAAGAAUCUACAUGCCUUUGUUGAUAGUAUAAUUGUUUUUCUUUUUUUUCGUAUUCAAAGAAUCUUGCUUCUGUUAUUGAAACUUUCAAAUCCUUUAUGUCUAGUGGUCUUAUAAUUCCCUAUUCAUUGGUCUUUCAUAUUACCAAUCAUUUUGCAAAUGAGUUAAUUUCAUUCACAUCCUCUGAGAUUUGAUGUAAAUUCGCUUAGUUACCAAUGAUUUCAAAUUUCAUUAAUUAGUACCCCUACAGAUAUAAUUCGUGUACAAAAUUUAUUUUUUAAAAGAGUUUAGGUAAAAAUAUUUUAGGUAUAUGUCUUUAACAAUUCUCUAAAAUAAAUUUUACUUGCUAAAAAAUAACUUAUAUAGAUAGAAUACAUCUACAGGAGUUCUAACUAACGAAAUUUAAAACUAAUGGUGGUUUAGUGUAUUUAAACUAAACAUUAGGAAGGGUGACUGAAAUUAACCCUCUAGGUAUAUAUGUUUAACAAAAUUUUUAUUGUUUAUUUUUCAUUUAAUGUUUGCAUUUUUCAAUAAACAUUGAAAAGGAAUUGUUUUUCCAUAUGUUAACAAAAAGAAAUUUGAAUACCUAUAAAAAUGAAAUCUUGUAGUAAAAUUGGAGUUACAUUAUCAGACUUUUAACGAGUGUUUAUGUUUAGAAAGGCCAAUUAAAGCAAGCAUGCAUCUAGAAAUUGUAACUUAGAUGCAUCAAACAUGAGCAACAUAUUUGAUAUAACUAAUAGUUUCUUAAGUAACUAAACACUUCUUUUUCUAUAAAUUUACUUGAUUGUCGAUGAAUACUUACAUACAUUUACAUAGUUUGAUAAAUAUUUUAAAAUAAUAUUAGAAUAACUUUGUUUUUUCUCAAUUAUAUUAGAAAAUAAUAUAAAGUUACUUAUAAACUUUAUAUCAUUUUCUCAAAGUCAAGUCAUUUACAAUUAUUUCUAUCUAGUCUUCUCCAUUAUGACAACUUUUAUAUGAUAGUCGUUGAUUGGAAGAAUCUACAUGUCUUUUUUGAUAAGAUAGUUGUUUUUAUUAUUUUUAUUUUUUUUAUUCCAAAAAUUUGCUUCUAUCAUUGAAACUUUCAAAUCUUUUAUGUAUAUUACCAAUCAUUUUACAAGUGAGUUAAUUUCACUUAGGGUAGAUAUACUUAGCCACACCCCUAUAGAUGUAAUUUGUGUUUAAAUUUUAUUUUUUAUUUAGGUAAAAAUAUCUUAGGUAUAUGUGUUCUACAAUUCUCUAAAAAAUAAAUUUUCUUAUCUAAAAGUUUAUAUAGACAAAAUACAUCUAUAGAAGUCCUAACUAAUGAAAUUUAAAAUCAAUGGUUGUUUAGUGUAUUUACAUUAAACCUUAUGGGGUAUGAUUGAAAUUAAGUCUUUUACAAGCACUUGUAGCUAAUAUGUUUGUAGUUGUAGUCUUGGAAAUUGAUCAUUUUCUUGAAGGCCUCUAGGAUAUUGAAAAUAUUGCCAUAGUUUUAGACUUUUUUUUUAUUACACCUAAUAAAAAAUAUUAUUAAUUUAACAUAUAUAUUCUUGACUUAAAAGUAAAGUCUCUCCAUAUUGUAUAAGCCCUUAGGUGGCAAUAUUAGGUGAAGUUUUUCUUUCGUUUAUUACAAAAUAUAAAUAAUUUAUUAUUGUAUGAUAAAAUUUUAUGUAAUAUAUUUUUAUAGAUGUAAAAUUAUUAAUUGGGUUUUGUUUUUUUUUACUAAAUUGUCAUUUCAAUAUAUAAAACUUAUUUGUAAAAAGACAAUUAUAAACUAUAUGAAAUUGAAAAACAUUUAGUUUUUUUAUUUAAUUUAGAAUUUUAUUUGGAUUAAUAAUUGAUAUUUGUAAGAUUUUUGAAUAUUAAAAAAAGUUAGCAUACUUAAGAAAGAUAUUCAAGAUCGGGAGUGUUUGAUAUCGGAUUAAUUUCCUUAUUUUCUCUAUUUUAAUAAAUUUUCACGUCCAUUACAAAAUUUUUGUUGUUUAUUUUUUACUUCAAUAUUUUUAUUUUGUAAUAGAAAUUUGAAAAGAUUUUUUCCUACAUGUUAAAAAAAAAAAAGAUUUGAACACUCCUAAAAAAGAAAUAUUGCAAUAAAAUUAAAGUUUACACUGUAGGACUAUUAGCAAAUGCUGCAUACUUAAAAUAGACCAAUUAAAGUAGAAAUACUUCUAAAAUUGUAAUUUAGGUAACAAUAAUAUAAAAAGACAAUAUUUUUGAAACAAUAGUUCUCUUGGAGUUUUGGGUACAAUGGACUAGACUUUAUGUAACAAUAGAUAUACAAACUUUCCAUUAACAUCUUGAGAGACAUGAUGAGGAGCAAAGUCAUCCAAGAAGGUACCAUAGAGGUACCUUAGCUCAAUUCAUCUAGACUACAUAAUGUUUAAAGAUCAAAUUCAAUGACUAGAUUUCAAAAAUCAAUAUAAGCUUUCUCAUAUUCUACUCUAUAUAAGACAAUGGUAUGAUACCUCUCUUGUGUCGUAGAAUGCACCAUGAAAACCUUAUCAUUUUAACAUCAGUUUGAAACUUAAAAGUCACUUAGCACAUUCUAGUUAUUAAUUUAAGAGCAUUAAAAGAAAUAUAUAAAAAAAAAGUUACUUUAUCCUUGUGAUUUUGAUCUAGGACUUUUAAUGAUAUUAAAAAAAAAAACAGAAAAAUAAAUGGAAAUAAAAUCAAUAAAUUAAACAAUUGAAUUAAGUUAGUUUAAUUUUUGAAUCGUUAAAUGGGUAAAUAAAGAUCUUAGAUUUGAUAUUAAUAUGAACAUCAUGACUUCAGUGAAUCUUACAAGAAAAUUUUAGUUUGAAAGACUUCAUUCAUUAAACGUGUGGCACAUAUUAAAGUAAAACUAAGUCUUCUCUAUAAUUUGUACCUAUCAUAGUUUCUUUCCUCAUAAAUAGCCUUUUUUGAAUAUAAUAUAGACUUCAACAUGCAUGGUGGGGCCAAUCAAACUACUAGUCAAGACAACUCAUGGGCAACAACGAUGUACCAACUACAUUUAAAUACUCUUCAUAUAUUUGCAUAUCAAGAGUAAUUUAGUAGUGUCUUUCUUAUGUACCUCAUAUCUAGACUUUCAAUGGAGAGUUCUUCAUCUAAAAAUUUGACUUGGGUUUUCAUACUAGUUUUGGUUUAGACAUGUGGAUGCAAAGGUUGCAUCAAAGAAGAGAAGUAGGCUAAAUCAUCUUACAAAUUUUCAAGUUCAAAUUAGAUGCACCAAACAUAUGCAACAUAUUUGAUAUAACUAAUAUUUUCUUAAGUAAUUGAAUACAAUUUUUUUUUAUAAAUUCACUUGAUUAUUAAUGGAUAACUAACUACAUGUAUGGUAUUGACACAACUUGAUAAAUUUUUUAAAAUAGUAUUAGAAUAACUUUGCUAAAAAAAAGUAAAAAUAAAAAUAAAAAUACAUCUAUAUAUAUAUAUAAUUAAAUAAAAUUAAAAAUUAAUAUAUAUAUAUAUAUAUAUAUAUUCUGUGUGUGUAUGUGUGCAUGGUCUCACAAGUCAUUAGCUACUCAUAAGCUUUAUAUCACUUUCUCAAAGUCAAGUCAUUUUGUAAUUAUUUCUAUCUAGCCUUCUCCAUUACGACAACUGUAUAGGAUAUUGAUUGAUUGUAAAAAUCUUCAUGUCUUUUUUUAUAAGAUAGUUUUUUAUUAUUAUUAUUAUUCAAAGAAUUUUCUUUUAUUAUUGAAACUUUCAAAUCCUUUAUGUCUAGUGGUCCUACAAUUCCCUAUUCAUUGGUAUUUCAUAUUACCAAUCAUUUUACAAAUAAGUUUAUUUCACCCGGUAAAUAUACUUAACUACCAAUGGUUUCAAAUUUAAUUGAUUAACACACUUAUAGAUGUAAUUUGUUUUUAAAUUUUAUUUCUUUUAGAAGAAUUGUAGGUAAAAAUGUUCUAGGAAUAUGUGUUCAAUAAUUCUCUAAAAACAAUUUAUAUAGAUGGAAUACAUUCAUGGAAGUUCCAACUAAUGAAAUUUAAAACCAAUGACGAUUUAAUGUAUUUGCACUAAAUCUUAGGGGAGGUGUACUAAAACUAGCCCUUUUACAAAUAUUUGUAGCUAGUAUAUUUGUAGUUAUGGUGUUGGAAGUUGAUCAUUUUCUUAAAGGCCUCUAAGAUAUUGGAAAUAUCGCCAAAGUUUUGAACUUUUUGUUUCACCUAAAUAAAAUAUCAUUAAUUUAAUAUAUAUACUCUUCGCUUGAAAGUAUAGUUUCUUCAUAUUGUAUGAAGUUGUAACUAGGUGACAAUAUUAGGUGAAAUUUUUUUUUGUUUACUACAAAAUAUAAAUAAUAUAUUUAUUAUAUGAUAAAAUUUUGUAAAAUAUAUUAUUAUAGAUGCAAAAUUAUUAAUGGAGUUUUAUUUUUUACUAAAUUAUCAUUUCAAUAAAUAAGAACUUAUUUGUUAAAAGAAAAUUAUAAAAUAUAUGCAAUUGAAAAAAAUUUAAUUUUUUUAUUUAAUUUGGUAUUUUAUUUGAAUUAAUAAUUGAUAUUUGUAAAAUCUUUUAAUAUUAAAAGAAGUUAACAUACUUAAAAAAGACAUUCAAAAUCAAGAGAGUAUUUGAUAUGAAAUUAAUUAAUUAUUUUUUUUCUAUUUAAAUAAAUUUUUACAUCCAUUAAAAAAAUUUUCUUGUUUAUUUUUCACUUCAAUAUUUUUAUUUUGUAAAAUAAAUAGAAAUAAAAUCAACAAAUUAAACAAUUGAAUUAAGUUAGUUUAAUUUUGCCACCGUUAAAUUGGUAAAUGAAGACUCUUAUAUUUGAUAUUAACAUGAACAUCAUGACUUCAUUGAAUAUUCUCACAAGAAAAUUUUAGUUUGAAAGAUUUUAUCCUUUAAACAUGUGGCACAUAUUAAAGUGAGACCAAGUCUUCCCUAUAAUUUGUAUCUAUCACAAUUUCUUUCCUAAUGAAUAACCUUUUUGAAUAGAAUAUAGACUUUAGCAUAUUACCAACCAUUUUACAAAUAAGUUAAUUUCACUCAGUAAAUAUACUUAACCACCAAUGGUUUCCAAUUUGUAGCACUCUUAUAGAUGUAGUUUUUUUUUUAAAUUUUAUUUUUUAGAAGAAUUGUAGGUAAAAAUAUUUUAGAUAUAUAUGUUCAACAAUUCUCUAAAAACAAUUUAUAUAGAUGGAAUACGUUCAUGGAAGUUCCAACUAAUGAAAUUUAAAACCAAUGAUGAUUUAAUGUAUUUGUACUAAAUCUUAGGGAGUGUGGACUAAAAUUAGCCCUUUUACAAAUAUUUAUAACUAGUAUAUUUGUAGUUGUGGUAUUGAAAGUUGAUCAUUUUCUUAAAAGGUUUACCAUUGAAGUUAGUUGAAUAUAAAGUUAGGUGAACUUUACCAUUGUUUAAUUGGUAAAUGAAGACUCUUAGAUUUGAUACUAACAUGUACAUCAUGACUUCAUUGAAUCUCUCACAAGGAAAUUUUAGUUUGAAAGACUUCAUCUUUUAAACAUGUGGCACAUAUUAAAGUGGACCAAGUCUUCCCUAUAAUUUGUAUCUAUCACAAUUUCUUUCCUCAUAAAUAGCCUUUUUUAAUAGAAUUAAUAUAGACUUUAGCAUGCAUGGUGGGCCCUGUCAAACUAUUAGUCAAGAUAAUUUGUAGGUAAGAACGAUGGACCAACUAUAUUAAAUAUUCUUCAUCUAUUUGCAUAUCAAGAGCAACUUAAUAUUGUCUUUCUUUUGUACUUCAUGUUUGAACUUUCAAUGGAGAGUGUGUCAUCUAAAUAUUUGAUGUGGGUUUUUAUACUAUUCUUGGUUCAAAUAUGUGGAUGCAAAGGUUGCAUCGAAGAAGAGAAGAUGGGUUUGCUUGAAUUCAAGGCUUUUCUUAAAUUGAAUAAUGAGCAUGCAGAUUUUCUUCUCCCUUCAUGGAUAGAUAACAACACUAGUGAAUGUUGUAAUUGGGAGCGGGUUAUUUGCAAUCCCACCACAGGUCGAGUUAAGAAGCUUUUCCUCAAUGAUAUUACGCAACAACAAAGUUUCUUGGAAGACAAUUGGUACCAAUAUGAAAAUGUCAAAUUCUGGUUACUAAAUGUCUCCCUAUUCCUUCCUUUUGAAGAACUUCACCAUCUAAACUUGUCUGCAAACUCAUUUGAUGGGUUUAUUGAGAAUGAAGGUAUGUUACCUCUCACCUUUAAAAUUUCAUUUCACUUAUACUCCAAACAUUCUAAAGGAACUACUAGCAUAUGUUCUUAAAAGUGUUCAGGUGGAGACCAAAUGGUCACUAGUAACUAUUGAAUUUAAUAUAAGAACAAUUACUAAUUAUUAAAAUUUAUAAUGUAAAUUAACAUUUAAACAGAACAAUAAAAAAAUUAUUAUUUUAGAAAACUAUAGAUUACAUUAGCCUUAUAUAUAUAAGCAUACUUGUUAUUUAUGCCAUCAUUUCACACUCAACCCAAUAAGUGGGAUUCAACUAAGAGUGAGCAAUUUCACAAUUAUUAAUUAACAGGAACACUUAGUCUCCCAUAUCCUUAUCCUUUUUGUUGAAUUGUCUUUCCUUAUCUUCCAUUCCUAAAAAGCUUGAUUUCUAUAUUCUAAAUUGAUAAAGAUUGGUUAAAGAAAGGUGAUCACAAAAUUUGACUAUUGCUGUCAAAUAAGGAAUCACCAUCUUCAAAGUUUCACAUUUACAAAAAAAAAAAAAAAAAAAAAAAAAAAAAAAAAAAACCCUAGCCUUGGGUAAGGUCCAAGCCUUAUUGUUUUAAGCUGAUGUCGGGUUGGUUUAAUAAUAAACAAAAAAAAUCCUAACCCAUGACCAUCUACGCAUUUCCAAAUUCCACCCAUCCACAACCCAUUAAUAUGACAUUUUCAAGGACAAAAUUUAAUCAAUUAAACCUAUUAGAUGGAUUCUCCAUACAAUGUUAAAAUGAAUAUAAAAACUUUAAUUCAAAAAAUAAUUUCCUUUAUUUAGUUAGGAUUCAAAUUAUAGGGGCACAAAACAUGAAAAUUUUCAUGUUUAAAAUUCACAAAGAUCACAAAAGCUCUUUGAAGCUCUAUGGACUUUUUUAUUUCUAACAUUUAAACACAAAAAUCACCAUAUUUAAUUAGAGAUUUGGAUACAUAUUCUUAUAUUAAAGACAUGUAAGCUUACAUAUUUAAAUAUGAAGAUCUCAACUUGUAAUUACAUGCUUCUAAUUAAAGUUAUAUUACUCUAUUUUAUAGGAUUUAAAGGGUUAUCAAGUUUAAAGAAAUUGGAGAUCUUAGACAUAAGUGGUAAUGAGUUUGAAAAAAGUGUCUUAAAAUCUUUGGACACAAUAACAUCACUCAAGACAUUGGCUAUUUGCAGCAUGGGACUGAAUGAAUCUUUUUCCAUUCGAGGCAUGUUAUAUGUCCACAUUGUUUCUUUGAAAUUAAGUAAAAUAUAUUUCUAACUUUUAAUGUUCCUUAGUUAAUCUCUCUUUUGAUUCAUGUUUGUUGCAGAAUUAGCUAGUUUGAGAAAUUUGGAAGUGUUGGAUCUAAGCUAUAAUGAUUUGGAAAGCUUUCAACUAUUGCAAGGUACUUCAUUAACUUGCUAAAAAAACUUAUGAUAUUUUGUUAUUAAAUUAAAGGUAAGAUUAACAAACAAUUUCUUCUCAUUAGUUACUUUUCUUUGUAAUAUCAUUAAAUUUGAUAUAAAGUAGUCUAAAUCAUCCUUUCAAUUUAUAAGUUUUAAUUAAAACGCAUCAAGCAUGCACAAGAUGUUUAAUAUAACUAAUAUUUUCAUAAGUAAUUGAAUUUUUUUAUAUGAAUUAAUUAACUUGAUUAUCAAUAAAUACUUACAUGUAUAAGAUUAAUAUAGUUUCAUAAGUAUUUUAAAAUUGUCUUACAACACACACACACACACACACAAGGAAAAUGAAAGGUAUGUGAUAUCUUUAUGCUAUGUUUGGUUCCCAAAAAAAUUGAGGGAAAAUGAAAGGAGAAAAAAGUAGAGACGAAAAGUAAAAGAAAAGAAAAAAAGUAAAGAAAAAUAUAAAAUUGAUUAAAGUAAAUACAUUAUUUUUAUAUGUUACUUUAACUUGUUUCACUUAUUUUAAUUCUUCAAUGUAAAGAUGAAAGAUUUGAAAAUGCAUAAGUUUCUAAUUAUUUUUUAUUUUAUUUUAUAGUUUUUACAAUACAACCAAACAUAAUAAAAUCAUUUUCUUUAAUUUUUUUUCUUUUCUUAAUACUUUUCACGAACCCUUUAAGUUAUGUUUGUUUGCAGAAAAUAUGAGGAAUAGAAAAUAGAAAAGAAAAUUAGAAGGAAAGAAAAAGUGAAGUAAAAUAAAAAUAAAUUUAAAUUUAAUAAAUUAUUUGUAUAUGCUACUUUAAACUUAUUUCACUUAUUUUAAAUUAUUUAAACUCAUUUCUAAUAAAUAAUAAUGGAAAUUGUAGAGAAGUUUGUGUUAUUCAAGCUUUGCAAUGACUUUACAAGGUGAAGGAAAAUAUUCUUGCUGAAAUUGAAAAAAGAAAUACCUUCUUAAAUAGCCUAUUGACCGAAAACACAUUACCCUAACAUAUACACACACCUUUAUUAUUUAUACAAUCAUUUAAUACUUAAUCCAGUUAGUGGGAUUCUAGUGGUUGUUUUUAUCUUGGUUUCCAAUAUUUCUGAUUGAUAGUGUUCGAUUAAUGAAAUAUCAUAAAUUUUGACCCUAAUAAGGACCAAUCCCUAUUAAAUGUAAUUGGGUUGACCUAAGACUAAAUGUUAGAUCCAACUAAUAAAAACCCAUCUAUUUGUUGGAGUGUAAAUAACCCGGCCUUAGGUAGGGCCCAUGCCUUAUUAUUUUAAGAUGUAGUCCAACUGGUUUGACACUAGAUUGAGUAAAGCCCAACUUAUGAGCAUCUAUGCAUUUCCAUCCAUCCACAACCUACUGGCAUGGACAAACUUUGGUCAAUUAAACCUAUUAUAACUGCAUACAAAAUUUUAAGUUCAAAAGAUAAUUUUCCUUAUUUAGUUAGGAUUCAUAUUAAAAAGGCACAAAGCACGAAUUUUCAUGUUUAAAUUCACAAAUAUCACAAAAGCUCCUUCAAGCUCUAUGGACCAUUUUAUUUGUAACAUUAUAUUACUCUUAAUUAUCAAAUUAACCAACAAAUUCUUCUCAUUAGUUAUUUUUCUUUAGUAAUGUCAUAAAAUUUGAUAUAAAGUAGUAUUGGUCAUCAUUUCAAAUUUUAGGUUCCAAUUAGAUGUAUCAAGCAUGUGUACCAUAUUUGAUAUAACUAAUAUUUUUAUAAGUAAUUGAAUUUUUUUUUCUAUAAAUCAAUUAAUUUGAUUAUCAAUGAAUACUUUCAUACAUGAUAUUGAUGUAGUUUCAUAAAUAUUUUAAAAUAGUCAUAGAAGUCUUUUAUCUGAUUCACUAGAAAGAAAAAUAAACUAUUCUAAUGAAAAGACUUGAUGAUUUGAAGUGAUUGCUUUUGAUUUUAUUUGAUUGCUACCAUUAUUAAUUGUUAGAAAUUGGCAACAAAUACCCAUUUUGCAUCACUUCUAUAUGCAUCGGGGGAAUGAAUUAUAUUUCAUAGAGCUAAUAGGGCAAAACUCAAACUUUUGGAAUUAUGGAAAAGGUUGCUAGAAAGCUAAUUAACCAUUUAUAUUAUGAUUAAGACUAGUUGGGUUAGAAAUAAUUCAUAUGGAGAUUAAAAAAAACUAUGUAAUUUAGUUUAGUAGCUUGGGUGCUAUUGUAAUGAUUAAUGAUCUGCAACUUGAACACAUCUACUAGUGCUUUCUACUUGUAUAGCUAAAUUUAUGUUACCACUUUGAACUACAGUACUUACAUGAGAAGAAAGUUUUUCCUUAGUGAUAAUGCAAAAGAAAUUAAGUAUCAAUUUUUGUUAAACUAACAAGUGAUAGUUUAGAUAUGGUUUGAAUACACUUCCUUUCUUCUAUAUUUUUAUUUUGAAAAAAAAAAACUCUUUAAUGAAAUAUAAGAAAUCUUAUAUGUAUAAAAAUUAAAGACUUAAACAAAAAAAUUCUUCAAAUUUGAAAAUUUUCGAGAAGUAUUUUUAAGAAUUUGUAUUUUCAAUAUAAUAAUUCAUAUAUUUUGUAUAAAAGUUUUUGUUUAAAAAAAUAGAAGUGUGUCCAAAUUACAAAUUAAUUGUUAAAUUAAGAAUGUUUCUCAGAUCAAGAGAUGAUGAAAGUUGUAGAGAGUUUGCAUUACUCAACCUUUGCAAUUACUUUUUGAAGGUAAAAGAAAAUACCUUCCUACAUAACAUACAAUGGCAGGUUCUGGUUUGUAAGAAACUAAUAAAUGAUUAAGAAUAUGAAUAAGACUUCCUUUAUAAUGGAUAUGUAGAGAAGAAUAGUGGAUGAUAGGAGGUGAAAAUCUUGUAAUAAAAUAUCAAUAUCAGUUAUAAGAUAAUCAACAUUUUCUCUAUUUCUUGUACCUAUGUGAUUAAGAAUCUUGUAGCUCCCUUAUUGAAAUAUAAUAUAAAAAUAUAAAUAAACUAUUUAGAAGUGCAUGUAGUUUUCAACAUGAGGAAGUUCAAAAGCAAGUUAAUUAUGAUAAUUUUCUAUAGUCUAUAUUGAACACAAAUUAUUUUUACUAAAGGUUCAAUCGUUCUAUGAAGGUUAAAAGUUUGAAUUGUUUACAUAUGCAAAUGGACAACCAAACAAGAAAAUGAUUUUGAAAUCCUUUUUGGACCUUUUUUUAUCAUUCAUUUUUUCCCCUACUCUAUUUCCUUUCCCUCAAACUCUCUAGGUAGUAAACAUUACCUAAGAUAAAUAGGGAAGAAAAUAUUUUAUCAUUUAUUUAUUUAGUAUUUUUCUUACAUUUUUUGUAUGUUAUCCAAAUAUAAGAAAACUAUUUUUCUUUAUUUUUUCUUUUCCUUGUUGCUUUUCAAGAAUCAAGCAUACUUUAAACUCUAAUUAAGAGUUACAUAGAUUUACGAAGAAACAAUGCAACUGGUAACAAAAAAUUAAGGAAAUUUAAUUUUUGAGAGUAGGUAUAAUGAGAUUGGUUUGUUUGAUACAAAAUUUGAAUAAAAAUUCUUUCAAUGAAAAUUCAAGGAAAGGAAAAAAAAAACAACUUUCUCUCUAGACUAUAAUACUAAAUCACUUAAAAAAUAUCCUAACAUCGUUUAUGUUCAUCUUUCUUUUUAUGGAUUUGAAAAACCCAAUAAUUUGGAGAAAACUGAUUCAAGGAAGAAUAAUUUUUAGAAUAAAAUAUUAUUAUUUAAGAAGAUCAUAAAUAUUAUAGUCAUUGUUGAAUAUGAUAAAUGAUUUAAAAAAAAUGGUAGUUGGAAAUUUAGAUACUUUUAUAAGACAAAUGAAUUUUUCUAGUAUGGUAUGAAAAAAGGUAAAAUGAUAGGCUUUGAUCAUUUUUUAAGGUAGUUUGUUUAAAUCAUUUUAAUUUAUUUUCAUUUAAGAACAAUAACUUUUAUUACACUAGUUAUUUUGAUUUUCUUUUGAUAGAUUUUGCAAGCUUAAGCAAUUUGGAGCUAUUGGAUUUGAGUAAUAAUUCAUUUAGUGGGAGCGUUCCAUCAUCUAUAAGAUUGAUGUCUUCUCUCAAGUCUUUAUCCCUGGCUGGAAAUUACCUCAAUGGUUCCUUACCAAAUCAAGGUAUAUAUAUAUUGUGAUUACAGGUUUUUCUGUUUUCUUUUUUAAUAUCUUGUUUGUUCUUUAUGCCAAUGAAGUCAUGCAUGUCUAUUAAUUUUUGGUAUUUAAUAAAAAACUUUAUUCUUAAUUCAUAAAGACCUCAUCAACGGUAAGUAACAGCUAGUUGUAAGUUUGGGGGCAUUGACAAGACGAGGAGAUGAUUGGUUACAUGUCUUAUUCUCUUUUGUAGGCUUUUGCCAAUUGAAUAAGCUUCAAGAAUUAGAUCUUUCUUACAACUUGUUCCAAGGAAUCCUUCCUCCAUGUUUGAAUAAUUUGACAUCUUUGAGGUUAUUGGAUCUCUCUUCCAACCUAUUCUCCGGAAAUCUUUCUUCCCCUCUGUUACCUAAUCUCACAUCCCUGGAGUACAUCGAUCUCAGUUACAAUCAUUUUGAGGGUUCAUUCUCUUUCAGCUCUUUUGCUAAUCACUCCAACCUUCAAGUGGUCAAACUUGGAAGGAAUAACAACAAAUUUGAGGUAGAAACUGAAUAUCCAGUUGGUUGGGUUCCCCUGUUUCAGUUGAAAGCUCUUGUGCUAUCCAACUGUAAGCUCAUCGGUGACCUUCCUAGUUUCCUUCGACACCAAUUAAGAUUAACCGUGGUUGAUCUCUCCCAUAAUAACUUGACUGGAAGUUUCUCCAUUUGGCUGCUUGAAAACAAUACAAGACUAGGAUCUCUAGUUCUGAGGAAUAACUCUUUAAUGGGUCAACUACUUCCCCUGAGACCUAAUAGUCGUAUCACUUUAUUGGAUAUCUCAGACAACCGACUUGAUGGGGAACUUCAACAAAAUGUGGCCAAUAUGAUUCCAAAUAUUGAGUUUCUAAAUUUAUCCAACAAUGGUUUUGAAGAUAUUCUCCUAUCCUCAAUAGCCGAAAUGAGUUCCUUACAGUCAUUGGAUUUGUCUGCUAAUAGUUUCUCAGGGGAAGUACCAAAACAAUUGCUUGUGGCAAAAUAUUUGUGGCUUCUGAAAUUAUCAAAUAAUAAAUUUCAUGGUGAAAUAUUUUCAAGGGAGUUUAACUUGACUCAGUUAGGGUUUUUACAUUUGGACAAUAAUCAGUUCAAGGGAACACUGUCAAAUGUAAUCUCCAGAAUCUCUAGGUUAUGGGUGUUGGAUAGGUAACAUGACCGAUUUGACUACCCUAGUGUUGGGCAACAAUAGUUUUAAAGGCAAAUUACCACCUGAGAUUUCUCAAUUGUUGGGGAUGAUAUUUCUUGACCUUUCUUAAAACGCUCUUUCAGGAUCUUUUCUUUCUUUGAAGAGCCUGGAGUAUUUAGAGCAUCUACAUUUGCAAGGGAACAUGUUUAUAGGAUUGAUACCUAGAGAUUUUCUCAAUUCCUCAUAUCUAUUGACUUUGGAUAUCAGAGACAACAGGUUAUUUGGAAGUAUUCCCAAUUCAAUCUCUAGACUUUUAGAGCUAAGAGGAAACCUUUUAAGUGGUUUCAUUCCAUAUCAGCUCUGUCAUUUGACUAAAAUAAGCUUCAUGGAUCUUUCAAACAACAAUUUUUCUAGGUCAAUUCCUGGAUGCUUUGGUCAUAUCAGAUUUGGAGAUUUCAAAACUGAGCACAAUGUGUAUAUACCGAUGUUGGAUUCGUAUUCAGAAAGCAAUCCUUCUAUAUAUGCGGGUUACUUAAUAAAAUUUUAUUUUUCUCUAGUGAACUCCCUAAUGAAGUAGAUGAAGUUGAGUUUGUUACCAAGAAUAGGUAUAGCUCCCACAGAGUAGAUAAAUAUAUUUGUUGGGAAUUUAGAUAUUUUUAUAGAAAAGUAGACAAGUAUUCUAAUUUAUAAAAAUAAUGCAUUUCUUUAGUUUGGUAUAAAAAAAAUGAAAUGAUAUGUAUUGGUAAUUUUUUUUAAAGUAACAAACGUUUUAUUUUAUUUGUAUUUAAGAACAAUUUUUUUUCUUAUACUAGUUAUUUUAAUUUUCUUUUGACAGAUUUUGCAAGCUUAAGCAAUUUGGAGAUGCUAGAUUUGAGUUAUAAUUCCUUAAGUGGGAUUAUUCCAUUAUCUAUAAGAUUGAUGCCUCAUCUCAAGUCUUUAUCCUUGGCCAGAAAUCACUUCAAUGGUUCUUUACAAAAUCAAGGUACAUAUGUUAUGAUUUGUUUGUUUCAUAUAGAUUAGAGAAGAUGAAUAUUGUUAAAAAAAAAAAGUUGUUGUUAAUGUAAGCUAGAAAUAAGUAUUUUGCCUUAUAAAUUAUAUAAGCAUGUGUUUGUUCUGAAUGAAUCUUUACAACAUUUAGAGUUACCAAUGUUUAUAAUUCAUAAAGACCUCAUUAACAGUGAGUAACAACUAAUUGUAAGUAAUUGUGGAAAAAGUAAGGAAAACAAAAUGAGGGAAAAGCAAGGAAUUAGGAAAUUAUUUUGUUCCCAUAAAAAAAUGCUAAGGAAGAAAAAGGUAAAAGAAAGUUUAAAAAAAGUGUAUUUUUCAAAAAUUUAUUUCUCUUUCCUUUAAUUUUGCUAUGGACAACCAAACAAGAAAAUAAUUUUAUAAUUCCUUUUUUUUUUCAUUCUCUCUCUCUCUCUCUCUUUUUCCCUACUCUAUUUCUUUUCCCUCAAACUUUCUUGAUAGUAAACACAACCUAAGGUAAAUGAGGAAGAAAAUUUUUAGUUUUUUUUAUUUUUUAUUUUUUUAGAAUGUUUUCUUACUUUUUAGUAUUUUAUGCAAAUAUAGGAAAAUUUUCAUCUUUCUUUUUAUGGAUUUGAAAAACCCAAUAAUUUGGAGAAAACUGAUUCAAGGAAGAAUAAUUUUUAGAAUAAAAUAUUAUUAUUUAAGAAGAUCAUAAAUAUUAUAGUCAUUGUUGAAUAUGAUAAAUGAUUUAAAAAAAUGGUAGUUGGAAAUUUAGAUACUUUUAUAAGACAAAUGAAUUUUUCUAGUAUGGUAUGAAAAAAGGUAAAAUGAUAGGCUUUGAUCAUUUUUUAAGGUAGUUUGUUUAAAUCAUUUUAAUUUAUUUUCAUUUAAGAACAAUAACUUUUAUUACACUAGUUAUUUUGAUUUUCUUUUGAUAGAUUUUGCAAGCUUAAGCAAUUUGGAGCUAUUGGAUUUGAGUAAUAAUUCAUUUAGUGGGAGCGUUCCAUCAUCUAUAAGAUUGAUGUCUUCUCUCAAGUCUUUAUCCCUGGCUGGAAAUUACCUCAAUGGUUCCUUACCAAAUCAAGGUAUAUAUAUAUUGUGAUUACAAGUUUUUAUGUUUUCUUUUUUAAUAUCUUGUUUGUUCUUUAUGCCAAUGAAGUCAUGCAUGUCUAUUAAUUUUUGGUAUUUAAUAAAAAACUUUAUUCUUAAUUCAUAAAGACCUCAUCAACUGUAAGUAACAGCUAGUUGUAAGUUUGGGGGCAUUGACAAGACGAGGAGAUGAUUGGUUACAUGUCUUAUUCUCUUUUGUAGGCUUUUGCCAAUUGAAUAAGCUUCAAGAAUUAGAUCUUUCUUACAACUUAUUCCAAGGAAUCCUUCCUCCAUGUUUGAAUAAUUUGACAUCUUUGAGGUUAUUGGAUCUCUCUUCCAACCUAUUCUCCGGAAAUCUUUCUUCCCCUCUGUUACCUAAUCUCACAUCCCUGGAGUACAUCGAUCUCAGUUACAAUCAUUUUGAGGGUUCAUUCUCUUUCAGCUCUUUUGCUAAUCACUCCAACCUUCAAGUGGUCAAACUUGGAAGGAAUAACAACAAAUUUGAGGUAGAAACUGAAUAUCCAGCUGGUUGGGUUCCCCUGUUUCAGUUGAAAGCUCUUGUGCUAUCCAACUGUAAGCUCAUCGGUGACCUUCCUGGUUUCCUUCGACACCAAUUAAGAUUAACUGUGGUUGAUCUCUCCCAUAAUAACUUGACUGGAAGUUUCCCCAUUUGGCUGCUUGAAAACAAUACAAGACUAGGAUCUCUAGUCGUAUCACUUUAUUGGAUAUCUCAAACAACCGACUUGUUGGGGAACUUCAACAAAAUGUGGCCAAUAUGAUUCCAAAUAUUGAGUUUUUAAAUUUAUCCAACAAUGGUUUUGAAGGUAUUCUCCCAUCCUCAAUAGCUUAAAUGAGUUCCUUACAGUCGUUAGAUUUGUCUGCUAAUAGUUUCUUAGGGGAAGUACCAAAACAAUUGCUUGCGGCAAAAUAUUUGUGGCUUCUGAAAUUAUCAAAUAAUAAAUUUCAUGGUGAAAUAUUUUCAAGGGACUUUAACUUGACUCAGUUAGGGUUUUUACAUUUGGACAAUAAUCAGUUUAGGGGAUAUUUCUCCAGAAUCUCUAGGUUAUGGGUGUUGGAUGGGAGAUAGUUUUAAAGGCAAAUUACCACCUGAGAUUUCUCAAUUGUCGGGGAUGAUAUUUCUUGACAUUUUUCAAAACGCUCUUUCAGGAUCUCUUCCUUCUUUGAAGAGCCUGGAGUAUUUAGAGCAUCUACAUUUGCAAGGGAACAUGUUUAUAGGAUUGAUACCCAGAGAUUUUCUCAAUUCCUCAUAUCUAUUGACUUUGGAUAUCAGAGACAACAGGUUAUUUGGAAGUAUUCCCAAUUCAAUCUCUAGACUUUUAGAGCUAAGAGGAAACCUUUUAAGUGGUUUCAUUCCAUAUCGGCUUUGUCAUUUGACUAAAACAAGCUUCAUGGAUCUUUCAAACAACAAUUUUUCUGGGUUAAUUCCCGGAUGCUUUGGUCAUAUCGGAUUUGGAGAUUUCAAAACUAAGCACAAUGUGUAUAUACCGAUGUUAGAUUCGUAUUCAGAAAGCAAUCCUUCUAUAUAUACGGGUUACUUAAUAAAAUAUUUAUUUUUCUCUACUGAACUCCUUGAUGAAGUAGAUGAAGUUGAGUUUGUUACCAAGAAUAGGUAUAGCUCCCACAGAGUAGAUAAAAAUAUUUGUUGGGAAUUUAGAUAUUUUAUAGGACAAUAUACAAGUAUUCUAAUUUAUAAAAACAAUGCAUUUCUUUAGUUUGGUAUAAAAAAAAUAAAAUGAUAGGUAUUGGUAAUUUUUUUUCAAAGUAACAAACGUUUUAUUGUAUUUGUAUUUAAGAACAAUGUCUUUUCUUAUACUAGUUAUUUUAAUUUUCUUUUGACAGAUUUUGCAAGCUUAAGCAAUUUGGAGAUACUAGAUUUGAGUUAUAAUUCCUUAAGUGGGAUUAUUCCAUCAUCUAUAAGAUUGAUGUCUUGUCUCAAGUCUUUAUCGUUGGCCGGAAAUCACCUCAAUGGUUCUUUACAAAAUCAAGGUACAUAUGUUAUGAUUUGUUUGUUUCAUAUAGAUUAGAGAAGAUAAAUAUUGUAAAAAAAAAAAAAGUUGUAGUUAAUGUAAGCUAGAAAUAAGUAUCUUGCCUUAUAAAUUAUAUAAGCAUGUGUUUGUUCUUAAUGAAUCUUUACAACAUUUAGAGUUACCAAUGUUUAUAAUUCAUAAAGACCUCAUUAACGGUGAAUAACAACUAAUUGUAAGUAAUUGUGGAAAAAGUAAGGAAAACAAAAUGAGGGAAAAGCAAGGAAUUAGGAAAUUAUUUUUUUCCCAUAAAAAAAUGCUAAGGAAGAAAAAGGUAAAAGAAAGUUUAAAAAAAGUGUAUUUUUAAAAAAAUUAUUUCUCUUUCCUUUAAUUUUGCUAUGGACAACCAAACAAGAAAAUCAUUUUAUAAUUCCUUUUUAUUUUUUUCAUUCUCUCUCUCUUUUUUUCCCUACUCUAUUUCUUUUCCCUCAAACUUCCUUGGUAGUAAACACAACCUAAGAUAAAUGGGGAAGAAAAUUUUCAGUUUUUAUUUUUAUUUUUUUAGAAUGUUUUCUUACUUUUUAGUAUUUUAUGCAAAUAUAGGAAAAUUAUUUUUUUUUCUUGCUCCUUUUCAGACAUGAAUCACACUUUAAAAGAAAAUUAAUUUUUAAUUAGGAGUUAAGAUAAAUUUAAGGAGAAACAAUGAAUCACGAAUAACAAAAAAUUAAGGAAAUUGAAUUUUUGAAAGUAAGUAUAAUCAAAUUGCUUCAUUUGAUACAAAAUUUGAAUAAAAAUUCUUUCAAUGAAAAAUCAAGGAAAGGAAAAAACAUUUUUGUCUCUAGAUUAUAAUACUUAAUCAUGUAAAAAAUCUCUUAACAUCAUUUAUAUUCAUAUUUCUUUUUGUAGAUUUGAAAAAUUCAACAAUUUGGAAUAAACUUAUUCAAUGAAGAAUAAUUUUUAGAUUUAAAGAUUAUUAUUUAAGAUCAUAAAUAUUACCAUCAUUGUUGAUGUCCAAGAAGAUCAUAUUCAACAAUUUUUUUAAUAUGUUGUUUUUUAUGGUAAUUAAUUGAUGUCUUGUAAUUUUUAAUAUUUAAUGAAAAACAUUAAUUUAAUUCAUCUAAAGCUCUUAAUUCAUGAAGACCUCGUUAAUGUAAUGGUGAGUAAUAGUUGGCUGUAAGUUUGGAGUCAAAGACAUGUUAAGGAGAUGAUUAGUUACAUGUCUUAUUCUCUUUUGUAGGUUUCUGCCAAUUGAAUAAGCUUCAAGAGUUAGAUCUUUCUUACAACUUAUUCCAAGGGAUCCUUCCUCCAUGUUUGAAUAAUUUCACAUCUCUGAGGUUAUUGGAUCUCUCUUCCAACCUCUUUUCCGGAAAUUUUUCUUCCCCUCUGUUACGUAAUCUCACAUCCCUAGAGUACAUAGAUCUCAGUUCCAAUCAGUUUGAGGGUUCAUUCUCUUUCAGCUCUUUUGCUAAUCAUUCCAAGCUUCAAGUGGUCAUACUUGGAAGGGAUAACAACAAAUUUGAGGUAGAAACUGAAUAUCCAGUUGGUUGGGUUCCCCUGUUUCAGUUGAAGAUUCUCUCUCUAUCCAGCUGUAAGCUCACCGGUGACCUUCCUGGUUUUCUUCAAUACCAAUUCAGGUUAGUGGGGGUUGAUAUCUCACAUAAUAACUUGACAGGAAGUUUCCCCUAUUGGUUGCUUGAAAACAAUACGAGACUAGAAUCUCUAGUCUUGAGGAAUAACUCUUUAAUGGGUCAACUACUUCCCUUGGGACCUAAUACUCGUAUCAAUUCAUUGGAUAUCUCACACAAUCAGUUGGAUGGACAACUUCAAGAAAAUGUGGCCCAUAUGAUUCCAAAUAUUAUGUUUCUAAAUUUAUCCAACAAUGGUUUUGAAGGUAUUCUCCCAUCCUCAAUAGCUGAACUAAGAGCCUUAUGGAUUUUGGAUUUGUCUACCAAUAAUUUCUCUGGAGAAGUACCAAAGCAAUUGCUUGCAACAAAAGAUUUGGGGAUUCUGAAAUUAUCAAAUAAUAAAUUUCAUGGUGAAAUAUUUUCAAGGGACUUUAACUUGACUGGGUUAUUGUGUUUGUAUUUGGGCAAUAAUCAGUUCACAGGAACUCUGUCAAAUGUAAUCUCCAGAAGCUCUUGGUUGGAGGUGUUGGAUGUGAGCAACAACUACAUGUCAGGUGAAAUUCCAAGCCAGAUAGGUAACAUGACCGAUUUGACUACACUGGUGUUGGGCAACAAUAAUUUUAAAGGCAAAUUACCACUUGAGAUUUCUCAAUUGCAACGGAUGGAGUUUCUUGACGUUUCUCAAAAUGCUUUUUCAGGAUCUCUUCCUUCUUUGAAGAGCAUGGAGUAUUUAGAGCAUCUACAUUUGCAAGGGAACAUGUUUACAGGAUUAAUACCCAGAGAUUUUCUCAAUUCCUCAAAUCUAUUGACUUUGGAUAUUAGAGAAAACAGGUUAUUUGGAAGUAUUCCCAACUCAAUCUCUGCACUUUUGAAGCUAAGGAUUCUUUUGCUAGGAGGAAACCUUUUAAGUGGUUUUAUUCCAAAUCAUCUUUGUCAUUUGACUGAAAUAAGCUUGAUGGAUCUUUCAAACAACUCUUUUUCAGGGCCAAUUCCCAAAUGCUUUGGCCAUAUCCGAUUUGGGGAAAUGAAAAAGGAGGACAACGUGUUUGGACAGUUCAUUGAAUUUGGGUUUGGAAUGGUUUCUCAUCUUGUAUAUGCAGGUUACUUGGUGAAAUAUUACGGUUCCCCAACUUUAGUAUAUAAUGAAAAAGAUGAAGUUGAGUUUGUCACCAAGAACAGGAGUGACUUCUACAAAGGUGGCAUCCUUGAAUUCAUGUCUGGAUUGGACUUAUCAUGUAACAACUUGACAGGCGAAAUACCUCAUGAACUUGGAAUGCUAAGUUGGAUUCGUGCAUUGAACUUGUCUCACAAUCAAUUGAAUGGCUCCAUUCCAAAGAGUUUCUCUAAUCUUUCUCAAAUAGAGAGCUUAGACCUUUCUUAUAAUAAACUGGGUGGAGAAAUUCCUCUAGAGCUAGUUGAACUCAAUUUUUUAGAGGUGUUUAGUGUGGCUUACAACAACUUCUCUGGUAGAGUUCCAGAUACCAAAGCACAAUUUGGGACAUUUGAUGAAAGGAGCUAUGAAGGUAAUCCUUUCCUUUGUGGGGAACUAUUAAAGAGGAAAUGCAACACAAGUAUUGAGUCACCAUGCACACCAUCACAGUCUUUUGAAAGUGAGGCAAAAUGGUAUGAUGUCAAUCAUGUUGUUUUCUUUGCAAGUUUUACUACUUCAUAUAUCAUGAUCUUGUUAGGAUUUGCUAUCAUCCUUUACAUCAAUCCUUAUUGGCGUCAUAGAUGGUUCAAUUUUAUCGAGGAAUGUAUAUAUUCCUGCUAUUAUUUUGUUUUUGAUAGUCUUUCCAAGUUAUCAGCAUAUUUGUAUAAUUAGAUACUUUUAAUUGGAUGAUAUUUGCAUAAUUAACUACUAUUUGUUUCCCUGGGAUAGAAAGAAAUGGGAUGUAUAAUGCUAUGAGCUGAAACUUACAUACUUUGCUCAAAUUCUAACAUCUUUUGAUUUUAUUUUCAAGUUCCGUUAUUUAUUAUGUAUUGCUUAAUUCAAGAUUUAACCAUAUUACGUUACUCUUAUAAAAGCAAAUUCAAAUUUUUAGGAACUUUUAGCAUUAAAAUAAUUUCAUAGUCAGAUUUUAAAAAAUAAAGAAGAAAGAAAAUAAUAAAUAAUUGGAAAAACAAUUCAAGGAAGUAUUAAAUUAUUAUCUUAGAAUUAUUUGGCGUAGUAUGGGAAUUCAAAAAUAAUCUUUCAAUUUGUUAGAAAUGUUUAUUUAUUUAUUAUAGCAAUGAUUGAAAUAUCAAUCACAAAGUAAUGUUUUCUUUUCUUUUGUAGGGCACUAACACUUUUUCUUUGAUAGUAAUAAUUGAUAAAUAUAUUACACAAUUAUUUGUUUUAAAAAAGGGAGGGAUGACAAACAUAAUAACAUGUGAAAUAUUUCUAAAACUGUAAUGGGAAAUAAGCCAUCUAAUUAGGGUGCAAUAUUAUUCAUUUUAAUUUACAUGAAUUUACUUAUUUUUAUUUGCAUCAUAUUUUGAACUAUUUUAUGAAAUUAAGGGAGAUUAAAACAUCACGAGUUUCUUAUUUUAGUUUAUAUUCUUAAUAAUAAAGCAUGAAAUAUUAUAAAAAAAAAAAUCAUGAAUUUCUUUAAUUCCUUAGGAAACCAAUAUAUAAAAAAUUGAACAUAUUAUUAUUUUAUAUCCUAAAUCUCUAAAUUUGUUCAUUACCUAUUUAUUUUUAUAUUAAAUUUAUUAUUAAUUAUUUAUUUAUAUUAUUAUUUUAUGUUUAAAAUGUUCAUAAAUAAUUAAAAUUAAUAAAUAUAAAAAUAAAAUAUUAAAAAAUUAAAUUAUAAAGAUUUCAUCAAACUGACAUAUUUAAAAAAAAAAAAAAGCUAAAAAAGAUGAGGAUAUUAUAGAGGAGGGGAAAAGGAUAAAAGAAAAUUCAUGUGGUAUGAUAAUAUCACGUGUCAAAGUUAUUUUCUUUAAAAAAUAAUAAUAGUAAUGAUGAACUCAUUUGUCUUAUCAAAGUAAGUUAAAAAAAAAAAAAAAAAAAAAAAAGAAAAGAAAAAGAUGGUAGUUGGCUUAUUUGUUCUUUGAAAAUAAAAAAUCAAAGUUUUAGAAAAAUACAAUUUUCUUUUAAAUGAUGAAUGGUUACAUCAUUUCCCCUUAGCUUAUCUGUUCCUUUAAACUUUAGUUUGAAUAAAAUUAGUUUUAAUUAUUUUCUUUUUGGAAUUAUAUUUAAUCGUAUUAUUAAAAAUAUAAAAAACAUCGUAAUAAUAUUGUCAAUAAGUUUUUUUAUAUAUAUUGAAAAAUAUUUAUAUUUAAAAAUAUUUAAAUUUUGUCAUGGGCUGCCCAUUUCAAAAUGAUAAGAAUAUAAUAACCUAAUUUUUCCAAAUUCCAGGUAAAUAUGCUAAUCUAAAAAAAAAAAAUUAUUAGGUUUUUAUGUGCUGAUUGGGUUUUUUUUAUACCCAGUAUGCUCUCCAAUCUACCACUUAAGCAUCCGACAUGGCUAAAAAUAAAUUUUUAAAAAAAAGAAUAAAAAAGGAAAAAAACGAAAGUGUGUGAUCUCUUUCUUGAGUCUUCACAAUCUGAGACACUGAACCCAAAUCAAAAUUAAUCCUCCAAAUUAAUUUUCACCUCCAACCCAAACCCUAACGACUGCCUCACUUUCUUCUCAAACAUAGCUAUACGAAAAACCCUAGCCUCUGCCUCGUCUUCCUCUUAUCCCGGAAACCCAAAUCCCGUGACCCUAACCCCUUCUCUUUCCGAAAACCCUCCAGAAUCGGAAGAUUCAAGUGAUCGAAUUAAUUCUUCAGAAUUAAUUUUCACCUCGAAGCCGAACCCUAACUGCCUCAUCUUCCUCUCAUUCAUAUCCCAAAAGUAGCUUCAACAGUCAGGCCUGCGGCCAUGAAAGCCGUAGUGAUCGCCACUUCCGGCGAUCCCCAAGUUCUCCAAGUGCAAGAAGUCGAAAACCCUGAAAUUGGAGAUGAUGAAGUUCUAAUUAGAGUGGACGCCGCUGCCAUUAAUCGAGCGGAUACGCUUCAGAGGAAGGGCUUGCACCCUCCCUCAAAGGCGGCAGUCCCUACCCCGCUGGAAUCAUCGAAGCUGUUGGAAAGGUCGUCGUUCGAUGGAAGGUUGGCGAUCAGGUAUUUCAAUUGCCUAAUAUUUUGAUUCCGUUUCUGUUCCUGUAUUUUUCUCGGCUAUCCUUUAUGUGAUUUUGCUUCCUCCUGAGUACAAGUUCAUAAUAUACAUGGUACAUGGUGAAUCUGUAUGACAUUUCAUGGUAUACAGGUGUGUGCUCUUCUUUCUGGUGGAGGGCAUGCUGAAAAAGUGGCUGUUCCAGCUGGGCAAGUUCUCCCUGUCCUAUCUGGUGUUUCUCUGAAGGAUGCUGCUGAGGUUGCAUGUACUGUUUGGUCAACUGUUUUAAUGAUGAGCCGACUGUCUGCAGGAGAAACAUUCCUGGUGAAUUUUUUGUCUUUUUUAUUUUCUGAUGCCUGAUAUAUUUACCAGCACAAAUUUUCCCUGUUGCUGUUUAAUGUGUGUGCAUCAAUAUUGGAUUAGGGAGGUAGAAGAGCCAUGGUUCUAUUACAUCAUCAUAUUCUUAUUUAGAUACAUUGUAUCCCACAAUUUCAUUGCAUCCAAGGCUAUGUUGUUUUUUAUUGCACGGUUUGUCAUGGUAAUUUCUCAACCCUUCUCUGGAAAAUUAUGUUGGAUGGCUGCUAUUAAUUACCCCAAAAGAAGAAAUUUUAUGUUGAAGUAAGAUGAGUAGCACAAAGAGUUACUUGUGGUUGAUCCUAUCAUCAAAUGGGCGAUUGAUGCACAAUCCAAAUGGUAAAUUUUUUUCCCCCUUUAUCCAGAUGGAAUUUUUAUGCAUGGUUGAAUAGUGAAAUGAGGACUGAUAAUAUUUCAGGUUCAUGGGGGUUCAAUUGGAAUUGGUACCAUCUAUUCAAAUAGUGAAAUAUUGAGGAGCAAGGGUAUUUGUUACAGCAGGUUUGCCAUCACUGUUCUACCUCAUCCCACAGAAUGCUUAUCUCAUGGCACCAAUUCCUUUUCUUCACAUGUUUUCAACCAUUUUUUCCACCCAGGAACGAGGAAAAAUUAGCUGUUUGUAAGGAUCAUUGAGCAGAUGUGUGCAUCAAUUACAAGACUGAAAACUUUGUUGCAUGGGUGAAGGAGGAAACAGGAGGGAAAGGUACAUUCUAUUGUAUCUUAACGAUAAUUUCAAUUGAAGGUGGAAUUGCUUUUUAUUUUUUAGUGCACCAAAUCCACUAGUCUGGAAUGUUUGAAAAGAUAAAUAGUCAUCUUCCACUUGAUUCCGAUUGUGAAGAUCUAACCCCAAAAAUGUUGAAUGACAGGUGUUGAUGUUAUACUGGAUAAUAUUGGAGGGGCCUACUUUUGGGGAGACAUCAAUGGUUUAAAUGUUGAUGGAAGGCUUUUUAUUAUUGGUUUUCAGGGUGGAACAGUGGUACAAGUAAAUCUUUCAGGUUUACUUGCAAGGCGCCUUACAGUGCAAGGUACCACUUUCUCUGUAGAAGAUUUUUCUGUAGUUUUGGAGUUGAAUCAAUUUGAUUAAUCUCAUCCAAGUUCAGAACUGAGGUGGAUUCUGGCAAGCCAAGGAAAAACCAAAUUACCAUAAAUUCUUUUUUUUUUUCUGGAUCGUUUUACUUCUUGGAAAUCCUGUUUCUCGAUCUGGUCAGGUAUAUGGAAAUUCCAAGGAAAAUAUGUUUUACAUUUUCCAUAAUUGGAAACACUCAGGAAUUUAAUAUUUUCCUCUGAAAUAGCAAUGGUUUUCUAAUUACGACAUUUGUUUUUCUUGUAUCAUCCCAAAAUAUUUUUUAGGUGUUUGUUCUCUCUUGACACAGCUUUUAAUUGGGUCUGUCUUGCUUUUUGAUAGAUCUCUUGACAAGUUGCUUGUAUAUCAUACUUUCUUUAUUGUUUUCGGAUCAUGAACCUUGCUUCUGUCAGCCCUGUUAUCACUACCCAAACUAGUAAAUUUAUGCACAAAACUCCAUGUGUCAGUAACAGUGGUUAUUUGAUUGUAUUAAAUAAUUUGUAAAUACAGUGGAUAAGUUUGUGCAUAGAUUGAAGGCGAAUGAAAAACGUGCAUAGAUUGAAGGUGUGCUGCUUGAGUUGAUUGUAGUUUGAGCAUGAAAAUUUGAAGAUCCAGAACAGCAAAUGAGGAAUGCCUAUCAAUUUGAAACCAGCAUGGGUGGAUGAAUGGAGAGGUUCUUCACUGAAUUUGUCCAUGAAGCUUUUUAGCACUCUAGGGCAAGGGUCUCCAAGCCUAGCUGUUGAUUGCACAUCCCUCCUGCGCAAUACUAAGAACAGAGUGAAAUGCAAAUGCAGGAAAGGGUGUUUCUUAGCUGUUCAACAACUGACAAUACAUUGGCAUGACAAUUCCCUGGAUCGAAUGCCACAAUGCCCUCUUGGAGUUCCAAAGCUUGUUCACAGGUCAAACGAACUUGAGGGUUUUGGGACAUGAACUCCAAGUUUGGUUGCCAAGAAUCUCCAGGUGGAGGAUCAGCUUCUGACACGUGCACACACCUCUUGGCCAGUUUGUGUUAUUGCAAUUUUUAUUAAAUUGCUAAAAAAUUUAUCGCGAACAAUUUUUUCUUUUUUCUUUUUUCUUUUUUUCUUUUUAAACAAACUGCAAAAAUCCCUUUUUUUUUUAUAUAAAAAAAAAAAAAAUUCUCCAACAAAGUGAUUUUUUUUUGUGGCAUGACUCGGUUUGACCACUAACUCGGUGAACUGGUCUAUCGGCUCAAGUUUGGAUCCCUUAAUUUUGUGGCAAAUUGGGCAUCAAGCCCAACAACCUAACUUCCAUGCGGGCUAUCUACUGGAUCUCACCCAUUGUAACUUGCUCUGGGUGAAUGGCCAUUAUAAACUUCAUUUUAUCCUCAUGUGAUUUUGAUGUGGGAAUGGGAGAGAUGAGGAUUUGACAUUUGGACCUAAGGCUCAAUGGGUUUUAACUCCACUCAGCUACUUUAUGUCUUGUAUUUAAUAUUGCAAACCAAAAUAAUAAUAGACAUGAUUCUUUUCAAAAAAUUUAUAAUGUAAUAUUUUUUAAAAUUAUAAAAUAAUAGGUUAUAUAAAUUUUAAUAUAUAGGUAAAAUUAAUUAAAUUUUAACAAAUAUCUUCACAUUUAGACAUUACAUAUUUUUUAUUUAAUAAAAUUUUAAAAUAUUAAUAUAUCUAAAUAUAAUAUUAAAAAUGAAAAAUAAAAUAGUAAUAAUUUUUAUUUUCUUUAUAUAUUUAAAAUUAUAUAAUUAUUUUUUAUUUUAAUAACAUAUAAAUUGUAUAUUUAUAAUAUUAUUGGUUCAACUGUGAUUCAACCAUCACUCCGAUUAUUCAAUUAUGAAUUAAUAAAUUUUUUAAUUCAAUGAUAGGUUUGAUUAUAAAAAUAUUAUGUUUUUUUUUAUGAAAAGUACUCAAGAAAUAUCAUUAAUCACUAAGAUCACGUGGUUGGAUUAGGUGUAUCCGAAACAUAGGUAUUACUCUCUUCCUUAGUUAGGGCUUAGCUUUUGAAAAUGUAGAUAGGUAAAGUGGAUGGAAAGUCUAUAACUACGUAGAGAUUGAGCUUGGAGGCCAAUCUAGCAAAUGUGGAGAUUAGAAAUAGUUUACCAUCUAGAUAGUCAAGCAUAGCAAUUUACCAAACCCUUACCAACCAUCCAUACUAACCAAUUGUGGUUAAAUGUUUACAAAAAUGUACAUUAAAUCAAAGAGAAAAAAGAUUAAAAACGAACAAGAGAGAAGAAGCACAUCACCUAAUUUUGGUAAUAAAUGAAAUUAAAAUAAAUUCAUAAAUUUUUUAAAUUAAAAUGAAUUUGAACUCUAGAGAUUUGUGUAGAUAUCUUAUUAAAAAACCAAAAAGUUUGUUGCAUAUAUAAUUUCAACAAUGCAUAAAUAAUUACAACAUACGCAAUACAAUAAUAUUACACAACUAUAUUUUCAAAUAUAAUAUAAGAUCAUUAAAGUGAUAAAUUGUAGUUGUAUAAAGUAUUUAUACAAGUAAAGAAGAAAUUAUGAGAUUAAAAUGCUUGUUGGAUUCUAAGUAAAAAAGAAAUGAGAUAUAGAGAUUGUCCCAUCAGACAUAUAGAAUUUCAUAUACAUAAUUUUCCCUUCAAGAAAAUUUAGGGUCAAAUUGAAAAAAUUUCAUUCAUAGAUUUUGGUAAAACCUCUAUCUAGUCCCCGAAGUCUUGUAUACAAAAGGAAAUAACAUUGGUAUGAGGGGUUUGAAUGCUUAAUUUUAGAUUGAAAAUGCUUGAGAUAAUUUUUGAUCGACUUCACAUGUGUUUUUAAUAAACUUGGAACAUUCAAACUUGUAUUUGAAGAAUCUUCAAUUUGAUCUUAAAUAAUGUUGAAACCUUCAAAAUUUGAAUAGAAGAAUCUUUAAGCAUUUGAAUUUUGGUUUAAAGAAUUUUGAAAUUUGAGACUGAAGAAUCUUCAAAUUUGGGCCUGAAGAUCAAAGGCUAAGCUUGAAGAGUUCUUGAAGCUUGAGUGGUAUGUCCGAUUUUGUUUUGUAUUUUAUAAAAACUUUUAGGCUAUGUUUGGUUCCCAGAAAAUUUGAGGGAAAAUGCGAGGGAAAGAAAAUACAAAGGAAAAGUAGAAGGAAAGAAAAAGUGAAGGAAAAUAAAAAAAUAGAUUAAAAGUUGAUAAAUUAUUUUUUUUGUUACUUCAAACUCAUUUUAUUUAUUUUAACUCAUCAAUAUAAAGAUUAAAUAAUUUAAAAAUAUAAAAGUUUUUAAUUAGUUUUAAUUAUAUUUAAUUUUCUUUGAUAUUUUUUAUAAGACAACCAAACAUGAGAAAAUCAUUUUCCUUAGCAUUUUUUUUCUUUCCUUUGUACUUUCCGGGAACCAAACAUAGCCUUAAGUAUACUAUAUUUAUAGGUUUGAAGAGACAUUGAGAUUUUGUAUACAUGUUUGGAGUUUUAAACCUUGAAAUAUUACUCUUUUAUGAAAUUAACAUUUAUAAAAUUUGGAAGAACAUAAUUAGAUAAUAUUCUAAGUUAUUUUUAAUGAAAAUUGAUAAUUACCUUUUAAUUAUCAAAUUCACUAUUUCUAUUUAUUUUUGUAAUAUAUAUUAAUUACUAAAAUCAUUUAUUUCCUUUAUUUAGUUUGAAAGCAAUUAUAUAUCUUUUGUUUGUGUAGAGCUCAUGUGACACGACAAAUUUUAUUUUGUAACUUGCUCUGGAUGAAUGGCCAUUAUAAACUUCAUUUUAUCCUCAUCUGAUUUUGACGUGGGAAUAGGAGAGAUGAGGAUUUGACAUUUGGACCUAAGCCUCAGAGGGUUUUAACUCCACUCAACUACUUUAUGCCUUGUAUUUAAUAUUGCAAACCAAAAUAAUAACAGACAUGAUCCUUUUCAAAAUUUUUAUAUUAAUAGAAGUGUAAAUAAUAUAAGUAAAAAUAAUGUAAUAUUUUUUAAAAUGAUAAAAUAAUAGGUUACAUAAAUUUUAAUAUAUAGGUAAAAUUAAUUAAAUUUUAACAAAUACCUUCACACUUAAACAUUACAUAUCUUUUAUUUAAUAAAAUGUUAAAAUAUUAAUAUAUUUAAAAUUGUAUAAUUAUUUUUAUUUUAAUACUAUAUAAAUUAUAUAUUUAUGAUAUUACUGGUUCAACUAUAAUUCAAUCACUGGUCCAACCAUUGAACCAUGAAUUAGUAAAUUUUUUUAUUCAAUGAUAGGUUUGAUUCUAAAAACAUUAUGGCUAUGUUUGGUCCCAGAAAUUUUUUUUUGAUGGAUAAUGACAAAGAUAUUACCAAUUUGAUAUCACCAAUUGAUAACACAAUUAAAAAAUAAUAUGAAUUUUAACAUAUUUGAAUUCAUUGUAAUCAUAUCCAUGACCUAAUUUUACACAUCCUUAAAUCAUGGUUGAUUUAUGAAACAAAUCUAUACCAUCAAUAGAAAAUAAAUAAAUAAAAUAAUACAAAAAAAAUAUAUAGAUAGUCAAGCAUAGCAAUUUACCAAACCCUUAGCCACCAUCCAUACUAACCUGUUGUUGUUAAAUGUUUACAAAAAUAUACAUUAAAUCAAAGAGUAAAAAGAUUAAAAACGAACAAGAGAGAAGAAAUACAUCACCUAAUUUUUGUAAUAAAUGAAAUUAUAAUAAAUUCAUAAUUUUUUUAAAUUAAAAUAGGAAUUCAAAUACAUGUAACUAUUGUUUUUGUCUUGUAAAUCAUCCAAUUUUUCAAUGAAUUUAAACUCCACAGAUUUGUGUAGAUAUCUUAUUAAAAAAAGCAAAAAGUUUUCACUAAAAUCAUAAAAUUUAGAUUAGAAAUGAUUUACUAUAUUAGUUCAAAAUUCACCUCCACAAAAAUUGAAAUAAAUUAAUUAUCUUCAAUUCAAAUAAAAUUUCUCCAAUUAAAUUUCCAAAUAUGUGCCUUAAUACCUAUAAUGGAAUUAGUAAUUUUAAUUAAAAUAAAAAUAAAAAUAAGGAUUUGAUCUUUUUCUUACCAUUUGAUGAAAAUUAUAAAAUAUAUUAAAAUGACAAGUGAUCAGACAUUUGAAAUUUGCAUCAUUUCUACCAUUGCAAACACCACCAACCCCAUAUUUCCCAUUUUUCUACCUACUGCCAAUUCACUCAUCUCUCUGGGAAGAUUUUUGAGGUUAUCGUCAUGCUUGAGAUAAUCCAGAAAGUUGAGCGGCAUCACUCUCUGAAAGGUGCCUUACAGCAUGGGUAAUGUAUGGGAUACAUCUGAUAACUUGCCAUAUCCAUAAACCACUAUAUUAAACCAUGGUUCAUAUCCCCAACGUUACACGAGAAUCUGUACUCAUCCCAAGCAGCUUGGAGAUCAUAAAAUUAGGUUUUGAGGGCCUCCCGAGACAUGCACAGCUUCACCCUUUGUGCAUUCCUUUGAUUUGGAAAAUUUCUUCUUUAGAAUUCCCCAUUAUCAUGCCCUGAACCAAGACAUAUCAUGAUUGGAUGGGCCCCUUCACCAAUUUCACAAUAUCCAAUAGCAUAUCAUUUACUUCCCUUUUGUCAAUGGGAAUUACCAUUUUGCAUGGGAAGCACCAACGGAGAUGGAGGUUUUCAAAUUGGAUCACUAGCAAAGAAACCCACCGCAACUAUCUGAAUAAUUGAGCACAACAUCGGCUUUAGAGAACUCCUCCUGAAGGCGAAAUCGUCAUCUUGGCUAAACGUAGUCAUAGUUGGGUUGUGAGAAAUGGAGAUGAAUCAUAGAAGGCUUUCAGUUUCAUAGCAACGAAAAGGUAAAUGUACUCUAGAGAAGUUUUGACCUUGGGAGAAGCGCUUUUGAAUCCAAGUCAAGGUCUGUUCUGGAUCCCUUUUCGACUCUCUCUAUUAAAGGAAGAUAAUCUGCCUAGGAUUUGGAUGCAAGCUUGCAAGGCCAUGUUUAGGAGACUUAUGCAAAAUAUUUAUCCAUAGCUCCCCGCCUGAAACAUCUACAUAAAGCGUCUUCCAAGUGUGAACCAUUGUCUUGGGUCCUUGAGAUGAACAAAAACUGAGACAUAUCGUGAGUUAGAUGCAUUGCCUGAAAAUGCCGAGCAGUAGUAUGGCCUUCUUUCUGAUCAACUGUUUUGUCAAAUUCUAGAGCUCUCAUUCCAAAUCCAUCAGUUUUCUCAAAUGAUUGGCUAGUGGAGAUCCAUGGAUAUAACAUAUGAAAUGUGCACAAUAAAAGUAAUCAAACGGUUGGUUGGUUUGGCUGAAUCCCACAAUCGCAAAGACUAAUCAUAUGAAACUGUUACCAGCUGAGUUGAAUUUGGCCUAAAAAGGAUAUCCGUUACUACAAACUAGCGUUCUUUCAUGGUGCUCUCUCUUUGCAGGCUAUCCAUGUUCCAAAGAAAAACUCUCUUGUCAUGUCUGGCACUAGGCACUGAUUAGAGUGUGGGACGUUCAUUCUCCAUUAUCACCAAACACAUGCAGGAUAUAUAUAUAUCAAUUCAUUCAAAAUAUGCCUUUAUUUUAUGGAACAUAACCGAAUCCAUUUUGUUUGUGUUGAAGAGGUAUAGAUCUUCUAAGGCUGUGGAGGGCACCACCUUUUCUCAGAAUUCUCUCUGACGAUGGGAAGCCGAAGAGAACGGGUUUUGUUUUUAUUUUGAAAACGUUGUUAUCAUUAAAGAACAAACACUAUUCUUUGGAUUUAUACCCUCUUGCCUUAGGGACCAUACUGUUUGGCUAUUGGGCCUCACGAGUCUUAGGCCCAUCAUCUAAGGCCCAUGAUGGCACUGGGCUCUACACAUAAGGUGACCCAUACUCUGGAACGAAUAGAAAUCAUAUGUAUAUAUAUGGAUAGCUAAAUCCUGAACAAUGGUUAAUAUGAUGUCGGUCCACAUUUAUUCUAUCAAUCUCCCACUUGGACCACAUAUAUUACAAAACAAUGUUCAUGAUAGUACUUUAUUGAGCUCAUCUUUGCUAUCCUAUCUUAAUAUCCUUAAACAAUCCGGUCUACUAGUUAUGCUAACAUAGGAUCAAAGUGGCCUUCAUUAAUCAUAAUUAUAACUAGACCCAUCAAUGAUCACAACAUUAACAAAAUUAGCAACAUAGAUCAAGUAUGGAUGUGUAGCAUGGAAAUUACAUAAAAUGUGAUCUUUAUUAUGUCUAUUUCCAAUUGGUCCUACUUUAUGACUAAAAAAUAGUCAAAUUCCACUUUCAACACUUGAUGCUAAACUGCUUUUAAAAGUCAUCAUUUCAAUUCAGAGAAUUCAAAUACAAUAGUCUUUAAAAUCAAGGUUUGUACAGAUAACACAAUAUAACAUCAUAUCAAGAAAACAAACACAAAAUCUAAAUACAAACUCCCACUAUACUGGAACAUCAUCAAUAUGUACAACACCCAUAUGUGUGACAUGAUCAUGAUAUACUUUGGGUGGCAAACCCUUAGUGAGCGGAUCCGCAAUCAUGAAGUUUGUGCUUGUAUGUUCAAUCGAUACUUGAAGACUCUAAACUCUUUCUUUCACAACCAAGAACUUGAUGUUAAUGUGUUUGGACUUUGACGAACUUCGGUUGUUCUUAGAAUUACAAUUCUGUGGCUUUAUUAUCACAAUUUAUUCUUAAUGGUUUCUCAAUCUCAUCAACGAUUCGCAACUGAGUGACAAAAUUCCGUAGCCAUAUCCCAUGGUUUGAUGCUUUGUAGUAGGCUAUGAAUUCUGCCUCCAUGGUGAAAGAAGCAAUAAGUAUUUGUUUAACACUUUUCCAUGAAACUGUUCAUCCAACCAACAUGAAGAUGUAGCUUGAAGUGGAUCUCUUGCUGUCAAGACAUCCCACGAAAUCGGAGUCCGAAUAUCCCAUGAUCUCUAAAUGACUGGAUCUACGGUAUGUGAGCAUAUAAUCUUUAGUUCUUUGUAAAUACUGCAUAACCUAUUUUGCCUUUUUCCAGUGAUCCAUACCUGGGUUACUCAAAUAUUUGCCUAACAUUCCAAUAAUGUACGUAAUAUCUGGAUGCGUACAAACUUGUGCAUACAUGAGACUUCCUAUUGUUGAGGCAUAGGGAAACCUCUUCAUAUCCUUCUUUUUAAGUUCAUUUUUCGGACAUUGGUGCAAACUAAAUUUAUCGCCUUUUGCUACAGGCAUGUCUCCUGGUGUACAAUUGCUCAUGCCAAAUCUACUUAACACCUUAUCGAUGUAGGCCUUUUGUGAUAACCCAAGUAUACCUCUUGAACGAUCCUUAUAGAUCUGUAUACCCAGCAAAAAAGAUGCAUUACCUAGAUCCUUCAUGUCAAAUUUACUAGACAAAAAUCGCUUUGUUUCAUGCAAAAGUCCCACAUCACUACUUGCAAGUAGAAUAUCAUCAACAUAUAGCACCAAGAUAAUGAAUUUGCUCUCACUAAACUUGAGAUAUAUGCAUUGAUCAAUGGUGUUUUCCUUAAAACCAAAUGAAGUAAUCACCUGAUCAAACUUUUGGUACCAUUGUCAAGAUGCUUGCUUUAAACCAUAUAUGGACCUUUUUAAUCUGCAUACAAGUUGCUUUGAAUCAUUAGACUCAAAGUUCUCCGGUUGCAUCAUGAAUAUUGUUUCAUCAAUGUUACUAUUAAGAAACGUAGUUUUAACGUCCAUUUGAUGCAGCUCUAAAUCAUAAUGAGCCACAAGUGCCAUGAUGAUUCUAAAGGAGUCAUUUGACGAAACCGGUGAAAAGGUCUCCUUAUAAUCAAUGCCUUCCUUUUGAGUGAAACCUUUUGCGACUAGACGUGCCUUAUACCUAACAAUGUUGCCUUUUGAAUCCCACUUGGUCUUAAAAAUCCAUUUACAACCAAUCGGUUUUACACUUUCAGGCAACUUUACUAGGUCCCAAACACCAUUGUCUUUCAUUGAUUUCAUCUCAUCCUUUAUGACUUCUAUCCACUUUUCAGAGUCAGAACUUUGUUUGAAUUGACUAACUGAAAUUGGAUCGUCUUCCAAACCCAUGUCAAACUCUUGUUCCUGGAGAUGUACAACAUAAUCAUCUGAAAUUGUACUUCUCAUUUCUCUAGUGGAUCUCCUUAGUGGCACUUGUAUUUGAGGUUCUUGAGGCUGUUGAGUUACCUCUUCAUAAACUUGAAUCGGUUCCAUAACUUGAGCAGGAGGAAUCUCAGGUGUGUUUUGAAUCUCUGUUAUUGACUGCACAUUCUGGAUAGUGUCAUCAAACAUAAUAUGACCAUGUCCAGUUGUAAUAAUAGGAACACUAACAGAUUACUCUUCAAAUACCACAUUUCUUAACGGUUCUCUCCCAUUUAACUCAACAUCCUCAAUAAAUUUAGCUUUGCCCGUUUCAAAAAAGGAUCUAGUUGAGGGGUCAUAAAACUUGAAACCUCUCAACCUUUUAGAAUAUCCUACAAAGUAGCAGCUCACUGUUCUGGAGUCCAAUUUCUUUUCAUUUGGUUUUUAAGGCCUAGCUUUAGUUGGACAACCCCAGACAUGCAAGUGCCUAAUACUAGGUUUCUUGCUAGUUCAUAACUCAUAUGAGGUUUUGGCUACUGCUUUGCUUGAGACUCUAUUCAAAAUAUAAAUUGUUGUUUUGAUGGCUUCGCCCCAAAGUGAUUCUGGUAAGGUGGAAUGACUGAUCAUACUUCUUACCAUAUCCUUAAGAGUACGGUUUCGCCUAUCUGCUACACCAUUUUGGCUUGGAGUCCCCAGCAUAGUGUAUUGAGGAACGAUACCACACUCCAUCAAAUAUUUGGCGAACGACCCUAGACGUUGUUCAUUGGAUCCGUCAUAUCUGCCAUAAUAUUCACCUCCACGGUCAGAUCUGACGACCUUUAUUUUCUUGCUUAGUUGGUUCUCAACUUUAGCUUUGAAAUUCUUGAACACAUCUAAUGAUUGAGACUUCUCAUGAAUCAAAUAAAGAUAGCCAUAGCGCGAGUAAUCGUCAAUGAAAGUGAUAAAAUAUUGUUGUCCAUUCCAAGAAGGGGUAGGAAAUGGACCACAAAUGUCCGUAUGUAUCAAUUCAAAGACGUCACUGCACUUGUUAGCAUCAUUUUUUUCUCAUAUUUGUUUGUUUACCCUUAAUACACUCUAUACAGACUCGAAAGUCUAUGAAAUUAAGUGGAUCAAGAAUUCAUUCUGACACAAGCCUUUGAAUACGUUGAUUUGAAAUAUGACCCAAACGCCUGUGCCAUAACAUCGAUGAAUUCUCAUUUGUUAAUUUCCGUUUAAUGUCAUAAUUACUUGAAUUCAAGGUUUCAUUUCCAUUAGUGGUCUUUAUAUUUAAUUUGUAUAAUUUGUCUAUUAGACUACCUGUACCAAUAACAUUUGAAUUUAGAUAAAGACUAACCAUUCCAUUUCUAAAUGAACAAUAAUAUCCAAAUUUGUCUAGACAUAAAACAGAAAUUAAAUUCCGUCUAAACGACGAUACUACAAAAGUCUCUUCCAAAUCCAAAGUACAUCCAGAGUCUAACUGUAAUCUAAAAAGACCAAUAGUCUUGACUGCAACCUUGUUGCCAUUUCCCACAUAGAUGUAUUUUUCACCAUCAGUUGGCAUUCGACUCCUUAGGCAACCCUACAUCGUGACACUUAUGUGAGUAGUUGCACCCGUAUCUAUCCACCAAGUGUCAGUAGGCACUACGACUAAAUUAAUUUAUGAACAAACAAAGUUGAGAAGUGUACCUUUCUUUUCACGCCAAGCGGCGUAUUUGGUACAUGUCUUCUUCAUAUGACCAACCUUCUUGCAAAAGAAACAAGUCAUCUCCUUAUCUUGUUUCUUCUGCACCUUUUGCAUUGAUGUCCUAAAAAUUGCAUUUUGUUUUUCUUUAUUGUCCUUCUUUCUUUUCUUUUUGGUACCAAAUCCCUGAGAUGUGGAAGCCAAGUGAGAACUUUCUAUCUUUUCUUGUUUCAAUCUCUCAUCCUCUUGUGCACAUUGAGCAAUAAGCUCAUUCAAAGUCCAUUUUUCCUUUUGUGUUGUAACUAAUUUUGAAUGGACUGAAUUGUGUAGGCAGAGAGAUUAAGACCAAGUGCACAAGUAUGUCUUCCGAAAACUCUAACUUUAGUGCCUUUAGUCUAGUCACAAGAUUAGACAUUUCCAUAAUAUACUCCCUUAUAUUCUCUUUCCCUUUGUAUCGCAUAGAGACAAGCUUACUAAGAAUAGUGCUUGUCUCAACCUUUUCAUUUGAAGCGAAUCGGUUUGCUAUCUGGUCUAAGAAUGCCUUGGCUUGAGUUUUCUCAGGUAUUGGACUCCUUAUAGCUUUUGGAAUUGAGUACUUCGUUAUCAUUAGACUCAUGCGAUUGGAUCGCUCCCAUUUUUCCAUAGUAGACCUUUGCUCAGUAGUGCUGGCACUAGUAAGAUCUGGAGGGCGAUCCUCUCUUAAUGCAUAGUCUAAAUCCAUGCACCCGAGCACAAUUAUAACGUGCUCCUUCCAUUUCUUGAAGUUUGUGUCAUUAAGCGCAGGAAUGUUAUUAACAUUUGUAGAUAUAGAAUAUGUUAAAUUCAUAAUAAUAAAGCUCACAAUCAAUCACAUAAACAUCAUACAUACAUGAAAAAUAACAUCAUACAAGAUACUUAGCACAAAUAUUAAUAUUUUGUCUUUGGACAAUAAAUAUUAACUUGUAAUUGGUAUCCUUAUACAAAAUUAAUUCAUAAAUAUUGACAAUAAAACCAAAAACAAUAUGUUUGUCUUUAGACUAAUAUGUCGAAUGCAAGAUAAACUUUAUAUGUCACAUAUUUAUGACUACUUUAUUUAUUAUUAUAUUAAAAUAAUCUUCCUUUGGGCCGAUUAUUUUAAAUAAUAAUAAUAACAUGUUUAGAUAUUAUAAAAUAAAUAAAUUAUAUAAUAUAAGUUACUUUGGCAACUAACAUACAUAAUUCAUUUAUUUUAAAAUAUUAAACACAAACAUAACAAGAAAUAAUAAAUUCAAUUAAAAUUAUUUAUUUAUUUAUGCAUAAUAUAUAUAUAUAUAUAUAUAUAUAUAUAUAUAUAUAUUAAUUGAAGCAUAAAAAACCAUCUACAUGUGUAUAUAUAUCAAUUGAAGCAUAUAUACAAGCAUUAGUCUAAUGGUUUAAGCAAAAAAUAGGCCAUGGUAAAGGGUUUAAGCCAACCCGCCCCUUUAGUUUGGUUUUUGUUUUUUUUUUUUUUUUUUUUAAUUUCUUUUGGGCUACUGACCAUGCAUUCUCUCAUGGCCCAACGAAUAUAUAUAUAUAUUUGUUUUAAAAAAAUUUUGUCCAUUGCAGCCCAAAGCGACCAUCCCUUGUAAUGGCAUCAUCAACGGUGCCAGAGCUGUCCUCGAACGACACCGACAGUGAAACGCCGCCACCAUCACCGGAACGGUGAUUUCCCAUCGCCAAACGACGGUGUCACUACCAGAAUGACGUUGUAACGGCAUCGCUGGGAAGCAGCCUAACCUGUGGCGUGACACCAUGACAAGCAAUGCCGCUAGCAGUGAAACGUUGUCGCCAUCACCAGAAUGGUGAUUUUCCAUCGCCAAACGAUGGCGCCACCAUCGAAACAACGCUGAAACGACGUCACUGGGAAGCAACCCUACCCGCGGCACCAAAAUGGCACUUGGAUGACAUUUGGAACUCUUGCAACAACGCUCAAAUCAGCGAUUCUCACUGGCAAAUGACGCUUGAACGACGUCUGGAAAUAAUGCCUACAACGCCUAAAAAUUGUGCUCUUUUGAACGCCUGAAACAACGUUGAAAUGACGUCUACCGGCGUCUGGAAUUGCACCGCUGUCUAGAACGAUGCCAUGAUGGUGUCUCACUCACCUUAAAUGGCACCAACCACCGUGACUUGCAUCCCCAAAAAUGGCACUUGAACAGCGCCUGAAGCGUGCCUGGAACGACGCUGCAAACGAUGCUUGAAAUGGUGCAUUUUGUAUGCUUGAAAAUGGCACAGGAAUGACGCCUACACUACGUCCAUUUUGAAUGCCUGAACGGUGUCCUAACGGCGCCUGAAUGACGCCUGGAAUUGGCCCAGAUUUAUUUUAUGUUGUUUCCUUCCUCUUGGAUCUUUUGUUUGUGUUUUAAAAAAAAAGUGUUUUGGUGAAAAUGGGAAAUGCAACCAGGCUCUGAUACCAUUUUGUGGGACGUUCAUUCUCCAUUAUCAUCGAACACAUGCAGGAUAUAUUUAUAUAUAUAUAUAUAUAUCAAUUCAUUCAAAAUAUGCCUUCAUUUUAUGGAACAUACCCGAAUCCAUUUUGUUUGUGUUGAAGAGGUAUAAAUCUUCUAAGGCUAUGGGGGGUACCACAUUUUCUUAGAAUUCUCUAUGACGAUGGGAAGCCAGAGAGAACAAGUUCUAUUUUUAUUUUGAAAACGUUGUUAUCCUUAAAUAACAAACACUAUUAUUUGGAUUUAUACUCUCCUACCUUAGGGACCAUACCCUUUGGCUAUUGGGCCUUACGAGUCUUAGGCCCAUCAUCUAAGGCUCGUGAUGGCACUAGGCUCUACACAUAAGGUGGCCCAUACUCUGGAACGAAUAGAAAUCAUAUGUGUAUAUAUGGAUAGCUAAAUCUUGAACAAUGGUUAAUAUGAUGUCAGUUCACAUUUAUUAUAUCAUAGAGACUUCCCAUAUGAAGAAAAUUGACAGUAGGUAGCUUUGCCAUUCUUGUCCGUAUACAACCAACCUUAGCAAGGGUUGAACCCUUUUAUGCUUAGUUGUGCCAUACAAAUCCUUACCACCGCCUACAACAUGUAAUCGAAAUGAUUCGAUAAUAUCAUCUAGUGAACCAAUACCUCCAAAUGAGAGACCAUUGCCUUGGUAACUAGGGCUCAUGACUGAGAAUUGCGUGAACCCCUUUGCUUGGGUUGGAGCUUAACUGAUGCACAAAAUAUUCAUAGGCCUCUUCCCAUAACUGGCACCUUGUGUUUGCAACAUAAUUGAACAUGUAUUGAAGUGAGUUUUUUUGCAUCUUUUUGUAAGAAAAUUCUAAACAACAGAGACUGCUUAGUGUGCCCGGCUCCUCGGGAAAUCAAGGUUCAUUCCUGUAGGGCCAGUUUUUUCACAGUCGAACUAGAUAACAUGGAGAGUAUGUUGCAAUGCUUCAACAGGGUAUUUCUUAGGAAAAUCCACCUGAAGUUGGUACAAUUCGUUGGCGUACUGAGUUCCUGGAGCUCUAUUGACUUCAAUCACCCAUCUCUGUAGAUUAUCGAUGACUUAUGCUCGGAUCCUGUAGGAGGAUUGACCUGACAUUCCACUAGCUCUUUCUGGAAGACGAUCUUGUUUAACACCUUGUGAGAAGAGGCAAGGGAACUGGUCAUUGUUUCUUCGAGAAGAUCAGUGGCCGAGGAUGGGUUUGGACCAUAAUUGCUAUAUGGGUUUUCUUUGGGUGAACCAAUUAGUGGAGUGGGUGGCUAUAUAGCAACUGAAGGGUGGUCAUACUAAUGAGGAGCUAUUAUUUCAUGCAUGUGGAGAGGAAAUGAGUAGCUUCUUCAAGGAUAUAUGAUUAUUCAUCUCUAGCUUACGUUGAAUAUCUCCUAACAAAUUUCUGCUUUGAAGCUCCCUUAGUUUCACUACAGCUAACUUGGCCAACUUGGUUUCAUCAUGUUUCCUACAACCUCUAAGCAAAGCACGCCAGAUCACUGAAUCAGGUUCUAUUUGCAUUUUGUCCAUAAACUCCUUUGCCUAUUGACAAUAAACUGCCCCUCAAAAUUUGAUGAGAUAACAUCAAUGCUGACAUGUUGGUCAUCCCCAUAAGCAUCUUUAUAGAGAUUGAUUCUAUGUUUAGAUAUUUCUCUCUCCUCAAGUGAGUUCAACUUUUUUGUAACAUCCUUCUCCUUCUCUACUAAUAGUCUUAGUUGAACAUCCAACCUAUGUUCCCAAAGUGCCAGCAUCUCAUAUCUGAUGACAAGCCAACAACCUUGCCCUUGCUGAGACCCAAAUAAGUAUCCAGAACCAUCAGCAUCAACCCUUUCAUAGGCCUUUGUAUUUGAAGGUCGGAUUGGGAUUGCUUUGAAUGCACUGGCACUACAAUACACAAUUGUAUCUUCUCCAAUAAAAACACCACACAGAGGUGAGGGGACUGGUAUUAGCAAAGAAGUGUUGUUAUCUAUAUUGUUCUGAGCCCGAGUACCCUCAACAAAAUCCUCAUCCUCAUCUGUACUCUUCCAUUACAUCCCUAGGCUUUUCAAUGUGAUCCACAUGGCUUACAGGAAUCCAGAAAUACCAGUCUGUAUAAAUGUUGCUCUUAUGGGGCUCUCCUAGAAAACAUCCCUAUCAAGAUGAUCAACCUAGCUUAGAUGCUCAGCACCCCAAACUUACUAGAAAUAGAGGAAUUAAAAGCAAGGAUAGGAGCCAAAGUAAAAAUUUAGGGAAGAGCAAAUAGGAAAUCAAGCAAAACAUGAAUGUACAGAGCCUCAUUUCAGGUGACAUCUUUGGGCUAAUAAUAGGUGGAAUUAACAAAGUAGACAAGCAUGAUUGUUAUAAAUAUCAAGUUCAAGGAUGAAGCCGUGCAUCAGCUACUUAUAGGGGGAGUCAAGGAAACCAAGAUAAGAUCAAAGAGAGCAUGUAUGCAAAUAAACAGAUUCGAAAAAAUAGACCAAACAACUCGUGAAUAUCCUCCUACAAAAAACUACUACACGUGGCAAAAAGUGAUGAAACAAAAAGAGUCGGGUCCGCAUAUACAUAUCCUAUUCUAUCCUAUUCCUUCAAAUCCAAAGCAACCUGUAUUUUCAAUGGGAUUUGUUGUGAUGAAUUUUACUGGAUUGUAACAUGUAAAUAUGUUAAAAGAGGCUUGGGACAUUCCUAUAUAGUAACGCAUAAAGGUACUUCCAUUGUGAAGUUGUCAAAAUUGCAAAUUUAAAUUACAAAAUUUGAAAACAUAGAGAUGAAAGAUGAUGAAACCUUCUUUGAAAUUUUAUAUUGAACUCAUUAAUAUUAUUAAUUUUCAUUUCAGUGUAGGGGAAAGAAUUCUUUACUCUAAAGUGGUCACAAAAAUAUUAAAAUUCCUUGUUGAGAGAUUUAGACCUAAAGUGAUCAAUAUAGAAGAAAGUAAAAAUAUUCUAAGUGUAGGUAAACUUGUAGACUCAAAUGACUCUACCUUCUCAUAAAAAAUCCUCAAUUUUAUAAAUUAUAUAGAUUUCUUCAUUUGAUACAAAAUUUGAAUAAAGAUUUUUCAAAUGACAACACAAGGAAAGGGAAAAAAAAAAUUCUCUCCAGUUCAUUUCAUUUAAUCACUUAAAUUAUUUAAAAAUAAAAAUGUUUACUGCUAACAUUAUUUAGAUUCAUCUUUCUUUUGAUGGAGGUUAAAAUUCAUAAUUUUGAGGAAAAAGAUGAGGAUUCUCAUUUUUUUUUCCAUGUAUGAAUGGGAUUCUCAUUGUGUAUAUGUGGGUUACUAAAUGGCAAAUUUAGGGGCCAAUAUGAGGAAAAAUAUGAAGUUGAGUUUGUCACCAAGAACAAACAUGACUCCUAUAAAGGUGGCAUCCUUAAUUUCAUGUCUGGAUUAGACUUCUCAUGUAACAACUUAACAGGUGAAAUCUCUCAUGAACUUGGAAUGUUAAGUUUGAUUCAUGCAUUGAACUUGUCUCGCAAUCAACUAAAGGGCUCCAUUUCAAACAGUUUUUGCAAUCUUUCUCAAACAGAGAGCUUAGAUCUUCUUAAUAAUAAACUAAGUGGAGAAAUUCCUCCAAAAUUGGUUAGACUAACUUUUUUAGUGGUGUUCAAUGUGACUCAUAGUAGCAUCUUUGGAAGAGUUUCAGAUAUGAAUGCAUAAUUUGCAAUAUUUGAUGAAAGUAACUAUGAAGAUAAUCCUUUCCUUUGUGGACCACCAUUAAAGAGAAAAUGUAGCAUAAAUGUUAAGCCACCUUACCCACCAUUAGAGUCUUCGGAAAAAAGUGAUGCAAAAUGGUAUAAUAUCGAUCUUGUGGUUUUCUUUGCAAGUUUUACUAUAUCAUAUAUCAUGAUAUCAUUAGGAAUUUCAACCAUUCUUUACAUUAACCCUUAUUGGUGUCAAAGAUGGUUCAAUUUUAUCGAGAAAUAUAUAUACUUUUGCUAUUAUUUUGUUUCCUAUACUCUUUCCAAGUUAUUAACAUAUUUUGAAUAAUUAGAGAUUUUUGUUUUCAAUAAUAUUUACAUAAUUAACUACUAUUGGCUUCCAUGACAUGGAAAGAAAUGCGGUGAAGGCAACAACCACUUUUUUUUCUCCUCUACUAGUGCAUGAUUGAUAUGAGUUAAAACUUGCACCCUUAUCUUUGCUUAAAUUUUCUCAGCUUUUGUUUCAAUUCUUAAUUAUCAUUUCUUUUAUGUGUUGUUUAAUACAAUAUCCUAAACACAUUGCUUUGAAGGUUACUUAUUUAUUAAGCAUGAUAUUUAUUUUUCAUAAAGACAAAUUCAAGUUUUUUAGGAAUUUUUAGAAUUAUUAUAAUUUGGAGUUCACAUUAGAGGAAAAAAGGAAAGAAAAGAAUAGAUGAUUAAAAAAACAAUUUUAGUAAGUAUAAUUUGUCAUCUUCGGUAUAACAAAUGGGAAUUCCAAAAUAAUAUUUCAAUUUGUUAGUCUAUUCCUUAUAGUAUUAAUUGAUAUAUCAAAUAGGAAGUCACGUUUUGAUUUUUUAUUAGCUUCAAUUGCAUGUCACAUAUAUUUUAAAAUCAAGCAUACCUCAGCCGGGAAGUUCUUGUAACAUGCAUGAACAUGAUAUGAUGAAUUGAAUAAUUUUCUUAAUUGUGUGAGACACAAACCCUCUUUGUUUAAUAAUAAUAAUAAUAUACUACACAUUAUUAAAUCAUAUAUGUAUAUUUAUAGUCGUAUAAUAUAUUCAAAAUAUUAAACACAUUACCCUCUUAAAUUUUUAUGAAUGGUGUUUACUUUACAUAACGACAGAUUCAAAUUUUUUUAGAAUUUUUUAAUGUUAAAAUAAUUUGGAGCUUAAUAGGGAAAAAAAAGAAUAAAUAAUUAGAAAAGCAAUUCAAAAAAAAUAAAAUUUAUCCUCUUAAAUUGGUUUUGUGUAAUACUAUAGAAGCCAUUUCUUGAGUUUGAUAUGGUAGAAUUCGGAUUCAUAUUUAUUUUAAAAUAAAGAAUUUCAAGGGUUGGUAGCAUCAAUAGAAUCUUAACAAAUUUGCAAAAAAGUAUUUGGGUAGAUCACAUUUAAAUAUAGCUAACAGAAUAAAAAAUUAAUAUUAUUAGGAAGACAUGAUCAAUUAAAUCUUUUUUCUUAUCUAUGACACCGAUUUUAUAUUUUUACAUAGUCAAUAUAAUUUAUUACAACUUAUAUGUCAUUAAAUUAUACAUGCUUAUAUUAAAUAUAAUAUAAGAUCAUUAAUGGAAUAAUUAUGCAAGUAAUAUAAAUUGUAUAUAAUAUAAAAAAUUUAAACUCCGUCAAACUAAUGGAAUCUAUUAUAAUAAGUAGACUAGACACCAUAUUGGCCCGAGUUGGAGGCCUGGGCCAGAUUUUAAAGGCUGGGCUUUGAGUUGCCCGUGGGCCUGAGCCAAGGCCUUCUCUUGGUAUCAUCAUUUUGAAGAAAUAAAUUGCUGAUACAGAGAAAAAAACUAUACUAAAUAGAAAAAUAAAUAAAAGCAUUGACUAAAAUGAAGGUCAAGGUCCUUGAAAAAUAAUCUUUAAAUUGUUGCAUAUAUAAUUUCAAUAAUGCAUAAAUAAUUGCAAUAUAUAUGAUAUGAUAAAGAAUUUGGAAUUAAAAGAAGAUUGAUCUAUUUUAAAUGUGGUUGGAAUAUUUUUAAAUUUGUGAUGGGAAGUUAGACAGCCAAUUAGGGAUCCAUAUUAUUUAUUUUCAAUUAUAUGAAUUUAUUUACUUUUAUUAAUAUUCUGAAUGCAACAAUAUAAAAUAUGUCAAUUUUCUAAAAUUAAAAAAGUAAUUGCAAAAGAAAAUUUUUAAUUAUUUUUCUGAAAUUGAGUUUAUCAUAACAUUUUUCUUUACAUAAAUUUCUUUUUUAUGUUUAUUUUUUUAAAAAUGAGAUAUGAAAAAAAAAGAUCAAUAUUAGUAAAAGUAAAACCCAAUAUAUAUAAAAAAAAUGAAUAAAUGUUUAUGAAAUAAGAUUUAAAAGUGAGAAGGUAAUAAAUUUUUUCUCUUUUAAUUCCUAUUCAAUACAUUACAAAAAAUAUUUUUGGUUUUUAUGCUAAAAUUUAUUGUUUAUUAAAAAAUUCUAGUAUAUCUAGCUAUCAUAGAAGAGCUCCAAAAUUUUAUUGUUUAAGAGAAUGUGUUGCCACUUUAAAAGAUUUAUAUGCAUACCUUUGGAUAUGUUUAGUUCCCGGUAAAUUUGAAGGAAAAUGUGAAGGAAGAAAAAUAGAGAAGAAAAGUAUAACAAAAUAAAAAGUGAAGGAAAAUGAAAAAUAGAUUUAAAAUUAAUAAAUUAUUUUCAUUGGUUUUUUCAAAUUUAUUUUACUUAUUUUAUUCUAUUAAAUAAAGAUUAACUAAUUUUAAUUAUAUUUGGUUUGAUUUUUAUUAUUUUUCAAAGCAAAACCAAAUAUGAAAAAAAAAACAUUUUUUUUGGUUAUUUUUUUCUUUCCUUAUUACUCUUCGGGACUCAAACAUAGCUUUUAGAUUUGGGGCAUGGAAAAAUAAGAGUAUUGAAUAAGGGUUCUAUAUAUGCCCAUGCCCAUGCCCAUGAUACCAUUGAAAAAAAUGGAGAGAGGGUGAAACCUUUACUAGAUGAUAAAUUAUUCUCUUCAAUGGAAAUCAAAUAUAAUUAUUUUUAUCUUGUAUUAAUUGAAUGUUAUACUCCAUAAACUCAAAAUUAAAAUAAAUAAAAAAUUUAAAAACUAGGACAAUCCCAUUUUUUUUCAAUUUCUUAAAAAGAAAUUAAAUUAUAUUUAUUUAUAUCUAUUUUCAUCCCUACCCAACAAAAUAAAAAAAAUUAACAUUGUGGAACAUGUAUGAGAAAUUCUCACAAUUUUUUUUAAGAAAAAUAAAUUUCUUAUUUUAUAUAUGUUAAAAAUAAAUAUAAUCUUUUAUUUUUUAUAUAUAUAAUCGGGUAAGGUAGAGUGGGACAAAGAAAUAAUCCCCUUCGAUUCCAAUCCGAAAUUUUAAAAUAUAAAAUAAAAAUCUUAAACUCAUCCCUAAUCCAUUUAUUUUUAAUCCUAAACUUGUCUUAUAAGGAAUAAGGCAAAGUAAGUACAUGAAAACACUUUUUUUUAUCAUCAUCUCUACAAGUUCUAAUGUUUAGAUUGCAAUCCAUAUCAAAGAUUUAUAAAGAAAGAACAACGAUGAAUUUCAUAAACAUUUGAAAGCAUAUACAAAGUUUUAAAUAAUAUUGCUUGAGGUGCAAAUAUUAUUUGGCGCACACGUUGAGGGACUUCAACUGGUGUUGUCUAGGUUUUUUACACUAGUAAGUAAUCUUGAAUAUCUAGAGUAACUUGAUCAAAAUCUCUUUAAUUUUAUUUUCUUUGAUGAAUUAGAAUGCUUAUAUAACAUGAUUAAAAAUUUUAAGAAAAAAAAACUAAGAAGAAAGAAAGAAGUACCGAUCUUCCAAAUAUUGCUUCCACUUUAAUAUUUAGAAGGCUCUAAGAAAAGAAUUUUAUUCAUGAAUCACAACCCAAGUCGAAAAUAAAUUGAACCCAUUUUCUAAGUUAAAUUUUGAAUUUUUUACUAGUGAAUGCAAAUUGGGAAAAUGUAUAUAAAUAUAAUUAAACUAGAAUAGUAGGUUAGGUUUGUGUGGUCCCACGAUGACUUGGAAGUUUCAACAAUUCAAGCAGACUCCACCUAUAAACCUAAUAUACUAUUUUAGUUUAAUUAUAUUUAUAUAUGUUUUCCCAAUUUGCAUUCACUAGUAAAAAAUUCAAAGUUGAACUUGAAAAAUGGGUUCAAUUUAUUUUCGAUUUGGGUUGUGAUUCAUGAAUGAAACAAUGAUCAAUGACUUGACUUUUAAGGCCAACUUAGUUAAGUCAUUCCUAACCCCUAUAUUAAUUUGGCCUUAAAAGUCCAGUAAUUGAUAGCUAAAUCCCAACCCAAGUCAAAAAUAAAUUGAACCCAUUUUCUAAGUUCAACUUUGAAAUUUUUUUUAAUUGGAAAAAUGUAUAUAAAUACAAUUAAACUAGAAUAGUAGAUUAGGUUUGUAGGUGGAGUCUGCUUGAAUUUGUGAAACUUCCAAGUCGUCGUGGGUCUAGUGGUCCCAUAGCUCUCUAUUAAUUUCCACCAUCAAUUUUCUGCAAUAAAGUCAAGUCAUUCCUAACCCCUAUAUUAAUUUGGCCUUCAAAGUCCAGUCAUUGAUAGCUACGUUCAUGAAUCCCAACCCAAGUCAAAAAUAAAUUGAAUCCAUUUUCUAAGUUCAACUUUGAAUUUUUUUUAAUUGGAAAAAUGUAUAUAAAUACAAUUAAACUAGAAUAGUAGAUUAGGUUUGUAGGUGGAGUCUGGUUGAAUUUGUGAAACUUCCAAGUCGUCGUGGGUCUGGUGGUCUUAUAGCUCUCUAUUAAUUUCCACCAUCAAUUUUCUGCAAUAAAGUCAAGUCAUUCCUAACCCCUAUAUUAAUUUGGCCUUAAAAGUCCAGUCAUUGAUAGCUACGUUCAUGAAUCCCAACCUAAGUCAAAAAUAAAUUGAACCCAUUUUCCAAGUUCAACUUUGAAUUUUUUUUAAUUGGAAAAAUGUAUAUAAAUACAAUUAAACUAGAAUAGUAGAUUAGGUUUAUAGGUGGAGUCUGCUUGAAUUUGUGAAACUUCCAAGUCGUCGUGGGUCUAGUGGUCCCAUAGCUCUCUAUUAAUUUUCACCAUCAAUUUUCUGCAAUAAAGUCAAGCCAUUCCUAAACCAUAUAUUAAUUUGGCCUUAAAAGUCAAGUCAUUGAUAGUUACGUUCAUGAAUCACAACCCAAGUCUAAAAUAAAUUGAACCCAUUUUCCAAGUUCAACUUUGAUUUUUUUUACUAGUGAAUGCAAAUUGGGAAAACGUAUAUAAAUAUAAUUAUACUAGAAUAGUAUAUUAGGUUUGUAGGUGGAGUAAGCUUGAAUUGUUGAAACUUCCAAGUCAUCAUGGGUCUAAGGGUCCCAUAGCUCUCUAUUAAUUUCCAUCAUCAAUUUUUAUGAAUUCAGAUUUAAAAGUGAGAAGGGAAUAAAUUUUUUCUUUUUCAAUUCAUUACAAAAAAUAUUUUUGGUUUUUAUGCUAAAAUUUAUUGUUUAUUCAAAAAAUUAAAGUAUAAAAAUAUAAAAUAUAUAUCUUGCUAUUAUAGAAGAGCUCCAAAAUUUUCGUGUUUAAGAGAAUAUGUGUUGCCACUUUAGAAGAUUUAUAUACAAAAAGGAUUGAUGUUUCUCCUUUGACUAUGUUUGGUUCCCAAAAAUUUGAGGGAAAGAAAAUAAAAAAAAGGUAGUAAAAAAGAAAAAAUGAAGGAAAAUAAAAAAUAGUUUUAAAGUUAAUAAAUUAUUUUUAUAUGCUAUUUCAAACUUAUUUUACUUAUUUUUUUUCAUUAUAUAAAGAUUAAAUAAUUUUAAAAUGCAUAACUAAUUUUAAUUAUAUUUAAUUUUUCUUUUAUAUUUUUUAGACGGGAUCCAACACAUGUAAAAAUCCUUUUUUUUAGCAUCUUUUUUUCUUUUCUUAUUACUUUCCAAUAACCAAAUAUAACCUUUAGAUUUAGCCUUUAGACUUGGAGUAUGGAAGGAUACUGAGUAUUGAAAGAAGGUUUUGUAUAUGGCCAUGAUACCAUAGAAAAAAUGGGCGACAGAGAAAAAACCUUUAUUAAAUGAUAAAUUAUUUUUUUCAAUGGAAAUCAAAUAUAAUUAUUUUUAAAAAUAAAAAUAAAAAAUAAUAAUUUGUUGUUGCAUUAAGUAUUCUUGCAUUUGGAGAAGCAUGUACUACUUACUACAUAAAUGGAUAUUCAUGGAGUGCAUUCUCUAGAAAGCUCCAGUCUCAUGAAAAUGGAAAGAUGGACCGGCCGGUGAACCGGUUCGAGUUUGGAUUUAUGGGCUGCCUCAGCCUAACACGCAUGAUAGGUUGUUGUAGGUGAAGAACUAACUAAUUAAUUUAAAGCCUUCUUCUAUCCUCUCCUAUUCCUCUAUCACUCCAAAUGUUCCACAUGAUAAUGACAAUUCUUUUGUUAAAUGGUAAAAAAAAAAUUUAACAAUUAAUUUAAAAAAUUUUUAAAAUCUAAAUCCAAUGGAAAUUUGACUGUAAGGUGCGUAGAAGGCCCUAGUGCCCAUGUUGCUAAUUUGAUGAUAGUUAAAUUACCAUUUCGAGAGAUUCCACUCACUAGUAUUCUCAUUUAUAAAAUCAUGAACUUUGGCAUCCUAAUUAAUGUAAUUUAACUUUUUUUUGUUUACAAAUGAAAUAAGAGGCAACAUAUAAACCCAAAAGUUAAUUUUCCUACCAUCUCUAUGCACCAUUUUAGCUUUACUCCAAUAUAUUUUCUAUGAUUAAUUAUUUUCAUUCAAACAAUAAUAUCAAAAUAUUUUAAAAUUAGACAUAUCCACUAAUAUAUCUUCGAUAUAUUAUAUAUAUCUGUAAAAUCGAAACACCAAUAUAUCCGUGAUUAUCGAUAUUUUUAUCGUUGAGGGAUAACAACUAAUCUAGUUUUUGUACCUAUUGAUAUUCCUCAACAUUUAGAUUGAUUUGACCAUUUUUUUUUUAAUUUUAUUUUCUUUGAUGGUUAUAUGAUGAAUUAGAAUAGUCAUAUAACAUUAACAGAUUUAAGCAAAAAUGAUAAAAAAGCUCGCAUUUUUCAAAUAUUGGUUUCAACUUUGAAUAUUUUUAUUGGUAAAUGAAAAUUGUGAAAAACCUACUAAUGCUAAUACUUUUCACCACAUAAUUAAAUAUAAUAAACUAGAAUAGUGAUUCAUUGAUGUCUUAUAAAGCUACAUGCCUUCUUUGACUUGUUAGUUGAUUUUUGUAGGUGGAGUCUGUAGGGACCCCUCCCCCUGAUGACACGUGGCACGCAUUUCUAUCCGGAUUAGCUCCAUCCGGAUUUCCUCCAAGGAGACACGUGGCGCGCUUCCCCUAUCCGGACUCCCUCAGGGAGAAGCACACGACACUCGCAAACAUCACAUCCGGACGACCGCCAUAUCGCAUCCGGACGAUCGACAUAUCCUAUCCGGAUAUGUUUGUCCGGAUCGUUGACUAAAGUAAGCAAGUCUUACUACGUCAUUCCGACAGCCUGCCAUGGCCCACGUUCCACCACCUGCAAAGUGAAAAGACAGGAAUGAUGGCAAGUCACUUCCUACGAUCUCUGACAGCUGUGGCGCCUCUCACGAUCUCUGUCAGCCGCCCGUAGGGUGAUGAUGGCCCUGUCACCACCUAGAGUCAUCAUGACAAGCCAAAAUAUCUCUCUAUCAUUAAAGAGGGAGACAGAGCUUCUGGUACUAUAUAUAUGGACCUUCACACAAAGAGGAAGGUAAGCUUGCUAUACCUAGUAAAAGGCCAACUGAUUUAUCUCUUUAACCAUGGCUGACAAAACCAUCGGAGGGUGUGUCCGGACACCCUGUCCGGACGCCUUUUGCAGGAACGAUUGAACCAGGAAUCUAUAUUGGUUGAGAUCGUGCGUCCAUCCAUUUGGCAACUACGUGGAUCACCAGGGACGCGAGGCCUCAACAUUGGCGCCGUCUGUGGGAAAAUCACUGAUUCAGUCACCGACAAAGAUAGCCACACCUUCCCAAAGCCGCUCGUCCGCUAGGGAAAAGGAAGAUAAUUCUGAAUGGCGCCGAGCCAUUGAAAGAAGACAGUUGGCAAGCUCGUGACAACUGCAAGCUCUCCUCCAGGAGACAGAAUGACUAAGAGAAGAAAACGCGGUACUACGCAUCCAAGCUUCAUCGACGGGGCCUCCCCGUCGUCAGCAUUCAAAAGGCCAGGUAGCAAACUCAAGGCCUGACCCAGAGUCAAUAUACCCUGGGGCAGCAGGAGCAAUACUUGAAACAUGCAACGUUAGGCCACAUGAGCCACACACGCCCAUGCACCGAGCUCCCCAUGAGGAAAGCUCAGACUCUACUCAUUUUUCAGCAAAAAGACAACGCGACAAAAAAUCCCAAUUGUCAAACUCAAUGCGUGCGAGACUAGGCCCACAGGAGCCUGGGAGGCCAAAGCCGCCAGUAGCCAUAACCUGGGCAGUGCACCUUGACCCUAUGGUCACCCCCAUGGUGCAGAGCGUUCUCCCGCACCGUGACCCUAUGGUCACCCCUAUGGUGCAGAACGUUCACCCGCACCUAGCGGUACGACAAGCUGGGAGAAACCUCCCAAAUGAGCCACCCAUUGGCUCCAUUAGCAAAAGGCUGGACGACAUGCUCUCCACGCCUUUUUGCUCUCAUAUCAUUCAUUACGAGCCCCCAAGGGGAUUCCUCGUGCCCAAAUUCUCCACAUACGAUGGGUCCAGCGACCCCUUCGACCAUAUCAUGCAUUAUCGACAGCUCAUGACUCUCGAUAUAGGCAAUGACGCGCAGCUAUGCAAAGUAUUCCCCGCCAACCUACAAGGGCAGGCCCUCUCAUGGUUUCACCGCCUACCUCCCAACUAUGUUGAUAAUUUCAGAGACCUAUCAGAGGCCUUCGUGGGACAAUACUUAUGCUCUGCUCGACAUAAGCAGAACAUCAGCACUCUGCAAAACAUAAAAAUGCAGGAUAACGAAUCCUUAAGGGAGUUCGUGAAGUGGUUUGGUCAUGCCGUACUACAGGUAAAGGCUUACAGCAUGGAUGCUGUCCUGCAGAUCUUCAAGCGAAGUAUUUGUCCAGGCACCCCAUUUUUUGAAUCACUCGCUAAAAAGCCUCCUACGACGAUGGACGACUUGUUCCAGCGUGCGAGCAAAUACUCAAUGCUCGAAGAUGACGUGCGAGCAGCCACCCAGCAAGUCUUGGUUGCCGGACAGGCAUCUAGAAGUGGCACGGAAAGAAGUGCCAAACUUCCGGACAGGCCAAGACAGUCCCAUCAAAGGCAGGAAGGGCCAAGUCGCCCGGAAAGGCCGCCCCUCACACCCCUUUCCAUAUCCUAUGAGAAGCUUCUCCCUAUGAUCUAAGACAUGUCCGACUUCAGGUGGCCUAGACCCAUCGGAACGGACCCAUCCAAAAGGGAUCAUAGUAAAAAAUGUGCCUUCCAUAAAGAGCAUGGUCACACAACGGAGACAUGCAGGUGCCUUCAUUAUUUGGUCGAAAGGCUCAUAAGGGCGGGACAUUUAAAGCAAUACCUCCACUCAGAUACCGGAGGUAGAGAUGCUUCCCGAAAUCACAACUCUGGAGCCCCUAGGGCCCUAGCCGUCCCCAAAGCCGUUAUAAACUAUAUUAACAGAGGCCCAUCUGACGAGGAGUACGACUCCAAACGAAAGAAACAAAAGUUGUUGCGGGCAGCAUCGGUGCGCGAACGUGUCAACUCCAUCCGGCCUGGGAUAACUGGGGGGGCCCUCGCCCCAUAGAUGGGAUAAUCAUUUUCCCACCAGUAGACCCCACCCGGAUAUUGAAGCCGCACCGCGACGCCCUCAUCCUGUCCUUAAAGAUAGGAGACUUCGACGUGAGACGCAUCCUGGUUGACCCAGGUAGCUCGGCCGAUCUUGUGCAAGCAUCGGUCAUUAGCCACAUGGGGCACAAUCUCACAGGCCUCGAAAACCCUGGGCGAAUCUUGUCCGGAUUCAACGGGGCGUCAACUACUUCAUUGGGAGACAUUGUACUGUCGGUCCAAGCUGGCCCAGUCACUCUCAACGUACAAUUUUCGGUGGUACAAGAUUUAUCACCCUUCAAUGUCAUCUUGGGGCGCACAUGGCUGCACUACAUGAAAGUCAUCCCCUCUACAUAUCAUCAAAUGGUAAGCUUCCUUACCAAGGAUGGGCAAAUUGACCUAUACGGCAGCCAGUUAGCCGCUCGCCAAUGCUACCAGAUAGCACGAGAAGCAGGGACCAACCAGGAGGAUGCAUCCCUCCCUGAGUCCAGCCAUGCACGUGACCAAUAGCAAUUAUUGAGUCCGGGGGACAAAGAUCCCCCGGCAGCGGAUCCCUUGCAAGCAAUCCAAAUUUCGGAAGAAGGUACUCACCUUACGAAUAUCAGUUAGAAGAGACCCGGAACAUGCAGAACGCCCUCAGACAAAACCAUGACGUCUUCGCAUGGACACAUUCUGAUAUGAAGGGAAUUCAUCCCUCCAUUACCUCUCAUAGGCUUAACGUCUUGCCAACAGCCAGACCCAUCCGGCAGAGGGUUAGACGUUUUCACCCGGACAGACAAAAAAUUAUCCGGAAUGAGAUUGACAAGUUGCUAGAAGUCGGAUUCAUCAGAGAAGUGCAUUACCCGGACUGGUUGGCAAAUGUAGUGGUGGUACCCAAAAAAGAAGGCAAAUGGCGGGUGUGAGUCGACUAUACCAACCUCAAUAAUGCAUGCCCAAAAGACAGUUUCCCUUUGCCACGGAUGGAUCAAAUUGUGGACUCCACUGCUGGGUAAGGGAUGCUCUCCUUCUUGGACGCCUUCUCUGGAUACCACCAAAUCCCCAUGUCCCCGGCUGAUGAAGAAAAGACAGCCUUCAUAACACCACAUGGUCUCUAUUGCUACAAAGUCAUGCCAUUCAGACUCAAAAACGCUGGUGCCACUUACUAGAGACUGAUGACGAAGAUCUUCAAACCUCUGGUCGGCCGCACAAUAGAGGUAUAUAUUGACGAUAUCGUGGUUAAAAGUAAAACCCGAGAGGAACAUGUCCUCCACUUGCAAGAAGUCUUCCACCUCUUGAGGAAGUAUGGCAUGAAGUUGAAUCCCUCUAAAUGUGCCUUUGGCAUAAGUGGUGACAAAUUCUUGGGAUUUAUGGUUAGCCAAAUGGGGAUAGAGGUCAGCCCGGACCAAGUCAAGGCAGUCAUGGAAACACCACCCCCUAGGAGCAAAAAGGAAUUACAACGCCUCACAGGCAAGCUCGUCGCGCUAGGGCGUUUUAUAGCCCGCUUCACUAAUGAACUGCGACCCUUCUUCUUGGCAAUACGAAAAGAAGGAGCAAACGGAUGGACGAACAACUGUCAAAGCGCUUUUGAAAAAAUUAAACAUUGCCUCAUGCAAUCGCCCAUCCUGAGCAGUCCCCUCCUUGAAGAAAAACUGUAUAUGUAUCUGGCUGUAUCGGAGUGGGCAAUUAGUGAUGUUCUAUUCCGCUGCCCCUUACCCAAGGAGCAGAAACCUAUCUACUACGUCAGCAGAGCAUUGGCAGACGUAGAAACCAGGUAUUCAAAGAUGGAGCUAAUGGCCUUAGCUCUUCGAAGUGCUGCCCAGAAGCUCUGCCCCUACUUCCAAGCCCACCCGGUGGUCAUGCUAACUGACCAGCCCCUUCGCAACAUUCUGCACAAGCCAGACUUAACCGGAAGAAUGCUUCAAUGGGCCAUAGAGUUAAGCGAAUAUGGAAUCGAGUUCCAACCCAGGCUGUCCAUGAAAGGCCAAGUUAUGGCUGACUUCGUGUUGGAAUACUCCCGAAGGCCUAUCCAGCGCAAGGAACCAAGUGAAAAAGAGUGGUGGACUUUGCGGGUCGAUGGAGCCUCACGAUCAUCAGGAUCCGGAGUAGGGCUCCUGCUGCAAUCACCAACAGGAGAACAUCUGGAGCAAGCCAUCUGGAUGGGGUUCCCCGCCUCUAACAAUGAAGCGGAAUAUGAGGCCAUCCUAUCCGGAUUGGACCUCGCCCUGGCUCAUCCGUCUCCAAGCUCCGGGUCUAUAGUGACUCCCAACUCAUGGUAAGACACGUUAAGAAGGAAUACGAAGCUAAGGAUGCGCGCAUGACGUGAUAUCUGACUAAAGUAAGGGACACCUUACAACGGUUCACCGAAUGGACGAUCGAAAAAAUCAAACGAUCUAAAAAUGGACGUGCCGACGCCUUAGCAGGCAUAGUUGCCUCCCUCCCCAUCAAAGAAGCCAUAUUGUUGCCUAUACAUGUGUAAGUCAACCAUUCCGUCGCGGAAACCUCCACUUGCAAUACCAUUGAGGCAAAUCAAGCAGACGACCAAGAGUGGACGGAAGACAUUAUAAGGUACCUCUAGACAGGCACUCUGCCUGAAGAGCCCAAGCAGGUACACAAGCUCCGGGUGCAAGCCGCCCGUUUCACCCUAAUUGGGGGGUACUUGUACAAGCGAUCCUUCACAGGUUCCUAUCUUCGGUGCCUAAACCACUCAGAGGCCCUGUAUGUAUUAGCUGAAUUGCACGAGGGAGUAUGUGGAAUUAUUCUGGAGGUCGAUUUCUGGCACACAGGGCCCAUUCGCAAGGAUAUUACUGGCCCACGAUGAAGAAGGAUGCGGCAGCCUAUGUCAAAAAAUGUGACAAAUGCCAAAGGCAUGCCCCCAUACCACAUGUGCCGUCGGAGACAUUGAAGCCAAUAUCAGGCCCCUGGCCCUUCACGCAGUGGGGCAUGGACAUAGUAGGACCCCUACCACCCCCACCCGCUCAAAAGAAAUUCCUGCUCGUCGCCACGAAUUACUUCAGUAAAUGGGUGGAAGCUGAGGCAUACGCUAGCAUCAAAGACAAAGAUGUCACCAAGUUCAUGUGGAAGAACAUCAUCUGCCGCUUCGGAAUCCCCCAAACCAUUAUAGCCGACAACGGUCCAUAGUUUGAUAGCAUCGCUUUCCAGAAUUUCUGUUCGAAACUAAACAUCCGGAAUUCAUACUCCACACCGCGUUAUCCUCAAAGUAAUGGGCAAGCAGAGGCCACAAACAAGACUCUAAUCACUACCUUAAAGAAAAGGCUCGAGCAAGCCAAAGGAAAGUGGGUGGAAGAGCUACCCGGCGUCUUGUGGGCUUAUCGAACCAUACCCAGAUGUCCGACAGGAAACACUCCCUUCGCCCUCGCAUACGGUAUGGACGCAAUCAUUUCUAUUGAAAUAGGGCUACCCACUAUCCCGGACCGAGGCAGGAAAGCAGGAUGAUGCAAAUGUGGAGUUAAGAAGAAACUUGGACUGGGCAAACGAAGUAAGGGAAACUGCAUCCAUUCGGAUGGCAGAUUAUCAACAAAGGGCAUCCGCUCACUACAAUCGCAAAGCAAGGCCCAGAAGCUUUAAAAAUGAUACGCUGGUCCUUAGAAAGGUUUUCGAAAAUACUGCUGAGAUAGGAGCGGGAAAAUUUCAAGCCAAUUGGGAAAACCCCUAUAUAGUAUCUAAGACAAGUGAAAGUGGAGCCUAUCAUCUGCAGAAGCUAGAUGGAACCCCAUUGCUCCGACCAUGGAAUGUAUCUAAUCUAAAGUAGUAUUACCAAUGAAAGAAAAAUAGAGGUACAAAUAUGAAUAAGUAUGUUUUAUUAAUACUUGUGAAAAAUUGUAUACAAAAGUUCUCCGGACUACAAAAUACAGAGAGAAGAUAGCAGUAAAAAUUACAAAAAGAAAAGCUCUCAUUGGGAAGGCUUGCCACGCAGCUUCUCCUCCUCACCCGGGGGAAUCGAAGGGACGUCCCGUUUGAUACCAAGUUUCUUCAUACAGCAACGGUAGCCGAAGAAGUACAUUUCGUCUACCUACUUCUGGUAGUCUGCUUCAAGUUCCUCCCUUUCCGCAGCAAACUCAGCCUCCAACUCUUCUUUUUGCGCUAAUAAACGCAACUGCAAAUCCUCUCUCUGCUUUUUCUCAAUUGACACCUCUGUUUGGAGUUGCCUCACUUCUCCCGCAGUUGGGCCAUUUCGUCCUCCGCCUCAUGUAGACGGGCGUCUGUAGAUUCCUCCCGACUCUUUGCCUCAGCUAGCUCUACCCGGAGAGCCUCGUUGUCAUCUCGAGCAGCGGAUAAACUGGCUUCGGCCUGCUCUAAUCUCAAGCGCAGUUCCUCUUCACUGUUUAUGCGUUGAGAGACGAAGGCCUUCAUAUAAUCAGCAGUUCGUAGUAGGUCAGAAAAAAGAUCACGUUGUUGAGCCAUGCCGCGGAUACCGCUCACCAGCUGCAGAAAAACCCACAAACAAGAAGUGCAAAAAUUACAACCCAUGUGACAAACACAUCAGAAUGGCAAGAAAAAUCAAGAAGUAAACUAUACCAUUUCCGCUGCUUCAAACAUUUUUGCUGAAGGCACAGCAACAUCUGAGCUGGAUGGAAUCCGUUUCAGCAUCUCUCCCAACUGCGCAUAGCUGAAAGGACUAGCGGAGAUGCAAGCUGCAUCAUCAACGGGACUUCCUCCUGACGAGGCAUUAGGGAGUGACUCCUUUCCCGAGUCCGGGGCCUCAUCAUUCUCGACCGGCUGGGUCUCUCCGAGUGAACCCCCAUCUGGGACCAGCACCGGGGCGGUUGGAUUCUCUUCUGCCAUCUCUGUCUCACUCCCCUCCGGAUGAUCCUCCUGGACGGACGAGCAGCUGACUUCGAUGGUUUCCAAAAAACGAUCUUGAAGCCGCCUGAUGAGGCUAGACUUUAAGUCACGGGCCGGACGAGACCUCCUUGCAGUUGGCCCCUUCACCGGUAUAAAGGCAAGGGAGCUUGGCUCGCAAGGAGGCACACCCUGACUUUCUGCCCUCGUUUCUUCCGUUGGGGGUGCCGUAGGAGGCAAUGCUUCAGUACAAGAGGCCUCGGCUGCAUCCGCGUCCGAAUGGGGAGAGCCGAGCUGAUUUACUGAAGUCGCUUCCUCAGCCAGAAGAGCCAGCCGUCCAGCCGCUGGCACUGAAGGCCCCGAAUGGUUUAGACCCGCGAGACGUCCGGAGCCUCUUGAAACAGAAGGCAAGACGGGGGAAGGGGGGAGAGGGGGGGGGGGGGGGGUGGUCUGGCUCUCUUAUUAUUAUUUCCUUUACGAAAGUUGGAGGUGGUAUUACCACUUCCUUUGGUGGAGUUGGAAGUUUUAUUUAUUUCCCCUUAUUGAGAGCCUUCUUCUUCUUUUUCUUCGCCGGGGCGCCAGCAGGAAGAGAGGGCGCGAAGCGUUUUAUAUCGGGGGCCCUCCGCAAAGUUCCCUCUUGCCUCAUUCCCUCCCGUUCGUCGAGACGUGCUCGGCGUGCCUGGGCAUCUGCCUUGCGCACCUCCUUGUAGAAAGGAAGGUCUUUUAGAACAAAAUGCUCCCCAGGCAUUACCUUCUUUGGCAACUUCCUGGGGAGAAUAUUGAUGACAUACGCCUGGGGCUCUUGGACAACGGCUAGCAAGUUUCGCGUAGUAAGCAGCGUCUCAUGAUGCCUCUCAGCGGCAGUAAUCUCAAAUAACUUGUUCAGUCGAACGAAAGACGUUUUUUCUACCCACUCGACUACGCGACCCCUCUUGUCCGGACCUGCAUUAUCAGCAACCAAAGAUAUUAAGCCAUCUGAUAACCCCAAAGCAAGAAAAGCAACAAGACGAAUGCCGAACAAACCCCGCAAGCUGUCUUACCCGGAAGCACCAACGAAAGGUUUGGGGAGAAUGGCCUCUCCGGAUGCUCCAGUAGCCCAGCCCAGAUACCCCGGACCAACACAUGUCCCUUGGCUCCUCCCUUCGUCGAAUCCGAAAGCUUAGUCACUAGUUGGAGAGAAGGCAGGUGGGAAACCAUGCUAAAAAUGUCAUUUUUCUCCUUCUUAAGGGAGUAGAUGAAAAGAACCUCCAGCAGCGAGAGGUCCAGGUUGAACAACAUGCUCAGAAUGCUGCAUCCCAUCAGCACCCGGACCAUGUUGGGAUGGAUGUAGGCCGGGGGGAUCUGGGUGAAGUGGAGAAAUUCUUUGAAAAGUGAUGGGAGAGGGAACCGGAGCCCAACAUUGAGUUGCUUCUUGGUAAAGCAGAUAGUGUUCUCCUCAGUUUUCUCAGUCGACAUGGCCUCUCCGUCCAUAAGUUCAACGGACACGCCAUUUGGGAUGCAGAAGCGUUCGCGAAACUCCCUCACAUUCAACUUAUCCACGGAUUUCUCAGCAUGAGCAUCUCCGGGUGAGCUGGAUGAAGUAGCUUCCUUGUUCGCAGACAUUUUGUAGGCUGGGGCUGAAAUGGAAUCUGCAUGGAGGAAUGCCAACAGUCAAACACAGCAAUCCGACCCCACAACCUUAACUCUACCCCAAAGAAGAAUCGGUGACCCACAAAAGGCACAAGGGUGCAACAGAAACCCUAAACACACCCAAAACACGAUCAAAACCCCCCGAAAAAAGCCCUAGAAACCAAUACCGAUUCCUAGUCGCAAAGCAACUUGCCCAGCAAGCCAGAAACAACCAACAAAACAAACACAACAAGGAGAAAAAAAAAAUAGAAAACGUACCGAGUGUAAAACUGGAAAAAUGGGAUGAAAUCCGCAGUGCAGUCACCGUCACGAUACGAGUAUUACCGGCAGAAAACCCUAGAGCUUCACUAGAAAGUGAAAAUACGCGGAAGGUAGAAGAGAAAGCACUACCAGAAAAAGCGCAGAAGGAAAAAUGCAAGAGAAAGGCACAGUUUGCUAUUUAUAGAGAGACAGCUCCUCGGUAUCCCAAAUGCUUAGCCGCACCAUCAUUGAAAGGACACGCUGCCUGGGAAAUCCCAGAAUCGGCGGCUCAUCAUAAAUGAUCUUCUUCCUUUUUCGCCCCCGCUCGCCACGUGGCCCAAUAAAGCGAAAAAAGUCAACCUCAGUUUCAAAAAACAAUCAUUUUUUAACCCACCCAUUUUGCCCUGGCAAAAUGGGCAGGUUAAAAGGGGGGCAUUGUAGGGACCUCUCCCCCUGAUGACAUGUGACACACAUUUCUAUCCGAAUUAGCUCCAUCCGGAUUUCCCCCAAGGAGACACGUGGCGCGCUUCCCCUAUCCGGACUCCCUCAGGGAGAAGCACACGACACUUGCAAACCUCACAUCCGGACGACCGCCAUAUCGCAUCCGGACGACCGACAUAUCCUAUCCGAAUAUGUUUGUCCAGAUCGUUGACUAAAGUAAGCAAGUCUUACUACGUCAUUCCGACAGCCUGCCACGGCUCACGUUCCGCCACCUGCAGAGUGAAAAGACAGGAAUGAUGGCAAGUCACUUCCUACGAUCUCUGACAGUUGCGACGCCUCCCACGAUCUCUGUCAGCCGCUCGUAUGGUGAUGAUGGCCCUGUCACCACCUAGAGUCAUCAUGACAAGCCAAAAUAUCUCCCUAUCAUUAAAGAGGGAGAUAGAGCUUCUGGUACUAUAUAUAUGGACCUUCACACAAAGAGGAAGGUAAGCUUGCUAUACCUAGUAAAAGGCCAACUGAUUUAUCUCUCUAACCAUGGUUGACAAAACCAUCGGAGGGUGUGUCCGGACGCCUUUUGCAGGAAUGACUAAACUAGGAAUCUAUAUUGGUUGAGAUUGUGCGUCCAUCUAUUUGGCAACUACGUGGAUCACCAGGGACGCGAGGCCUCAACAUAGUCCAUUUCCAUUUGAAUUGUUGAAACUUCCUAGUCCUUGUGGGUCUAGUGGUCUCUCUAAUAAUUCCCACCAUUAAUUUUUUGUGAUGAAGUGCAGUCAUUGAUAGCUACUAUAUCAAUUUGCUAUUAAAAGUCAAGUCAUUGAUAACUACUAUUCAAUCUUUUUCAAUAUGGAAAUUGGAAUCUCUAGCGCUACUCUUCUCAUCGUUCAUUUUUAGGUAAUGUGAGAAUGUGUGAACAUAAAUGUCUUCUAAUCAACCAAUUUUUUUUUGAAAAAAACAUGUACAAAAUUGCAAAACUUGCAAAAUCAAACUGACUGUAAUCAACCAUCAUAAUUUUGAUGGUUUUGAAGAAUCAAAGGAUGAAUCCUAAAAGGGUAUUUGAUAAAAAAUAAAAAUUAAAAAAAUUAAAAGACAACUACUCCCUUAAGUAUAAUAAGUGUAUUUGGUAGCACAAAUUUCCUACCACUUAUUAUUUUUUUUCUUAAAAAAUCAUUUACUCUAUUAAAUAAACUAACCUUGGCUUAUCACUUAUAGCAAAAUAGGUUAAGUAGUUUUUAAAAUUUUAUAAUAUUAGAUUUACAUUUUUAUCCUUCAAAAUUUCAUUAAUGCUAGAUUCUUCUAUAUGCUUAACUAAUAAAUAAUUUUUAGCAUUUUUCUUUUCUUAUAAACAUAAAAAAAUAAAAAUAUUAUUAACUUAUUGGUAUAUUUUAAAAUUUUAAUUAGAUUUAAGCUUUUAUUUUUUUGGAUUACCAAUUAUACAUAUAAAUCCUUUAUUAUUAUUGUUAUUAUUGAAAGAAAGGGGUUGAAUAGGUAGUCCCUCAAUCCCCAAAUUAAAUUCUUUAUUGCGUACUUUUGGUUUAUUCCUUUACAUGAAUUCCUUGGUGAGAGUAAACAUUUCAUUAAUGGAUAAAUAAAAUUGAUUCCAUAUCACAGGGUAUAAUGUGGAAAAAUCAUCGGUCUCAUGUGUUCCUUAGUGGAUCCUUUGGAGCCCUUAUCAAAGUUUCAUGAUGAAACCAUUGACUUUUGUUUAACCCAAAUGUGCUUUCAAGACAAAUCUUGAAAGAUUUGAGAGAUGGAGGUUCAAGUCUUUUAUGAACGACCAUGUUCUCUUAGGGUUCAUGAAAUUUCACACCUUUUGAUAAAUAAAACUUAUUUAUUUAUACGUCUAAAACCUAGUAUUUAUUUAUUUAAUUAUAGAAAGUUUCUUAGUUUUAAAAACAUUUCAAAAAUCAUUUUUAGAAUCAAAUAACAAUUUUAGAGAUAAACACAAUAUUAAAAUUUAACAAAAACAAAUUUUUGAAUUAAAAACACAAUAUAAACUAAAUUACAAAAUAUAAAGUAAUUUUUAUCCUAAUUUCUUCUUGCAAAACCAAAUAGAACACCUAGAAGGGGAGUGAAUAGGUGAUUUUAAAUUUUUUCAAUAAUGAUUUAUAAGUUAUACCCAAUUCUUUUACCCUGCGAGUUGUUAGGGACUAUCAAUUCUUUCCUUUUGGCAAUUCAAACAAUAUAUCAAAUAAUAAAAAGAUAUAAAUAAUGAGACAUAAAGAUUUUUACAUGGAAAACCCCCCACACUAACCAUGGAGAUAAAAAGCCAUGGAGUCUAAGACCUAUUAAUCUAAAUUCACUAUACGAAAUCAAGUUACACAAAUUUAUUUGGUAGCUUUACCUUAAAGACUUACUCUCCGGUACUGACAACUUGAUUCACGUCCAUGACGUAGCAACCCUCGAUUACUCCAAUGUAUCACUUCAAGCUUACUAAAAGGAUGAAGGCCUUCAAACCAAGAUUCAAAAAUCAAUUCCUUGAAUGAGAGAUUAGGAAUGGUGUGCCACUUUAGGCUUUCUCUCUAAGAUCUCUAAAAUGAUCUCCUCAAUGAAAACCUCUUAAACAAAAUGAGAUAUUUCUCCACAAUCUCUAACCCUUAAGGGGUUAUAAUGAGAUAUUUAUAGGCAACUAAGUUGAAAGUUUCAGUUUUGGAAGGUUUCUCAAUUGAAUUUGUGUGAAAAACUCGGCAGAAUCGACAUGAUCGCUCGAGCCAACACACUUCCCACUUGAGCGUUUUGGGCACUUGAGCGGUAAGGCUCGCUUGAGUUGUCUUAAGCACUUGAGCAUUCUAGGCUACUUGAGCAAUCUUGCUCUAUUUCAAAAGUUAAUUUUAAAUCAUUUUAAGUUCAAAACAAAAUUGAUUCCCUUUAUACCUCAAAGAAGCCUAACUUGCCACAAACCAAACCUUUUUAGAUAUACUUGUGACUUCCUGGUUGGACGAACAACAACUCUUAAUCUUCAAUGGAGAGCAAGUCACUAUCUAAAAAGAUUUAUAUGGUCAAACAUAAAAAAACAAAAAAAUUGCCAACAUAACAACAAGACUCAAUGUCCUAACAAUCUUCCCCUUUGGCAAUUUUGUGACAAAAACAACGUUACAUAAACCCACCUGAACUCUCAUAAUGGAGUUUAAUAAUACACAUUAACGUUCAAUUAAAAAUAAACUAAGGGAAUACUUUAUCUCACUUUGUAGUAUUUGUCUUCCAACCUUGUAACCUACACACAUAUAGAAAACUAUACCAAAGGUAAAACAAUGUGCAGGAUAAGAUAUGAUCAAGAAAGCAAAAUAGGAUAAUUGGAAAUUUUGCUUGAUGCCUUGUGAAAGCAUGAAAAAAGAACAAAUUCAUAUAGUAAUAUCAAGGGACAAAGCAAAACUCGAGAAGAAUAUAUAUGUAUGCAAAUCAACCAAACAUAAUAAAAGCUAAAUAAGAUGCAAUAGAUAAAAAAUAAUGCCUAGGGGUCUAUCUCCAACCAGAAAAUAGGGAGUGAAGAUCAUAGAAAGAACCUUCUGUGACUUAGAAAGAUUCUAGAGAGAUAGUAAAUUCAAACAUAAAUAUCUUGCUGGAAACAUCUAUGUUAUGUAUCUCUCUAAACCUUUUAAGUUAUGCUUUCAUCAGUUGAUUUGGUUUUUCUCCAAUGUCUCAGGUUUAAUUUCCUCUAUUAUUUCAAUUAGAGAAAUUAGUAGUCGAUUGACUUAGUGGGUGUUUGGUAAAACUUAAUACUUAUUAUUUAAUGAUUAACUUUAAGUUAAAUUGUUCUUAAGUUAUUAAUUUAAAAUUUAUUACUUAUUUUGUAUUUAAGUAUUAAGGUUAUUUGUAAAAAUCAACUUAAAAUUUAUUCUAAAUCAUCAAAUUAACACAUUUACCCUUAUUAAUUUUAACUUAUAUUUAUUUUCAUUAAUUUUAAACAAUAAAUUUAUUCAUAAAACAUCUAUAUUUUUGUAGAUACAUAAUAACCAUAAAAUAUUUACUAUAAAAAAUGAGUCAUGGAUGUAGAAUUAUAAUUCUAAAAUAUACACCUAUAAGUGUGGGUAAAUAAGACAAAAAUGAUUUGAGAUUAAGAGUAAAGUUAAUUAUUUUGACUUAAGACUUCAAGUUAAAAAUAACUUUAAGUUGCAAUAUUAAGUUAUUUUAUCAAACAUGCUUAAUUUACUUAACAACUUAAAUUAACUUAUUAAGUUGAUUUAUCAAACACCCCACUAGUAAUAUGUUGAAAAUGAAGAGCAUCCAUAGCAGAUAAUGUAUAUGUAUUUGUGUUUAGAGUAGAAGGGCACUACAACAAUGGACUUGCAUGUGAUUUGGUCGCGAUAUGAUUUUGAUGAGAAUAUUUUAUUGUCUUUAAAAUAUUGUUAUAUGAAAUGCCACACUAUGUUAGUAAAUGAUAGUUAUGUUAGUAGAAAUGAAAGUUUGUUUUAUAAUGCAUUGACCAUCCUAACACAUGCACUUAAUUAUCAUUAGUAGUUAGACAUGUAUUCCCUUUUUUCAAUUUUUUUUCUUCUUUUUAAAUACAUUCUAGUGGUACUUUGCCUUAUGACUUAAUUUUUGUUACACUUACUACUUUUGGUUUUAGUCAUAUUUCAUUUUAUUAGUAUUUUCAUUUUGUGUUACAAUUUUAUUUAGUUUCUCUAUAUUCUCUUUUGGAUGGUGAUUUCACUUCAAAUUUUAAUUCAAAUUAGGCUUAUUGUCCUCUUAGUAAGCCUUUUCUAGGCGAGUUGUUAUAGAAAAUUAAACAAACCUCUCCUAAGGUUGGCCUUGUUACAUAGACUUCUUUUCUAUUUUGAAAUAUUAUAUUGACCUCCCUUGUUAGAUAUUGGUUUUUACGAUUACUAAGAAUAAUGCUUCUUAAUCAUUAUUAACGAUAAUGCAAAAUGAUAUAACUACUCUUAGUUAAAUCAAAUCAUAAUGACAAUAUUUUCAUCUUCUUUUUCCAAUUUUCUUCUUCUUCCUCCAUACAUGCUAAUUUGCAAAAAUUUAUACCCAUUAUUUAAAUGAAAUCUUUUGAAAUAAAUUAAAAUCUUCCUUAUUUGAUAUUAUAGAAACCUAAUUUAAAUAAAAUAUUUUGAAAUAAAUUAGAUAAAAAAAAAACUUGUCAUCAUUCUAACCCAAAUCAAAUUUAAAAGAAUAACUAAAUAUUUCAAGUCUCAUUUUGUCUCAAUAUCACCUUUGCUAAUCAACCUAUCCAAUCUUAGAUCAAACUCAAAUUGCAAUCAAAUUUUGACAAGAAAAAAUCUACUUAAGACUGAAUAAGAAAACUUGUGGAAAGAGUCUUAUCAAGAAGGUGCAUGAAACCCUCAGUUCAAAAACUUCUUCUAAAAUAAAAUUAAAAAAAGAAAAGAAAAGAAAGAUAUUCAAUGUUAAAGGACUUUUAAGAUAAAUCAAAAUUUGAAAAUGAAUGUUAAUACUUGCGAUAGAUUCCACAUUCAUGAACAAAUUACCAUUGCACCACUUAUUUUCAAUUCACACUUUAAUUUACUAUCCAUAGAAACUUUCAUUAAAUUUUCCAUAAAACAAACAAAGAGCCUUAACCCCCAAAUAUUUUAAUUCUUAAAAAUACAUCAUUUCAUCAAUUUUUGAAACCCUCAUUUUAACACAAAUUAUUUUUUUUUACAAAUUAUUAAAAGAAUAAAAAGAAAAUUAAGAAGAGGUUGUCAUUAUUAUUCUUGCAAAGUCACCACAAAAUAAAUUAUAACAAAUAUAGAAAAUAAAAUAAUGUGACGAUGAAGAUGAUGCUUAGAAAGUUAGAAUGAAGAAGAUAGUAUCAUUUAGAUGAUUUAGGUUAAGAUGAGGACUAGAUAAGGAAAGUGACAUCAAUUGCCUAAUUAUUUGGGGUUUUAGACAUACAAAAUGAGGGAGAUGACUAAAAUUAUGGUUUAAUUAUUUUUGGUUAAGGAUUAUUAAGUUAUUUUAAGGAAUUAAUUAAUUAAUUUAUAAUAAAUUUAGAAUUAAUUAAAAGUUAAUUAAAAUAAUUAUUGAUUCAUAGUUUAAUUUAAAACUAAUUUGAAUAAAAGAUGAAAAACUGAAAGUCCAUUAGGGUUUCACCUAGAGAGGGGAGAGGAGGUGGAUGAUUUAAAAAAUUUCAAUAAAGAUCUAUAUGUUAUAUCCAAUUUUAUUUUACCCUGUGAGAUGUUAGGGAUAACCUUUUCUAUCAACCUUAGGCAAUUCAAACAAAAUAUCAAAUAUAAAAGAUAAGAACAAUAAGGCAUGCGAUUUUUAUAUGGAAAAUCCUCACACUAACUGUGACGAUAAAAACCACGAGAUCUAAGACCUAUUAAUCUAAAUGCACUAGAUGAAAUCAAGUUACACAGAUUUACUUGACUGCUUUACCUUAAAGAUUUACUCUCUGGUAAGUACAACUUGAUUCAUGUCCACAACAUAGCAACCCUUGAUUGCUCCAGUGGAUCACUUCAGCUUCCUGGAAGGGAUGAAGGUCUCCAAAAUAAUAUUUAAAGAACAAAUCCUUGAAUGAGAAAUUGAGAAUGGUGUGGCAAUCUAGGUUUUGUCUAUAGGAGACCCUUUUUAGAGAAUAAAGUCUCUCAACAAUCUAUCUCCAAUCUCUUCAAUAUCUCUAACCCUCAAGGGGUUAUAAGGGAGGUAUUUAUAGGCAAAAGUUUGAAAAGUUUUGAUUUUGGAAGGUUUCUCAAUUGAAAUUUUGUGAAAAACUUGGUAGAAUCAACAUGAUUGCUCGAGCCAACUCACCCAUCGCUUGAGCGCCUCAAGCACUUGAGUGGUAUGGCUCACUUGAGCGGUCUUAAGCGCUUGAGUAGUCUUUAGUGCUUGAGCGCUCUAGGCCACUUGAGCAGUCUUGCUCUCUUUCAAAAAUCAAUUUUAAAAUCUUUUUAAGUUCAAAACAAAAUUGAUGCUCUUUAAUACCUCAACAUAGCCUAAUUAACAUAAGUCAAGCCUCUUUAAACAUGUGACUUCUCAAUUGGACAAACAACAACCCUUGAUCUUCAAUGAAGAGUAAGUCACUAACUAGAAAGACUUCUAUGACCAAACAUUACAAAGAACAAAAUUGCCAACAUAUAGGAAGGACUUACUGUCUUAACAAUCUCUCCCUUUGACAAUUUUGUGACAAAAAAUUGUUACAUAAACCCACUUGAACUCUGAUAACGGAGUUUACAUAACACACUUUAAUGCUCAAUUAAAACUAAAUUAAGGGAAAGCUUUGUAUUAAUUUAUAGUACUUAUAUUUCAACCCCGUAACCUACACACAUACAAAAAACUAUACUAAAGGUAAAGUAGUGUGAGGAAUAAAGUAAUGUUGAGAAAACAAAACAGGAUAGUUGGAGGUUUUGCUUGAUGACUUAUGAAAACAUGAAAAUGGAACAGAUUUUUGUAGAGACACUGAGGCACAAAGCAAAGCUUGAGAGGAAUAUAGAUACACACAAAUCAGGAAAACACAAUAGAAGCUUGAUAAGACACAAUAGAUCAAUAAUAAUGCUUAGAAGUCUAUCUCCAACCAGAAAAUGGGUAGUGAAAACCAUGGAAAGAAACUGCUAUGACUUAGAAUAGUUCUAGAGUGAUAAUUAGUUUAAACAUAAAUAUCUUAUAAGAAACAUUUGUGUCAAGUAUCUCUUUAAACCAUCUAAGUUAUGUUUUCAUCGGUUGAUAUGGUUUUCUCCAAUUUCUCAAGUUUAAUUUCCUUUAAUAUUUCAAUAAUUUCCCUUAAUGGAUGAAUGAAUGAAUGAAUUGAAUUAAAGAAUUCAAAAUUUUUAACUCAUAGUAACUUCCCUUAAAUUACAAUCAAUACAAUAAUUCAAAUCAAGUAUACAAAAACAUAAAUAAUAGAACAUUUAUGCAUUAGGUGGCGGUAGAGGGAUAGAGCUUGAAGCAUCGUGAGAAUGGGUACAAGAAAAGAUGUAGUUAAGUUAUCCCUAAAUCUCUCGGAGUUGGAGAUCCUAAGAGUCCAUCUUCUGAUGAAGUCGGGCCAUGGAAUUUAGAGCCUCAUGGGCGUUGGGUCUACAAAAGUAAAAGCCUUGUGUGUAGCUCGGGAAGAACUAACACAACCUCAACUUUAGAGUGAGUCCUCGGAGCAGACUCUAAAUAGUCUGCCUCUAGAAUUCCACCAUGCUCCAUAGCUCGAAGCUCAUCCUCCUAGACAACUACCUUUGCAUGCUGGCCUACAUCAUGUGGUUCAUAAGUUGGAAGAGCCAUCAAACUAUAUACAUGAAUGUAGUGCUUGGGCUAGGAACUCCCAUCUAAAAAGGCAUGGGUAGCCUAGACCCCUAGUGUAGGAUCAAUCUUAAAUCCCACAUCCUCGAGUAUCCGCGUCAUGAGGAGGGUAAAAGGGAAAGUGCCUCCUCUAAAGGAUAAACCACGAAGGGGAAUGAUUGUAUCCAGGAUGACUUAGCCAAUGUCAAAUUGUUGGCUUGAGAGAAUGACGUGAAUAAAGUGAGCAGAUGGUCAAUGGAUUUGGGUGCAGUGUGUAAAUGGGUAGAAGGAGUAAGUGAAGAAUGUGGCAAACAACCAUGUUAGCUUGAAGAAGCCAACAAUCAAGAUAUAAGAAGGAAAGGGGCAAAGACCCCCAUAAAGAGAAGUCAGAAUGGUGUCAAGUUUCUCUCGGGUGAGAGCCUGAACCUCUAGGGAAAAUGAAGAAAUGAGAGCCUCAAUUUGCGACAUGCUAAGGACACAUUGAAUGUAAUGGGAGAAAAUAAGGAAAAAUUGACCAUGCAUGGUCAAUUGAAAGGUGACUCCGACCACAAUAUAAUGCAUGUUCUCAUAGAACAUGUGAACAAGAUGGGGAUAGGAAGUCCCCUAGAGAGAAAACAAAGUCUCCUAACUUUACUCUUGAAUGAUGAUAGGGAAGACAGUGUCCUGAAAAGCUUAGAGGUUAAUGGCAUGCUCAGGCUCGACACAUUGAUAUGUGAAAGAAGCGUAAUAAUGGUCUCGUGCCACCUGGCAGUGAAAACGCUCAACCGAAAGUGCAUCUAGGUUAAAAAGACCCUGGAGUGGGAUGCCCUAGACGGUUUCAGUGACCUAGGAAAGGUCACCUCCCUCUGACAUCUAUGACUAGCCAUAUCUAAGGUAUAUAAUAUGAAAAAACAAAAGCUAAAGAAGAACUAAAGAAAAUCCAAAGAAAAGCUAAACCACUAAAAAUGUUAAACUCAAUGCGUCGAACAAUACUAUACAAAUGGAAAUGAAAAAUAUGAAGUGAACUGACCUCAGAAGACAAAAGGACAGUAACCUAGAGGGCUCGAAGAUGAAUAGGAAAGUUUGAAAUGAAUAUGGCGUGCUGGAUGACCUUUAUAUAGCCUAUAGGAGUGCUUGAUGCAGAUUAGCACUCGAGCGUCAUGACUAACUUAAAUCAAAGUAUUUAUUACUAUCAAAAUAUUUUAAAAGUUUCAAAGGAAGUAUUCAAUUUAGAACCUUUUUAGAAAUUUUUUUGAAAGAAACAAAAAUAAAACGUGAAAUAUUAUGUGUUAAAGGUGUUAGAAGACAAUAUUGUCUAAUCCAAAGCCUUACACAUUCCACAAAAAAAAAAAAGGAAAAAGAGAGAUAUUAUAUAAGAUUUUGAUCACAUCUAAUAGAAACUAAUAUUUAGCAACAUAUCACCAAGCACUAUCUUAUCAGAAAGCUCUAACAUGUUGGAAAUUUAUGUAAGGUUCCAUAACAACUAACAACUUUUUCUGACGACUUGGCAAUGGACCAUUUGCACUUUAACUACAUUAUUGAAUUUAAAUCAUAUUAGAAUAGUAAUUGACUUCUCUUUUGUGAGGCUACAUAUCUUGUAGGAUGGGAUAGGUGAUUCAUUUCAUAUAUGAAAUUUACUUAAUUUAGUAAUGCAUCCAAGUUCAUUAUGAAUAUAAUGGUACCACAACUUUUUGAAUAUUUGUAAUCUGUAAUCUUUGUUUCAACUUCUCAAGUCUAGUCAUUUUAUCGGCAUAACUAGUUUGCUUCAAUUAUCUCUCAACUUUAUUAUAAAACUAAGGGAAAUGAUUAUCACGCAUUUUAUAUUAACUUAACCAAACAUCUUUAUAUAUCUUACAUAUAUAUAUAUAUUGUAAAUUUAGGAAAAUUUCAUCCAUUAGCCAUAGUAAGUAAGAAUCAAAUAUGGGAUAUGUAAGCCAAUGGUGAUAUUGAUGGCGUCAAAUCAAUGACAUAGUAGAAACGUGGAUUGUCUAUUUUCAAACCUUUAUAUUUUCAUCCAAUAGUAAAAAGGUUUAGGCAUCACUUGAAAAGUAGUUUGUUUUUUACCUUGGACUAUGAUUUAUGAAUAAAGUUCUUCUGUUGUAUACCUUUUGUGAUGCCCCAAACCUAAUUUAGGGGUAAAAAUAAUAAUUUAGAAACAAAUAAAUAAAAAUUUAAAUAAAUUUAAUUAAGGUAAAAAUGUAUUUUCGUAUUUAAAAUUCCUAGGGAUCAAUUAUAUAUUUCUUGUCUUCUCUAUUCAAAAAACCCUAUUACACAAAAAUCAAAGAUCAGAGAACAUAGGACAACGUAGGGUUGAAGAUUUGGAGGUUUAGGGUUGAAGAUUAGUUUUCCAGGUAAGAUUCUAACCCUUAAAUUAGUAUUUUAGAUUCGUUAAUUAGUUUGAACACUUUAGAUAUUCUUUGAAAAAUCUGAAUCCACGUUAGGGUUUGUUAAUUUAAUUUUUAAAUAAAAAAGAUUGAAAAUUUAUGAACAUAAGUAGAGUUAUUAUUAAAGAUUGAAAAUUUUUGAAUAUUUGAAUUAAAAAUCUAGAAAAAAAAAAAGAAAAUAAAUUAUAGAUUUGGAUGUGGAAAAAAAUUAAUAUUAAUAAAUAAAUAAAACCUAUGAGUAUGGAGGUAGAAAAAUAUGAAAGUUGAAAGCAAAGAAAAAAAAAAGGAAUAAGGUUUUGUGGUUGUAUAUGCCUCCUUAGUGGAAAAAAAAUACAAGGUUGCUUGCAAUAGGAUAUGAUAAAGAGAGAGAGAUAAAUGCUUCGAUAUUGAUUUUUGUGGGGAAAAAAAGAUUGGGUAAUGCAGGAGAGAAAUAGGUAGCAUUUGUAGAGUUGGUGGAGUUGUUGUAAAAGCUCGUAGGGGUAAUUGUUAGGAAACAUUAGGACUUGAAAUAAUAAUAAUUGCUUCUAGUAAAAGUUUUAAUUUAGUUUAAGUAUAUAAAAGAAAUAGAUGAUUAGAAAAAGAUUUGGAAGGAAUAUGAAUUCAUAAAAUUUCGAAAUUUACUAAUUUAGAUUAUUAUUGUUUUGGAAGUUGAAUAUAAUAUAGGUGAUAAUAUUAUUAAUAUAGGAAAUGAUUAAGAUUCUCAAACCUACAAUUUUAGAUAAAUAGUUAAUAGUAAUAGAUGAUUUUUUAUUUUUUUUAUUUUUUAUUUUUUAUGUUAUGUUAAGUGAAUAAUGGAUUCUUUGAUUAAUUCUCUAAGGUUUCUAAGUGCUUCUUUAAGGUAAGGGAUAUUAAUACUGAUUUUGUAAAUGAAAAUAUUUCUUUUUAUAAGUUAUUUUAAAUUAUGAAAAAUUUUAUUAUUAUUUAUGCAUGGAUCAAAUAUAUAUUUUUUCAUGAGAAACAUGUUUAGGCAAUUUCUUUGUUUAUAAAUAAAUAAAUAAAAAAUGAGAACCUUGGAAAUAUAAUGUUUUGUUUUGUAAGUUUAAAAUAAUGAAAUAAAGUUUUUGACUCUGGUUUAUAUGACCUUAGUUAAUGGGUUAUAAUUGUUGACAUUUUUAGCUCCAAUCAACAAUUAUAAUUGUUGACAUUUUCAGCUCCAAUCAACGAUUAUAAUUGUUGAGAUUUUCAACCCUAGCCAAUGGGUUAUAAUAGUUGACCUUAUAGCCCUAGUCAACAGAUAUAAUUGUCAACCUUUGGUUUUGCCCAUCUUAAAAAGAACAAAUUUAAGGCUAGCCAUUUAUUUGUAAAGUCCCACCUAACUAAGUACCAUUUGUUAUUUAAUAACCAGAGUAAAGAUAUUUUGAAUGUAUUUGAUAUGAAAUUGUUUUGAUAUAAAUAUGAAAAUGUUUGGUUGAAAGUUCAAAUGUUUAAUGCAUGUUGAACUCAAAAGUUUUAUUAAAAUGAUUAUAUGUUAUAUAUCCUAUUUGUAAGCUUGAUCCAUGAAACUGUAUUAAUAUUCCUUAUUGGACUUUGAGCUCAUUCCCCUUUGUUGAGAAUUUUUUUGGUAUUCUCAGUUUGGGCAAGGAGUGAUGACUGGGUUGGGGAAUUUUCUUUGCUAUGAUUUUGGUUCAAUCUUUAUUUUGGACAUUGUUUAGAUGUUAAAAUUUAAUUCCCAUUUAAAUUAUUUGAGUUUGGAGUUAUUUGGACGAUAACACUUUGAUUGAUGUGUUAGUUUUAAAGUUGAGAAUUGAAAAUUAUAGAAUUUAUUUAUCUUACUACUUUGAACAGAAAUUUAGUAAUUGGAGAUCAUCCAGUUACAAGAUGAAUAUUUGUGUCAUUUCCACUUUGAGAGUUCAGACUUGGGGUGUGAAAUGACCGUUAUGCCCUUGGAGUGGGUAUAUUGUUUAUUUGAAUUUAAUGGUCCCCGAACUCCUUAAUUACUCAUAACUUUAUAUCACCUUCUCAAAGUUAAGUUGUUUUACAACUAUUAUCUAGCUACUUUUCUCUACUAUGACAACUUUAUUACAUAGUGAUUAAUUGAAAGAAUCUACAUGUUUUAUUUCAUAGGAUAGUUGAUUUUUUUACUCAAUGAAUCUUGCUUUUAUUAUUGAAAUUUCAAAUCAUUGUAGUCCAACAAUUUCCUAUCCAUUGGUAAUUUCAUAUUACAUUUCCAAAGUCUAAUCAUUUAAAAACACUUGUAGUUAAUAUAUUGGCAAUUGCAUUGUGGGAAGUUGUUCACUUGAUUUUAAUGUUGAAACUUUCAAAUUAUUGUAGUCCAACAAUUCCCUAUCCAUUGGUAAUUUCAUAUCACAUUUUCAAAUUAUAAUCAUUUACAAAUACUUGUAUAUAGUAUAUUUGGUGAUUGUAGAGUGGAAAGUUGAUCGUUUUCAUGAAGACCUCUAAAAUAUAAAUUUUUUUCAUUCCAUUUAAUAAAGAAUUUCAUUAAUUGAACAUAUAUGUUUUUUUUAGCUGGAAAGUAGAGGCCACAUUAUACGAGGCCUUAGGUGACAAUACUAGGUGAGGGUUUUUUUUUUAAUUUAUUUAUUAUGAAAUAUAAAUAAUAUUAUUUAUUGUAUAAUAAAGAUUAUUAUAAUAUAUUUUUUAUAGAUGAAAAAAAUAUUAAUUGAGUUUUAUUUAUUUUUUAAUAAUUGUUUUCAAUAAAUAACUUAUUUGUAAAAAGAAAACUAUAAAAUAUAUGCAUUUGAAAAAUAUUUAAUUUUUAUUUGAUUUAGUAUCAAUUAAUAUUUGUAAUAUUUUUUAAUAUUAUAGAAGUUAACAUACUCAAUCAAGAUAUUCAAGAUCAAGAGAACAUUUGAGAUUGAAUUAAUUUCUUUAUUGUUUAUGUUUUAGAAAAUUUUUAUAUCCAUUACAAAUUUUCUAUUGUUUAUUUUUCAUUCAAUUUUUGCAUUUUGUAAUAGAUAUUAAAACGAAUUUUUUUUCCUAUAUGUUAAAAAAAUAUUUCAAUGUCUUUAAAAAUAAAAUAUUGCAGUAAAAUCAAAAUUACAUUGUGAAACUUUAAGCGAAUGUUUUAUACUUAAGAAGUGCCAAUUAAAGUAAGCAUGCAUCUACAAUUGUAAUUUAGAUGUCAUACUGAAACAAUAGUUCUCUUCGACUAUAUCAUAAAAUUUGGUUCGAAUUACUUUAAGUCAUCUUGUAGAUUUUCAAGUUCUAAUGAUAUGCAUCAAGUAUGUGCAACAUACUUGAUAUAACUAAUAUUUUCUUAAGUAAUUGGACACUUUUUUUCUAUAAAUUUACUUGAUUAUCAAUGAAUACUUUUAUGUAGGGUAUUGAUAUAAUUCGAUAAAUAUUUUAAAAUAGUAUUAGAAUAGCUUUGCUCUUUCCCAAUUAACAAAUUUACCAAAUUAACUUAUAUAUAUUUGUUUAUUUGAAUUUACUGGUAUUUGACUCAAAUUGUUAUUAUUUUUAAAAUUAUAGGAAAACCAUUAUUUAUAGAGUUUAAUUAUAUUUUGGUAAAUUAUCUUUUUAAGUUUGACUAGGAUUAGGAAACUAUUAAUUUAAGAUUAAUCCAUAAGGCUCUAUAAAUUUGCAGUUUUAUAUAGGAUUUAAAAAAAGAAAGAAAAAGUAAGAAAAAGUGAAGAGAGAUAGGCAAAGAGUGCAUUGGGUUUUAGAUAGAGAAAGAUUGAGAGAGUUUUGAUUACUACUAAAAAAGAACAUAUUUUAGAUAGUAAUUCUCAUGAGUUUCGCAUCUUUUGAGCAUUAAUUAUGCCUAAAAAUGCUCAAUUAACAUGUUGUUGCCCUUGCAAAAGUUACUAACAAGUUUUAUAAAGUUUUGGAGUCAUUUCAAGUUAUGAUUUUAAUAAAUUGGUGACGAAAGAAAUGAAUUGAUUUGAAGAAGGCAAAUAAUAUUGAUGAUGAUCAAAUGCAUAAUGAAAUAAGAAAUAUAAUUAGUUUGAUCGGGAUUUGCUGCUAAUUUGGAGGUAGUUAAGGUGGAGUCAAAAGAAGAAAAUGGAAGAAAUGACAAAAAGGAGCUUAAAAACCAAAUGUUGCAGAUUUGUAUGAUCAUGCAAAAAUUUUACAUGACUAUGCGAAAUGGAUUAGAGAAGGAAAAUUGACUAUAGUAUAAGGAGGAUGCUUAAGUUGAUUUCGCAUGAACAUGAGAAAAUUUCGCAUGAACAUGCGAAAAUUUUGAACAAUCAUGCGAAAUGGUCCAGAAAGCUCUCUAAUGUUGUUGUUGCUCCACUAAUUUCGCACCACCAUGCGAAAUCGAUAUUUUCAUGCAAAAUGGCUGAAGCUCAUGUGAAAUCAUGAUUUUGAGGCUAAACUCCAGAUUUGUGAAUUUGGAAGGCUUUAUAAGACCAAUGAGAGGUUGCCAAGUGUUCACUUGACCUUGGCCUAUAAAUAGAAACUUGAAUUUCCCAUGUAAAGAGCUUUGUGAUACUUUUAAUUUUAGAUUUUUCUAGAAACUCUUUUUCUAAAUAGAAUUCUAUAUUUUCUUUAAUUUUCCCUCAUUUUCUCAUUAGCCAAACAUGCCUAGUGAGACCAAAUCUCCAAGUAUGAGUGGCUAAAUUUCGUUUUUCUCAAAGGAAGGAGGAUCUAGAGGCAAGAUCUAUGGUGAAUUAUAGAAAUGAGUUUUAAUUGCAAAUGUAAUUUGAUCCAAUUGAUUGAUUAAUUGAAAUUUGAGGAUUUCUCUCUUCAAAUUGUCUUGAAUGACUAUUACAUUGCAAACUAGGUAGAUUCAUUAAAUUCUUAAAGCUAGAUUUAAUGAGACUGAAUAGUUGCAUUGUAUGAAUCAUUGGAAGAUGAUUUAAGAUGAAUUGAAUAUAUAAUUUAAAUUGAUCUCUUGGAUUAAAUAACCUAAUUUGAAGAGAAAUUAGGUUUAGACUUAAAGGUAAAUCCAAAAUCGGUUUAGAUAAGAAUUUAGGUUUUCAAUAUAACUUGAUGAAAAAUAAAUCUCAACAUCUAUUCACUAUGGAAAUUGUUUUCUAAAAAAUAUUAACUCCGAGAAUUCCUUUUCCUUAUCAAUUUUCUUAUAUUCUACAUUAUAUUGUUCUUUUCAAUUAGAAAUCAUUGUUAUUUUGAUUUUUCAUGAAUUGUCAAAUCAAUUUCACUUGACCACAAUCAUUUCUUUUCCUUCCAUUUAAACCUUAAUUAUCGAGAAUAAUCCAUCCCAAUGGAAGACACCUAAGACCACUAUACUACCGUAGCUUUUGCUAAAAAACCUUUUUGAUCGGGCAAGAGUUACCUUAGCAUAGUUGAAUUAUGUUAUAAUUUUUUUUAUCCAAUAAACAACAAAAAAAUCAAUCGAUCAAGUUUGCAUUGUGUAUUCUUGAAUUUUAUUAAUAAAUUUAAUCCCCCUUUUUGAAGCGAUUACACCAAACCAAGUAAAUAUUUUAUAUACUUCAUUUGCUUUAUUUUUUCUAUUAAGUUUAGGUGUUGCAAUUUUCAAGAGUCAUGGUGAGAAGAUUGUGGGAAAAAUUAUUUUAAGGAUGGAGUCGAACAUAAAAUAUGAAAUUGAGUCCUUUGAUGGAAAUAAUAAUUUUAAUAUUUGAUAAAGUAUUAUUAAAGAUGUUUUGAUACAACAAAGACUUCUCAAAGCAUUACAAGGCAAAAAAACUAGAGAGCAUGACAAAUAAAGAAAUGAAAGAAUUAGAAGCAAGAGUUGUAAGUACUAUUUGUUUAAGUCUUAAAAAUGAAAUACAUUGUUUUGAAUGAAAAAUAUUCUUUCAGGGGUGUCAAUUGCUCUUUUAGAGACCAAAAAUAUUAAGCAAUCAAGUAGUUCAUCUCAUAUUGGACAAACUGUUAUGAUGAAUUCUAAACCACAUCAUCAUAGGAGUAAAUCGAAAGAAAAGUAUCUGAUAGGAGGAUGAUCAUUCCAUUCACAUUUAUGGAGGAAUAUGAAGUAUUAUUACUAUGAAAAAAAAAACAUAUCAGGAGAUAUUGUAAAGAAUUGAUGAAGUACCUAGAAGAAAUGAAAAUUUUUAAAUCCCAAGAGACUUCAAAUUCUACUAAUAUUGUUGAUGAAAAUUUUGAAAUAUUGUAGUAAAUUAAAAGUUACAUUAUGGGACUUUUAGUGAGUGUUUUGUGUUGAAGAAAGGCUAAUUAAAGUAAACAUGCAUCUAAAAUUAUAAUUUAGAUGUUGUACUCAAAUAGUUGCUCUCCUCGAUUAUAUCAUAAAAUUUGGUUUGAAGUAGUCUAAGUCAUCUAAUAAUUUUCUAGUUCCAAUUACAUGCAUCAAACAUGUGUGUUAGGAAGUGUUGCAAAUUACUAAUUAGUAUAGAUCCCUUUUUUUUUUUAAAGAAUAUUGUAUUGAAUAUUUCUAGGUUGAUAUAUUAUUGUAAUAUUAGACUUCCUUAUAGAAUAAGGAAUGUUGUUGAAAAUAUCCCUAUAAAUAUUCUAGUUCAUAAGGGGAAAAAGUUAUGAGAUGAAGAUGGACCCAUAAAGACUAUACAAGGUGGAUAGAGAUGUGAGGAAGAACAGGAGGUACCCGGUGGAGCGAGAGGGCUCGUGGUAAGGUAUAGGUACGAAGAGUGAGGAAACAUGGGAUGUUUUGGGAACCCAAUAGUUAUAUCUAGUUAUAUCAUCUAUAAGUUCUAGUUCUGUCCUUUGCAUUGUUCUCUAUUUUAUAGUGGAAUGAUUCUCUCUUAUCUGUGGAUGUAGGCAUGGUUUUCGAACCACGUUAAAACCUUAUGUACCGUUUGUGUCGAAUUUUUUUAUCUUUAUUUUCUUGAUUAAUGAAGUUUGCAUCAAAGCUUCCGUCAACGGAACAAACUUGUAUCAAAGCUUGGGUUAAAGAUUUCUGGAAGAGUAAAAGAUCACAAAGCACACAAGAUGAAACCAAAAGGAUUUUUUAGUGAAAAUGGAGUCGAUUGCUCUCUUGUGGUGAUAUGAUAUAAAAAGUUUGUCUCAUGGAAAGUUUGAAGAUUGACUUCAUGGAAUUUGGUCCAAAAUGGAGAUUGUUAAUAAGUGUCCCAAAUUCCUAAUUAGUAUAGAUUUUUUUUUUUUUUGUAAAGAAUAUUGUAUAGAAUAUUUCUAGGUUGAUAUAUUAUUGUAAUAUUAGACUUUCUUAUAGAAUAAGGAAGGUUGUUGAAAAUAUCUUUAUAAAUAUUCUAGGUCAUGAGGAAAAAAAGUUAUGAGAUGAAGAUGGGCCUGUAAAAACUAUAUGAGGUGGAUAGAGAUGUGAGGAAGAACGGGAGGUACUCAAUGGAAUGAGAGGGCUCGUGGUAGGGUAUGGAUACAAAGAGUGGGGAAAUAUGGGAUGUUUUGGGAACCUAAUAGUUGUAUCUGGUUCUGUCAUCUAUAAUGUUCUAGUUACGUCCUCUAUAAUGCUCUCUAUUGUAUAGUGGAAUGAUUCUCUUUCAUCCAUGGACGUAAGCAUGGUUGUCGAACCACGUUAAAACCUCAUGUACUGUUUGUGUUAUUAUUCUUUAAAUUUUUUAAUAUUUGUUUCUUGAUUAAUGAUGUGUGCAUCAAAGCUUCCACCUACAUAACAAACUGGUAUCAGAGCUUGGGUUGAAGAUUUUUGGAAUAGUAAAAGAUCACAAAGCACACAAGAUGAAAACAAAAGGAAUUUUUAGUGAAUGUGGAGUCAAUUGUUUUCUCGUGGUGAUAUGAUACAAAAAGUUUGUGUCAUGGAGGGUUUAAUGAUUGACUCCGUGAAAUUUGGUCCAAGGUAGAGAUUGUUAGGAAGUGUCCCAAAUUCCUAAUUAAUAUAAAUUCCUCUUUGUAAAGAAUAUUGUAUAGAAUAUUUCUAGGUUGAUAUAUUAUUGUAAUAUUAGACUUCCUUAUAGAAUAAAGAAGGUUGUUGGAAAUAUUUUCAUAAAUAUUUUAAGUCAUGAGGGAAAAAAGUUAUGAGAUGAAGAUGGGCCUAUAAAGACCAUACGAGAUGGAUAGAGAUGUGAGGAAGAAUCGAAGGUACCCAGUGGAGCGAGAGGGCUCAUGGUAGGACAUGAAUAUGAAGAGUGGGGAAACAUGGGAUGUUUUGGGAACCCAAUAGUUGUAUCUAGUUCUGUCAUCUAUAAUGUUCUAAUUCUGUCAUCUAUAAUGUUCUGGUUUUGUCCUCUGUAAUGUUCUUUAUUGUAUAGUGGAAUUAUUCUCCCUCAUCUGUGUAGGCAAGUUGUUAAACCACGUUAAAACCUCGAAUACCAUUUGUGUUGAUUUUUUUUUAGUUUUGUGUUCUUGAUUAACAAUGCUUGCAUCAAAGCUUCUACCAACGUAACAAUGUGCAACAUAUUUGAUAUAACUUAUAUUUUCUUAAGUAAUUGAACACUUUUUUUCUAUAAAUUUACUUGAUUAUCAAUGAAUACCUACAUAUGCGGUAUUGACAUAGUUUGAUAAAUAUUUUAAAAUAGUAUUAGAAUGGCUUUUCUUUUUCCCAAUUAAAAAAUUUAUCAAAUAUAUACAUACACACACACACACACAAUACUCAUUAGUAUGUCUUUUAUGAAAAAACUAUAUUUGUUUAUUUGAAUUUAGUAGCCAUUUAACUCCUUAGUUACUCAUAAACUUUAUAUCACCUUCUUAAAGUCAAGUCAUUUACAAUUAUUUCUAUCUAGCCUUCUCCAUUAUGACAACUUUAUAAGAUAGUGAUUGACUGGAAAAAUCUACAUGCCUUUGUUGAUAGGAUAAUUGUUUUUCUUUUUUUCGUAUUCAAAGAAUCUUGCUUUUGUUAUUGAGACUUUCAAAUCCUUUAUGUCUAGUGGUCUUAUAAUUCCCUAUUCAUUGGUCUUUCAUAUUACCAAUCAUUUUGCAAAUGAGUUAAUUUCAUUCACAUCCUCUGAGAUUUGAUGUAAAUUCGCUUAGUUACCAAUGAUUUCAAAUUUCAUUAAUUAGUACCCCUAUAGAUGUAAUUUGUGUACAAAAUUUAUUUUUUAAAAGAAUUUAGGUAAAAAUAUUUUAGGUUUAUGUCUUUAACAAUUCUCUAAAAUAAAUUUUACUUGCUAAAAAAUAACUUAUAUAGAUAGAAUACAUCUACAGGAGUUCUAACUGACGAAAUUUAAAACUAAUGGUGGUUUAGUGUAUUUAAACUAAACAUUAAGAAGGGUGACUGAAAUUAACCCUCUAGGUAUAUAUGUUUAACAAAAUUUUUAUUGUUUAUUUUUCAUUUAAUGUUUGCAUUUUUCAAUAAACAUUGAAAAGGAAUUGUUUUUCCAUAUGUUAACAAAAAGAAAUUUGAGCACCUAUAAAAAUGAAAUCUUGUAGUAAAAUUGAAGUUACAUUAUCAAACUUUUAACGAGUGUUUAUGUUUAGAAAGGCCAAUUAAAGCAAGCAUGCAUCUAGAAAUUAUAACUUAGAUGCAUCAAACAUGAGCAACAUAUUUGAUAUAACUAAUAGUUUCUUAAGUAACUAAACACUUCUUUUUCUAUAAAUUUACUUGAUUAUCGAUGAAUACUUACAUAUAUUUACAUAGUUUGAUAAAUAUUUUAAAAUAAUAUUAGAAUAACUUUUUUUUUCUCAAUUAUAUUAGAAAAUAAUAUAAAGUUACUUAUAAACUUUAUAUCAUUUUCUCAAAGUCAAGUCAUUUACAAUUAUUUCUAUUUAGCCUUCUCCAUUAGGACAACUUUUAUAUGAUAGUCGUUGAUUGGAAGAAUCUACAUGUCUUUUUUGAUAGGAUAGUUGUUUUUAUUUUUUUUAUUUUUUUUAUUCCAAAAAUUUGCUUCUAUCAUUGAAACUUUCAAAUCUUUUAUGUAUAUUACCAAUCAUUUUACAAGUGAGUUAAUUUCACUUAGGGUAGAUAUACUUAGCCACACCCCUAUAGAUGUAAUUUGUGUUUAAAUUUUAUUUUUUAUUCAGGUAAAAAUAUCUUAGGUAUAUGUGUUCAACAAUUCUCUAAAAAAUAAAUUUUCUUAUCUAAAAGUUUAUAUAGACAAAAUACAUCUGUAGAAGUCCUAACUAAUGAAAUUUAAAAUCAAUGGUUGUUUAGUGUAUUUACAUUAAACCUUAUGGGGUAUGAUUGAAAUUAACUCUCUUACAAGCACUUGUAGCUAAUAUGUUUGUAGUUGUAGUGUUGGAAAUUGAUCAUUUUCUUGAAGGCCUCUAAGAUAUUGGAAAUAUUGCCAUAGUUUUAGACUUUUUUUUAUUACACCUAAUAAAAAAUAUUAUUAAUUUAACAUAUAUAUUCUUGACUUAAAAGUAAAGUCUCUCCAUAUUGUAUAAGCCCUUAGGUGACAAUAUUAGGUGAAGUUUUUCUUUCGUUUAUUAAAAAAUAUAAAUAAUUUAUUAUUGUAUGAUAAAAUUUUAUGUAAUAUAUUUUUAUAGAUGUAAAAUUAUUAAUUGGGUUUUAUUUUAUUUUUUUACUAAAUUGUCAUUUCAAUAUAUAAAACUUAUUUGUAAAAAGACAAUUAUAAACUAUAUGAAAUUGAAAAACAUUUAGUUUUUUUAUUUAAUUUAUAAUUUUGUUUGGAUUAAUAAUUGAUAUUUGUAAGAUUUUUUAAUAUUAAAAAAAGUUAGCAUACUUAAGAAAGAUAUUCAAGAUCGGGAGUGUUUGAUAUUGGAUUAAUUUCCUUAUUUUCUCUAUUUUAAUAAAUUUUCAUGUCCAUUACAAAAUUUUUGUUGUUUAUAUUUUACUUCAAUAUUUUUAUUUUGUAAUAGACAUUUGAAAAGAUUUUUUCCUACAUGUUAAAAAAAAAAAAUGAACACUCCUAAAAAAGAAAUAUUGCAAUAAAAUUAAAGUUUACACUGUAGGACUAUUAGCAAGUGCUAUAUACUUAAAAUAGACCAAUUAAAGUAGAAAUACUUCUAAAAUUUUAAUUUAGGUAACAAUAAUAUAAAAAGAUAAUAUUUUUGAAACAAUAGUUCUCUUGGAGUUUUGGGUACGAUGGACUAGACUUUAUGUAACAAUAGAUAUAUGAACUUUCCAUUAACAUCUUGAGAGACAUGAUGAGGAGCAAAGUCAUCCUAGAAGGUACCAUAGAGGUACCUUAGCUCCAUUCAUCUAGACUACAUAAUGUUUAAAGAUCAAAUUCAAUGACUAGAUUUCAAAAAUCAAUAUAAGCUUUCUCAUAUUCUACUCUAUAUAAGACAAUGGUAUGAUACAUCUCUUGUGUCGUAGAAUGCACCAUGAAAACCUUAUCAUUUUAACAUCAGUUUGAAACUUAAAAGUCACUUAGCACAUUCUAGUUAUUAAUGUAAGAACAUUAAAAGAAAAUAUAAAAAAAGUUACUUUAUUCUUGUGAUUUUGAUCUAGGACUUUUAAUGAUAUUAAAAAAAAAAAAAAAAAACAGAAAAAUAAAUGGAAAUAAAAUCAACAAAUUAAACAAUUGAAUUAAGUUAGUUUAAUUUUUGCAUCGUUAAAUGGGUAAAUAAAGACUCUUAGAUUUGAUAUUAAUAUGAACAUCAUGACUUUAGUGAAUCUUACAAGAAAAUUUUAGUUUGAAAGACUUCAUUCAUUAAACGUGUGGCACAUAUUAAAGUAAAACUAAGUCUUCUCUAUAAUUUGUACCUAUCAUAGUUUCUUUCCUCAUAAAUAGCCUUUUUUGAAUAUAAUAUAGACUUCAACAUGUAUGGUGGGGCCGAUCAAACUACUAGUCAAGACAACUCAUGGGCAACAACGAUGUACCAACUAUAUUAAAUACUCUUCAUCUAUUUGCAUAUCAAGAGUAAUUUAGUAGUGUCUUUCUUAUGUACCUCGUAUCUAGACUUUCAAUGGAGAGUUCUUCAUCUAAAAAUUUGACUUGGGUUUUCAUAUUAGUUUUGGUUUAGACAUAUGGAUGCAAAGGUUGCAUCAAAGAAGAGAAGUAGGCUAAAUCAUCUUACAAAUUUUCAAGUUCAAAUUAGAUGCACCAAACAUAUGCAAUAUAUUUGAUAUAACUAAUAUUUUCUUAAGUAAUUGAAUACAAUUUUUUUUAUUUUAUAAAUUUACUUGAUUAUUAAUGAAUAACUACUUGUAUGAUAUUGACACAACUUGAUAAAACUUUUAAAAUAAUAUUAGAAUAACUUUGCUAAAAAAAAGUAAAAAUAAAAAUAAAAAUAUGUCUAUAUAUAUAAAAUUAAAUAAAAUUAAAAAUUAAAAAAGAAUAUAUAUAUAUAUAUAUAUAUUGUGUGUGUGUGUGUGUGUGCAUGGUCCCACAACUCAUUAGCUACUCAUAAGCUUUAUAUCACUUUCUCAAAGUCAAGUCAUUUUGUAAUUAUUUCUAUCUAGCCUUCUCCAUUACGACAACUGUAUAAGAUAUUGAUGGGUUGGAAAAAUCUUCAUGUCUUUUUUAAUAAGAUAGUUUUAUUAUUAUUAUUAUUAUUAUUAUUAUUAUUAUUAUUCAAAGAAUUUGAUUUUAUUAUUGAAACUUUCAAAUCCUUUAUGCCUAGUGGUCCUACAAUUCCCUAUUCAUUGGUAUUUCAUAUUACCAAUCAUUUUACAAAUAAGUUUAUUUCACCCGGUAAAUAUACUUAACUACUAAUGGUUUCAAAUUUAAUUGAUUAACACACUUAUAGAUGUAAUUUGUUUUUAAAUUUUAUUUUUUUAGAAGAAUUGUAGGUAAAAAUAUUUUAGGAAUAUGCGUUCAAUAAUUCUCUAAAAACAAUUUAUAUAGAUGGAAUACAUUCAUGGAAGUUCCAACUAAUGAAAUUUAAAACCAACGACGAUUUAAUGUAUUCUCACUAAAUCUUAGGGGAGGUGUACUAAAACUAGCCUUUUUACAAAUAUUUGUAGCUAGUAUAUUUGUAGUUAUGGUGUUGGAAGUUGAUCAUUUUCUUAAAGGCCUCUAUGAUAUUGGAAAUAUCGCCAAAGUUUUGAACUUUUUGUUUCAUCUAAAAAAAAUAUCAUUAAUUUAAUAUAUAUACUCUUUGCUUGAAAGUAUAGUUUCUUCAUAUAGUAUGAAGUUGUAGCUAGGUGACAAUAUUAGGUGAAAUUUUUUUGGUUUACUACAAAAUAUAAAUAAUAUAUUUAUUAUAUGAUAAAAUUUUGUAAAAUAUAUUAUUAUAGAUGCAAAAUUAUUAAUGGAGUUUUAUUUUUUACUAAAUUAUCAUUUCAAUAAUAAGAACUUAUUUGUUAAAAGAAAAUUAUAAAAUAUAUGCAGUUGAAAAAAUUUUAAUUUUUUUAUUUAAUUUGGUAUUUUAUUUGAAUUAAUAAUUGAUAUUUGUAAGAUAUUUUAAUAUUAAAAGAAGUUAACAUACUUAAAAAAGACAUUCAAAAUCAAGAGAGUAUUUGAUAUGAAAUUAAUUUAUUUAUUUUUUCUAUUUAAAUAAAUUUUUACAUCCAUUAAAAAAAUUUUAUUGUUUAUUUUUCACUUCAAUAUUUUUAUUUUGUAAAAGAAAUAGAAAUAAAAUCAACAAAUUAAACAAUUGAAUUAAGUUAGUUUAAUUUUGCCACCGUUAAAUUGGUAAAUGAAGACUCUUAUAUUUGAUAUUAACAUGAACAUCAUGACUUCAUUGAAUCUCACAAGAAAAUUUUAGUUUGAAAGAUUUUAUUCUUUAAUCAUGUGGCACAUAUUAAAGUGAGACCAAGUCUUCCCUAUAAUUUGUAUCUAUCACAAUUUCUUUCCUAAUGAAUAGCCUUUUUGAAUAGAAAAUAGACUUUAGCAUGCAUGGUGGGGCCUAGCUAUCAAACUACUAGUCAAAGCAACUCAUGGGCAAGAAUGAUGUACCAACUAGAUUAAGUAUUCUCCAUCUAGUUGCAUAUCAAGAGUAAUUUAGUAGUAUCUUUCUUGUGUACCUCAUUUCUAGACUUUCAAUGGAGAGUUUUUUAUCUUAAAAUUUGAUGUGGGUUUUCAUACUAGUCUUGGUUCAGAUAUGUGAAUGCAAAGGUUGCAUCGAAGAAGAGAAGUAGGCUAAGUCAUCUUACAAAUUUUCAAGUUCAAAUUAGAUGCAUCAAACAUGUGCAACAUAUUUGAUAUAACUAAUAUUUUACCAAGCAACUAAAUACUUUAUAUAUAUAUAUAUAUAUAUAUAUAAAUUUAUUGAUGAUCAAUGAAUACACAUGUAUGGUAUUGACACGGUUUGAUAAAUCUUUUAAAAUAGUAUUAGAAUAACUUUGCUAAAAAAAGUAAAAAUAAAAAUAAAAAUACAUAUAUAUAUAUAUAUAUAAAAUAAAAAAUUUUAAAAGAAUAUAUAUAUAUUAGUGGUCCCACAACUCAUUAGCUACUCAUAAGCUUUAUAUCAUUUUCUUAAAGUCAAGUCAUUUACAAUUAUUUCUAUCUAGCCUUCUCCGUUGCGACAACUGUACAAGAUAUUAAUUGAUUGAAAAAAUCAUCAUGUCUUUUUUGAUAGGAUAGUUUUUUUUUUUAUUCAAAGAACUUUCAAAUCCUUUAUGUCUAGUGGUCCUACAAUUCCUUAUUCAUUGGUAUUUCAUAUUACCAAUCAUUUUACAAAUAAGUUAAUUUCACUCGGUAAAUAUACUUAACCACCAAUGGUUUCCAAUUUGUAACACUCUUAUAGAUGUAGUUUGUUUUUAAAUUUGAUUUUUUAGAAGAAUUGUAGGUAAAAAUAUUUUAGCUAUAUAUGUUCAACAAUUCUCUAAAAACAAUUUAUAUAGAUGGAAUACAUUCAUGGAAGUUCCAACUAAUGAAAUUUAAAACCAAUGAUGAUUUAAUGUAUUUGUACUAAAUCUUAGGGAGUGUGGACUAAAAUUAGCCCUUUUACAAAUAUUUAUAACUAGUAUAUUUGUAGUUGUGGUAUUGGAAGUUGAUCAUUUUCUUAAAAGGUUUACCAUUGAAGUUAGUUGAAUAUAAAGUUAGGUGAACUUUACCAUUGUUAAAUUGGUAAAUGAAGACUCUUAGAUUUGAUACUAACAUGUACAUCAUGACUUCAUGGAAUCUCUCACAAGGAAAUUUUAGUUUGAAAGACUUCAUCUUUUAAACAUGUGGCACAUAUUAAAGUGAGACCAAGUCUUCCCUAUAAUUUGUAUCUAUCACAAUUUCUUUCCUCAUAAAUAGCCUUUUUGAAUAGAAUUAAUAUAGACUUUAGCAUGCAUGAUGGGCCCCGUCAAACUAUUAGUCAAGAUAAUUUGUAGGUAAGAACGAUGGACCAACUAUAUUAAAUACUCUUCAUCUAUUUGCAUAUCAAGAGCAACUUAAUAUUGUCUUUCUUUUGUACUUCAUGUUUGAACUUUCAAUGGAGAGUUUGUCAUCUAAAUAUUUGAUGUGGGUUUUUAUACUACUCUUGGUUCAAAUAUGUGGAUGCAAAGGUUGCAUCAAAGAAGAGAAGAUGGGUUUGCUUGAAUUCAAGGCUUUUCUUAAAUUGAAUAAUGAGCAUGCAGAUUUUCUUCUCCCUUCAUGGAUAGAUAACAACACUAGUGAAUGUUGUAAUUGGGAGCGGGUUAUUUGCAAUCCCACCACAGGUCGAGUUAAGAAGCUUUUCCUCAACGAUAUAACGCGACAACAAAAUUUCUUGGAAGACGAUUGGUACCAUUAUGAAAAUGUCAAAUUCUGGUUACUAAAUGUCUCCCUAUUCCUUCCUUUUGAAGAACUUCACCAUCUAAACUUGUCUGCAAACUCAUUUGAUGGGUUUAUUGAGAAUGAAGGUAUGUUACCUCUCACCUUUAAAAUUUCUUUUCACUUAUACUCCAAACAUUCUAAAGGAACUACUAGCAUAUGUUCUUAAAAGUGUUCAGGUGGAGACCAAAUGGUCACUAGUAACUAUUGAAUUUAAUAUAAGAACAAUUACUAAUUAUUAAAAUUUAUAAUGUAAAUUAACAUUUAAACAAAACAAUAAAAAAAUUAUUAUUUUAGAAAACUAUAGAUUACAUUAGCCUUAUAUAUAUAAGCAUACUUGUAAUUUAUGCCAUCAUUUCACACUCAACCCAAUUAGUGGGAUUCAACUAAGAGUGAGCAAUUUCACAAUUAUUAAUUAACAAAAACACUUAGGCUCCCAUAUCCUUAUCCUUUUUGCUGAAUUGUCUUUCCUUAUCUUCCAUUCCUAAAAAGCUUGAUUUCUAUAUUCCAAAUUGAUAGAGAUUGGUUAAAGAAAGGUGAUCACAAAAUUUGACUAUUGCUUUCAAAUGAGGAAUCACCAUCUUCAAAAUUUCACAUUUAAAAAAAAAAAAAAAAAAAAAACUAGCCUCGGGUAAGGUCCAAGCCUUAUUGUUUUAAGCUGAUGUCGGGUUGGUUUAAUAAUGAACAGAGUAAAUCCCAACCCAUGACCAUCUACGCAUUUCCAAAUUCCACCCAUCCACAACCCAUUAAUAUGACAUUUUCAGGGACAAAAUUUAAUCAAUUAAACCUAUUAGAUGGAUUCUCCAUACAAUGUUAAAAUGAAUAUAAAAACUUUAAUUCAAAAAAUAAUUUCCUUUAUUUAGUUAGGAUUCAAAUUAUAGGGGCACAAAACAUGAAAAUUUUCAUGUUUAAAAUUCACAAAGAUCACAAAAGCUCUUUGAAGCUCUAUGGACUUUUUUAUUUCUAACAUUUAAACACAAAAAUCACCAAAUUGAAUUAGAAACUUGGAUGCAUAUUCUUAUAUUAAAGACAUGUAAGCUUACAUAUUUAAAUAUGAAGAUCUCAACUUGUAAUUACAUGCUUCUAAUUAAAGUUAUAUUACUCUAUUUUACAGGAUUUAAAGGGUUAUCAAGUUUAAAGAAAUUGGAGAUCUUGGACAUAAGUGGUAAUGAGUUUGACAAAAGUGCCUUAAAAUCUUUGGGCACAAUAACAUCACUCAAGACAUUGGCUAUUUGCAGCAUGGGACUGAAUGGAUCUUUUUCCAUUCGAGGCAUGUUAUAUGUCCACAUUGUUUCUUUGAAAUUAAGUAAAAUGUAUUUCUAACUUUUAAUGUUCCUUAGUUAAUCUCUCUUUUGAUUCAUGUUUGUUGCAGAAUUAGCUAGUUUGAGAAAUUUGGAAGUGUUGGAUCUAAGCUAUAAUGAUUUGGAAAGCUUUCAACUAUUGCAAGGUACUUCAUUAACUUGCUAAAAAAACUUAUGAUAUUUUGUUAUUAAAUUAAAGGUAAGAUUAACAAACAAUUUCUUCCCAUUAGUUACUUUUCUUUGUAAUAUCAUUAAAUUUGAUAUAAAAUAGUCUAAAUCAUCCUUUCAAUUUAUAAGUUUUAAUUAAAACGCAUCAAGCAUGCACAAGGUGUUUAAUAUAACUAAUAUUUUCAUAAGUAAUUGAAUUUUUUUUAUGAAUUAAUUAACUUGAUUAUCAAUAAAUACUUACAUGUAUAAGAUUAAUAUAGUUUCAUAAGUAUUUUAAAAUUGUCUUACAACACACACACACACACACAGAGGGAAAAUGAAAGGUAUGUGAUACAUUUAUGCUAUGUUUGGUUCCCAAAAAAAUUGAGGGAAAAUGAAAGGAGAAAAAAGUGGAGAGGAAAAGUAAAAGAAAAGAAAAAAAGUGAAGAAAAAUAUAAAAUUGAUUAAAGUAAAUACAUGUUACUUUAAACUUUUUUACUUAUUUUAAUUCUUCAAUGUAAGGAUGAAAGAUUUGAAAAUGCAUAAGUUUCUAAUUUUUUUAUUUUAUUUUAUAGUUUUUACAAUACAACCAAACAUACUAAAAUCAUUUUCUUUAAUUUUUUUUUCUUUUCUUAAUACUUUUCACGAACCCUUAAGUUAUGUUUGGUUUGCAGAAAAUAUGAGGAAUAGCAAAUAGAAAAGAAAAUUAGAAGGAAAGAAAAAAUGAAGUAAAAUAAAAAUAAAUUUAAAUUUAAUAAAUUAUUUUUAUAUGCUACUUUAAGCUUAUUUCACUUAUUUUAAAUUAUUUAAACUCAUUUCUAAUAAAUAAUAAUGGAAAUUGUAGAGAAGUUUGUGUUAUUCAAGCUUUGCAAUGACUUUUCAAGGUGAAGGAAAAUAUUCUUGCUGAAAUUGAAAAAGGAAAUACCUUCUUAAAUAGCCUAUUGACCGAAAACACAUUACCCUAACAUAUACACACACCUUUAUUAUUUAUACAAUCAUGUAAUACUUAAUCCAGUUAGUGGGAUUCUAGUGGUUGUUUCUAUCUUGGUUUCCAAUAUUUCUGAUUGAUAGUGUUCGAUUAAUGAAAUAUCAUAAAUUUUGACCCCAAUAAGGACCAAUCCCUAUUAAAUGUAAUUGGGUUAACCUAAGACUAAAUGCUAGACCCAACUAAUAAAAACCCAUCUGUUUGUUGGAGUCUAAAUAACCUGGCCUUAGGUAGAGCCCAUGCCUUAUUAUUUUAAGAUGUAGUCCAACUGGUUUAACACUAGAUUGAGUAAAGCCCAACUUAUGAGCAUCUGUGCAUUUCCAUCCAUCCACAACCUACUGGCAUGGAUAAACUUUGGUCAAUUAAACCUAUUAUAACUGUAUACAAAAUUUUAAGUUCAAAAGAUAAUUUUCCUUAUUUAGUUAGGAUUCAUAUUAAAAAGGCACAAAACAUGAAUUUUCAUGUUUAAAUUCACAAAUACCACGAAAGCUCCUUCAAGCUCUAUGGACCAUUUUAUUUGUAACAUUAUAUUACUCUUAAUUAUCAAAUUAACCAACAAAUUCUUCUCAUUACUUAUCUUUCUUUUGUAAUGUCAUAAAAUUUGAUGUAAAGUAGUAUUGGUCAUCAUUUCAACUUUCAGGUUCCAAUUAGAUGCAUCAAGCAUGUGCAACAUAUUUGAUAUAACUAAUAUUUUUAUAAGUAAUUGAAUUUUUUUUUUCUAUAAAUCAAUUAACUUGAUUAUCAAUGAAUACUUUCAUACAUGAUAUUGAUGUAGUUUCAUAAAUAUUUUAAAAUAGUCAUAGAAGUCUUUUAUCUGAUUCACUAGAAAGAAAAAUAAACUAUUCUAAUGAAAAUACUUGAUGAUUUGAAGUGAUUGCUUUUGAUUUUAUUUGAUUGCUACCAUUAUUAAUUGUUAGAAAUUGGCAACAAAUACCCAUUUUGCAUCACUUCUAUAUGCAUCGGGGGAAUGAAUUAUAUUUCAUAGAGCUAACAGGGCAAAACUCAAACUUUUGGAAUUAUGGAAAAUGUUGCUAGAAAGCUAAUUAACCAUUUAUAUUAUGAUUAAGACUAGUUGGGUUAGAAAUAAUUCAUAUGGAGAUUAAAAAAAACUAUGUAAUUUAGUUUAGUAGCUUGGGUGCUAUUGUAAUGAUUAAUGAUCUGCAACUUGAACACAUCUACUAGUGCUUUCUACUUGUAUAGCUAAAUUUAUGUUACCACUUUGAACUAGAGUACUUACAUGAGAAGAAAGCUUUUCCCUAGUGAUAAUGCAAAAGAAAUUAAGUAUCAAUUUUUGUUAAAAAUAACAAGUGAUAGUUUAGAUAUGGUUUGAAUACACUUUCUUUCUUCUAUUUUUUUAUUUUGAAAAAAAAAACUCUUUAAUGAAAUAUAAGAAAUCUUAUAUGUAUAAAAAUUAAAGACUUAAACAAAAAAAUUUGAAAUUUUGAAAAUUUUCGAGAAGUAUUUUUAAGAAUUUGUAUUUUUAGUAUAAUAAUUCCUAUAUUUUGUAUAAAAGUUUUUGUUUAAAAAAAUAGAAGUGUAUCCAAAUUACAAAUUAAUUGUUAAAUUAAGAAUGUUUCUCAGAUCAAGAGAUAAUGAAAGUUGUAGAGAGUUUGCAUUACUCAACCUUUGCAAUUACUUUUUGAAGGUAAAAAAAAAAUACCUUCCUACAUAACAUACAAUGGUAGGUUCUGGUUUGUAAGAAACUAAUAAAUGAUUAAGAAUAUGAAUAAGACUUCCUUUAUAAUAGAUAUGUAGAGAAGAAUAGUGGAUGAUAGGUGGUGAAAAUCUUGUAAUAAAAUAUCAAUAUCGGUUAUAAGAUAAUCAACAUUUUCUCUAUUUCUUGUACCUAUGUGAUUAAGAAUCUUGUAGCUCCCUUAUUGAAAUAUAAUAUAAAAAUAUAAAUAAACUAUUUAGAAGUGCAUGUAGUUUUCAACAUGAGGAAGUUCAAAAGCAAGUUAAUUAUGAUAAUUUUCCAUAGUCUAUAUUGAACACAAAUUAUUUUUACUAAAGGUUCAAUCGUUCUAUGAAGGUUAAAAGUUUGAAUUGUUUACAUAUGCAAAUGUGAAAUUUGAAAGUUUAUAAUUUUUUAUAAUUUUCUUGUAGAUUCAAAAAGCUUGUCCAUAUUCAAAAAGCUCGAGACCUUGAACCUCAAUUACAACAAGUUCAAAAACACUAGCCUACAACAAUUGGAUAUAUUUACAUCCCUUAAAAAUCUUUCUCUAAGAUGGAACAAUGUUGGAGGAUUUUUUCCUAUCCAAGGUAUGUGUAAUUAUUAUUAUUAUUAUUUUUAAUGAUGAAAUAUUAGAAUUGUCAACAUCUUUUAUCUUUUUUUCCCCUCAAUGGUGUUGCAGAAUUAUGCACUCUGGAAAACUUGGUGAUGUUAGACCUAAGUGGGAAUUUCUUUUUUGGCAUGCAAGGUAAAUACAAAGUGAAGUUUUGGUUAUAUAUAUAUAUAUAUAUAUAUAUAUAUAUAUCAUGUAAGAACAUAACUAAAAUCAACAUUAUUUGCCUAUCAAUUUGUGCAUGACUAUUAUUUAGUUAUUCUUCGUAACAUAAUUGAAAGAAUGUCUAGGUGUACAACAUUUAAGAAUUUUACAUGGCACAAUGAAAAACAUGGUAAUCAAUGUGUGCAAUAAAAUUCUAAUAGUUGAAAAAGAAUUUUCUUGUAAUUUUAUGUUCAUGUAUAGUAAUCAAAGAGAAAAUCAUGAAAAUGUAUAUUAGUUAGACUUUAUAUAUCAAUAGACAAAAAAGAAAGAAAAAAAAAGAUUAGUUCCUUAACUUAUCCUAAAAUUUUCUAGAUAACAAGGAGUUUUUUUAUUUUGGGCUAUAAGGUUUACAACCUGAAAAGUGAAGAUGAUUAAUAUUAGUAAUAAAAUUUUAAAAUAUAAAAAUUAGUGAAAUAAUGUUCUCUAUAACUAUAACUCCAACUGCAACUAUUAAUAAAAGAUAAUAAAGGUACUUUAGACUUUGAAUCCAUGGUUAGGUUUGCAAUUUUUUGAUGAUCAAUAAAGCUACAACUUAUGCUGCAAAAGGCUAUACAAAAUGUAUUAGGAGCAUUGCUAAGCUCAUUUAUCAAUAAAGGAAAUCCAGUAAUACUUUGAUUGGAAAAAACCUAGAAUCAUGUUUGAUAUAUAAUAGGUGAAGAAACAAAAUAACAAUUCCAUGGUAUUAGUUAGUUUGAUAUCUCUUUUGUUAUAUGGAAUAACUAUUCCAUUUUAAAAUAAUUAUUUCAUCUUAUCGCUAGAACAAAAAAUUUCAGGCGAUUAUAUGGGCUUUUGGGUUUCUUAAGAAUUUAAGCAUUUAUGGGUCACCCAUAUAUAUAUAGGAAGAAUAAAAAAAAAAAUAUUCUAUGGAGACAAGGGUAGACACCCAUAAAUGUACAUAUAAUUAUUUAAAUAAAAAUAUCAAUAAGAAACAAUAUACAACAAAAUAGAAAAUUUUAAUCUUCCUAAAUUUUAAAAAUAGAAAAUAAAUGAAAAAAAAUUAAAAAGUAAAAAAAAAAAAAAAAAAAGGUCAAGAAUACAAAUAGAUAAGUAAACAAAAUAUAAAAAAAAUACAUAAAUUAAAAUUAAAAUUUUUUUAAAAAAAAUACAUAGAUUAAUAUGAACACUAAAUGAGGUUUUUUGAGAUAGACUUAGUUAGACUUGAACUAGAUGGAUAUUAAAAAAAAUAAAAAUAAAAAUUCAAAGAAAUAAAAACUAAUUAGAUGCUAAAUAUUGGAUUAAAAUAACCAAAUGAAUAAAGAGUAAUUAUUAAUUUUUAACAUUUUUUAUUCCUUAGAAUUAUUAUUUUGUGUAUUAAAUGUAUUAUGAGUGUAGUGGUAUAAAAAAUGUAGUUAAGAAUACUAUGAAGAAUAAUAAUGGUGAUGAUAAUGGUGACGACACUUAAUACCUUUUAUUGUACAUUUAGAAAAAAUGAGGUUCUUGAUCUUUAUGAAGAUUAUCAUUACUCAUCCGCAAGCAUGUUGAUAGUUGAAACUACUCAAUUAUCAAAAAUUGAAUUUCUAACCUUCAAUUUUUCUCUCUCAAAUGUAUAUGUGGGUGAGAAAGCACUAGGUAGGUUAUAAGGUCUCACAUGUAUAUGAGUCAUAGGAUAAAAAAUAUAGAGACAAUACUAGCAUUUAUUUGAUCCAGUGGCAAAUAGAGAAAUAUAACAUAACCAUAACCAUAAUGUUCUAACCUUAUAUAUACCAGAACCAUGUUUCCUUCAUUCAAUUUUGCAACUUUUUCUUUUCAAAUUAGAAUGUAACUCGUAGGAUCCAUUGUCCAUCAAAAUUUUGAAUCGAAUAUUAUAAGAUAUUUCACAUUUCUACCUACUAAAGCAUGAGCUUCAAUGUUCUCAUGCACUUUUGGCUACUAAGUUAAAGAACUCUUUGAGGGUUAAUGGAGUUUCUAUGAGUAGCAAAGCAUUAUAAUCACAAAGUCUUAUCAGUGAUAUGCAAUUUAACCAAGAACUUAUUCCCAACUAUUUUAUGACUUUUCUUGGCUACUUGUAGGCAAGCUAAAGAAAUUUUCUGGUUUGUUCAAGUCUAAAAAGUGGUUUCAAGUUUAGGGCCAAGCUUGGGCUGCACCUAGGUCCUUGGGCCUUAUUCAGCUCCACGUUUAAACCAACCUUGAGUCCAUCUUUGUAAUUUUUCUCCCAAUUCAUUGAUUUAUAUUAGGAUUUUAUAAAGCCUAUAAAUUGACCAACUAAAUAAAGUAGGUUCAUAAACUUUUAGGUGAAAAUUUUCUCUCUAAUAAAUGUUAAUUCAAGAGUCUCCGUAAUCUUUUUAUAUUCAUAUUAAUUGGUAUUUAAACUGACCUUACUAUAUUAAAGUCAAAUACCAAAUAGUGAACACUAUAUCUGCUACUACCACUAUGAUGGUCACAAACAUAGAAUGCUCCUUUUUUUAGAGUCAAUUGAUGCUUAUAAACAACAACUUUGUUUGAAAAUAAAAUACAUCGAGUGAUUGCAUCAAGAGAUUGAUGUAAUAAUUGCAUACUUGAUCUUGAUAAUGCUGAGUUGACUAAAUAAAUGAGUAUUUACUUAUAAGGUAGCCCAUAGAACAUUAUUUGUGGAAAUAUUCAUGCACCUCUACAUAUGUUCAUGAUAACUUAGGUUGAUAAAUUUAAGAAGAACAAAUUCAUAACCUUGGGCAUAGUUAGUAAGAAAUUUCACCAAUAGAGUUUGGUAUCAUGAUUCUAAUUGUUCAAAUUGUUUUAAAGGAGUAUUUUAAAUUGCAUGUUAAUUUGCUUCUAAUAAAUGGAGAGAAACCAAUUCAAGAAGAGAAUUGUACUCAAGCUAUGUAUAACAUUCAUGAAGAUGUAGAAAAUAUUGAUGAACUUACUUUUGAGCAAGUUGAAAUCAUAAUUAAAUAAAAGAACAAACCCAAGGGUUAAGAUUGUCAAGUAAAACUUUAACUAAAAUUUAUUGAUUUUUUAAAUGCCUAUUAGAGGGACAAUAGAAGUUCUAGAUAAAAAGUAAGAACUUUUCUAAGGAAUCACUUGUUAGAUUUUAAGUGAUCAAUAAAUAUAAUGUCCAAUUUAAAACUUUUAUAAAAGCAAUGCUUCUAAAGAAUAACUUGAUUUGAAUUUAAAGUUAUUAUUGAUAUUUGUUUAUAAUGGAUGUAGUUAAUCAACUGAACAUAGUAAAAAACACAUAAAUUUUUCAAAAUACCUUCUAGUUGUUGGGUAUAUUUAAAUAGUCAUCCAUAUCUCAUUAUCUUUUCACUCACAUACUAAUCUCCUUAUUGAGUAUUUACCAAUUACAAGUAGGUUGAAAGUUACUUGAAUUUAAGUCACUAAUCAAUGUUAACUUGAUAACAAAUAAGUCUCUCUUUGAAACUUGUUUUACAAGAUAGCGAAAUGUAGUCGAUCAAUCAUCAAAACAAUGUUCAAGCAUUAGGAUUUAGUUGUUAAUUUUUAUUUUUAUUUUUUGUGCUUAAACAAAGACAAAAAUGAUAAAAACUCCUUAAAAGUACAUAGUAAUUGAAUUUAAUUUAUACAUCAAACAAGAACAAACUAGUCUUGGAUUUAAAAUUCAUCAGGUUUUGUAAUUAUAAUUCCUAAAAAUUUGUAAGACAACAAAAUUAUUGGGCACUAGGUUAUUGGGUGUGUAUGACUAAGAGGUGAAGGAGGGUUCAUCUUAUACAAAGGAUGAUUUGAUUAAUUUUAAAGAUUGGAUAAACAAUAAUUGCAUAUUCAAGUAAAAAUAACAUUGCUAAAAAGGAAAAUAAGUAUUUUAGUCCUCAAACCUAAAAUGGCUAAAAAUUUUAAUUAAUACAAUACAACUUCACCUACAAAAGAAAAAAAAAACCCAAAACUUUUCAAUAGCACAACUAAGUCCAUUUAUCAAAAAAAAGAAAUAUAAGGAAGUUGGACUCAUUUACUAGCAAUUUAACAUAUGACUAAAACCUAUUGAAGAAUUUGCAAUAGCACUUACUUUGGUCAUGUCCAAACUUAUUGCACAUGGUGCAAAAAGGGGUAGUGCUCGAGGAUGCUUCCACAUAAGAAAGACCCUACUUAACUGUUACAAAGGUUAUUUUCCCACUUGUGGGAAUGCUAACCUUGCUAAUAUAUUAUAUGCCAUGUUUAUCAUAUACAAAUUUUUCUUUACUAAAUAUUUCUUUAAUGAUCUUGGACCUAAAAUUAAAUAUUUCAUUAGUAUUGGUCAUGUCGUUCCUCAACUUUUCAACUUUUAGAGUUAAAUCUUUAUCUUUAUCAUUGAUAGUUUUAUGUUUAGUCCCUAGAAACUUCACCUUAUUAACAAUAUGUUCAUUUAAUAUUUUGAUAUUUUUAAUUUUCAAAGAAUCAUAGAGCUCAUUAAUUUUAAUGUCUUUUUAUUCACUUUUAUGCUUUCAACCUUUGUUUUUAGUUUUCCUAUAAUAAUGCAUCAUAGACCCCAUGUAUAUCAUUAAAAUAAAACUCAUUUUUUUCAUUAGGAUUCAAUUAACCCAAUGGAUCAUAAUCAAAAUUAGUUGCAUAUGAACAAAAGCAAUAAGAUUAUCAUUUUGUACAUCUUUACUUUCAUUUGAGUUCUUAGCCCUACAAUCAUCAAACAUGGAAUUACUCCAAGUUACCUACAUAGCCUUCAUACCUAAUGUUUUUAAGGCAAGGACAAUCAACAACCAUGUGUCCCAUUCCCCCAAUGGUUCACUACGAAAUCAAGGUACAUAUGUUAUGCUUUCUUUGUUUCAUAGUGAUUAGAGAGGAUAAACAUUGUAAAAAAAAAAGUUGUCAUAGUUAAUGUAAGCUAAAACUAAAAAACUUGCUUUUUCAAUUGUGUAAGCAUGUUUUGUUCUUGAUGAAUAUUUACAACAUUCAGAGUUACUAAUGUUUAUAAUUCACAGAGACCUCAUUAACAACAAGUAACAACUAAUUGUAAGUAACCAUGAAAAAAAAAUAAGGAGAAAAAUAAAGGAAAAUCAAGGAAAGUGUCAAAUUUUUUCAUCCCCAUAAAAAAUGCUAAGGAAGAAAAAUGUGAAGAAAGUUUAAAGAAAGUAUAUUUUUCAAAAAUUGAAUUUUCUUUCCCUUAAAGUUGGUAUGGACAACCAAACAAGAAAAUGAUUUUUAAAUUCUUUUUUGACCUUUUUCUAUCAUUCUUUUUUUUUUCCCCCUACUCUAUUUCCUUUCCCUCAAACUUUCUAGGUAGUAAACAUUACCUAAGAUAAAUAGGGAAGAAAAUAUUUUAUCAUUUAUUUAUUUAGUAUUUUUCUUACCUUUUUUUGUAUUUUAUCCAAAUAUAAGAAAACUACUUUUCUUUAUUUUUUCUUUUCCUUGUUGCUUUUCAAGAAUCAAGCAUACUUUAAACUCUAAUUAAGAGUUACAUAGAUUUACAGAGAAACAAUGCAACUAGUAACAAAAAAUUAAGGAAAUUUAAUUUUUUAAUUUUUGAGAGUAAGUAUAAUAAGAUUGGUUUGUUUGAUACAAAAUUUGAAUAAAAAUUAUUUUAAUGAAAAUUCAAGGAAAGGAAAAAAAAAAAAAAAAACUUGAUCUCUAGACUAUAAUACUAAAUCAAUUAAAAAAUCUCCUAACAUCGUUUAUGUUCAUCUUUUUUUUUUUAUGGAUUUGAAAAACCCAAUAAUUUGGAGAAAACUGAUUCAAGGAAGAAUAAUUUUUAGAAUAAAAUAUUAUUAUUUAAGAAGAUCAUAAAUUUUAUAGUCAUUGUUGAAAAUGAUAAAUGAUUAAAAAAAAAAAGGUAGUUGGAAAUUUAGAUACUUUUAUAAGACAAAUGCAUUUUUCUAGUCUGGUAUGAAAAAAGGUAAAAUGAUAGGCUUUGAUCAUUUUUCAAGUUAGUUUGUUUAAAUCAUUUUAAUUUAUUUUGAUUUAAGAACAAUAACUUUUAUUACACUAGUUAUUUUGAUUUUCUUUUGAUAGAUUUUGCAAGCUUAAGCAAUUUGGAGCUAUUGGAUUUGAGUUAUAAUUUAUUUAGUGGGAGCAUUCCAUCAUCUAUAAGAUUGAUGUCUUCUAUCAAGUCUUUAUCCUUGGCUGAAAAUUACCUCAAUGGUUUCUUAGCAAAUCAAGGUACAUAUAUUGUGAUUACAGGUUUUUCUAUUUUCUUUUUUAAUAUCUUGUUUGUUCUUUAUGCCAAUUAAGUCAUGCAUGUCUAUUAAUUUUUGGUAUUUAAUGAAAAACUUUAUUCUUAAUUCAUAAAGACCUCAUCAACUAUAAGUAACAGUUAGUUCUAAGUUUGGGGGCAUUGACAAGACGAGGAGAUGAUUGGUUACAUGUCUUAUUCUCUUUUGUUGGCUUUUGCCAAUUGAAUAAGUUUCAAGAAUUAGAUUUUUCUUACAACUUAUUCCAAGGAAUCCUUCCUCCAUGUUUGAAUAAUUUGACAUCUUUGAGGUUAUUGGAUCUCUCUUCCAACCUAUUCUCCGGAAAUCUUUCUUCCCCUCUGUUACCUAAUCUCACAUCCCUGGAGUACAUCGAUCUCAGUUACAAUCAUUUUGAGGGUUCAUUCUCUUUCAGCUCUUUUGCUAAUCACUCCAACUUUCAAGUGGUCAAACUUGGAAGGAAUAACAACAAAUUUGAGGUAGAAACUGAAUAUCCAGUUGAUUGGGUUCCCCUAUUUCAGUUGAAAGCUCUUAUGCUAUCCAACUGUAAGCUCAUCGAUGACCUUCCUGGUUUUCUUCGACACCAAUUAAGAUUAACCGUGGUUGAUCUCUCCCAUAAUAACUUGACUGGAAGUUUCCCCAUUCAGCAGCUUGAAAACAAUACAAGACUAGGAUCUCUAGUUUUGAGGAAUAACUCUUUAAUGGGUCAACUACUUCCCCUGAGACCUAAUAGUCGUAUCACUUUAUUGGAUAUCUCAGACAACCGACUUCAUGGGGAACUUCAACAAAAUGUGGCCAAUAUGAUUCCAAAUAUUGAGUUUCUAAAUUUAUCCAACAAUCUUCCCCUUCAUUUCAUCCAUAUUUGGAUCUACCUUUAAAUCUCUAUUGCAUACAACCCAUAUAUGAUUCCCUCUAAAUUUAGCCUUCAUUUCUUGUUAAGAGGUUUUAAAAGCCAGCAAUUUAAUUUACUUUCAUCCUCUAUAUAGAUGAGAACUCUUAUAUUUAUCCAAUGAUAGGUAACAUUUUUGCAAAUGCUUUUAUUUGAUUUUUUUAAUUGGUCUUAAAAAUAAGUGUUAAUAAAGAUCCACAAUAUAAAAUAAUAAAUUAUAUCUCAAUUGACCUCAAGAUACUAUUUACUUCUACUAACUCAUUUUACAUCUCAAUUGUUCUUAAAAAGUCUAUAAUGGUAAUUAACUAUAGAAUUCAAGUUUUAAUUAUGCAAAAAAUAUAUAAAGGUUUUUAAAAUUAAUAGAAAAAAAGAUUCUAAUAAAUAAUAAGUAGAUUGAAACAUUUAUUUCUAGAAGUAGAGAAAGAUGGAGGAUCAUAAAAGUUGAAAAAAGAAUAAUUUGGAAGUCAUAAAAUUUUGGAAAAAGAAUAAUUCAUAGAGACCUCAUUAACAACAAGUAACAACUAAUUGUAAGUAACCAUGAAAAAAGUAAGGAGAAAAAUAAGGGAAAAGCAAGGAAAGUAGCAAAUUUUUUCAUCCCCAUAAAAAAAUGAUAAGGAAGAAAAAAGUGAAGAAAGUUUAAAGAAAGCAUAUUCUUCAAAAAUUGAAUUUUCUUUCCCUUAAAAUUGGUAUGGACAACCAAACAAGAAAAUGAUUUUUAAAUUCUUUUUUGACCUUUUUCUAUCAUUCUUUUUUUUCCCCCUACUCUAUUUCCUUUCCCUCAAACUUUCUAGGUAGUAAACAUUACCUAAGAUAAAUAGGGAAGAAAAUAUUUUAUCAUUUAUUUAUUUAGUAUUUUUCUUACCUUUUUUGUAUUUUAUCCAAAUAUAAGAAAACUAUUUUUCUUUAUUUUUUCUUUUCCUUGUUGCUUUUCAAGAAUCAAGCAUGCUUUAAACUCUAAUUAAGAGUUACAUGGAUUUACGGAGAAACAAUGCAACUGGUAACAAAAAAUUAAGGAAAUUUAAUUUUUGAGAGUAAGUAUAAUGAGAUUGGUUUGUUUGAUACAAAAUUUAAAUAAAAAUUCUUUCAAUGAAAAUUCAAGGAAAGGAAAAAAAAACAAAUUUAUCUCUAGACUAUAAUACUAAAUCACUUAAAAAAAACUCCUAACAUCGUUUAUGUUCAUCUUUCUUUUUAUGGAUUUGAAAAACCCAAUAAUUUGGAGAAAACUGAUUCAAGGAAGAAUAAUUUUUAGAAUAAAAGAUUAUUAUUUAAGAAGAUCAUAAAUAUUAUAGUCAUUGUUGAAUAUGAUAAAUGAUUAAAAAAAAAAAAGGUAGUUGGAAAUUUAGAUACUUUUAUAAGACAAAUGCAUUUUUCUAGUAUGGUAUGAAAAAAAGGUAAAAUGAUAGGCUUUGAUCAUUUUUUAAGGUAGUUUGUUUAAAUCAUUUUAAUUUAUUUUGAUUUAAUAACAAUAACUUUUAUUACACUAGUUAUUUUGAUUUUCUUUUGAUAGAUUUUGCAAGCUUAAGAAAUUUGGAGGUAUUGGAUUUGAGUUAUAAUUCAUUUAGUGGGAUCGUUCCAUCGUCUAUAAGAUUGUUGUCUUCUCUCAAGUCUUUAUCUCUGGCUGGAAAUCACCUCAAUGGUUCCUUAGCAAAUCAAGGUACAUAUAUUGUGAUUACAGGUUUUUCUAUUUUCUUUUUUAAUAUCUUGUUUGUUCUUUAUGCCAAUGAAGUCAUGCAUGUCUAUUAAUUUUUGGUAUUUAAUAAAAAACUUUAUUCUUAAUUCAUGAAGACCUCAUCAACUGUAAGUAACAACUAGUUGUAAAUUUGGGGGCAUUGAUAAGACGAGGAGAUGAUUGGUUACAUGUCUUAUUCUCUUUUGUAAGCUUCUGCCAAUUGAAUAAGCUUCAAGAGUUAGAUUUUUCUUACAACUUAUUCCAAGGGAUCCUUCCUCCAUGUUUGAAUAAUUUGACAUCUUUGAGGUUAUUGGAUCUCUCUUCCAACCUAUUCUCCGAAAAUCUUUUUUCCCCUCUGUUACCUAAUCUCACAUCCCUGGAGUACAUCGAUCUCAGUUACAAUCAUUUUGAGGGUUCAUUCUCUUUCAGCUCUUUUACUAAUCACUCCAACCUUCAAGUGGUCAAACUUGGAAGGAAUAACAACAAAUUUGAGGUAGAAACUGAAUAUCCAGUUGGUUGGGUUCCCCUGUUUCUGUUGAAAGCUCUUGUCCUAUCCAACUGUAAGCUCAUCGGUGAUCCUGGUUUCCUUCGACACCAAUUAAGAUUAACCGUGGUUGAUCUCUCCCAUAAUAAUUAGACUGGAAGUUUCCCCAUUUGGCUGCUUGAUAACAAUACAAGACUAGGAUCUCUAGUUCUGAGGAAUAACUCUUUAAUGGGUCAACUACUUCCCCUGAGACCUAAUAGUCGUAUCACUUUAUUGGAUAUCUCAGACAACCGACUUCAUGGGGAACUUCAACAAAAUGUGGCCAAUAUGAUUCCAAAUAUUGAGUUUCUAAAUUUAUCCAACAAUCAUCCCCUUCAUUUCAUCCAUAUUUGGAUCUACCUUUAAAUCUCUAUUGCAUACAACCCAUAUAUGAUUCCCUCUAAAUUUAGCCUUCAUUUCUUGCUAAGAGGUUUUAAAAGCCAGCAAUUUAAUUUACUUUCAUCCUCUAGAUUGAUGAGAACUCUUAUAUUUAUCCAAUGAUAGGUAACAUUUUUGCAAAUGCUUUUAUUUGAUUUUUUUAAUUGGUCUUAAAAAUAAGUGUUAAUAAAGAUCCACAAUAUAAAAUAAUAAAUUACAUCUCAAUUGACCUCAAGAUACUAUUUACUUCUACUAACUCAUUUUACAUCUUAAUUGUUCUUAAAAAGUCUAUAAUGGUAAUUAACUAUAGAAUUCAAGUUUUAAUUAUGCAAAAAAUAUAUAAAGGUUUUUAAAGUUAAUAGAAAAAGAGAUUCUGAUAAAUAAUAAGUAGAUUGAAACAUUUAUUUCUAGAAGUAGAGAAAGAUGGAGGAUCAUAAAAGUUGAAAAAAGAAUAAUUUGGAAGUCAUAAAAUUUUGGAAAAAGAAUAAUUCAUAGAGACCUCAUUAACAACAAGUAACAACUAAUUGUAAGUAACCAUGAAAAAAGUAAGGAGAAAAAUAAAGGAAAAUCAAGGAAAGUGACAAAUUUUUUCAUCCCCAUAAAAAAUGAUAAGGAAGAAAAAGGUGAAGAAAGUUUAAAGAAAGUAUAUUUUUCAAAAAUUGAAUUUUCUUUCCCUUAAAGUUGGUAUGGACAACCAAACAAGAAAAUGAUUUUUAAAUUCUUUUUUGACCUUUUUCUAUCAUUCUUUUUUUUUUCCUUACUCUAUUUCCUUUCCCUCAAACUUUCUAGGUAGUAAACAUUACCUAAGAUAAAUAGAGAAGAAAAUAUUUUAUCAUUUAUUUAUUUAGUAUUUUUUUUACCUUUUUUUGUAUUUUAUCCAAAUAUAAGAAAACUAUUUUUCUUUAUUUUUUCUUUUCCUUGUUGCUUUUCAAGAAUCAAGCAUACUUUAAACUUUAAUUAAGAGUUACAUAGAUUUACGGAGAAACAAUGCAACUGGUAACAAAAAAUUAAGGAAAUUUAAUUUUUGAGAGUAAGUAUAAUGAGAUUGGUUUGUUUGAUACAAAAUUUGAAUAAAAAUUCUUUCAAUGAAAAUUCAAGGAAAGGAAAAAAAACAAAUUUAUCUCUAGACUAUAAUACUAAAUCACUUAAAAAAAACUCCUAACAUCGUUUAUGUUCAUCUUUCUUUUUAUGGAUUUGAAAAACCCAAUAAUUUGGAGAAAACUGAUUCAAGGAAGAAUAAUUUUUAGAAUAAAAGAUUAUUAUUUAAGAAGAUCAUAAAUAUUAUAGUCAUUGUUGAAUAUGAUAAAUGAUUAAAAAAAAAAAAGGUAGUAGGAAAUUUGGAUACUUUUAUAAGACAAAUGCAUUUUUCUAGUAUGGUAUGAAAAAAAGGUAAAAUGAUAGGCUUUGAUCAUUUUUUAAGGUAGUUUGUUUAAAUCAUUUUAAUUUAUUUUGAUUUAAUAACAAUAACUUUUAUUACACUAGUUAUUUUGAUUUUCUUUUGAUAGAUUUUGCAAGCUUAAGCAAUUUGGAGGUAUUGGAUUUGAGUGGUAAUUCAUUUAGUGGGAUCGUUCCAUCGUCUAUAAGAUUGUUGUCUUCUCUCAAGUCUUUAUCUCUGGCUGGAAAUCACCUCAAUGGUUCCUUAGCAAAUCAAGGUACAUAUAUUGUGAUUACAGGUUUUUCUAUUUUCUUUUUUAAUAUCUUGUUUGUUCUUUAUGCCAAUGAAGUCAUGCAUGUCUAUUAAUUUUUGGUAUUUAAUAAAAAACUUUAUUCUUAAUUCAUGAAGACCUCAUCAACUGUAAGUAACAACUAGUUGUAAAUUUGGGGGCAUUGAUAAGACGAGGAGAUGAUUGGUUACAUGUCUUAUCACUACUACAAAAAUUGAAAUUAAUGACGCUUUAUUUUAUGACGCUUUCUAAAAGCGUCAUUAUUGAGGGUAUACAAUGACGCUUAUAAGAAGUGUCAUAGUUGUAUUAUUUAUCUUGAUACUGAUUAUAAGUGUCAUUAUUUGAUGUCAUCUUUUUCCUUGUAACUGUGUAUAUAAUGACGCUUAUAAGAAGCGUCAUAGUUUUAUUAUUUACCUUGACACUUAUUAUAAGCAUCAUUAUUUGAUGGGUAUGUAAUGACGUUCUUGAGAAGUGUCAUAGUUGUAUUGACUUUUAAAAUUUUUGUUUUUAAGUUAACUUAUACAAAUUUUGAUAUUAGAAUAUUAUUCUAUAAAUUAAUUAUGGUAAAUUGACAUUAAUAUUAAUGACAUAAAGUUGCUACAUUAAGGUUUUUUUAAAAAAAUUUGGAUAUAAAUAAAAUAAAAUCCUAAUAAAUUAUUUUUUUAUUGUUUGAUAUUAAUUUUUUUAUAGUUUGUAUCAAUACAAUCUAUUUUCAUAAACUAUUUUUCAUUUUUAUUAAAUUAGAAAUUAUCUUAUAUUUCAUUUAAAAAUAAUUUGUUAAUUUAUUUGUGGACCACAAAAAAGUGGCCUAUUUUGAGCACUUGUUCGAGCCUUGGGCCACAUUUAUUGGGUUUAACCCUUUUAUUUGAGAAGGUUUUAUAGUUAAUGAAUAUAAAUUUGAAAUUAUUUAACUAAAAUGAAAUAAAUUAAUAUUUAAAUUAAUUUAAUGAUGAUUAGACUCACAAUAAAACUAAAUGCAAUAAGAAUAUUUAUAAAAACUUUCUAAUAUUUAUGGGAAUUAAGCUCAUUCUAUUAAAUUAGUUUUUUUUUUAAAUAUCAAUAUUCAAAUUAAACCAAUAUCAACCUAAAAUAUCAAAUAAUUAAACAAUAUAAAUUUAUUAUGAGUUCAAUAUAUAAAAAUUAUUAUUGGAAGAUGAAAUAAAGAAUACUAUUUUAAUUUAUUGAAAAAGGACAUGCAUGAUAUUUUAGAAUUUGUUAUAAAGUCUCCAUUGAAAACCCUAACUUUUGGAAGACAAGAAAGAAGGGAGAGAGCCACCGUUUUUAGUGAGAAAGAAGAGAAGAGAGAAAAAUGCAAGUUUUUCUCAUCAGGCCCAGAUUUCAUCAAAGGUCUGAUCCCACUUUGUCCGUGGUCCGAUCGAGCUGAAAUUUGGAGGAGAGUUUCGUGACUCAUUUAUCUUCAAUCUGAACGGUGAAGAUCGGAUUUGGAGUUUCGGAAAGUCAUUAGAAAGAAAGAGGAGAAGAGAGAAAAACGUAGGUUUUUCUCAUCAUGCCCAGAUUUUAUCAAAUGUCCGAUCCCGCUUCGUCCGUGGUCCGAUCGAGUUGAAAUUUGAAGGAGAGGUUUGUGGCUCAUGUAUCUUCAAUAUGAACGGUGGAGAUCUGAUUUGGAGUUUCGGACAGUCAUUAGAGAGAAAGAGGAGAAGAGAGAAAAACUUAGGUUUUUCUCAUCGUGCCCAGAUUUCAUCAAAUGUCUGAUCCCGCUUCGUCCGUGGUCCGAUCGAGUUGAAAUUUGAAGGAGAGGUUCGUGGCUCAUGUAUAUUCAAUAUGAACGGUGGAGAUCGGAUUUGGAGUUUUGGACAGUCAUUAGAGAGAAAGAGGAGAAGAGAGAAAAACAGUGGUUUUUUUAUAUCAUGCCCAGAUUUCAUCAAAGGUUCAAUGCCGCUUUUUUCAUGGUCUGAUUGAGCUGAAAUUUGGAGGAGAGGUUCAUAAGUCAUUAAUCUUAAAUUUGAACGGUGAAGAUCGGAUUUAGAGUUUUGGAAAGUCAUCUUUCAGCCAAAAACAAAACCUUUAUUUUAUCAAAGAUGGCGCUUCCUGAAAGUGUCAUUGUUGCCUAAGACAUACAAUGACAGAGGCGAAGAGGACGCUUUAGAGAAGCGUCAUCUGUUACCUUUCUUGACGCUUAAAAAACGUCAUAGUUUCCCAUUUUUCUUGUAGUGUAUUCUCUUUUGUAAGCUUCUGCCAAUUGAAUAAGCUUCAAGAGUUAGAUCUUUCUUACAACUUAUUCCAAGGGAUCCUUCCUCCAUGUUUGAAUAAUUUGACAUCUUUGAGGUUAUUGGAUCUCUCUUCCAACCUAUUCUCCGAAAAUCUUUCUUCCCCUCUGUUACCUAAUCUCACAUCCCUGGAGUACAUCGAUCUCAGUUACAAUCAUUUUGAGGGUUCAUUCUCUUUCAGCUCUUUUACUAAUCACUCCAACCUUCAAGUGGUCAAACUUGGAAGGAAUAACAACAAGUUUGAGGUAGAAACUGAAUAUCCAGUUGGUUGGGUUCCCCUGUUUCUGUUGAAAGCUCUUAUCCUAUCCAACUGUAAGCUCAUCGGUGAUCCUGGUUUCCUUCGACACCAAUUAAGAUUAACCGUGGUUGAUCUCUCCCAUAAUAAUUAGACUGGAAGUUUCCCCAUUUGGCUGCUUGAUAACAAUACAAGACUAGGAUCUCUAGUUCUGAGGAAUAACUCUUUAAUGGGUCAACUACUUCCCCUGAGACCUAAUAGUCGUAUCACUUUAUUGGAUAUCUCAGACAACCGACUUCAUGGGGAACUUCAACAAAAUGUGGCCAAUAUGAUUCCAAAUAUUGAGUUUCUAAAUUUAUCCAACAAUGGUUUUGAAGGUAUUCUCCCAUCCUCAAUAGCCGAAAUGAGUUCCUUACAGUCAUUAUAUUUGUCUGCUAAUAGUUUCUCAGGGGAAGUACCAAAACAAUUGCUUGCGGCAAAAUAUUUGUGGCUUCUGAAAUUAUCAAAUUAUAAAUUUCAUGGCGAAAUAUUUUCAAGGGACUUUAACUUGACUCAGUUAGGGUUUUUGCAUUUGGACAAUAAUCAGUUCAAGGGAACACUGUCAAAUGUAAUCUCCAGAAUCUCUAGGUUAUGGGUGUUGGAUAGGUAACAUGACCGAUUUGACUACACUGGUGUUGGGCAACAAUAGUUUUAAAGGCAAAUUACCACCUGAGAUUUCUCAAUUGUUGGGGAUGAUAUUUCUUGACGUUUCUCAAAACGCUCUUUUAGGAUCUCUUCCUUCUUUGAAGAGCCUGGAGUAUUUAGAUACCCAGAGAUUGAUACCCAGAGAUUUUCUCAAUUCCUCAUAUCUAUUGACUUUGGAUAUCAGAGACAACAGGUUAUUUGGAAGUAUUCCCUAUUCAAUCUCUAGACUUUUAGAGCUAAGAGGAAACCUUUUAAGUGAUUUCAUUCCAUAUCAGCUUUGUCAUUUGACUAAAAUAAGCUUGAUGGAUAUUUCAAACAACAAUUUUUCUGGGUCAAUUCCCGGAUGCUUUGGUCAUAUCGGAUUUGGAGAUUUCAAAACUGAGCACAAUGUGUAUAUACCGAUGUUGGAUUCGUAUUCAGAAAGCAAUCCUUCUAUAUAUACGGGUUACUUAAUAAAAUAUUUAUUUUUCUCUAGUGAACUCCCUGAUGAAGUAGAUGAAGUUGAGUUUGUUACCAAGAAUAGGUAUAGCUCCUACAGAGUAGAUAAAAAUAUUUGUUGGGAAUUUAGAUAUUUUUAUAGGAAAGUAGACAAGUAUUCUAAUUUAUAAAAACAAUGCAUUUCUUUAGUUUGGUAUAAAAAAAAAUGAAACGAUAGGUAUUGGUAUUUUUUUUAAAGCAACAAACGUUUUAUUUUAUUUGUAUUUAAGAACAAUGUCUUUUCUUAUACUAGUUAUUUUAAUUUUCUUUUGACAGAUUUUGCAAGCUUAAGCAAUUUGGAGAUACUAGAUUUGAGUUCUAAUUCCUUAAGUGGGAUUAUUCCAUCAUCUAUAAGAUUGAUGUCUCAUCUCAAGUCUUUAUCCUUGGCCGGAAAUCAGCUCAAUGGUUCUUUACAAAAUCAAGGUACAUAUGUUAUGAUUUGUUUGUUUCAUAUGGAUUAGAGAAGAUGAAUAUUGUAAAAAAAAAGUUGUAGUUAAUGUAAGCUAGAAAUAAGUAUCUUGCCUUAUAAAUUAUAUGAGCAUGUGUUUGUUCUUAAUGAAUCUUUACAACAUUUAGAGUUACCAAUGUUUAUAAUUCAUAAAGACCUCAUUAACCGUGAGUAACAACUAAUUGUAAGUAAUUGUGGAAAAAGUAAGGAAAACAAAAUGAGGGAAAAGCAAGGAAUUAGGAAAUUAUUUUGUUCCCAUUAAAAAAUGCUAAGGAAGAAAAAGGUAAAAGAAAGUUUAAAAAAAGUGUAUUUUUCAAAAAUUUAUUUCUCUUUCCUUUAAUUUUGCUAUGGACAACCAAACAAGAAAAUUAUUUUAUAAUUCCUUUUUUAUUUUUUUCAUUCUCUCUCUCUUUUUUCCCCUACUCUAUUUCUUUUCCCUCAAACUUUCUUGGUAGUAAACACAACCUAAGAUAAAAUGGGGAAGAAAAUUUUCAGUUUUUUUUUUAUUUUUUUAGAAUGUUUUCUUACUUUUUAGUAUUUUAUGCAAAUAUAGGAAAAUUAUUUUUUUUUCUUUUUUUUUCUUGCUCCUUUUCGGACAUGAAUCACACUUUAAAAGAAAAUUAAUUUUUAAUUAGGAGUUAAGAUAAAUUUAAGGAGAAACAGUGAAUCACGAAUAACAAAAAAAUAAGGAAAUUGAAUUUUUGAAAGUAAGUAUAAUCAAAUUGCUUCAUUUGAUACAAAAUUUGAAUAAAAAUUCUUUCAAGGAAAGGAAAAAACAUUUUUGUCUCUAGAUUAUAAUACUAAAUCAUGUAAAAAAUCUCUUAACAUCAUUUAUAUUCAUAUUUAUUUUUGUAGAUUUGAAAAAUUCAACAAUUUGGAAUAAACUUAUUCAAUGAAUAAUAAUUUUUAGAUUUAAAGAUUAUUAUUUAAGAUCAUAAAUAUUACCAUGAUUGUUGAUGUCUAAGAAGAUCAUAUUCAACAAUUUUUUUAAUAUGUUGUUUUUUUAUGGUAAUUAAUUGAUGUCUUGUAAUUUUUAAUAUUUAAUGAAAAACAUUAUUUUAAUUCAUCUAGAGCUCUUAAUUCAUGAAGACCUCAUUAAUGGUGAGUAAUAGUUGGCUGUAAGUUUGGAGUCAAAGACAUGUCAAGGAGAUGAUUAGUUACAUGUCUUAUUCUCUUUUGUAGGUUUCUGUCAAUUGAAUAAGCUUCAAGAGUUAGAUCUUUCUUACAACUUAUUCCAAGGGAUCCUUCCUCCAUGUUUGAAUAAUUUGACAUCUCUAAGGUUAUUGGAUCUCUCUGUCAACCUAUUCUCCGGAAAUCUUUCUUCUCCUUUAUUACCUAAUCUCACAUCCCUGGAGUACAUCGAUCUCAGUUACAAUCAGUUUGAGGGUUCAUUCUCUUUCAGCUCUUUUGCUAAUCACUCAAAGCUUCAAAUGGUCAAACUUGGAAUGAAUAACAACAAAUUUGAGGUAGAAACUGAAUAUCCAAUUGGUUGGGUUCCCUUGUUUCAAUUGAAGGCUCUUUCGCUAGACAGCUGUAAGCUCACCGGCGACCUUCCUAGUUUUCUUCAAUACCAAUUCAGGUUAGUGGGGGUUGAUCUCUCACAUAAUAACUUGACAGGAAGUUUUCCCAAUUGGCUGCUUGAAAACAAUACGAGACUAAAAUCUCUAGUUCUGAGGAAUAACUCUUUAAUGGGUCAAUUACUUCCCUUGGAACGUAAUACCCGUAUCCAUUCAUUGGAUAUCUCACACAAUCAGUUGGAUGGACAACUUCAAGAAAAUGUGGCCCAUAUGAUUCCAAAUAUGAAAUAUCUAAAUUUAUCCGACAAUGGUUUUGAGGGUAUUCUCCCAUCCUCAAUAGUUGAACUAAGAGCCUUAUGGUAUUUGGAUUUGUCUACCAAUAAUUUCUCUGGAGAAGUACCAAAGCAAUUGCUUGCAGCAAAAGAUUUGGGGGUUUUGAAAUUAUCAAAUAAUAAAUUUCAUGGUGAAAUAUUUUCAAGGGACUUUAACUUGAUUAGGUUGGAAGUUUUGUAUUUGGGCAAUAAUCAGUUGACGGGAACUCUGUCAAAUGUAAUCUCUAAAAGCUCUUGGUUGGGGGUGUUGGAUGUGAGCAACAACUACAUGUCAGGUGAAAUUCCAAGCCAGAUAGGUAACAUGACCUAUUUGACUACACUGGUGUUGGGCAACAAUAGUUUUAAAGGCAAAUUACCACCCGAGAUUUCUCAAUUGUGGGGUUUGGAGUUUCUUGACGUUUCUCAAAAUGCUCUUUCAGGAUCUCUUCCUUGUUUGAAGACCAUGGAGAGUUUAAAGCAUCUACAUUUGCAAGGGAACAUGUUUACAGGAUUAAUACCCAGAGAUUUUCUCAAUUCCUCACAUUUAUUGACUUUGGAUAUGCGAGAUAACAGGUUAUUUGGAAGUAUUCCCAAUUCAAUCUCUGCACUUUUGAAGCAGCUAAGGAUUUUUUUGCUGGGAGGAAACCUUUUAAGUGGUUUUAUUCCAAAUCAUCUUUGUCAUUUGACUGAAAUAAGCUUGAUGGAUCUUUCAAACAACUCUUUUUCAGGGCCAAUUCCCAAAUGCUUUGGCCAUAUCCGAUUUGGGGAGAUGAAAAAGGAAGACAACGUGUUUGGACAGUUCAUUGAAAUUAGGUAUGGAAUGGAUUCUCAUCUUGUAUAUGCAGGUUACUUGGUGAAAUAUUGGGAGGACUUAAGUUCAGUAUAUAAGGGAAAAGAUGAAGUUGAGUUUGUGACCAAGAACAGGCGUGACUUCUACAGAGGUGGCAUCCUUGAAUUCAUGUCUGGAUUGGACUUAUCAUGUAACAACUUGACAGGCGAAAUACCUCAUGAACUUGGAAUGCUAAGUUGGAUUCGUGCAUUGAACUUGUCUCACAAUCAAUUGAAUGGCUCCAUUCCAAAGAGUUUCUCCGAUCUUUCUCAAAUAGAGAGCUUAGACCUUUCUUAUAAUAAAUUGGGUGGAGAAAUUCCUCUAGAGCUAGUUGAACUCAAUUUUUUAGCGGUGUUUAGUGUGGCUUACAACAACAUCUCUGGUAGAGUUCCAAAUGCCAAAGCACAAUUUGCAACAUUUGAUGAAAGCAGCUAUGAAGGUAAUCCUUUCCUUUGUGGGGAACUAUUAAAGAGGAAAUGCAACACAAGUAUUGAGUCACCAUGCGCACCAUCACAGUCUUUUGAAAGUGAGACAAAAUGGUAUGAUAUCAAUCAUGUUGUUUUCUUUGCAAGUUUUACUACUUCAUAUAUCAUGAUCUUGUUAGGAUUUGUUACCAUCCUUUACAUCAAUCCUUAUUGGCGUCAUAGAUGGUUCAAUUUUAUUGAGGAAUGUGUAUAUUCCUGCUAUUAUUUUGUUUUUGAUAGUCUUUCCAAGUUCUCAGCAUAUUUGUAUAAUUAGAUACUUUUAAUUGGAUGAUGUUUGCAUAAUUAACUACUAUUUGUUUCCAUGGGAUAAAAAGAAAUGGGAUUAUAAUUGCUAUGAGUUGAAACUUACAUACUUUGCUCAAAUUCUAACAUCUUUUGAUUUUAUUUUCAAGUUCCGUUAUUUAUUAUGUAUUGUUUAAUUCAAGAUUUAACCAUAUUAUGCUACUCUUAUAAAAACAAAUUCAAAUUUUUAGGAACUUAGCAUUAAAAUAAUUUCAUAGUCAGAUUUUUAAAAAUAAAGAAGAAAGAAAAUAAUAAAUAAUUAGAAAAACAAUUCAAGGGAGUAUUAAAUUAUUAUCUUAGAAUUGUUUGGCGUAGUAUGGGAAUUCAAAAAUAAUCUUUCAAUUUGUUAGAAAUGUUUAUUUAUUUAUUAUAGCAAUGAUUGAAAUAUCAAUCACAAAGUAAUGUUUUCUUUUCUUUUGUAGGGCACUAACAUUUUUUCUUUGAUUGUAAUAAUUGAUAAAUAUAUUACACAAUUAUUUGUUUUAAAGAGGGGAGGGAUGACAAACAUAAUAACAUGUGAAAUAUUUCUAAAACUGUGAUGGGAAAUAAACCAUCUAAUUAGGGUGCAAUAUUAUUCAUUUUAAUUUAUAUGAAUUUACUUAUUUUUAUUUCCAUCAUAUUUUGAACUAUUUUUUGAAAUUAAGGGAGAUUAAAACAUCAUGAAUUUCUUAGUUUAAUUUAUAUUUUUAAUAAUAAAGCAUGAAAUAUUUAAAAAAAAAAAAGAAAAUCAUGAAUUUCUUUAAUUCCUUAGGAAACCAAUAUAUAAAAAAAGUUGAAUAUAUUAUUAUUUUAUAUCCUAAAUUUCUAAAUUUGUUCAUCACGUAUUUAUUUUUAUAUUAAAUUUAUUAUCAAUAAUUAUUUAUUAUAUAUUAUUAUUUUAUAUUUAAAAAUGUUCAUAAAUAAUUAAAAUUAAUAAAUAUAAAAAAUGAAAUAUUAAAAAAUUAAAUUAAAAAGAUUUCAUCAAGCUAACAUAUUUUGAUAAAAAAAAAAAGAGUAAAAAAGAAGAUGGGGAUAUUAUAGAGGUGGGGAAAAAGAUAAAAGAAAAAUCAUGUGGUAUAAUAAUUGCCACGUGUUAAAGUUAUUUUCUUUAAAAAUUAAUUAUAGUAAUGAUGAACUCAUUUGUCUUAUCAAAGUAAAUAAAAAUAAAUAAAUAAAAGAAAAAAAGAAAAAGAAAAAAAGUGGUGGUUGAUUGGAGGUUAGAGAGGAGGGUUUGAAGGUAAAUUUGGAAUAUUGAUUAUUUUCACUAAGUAGAUAUUUUGAAAGUUAUUUUCAAUGUUUUAAAAACCGGACCGGCCGGUCCGACCGGUCCAACCGUCGACCGGUCACCAUUCCGGUCCGAUCCGGUCAUUUGGACCGGAUUGAGAUCGAACCGGAGUUGAACCGCUCGAACCAGCGGUUCAACCGCUGAACCGGACAAACCGAUCGGUUCCAAGGGAACCGGCCAAUUCAAAUAAUUUUAAUUUUAAAAAAAAAAUUACACAAUAAAAAUAUUACUGUGGGUAAGCUGCAAGCAUGAAAGGUAGGAUUCCAUGUUGGGCCUGUCUUGUGACAAGCCCACACACCCACUCCAAUUACCCUGGGCCUCUUUUUUGAGCCCACAAGAUCAUGCCAAGGCUUUGCUGAGGAUGGCUUUUAUAGGAGUCAUUUGACUCCUUGUUCCUCUCAUAUUCCGAUGUGGGAUUGCAUUUUAUCAAUGAAAAAAAACAUAACAAACAUAACAAAACUCCACCAACAGAAUUUGAACCUUGGACCAAUCUUUAACUCUAGUCCACCUAGGAAACCACUCGGCUACAUGUGUUUUAUCAUCUAAUGUGCCAAACAAAAUAAUAUAUAUUAGAUUUUAAAUUUUUUUAUAAUAUUAAAUAAAAAUAAUAUAAUAUUUUUAAAAAUUAUGAAAUUAGUUUAAAUUUUCAUUUUUUUUAUAUUCACAUUUAAAUAUUAUACAUAUUUCAUUUAAUAAAAUUUAAAAUAUUAAUAUGAUUUAAUUUGAUAAUAUCAAAGAUAUAAAAUAAUAUUAUUGAUGUUUAAUUUAUUCAUAUAUAUUUUAAAAUUUUUUAUAAUUAUUUUUAAUUUUAAUAAUAUAUAAAUUAUAUAUUUAUUACGUCACCGGUUCGAUAGCGGUUCGACCGCCGGUCCGACCAGUGAACCGUGAACCGGUAACUUUUCCAGUUCGAUCACCGGUCCGAUUCUGAAAACAUUGGUUAUUUUGCCUGAAACCCAUAUUGUUUGAAAAUAAAAAAUCAAAGUUUUAAAAAAAUACAAUUUUUUUGAAAUGAUGCAUGAUUAUAUCAUUCCCCUAAUAGAUUAUUUAUUCCUUUAAACUUUACUUCAAAUAAAAUAGUUUUAAUUAUUUUCUUUUUGGAAUUAUAUUUAACAUAUUAUUAAAAAUAUAAAAAACAUUUUAAUAAUAUUGUUAAUGAGUUUAUAUAUAUAUAUAUAUAUUGUAAAAUAAUUAAAUUUAAAAAUAUUUAAAUUUAGUUAUGGGCUGCCCAUUUCAAAAUAAUAAGAAUCUCGUAACCUAAUUUUUCCAAAUUCCAGGUAAAUAUGCUAAUCUAAAAAUAAAAAAUAAAAAUUAGGUUUUUAUGCUCUCCAAUCUACCACUUAAGCAUCCGACAUGGCUAAAAUAAAUUACAAAAAAAAAAAAAAAAAAAAAAGGAAAAAAAACAAAAGUGUGUGAUCCUCUUUCUCGAGUCUUCACAUUUUGAGACACUGAAACCAAAUCAAAAUUAAUCCUUCAAAUUAAUUUUCACCUCCAAACAUGGCUAUCCGAAAAACCCUAACGUCUGCCUCCUCUUCCUCUUAUCCCGGAAACCUAAAUUCCGUGACCCUAACCCCUUCUCUUUCCGAAAACCCUCCGGAAUCGGAAGAUUCAUAAUUCUUCAGAAUUAAUUUUCACCUCGAAGCCAAACCCUAACUGCCUCAUCUUCCUCUCAUUCAUAUCCCAAAAGUAGCUUCAACAGUCAGGCCUGUAGCCAUGAAAGCCGUAGUGAUCACUACUUCCGGUGAUCCCCAAGUUCUCCAAGUGCAAGAAGUCGAAAACCCUGAAAUUGGAGAUGAUGAAGUUCUAAGUAGAGUGGACGCCGCUGCCAUUAACCGAACAGAUACGCUCCAGAGGAAGGGCUUGCACCCUUCCUCAAAGGCGGCAGUCCCUACCCGGGUCUCGAAUGUUCUGGAAUCAUCGAAGCUGUUGGAAAAGCCGUCGUUCGAUGGAAGGUUGGCGAUCAGGUAUUUCAAUUGCCUAAUAUUUUGAUUUCGUUUCUGUUCCUCUGUUUUUCUCGGCUAUCAAACACUAGGAACGUGUAAAUAAGGAGGUUAGUUGAUUGCGAAAACGGGAAUUUUUUGUUCGUGUCUGUGUUAAGGAGUCUUUGUUGAGAAUUUUGGGGAAAUUUAUGAUAGGUUAAAUUAUUGAGCUUAUUGGUUUUCAAAUUUAUGGUUGUAAGAAAAUUGGUCAGUGUAAGGUUAUGGGUUCAUUACCAAUUUGCUUAGUGAAAAUUUUUCCACAUAUUGUGGACCGGUUUGGUAGCAGAAAUAAGAACUGUGUUUUGUUUUUCAAAACGGAAAUGGAUGCAGAAAACAUGUUUGGUAGCCUACUUUCAGAACUUGUUUCCGAAAAUAUUUCCUGAAAAUGAAUUAUUUCAGAACUUGUUUUUAAAAAAUUCAAACACUUUAUCAAUUUAAAAGGUUCUGAAAUGGACAUGUUCAUGGUCUUCAUUUUUUAAAAUUAAAGCUUUUAUGAAAAAACCAUUUUCCCUUCUACUAAACAAACAGGCUCUAUAUUGUAACAGAUCGAUUGGCCAUUUCCUUUGUCAUGUUUUGUGAAUCAUGGCAACACUGGAAUCCACUCCAUUACCAUCUGUUAGUGAUUAGAAGACAAAGCACCAAUUUUAAUGAUAUCCUUUAUGUGAUUUUGCUUCCUCCUGAGUACAAGUUCAUAAUAUACAUGGUACAUGGUGAAUCUGUAUGACAGUUCAUGGUAUACAGGUGUGUGCUCUUCUUUCUGGUGGAGGGCAUGCUGAAAAAGUGGCUGUUCCAGCUGGGCAAGUUCUCCCUGUCCUAUCUGGUGUUUCUCUGAAGGAUGCUGCUGAGGUUGCAUGUACUGUUUGGUCAACUGUUUUAAUGAUGAGCCGACUGUCUGCAGGAGAAACAUUCCUGGUGAAUUUUUUGUCUUUUUUAUUUUCUGAUGCCUGAUAUAUUUACCAGCACAAAUUUACCCUGUUGCUGUUUAAUGUGUGUGCAUCAAUAUUGGAUUAGGGAGGUAGAAGAGCCAUGGUUCUAAUUAAAUCAUUACAUCAUCAUAUUCUUAUUUAGAUACAUUGUAUCCCACAAUUUCAUUGCAUCCAAGGCUAUGUUGUUUUUUAUUGCACGGUUUGUCAUGGUAAUUUCUCAACCCUUCUCUGGAAAAUUAUGUUGGAUGGCUGCUAUUAAUUACCCCAAAAGAAGAAAUUUUAUGUUGAAGUAAGAUGAGUAGCACAAAGAGUUACUUGUGGUUGAUCCUAUCAUCAAAUGGGCGAUUGAUGCACAAUCCAAAUGGUAAAUUUUUUUCCCCCUUUAUCCAGAUGGAAUUUUUAUGCAUGGUUGAAUAGUGAAAUGAGAGGACUGAUAAUAUUUCAGGUUCAUGGGGGUUCAAUUGGAAUUGGUACCAUCUAUUCAAAUAGCGAAAUACCGAGGAGCAAGGGUAUUUGUUACAGCAGGUUUGCCAUCACUGUUCUACCUCAUCUCACAGAAUGCUUAUCUCAUGGCACCAAUUCCUUUUCUUCACAUGUUUUCAACCAUUUUUUCCACCCAGGAACGAGGAAAAAUUAGCUAUUUGUAAGGAUCAUUGAGCAGAUGUGUGCAUCAAUUACAAGACUGAAAACUUUGUUGCAUGGGUGAAGGAGGAAACAGGAGGGAAAGGUAUAUUCUAUUGUAUCUUAACGAUAAUUUCAAUUGAAGGUGGAAUUGCUUUUUAUUUUUUAGUGCACCAAAUCCACUAGUCUGGAAUGUUUGAAAAGAUAAAUAGUCAUCUUCCACUUGAUUCCGAUUGUGAAGAUCUAACCCCAAAAAUGUUGAAUGACAGGUGUUGAUGUUAUACUGGAUAAUAUUGGAGGGGCCUACUUUUGGGGAGACAUCAAUGGUUUAAAUGUUGAUGGAAGGCUUUUUAUUAUUGGUUUUCAGGGUGGAACAGUGGUACAAGUAAAUCUUUCAGGUUUACUUGCAAGGCGCCUUACAGUGCAAGGUACUGCUUUCUCUGUAGAAGAUUUUUCUGUAGUUUUGGAGUUGAAUCAAUUUGAUUAAUCUCAUCCAAGUUCAGAACUGAGGUGGAUUCUGGCAAGCCAAGGAAAAACCAAAUUACCAUAAAUUCUUUUUUUUUUUUCUGGAUCGUUUUACUUCUUGGAAAUCCUGUUUCUCGAUCUGUUAAUCACAUGGUUUGUUUUUCUUUAUUGUCCCUCUUUCUUUUCUUGUUGGUACCAAAUCCCUAAGAUGUGGAAGCCAAGUGAGCACUUUCUAUCUUUUCUUGUUUCAAUCUCUCAUCCUCUUGUGCACAUUGAGCAAUAAGCUCAUUCAAAGUCCAUUUUUCCUUUUGUGUGUUGUAACUGAUUUUGAAUGGACUGAAUUGUGUAGGCAGAGAGAUCAAGACCAAGUGCACGAGUAUGUCUUCCGAAAACUCUAACUUUAGUGCCUUUAGUCUAGUCACAAGAUUAGACAUUUCCAUAAUAUACUCCCUUAUAUUCUCUUUCCCUUUAUACCGCAUAGAGACAAGCUUACUAAGAAUAGUGUUUGUCUCAACCUUUUCAUUUGCAGCGAUCAAUUUGCUAUCUGGUCUAAGAAUGCCUUGGCUCGAGUUUUCUCAGGUAUUGCACCCCUUAUAACUUUUGGAAUUGAGUGCUUCGUUAUUAUUAGACUCAUGCGAUUGGAUCGCUCCCAUUUUUCCAUAGUAGACCUUUGCUCAGCAGUGCUGGCACUAGUAAGAUCUGGAGGGCGAUCCUCUCUUAAUGCAUAGUCUAAAUCCAUGCACCCGAGCACAAUUAUAGCGUGUUCCUUCCAUUUCUUGAAGUUUGUGCCAUUAAGGGCAGGAAUGUUAUUGACAUUUGCAGAUAUAGAAUAUGUUGAAUUCAUAAUAAUAAAGCUCACAAUCAGCCACAUAAACAUCAUACAUACAUGAAAAAUAACAUCAUACAAGAUACCUAGUACAAACAUUAAUAUUCUGUCUUUUGACAAUAAAUAUUAACUUGUAAUUGGUAUCCUUAUACAAAAUUAAUUCAUAAAUAUUGACAAUAAAACCAAAAACAAUGUGCCUCUCUUUGGACUAACAUAUUGAAUGCAAGAUAAACUUUAUAUGUCACAUAUUUAUGACUACUUUAUUUAUUAUUAUAUUAAAAUAAUCUUUCUUUGGGUCGCUUAUUUUAAAUAAUAAUAAUAACAUGUUUAGAUAUUAUAAAAUAAAUAAAUUAUAUAAUAUAAGUUACUUUGGCAACUAACAUACAUAAUUCAUUUAUUUUUUGUUGUUUCCUUCCUCUUGGAUCUUUUGUUUGUGUUUUAAAAAAAAAAAUGUUUCAGUGAAAAUGGGAAAUGCAACCAGGCUCUAAUACCAUUUUGUGGGACGUUCAUUCUCCAUUAUCAUCGAACACAUGCAGGAUAUAUUUAUAUAUAUCUAUCAAUUCAUUCAAAAUAUGCCGAUGGGAAGCCAGAGAGAACAAGUUCUAUUUUUAUUUUGAAAACAUUGUUAUCCUUAAAGAACAAACACUAUUAUUUGGAUUUAUACUCUCCUGCCUUAGGGACCAUACCCUUUGGCUAUUAGGCCUCACGAGUCUUAGGCCCAUCAUCUAAGGCUCGUGAUGGCACUGGGCUCUACAUAUAAGGUGGCCCAUACUCUGGAACGAAUAUAAAUCAUAUGUAUAUAUAUGGAUAGCUAAAUCCUGAAUAAUGGUUAAUAUGAUGUCGGUUCACAUUUAUUAUAUCAUAUAGACUUCCCAUCUGAAGAAAAUCGACAACAAGUAGCUUUGCCAUUCUUAGUUCGUAUACAACCAACCUUAGCAAGGGUUGAACCCUUUUAUGCUUAGUUGUGCCAUACAGAUCCUUACCACCGCCUACAACAUGUAAUUGAAAUGAUUCGAUAAUAUCAUCUAGUGAACCAAUACCUCCAAAUGAGAGACCAUUGCCUCAGUAACUAAGACUCACGACUGAGAAUUGCGUGAACCCCUUUGCUUGGGUUGGAGCUUGACUGAUGCACAAAAUAUUCAUAGGCCUCUUCCCAUAACAGGCACCUUGUGUUUGCAACAUAAUUGAACAUGUAUUGAAGUGAGUUUUUUUGCAUCUUUUUGUAAGAAAAUUCUAAACAACAAAGAUUGCUUAGUGUGCCUGACUCCUCAAGGAAUCAAGGUUCAUUCCUGUAGGGCCAGUUUUUUCACAGUCGAACUAGAUAACAUGGAGAGUAUGUUGCAAUGCUUCAACGGGGUAUUUCUUAGGAAAAUCCACCUGAAGCUGGUACAAUUCGUUGGCGUACUGAGUUCCUAAAGCUCUAUUGACUUCAAUCACCCAUCUCUGUAGAUUAUCGGUGACUUUAUGCUCGGAUCCUGUAGGAGGAUUGACUUGACAUUCCACUAGUUUUUUCUGGAAGGCGAUUUUGUUUAACACCUUGUGAGAAGAGGCAGGGGAACUGGUCAUUGUUUCUUCGAGAAGAUCAGUGGCCGAGGAUGGGUUUGGACCAGAAUUGCUAUAUGGGUUUUCUUUGGGUGAACCAAUUAGUGAAAUAGGUGGCUAUAUAGCAACUAAAGGGUGGUCAUACUAACGAGGAGCUAUUAUUUCAUGCAUGUGGAGAGGAAAUGACUAGCUUCUUCAAGGAUAUAUGAUUAUUCAUCUCUAGCUUACGUUGACUAUCUCCUAACAAAUUUCUGCUUUGAAGCUCCCUUAGUUUCACUACAGCUAAUUGGCCAACUUGGUUUCAUCAUGUUUCCUACAACCUCUAAGCAAAGCAUGCCAGAUCACCGAAUCAGGUUCUAUUCGCAUUUUGUCCAUAAACUCCUUUGCCUAUUGACAAUAGACUGCCCCUCAAAAUUUGAUGAGAUAACAUCAACGCUGACAUGUUGGCCAUCCCCAUAAGCAUCUUUAUAGAGAUUGAUUCUAUGUUUAGAUAUUUCUCUCUCCUCAAGUGAGUUCAACUUUUCUGUAGCAUCCUUCUCCUUCUCUACUAAUAGUCUUAGUUGAACAUCCAACCUAUGUUCCCAAAGUGCCAGCAUCUCAUAUCUGAUGACAAGCCAACAACCUUGCCCUUGCUGAGACCCAAAUAAGUAUCCAGAACCAUCAACAUCAACCCUUUCAUAGGCCUUUGUAUUUGAAGGUCGGAUUGGGAUUGCUUUGAAUGCACUGGCACUACAAUACACAAUUGUUUCUUCUCCGAUAAAAACACCACAAAGAGGUGAGGGGACUGGUAUUAGCAAAGAAGUGUUGUUAUCUAUAUUGUUCUAAGCCCGAUUACCCUCAACAAAAUCCUCAUCCUCAUCUGUACUCUUCCAUUACAUCCCUAGGCUUUUCAAUGUGAUCCACAUGGCUUACAGGAAUCCAGAAAUACUGAUCUGUAUAAAAGUUGCUCUUAUGGGGCUCUCCUAGAAAACAUCCCAAUCAAGAUGAUCAACCUAGCUUAGAUGCUCAGCACCCCAAACUUACCAGAAAUAGAGGAAUAAAAAGCAAGGAUAGGAGCCAAAGUAAAAACUAAGGGAAGAGCAAAUAGGAAAUCAAGCAAAACAUGAAUGUACAGAGCCUCAUUUCAGGUGACAUCUUUGGGCUAAUAAUAGGUGGAAUUAACAAAGUAGAUAAGCAUGAUUGUUAUAAAUAUCAAGUUCAAGGAUGAAGUCGUGCAUCAGCUACUUAUAGGGGGAGUCAAGGAAACCAAGAUAAGAUCAAAGAGAGCAUGUAUGCAAAUAAACAGAUACGACAAAAUAGACCAAACAACUCGUGAAUAUCCUCCUACAAAAAACUACUACACGUGGCAAAAAGUGAUGAAACAAAAAGAGUUGGGUCCGCAUAUACAUAUCCUAUUCUAUCCUAUUCCUUCAAAUCCAAAGCAACCUGUAUUUUCAAUGGGAUUUGUUGUGAUGAAUUUUACUGGAUUGUAACAUGUAAAUAUGUUAAAAGAGGCUUGGGACAUUCCUAUAUAGUAACGCAUAAAGGUACUUCCAUUGUGAAGUUGUCAAAAUUGCAAAUUUAAAUUACAAAAUUUGAAAACAUAGAGAUGAAAGAUGAUGAAACCUUCUUUGAAAUUUUAUAUUGAACUCAUUAAUAUUAUUAAUUUUCAUUUCAGUCUAGGGGAAAGAAUUCUUUACUCUAAAGUGGUCACAAAAAUAUUAAAAUUCCUUGUCGAGAGAUUUAGACCUAAAGUGAUCAAUAUAGAAGAAAGUAAAAAUAUUCUAAGUGUAGGUAAACUUGUAGACUCAAAUGACUCUACCUUCUCAUAAAAAAUCCUCAAUUUUAUAAAUUAUAUUGAUUUCUUCAUUUGAUACAAAAUUUGAAUAAAGAUUUUUCAAAUGACAACACAAGGAAAGGGAAAAAAAAAUUCUCUCCAAAUCAUAUUAUUUAAUCACUUAAAUUAUUUAAAAAUAAAAAUGUUUACUGCUAACAUUAUUUAGGUUCAUCUUUCUUUUGAUGGAGGUUAAAAUUCAUAAUUUUGAGGAAAAAGAUGAGGAUUCUCAUUUUUUUUCCAUAUAUGAAUGGGAUUCUCAUUGUGUAUAUGUGGGUUACUAAAUGGCAAAUUUGGGGGCCACCAGAGUCUGCAAUAUGAGGGAAAAAUGAAGUUGAGUUUGUCACCAAGAAUAGACAUGGUUCCUACAAAGGUGGCAUCUUUAAUUUCAUGUUUGGAUUGGACUUGUCAUGUAACAACUUAACAAGUGAAAUCCCUCAUGAACUUGGAAUGUUAAGUUUGAUUCAUGCAUUGAACUUGUCUCGUAAUCAACUAAAAGGCUCCAUUUCAAAGAGUUUUUGCAAUCUUUCUCAAAUAGAGAGCUUAGACCUUUUUAAUAAUAAACUAAGUGGAGAAAUUCCUCCAAAAUUGGUUAGACUAAACUUUUUAGCAGUGUUCAAUGUGACUCACAAUAGCAUCUUCGGAAGAGUUUUAGAUAUGAAUACAUAAUUUGCAAAAUUUGAUGAAAGUAACUAUGAAGCUAAUCCUUUCCUUUGUGGACCACCAUUAAAGAGAAAAUGUAGCAUAAAUGUUGUUGAACCACCUUACCAACCAUUAGAGUCUUCGGAAGAAAGUGAUGCAAAAUGGUAUAAUAUCAAUCUUGUUAUUUUCUUUGCAAAUUUUACUACAUCAUAUAUCAUGAUAUUAUUAGGAAUUUCAACCAUUCUUUACAUUAACCCUUAUUGGUGUCAAAGAUGGUUCAAUUUUAUCGAGAAAUAUAUAUACUUUUGCUAUUAUUUUGUUUCCUAUACUCUUUCCAAGUUAUUAACAUAUUUUGAAUAAUUAGAGAUUUUUGUUUUCAAUAAUAUUUACAUAAUUAACUACUAUUGGCUUCCAUGACAUGGAAAGAAAUGCGAUGAAGGCAACAACCACUUUUUUUUCUCCUCUACUAGUGCAUGAUUGAUAUGAGUUAAAACUUGCACCCUUAUCUUUGCUUAAAUUUUCUCAGCUUUUGUUUCAAUUCUUAAUUAUCAUUUCUUUUAUGUAUUGUUUAAUACAAUAUCCUAAACACAUUGCUUUGAAGGUUACUUAUUUAUUAAGCAUGAUAUUGAUUUUCAUAAAAACAAAUUCAAGUUUUUUAGGAAUUUUUAGAAUUAUUAUAAUUUGGAGUUCACAUUAGAGGAAAAAAGGAAAGAAAAGAAUAGAUGAUUAAAAAAACAAUUUUAGUAAGUAUAAUUUGUCAUCUUCGGUAUAACAAAUGGGAAUUCCAAAAUAAUAUUUCAAUUUGUUAGUCUAUUCCUUAUAGUAUUAAUUGAUAUAUCAAAUAGGAAGUCACGUUUUGAUUUUUUAUUAGCUUGAAUUGCAUGUCACAUAUAUUUUAAAAUCAAGCAUACAUCAGCCGGGAAGUUCUUGUAACAUGCAUGAACAUGAUAUGAUGAAUUGAAUAAUUUUCUUAAUAUAUGUGUAUAUACUACACAUUAUUAAAUCAUAUAUGUAUAUUUAUAGUCGUAUAAUAUAUUUAUAUAAGUAACAAUAAAUUAUAUUGUAUAAGGUAUCGGUAGGAGUUUUCAAUUCCCUCAUACAAUAAUAUCUAUCAAUAAUUGGAUUGGACACCUUGCUGGCCAUGAGAAUGGACUUGACAUUAACACAUAGCCUUGAGUGGUGUUGAUAUUAUUACUUUGAACCAGAACUGCAGUCAUCUCAAAAACUAUAUUAUAUAGAAAAGCAAAAUAAAAACAUUAGUUAAAACAAAUGUCAAGAUCCUUGAAAUCACGUUUCAAUAUGUUAAAUUACCAUUUUUUUAAAUAAAUAUUUUAUAGGUUGUGUGAAUAAAUAUAAUUGCUAUGAAGGUUUCAAUUUAAUUUUACUAGCAAAUCCAUAAUAGGUGAAAAGACAAAACUACCAUUUUUGUUUUUUUUUCUUUAUUUACCUUUUUUCUCUCGUAACCUUACUCCUUUCACCUUUUUGUUUUUUCCUUUUUCUCAACUAACUAUUUUUUUCUUGUAAUUGUUAUUAUCAUUUUUUAUUAUAAAUAUUAUAACCUUAUAUUAUAAAUUUUUAAUUAUAUUUAAACUAACUAAUGUUGUGGUUUUAAUUGACAUGGAAAAGAAUGUGGUUAUACAUGUGAUUGUCGCCUUUUUUUUUUUCCAAUUAGUUAACUAUUGAUACAAGUUAAAAGUAAAAAUUGCAAUAUUAUCUUUAUGUCAAUUUCACCGAUCUUUUGUUUUUAUUUUCAUGUAUCAUUCCUUUUUUGGUUAUUUAAUUAAAAGGAUUAAAAAAAAAAAAUCACAUAUUCACAAGAAUAACCUUCAUAUUUUAAAAACAUAAAUUUUUAUAAAAAUACCCUCCAACUAUAAUUUUUAUAUGUCCCUAUUUCAAAUUCAAACACUUCUUUUAAUAAUAAUAAUAAUAAAAAAGGGCAAAAAUGUCAAACUGGGAUUAUAUUUAUAAUUUUCAAUAAUUAGAGGUUGUUUUUCCAAAGUAAAAAUUAUUUUGUUCCUUUGGCACAAAUAUUUCUUUCUUUUUUGUAUUUUUUUAUUCAAAAUAUUAAACACAUUACCCUCAAGGUUACUAUUUAUUAUGAAUGGUGUUUACUUUACAUUACGACAAAUUCAAAUUUUUUAGAAUUUUUUAAUGUUAAAAUAAUUUGGAGCUUAAUAGGGAAAAAAAGAAUAAAUAAUUAGAAAAGCAAUUCAAAAAAAUAAAAUUUAUCCUCUUAAAUUGGUUUUGUGUAAUACUAUAGAAGCCAUUUCUUGAGUUUGAUAUGGUAGAAUUUGGAUUCAUAUUUAUUUUAAAAUCAAGAAAUUCAAGUGUUGGUAGCAUCAAUAGAAUCUUAAAAAAUUUGCAAAAAAAUAUUUAGGUAGAUCACAUUUAAAUAUAACUAAUAGAAUAAAAAAUUAGUAUUAUUAGGAAGACAUGAUCAAUUAAAUCUUUUUUCUUAUCUAUGACACCGACUUUAUUUUUUUACAUAGUCAAUAUAAUUUAUUACAACUUAUAUGUCAUUAAAUUAUACAUGUUUAUAUUAAAUAUAAUAUAAGAUCAUUAAUGGAAUAAUUAUGCAAGUAAUAUAAAUUGUAUAUAAUAUAAAAAAUUUAAAGUCCAUCAAACUAAUGGAAUCUAUUAUAAUAAGUAGACUAGACACCAUGUUGGCCCGAGUUGGAGGCCUAGGCCAGAUUUUAAAGGCUGGGCUUUGAGUUGCCCGUGGGCCUGAGCCAAGGCCUUCUCUUGGUAUCAUCAUUUUGAAGAAAUAAAUUGCUGAUACAGAGAAAAAAACUAUACUAAAUAGAAAAAUAAAUAAAAGCAUUGACUAAAAUGAAGGCCAAGGUCCUUGAAAAAUAAUCUUAAAAUUGUUGCAUAUAUAAUUUCAAUAAUGCAUAAAUAAUUGCAAUAUAUAUGAUGUGAUAAAGAAUUUGGAAUUAAAAGAAGAUUGAUCUAUUUUAAAUGUGGUUGGAAUAUUUCUAAAUUUGUGAUGGGAAGUUAGACAGCCAAUUAGGGAUCCAUAUUAUUUAUUUUCAAUGAUAUGAAUUUAUUUACUUUUAUUAAUAUUCUUAAUGCAACAAUAUAAAAUAUGUCAAUUUUCUAAAAUUAAAAAAGUAAUUGUAAAAGAAAAUUUUUAAUUAUUUUUAUGAAAUUGAGUUUAUUAUAGCAUUUUUCUUUACAUAAAUUUCUUUUUUAUUUUUAUUUUUUUAAAAAUGAGAUAUGAAAAAAAAAGAUCAAUAUUAGUAAAAGUAAAACCCAAUAUAUAAAAAAUAUGAAUAAAUGUUUAUGAAAUAAGAUUUAAAAGUGAGAAGGUAAUAAUUUUUUUCUCUUUUAAUUCCUAUUCAAUUCAUUACAAAAAAUAUUUUUGGUUUUUAUGCUAAAAUUUAUUGUUUAUUAAAAAAUUCUAGUAUAUCUAGCUAUCAUAGAAGAGCUCCAAAAUUUUAUUGUUUAAGAGAAUAUGUGUUGCCACUUUAAAAGAUUUAUAUGCAAAAGGGAUUGAUAUUUUUUUCCUUUGGAUAUGUUUAGUUCCCGGAAAAUUUGAGGGAAAAUGUGAGGGAAGAAAAAUAGAGAAGAAAAGUAUAACGAAAUAAAAAGUGAAGGAAAAUGAAAAAUAGAUUUAAAGUUAACAAAUUAUUUUCAUUGGUUUUUUCAAACUUAUUUUACUUAUUUUAUUCUAUUAAAUAAAGAUUAACUAAUUUUAAUUAUAUUUGGUUUGAUUUUUAUUAUUUUUCAAAGCAAAACCAAAUAUGAAAAAAAAAACAUUUUUUUUUUUUGUUAUUUUUUUCUUUCCUUAUUACUUUUUAGGACUCAAACAUAGCUUUUAGAUUUGGAGCAUGGAAAGAUAAGAGUAUUGAAUAAUGGUUCUAUAUAUGCCCAUGCCCAUGCCCAUGAUACCAUUGAAAAAAAUGGAGAGAGGGUGAAACCUUUACUAGAUGAUAAAUUAUUCUCUUCAAUGGAAAUCAAAUAUAAUUAUUUUUAUCUUGUAUUAAUUGAAUGUUAUACUCCAUAAACUCAAAAUUAAAAUAAAUAAAAAAUUUAAAAACUAGGACAAUCCCAUUUUUUUUCAAUUUCUUAAAAAGAAAUUAAAUUAUAUUUAUUUAUAUCUAUUUUCAUCCCUACCCAACAAAAUAAAAAAAAAUUAACAAGGUGGGACAUGUAUGAGAAAUUCUCACACUAACUCUCACUAGUUUAUUUUUUUUUAAAAAAAAAAAUAAAAUCAAUUUCUUUUAAAAAAAUUAAACUACAUAAAAAAUAAACAAAUUUUACAAUUUUUUUUAAGAAAAGUAAAUUUCUUAUUUUAUAUAUGUUAAAAAUAAAUAUAAUCUUUUAUUUUUUAUAUAUAUAAUCGGGUAAGGUAGAGUGGGACAAAGAAAUAAUCCCCUUCGAUUCCAAUCCGAAUUUUUAAAAUAUAAAAUAAAAAUCUUAAACUCAUCCCUAAUCCAUUUAUUUUUAAUCCUAAACUUGUCUUAUUAAGAAUAAGGCAAAGUGAGUACAUGAAAACACUUCUUUUAUCAUCAUCUCUACAAGUUCUAAUGUUUAGAUUGCAAUCCAUAUCAAAGAUUUAUAAAGAAAGAACAACAAUGAAUUUCAUAAACAUUUGAAAGCAUAAACAAAGUUUUAAAUAAUAUUGCUUGAGGUGCAAAUAUUAUUUGGCGCACAUGUUGAGGGACUUCAACUGGUGUAGUCUAGGUUUUUUACACUAGUAAGUAAUCUUGAAUAUCUAGAGUAACUUGAUCAAAAUCUCUUUAAUUUUAUUUUCUUUGAUGGUUGUAUGAUGAAUUAGAAUGCUUAUAUAACAUGAUUAAAAAUUUUAAGAAAAAAAAACUAAGAAGAAAGAAAGAAGCAUCGAUCUUCCAAAUAUUGCUUCCACUUUAAUAUCUAGUAGGCUCUAAGAAAAGAACUUUAUUCAUGAAUCAUAACCCAAGUCGAAAAUAAAUUGAACCCAUUUUCUAAGUUAAAUUUUGAAUUUUUUACUAGUGAAUGCAAAUUGGGAAAAUGUAUAUAAAUAUAAUCAAACUAGAAUAGUAGAUUAGGUUUGUAGGUGGAGUUUGUUUGAAUUGUUGGAACUUCCAAGUCGUUGUGGGUCUAGUGGUCCCAUAGCUCUCUAUUAAUUUCCACCAUCAAUUUUUUGCAAUAAAGUCAAGUCAUUCCUAACCCUUAUAUUAAGUUGGCCUUAAAAGUCAAGUCAUUGAUCAUAGUUACAUUCAUGAAUCACAACCCAAGUCGAAAAUAAAUUAAACCCAUUUUUCAAGUUCAACUUUGAAUUUUUUAGUAGUAAAUGCAAAUUGGGAAAACAUAUAUAAAUAUAAUUAAACUAAAAUAGUAGAUUAGGUUUGUAGGUGGAGUCUGCUUGAAUUAUUGAAACUUCCAAGUCAUCGUGGGCCCAAUGGUCCCAUAGCUCUCUAUUAAUUUCCACCAUCAAUUUUUUGCAAUAAAGUCAAGUCAUUCUAACCCCUAUAUUAACUUGGCCUUAAAAGUCCAAUCAUUGAUAGCUAAAUCCCAACCCAAGUCAAAAAUAAAUUGAACCCAUUUUCUAAGUUCAACUUUGAAUUUUUUUUAAUUGGAAAAAUGUAUAUAAAUAGAAUUAAACUAGAAUAGUAGAUUAGGUUUGUAGGUGGAGUUUGCUUGAAUUUGUGAAACUUCCAAGUCGUCGUGGGUCUAGUGGUCCCAUAGCUCUCUAUUAAUUUCCACCAUCAAUUUUCUGCAAUAAAGUCAAGUCAUUCCUAACCCCUAUAUUAAGUUGGCCUUAAAAGUCAAGUCAUUGAUCAUAGUUACAUUCAUGAAUCACAACCCAAGUCGAAAAUAAAUUAAACCCAUUUUUCAAGUUCAACUUUGAAUUUUUUACUAGUGAAUGCAAAUUGGGAAAACAUAUAUAAAUAUAAUUAAACUAAAAUAUUAGAUUAGGUUUGUAGGUGGAGUCUACUUGAAUUAUUGAAACUUCCAAGUCAUCGUGGGCCCGGUGGUCCCAUAGCUCUUUAUUAAUUUCCACCAUCAAUUUUUUUGCAAUAAAGUCAAGUCAUUCUAACCCUUAUAUUAAUUUGGCCUUAAAAGUCCAAUCAUUGAUAGCUAAAUCCCAACCCAAGUCAAAAAUAAAUUGAACCCAUUUUCUAAGUUCGACUUUGAAUUUUUUUUAAUUGGAAAAAUGUAUAUAAAUAGAAUUAAACUAGAAUAUUAGAUUAGGUUUGUAGGUGGAGUCUACUUGAAUUUGUGAAACUUCCAAGUCGUUGUGGGUCUAGUGGUCCCAUAGUUCUCUAUUAAUUUCCACCAUCAAUUUUCUGCAAUAAAGUCAAGUCAUUCCUAACCCAUAUAUUAAUUUGGCCUUAAAAGUCCAGUCAUUGAUAGCUACGUUCAUGAAUCCCAACUCAAGUCAAAAAUAAAUUGAACCCAUUUUCUAAGUUCAACUUUGAAUUCUUUUAAUUGGGAAAAUGUAUAUAAAUACAAUUAAACUAGAAUAGUAGAUUAGGUUUGUAGGUGGAGUCUGCUUGAAUUUGUGAAACUUCCAAGUCGUCAUGGGUCUAGUGGUCCCAUAGCUCUUUAUUAAUUUUCACCAUCAAUUUUCUGCAAUAAAGUCAAGUCAUUCCUAAACCAUAUAUUAAUUUGGCCUUAAAAGUCAAGUCAUUGAUAGUUACGUUCAUGAAUCACAACCCAAGUCUAAAAUAAAUUGAACCCAUUUUCCAAGUUCAACUUUGAUUUUUUUACUAGUGAAUGCAAAUUGGGAAAACAUAUAUAAAUAUAAUUAAACUAGUAUAGUAUAUUAGGUUUGUAGGUGGAGUAAGCUUGAAUUGUUGAAACUUUCAAGUCGUCGUGGGUCUAAGGGUCUUAUAGCUCUCUAUUAAUUUCCAUCGUCAAUUUUUAUGAAUUAAGAUUUAAAAGUGAGAAGGGAAUAAAUUUUUUCUUUUUCAAUUCAUUACAAAAAAUAUUUUUGGUUUUUAUGCUAAAAUUUAUUGUUUAUUCAAAAAAUUAAAGUAUAAAAAUAUAAAAAAAAAUAUAUAUCUUGAUAUUAUAGAAGAGCUCCAAAAUUUUUGUGUUUAAGAGAAUAUGUGUUGCCACUUUAGAAGAUUUAUAUACAAAAAGGAUUGAUGUUUCUCCUUUGACUAUGUUUGGUUGCCAAAAAUUUGAGGGAAAGAAAAUAAAAAAAAAUAGUAAAAAAGAAAAAAUGAAGGAAAAUAAAAAAUAGUUUUCAAGUUAAUAAAUUAUUUUUAUAUGUUUUUUCAAACUUAUUUUACUUAUUUUCUUUCAUUAUAUAAAGAUUAAAUAAUUUUAAAAUGCAUAAUUUCUAACUAAUUUUAAUUAUAUUUAAUUUUUCUUUUAUAUUUUUUAGACGGGAUCCGACACAUGAAAAAAUCCUUUUUUUUAGCAUCUUUUUUUCUUUUCUUAUUACUUUCCAAUAACCAAAUAUAACCUUUAGAUUUAGCCUUUAGACUUGGAGUAUGGAAGGAUACUGAGUAUUGAAAGAAGGUUUUGUAUAUGGCCAUGAUACCAUAGAAAAAAUGGGCGAGAGAGAAAAAACCUUUAUUAAAUGAUAAAUUAUUUUACUACUUACUACAUAAAUAGAUAUUCAUGGAGUGCAUUCUCUAAAAAGCUCCAGUCUCAUGAAAAUGGAAAGAUGGACCGGCCAGUGGACCGGUUCGAGUUUGGAUUUAUGGGCUGCCUCAGCCUAACACGCAUGAUAGGCUGUUGCAGGUGAAGAACUAAUUAAUUUAAAGCCUUCUUCUAUCCUCUCCUAUUCCUCUUUCACUCCAAAUUUUCCACAUGAUAAUGACAAUUCUUUUGUUAAAUGGUAAAAAAAAAAAUUUAACAAUUAAUUUAAAAUCAUUUAUAAAAUCAUGAACUUUGGCAUCCUAAUUAAUGCAAUUUAAACUUUUUUUGUUUACAAAUGAAAUAAGAGGCAACAUAUAAACCCAAAAGUUAAUUUUCCUACCAUCUCUAUGCACCAUUUUAGCUUUACUCCAAUAUAUUUUCUAUGAUUAAUUAUUUUCAUUCAAACAAUAAUAUCAAAAUAUUUUAAAAUUAGACAUAUCAUAAUCAAAUAUCAUUAUAUUAUUAUUGAAUAAUAUUUAAUGUAAUUUAAUAAUCAACGUAUACUUAUAGAAUUUAUAUUUUUUAUUAAUGCAUAUAAUAUUAUUAUCAAAUAUGAUAAAUUAUAUAUAUAUAUUUCUUUAACAAAACAACUUUAAAAUAUCUAUUAUACUUUUAAUUUCAUCUCUAAGAGGUUUUUUUUUUUUUCUUUUUUUUUUUUACAUUUUUAUAAGUUUUGAUCAAUUGUAGGCUAACCAAUAUUUUUUUAUCAAAAUAUCCACCAAUAUAUCUCCGAUAUAUUAGAUAUAUCCGUAACAUCGAAAUACCAAUAUAUCCGCGAUUAUCGAUAUUUUUAUCCUUGAGGGAUAACAACUAAUAUAGUUUUUGCACUUAAUGAUAUUCCUCAACAUUUAGAUUGAUUUGACCAAAAUCUUUUUAAUUUUAUUUUCUUUGAUGGUUAUAUGAUGAAUUAGAAUAGUCAUAUAACAUUAACAGAUUUAAGAAAAAAAGGAUAAAAAAGCUCGUAUUUUUCAAAUAUUGGUUUCAACUUUGAAUAUUUUUAUUGGUAAAUGAAAAUUGUGAAAAACCUACUAAUGCUAAUACUUUUCACCACAUAAUUAAAUAUAAUAAACUAGAAUAGUGAUUCAUUGAUGUCUUAUAAAGACACAUGCCUUCUUUGACUUGUUAGUUGAUUUUUGUAGGUGGAGUCCAUUUCCAUUUGAAUUGUUGAAACUUCCAAGUCCUUGUGGGUCUAGUGGUCUCUCUAAUAAUUCCCACCAUUAAUUUUUUGUGAUGAAGUGCAGUCAUUGAUAGCUACUAUAUCAAUUUGCUAUUAAAAGUCAAGUCAUUGAUAACUAAUAUUCAAUCUUUUUCAAUAUGGAAAUUGGAAUCUCUAGCACUACUCUUCUCAUUGUUCAUUUUUAGGUAAUGUGAGAAUGUGUGAACAUAAAUGUCUUCUAAUCAACCAAUUUUUUUGAAAAAAACAUGUACAAAAUUGCAAAACUUGCAAAAUCAAACUUUCUUGUUGAAUAACCAUAGCUUGAUGGUUUUGAAGAAUCAAAGGAUGAAUCAUAAAAGGGUAUUUGAUAAAAAAUAAAAAUUUAAAAAGUUAAAAGACAACUACUCCCUUAAGUGUAAUAAGUGUAUUUGGUAGCACAAAUUUCCUACCACUUAUUAUUUUUUCCUUUCUUAAAAAAUUAUUUACUCUAUUAAAUAAACUAACCUUGGCUUAGCACUUAUAGCAAAAUAGGUUAAGUAGUUUUUAAAAUUUUAUAAUAUUAGAUUUACAUUUUUAUCCUUCAAAAUUUCAUUAAUGCUAGAUUCUUCUAUAUGCUUAACUAAUAAAUAAUUUUUAGCAUUUUUCUUUUCUUAUAAACAUAAAAAAAUAAAAAUAUUAUUAACUUAUUGGUAUAUUUUAAAAUUUUAAUUAGAUUUAAGCUUUUAUUUGUUUGGAUUACCAAUUAUACAUAUAAAUCCUUUGUUAUUAUUGUUAUUAUUGAAAGAAAGGGGUUGAAUAGGUAGUCCCUCAAUCCCCAAAUUAAAUUCUUUAUUGCCUACUUUUGGUUUAUUCCUUUACAUGAAUUCCUUGGUGAGAGUAAACAUUUCAUUAAUAGAUAAAUAAAAUUGAUUCCAUAUCAUAGGGUAUAAUGUGGAAAAAUCACCAGUCUCAUGUGUUCCUUAGUGGAUCCUUUGGAGCCCUAUCAAAGUUUCAUGAUGAAACCAUUGACUUUUGUUUAACCCAAAUGUGCUUUCAAGACAAAUCUUGAAAGAUUUGAGAGAUGGAGGUUCAAGUCUUUUAUGAACGACCAUGUUCUCUUAGGGUUCAUGAAAUUCACACCUUUUGAUAAAUAAAACUUAUCUAUUUAUACGUCUAAAACCCAGUAUUUAUUUAUUUAAUUAUAGAAAGUUUCUUAGUUUUAAAAACAUUUCAAAAAUCAUUUUUAGAAUCAAAUAAGAAUUUUAGAGAUAAACACAAUAUUAAAAUUUAACAAAAACAAAUUUUCGAAUUAAAAACACAAUAUAAACUAAAUUACAAAAUAUAAAGUAAUUUUUACCCUAAUUUCUUGUUGCAAAACCAAAUGGAACACCUAGAAGGGGAGUGAAUGGGUGAUUUUAAAUUUUUUCAAUAAUUAUUUAUAAGUUAUACCCAAUUCUUUUACCCUGCAAGUUGUUAGGGACUAUCAAUUCUUUCAUUUUGGCAAUUCAAACAAUAUAUCAAAUAAUAAAAAGAUAUAAAUAAUGAGACAUAAAUAUUUUUACGUGGAAAACCCCCCACACUAACCAUGGAGAUAAAAAGCCAUGGAGUCUAAGACCUAUUAAUCUAAAUUCACGGUACGAAAUCAAGUUACACAAAUUUAUUUGACAACUUUACCUUAAAGACUUACUCUACAGUACUGACAACUUGAUUCACAUCCACGACGUAGCAACCCUCGAUUACUCCAAUGGAUCACUUCAAGCUUACUAAAAGGAUGAAGGCCUUCAAACCAAGAUUCAAAAAUCAAUUCCUUGAAUGAGAGAUCAGGAAUGGUGUGCCACUUUAGGCUUUCUCUCUAAGAACUCUAAAAUGAUCUCCUCAAUGAAAACCUUUUAAACAAAAUGAGAUAUUUCUCCACAAUCUCUAACCCUCAAGGGGUUAUAAUGAGAUAUUUAUAAGCAACUAAGUUGAAGAGUUUCGGUUUUGGAAGGUUUCUCAAUUGAAUUUGUGUGAAAAACUCGACAGAAUCAACAUGACCGCUCGAGGCAGCACACUUCCCACUUGAGCGUUUCGGGCACUUGAGCGGUAAGGCUUGCUUGAGUUGUCCUAAGCGCUUGAGCAUUCCAGGCUACUUGAGCAAUCUUGCUCUAUUUCAAAAGUUAAUUUUAAACCAUUUUAAGUUCAAAACAAAAUUGAUUCCCUUUAUACCUCAAAGGAGCCUAACUUGCCACAAACCAAACUUUUUUAGAUAUACUUGUGACUUCCUGGUUGGACGAACAACAACUCUUAAUCUUCAAUGGAGAGCAAGUCACUAUCUAAAAAGAUUUAUAUGGUCAAACAUAAAAAAACAAAAAAAUUGCCAACAUAACAACAAGACUCAAUGUCCAUGCAUGGUCACCUGAAAGGUGACUCCGACCACAAUAUAAUGCAUGUUCUCAUAGAACAUGUGAACAAGAUGGGGAUAGGAAGUCCCCUAGAGAGAAAACAGAGUCUCCUAACCCUACUCUUGAAUGAUGAUAGGGAAGACAGUGUCCUGAAAAGCUUAAAGGUUAAUGGCAUGCUCAGGCUCGACACACCGAUAUGUGAAAGAAGCGUAAUAAUGGUCCCGUGCCACCUGGUAGUGAAAGCGCUCAACCGGAAGUGCAUCUAGGUUAAAAAGACCCUAGAGUGGGAUGCCCUAGACGGUUUCAGUGACCUAGGAAAGGUCACCUCCCUUUGACAUCUAUGACUAGCCAUAUCUAAGGUAUAUAAUAUGAAAAAACAAAAGCUAAAGAAAAUCCAGAGAAAAGCUAAACCACUAAAAAUGUUAAACUCAAUGCGUCGAACAAUACUAUACAAAUGGAAAUGAAAAAUAUGAAGCGAACUGACCUCAGAAGACAAAAGGACAGUAACCCAGAGGGCUCGAAGAGGAAUAGGAAAGAUUGAAAUGAAUAUGGCGUGAUGGAUGACCUUUAUAUAGCUUAUAAGAGUGCUUGAUGCAGAUUAGCACUUGAGCGUCAUGACUAACUUAAAUCAAAUUAUUUAUUAAUAUGGAAAUAUUUUAAAAGUUUCAAAGGAAGUAUUCAAUUUAGAACCUUUUUAGAAUUUUUUUGAAAGAAACAAAAAUAAAGCGUGAAAUAUUAUGUGUUAAAGGUGUUAGAAGACAAUAUUGUCUAAUCCAAAGCCUUACACAUUCCUAAAAAAAAAAAAAAAAAAAAAGGAAAAAGAGAGAUAUUAUAUAAGAUUUUGAUCACAUCUAAUAGAAACUAAUAUUUAGCAACAUAUCACCAAGCACUAUCUUAUCAGAAAGCUCUAACAUGUUGGAAAUUUAUGUAAGGUUCCAUAACAGCUAAAAACUUUUUCUGACGACUCGGUAAUGGACCAUUUGCACUUUAACUACAUUAUUGAAUUUAAAUCAUAUUAGAAUUGUAAUUGACUUCUCUUUUGUGAGACUACAUAUCUUGUAGGAUGGGAUAGGUGAUUCAUUUCAUAUAUGAAAUUUACUUAAUUUAGUAAUGCUUCCAAGUUCAUUAUGAAUCUAAUGGUAUCACAACUCCUUUAAUAUUUGUAAUUUUGUAAUCUUUGUUUCAACUUCUCAAGUCUAGUCAUUUUAUUGGCAUAACUAGUUUGCUUCAAUUAUCUCUCAACUUUAUUAUAAAACUAAGGGAAAGGAUUAUCACGCAUUUUAUAUUAACUUAACCAAACAUCUUUAUAUAUCUUACAUAUAUAUAUUUUUUGUAAAUUUAGGAAAAUUUCAUCCAUUAGCCAUAGUAAGUAAGAAUCAAAUAAGGGAUAUGUAAGCCAAUGGUGAUAUUGAUGGCGUCAAAUCAAUGACAUAGUAGAAAAGUGGAUUGUCUAUUUUCAAACCUUUAUAUUUUCAUCCAAUAGUAAAAAGGUUUAGGCAUCACUUGAAAAGUAGUUCGUUUUUUACCUUGGACUAUGAUUUAUGAAUAAAGUUCUUCUGUUGUAUACCUUUUGUGAUGCCCCAAACCUAAUUUAGGGGUAAAAAAAUAAUUUAGAAAAAAAUAAAUAAAAAGUUAAAUAAAUUUAAUUAAGGUAAAAAUGUAUUUUUGUAUUUAAAAUUCCUAGGUAUCAAUUAUAUAUUUCUUGUCUUCUCUAUUCAAAAAACCCUAUUACACAAAAAUCAAAUAUCAGAGAACAUAGGACAACGCAGGGUUGAAGAUUUGGAGGUUUAGGGUUGAAGAUUAGUUUUCCAGGUAAGAUUCUAACCCUUAAAUUAGUAUUUUAGAUUCGUUAAUUAGUUUGAACACUUUAGAUAUUCUUUGAAAAAUCUGAAUCUACGUUAGGGUUUGUUAAUUUAAUUUUUAAAUAAAAAAGAUUCAAAAUUUAUGAACAUAAGUAGAGUUAUUAUUAAAGAUUGAAAUUUUUUGAAUAUUUGAAUUAAAAAUCUAGAAAAAAAAAGAAGAAAAUAAAUUAUAGCUUUGGAUGUGGAAAAAAGUUAAUAUUAAUAAAUAAAUAAAACUUAUGAGUACGGAGGUAGAAAAAUAUGAGAGUUGAAAGCAAAGAAAAAAAAAAGAGAAUAAGGUUUUGUGGUUGUACGUGUCUCCUUAGUGGAAAAAAGAAAUACAAGGUUGUUUGCAAUAGGAUAUGACAAAGAGAGAGAGAUAAAUGCUUAGAUGUUGAUUUUUGUGGGGAAAAAAAGAUUGGGUAAUGUAGGAGAGAAAUAGGUAGCACUUGUAGAGUUGGUGGGGUUGUUGUAAAAGCUCGUAGGGUAAUUGUUAGGUAGUAGUAGGGUAUGAGAUUAAUUGUUAGGAAACAUUAGGACUUGAAAUAAUAAUAAUUGCUUCUAGUAAAAGUUUUAACUUAGUUUAAGUAUAUAAAAGAAAUAGAUGAUUAGAAUAAGAUUUGGAAGGAAUAUGAAUUCAUAAAAAUUUCGAAAUUUACUAAUUUAGAUUAUUAUUUUUUUGGAAGUUGAAUAUAAUAUAGGUGGUAAUAUUAUUAAUAUAGGAAAUGAUUAAGAUUCUCAAACCUACAAUUUUAGAUAAAUAGUUAAUAGUAAUAGUUGAUUUUUUAUUUUUUUUAUUUUUUAUUUUUUAUGUUAUGUUAAGUGAAUAAUGGAUUCUUUGAUUAAUUCUCUAAGGUUUCUAAGUGCUUCUUUAAGAUAAGGGAUAUUAAUACUGAUUUUGUAAAUGAAAAUAUUUCUUUUUAUAAGUUAUUUUAAAUUAUGAAAAAUUUUAUUUUUAUUUAUGCAUGGAUCAAAUAUAUAUUUUUUCAUGAGAAACAUGUUUGGGCAAUUUCUUUGUUUAUAAAUAAAUAAAUAAAAAAUGAGAACUUUGGAAAUAUAAUGUUUUGUUUUGCAAGUUUAAAAUAAUGAAAUAAAGUUUUUGACUCUGGUUUAUAUGACCUUAGUUAAUGGGUUAUAAUUGUUGACAUUUUCAGCUCUCCAAUCAAUGAUUAUAAUUGUUGAGAUUUUCAACCCUAGCCAACGGGUUAUAAUAGUUGACCUUAUAGCCCUAGUCAACAGAUAUAAUUGUUAACCUUUCGUUUUUCCCAUCUUAAAAAGAACAAAUUUAAGGCUAACCAUUUAUUUGUAAAGUCCCACCUAACUAAGUACCAUUUGUUAUUUAAUAACCAGAGUAAAGAUAUUUUGAAUGUAUUUGAUAUGAAAUUAUUUUGAUAUAAAUAUGAAAAUGUUUGGUUGAAAAGUUCAAAUGUUUAAUGCAUGUUGAAUUCAAAAGUUUUUAUGAAAAUGAUUAUAUGUUAUAUCUCCUAUUUGUAAGUUUGAUCCAUAAAACUGUAUUAAUAUUCCUUAUUGGACUUUGAGCUCAUUCCCCUUUGUUGAGAAUUUUUUUUGGUAUUCUCAGUUUGGGCAAGGAGUGAUGACUGGGUUGGGGAAUUUUCUUUACUAUGAUUUUGGUUCAAUCUUUAUUUUGGACAUUGUAAUUUAAUUCCCAUUUAAAUUAUUUGGGUUUGGAGUUAUUUGGACGAUAACACUUUGAUUGAUGUGUUAGUUUUAAAGUUGAGAAUUGAAAAUUAUAGAAUUUAUUUAUCUUUCUACUUUGAAUAGAAAUUUAGUAAUUGGAGAUCAUCCAGUUACAAGAUGAAUAUUAGAUGAAUAUUUGUGUCGUUUCCACAUUGAGUGUUCAGGCUUAGGGUGUGAAAUGACCGUUAUGCCCUUGGAGUGGGUAUAUUGUUUAUUUGAAUUUAAUGGUCCCCGAACUCCUUAAUUACUCAUAACUUUAUAUCACCUUCUCAAAGUUAAGUUGUUUUACAACUACUAUCUAGCUACUUUUCUCUACUAUGACAACUUUAUUACAUAGUGAUUAAUUGAAAGAAUCUACAUGUCUUAUUUCAUAGGAUAGUUGAUUUUUUUACUCAAUGAAUCUUGCUUUUAUUAUUGAAAAUUUCAAAUCAUUGUAGUCCAACAAUUUACUAUCCUUUGGUAAUUUCAUAUUACAUUUCCAAAGUCUAAUCAUUUAAAAACACUUGUAGUUAAUAUAUUGGCAAUUGCAUUGUGGGAAGUUGUUCACUUGAUUUUAAUGUUGAAACUUUCAAAUUGUUGUAGUCCAACAAUUCCCUAUCCAUUGGUAAUUUCAUAUCACAUUUUCAAAGUAUAAUCAUUUACAAAUACUUGUAUAUAGUAUAUUUGGUGAUUGUAGAGUGGAAAGUUGAUCGUUUUCAUGAAGACCUCUAAAAUAGAAAUUUUUUUCAUUCCAUUUAAUAAAGAAUUUCAUUAAUUGAACAUAUAUGUUUUUUUAACCGGAAAGUAGAGGCCACAUUAUACGAGGCCUUAGGUGACAAUACUAGGUGAGGGUUUUUUUUUUUAAUUUAUUUAUUACUAAAUAUAAAUAAUAUUAUUUAUUGUAUAAUAAAGAUUAUUAUAAUAUAUUUUUUAUAGAUGAAAAAAAUAUUAAUUGAGUUUUAUUUUUUUAAAAUAAUUGUUUUCAAUAAAUAACUUAUUUGUAAAAAGAAAACUAUAAAAUAUAUGCAUUUGAAAAAUAUUUAAUUUUUAUUUGAUUUAGUAUCAAUUAAUAUUUGUAAUAUUUUUUAAUAUUAUAGAAGUUAACAUACUCAAUCAAGAUAUUCAAGAUCAAGAGAAUAUUUAAGAUUGAAUUAAUUUCUUUAUUGUUUAUGUUUUAGUAAAUUUUUAUAUCCAUUACAAAUUUUUUAUUGUUUAUUUUUCAUUCAAUGUUUGCAUUUUUUAAUAGAUAUUAAAACGAUUUUUUUUCUUGUAUGUUAAAAAAAUAUUUCAAUGUCUUUAAAAAUAAAAUAUUGCAGUAAAAUCAAAAUUACAUUGUGAAACUUUAAGCGAAUGUUUUAUACUUAAGAAGUGCCAAUUAAAGUAAGCAUGCAUCUACAAUUGUAAUUUAGAUGUCAUACUGAAACAAUAGUUCUCUUUGACUAUAUCAUAAAAUUUGGUUCGAAUUACUUUAAGUCGUCUUGUAGAUUUUCAAGUUCCAAUGAUAUGCAUCAAGUAUGUGCAACAUACUUGAUAUAACUAAUAUUUUCUUAAGUAAUUGGACACUUUUUUCUAUAAAUUUACUUGAUUAUCAAUGAAUACUUUUAUGUAAGGUAUUGAUAUAAUUCGAUAAAUAUUUUAAAAUAGUAUUAGAAUAGCUUUGCUCUUUCCCAAUUAACAAAUUUACUAAAUUAACUUAUAUAUAUUUGUUUAUUUGAAUUUACUGGUAUUUGACUCAAAUUGUUAUUAUUUUUAAAAUUAUAGGAAAACCAUUAUUUAUAGAGUUUAAUUAUAUUUGGUAAAUUAUCUUUUUAAGUUUGGCUAGGAUUAGGAAACUAUUAAUUUAAGAUUAAUCCAUAAGGCUCUAUAAAUUUGCAGUUUUAUUUAGGAUUUAAAAAAAGAAAGAAAAAGUAAGAAAAAGUGAAGAGAGAUAGGCAAAGAGUGCAUUGGGUUUUAAAUAAAGAAAGGUUGAGAGAGUUUUGAUUACUACUCAAAAAGAACAUAUUUUAGAUAGUAAUUCUCAUGGGUUUCACAUCUUUUGAGUAUUAAUUAUGCCUAAAAAUGCUCAAUUAACAUGUUGUUGCCUUUGCAAGAGUUACUAACAAGUUUUAUAAAGUUUUGGAGUCAUUUCAAGUUAUGAUUUUAAUAAAUUGGUGACGAAAGAGAUGAAUUGAUUUGAAGAAGGCAAAUAAUAUUGAUGAUGAUCCAAAUGCAUAAUGAAAGAAGCAAUAUAAUUAGUUUGAUCGGGAUUUGCUGCUAAUUUGGAGGUAGUUAAGGUGGAGUCAAAAGAAGAAAAUGGAAGAAAUGACAAAGAGGAGCUUAAAAACCAAAUGUUGCAGAUUUGUAUGAUCAUGCAAAAAUUACAUGACUAUGCGAAAUGGAUUAGAGAAGGAAAAUUGACUAUAGUAUAAGGAGGAUGCUUAAGUUGAUUUCGCAUGAACAUGCGAAAAUUUUGCACAAUCAUGCGAAAUGGUCCAGAAAGCUCUCUAAUGUUGUUGUUGCUCCACUAAUUUCACACCACCAUGCGAAAUUGAUCUUUUCAUGCAAAAUGGCUGAAGCUCAUGUGAAAUCAUGAUUUUGAUGCUAAACUCUAGAUUUGUGAAUUUGGAAGGUUUUAGAAGAUCAAUGAGAAGUUGCCAAGUGUCCACUUGACCUUGGUCUAUAAAUAGAAACUUGAAUUUCCCAUGUAAAGAGCUUUGUGAUACUUUUGAUUUUAGAUUUUUCUAGGAACUCUUUCUCUAAAUAGAAUUCUAUAUUUUCUUUAAUUUUCUCUCAUUUUCUCAUUCGCCAAACAUGCCUAGUGAGACCAAAUCUCCAAGUAUGAGUGGCUAAAUCUCGUUUUUCUCAAAGGAAUGAGGAUCUAGAGUCAAGAUCUAUGGUGAAUUAUAGAAAUGAGUUUUAAUCGGAAAUGCAAUUUGAUUCAAUUGAUUGAUUAAUUGAAAUUUGAGGAUUUUUCUCUUCAAAUUAUCCUAAAUGACUAUUACAUUGCAAACUAGGUAGAUUCAUUAAAUUCUUAAAGCUAGAUUUAAUGAGACUGAAUAGUUGCAUUGUAUGAAUCAUUGGAAGAUAAUUUAAGAUGAAUUGAAUAUAUAAUUUAAAUUGAUCUCUUGGAUUAAAUAACCUAAUUUGAAGAGAAAUUAGGUUUAGACUUAAAGGUAAAUCUAAAAUCGAUUUAGAUAAGAAUUUAGGUUUUCAAUCUAACUUGAUGAAAAAUAAAUCUCAACAUCUAUUCACCAUGGAAAUUGUUUUCUAAAAAAUAUUAACUCCGAGAAUUCCUUUUCCUUAUCAAUUUUCUUAUAUUCUACAUUAUAUUGUUCUUUUCGAUUAGAAAUCAUUGUUAUUUUGAUUUUUCAUGAAUUGUCAAAUCAAUUUCACUUGACCAUAAUCAUUUCUUUUCCUCCCAUUUAAGCCUUAAUUAUCGAGAAUAAUCCAUCCCAAUAGAAGACACCUAAGACCACUAUACUACCGUAGCUUUUGCUAAAAAACCUUUUUGAUCGGGCAAGAGUUACCUUAGCAUAGUUGAAUUAGGUUAUAAUUUUUUUAUCCAAUAAACAACAAAAAAAAUCAAUCGAUCAAGUUUGCAUUGUGUAUUCUUGAAUUUUAUUAAUAAAUUUGAUCCCCCUUUUUGAAGCGAUUACACCAAACCAAGUAAAUAUUUUAUAUACUUCAUUUGCUUUAUUUUUUCUAUUAAGUUUAGGUGUUGCAAUUUUCAAGAGUCAUGGUGAGAAGAUUGUGGGAAAAAUUAUUUUAAGGAUGGAGUCGAACAUAAAAUAUGAAAUUGAGUCCUUUGAUGGAAAUAAUAAUUUUAAUAUUUGAUAGAGUAUUAUUAAAGAUGUUUUGAUACAACAAAGACUUCUCAAAGCAUUACAAGGCAAAAAAACUAGAGAGCAUGACAAAUAAAGAAAUGAAAGAAUUAGAAGCAAGAGUUGUAAGUACUAUUUGUUUAAGUCUUAAAAAUGAAAUACAUUGUUUUGAAUGAAAAAAAUAUUCUUUUAGGGGUGUCAAUUGCUCUUUUAGAGACCAAAAAUAUUAAGCAGUCAAGUAGUUCAUCUCAUAUUGGACAAACUGUUAUGAUGAAUUCUAAACCACAUCAUCAUAGGAGUAAAUCGAAAGAAAGUAUCUGAUAGGAGGAUGAUCAUUCCAUUCACACUUAUGGAGGAAUAUGAAGUAUUAUUACUGUGAAAAAAAAAACAUAUCAGGAGAUAUUGUAAAGAAUUGAUGAAGUACCUAGAAGAAAUGAAAAUUUUUAAAUCCCAAGAGACUUCAAAUUUUACUAAUAUUGUUGAUGAAAAUUUUGAAAUAUUGUAGUAAAUUAAAAGUUACAUUAUGGGACUUUUAGUGAGUGUUUUAUGUUGAAGAAAGGCUAAUUAAAGUAAACAUGCAUCUAAAACUAUAAUUUAGAUGUUGUACUCAAAUAGUUGCUCUCCUCGAUUAUAUCAUAAAAUUUGGUUUGAAGUCUAAGUCAUCUAAUAAUUUUCUAAUUCAAAUUGCAUGCAUCAAACAUGUGUGUUAGGAAGUGUUGCAAAUUACUAAUUAAUAUAGAUUCUUUUUUUUUUUAAAGAAUAUUGUAUUGAAUAUUUCUAGGUUGAUAUAUUAUUGUAAUAUUAGACUUUCUUAUAGAAUAAGGAAGGUUGUUGAAAAUAUCCCUAUAAAUAUUCUAGUUCAUAAGGGGAAAAAGUUAUGAGAUGAAGAUGGACCCAUAAAGACUAUACAAGGUGGAUAGAGACGUGAAGAAAAACGAGAGGUACCCGGUGGAGCGAGAGGGCUCGUGGUAGGGUAUAGGUACAAAGAGUGAGAAAACAUGGGAUGUUUUGGGAACCCAAUAAUUGUAUCUGGUUAUGUCCUCUAUAAGUUCUAGUCCUGUCAUCUGCAUUGUUCUCUAUUUUAUAGUGGAAUGAUUCUCUUUUAUCUGUGGACGUGGGCAUGGUUUUCGAACCAUGUUAAAACCUUGUGUACCGUUUGUGUUGAUUUUUUUUUUUAUCUUUAUUUUAUUGAUUAAUGAAGUUUGCAUCAAAGCUUCUGUCAACGUAACAAACUUGUAUCAAAGCUUGGGUUAAAGAUUUCUAGAAGAGUAAAAGAUCAUAGAGCACACAAGAUGAAAACAAAAGGAAUUUUUAGUGAAAAUGGAGUCAAUUGCUCUCUCAUGGUGAUAUGAUAUAAAAAGUUUGUGUCAUGGAAAGUUUGAAGAUUUACUUCAUGGAAUCUGGUCCAAAAUGGAGAUUGUUAAUAAGUAUCCCAAAUUCCUAAUUAGUUUAGAUUUUUUUUUUUUGUAAAGAAUAUUGUAUAGAAUAUUUCUAGGUUAAUAUAUUAUUGUAAUAUUAGACUUCCUUAUAGAAUAAGGAAGGUUGUUGAAAAUAUCUUUAUAAAUAUUCUAGGUCAUGAGGGAAAAAAGUUAUGAGAUGAAAUGGGCCUGUAAAAACUAUAUGAGGUGGAUAGAGAUGUGAGGAAGAACAAGAGGUACUCAAUGGAAUGAAAGGGCUCGUGGUAGGGUAUGGAUACAAAGAGUGGGGAAAUAUGGGAUGUUUUGGGAACCUAAUAGUUGUAUCUGGUUCUGUCAUCUAUAAUGUUCUAGUUAUGUCCUCUAUAAUUGAUUCGUUCCCAAUUGGUGUCUCAGCUGAUUCAUGUCCUCUCCAUGGUCCCUGAUAGUGGUGCCAUUUGAUUCAUGUCCAGCUGGUGUCCCUUGAUUUUGGUCUUCAGGGAGUAAUCAACAAAAUUUAUAACCUAUUACACCAUGUACUAGGAUAGCCUUAGCUAGCAUAGCAUAGUGGCUCUAGGGUCGUUCACUGGGAUGGGUUUUCACUUCACAAUUGAUAUUAAUUCAAAGAUGAAUUGGUGCUUUUUCAUUUCAAGGUUAGCUUUAAAAGAAAACAUAAAGAUGUUUGAAUGAAAAAGGUUUUGUUUUAAACUAACCAAAAAUAAUAACUGAUUUUACUUACAAAGAAAAGUGUUUCUUGGAGUUUAGAUCACUGGGCUCAGAUUCCUUGUACAAAAAGGGAGUUCCGGUCACUUGUUUCUUUUCCUCGCAUUAGAGAAUUAACAUAUAGUUAAUUCUCUAACCGGUGUGGUACAGAUGCUUCCCCUUAAUGGGUUCAAACACUAAAUCCCUCUCACUGAUGCAACUUGCAAUGGCUCGUGCCUCUCACCUAGCAUUUGCCAUUCAAGGUGAUCUUUAACCUUGGAUUACCCUUCACAAGCUCGCAAGAGAUAACUAAUGGAUGUCUCCUUAGAGUCCAAAAGCUUACCAAGUGUUGGCAAUUCUAGAAAAUCAUACCUUCAAACCACCUCCCAAAAGCUCGCAAGAGGUAAACCAGUGCAUCUCCAUUGACGGAGAUCACUUGCCUAACCAAGUGUUGGCUCAAGUGAAUUGAAGGUGUUUUAAGUUAACUAAAAAGAUAAAAACCAUUAACGGGUCACACUUUCUCUUCAUUAAAAACUAAAACAACAAAACUUCCAAUUUAUGCAUGAGGAAACUUACCCGGCUUUCUUUCACUCCAAGAGACGAAGAGCCUAGCCUCUCAUCCUCUGAGAAAAAAUCCUCAGAGUUUGAUUGGCUAGAAAGAAAACUAACGAGAAAACAAAAAUAUAUAUAAGAAGCAGAGCAAAAGCUCUGUUCGUUGAUUACAUAUAUGAUAUAUGAUAUAUGAUGGAUCCUCUUCUUUACAUUGGUUCAAAGAUAUAUAUAGAGAAGAUAUUUUCUAAGAAAUAUCCCAAUAAUAUCUUUGACUAAUUACAAGGAGAAAAUAGAAAUUUACACAAAAUAUCUUGAGAGAAAAAAUCUAACUUAGUCGGUGGCAAAUAUCAGGAAGCUUCAGGAGAAUAUCGCGUCACUGUGCAAAAAUCCGGGUAAUCUGAAAUGCCGGCCGCGGAUGCUCUCCGGGUUAGCGCUAUUAGAAGAUCCGGACAUGCCUGUCUGGGGAGGUUGAAAUGCCUCUUCUUCCAUCCGGCGUCAGGCGUCGGAUUUGAAAUAUCUGAUCAGAGGAUCCUGACAUGUCUGACCGAACAGAAUUUCAGAUGUGAGAUAUCCGGACGUCGCAAGGGGGACCGUUUGCGUGUACAAGGUGUAGAGACCCUUCCCCCUGAUGACACGGAGCACGCAUCGCUAUCCAGAGCAACUCCAUCCGGAUUUCCCAAGAGGACACGCACCGCCAUGCUAUCCGGCACUCGUGAACAUCACACUCCGGAUGAUAGCAUAUCCUAUCCGGAUAUGUUGUCUGGAUCAUUGACUAAAGUGAGCAAGCCUUACUACAGCCCACGUUCCGCCGCUCUUCCAAUGGUGUGUCCGGACGCCCUGUCUGGACAUCUUUUUCCAUGGAUUCCAAAGAACUCUCCUCAAUCUCGGAUUGCUUUGGUGAUAAAAAAGCUAUCAAAACACCAAAACUUAACACAAUUUGAUUAGAAUUGAUUGCAAGGGUCCUUAAUAUGUUAAUUGGGUUAAAAAGUGAUAACUACUACUCAAAAGUGUUUAAAAGAGUUAAUUACAAGCUAUGAAAUAACACUUUUUGAGUAGUAAUCAAUAAUGUUCUCUAUUGUAUAGUGGAAUGAUUCUCUUUCAUUCGUGGAUGUAGGCAUGGUUGUCGAACCACAUUAAAACCUCGUGUACUGUUUGUGUUUUUUUUUUAAAAAAAAUUAAUCUUUGUUUCUUGAUUAAUGAUGUGUGCAUCAAAGCUUCCAUCUACGUAACAAACUGGUAUCAGAGCUUGGGUUGAAGAUUUUUGGAAUAGUAAAAGAUCACAAAGCACACAAGAUGAAAACAAAAGGAAUUUUUAGUGAAUGUGGAGUCAAUUGUUCUCUCAUGGUGAUAUGAUACAAAAAGUUUGUGUCAUGGAGGGUUUAAUGAUUGACUCCAUGGAAUUUGGUCCAAGGUAGAGAUUGUUAGGAAGUGUCCCAAAUUCCUAAUUAGUAUAGAUUUUUUUUUUAUAAAGAAUCUUGUAUAGAAUAUUUCUAGGUUGAUAUAUUAUUGUAAUAUUAGACUUCCUUAUAGAAUAAUGAAGGUUGUUGGAAAUAUUUUUAUAAAUAUUUUUAGUCAUGAGGGGAAAAAGUUAUGAGAUGAAGAUGAGCCUAUAAAGACCAUACGAGAUGGAUAGAGAUAUGAGGAAGAAUCGAAGGUACCCAGUGGAGCAAGAGGGCUCGUGGUAGGGUAUGAAUAUGAAGAGUGGGGAAACAUGGGAUGUUUUGGGAACCCAAUAGUUGUAUCUAGUUUUGUCAUCUAUAAUGUUCUGGUUCUGGCAUCUAUAAUGUUCUGGUUUUGUCCUAUGUAAUGUUCUUUAUUGUAUAGUGGAAUUAUUAUCUCUCAUCUGUGUAGACAAGUUGCUAAACCACGUUAAAACCUCGAAUACCAUUUGUGUUGAUUUUUUUUAUCUUUGCGUUCUUGAUUAACGAUGCUUGCAUCAAAGCUUCUACCAACGUAACAAUGUGCAACAUAUUUGAUAUAACUUAUAUUUUCUUAAGUAAUUGAACACUUUUUCUAUAAAUUUACUUGAUUAUCAAUGAAUACCUACAUAUACGGUAUUGACAUAGUUUGAUAAAUAUUUUAAAAUAGUAUUAGAAUGGCUUUUCUUUUUCCCAAUUAACAAAUUUAUCAAAUAUAUACAUACACACACACACACACACAUAAUACUCAUUAGUAUGUCUUUUAUGAAAAAACUAUAUUUGUUUAUUUGAAUUUAGUAGCCAUUCAACUCCUUAGUUACUCAUAAACUUUUUAUCACCUUCUUAAAGUCAAGUCAUUUACAAUUAUUUCUAUCUAGCCUUCUCCAUUAUAACAACUUUAUAAGAUAGUGAUUGAUUGGAAGAAUCUACAUGCCUUUGUUGAUAGGAUAAUUGUUUUUCUUUUUUUUUCGUAUUCAAAGAAUCUUGCUUCUGUUAUUGAAACUUUCAAAUCCUUUAUGUCAAGUUGUCUUAUAAUUCCCUAUUCAUUGGUCUUUCAUAUUACCAAUCAUUUUGAAAAUGAGUUAAUUUCAUUCACAUCCUCUGAGAUUUGAUGUAAAUUCGCUUAGUUACCAAUGAUUUCAAAUUUCAUUAAUUAGUACCCCUAUAGAUGUAAUUUGUGUACAAAAUUUAUUUUUUAAAAGAGUUUAGGUAAAAAUAUUUUAGGUAUAUGUCUUUAACAAUUCUCUAAAAUAAAUUUUACUUGCUAAAAAAUAACUUAUAUAGAUAGAAUACAUCUACAGGAGUUCUAACUAACGAAAUUUAAAACUAAUGGUGGUUUAGUGUAUUUAAACUAAACAUUAGGAAGGGUGACUGAAAUUAACCCUCUAGGUAUAUAUGUUUAACAAAAUUUUUAUUGUUUAUUUUUCAUUUAAUGUUUGCAUUUUUCAAUAAACAUUGAAAAGGAAUUGUUUUUCCAUAUGUUAACAAAAAGAAAUUUGAACACCUAUAAAAAUAAAAUCUUGUAGCAAAAUUGGAGUUACAUUAUCAGACUUUUAAUGAGUGUUUAUGUUUAGAAAGACCAAUUAAAGCAAGCAUGCAUCUAGAAAUUGUAACUUAGAUGCAUCAAACAUGAGCAACAUAUUUGAUAUAACCAAUAGUUUCUUAAGUAACUAAACACUUCUUUUUCUAUAAAUUUACUUGAUUAUCGAUGAAUACUUACAUAUAUUUACAUAGUUUGAUAAAUAUUUUAAAAUAAUAUUAGAAUAACUUUGUUUUUUCUCAAUUAUAUUAGAAAAUAAUAUAAAGUUACUUAUAAACUUUAUAUCAUUUUCUCAAAGUCAAGUCAUUUACAAUUAUUUCUAUCUAGCCUUCUCCAUUAUGACAACUUUUAUAUGAUAGCCGUUGAUUGGAAGAAUCUACAUGUCUUUUUUGAUAGGAUAGUUGUUUUUAUUUUUUUAUUUUUUUUAUUCCAAAAAUUUGCUUCUAUCAUUGAAACUUUCAAAUCUUUUAUGUAUAUUACCAAUCAUUUUACAAGUGAGUUAAUUUCACUUAGGGUAGAUAUACUUAGCCACACCCCUAUAGAUGUAAUUUGUGUUUAAAUUUUAUUUUUUAUUUAGGUAAAAAUAUCUUAGGUAUAUGUGUUCAACAAUUCUCUAAAAAAUAAAUUUUCUUAUCUAAAAGUUUAUAUAGACAAAAUACAUCUAUAGAAGUCCUAAUUAAUGAAAUUUAAAAUUAAUGGUUGUUUAGUGUAUUUACAUUAAACCUUAUGGGGUAUGAUUGAAAUUAACUCUUUUACAAGCACUUGUAGCUAAUAUGUUUGUAGUUGUAGUGUUGGAAAUUGAUCAUUUUCUUGAAGGCCUCUAAGAUAUUGAAAAUAUUGCCAUAGUUUUAGACUUUUUUUUAUUACACCUAAUAAAAAAUAUUAUUAAUUUAACAUAUAUAUUCUUGACUUAAAAGUAAAGUCUCUCCAUAUUGUAUAAGCCCUUAGGUGGCAAUAUUAGGUGAAGUUUUUCUUUCGUUUAUUACAAAAUAUAAAUAAUUUAUUAUUGUAUGAUAAAAUUUUAUGUAAUAUAUUUUUAUAGAUGUAAAAUUAUUAAUUGGGUUUUUUUUUUACUAAAUUGUCAUUUCAAUAUAUAAAACUUAUUUGUAAAAAGACAAUUAUAAACUAUAUGAAAUUGAAAAACAUUUAGUUUUUUUAUUUAAUUUAGAAUUUUAUUUGGAUUAAUAAUUGAUAUUUGUAAGAUUUUUUAAUAUUAAAAAAAGUUAGCAUACUUAAGAAAGAUAUUCAAGAUCGGGAGUGUUUGAUAUUGGAUUAAUUUCCUUAUUUUCUCUAUUUUAAUAAAUUUUCACGUCCAUUACAAAAUUUUUGUUGUUUAUUUUUCACUUCAAUAUUUUUAUUUUGUAAUAGACAUUUGAAAAGAUUUUUUCCUACAUGUUAAAAAAAAAAAUAUUUGAACACUCCUAAAAAAGAAUAUUGCUAUAAAAUUAAAGUUUACAUUGUAGGACUAUUAGCAAAUGCUAUAUACUUAAAAUAGACCAAUUAAAGUAGAAAUACUUCUAAAAUUGUAAUUUAGGUAACAAUAAUAUAAAAAGAUAAUAUUUUUGAAACAAUAGUUCUCUUGGAGUUUUGGGUACGAUGGACUAGACUUUAUGUACAAUAGAUAUACAAACUUUCCAUUAACAUCUUGAGAGACAUGAUGAGGAGCAAAGUCAUCCAAGAAGGUACCAUAGAGGUACCUUAGCUCCAUUCAUCUAGACUACAUAAUGUUUAAAGAUCAAAUUCAAUGACUAGAUUUCAAAAAUCAAUAUAAGCUUUCUCAUAUUCUACUCUAUAUAAGACAAUGGUAUGAUACCUCUCUUGUGUCGUAGAAUGCACCAUGAAAACCUUAUCAUUUUAACAUCAGUUUGAAACUUAAAAGUCACUUAGCACAUUCUAGUUAUUAAUCUAAGAGCAUUAAAAGAAAAUAUAAAAAAAGUUACUUUAUCCUUGUGAUUUUGAUUUAGGACUUUUAAUGAUAUUAAAAAAAAAAAACAAAACAGAAAAAUAAAUGGAAAUAAAAUCAACAAAUUAAACAAUUGAAUUAAGUUAGUUUAAUUCUUGCAUCGUUAAAUGGGUAAAUAAAGACUCUUAGAUUUGAUAUUAAUAUGAACAUCAUGACUUCAGUGAAUCUUACAAGAAAAUUUUAGUUUGAAAGACUUCAUUCAUUAAACGUGUGGCACAUAUUAAAGUAAAACUAAGUCUUCUCUAUAAUUUGUACCUAUCAUAGUUUCUUUCCUUAUAAAUAGCCUUUUUUGAAUAUAAUAUAGACUUCAACAUGCAUGGUGGGGCCAAUCAAACUACUAGUCAAGACAACUCAUGGGCAACAACGAUGUACCAACUACAUUUAAAUACUCUUCAUCUAUUUACAUAUCAAGAGUAAUUUAGUAGUGUCUUAUUUAUGUACCUCAUAUCUAGACUUUCAAUGGAGAGUUCUUCAUCUAAAAAUUUGACUUGGGUUUUCAUACUAGUUUUGGUUUAGACAUGUGGAUGCAAAGGUUGCAUCAAAGAAGAGAAGUAGGCUAAAUCAUCUUACAAAUUUUAUAGUUCAAAUUAGAUGCACCAAACAUAUGCAACAUAUUUGAUAUAACUAAUAUUUUCUUAAGUAAUUGAAUACAAUUUUUUUUUUAAAUUUACUUGAUUAUUAAUGAAUAACUACAUGUAUGGUAUUGACACAACAUGAUAAAUCUUUUAAAAUAGUAUUAGAAUAACUUUGCUAAAAAAAAGUAAAAAUAAAAAUAAAAAUACAUCUAUAUAUAAAAUUAAAUUAAAUUAAAAAUUAAAAAAGAAUAUAUAUUCUCUGUGUGUGUGUGUGUGCAUGGUCCCACAACUCAUUAGCUACUCAUAAGCUUUAUAUCACUUUCUCAAAGUCAAGUCAUUUUGUAAUUAUUUCUAUCUAGCCUUCUCCAUUACGACAACUGUAUAGGAUAUUGAUUGGUUGGAAAAAUCUUCAUGUCUUUUUUUAUAAGAUAGUUUUUUUAUUAUUAUUAUUAUUCAAAGAAUUUGCUUUUAUUAUUGAAACUUUCAAAUCCUUUAUGUCUAGUGGUCCUACAAUUCCCUAUUCAUUGGUAUUUCAUAUUACCAAUCAUUUUACAAAUAAGUUUAUUUCACCCGGUAAAUAUACUUAACUACUAAUGGUUUCAAAUUUAAUUGAUUAACACACUUAUAGAUGUAAUUUGUUUUUAAAUUUUAUUUUUUUAGAAGAAUUGUAGGUAAAAAUGUUUUAGGAAUAUGUGUUCAAUAAUUCUCUAAAAACAAUUUAUAUAGAUGGAAUACAUUCAUGUAAGUUCCAACUAAUGAAAUUUAAAACUAAUGACAAUUUAAUGUAUUUGCACUAAAUCUUAGGGGAGGUGUACUAAAACUAGCCCUUUUACAAAUAUUUGAUAUGAAAUUAAUUAAUUAAUUUUUUCUAUUUAAAUAAAUUUUUGCAUCCAUUAAUAAAAUUUUAUUGUUUAUUUUUCACUUCAAUAUUUUUAUUUUGUAAAAUAAAUAGAAAUAAAAUCAACAAAUUAAAAAAUUGAAUUAAGUUAGUUUAAUUUUGCCACCUUUAAAUUGGUAAAUGAAGACUCUUAUAUUUGAUAUUAACAUGAACAUCAUGACUUUAUUGAAUCUCACAAGAAAAUUUUAGUUUGAAAGAUUUUAUCCUUUAAACAUGUGACACAUAUUAAAGUGAGACCAAGUCUUCCCUAUAAUUUGUAUCUAUCACAAUUUCUUUCCUAAUGAAUAGCCUUUUUGAAUAGAAUAUAGACUUUAGCAUGCAUGGUGGGGCCUAGCUAUCAAACUACUAGUCAAAACAACUCAUGGGCAAGAAUGAUGUACCAACUAGAUUAAGUAUUCUCCAUCUAUUUGCAUAUCAAGAGUAAUUUAGUAGUAUCUUUCUUGUGUACCUCAUUUCUAGACUUUCAAUGGAGAGUUUUUUAUCUUAAAAUUUGACGUGGGUUUUCAUACUAGUCUUGGUUCAGAUAUGUGAAUGCAAAGGUUGCAUCAAAGAAGAGAAGUAGGCUAAGUCAUCUUACAAAUUUUCAAGUUCAAAUUAGAUGCAUCGAACAUGUGCAACAUAUUUGAUAUAACUAAUAUUUUACCAAGCAACUAAAUACUUUAUAUAUAUAUAUAAAUUUAUUGAUGAUCAAUGAAUACCUACAUGUAUGGUAUUGACACAGUUUGAUAAAUCUUUUAAAAUAGUAUUAGAAUAACUUUGCUAAAAAAAGUAAAAAUAAAAUAAAAUAAAAUAUAUAUAUAUAUAUAUAUAUAAAUAAACAAAAUAAAAAAUUUAAAAAGAAUAUAUAUAUUAGUGGUCCCACAACUCAUUAGCUACUCAUAAGCUUUAUAUCAUUUUCUUAAAGUCAAGUCAUUUACAAUUAUUUCUAUAUAGCCUUCUCCAUUGCGACAACUGUACAAUAUAUUAAUUGAUUGAAAAAAUCAUCAUGUCUUUUUUGAUAGGAUAGUUUUUUUUUUAUUCAAAGAACUUUCAAAUUCUUUAUGUCUAGUGGUCCUACAAUUCCCUAUUCAUUGGUAUUUCAUAUUACCAACCAUUUUACAAAUAAGUUAAUUUCACUCGAUAAAUAUACUUAACCACCAAUGGUUUCCAAUUUGUAGCAUUCUUAUAGAUGUAGUUUGUUUUUAAAUUUUAUUUUUUAGAAGAAUUGUAGGUAAAAAUAUUUUAGCUAUAUAUGUUCAACAAUUCUCUAAAAACAAUUUAUAUAGAUGGAAUACGUUCAUGGAAGUUCCAACUAAUGAAAUUUAAAACCAAUGAUGAUUUAAUGUAUUUGUACUAAAUCUUAGGGAGUGUGGACUAAAAUUAGCCCUUUUACAAAUAUUUAUAACUAGUAUAUUUGUAGUUGUGGUAUUGGAAGUUGAUCAUUUUCUUAAAAGGUUUACCAUUGAAGUUAGUUGAAUAUAAAGUUAGGUGAACUUUACCAUUGUUAAAUUGGUAAAUGAAGACUCUUAGAUUUGAUACUAACAUGUACAUCAUGACUUCAUUGAAUCUCUCACAAGGAAAUUUUAGUUUGAAAGACUUCAUCUUUUAAACAUGUGGCACAUAUUAAAGUGAGACCAAGUCUUCCCUAUAAUUUGUAUCUAUCACAAUUUCUUUCCUCAUAAAUAGCCUUUUUGAAUAGAAUUAAUAUAGACUUUAGCAUGCAUGAUGGGCCCUAUCAAACUAUUAGUCAAGAUAAUUUGUAGGUAAGAACGAUGGACCAACUAUAUUAAAUACUCUUCAUCUAUUUGCAUAUCAAGAGCAACUUAAUAUUGUCUUUCUUUUGUACUUCAUGUUUGAACUUUCAAUGGAGAGUUUGUCAUCUAAAUAUUUGAUGUGGGUUUUUAUACUACUCUUGGUUCAAAUAUGUGGAUGCAAAGGUUGCAUCGAAGAAGAGAAGAUGGGUUUGCUUGAAUUCAAGGCUUUUCUUAAAUUGAAUAAUGAGCAUGCAGAUUUUCUUCUCCCUUCAUGGAUAGAUAACAACACUAGUGAAUGUUGUAAUUGGGAGCGGGUUAUUUGCAAUCCCACCACAGGUCGAGUUAAGAAGCUUUUCUUCAAUGAUAUAACGCGACAACACUUGGAAGACAAUUGGUACUAUUACGAAAAUGUCAAAUUCUGGUUACUAAAUGUCUCCUUAUUCCUUCCUUUUGAAGAACUUCACCAUCUAAACUUGUCUGCAAACUCAUUUGAUGGGUUUAUUGAGAAUGAAGGUAUGUUACCUCUCACCUUUAAAUUUUCUUUUCACUUAUACUCCAAACAUUCUAAAGGAACUACUAGCAUAUGUUCUUAAAAGUGUUCAGGUGGAGAACAAAUGGUCACUAGUAACUAUUGAAUUUAAUAUAAGAACAAUUACUAAUUAUUAAAAUUUAUAAUGUAAAUUAACAUUUAAACAGAACAAUAAAAAAAUUAUUAUUUUAGAAAACUAUAGAUUACAUUAGCCUUAUAUAUAUAAGCAUACUUGUUAUUUAUGUCAUCAUUUCACACUCAACCCAAUAAGUGGGAUUCAACUAAGAGUGAGCAAUUUCACAAUUAUUAAUUAACAGGAACACUUAGGCUCCCAUAUCCUUAUCAUUUUUGCUGAAUUGUCUUUCCUUAUCUUCCAUUCCUAAAAAGCUUGAUUUCUAUAUUCCAAAUUGAUAGAGAUUGGUUAAAGAAAGGUGAUCACAAAAUUUGACUAUUGCUUUCAAAUGAGGAAUCACCAUCUUCAAAAUUUCACAUUUACAAAAAAAAUAAAUAAAAUAAAUAAAUAAAUAAAACUAGCCUCGGGUAAGGUCCAAGCCUUAUUGUUUUAAGCUGAUGUCAGAUUGGUUUAAUAAUGAACAGAGUAAAUCCUAACCCAUGACCAUCUACGCAUUUCCAAAUUCCACCCAUCCACAACCCAUUAAUAUGACAUUUUCAGGGACAAAAUUUAAUCAAUUAAACCUAUUAGAUGGAUUCUCCAUACAAUGUUAAAAUGAAUAUAAAAACUUUAAUUCAAAAAAUAAUUUCCUUUAUUUAGUUAGGAUUCAAAUUAUAGGGGCACAAAACAUGAAAAUUUUCAUGUUUAAAAUUCACAAAGAUCACAAAAGCUCUUUGAAGCUCUAUGGACUUUUUUAUUUCUAACAUUUAAACACAAAAAUCACCAAAUUUAAUUAGAGAUUUGGAUGCAUAUUCUUAUAUUAAAGACAUGUAAGCUUACAUAUUUAAAUAUGAAGAUCUCAACUUGUAAUUACAUGCUUCUAAUUAAAGUUAUAUUACUCUAUUUUACAGGAUUUAAAGGGUUAUCAAGUUUAAAGAAAUUGGAGAUCUUGGACAUAAGUGGUAAUGAGUUUGACAAAAGUGCCUUAAAAUCUUUGGGCACAAUAACAUCACUCAAGACAUUGGCUAUUUGCAGCAUGGGACUGAAUGGAUCUUUUUCCAUUCGAGGCAUGUUAUAUGUCCACAUUGUUUCUUUGAAAUUAAGUAAAAUAUAUUUCUAACUUUUAAUGUUCCUUAGUUAAUCUCUCUUUUGAUUCAUGUUUGUUGCAGACUUAGCUAGUUUGAGAAAUUUGGAAGUGUUGGAUCUAAGCUAUAAUCAUUUGGAAAGCUUUCAACUAUUGCAAGGUACUUCAUUAACUUGCUAAAAAAACUUACGAUAUUUUGUUAUUAAAUUAAAGGUAAGAUUAACAAACAAUUUCUUCUCAUUAGUUACUUUUCUUUGUAAUAUCAUUAAAUUUGAUAUAAUGUAGUCUAAAUCAUCCUUUCAAUUUAUAAGUUUUAAUUAAAACGCAUCAAGCAUGCACAAGAUGUUUAAUAUAACUAAUAUUUUCAUAAGUAAUUGAAUUUUUUUUAUGAAUUAAUUAACUUGAUUAUCAAUAAAUGCUUACAUGUAUAAGAUUAAUAUAGUUUCAUAAGUAUUUUAAAAUUGUCUUACAACACACACACACACACACAAGGAAAAUGAAAGGUAUGUGAUACCUUUAUGCUAUGUUUGGUUCUCAAAAAAAAUUGAGGGAAAAUGAAAGGAGAAAAAAAUAGAGAGGAAAAGUAAAAGAAAAGAAAAGAAAAAAAGUGAAGAAAAAUAUAAAAUUGAUUAAAGUAAAUACAUUAUUUUUAUAUGUUACUUUAACUUGUUUCACUUAUUUUAAUUCUUCAAUGUAAAGAUGAAAGAUUUGAAAAUGCAUAAGUUUCUAAUUAUUUUUUUAUUUUAUUUUAUAGUUUUUACAAUACAACCAAACAUAAUAAAAUCAUUUUCUUUAAUUUUUUUUCUUUUCUUAAUACUUUUCACGAACCCUUAAGUUAUGUUUGGUUUGCAGAAAAUAUGAGGAACAGAAAAUAGAAAAGAAAAUUAAAAGGAAAGAAAAAGUGAAGUAAAAUAAAAAUAAAUUUAAAUUUAAUAAAUUAUUUUUAUAUGCUACUUUAAACUUAUUUCACUUAUUUUAAAUUAUUUAAACUCAUUUCUAAUAAAUAAUAAUGGAAAUUGUAGAGAAGUUUGUGUUAUUCAAGCUUUGCAAUGACUUUUCAAGGUGAAGGAAAAUAUUCUUGCUGAAAUUGAAGAAGGAAAUACCUUCUUAAAUAGCCUAUUGACCGAAAACACAUUACCCUAACAUAUACACACACCUUUAUUAUUUAUACAAUCAUUUAAUACUUAAUCCCGUUAGUGGGAUUCUAGUGGUUGUUUCUAUCUUGGUUUCCAAUAUUUCUGAUUGAUAGUGUUGGAUUAAUGAAAUAUCAUAAAUUUUGACCCCAAUAAGGACCAAUCCCUAUUAAAUGUAAUUGGGUUGACCUAAGACUAAAUGUUAGACCCAACUAAUAAAAACCCAUCUGUUUGUUGGAGUCUAAAUAACCCAGCCUUAGGUAGGGCCCAUGCCUUAUUAUUUUAAGAUGUAGUCCAACUGGUUUGACACUGGAUUGAGUAAAGCCCAACUUAUGAGCAUCUGUGCAUUUCCAUCCAUCCACAACCUACUGGCAUGGACAAACUUUGGUCAAUUAAACCUAUUAUAAAUGUAUACAAAAUUUUAAGUUCAAAAGAUAAUUUUUCUUAUUUAGUUAGGAUUCAUAUUAAAAAGGCACAAAGCACGAAUUUUCAUGUUUAAAUUCACAAAUAUCACGAAAGCUCCUUCAAGCUCUAUGGACCAUUUUAUUUGUAACAUUAUAUUACUCUUAAUUAUCAAAUUAACCAACAAAUUCUUCUCAUUAGUUAUUUUUCUUUUGUAGUGUCAUAAAAUUUGAUGUAAAGUAAUAUUGGUCAUCAUUUCAACUUUCAUGUUCCAAUUAGAUGCAUCAAGCAUGUGCAACAUAUUUGAUAUAACUAAUAUUUUUAUAAGUAAUUGAAUUUUUUUUUCUAUAAAUCAAUUAACUUGAUUAUCAAUGAAUACUUUCAUACAUGAUAUUGAUGUAGUUUCAUAAAUAUUUUUAAAUAGUCAUAGAAGUCUUUUAUCUGAUUCACUAGAAAGAAAAAUAAACUAUUCUAAUGAAAAUACUUGAUGAUUUGAAGUGAUUGCUUUUGAUUUUAUUUGAUUGCUACCAUUAUUAAUUGUUAGAAAUUGGCAACAAAUACCCAUUUUGCAUCACUUCUAUAUGCAUCGAGGGAAUGAAUUAUAUUUCAUAGAGCUAACAGGGCAAAACUCAUACUUUUGGAAUUAUGGAAAAGGUUGCUAGAAAGCUAAUUAACAAUUUAUAUUAUGAUUAAGACUAGUUGGGUUAGAAAUAAUUCAUAUGGAGAUUAAAAAAAACUAUGUAAUUUAGUUUAGUAGCUUGGGUGCUAUUGUAAUGAUUAAUGAUCUGCAACUUGAACACAUCUACUAGUGCUUUCUACUUGUAUAGCUAAAUUUAUGUUACCACUUUGAACUACAGUACUUACAUGAGAAGAAAGCUUUUCCUUAGUGAUAAUGCAAAAGAAAUUAAGUAUCAAUUUUUGUUAAACUAACAAGUGAUAGUUUAGAUAUGUUUUGAAUACACUUCCUUUCUUCUAUUUUUUUAUUUUGAAAAAAAAAACUCUUUAAUGAAAUAUAAGAAAUCUUAUAUGUAUAAAAAGUAAAGACUUAAACAAAAAAAUUCUUCAAAUUUUAAAAAUUUCGAGAAGUAUUUUUAAGAAUUUGUAUUUUUAGUAUAAUAAUUCCUAUAUUUUGUAUAAAAGCUUUUGUUCAAAAAAAUAGAAGUGUAUCCAAAUUAAAAAUUAAUGGUUAAAUUAAGAAUGUUUCUCAGAUCAAGGGAUAAUGAAAGUUGUAGAGAGUUUGCAUUACUCAACCUUUGCAACUACUUUUUGAAGGUAAAAGAAAAUACCUUCUUACAUAACAUACAAUGGCAAGUUCUGGUUUGUAAGAAACUAAUAAAUGAUUAAGAAUAUGAAUAAGACUUCCUUAAUAAUAGAUAUGUAGAGAAGAAUAGUGGAUGAUAGGAGGUGAAAAUCUUGUAAUAAAAUAUCAAUAUCGGUUAUAAGAUAAUCAACAUUUUCUUGUACCUAUGUGAUUAAGAAUCUUGUAGCUCCCUUAUUGAAAUAUAAUAUAAAAAUAUAAAUAAACUAUUUAGAAGUGCAUGUAGUUUUCAACAUGAGGAAGUUCAAAAGCAAGUUAAUUAUGAUAAUUUUCUAUAGUCUAUAUUGAACACAAAUUAUUUUUUCUAAAGGUUCAAUCGUUCUAUGAAGGUUAAAAGUUUGAAUUGUUUACAUAUGCAAAUGUGAAAUUUGAAAUUUUAUAAUGUUUUAUAAUUUUCUUGUAGAUUCAAAAAACUUGUCCAUAUUCAAAAAGCUCGAGACCUUGAACCUCAAUCACAACAAGUUCAAAAACACUAGCCUACAACAAUUGAAUAUAUUUACAUCCCUUAAAAAUCUUUCUCUAAGACGGAACUAUGAUGGAGGAUUUUUUCCGAUCCAAGGUAUGUGUAAUUAUUAUUAUUAUUUUUAAUGAUAAAAUAUUAGAAUUGUCAACAUCUUUUAUCUUUUUUCCCCUCAAUGGUGUUGCAGAAUUAUGCACUCUAGAAAACUUGGUGAUGUUGGACCUAAGUGGGAAUUUCUUUAUUGGCAUGCAAGGUAAAUACAAAGUGAAGUUUUGGUUAUAUAUAUAUAUCAUGUAAGAACAUAACUAAAAUCAACAUUCUUUGCCUAUCAAUUUGUGCAUGACUAUUAUUUAGUUAUUCUUCGUAACAUAAUUGAAAGAAUGUUUAGGUGUAUAACAUUUAAGAAUUUUACAUGGCACAAUGAAAAACAUGGUAAUCAAUGUAUGCAAUAAAAUUCUAAUAGUUGAAAAAGAAUUUUCUUGUAAUUUUAUGUUCGUGUAUAGUAAUCAAAGAGAAAAUCAUGAAAAUGUAUAUUAGUUAGACUUUAUAUAUCAAUAGACAAAAAAGAAAGAAAAAAGAUUAGUUCCUUAACUUAUCCUAAAAUUUUCUAGAUAACAAGGAGUUUUUUUAUUUUGGGCUAUAAGAUUUACAACCUGAAAAGUGAAGAUGAUUAAUAUUAGUAAUAUAAUUUUGAAAUAUAAAAAUUAAUGAAAUAAUGUUCUCUAUAACUAUAACUGCAACUGCAACUAUUAAUAAAAGAUAAUAAAAGUACUUUAGACUUUGAAUCCAUGGUUAGGUUUGCAAUUUUUUGAUGAUCAAUAAAGCUACAACUUAUGCUGCAAAAGGCUAUACAAAAUGUAUUAGGAGCAUUGCUAAGCUCAUUUAUCAAUAAAAGAAAUCCAGUAAUACUUUGAUUGGAAAAAACCUAGAAUCAUGUUUGAUAUAUAUAAUAGGAGAAGAAACAAAAUAACAAUUCCAUGGUAUUAGUUAGUUUGAUAUCCCUUUUGUUAUAUGGAAUAACUAUUCCAUUUUAAAAUAAUUAUUUCAUCUUAUCGCUAGAACAAAAAAUUUCAAGCAAUUAUAUGCGCUUUUGGGUUUCUUAAGAAUUUAAGCAUUUAUGGGUCACCCAUAUAUACAUAUAUAUAUAUAUAUAUAUAUAUAUAUAUGUAGGAAGAAUAAAAAAAAAUAUUAUACGGAGACAAGGGUAGACACCCAUAUAUAUAUAUAUAUAUAUAUAUAUAUAUAUAUAUGUAGGAAGAAUAUAAAAAAAUAUUAUAUGGAGACAAGGGUAGACACCCAUAAAUGUACAUAUAAUUAUUUAAAUAAAAAAUCAAUAAGAAACAAUAUACAACAAAAUAGAAAAUUUUAAUCUUCUUAAAUUUUAAAAAUAAAAACUAAAUGAAAAAAAAUUAAGAAGUAAAAAUAAUAAUAAAAAGGUCAAGAAUACAAAUAGAGAAGUAAACAAAAAAAAUACAUAAAUUAAAAUUAAAAUUUAAAAGAAAAAAUACAUAGAUUAAUAUGAACACUAAAUGAGGUUUUUUGAGAUAGACUUAGUUAGACCUGAACCAGAUGGAUAUUAAAAAAAAUAAAAAAAAAUUGAAAGAAAUAAAAACUAAUUAGAUGCUAAAUAUUGGAUUAAAAUAACCAAAUGAAUAAAGAGUAAUUAUUAAUUUUUAACAUUUUUUAUUCCCUAGAAUUAUUAUUUUGUGUAUUAAAUGUAUUCUGAGUGUAGUGGUAUAAAAAAUGUAGUUAAGAAUACUAUGAAGAAUAAUAAUGGUGAUGAUAAUGGUGACGACACUUAAUACCUUUUAUUGUACGUUUAGAAAAAAUGAGGUUCUUGAUCUUUAUGGAGAUUAUCAUUACUCAUCCGCAAGCAUGUUGAUAGUUGAAACUACUCAAUUAUCAAAAAUUGAAUUUCUAACCUUCAAUUUUUCUCUCUCAAAUGUAUAUGUGGGUGAGAAAGCACUAGGAAGAUUAUAAGGUCUCACAUGUAUAUGAGUCAUAGGAUAAAAAAUAUAGAGACAAUACUAGCAUUUAUUUGAUCUAGUGGCAAAUAGAGAAAUAUAAAAUAACCAUAACCAUAAUGUUCUAACCUUAUAUAUACCAGAACCAUGUUUCCUUCAUUCAAUGUUGCAACUUUUUCUUUUCAAAUUAGAAUGUAACUUGUAGGAUCCAUUGCCCAUCAAAAUUUUGAAUCGAAUAUUAUAAGAUAUUUCACAUUUCUACCUACUAAAGCAUGAGCUUCAAUGUUCUCAUGCACUUUUGGCUACUAAGUUAAAGAACCCUUUGAGGAUUAAUGGAGUUUCUAUGAGUAGCAAAGCAUUAUAAUCAGAAAGUCUUAUCAGUGAUAUGCAAUUUGACCAAGAACUUAUUCCCAACUAUUUUAUGAAUUUUAUGACUUUUCUUGGCUACUUGUAGGCAAGCUAAAGAAAUUUUCUGGUUUGUUCAAGUCUAAAAAGUGGUUUCAAGUUUAGGGCCAAGCUUGGGCUGCACCUAGGUCCUUGGGCCUUGUUCAGCUCCACGUUUAAACCAACCUUGAGUCCAUCUUUGUAAUUUUUCUCCCAAUUCAUUGAUUAAUAUUAGGAUUUUAUAGAGCCUAUAAAUUGACCAACUAAAUAAAGUAGGUUCAUAAACUUUUAGGUGAAAAUUUUCUCUUUAAUAAAUGUUAAUUCAAGAGUCUCCGUAAUCUUUUUAUAUUCAUAUUAAUUGGUAUUUAAACCGACCUUACUAUAUUAAAGUCAAAUACCAAAUAGUGAACACUAUAUCUACUACUACCACUAUGAUGGUCACAAACAUAGAAUGCUCCAUUUUUUAGAGUCAAUUGAUGCUUAUAAACAACUUUGUUUGAAAAUAAAACACAUCGAGUGAUUGCAUCAAGAGAUUGAUGUAAUAAUUGCAUACUUGAUCUAGAUAAUGUUAAUAUGAGUUGACUAAAUAAAUGAGUAUUUACUUAUAAGGUAGCCCAUAGAACAUUAUUUGUGGAAAUAUUCAUGCACCUCUACAUAUGUUCAUGAUAACUUAGGUUGAUAAAUUUAAGAAGAACAAAUUCAUAACCUUGGGCAUAGUUAGUAAGAAAUUUCACCAAUAGAGUUUGGUAUCAUGAUUCUAAUUGUUCAAAUUGUUUUAAAGGAGUAUUUUAAAUUGCAUGUUAAUUUGCUUCUAAUAAAUGGAGAGAAACCAAUUCAAGAAGAGAAUUGUACUCAAGCUAUGUAUAGCAUUCAUGAAGAUGUAGAAAAUAUUGAUGAACUUACUUUUGAGCAAGUUGAAAUCAUAAUUAAAUAAAAUAACAAACCCAAGGGUUAAGAUUGUCAAGUAAAACUUUAAUUAAAAUUUAUUGAUUUUUUAAAUGCCUAUUAGAGGAGCAAUAGAAGUUCUAGAUAGAAAGUAAGAACUUUUCUAAGGAAUCACUUGUUAGAUUUUAAGUGAUCAAUAAAUAUAAUGUCCAAUUUAAAACUUUUAUAAAAGCAAUGGUUCUAAAGAAUAACUUGAUUUGAAUUUAAAGUUAUUAUUGAUAUUUAUUUAUAAUGGAUGUAGUUAAUCAAUUGAACAUAGUAAAAAACACAUAAUUUUUUCAAAAUACCUUCUAAUUGUUGGGUAUAUUUAAGUAGUUAUUCAUAUCUCAUUAUCUUUUUACUCACAUACUAAUCUCCUUAUUGAGUAUUUACCAAUUACAAGUAGGUUGAAAGUUACUUGAAUUUAAGUCACUAAUCAAUGUUAACUUGAUGACAAAUAAGUCUCCCUUUGAAACUUGUUUUAUAACAUAGCGAAAUGUAGUCGAUCAAUCAUCAAAACAAUGUUUAAGCAUUGGGAUUUAGUUGUUAAUUUUUAUUUUUUAUUUUUUGUGCUUAAACAAAGACAAAAAUUAUAAAAACUCCUGAAAAGUACAUAUUAAUUGAAUUUAAUUUAUACAUCAAACAAGAACAAACUAGUCUUGGAUUUAAAAUUCAAUAGGUUUUGUAAUUAUAAUUCCUAAAAAUUUGUAAGACAACAAAAUUAUUGGACACUAGGCUAUUGGGUGUGUAUGACUAAGAGGUGAAGGAGGGUUCAUCUUAUACAAAGGAUGAUUUGAUUAAUUUUAAAGAUUGAAUAAACAAUAAUUGCAUAUUCAAGUAAAAAUAACAUUGCUAAAAAGGAAAAUAAGUAUUUUAGUCCUCAAACCUAAAAUGGCUAAAAAAUUUAAUUAAUACAAUUACAACUUCACCUACAAAAAAAAAAAAAAAAAAAUACCCAAAACUUUUCAAUAGCACAACUAAGUCCAUUUAUCAAAAGCUCUAUGAACAACAACAACUAUCAAAUCACAUAAAUCAUGUUGUUUACAAAGUGCCCUUGAUGUUUUAAAACAUAAGAUAUUACAUAAAAAUCAACCAAUAGUGUAUGACAUUAUAAAAAACAUAUCCAAAUCCAUUGUCGAACUUAAACUAAAUUCAACUUUAUAUACAUAGUCGCAAGUGGGUCUUUUUGUCUUUCAAUUUGGGUCAAAUUCAGAUGUUAGUUUUUUACACAACAAGGGAUUAUCAAGGUGAUAAUUCAUGCAUAUAAAUAGUAUUACUUAUAUAAAAAAAAUGGUAAAUGCAAUUUUUUUGUAUUCACUCACCAUUUGGCAUAUCAAUAAGAAAAAAAUAUAUACAAUAGGUGCUAUCAAUAAUAUUAUGCAUCACUAGAAAUUAUAAUUUUUCAUUUGUUAUCACUACUUGUGCACUUUGGAAAGCUUGCUAGGUACAACAAAUUAGCUCAGUGAAGAAAUUGAUCAAUUCCUUCAUUUCUAAAUAAAUUUGCAUAUACACUAGAAUAAAAACAACUUUUUAACUUAACAAGUUGACUGAGUCUCAGAACUUAGUAGGUUGAAGGCAUAGACUUCCAUCCAAGCUCAUUUACUGGCACCACAUGUUGGAAAAAUAAAGAAAAAUCAAAACACUUGAGUAUAGUUGCAAACCAAUCUAAAUAUAGAGUGAGAUCUACCUUUCUUUGAAAGUUUAGAACAAAUUUUUAUUUUUAUGAUAAGACUAUGCAGUACUUAUCCCUCUCUAACAAGUCUAUAAUCAGUCCAAAGCAUGGGAUAUUGCAUAUUUCUUGAACUCAAUUAGCCUUUAAUCCAUGCAUUUCAAGUAAAUUUAAAACCUGGUGUACUUGUUCUUGAUUCACAUCCUUGUCACUAUUAUCAUUACUUGUUCUUGAAUAUAGAACCUUAUUGUCCAUUAACAAGCGGGCCUAUGUUCCUCCAUGAUUCAAGAGUAUUAUGUUUUGUUCAUCAUCAGUUGGUCUUGCUCUAAAGCUUCUUUUUUAUGACUAUCAAUAACCAGACUUAGAUACCAAAAUUUAUGCAAGAGAGCAUGUACUUUAUACAGUCAAGAACUUGUGAGUCUAGACUUUGUUAUCUAGGUAAAAGAAUAAAUUGGUUUGUUAAAAUAGCUAGCAUUAGGUAUCUAUUCAAUUCCUAUCUUAGACAAUAAAGAUACAAAUGAUCAAAUACAUUCUUAUUAAGAAACAUUUGAUACCAAAAGUGAUGUAAGACAACACAGUUCCUCUAUUCAAUCAAGUUUAAGGCUUAGAUGAACCUAUGAAUUUAUAUUAAUUAAUUGGGAAAGAGAAUAAAUAGGCUAAGUAGAAGUGAUAGGAUUGUAAUAGCAUUAAGUUAAUGAUCUUGUUUAGGUCUUCUACUAAAUUAGAGAAGAAACAAACAAAAGUAAUCAAACGUGUUAGUGAUAAUUAUAUCUACUUAACAUUGAGACAAUAGUUGUACUAAUGGUAAUUAUAUUAUUUCUUGAGAGUUUAAACAAUAUAUAUUGAAAAUAUUUUUAAAGGUUUAGCAACUACCAAGGUUAUAAUCAACUACGAGCUUUUUAUUUUUAAAAAUAUGAAAUAUUAAUAUCUUUACUUUCUUUGAUCUUCUUGUAGGUUUUAAAAGUUUGUCUAAGCUGAAAAAGCUGGAAAUCUUAAACCUUCGUGAUAAUCAGUUCAACAAGACCAUUAUAAAACAGUUGAGUGGACUCACAUCCCUUAAAACACUAGUUGUAAGCUACAACUAUAUUGAGGGACUUUUUCCUUCCCAAGGUAUUGCUUAUUCUUUUAAUAUCCUUAGUAACCACUCUACCAUGAUUUUUUUUUUUUUCAAUUUUAUUUUCUUUCUUGAACCAUACAGAAUUAUCUAUUUUUGGAAACUUGAUGACACUGGAUUUAAGAGAUAAUAGACUCAAUGGCUCCCUAUCAAUCCAAGGUAAAUUCUAAUCAGAAUUAUCAUUAUAUUUAGGGCAUAUAAUAAAUUAAUUAAAUUAUUUUAUCUAUUAUCAUUACUUGGUUAUUUGGAUUUUCUUGAUAUUGUUUAGCAUUUUACAUAGGAAAAUGAAAUGGAAAAAUCAACCCAUGCUUAGUGUUUAAGCACUGGGCUAGAAGUAUAUUUGUCUUCCCAAUUUAAUCAAAGAGAAAAGUCAUAAAUAACAUAAUUUAACUUAUACCUUAUAUUGAUUGAAGAGGUUAGACUACUUUUGGAUUUAAUGGUCAAUAUUUGUUGAAGAUAGGGUUUCCUAAAUUUGAUAAAAAGAACUUCAAUUUAAAUUACCAUAACUACAUAAAGGUGUGACUAGCAUAAUUAAACUCUUUUAUUAAUAGAUGUUCAUAGACUAGUAUUAUAAUCCCACAUGCACAAAUAAUCAAAUUUUGAAAUUAGACUUCAAAUAACUAUGCAAUAUACGAAACUACAAAAUGAAUGGUAGGUCAUAAUUAAUUAAAUUCGUACUAUAUUCAAUGUUGGUCAACACGUGUCAAGUAAAAGUUUUGGCCUAAGUGUAAGGGCUCACUUGCUCCAAUAUAUAUGUUAUUCACUUUGGGUCAAGGCCUACUUUAAAAUAUCUAUACAUUUAUGAGAUAUUUUAAAAUGUAAAAUGAUAGGUUUUGAUCAUUUUUAAAGGUAGCAAACAUUUUAUUUUAUUUGUAUUUAAGAACAACGUCUUUUCUUAUACAAUGUUUAUUUAAUUUUCUUUUGAUAGAUUUUGCAAGCUUAAGCAAUUUGGAGAUAUUGGAUUUGAGUUAUAAUUCCUUCAAUGGAAUUGUUUCAUCAUCUAUAAGAUUAAAGUCUUCUCUCAAGUCUUUAUCCUUGGCUGGAAAUAGACUCAAUGGUUCUUUACAAUGUCAAGGUAGGAAACAUUUAAUUUUAUUUGUAUUUAAGAACAAUGUCUUUUCUUAUAUAAUGUUUUUUUAAUUUUCUUUUGAUAGAUUUUGCAAGCUUAAGAAAUUUGGAGAUAUUGGAUUUGAGUUAUAAUUCCUUCAAUGGAAUUGUUUCAUCAUCUAUAAGAUUAAAGUCUUCUCUCAAGUCUUUAUCCUUGGCUGAAAAUAGACUCAAUGGUUCUUUUCAAUAUCAAGGUACAUAUGUUAUGCUUUCUUUGUUUCAUAAAGAUUAGACAAGAUAAACAUUGUGAAAAAAAGGUUGUCAUAGUUAAUGUAAAAUGAUAGGUUUUUGAUCAUUUUUAAAGGUGGCAAACAUUUUAUUUUAUUUGUAUUUAAGAACAAUGUCUUUUCUUAUACAAUGUUAUUUUAAUUUUCUUUUGACAGAUUUUGCAAGCUUAAACAAUUUGGAGAUAUUGGAUUUGAGUGGUAAUUUCUUCAAUGGAAUUGUUUCAUCAUCUAUAAGAUUAAAGUCUUCUCUCAAGUCUUUAUCCUUGGCUAGUAAUAGACUCAAUGGUUCUUUUCAAUAUCAAGGUACAUAUGUUAUGAUUUCUUUGUUUCAUAAAGAUUAGACAAGAUAAACAUUGUGAAAAAAAGGUUGUCAUAGUUAAUGUAAAAUGAUAUGUUUUGAUCAUUUUUAAAGGUGGCAAACAUUUUAUUUUAUUUGUAUUUAAGAACAAUGUCUUUUCUUAUACAAUGUUAUUUUAAUUUUCUUUUGACAGAUUUUGCAAGCUUAAACAAUUUGGAGAUAUUGGAUUUGAGUGGUAAUUUCUUCAAUGGAAUUUUUUCAUCAUCUAUAAGAUUUAAGUCUUCUCUCAAGUCUUUAUCCUUGGCUGUAAAUGGACUCAGUGGUUCUUUACAAUAUCAAGGUACAUAUGUUAUGCUUUCUUCGUUUCAUAGAGAUUAGAGAGGAUAAACAUUGUAAAAAAAAAAAAGUUGUCAUAGUUAAUGCAAGCUAAAACUAAAAAACUUGCUUUUUCAAUUAUGUAAGCAUGUUUUGUUCUUGAUGAAUCUUUACAACAUUCAAAGUUACUAAUAUUUAUAAUUCAUAGAGACCUCAUUAACAACCACUAACAACUAAUUGUAAGUAACUAUGAAAAAAGUAAGGACAAAAAUGAGGGAAAAGCAAGGAAAGUGACAAAUUUUUUCAUCCCCAUAAAAAAUGCUAAGGAAGAAAAAGGUGAAGAAAAUUUAAAGAAAGUAUAUUUUUCAAAAAUUAAAUUUUCUUUCCCUUAAAGUUGGUAUGGACAACCAAACAAGAAAAUGAUUUUGAAAUUCUUUUUUGACUUUUUUCUUUCAUUUUUUUUCCUACUCUAUUUUCUUUCCCUCAAACUUUCUAGGUAGUAAACAUUACCUAAGACAAAUAGGGAAGAAAAUAUUUUAUCAUUUAUUUAUUUAGCAUUUUUCUUACAUUUUUUGUAUUUUAUCCAAAUAUAAGAAAACUAUUUUUCUUUAUUUUUUCUUUUCCUUGUUGCGUUUCAAGAAUCAAGCAUACUUUAAACUCUAAUUAAGAGUUACAUAGAUUUACGAAGAAACGAUGCAACUGGUAACAAAAAAUUAAGGAAAUUUAAUUUUUGAGAGUAAGUAUAAUGAGAUUGGUUUGUUUGAUACAAAAUUUGAAUAAAAAUUCUUUUAAUGAAAAUUCAAGGAAAGGAAAAAAAAAACAACUUUAUCUCUAGACUAUAAUACUAAAUCAAUUAAAAAAAAUCUCCUAACAUCGUUUAUGUUCAUCUUUCUUUUUAUGGAUUUGAAAAACUCAAUAAUUUGGAGAAAACUGAUUUAAGGAAGAAUAUUUUUUAGAGUAAAAGAUUAUUAUUUAAGAAUAUCAUAAAUAUUAUAGUCAUUGUUGAAUAUGAUAAAUGAUAAAUAAAAAAUAAAAAAUAAAUAAAAAGUCGUUGGAAAUUUAGAUACUUUUAUGGAAAGAUAGACAAAGUGCUCUAGUUUAUAAUACUAAUGCACUUUUCUAAUUUGAUAUGAAAAAAGGUAAAACGAUAGGUUUUGAUCAUUUUUAAAGGUAGUUUGUUUAAAUCAUUUUAAUUUAUUUUGAUUUAUGAACAAUAACUUUUAUUACACUAGUUAUUUUGAUUUUCUUUUGAUAGAUUUUGCAAGCUUAAGCAAUUUGAAGGUAUUGGAUUUGAGUUAUAAUUCAUUUAGUGGGAUCGUUCCAUCAUCUAUAAGAUUGAUGUCUUCUCUCAAGUCUUUAUCUCUGGCUGGAAAUGACCUCAAUGGUUCCUUACCAAAUCAAGGUACAUAUAUUGAGAUUACAGGUUUUUCUGUUUUCUUUUUUAAUAUCUUGUUUGUUCUUUAUGCCAAUGAAGUCAUGCAUGUCUAUUAAUUUUUGGUAUUUAAUGAAAAACUUUAUUCUUAAUUCAUAAAGACCUCAUCAACUGUGAGUAACAGCUAGUUGUAAGUUUGGGGGCAUUGACAAGACGAGGAGAUGAUUGGUUACAUGUCUUAUUCUCUUUUGUAGGCUUUUUCCAAUUGAAUAAGCUUCAAGAGUUGGAUCUUAAUUACAACUUAUUCCAAGGGAUCCUUCCUCAAUGUUUGAAUAAUUUGACAUCUCUAAGGUUAUUAGAUCUCUCUUCCAACCUAUUCUCCGAAAAUCUUUCUUCCACUCUGUUACCUAAUCUCACAUCCCUGGAGUACAUUGAUCUCAGUUACAAUCAAUUUGAGGGUUCAUUCUCUUUCAGCUCUUUUGCUAAUCACUCCAAGCUUCAAGUGGUCAUACUUGGAAGUUAUAACAACAAAUUUGAGGUAGUUGGAAGGGAUAACAACAAAUUUGAGGUAGAAACUAAAUAUCCAGUUGGUUGGGUUCCCCUGUUUCAGUUGAAACCUCACCGGUGACCUUCCUGGUUUUCUUCAAUACCAAUUUAGAUUAACGGCAGUUGAUCUCUCCCAUAAUAACUUGACAGGAAGUUUCCCCAAUUGGCUGCUUGAAAACAAUACGAGAUUGGAAUUUCUGCUCCUGAGGAAUAACUCUUUAAAGGGUCAACUACUUCUCCUAGGACCUAAUACCCUGAUCAGUUCGUUGGAUAUCUCACACAAUCAGUUGGAUGGACAACUUCAAGAAAAUGUGGCCCAUAUGAUUCCAAAUAUUUGGAAGUAUUCCCAAUUCAAUCUCUAGACUUCUAGAGCUAAGGAUUCUUUUGCUAAGAGGAAACCUUUUAAGUGGUUUCAUUCCAUAUCGACUUUGUCAUUUGACUAAAAUAAGCUUGAUGGAUCUUUCAAACAACAAUUUUUCUGGGUUAAUUCCUGGAUGCUUUGGUCAUAUCGGAUUUGGAGAUUUCAAAACUGAGCACAAUGUGUAUAUACCGAUGUUGGAUUCAUAUUCAGAAAGCAAUCCUUCUAUAUAUACGGGUUACUUAAUAAAAUAUUUAUUUUUCUCUAGUGAACUCCCUGAUAAAGUAGAUGAAGUUAAGUUUGUUACCAAGAAUAGGUAUAGCUCCCACAUAGUAGAUAAAAAUAUUUGUUCGGAAUUUAGAUAUUUUUAUAGAAAAGUAGACAAGUAUUCUAAUUUAUAAAAACAAUGCAUUUCUUUAGUUUGGUAUAAAAAAAUGAAAUGAUAGGUAUUGGUAAUUUUUUUUAAAGUAGCAAACGUUUUAUUUUAUUUGUAUUUAAGAAAGAUGUCUUUUCUUAUACUAGUUAUUUUAAUUUUCUUUUGACAGUUUUUGCAAGCUUAAGCAAUUUGGAGAUACUAGAUUUGAGUUCUAAUUCCUUAAGUGGGAUUAUUCCAUCAUCUAUAAGAUUGAUGUCUCAUCUCAAGUUUUUAUCGCUGGUCGGAAAUCACCUCAAUGGUUCUUUACAAAAUCAAGGUACAUAUGUUAUGAUUUGUUUGUUUCAUAUAGAUUAGAGAAGAUAAAUAUUGUAAAAAAAAAAAGUUGUAGUUAAUGUAAGUUAGAAAAAAGUAUCUUGCCUUAUAAAUUAUAUAAGCACGUGUUUGUUCUUAAUGAAUCUUUACAACAUUUAGAGUUACCAAUCUUUAUAAUUCAUAAAGACCUCAUAAACACUGAGUAACAACUAAUUGUAAGUAAUUGUGGAAAAGUAAGGAAAACAAAUUGCUUCAUUUGAUACAAAAUUCGAAUAAAAAUUCUUUUAAUGAAAACUCAAGGAAAGGAAAAAACAUUUUUAUCUCUAGAUUAUAAUACUAAAUCAUGUAAAAAAUCUCGUAACAUCAUUUAUAUUCAUAUUUCUUUUUAUAGAUAUGAAAAAUUCAACAAUUUGGAAUAAACUUAUUCAAUGAAGAAUAAUUUUUAGAUUUAAAGAUUAUUAUUUAAGAAGAUCGUAAAUAUUACCAUCAUUGUUGAUGUCUAAGAAGAUCAUAUUCAACAAUUUUUUUAAUAUGUUGUUUUCUAUGGUAAUUAAUUGAUGUCUUGUAAUUUUUAAUAUUUAAUGAAAAACAUUAUUUUAAUUCAUCUAGAGCUCUUAAUUCAUGAAGACCUCAUUAACGGUGAGUAAUAGUUGGCUGUAAGUUUGGAGUCAAAGACAUUUCAAGGAGAUGAUUAGUUACAUGUCUUGUUCUCUUUUGUAGGUUUCUGCCAAUUGAAUAAGCUUCAAGAGUUAGAUCUUUCUUACAACUUAUUCCAAGGGACCCUUCCUCCAUGUUUGAAUAAUUUGACAUCUCUGAGGUUAUUGGAUCUCUCUUCCAACCAUUUAUCCGGAAAUCUUUCUUCGCCUCUGUUACCUAAUCUCACAUCCCUGGAGUAUAUCGAUCUCAGUUACAAUCAUUUUGAGGGUUCAUUCUCUUUCAGCUCUUUUGCUAAUCACUCCAAGCUUCAAGUGGUCAUACUUGGAAGUGAUAACAACAAAUUUGAGGUAGAAACUGAAUAUCCAGUUGGUUGGGUUCCCCUGUUUCAAUUGAAGGCUCUUUUCCUAUCCAACUGCAAGCUCACCGGUGACAUUCCUGAUUUUCUUCAAUACCAAUUCAAAUUAGAGGUGGUUGAUCUAUCCCAUAAUAACUUGACAGGAAGGUUCACCAAUUGGUUGCUUGAAAACAACACGAGACUAGAAUUUCUAGUCCUAAGGAAUAACUCUUUAAUGGGUCAACUACUUCCCCUGAGACCUAAUACCCGUAUCCUUUCAUUGGAUAUCUCACACAAUCAGUUGGAUGGACGACUUCAAGAAAAUGUGGGCCAUAUGAUUCCAAAUAUUGUGUUUCUAAAUUUAUCCAACAAUGGUUUUGAAGGUCUUCUCCCAUCCUCAAUAGCUGAAAUGAGUUCCUUAAGGGUGUUGGAUUUGUCUGCCAAUAAUUUCUCAGGAGAAGUACCAAAGCAGUUGCUUGCAACAAAAGAUUUGGUGAUUCUAAAAUUAUCAUAUAAUAAAUUUCAUGGUGAAAUAUUUUCAAGGGACUUUAACAUGACUGGGUUGGAUAUUUUGUAUUUAGACAAUAAUCAGUUCAUGGGAACUCUGUCAAAUGUAAUCUCCGGAAGCUCUCAGUUAAUGGUGUUGGAUGUGAGCAACAACUACAUGUCAGGUGAAAUUCCAAGCGGGAUAGGUAACAUGACAGAAUUGAGAACAUUGGUCAUGGGCAACAAUAAUUUUAGAGGCAAAUUACCACCUGAGAUUUCUCAAUUGCAACAGAUGAAGUUUCUUGACGUUUCUCAAAAUGCUCUUUCAGGAUCUCUUCCUUCUUUGAAGAGCAUGGAGUAUUUAGAGCAUCUACAUUUGCAAGGGAACAUGUUUACAGGAUUAAUACCGAGAGAUUUUCUCAAUUCCUCAGAUCUAUUGACUUUGGAUAUGCGAGAUAACAGGUUAUUUGGAAGUAUUCCCAAUUCAAUCUCUGCACUUUUGGAGCUAAGGAUUCUUUUGCUAAGAGGAAACCUUUUCAGUGGUUUCAUUCCAAAUCAUCUUUGUCAUUUAACUAAAAUAAGCUUGAUGGAUCUUUCAAAUAACUCUUUUUCAGGGCCAAUUCCCAAAUGCUUUGGCGAUAUCCGAUUUGGGGAGAUGAAAAAGGAGAAUGACGUGUUUAGACAGUUCAUUGAUUUUGGGUAUGGAGGGGAUUCUCGUAAUUUAUAUGUUGGAUUCACGGUGAAAAAAUGGGAGUUCGAUAGUGAUGUAUAUGAUGAAAAAAAUGAAGUUGAGUUUGUCACCAAGAACAGGCAUGACUCCUACAGUGGUGACAUCCUUAAUUUCAUGUUUGGAUUGGACUUGUCAUGUAAUAACUUAACCGGUGAAAUCCCUCACAAACUUGGAAAGCUAAGUUGGAUUCAUGCAUUGAACUUGUCUCACAAUCAAUUGAAGGACUCCAUUCCAAAGAGUUUCUCCAAUCUUUCUCAAAUAGAGAGCUUGGACCUUUCUUAUAAUAAAUUAAGUGGAGAAAUUCCUCUAGAGCUAGUUGAACUCAAUUUUCUAGAGGUGUUCAGUGUGGCUUACAACAACAUCUCUGGUAGAGUUCCAGAUACAAAAGCACAAUUUGGGACAUUUGAUGAAAGAAGCUAUGAAGGUAAUCCUUUUCUCUGUGGGACAUUGUUAAAGAGAAAAUGCAACACAAGUAUCGAGCCACCAUGCGCACCAUCACAAUCUUUUGAAAGUGAGGCAAAAUGGUAUGAUAUCAAUCAUGUUGUUUUCUUUGCAAGUUUUACUACUUCAUAUAUCAUGAUCUUGUUAGGAUUUGUUACCAUCCUUUACAUCAAUCCUUAUUGGCGUCAUAGAUGGUUCAAUUUUAUCGAGGAAUGUAUAUAUUCCUGUUAUUAUUUUGUUUUUGAUAAUCUUUCCAAGUUAUCAGCAUAUUUGUAUAAUUAGAUACUUUUAAUUGGAUGAUGUUUGCAUAAUUAACUACUAUUUGUUUCCACUAGAUAGAAAGAAAUGGGAUGUAUAAUUGCUACAAGUUGAAACUUACAUACUUUGCUCAAAUUUUGACAUCUUUUGAUUUUAUUUUCAAGUUCCGUUAUUUUUUAUGUAUUGUUUAAUUCAAGAUUUAACCAUAUUUUGUUACUCUUAUAAAAACAAAUUCAAAUUUUUAGGAAGUUUUAGCAUUAAAAUAAUUUCAUAGUCAUAUUUUAAAAAAUAAAGAAGAAAGAAAAUAAUAAAUAAUUGGAAAAACAAUUCAAGGGAGUAUUAAAUUAUCAUCUUAGAAUUGUUUGGCAUAGUAUGGGAAUUCAAAAAUAAUCUUUCAAUUUGUUAGAAGCGUUUAUUUAUUUAUUAUAGCAAUGAUUGAAAUAUCAAUCACAAAGCAAUGUUUUCUUUUCUUUUGUAGGGCACUAACACUUUUUCUUUGAUCGUAAUAAUUGAUAAAUAUAUUACACAAUUAUUUGUUUUUAAAAAGGGAGGGAUGACAAAUAUAAUAACAUGUGAAAUAUUUCUAAAUGAUGGGAAAUAAGCCAAUCUAAUUAGGGUGCAAUAUUAUUCAUUUUAAUUUAUAUGAAUUUACUUAUUUUUAUUUGUAUCAUAUUUUGAACCAUUUUAUGAAAUUAAGGGAGAUUAAAACAUCGAGUUUCUUAUUUUAAUUUAUAUUUUUAAUAAUAAAGCAUGAAAUAUUUUUUUUUUUAAAAUCAUGAAUUUCUUUAAUUCCUUAGGAAACCAAUAUAUAAAAAAAUUGAAUAUAUUAUGAUUUUAUGUCCUAAAUCUCUAAAUUUGUUCAUCACGUAUUUAUUUUUAUAUUAAAUUUAUUAUUAUUAAUUAUUUAUUAUAUAUUAUUAUUUUAUGUUUAAAAAUGUCCAUAAAUAAUUAAAAUUAAUAAAUAAAAAAAAUGAAAUAUUAAAAAAAUUAAAUUAAAAAGAUUUCAUCAAACUAACAUAUUUAAAAAAAAAAAAAAGCAAAAAGAAGAUGGGGAUAUUAUAGAUGAGGGGAAAAAGAUAAAAAAUAAAUAAAAAUUAUGCGGUAUGAUAAUUGCCUCGUGUUAAAGUUAUUUUCUUUUAAAAAUAAUAAUUGUAAUGAUGAACUCAUUUGUCUUAUUAAAGUAAACAAAAAUGAAGAAAAAAAAAAAGUUGUAGUUGGCUAGAGGUGAGAGAGAGAGAGGAGGGUUUGAGUGUAAGUUUGAAAUAUUAAUUAUUUUCACUAAGUAGAUAUUUUGAAGGUUAUUUUCCCCAAAACACAUAUUCUUUUAAUAAAAAAUCAAAAUUUUAGAUUAUUUGUUCCUUUAAACUUUAGUUUGAAUAAAAUUAGUUUUAAUUAUUUUCUUUUUGGAAUUAUAUUUAACACAUUAUUAAAAAUAUAAAAAAAUAUUAUUAGGUUUUUAUGUGCUGAUUGGGUUUUUUAAAUACCCAAUAUGCCCUCCAAUCUACCACUUAAGCAUCCGAUAUGGCUAAAAAUAAAUUAAAAAAAAAAAAAAGGAAAAAAAACAAAAGUGUAUGAUCCUCUUUCUCGAGUCUUCACAUUUUCAGACACUGAACCCAAAUCAAAAUUAAUCCUCCAAAUUAAUUUUCACCUCGAACCCAAACCCUAACUGCUGCCCCGUUUUCUCCUCAAACAUAGCUAUCCGAAAAACCCUAACCUCUGCCUCGUCUUCCUCUUAUCCCGGAAACCUAAAUCCCGUGACCCUAACCCCUUCUCUUUCCGAAAACCCUCCGGAAUAGGAAGAUUCAUAAUUCUUCAGAAUUAAUUUUCACCUCGAAGCCAGACCCUAACUGCCUCAUCUUCCUCUCAUUCAUAUCCUAAAAGUAGCUUCAACAGUCAGGCCUGUAGCCAUGAAAGCCGUAAUGAUCGCCACUUCCGGUGAUCCCCAAGUUCUCCAAGUGCAAGAAGUCGAAAACCCUAAAAUUGGAGAUGAUGAAGUUCUAAUUAGAGUGGACACCGCUACCAUUAAUCGAGCAGAUACGCUUCAGGGAAAGGGCUUGCACCCUCCCUCAAAGGCGGCAGUCCCUACCCCGGCCUCGAAUGUUCUGGAAUCAUCGAAGCUGUUGGAAGGGUCGUCGUUCGAUGGAAGGUUGGCGAUCAGGUAUUUCAAUUACUGAAUAUUUUUUCCUGUUCCUGUAUUUUUCUCGGCUAUCAAACACCAGGAACGCGUAAAUAAGGAGGUUAGCUGAUUGCGAAAACGGAAAUUUUUUGUUCGUGUUUGUGUUAAGGAGUCUUUGUUGAGAAUUUUGGGGAAAUUUAUGAUAAGUUUGUGAUUUUAUGAUUAAUUUUGUGUAUCAAUAAAUGUUAAUUAUUGAGCUUAUUGGUUUUUCAAAUUUAUGGUUGUAAGAAAAUUGGUCAGUGUAAGGUUAUGGGUUCAUUACCAAUUUGCUUACUGAAAAUUUUUCCAGAUAUUGUGGGCUGGUUUGGUAGCAGAAAUAAGAACUGUGUUUUCUUUUCCAAAACGGAAAUAGAUGUAGAAAACAUGUUUGGUAGCCUACUUUCAGAACUUGUUUCUGAAAAUAUUUCCUGAAAAUAUUUCCUGAAAAUGAAUUAUUUCAGAACUUGUUUUUAAAAACUGCAAGCACUUUAUCAAUUUAAAAGGUUCUGAAAUGGACAUGUUCAUGGUCUUCAUUUUGUAAAAUGAAAGCUUUUAUGAAAAAACCAUUUUCCAUUCUACUAAGCAAACAGGCUUUAUAUUGUAACGGAUCUAUUGGCCAUCUCCUUUGUCAUGUUUUGUGAAUCAUGGCAACACUGGAAUCCACUCCAUUACUCUCUAUUAGUGAUUAGGAGAGAAAGCACCGAUUUUAAUGCUAUACUUUAUGUGAUUUUGCUUCCUCCUGAGUACAAGUUCAUAAUAUAUAUGGUACAUGGUACAUGUCUGUAUGACAGUUUGUGGUAUACAGAUGUGUGCUCUUCUUUCUUGUGGUAUACAGUUUGUGGUGGAGGGUAUGCUGAAAAAGUGGCUGUUCCAGCUGGGCAAGUUCUUCUUGUCCCAUCUGGUGUUUCUCUAAAGGAUGCUGCCGGUAUUCCUGAGGUUGCAUAUCCUGUUUGGUUUUAAUGAUGAGCCGACUGUCUGCAGGAGAAACAUUCCAGGUGAAUUUUCAUUUUUUUUUAUUUUCUGAUGCCUGAUAUAUUUACCAGUACAUAACUUAGCUUAAUGGGGUUGUGCAUAUUCUAAUGGUUUAAAAAGUCCAAUGCGCACAAAUUUACACUGUUGGUGUUUAAUGUGUGUGCAUCAAUAUUGGAUUAGGGAGGCAGAAGAGCCAUGGUUUUUAUUAAAACAUUACAUCAUCAUAUUCUUAUUUAGAUACAUCGCGUCUCACGAUUUCAUUGCAUCCAAGGCCAUGUUGUUUUUGAUUGCAUGGUUUGUCAUGAUAAUUUCUCAACCCUUCUCUGGAAAAUUAUGUUGGAUGGCUGAUAUUAAUUACCCCAAAAGAAGAAAUUUUAUGUUGAAGUAAGAUGAGUACCACAAAGAGUUACUUUUGGUUGUUCCUAUCAUCAAAUAGGUGAUUGAUGCACAAUCCAAAUGGCAAACACUUUUUCCCCCUUUAUCCAGAUGGAAUUUUUAUGCAUGGAUGAAUUGUGAAAUGAGGACUGAUAAUAUUUCAGGUUCAUGGGGGUUCAAUUGGAAUUGGUACGUUUGCUAUUCAAAUAGCGAAAUACCGAGGAGCAAGGGUAUUUGUUACAGCAGGUUUGCCAUCACUAUUCUACCUCAUCUCAUGGCACCAAUUCCUUGUCUUCACAUGUUUUCGACCAUUUUUUACAACUGAAAACGAGGAAAAAUUAGCUGUUUGUAAGGAUCUUUGAGCAGAUGUGUGCAUCAAUUACAAGACAGAAGACUUUGUUGCUUGGGUGGAGGAAACAGGAGGGAAAGGUAUAUUCUAUUGUAUCCUAACAAUAAUUUCAGUUGAAGAUGGAAUUGCUUUUAAUUUUUUAGUGCACCAAAUCCACUAGUCUGGUAUGUUUGAAAAGAUAAGUAGUCAUCUUCCACUUGAUUCCGAUUGUGAAGAUCUAACUCCAAAAAUGUUGAAUGACAGGUAUUGAUGUUAUACUGGAUAAUAUUGGACGGGCCUACUUUGAGGGAGACAUCGAUAGUUUAAAUGUUGAUGGAAGGCUUUUUAUUAUUGGUUUUUAAGGGUGGAACAGUUGCAGAAGUAAAUCUUUCAGGUUUACUUGCAAGGUGCCUUACAGUGCAAGGUACCACUUUCUCUAUAGAAGAUUUUUCUGUAGUUUUGGAGUUGAUUCAAUUUGAUUAAUCUCAUCCAAGUUCAGAACUGAGGUGGAUUCUGGCAAGCCAAGGAAAAACCAAAUUACCAUAAAUUCUUUUUUUUCUGGAUUGUUUUACUUCUUGGAAAUCCUGUUUCUUGAUCUGGUCAGGUAUAUGGAAAUUCCAAGGAAAAUAUGUUUUACAUUUUCCAUAAUUGGAAACACUCAGGAAUUUAAUAUUUUCCUCUGAAAUAGCAAUGGUUUUCUAAUUACGACAUUUGUUUUUCUUGUAUCAUCCCAAAAUAUUUUUUAGGUGUUUGUUCUCUCUUGACACAGCUUUUAAUUGGGUCUGUCUUGCUUUUUGAUAGAUCUCUUGACAAGUUGCUUGUAUAUCAUACUUUCUUUAUUGUUUUCGGAUCAUGAACCUUGCUUCUGUCAGCCCUGUUAUCACUACCCAAACUAGUAAAUUUAUGCACAAAACUCCAUGUGUCAGUAACAGUGGUUAUUUGAUUGUAUUAAAUAAUUUGUAAAUACAUUGGAUAAGUUUGUACUAAAUGGCAAUUGUUUCUGCAGUGGCUGGUUUGCAAAACAGAAGUCUGGAAAAGAAAUCUGUAAUUGUGAGUGAGGUGGAGAAGAAUGUUUGGCCUACAAUCACAGGCGUACAAGUAUUUUCCAUUGACGGAAGCAGUAGAGGAUCACCAGCUCAUGGAAAGCAGCAAGCAUAUUGGGAAGAUACCACAUAUUCCAUUAUGUUAUGGUUAUGAAUGAUCUUAUGCCUCAGAGGGGGAUGACAUGAUUUUAAAACUCUUAAUGAGCAUCUACUAUCUGAUACAAUGUGUGAUGCGCGCAGGCCUAGAUGGUCAAUGCUUAGUUUCUUAUGUAGCCCUGUCAUUUGAGAAUAAAAACCAGCCUUCCCGUCCAAACAUUUAGACUACUGGAAUCUAAAGCCUCAAGAUGGUUGACAAUGAAUUUUCAUGUGGAAACAGAUCAUAACUCUCCAACCUCCACAGACGAGCUUACCUUCCUUAUCUGAAGUUUGAACAAAACUGUAUAAAACUGUUAGGUAGGUAGAACUGUCUAAGAAACCAGAGCUUGGCUAGUUGAUCACCUUAUUUACAGAGCUUGGAUGUGAGAGAAACCAGCGCCCCUAAAGGUCAGGACAAGAUCCAUUCCACCAAAGUUGAGCCUUGCAUGUAGUCACCUGGUAUUUUCUUUUAUUGGAGUCUUCCCCUCUACCCUGGCACUGGGAUUGAAAGCGAAUGAAAAACGUGCACAGAUUGAAGGUGUGCUGCUUGAGUUGAUUGUGGUUUGAGCAUGAAAAUUUGAAGAUCCAGAACAGCAAAUGAGGAAUGCCUAUCAAUUUGAAACCAGCAUGGGUGGAUGAAUGGAGAGGUUCUUCACUGAAUUUGUCCAUGAAGCUUUUUAGCACUCUAGGGCAAGGGUCUCCAAGACUAGCUGUUGAUUGCACAUCCCUCCUGCGCAAUACGAAGAACAGAGUGAAAUGCAAAUGCAGGAAAGGGUGUUUCUUAGCUGUUCAACAACUGACAAUACAUUGGCAUGACAAUUCCCUGGAUCGAUGCCCUCUUGGAGUUCCAAAGCUUGUUCACAGGUCAAUUGAACUUGAGGGUUUUGGGACAUGUACUCCAAGUUUGGUUGCCAAGAAUCUCCAGGUGGAGGAUCAGCUUCUGACACGUGUGCACACACCUCUUGGCCAGUUUGUGUUAUUGCAAUUUUAAUAAAUUGCAAAAAAAAAUUAUUGCCAACAAUUUUUUCUUUUUUUCUUUUUUCUUUUUAAACAAACUGCAAAAAUCCUUUUUUUUUUUUAUAAAAAAAAAAAAAAAAAAAAUUUCUCCAACAAAGUGAUUUUUUUUUUUUUGUGGCAUGACUCGGUUUGACCACUAACUCGGUGAACUGGUCUACCGGCUCAAGUUUGGAUCCCUUAAUUUUGUGGCAAAUUGGGCCUCAAGCCCAACAACCUAACUUCCACGCGGGCUAUCUAUAAUAGGUUAAUAUUGCAAACCAAAAUAAUAAUAGACAUGAUUCUUUUCAAAAAUUUUAUAAUGUAAUAUUUUUUAAAAUUAUAAAAUAAUAGGUUAUAUAAAUUUUAAUAUAUAGGUAAAAUUAAUUAAAUUUUAACAAAUAUCUUCACAUUUAGACAUUACAUAUCUUUUAUUUAAUAAAAUGUUAAAAUAUUAAUAUAUCUAAAUAUAAUAUUAAAAAUGAAAAAUAAAAUAGUAAUAAUUUUUAUUUUUUUUAUAUAUUUAAAUUUAUAUAAUUAUUAUUUAUUUUAAAAACAUACAAAUUGUAUAUUUAUAAUAUUAUUAGUUCAACUGUGAUUCAACCAUCGCUCCGAUUAUUCAAUUGUGAAUUAAUAAAUUUUUUAAUUCAAUGAUAGGUUUGAUCAUAAAAAUAUUAUGUUUUUUUUAUGAAAAGUACUCAAGAAAUAUCAUUAAUCACUAAGAUCACGUGGUUGGGUUAGGUGUAUCCGAAACAUAGGUAUUACUCUCUUCCUUAGUUAGGGCUUAGCUUUUGAAAAUGUAGAUAGGUAAAGUGGAUGGAAAGUCUAUAACUACGUAGAGAUUGAGCUUGGAGGCCAAUCUAGCAAAUGUGGAGAUUAGAAAUAGUUUACCAUCUAGAUAGUCAAGCAUAGCAAUUUACCAAACCCUUACCAACCAUCCAUACUAACCAAUUGUGGUUAAAUGUUUACAAAAAUGUACAUUAAAUCAAAGAGAAAAAAGAUUAAAAACGAACAAGAGAGAAGAAGUACGUCACCUAAUUUUGGUAAUAAAUGAAAUUAAAAUAAAUUCAUAAAUUUUUUAAAUUAAAAUGAAUUUGAACUUUAGAGAUUUGUGUAGAUAUCUUAUUAAAAAACCAAAAAGUUUGUUGCAUAUAUAAUUUCAACAAUGCAUAAAUAAUUACAACAUACGCAAUACAAUAAUAUUACACAAUUAUAUUUUCAAAUAUAAUAUAAGAUCAUUAAAGUGAUAAAUUGUAGUUGUAUAAAAUAUUUAUACAAGUAAAGAAGAAAUUAUGAGAUUAAAAUGCUUGUUGGAUUCUAAGUAAAAAAGAAAUGAGAUAUAGAAAUUGUCCCAUCAGACAUAUAAAAUUUCAUAUACAUAAUUUUCCCUUCAAGAAAAUUUAGGGUCAAAUUGAAAAAAUUUCAUUCAUAGAUUUUGGUAAAACCUCUAUCUAGUCCCCCAAGUCUUGUAUACAAAAGGAAAUAACAUUGGUAUGAGGGGUUUGAAUGCUUAAUUUUAGAUUGAAAAUGGUUGAGAUAAUUUUUGAUCGACUUCACAUGUGUUUUUGAUAAACUUGGAACAUUCAAACUUGUAUUUGAAGAAUCUUCAAAUCUUCAAUUUGCUCUUAAAUAAUGUUGAAACCUUUGAAAUUUGAAUAGAAGAAUCUUUAAGCAUUUGAAUUUUGGUUUAAAGAAUUUUGAAAUUUGAGAUUGAAGAAUCUUCAAAUUUGGGCCUGAAGAUCGAAGGCUAAGCUUGAAGAGUUCUUGAAGCUUGAGUGGUAUCUCUGAUUUUGUAUUGUAUUUUAUAAAAACUUUUAAAUAUAUUAUAUUUAUAGGUUUGAAGAGACAUUGAGAUUUUGUAUACAUGUUUGGAGUUUUAAACCUUGAAAUAUUACUCUUUUAUGAAAUUAACAUUUAUAAAAUUUGGAAGAACAUAAUUAGAUAAUAUUUUAAGUUAUUUUUAAUGAAAAUUGAUAAUUACCUUUUAAUUAUCAAAUUCACUAUUUCUAUUUAUUUUUGUAAUAUAUAUUAAUUACUAAAAUCAUUUAUUUCCUUUAUUUAGUUUGAAAGCAAUUAUAUAUCUUUUGUUUGUGUAGAGCUCAUGUGACACGACAAAUUUUAUUUUGUAACUUGCUCUGAAUGAAUGGCCAUUAUAAACUUCAUUUUAUCCUCAUCUGAUUUUGACGUGGGAAUAGGAGAGAUGAGGAUUUGACAUUUGGACCUAAGCCUCAGAGGGUUUUAACUCCACUCAACUACUUUAUGCCUUGUAUUUAAUAUUGCAAACCAAAAUAAUAACAGACAUGAUCCUUUUCAAAAAUUUUAUAAUAAUAGAAGUGUAAAUAAUAUAAGUAAAAAUAAUGUAAUAUUUUUUAAAAUGAUAAAAUAAUUGGUUAUAUAAAUUUUAAUAUAUAGGUAAAAUUAAUUAAAAUAUUUAAACAUUACAUAUCUUUUAUUUAAUAAAAUGUUAAAAUAUUAAUAUAUUUAAAAUUGUAUAAUUAUUUUUUAUUUUAAUACUAUAUAAAUUGUAUAUUUAUAAUAUUACUGGUUCAACUAUAAUUCAAUCACCGGUCCAACCAUUGAACCAUGAAUUAGUAAAUUUUUUUAUUCAAUGAUAGGUUUGAUUCUAAAAACAUUAUGUUUUAUAUAAAAAGUAUUUAAGAAAUAUCAUUAAUGGAUUAUCACUGGUUGGGUUAGGUGUAUCUGAAACAUAGGUAUUACUCUCUUUUUUAAUCGGGGCUUAGCUUUGGAAAAUACAAACAGGUAAAAUGGAUGGAAAGUCUCUCAUAUUAAGUUGAUUAAUUAAGUCAAAACGUUGUUACAACCAUGGAAGAAAAUAUCGGUAAUCACGGAUAUAUCGAUACUUCGAUUUUACGGAUAUAUCGGAUAUAUCGGAGAUAUAUCGGAUAUAUCGGAGAUAUAUCGGCGGAUAUUCUGGAAAAAAAUAUCGGUAGACUUAAAAUUGUUAAAAACUCAUGGAAAUGCAAGAAAAACCUCAUAAUAAUAUAAUUAGAAGUAUAAUUGACAUUUUAAAGUUGUUUUAUUGAAAAAUUUGAUAUAUAUAUAUGAUAUAAUUUACGAUAUUUGAUGUAAUUACAUCAUGUCGAUCUAUAAGAAAUGUUAAUUUUGUAAUUGUUCUCAUUAUAAAGUCACAUAAAAUAUUUCAUUUUAUUAAAUAUCAAUAAUUUGUACACAUUAAAUUCAUUAAAUAAACAUAUUUCAUAUUCAAAAUAUACUAUUUCAUGUUAAUUAAAUUAAUUAAAUAAUUUAGCUAAGUUAACUAGUUUAAUUUAAUUCUAAAUGUGAAAAUAAAUCACAAAUAAUCAUCUAAAAUAAACAUAUCAAUUUAUAAUUAAAUAAUCAAAUUAACCUAAGUUAAUUCAAUAAAAAUAUAAAAAUUAAUUACAAUUGAAUGUAAAAAUAAUAUUAAAUCAUCCAUAUUGCAAACAUACUAAUUAAACAAUAUAAAAUAAAUAAUGAUAUAUAUAUAUAUAUAUAUAUAUAUAUAUAUAUAUAUAUAUAUAUAUAUAUAUAUAAUUUUUUAAUAUUUAAUUAAUUAUUAAUGAUAUUAAAAACAUUAUGAAGAAAAUUAUAUAAUUUUUAUAUUUUUGGUAAUUAAUUAAAAGACUUUGCAUUUAAUUAUAAAAUAAUUAUAAUUAAUUUGCUAUUUAAAAUAUUCUUAUAUUUUCUUUAUAUAAUGAAUUUAAGUAUAUAUAUAAUUGUUGCAUAUUAUAUAUCAAGGGCAACUUAGCUCAGGUGGUAAGCGGAUGAACCCCAAACCUUUUGAUUUGGGGUUCAAAUCCUCUCAGCAGCAAGAAAAUAGAGGCACUGUAGCGCGUUGACGGGCACUGUAUUGCCGAAAUAUCGUGACAUUUUCUACUACUUCUUUGACUGCUUUAUGUGAAUUGGAGUAAUUACUUGCUCAUUGUGAAAUGUUUUCCAAUAGACUAUCAUUUAAUGGAUAACUAUGGAAGAGGAGUUUGGUUGAAAGAAAAAGAUCAAUAAAGUCAAAAUAAAUUAUUAAAACUAUUUUUUUUGAUGGAUUAUAUCAAUCUAGAUAAUGUCAAAGAUAUUACCAAUUUGAUAUCACCAAUUGAUAACACAAUUAAAAAAUAAUAUGAAUUUGAACAUAUUUCAAUUCAUUGUAAUCAUAUCCAUGACCUAAUUUUACACAUCCUUAAAUCAUGGUUGAGUUAUGAAACAAAUCUAUACCAUCAAUAGAAAAUAAAUAAAUAAAUAAAUACAAAAAAAUAUAUAGAUAGUCAAGCAUAGCAAUUUACCAAACCCUUAGCCACCAUCCAUACUAACCAGUUGUUGUUAAAUGUUUACAAAAAUAUACAUUAAAUCAAAGAGUAAAAAGAUUAAAAACAAACAAGAGAGAAGAAAUACAUCACCUAAUUUUUGUAAUAAAUGAAAUUAUAAUAAAUUCAUAAUUUUUUUAAAUUAAAAUAGAAAUUCAAAUACAUGUAACUAUUGUUUUUGUCUUGUAAAUCAUCCAAUUUUUCAAUGAAUUUAAACUCCACAGAUUUGUGUAGAUAUCUUAUUAAAAAAAGCAAAAAGUUUUCACUAAAAUCAUAAAAUUUAGAUUAGAAAUGAUUUACUAUAUUAGUUCAAAAUUCAUCUCCACAAAAAUUGAAAUAAAUUAAUUAUCUUCAAUUCAAAUAAAAUUUCUCCAAUUAAAUUUCCAAAUAUGUGCCUUAAUACCUAUAAUGUAAUUUGUAAUUUUAAUUAAAAAAUAAAUAAAAAUAAGGAUUUGAUCUUUUUCUUACCAUUUGAUGAAAAUUAUAAAAUAUAUUAAAAUUACAAGUGAUCAGACAUUUGAAAUUUGCAUCAUUUCUACCAUUGCAAACACCACCAACUCCAUAUUUCCCAUUUUUCUACCUGCUGCCAAUUCACUCAUCUCUCUAGGAAGAUUUUUGAGGUUAUCGUCAUGCUUGAGAUAAUCCAGAAAGUUGAUUUGGAAAAUUUCUUUUGUAAAAUUCCCCAUUAUCAUGCCCUAAACCAAGACAUAUCAUGAUUGGAUGGCCCCUUCACCAAUUUCACAAUAUCCAAUAGCAUAUCAUCUACUUCCAUUUUGUCAAUGGGAAUUACCAUUUUGCAUGGGAAGCACCAACGAAGAUGGGGGUUUUCAAAUUGGAUCACUAGCAAGGAAACCCACCGCAACAAUCUGAAUUAUUGAGCACAACAUCGGCUUUAGAGAACCCCUCCUGAAGGCGAAAUCGUCAUCUUGGCUAAACGUAGUCAUAGUUGGGUUGUGAGAAAUGGAGAUGAAUCACAGAAGGCUUUCAGUUUGACAGCAACGAAAAGGUAAAUGUACUCUAGAGAAGUUUUGACCUUGGGAGAAGUGCUUUUGAAUCCAAGUCAAGGUCUGUUCUGGAUCCCUUUUUGACUCUUUCUAUUAAAGGAAGAUAAUCUGCCUAGGAUUUGGAUGCAAGCCUGCAAGGCCAUGUUUAGGAGACUUAUGCAAAAUAUUUAUCCAUAGCUCCCCGCUUGAAACAUCUACAUAAAGCGUCUUCCAAGUGUGAACCAUCGUCUUGGGUCCUUGAGAUGAACCCAACUAUUUAGCAAAUUCUAGAGCUCUCAUUCCAAAUCCAUCAGUUUUCCUAGAUGAUUGGCCAGUGGAGAUCCAUGGAUAUAACAUAUGAAAUGUGCACAAUAAAAGUAACCAAACGGUUGGUUGGUUUGGCUGAAUCCCACAAUCGCAAAGACUUAUCAUACGAAACUGUUACCAACUGAGUUGAAUUUGGCAUAAAAAGGAUAUUCGUUACUACAAACUAGCGUUCUUUCGUGGUGCUCUCUUUUUGUAGGCUAUCCAUGUUCCAAAGAAAAACCCUCGUCAUGUCUGGCAUUGGGUACUGAUUAGAGUGUGGGAUGUUCAUUCUCCAUUAUCACCAAACAUAUGCAGGAUAUAUAUAUAUAUAUCCUGCAUAUGUUUGGUGAUAAUUCAAAAUAUGCCUUCAUUUUAUGGAACAUACCCGAAUCCAUUUUGUUUGUGUUGAAGAGGUGUAGAUCUUCUAAGGCUAUGAAGGGCACCACAUUUUCUAAGAAUUCUCUCUGACGAUGGGAAGUCAGAGAGAACAGGUUCUGUUUUUAUUUUGAAAACGUUGUUAUCCUUAAAGAACAAACACUAUUCUUUGGAUUUAUACCCUCCUACCUUAGGGAUCAUACCGUUUGGCUAUUGGGCCUCACGAGUCUUAGGCCCAUCAUCUAAGACCCGUGAUGGCAUUGGGCUCUACACAUAAGGUGGCCCAUACUCUAGAACGAAUAGAAAUCAUAUGUAUAUAUAUGGAUAGCUAAAUCCUGAACAAUGGUUAAUAUGAUGUCGGUCCACAUUUUUUCUAUCAAUCUCCCACUUGGACCACAUAUAUUACAAAACAAUGUUCAUGAUAGUACUUUAUUGAGCUCAUAUUUGCUAUCCUAUCCUAAUAUCCUUAAACAAUCCGGUCUACUAGUUAUGCUAACAUAGGAUCAAAGUGGCCUUCAUUAAUCAUAAUUAUAACUAGACCCAUCAAUGCUCACAACAUUAACAAAAUUAGUAACAUGGAUCAAGUAUGGAUGUGUAGCAUGGAAAUUACAUAAAAUGUGAUCUUUAUUAUGUCUAUUUCCAAUUGGUCCUACUUUAUGACUAAAAAAUAGUCAAAUUCCACUUUCAACACUUGAUGCUAAACUGCUUCUGAAAGUCAUCAUUUCAAUUCAGAGAAUUCAAAUACAAUAGUCUUUAAAAUCAAGGUUUGUACAGAUAACACAACAUAAUAUCAUAUCAAGAAAAUAAACACAAAAUCUAAAUACUAACUCCCACUAUACUAGAACAUCAUCAAUAUGUACAACACCCAUAUGUGUGACAUGCUCAUGAUAUACUUUGGGUGGCAAACCCUUAGUGAGCGGAUCCGCAAUCAUGGAGUUUGUGCUUGUGUGUUCAAUCGAUACUUGAAGACUCUGAACUCUUUCUUUCACAACCAAGAACUUGAUGUCAAUGUGUUUGGACUUUGACAAACUUCGGUUGUUCUUAGAAUUACAAUUCUGUGGCUUUAUUAUCAUAAUUUAUUCUUAAUGGUUUCUCAAUCUCAUCAAUGAUUCACAACUGAGUGACGAAAUUCCGCAGCCAUAUCCCAUGGUUUGAUGCUUUGUAGUAGGCUAUGAAUUCUGCCUCCAUGGUGAAAGAAGCAAUAAGUAUUUGUUUAACACUUUUCCAUGAAACUGUUCAUCCAACCAACAUGAAAAUGUAGCCUGAAGUGGAUCUCCUGCUGUCAAGACACCCCGCAAAAAUGGAGUCCGAAUAUCCCAUGAUCUCUAAAUGACUAGAUCUACGGUAUGUGAGCAUAUAAUCUUUAGUUCUUUGUAAAUAACGCAUAACCUAUUUUGCCUUUUUCCAAUGAUCCAUACCUAGGUUACUCGAAUAUUUGCCUAACAUUCCAAUAAUGUACGCAAUAUCCGGACGUGUACAAACUUGUGCAUACAUGAGACUUCCUAUUGCUGAGGCAUAGGGAAACCUCUUCAUAUCCUUCUUUUUAAGUUCAUUUUUCGGACAUUGGUGCAAACUAAAUUUAUCGCCUUUUGCUACAAGCAUGUCUCCUGGUGCACAAUUGCUCAUGCCAAAUCUACUCAACACCUUAUCGAUGUAGGCCUUUUGUGAUAAUCCAAGUAAAACGAUCCCUAUAGAUCUGUAUACCCAACAAAAAAGAUGCAUUACCAAGAUCCUUCAUGUCAAAUUUACUAGACAAAAAUCGUUUGGUUUCAUGCAAAAGUCCCACAUCACUACUUGCAAGUAGAAUAUCAUCAACAUAUAGCACCAAGAUACUGAAUUUGCUCCCACUGAACUUGAGAUAUAUGCAUUGAUCAAUGGUGUUUUCCUUAAAACCAAAUGAAGUAAUCAUCUGAUCAAACUUUUGGUACCAUUGUUAAGAUGCUUGCCUUAAACCAUAUAUGGACCUUUUUAAUCUGCAUGCAAGUUGCUUUGAAUCAUUAGACUCAAAGUUCUCCAGUUGCAUCAUGAAUAUUGUUUCAUCAAUGUUACCAUUAAGAAACGCAGUUUUAACGUCCAUUUGAUGCAGCUCUAAAUCAUAAUGAGCCACAAGUGUCAUGAUGAUUCUAAAUGAGUCAUUUGAUGAAACCGGUGAAAAGGUCUUGUAGACCCUCAAUUUUGUCCAUUUAGCACAUGUCUUUAAAUUCACAUCCAGUGCUCCACGGUAGUUCCUUGGUGGCCCAUUACUACUCAUAUGGCUUACCUUUUUUUAAGUCACCUCGGAGACUUUGGUUGAGGGAUUAUCUGACCCCUUAUUGUGAUCCUUGGCAAUCCUAAUUUAGAUUGGGCUUGAAUUAGAUACACUUAGCCCAUUUAGGCACCUUAGGCCCACUUAGGCAUCUUAGGCCCGUUUAGAUACACUUGGCCCACUUAGGCUCACUUAGACCCACUUAGGUCAUCUUUUAAAUAUUUUUUUUACAUAUUUGCAUGAUUGCAUUUUUUUGUAUGACUUGCACGGUUGCAUGGCUCAUGGGGCCUAAUUUUUGUUAAUUUGUUUGUUUUAUUUUUAGUUUUAGUUUUAUCAUUAUCAAUCACUCGUUUAUUUAUUUAUUUAUUUUAUUUGUUAUCUCAUUCUUUAUAUUAUUUUCCUUAAUUUAUUUAUUUAUUAUUGUUUUAUUGUUUUCUAAUUUGUUUGCUUAUUUAGUUAUUCAUUCAAUUAUAUAAUUUCAAAAAUUUCAUGUUUUUGCAAGGAAACUUACCAUUGGAGACUAAGGAAAGCGGGACUCUCCUUGGAAAGUUUUGGAGGGGAAUUUGAAGUUGGGAAGAUUGCUUUUGAAUUAGAAGAUUUAGAAAAAGGGAAAAAGGAAGAAGAGAAGAAGAAUGGAAAUAGGGGAAUUUUCUUUUUUUUUGGAAACAAAUUUAGGUCUUGAGGGAUGAUAUAUAUAUGUGAGAAAAGAAAGAGAAAGGGGGAGUGAACAAGCACGCAUUGGAGGAUUGGGAGAAAUUCUGGGAAAAGGUGGAGAGACGUAUUGGAGGCAUUGGAGGAAACCAUUUAAGAGGAGAAGAAGAAAGAAGCACAGAAAAACCAGUGGAGAUUUUCUGAGGAUAGAAACCAGUGCAGAUUUUUUUUUUUUCGUCAAAAGGAAGCAUUCCCAGGUAUGUCUACUGUAGAUUCCUUCUUCAUUCCCAUUAUCCUUUUGUUAUGUACUAAUCUUUGCCGGGUUUUGAGUCUUGCUUGGAUGCUAGGGGGGCAGAAUGACGGAGGUCACAUGUUUGUCUACAUUGAUACUUGCUUCUAUAGAUGUUAUUGAUUUAUCCCUUAGGAGUUCUCUAAUUUUGAUUUAGUGUUGCUAGGUUCCAUUUAUUAUUAUUUCCUGUGCAUUACAUGAGAACUGUGGUUGUAUUCGUUUGUUGGAAUCUGCUCGUACUUAUCCCAUCAUUCCAAACCCAUUGAACCUAACAUGAAAUGGGUUUUCAUUUAAUGGAUCACUUAUUUGUUCAUCCAUUUUUUUUUAUCAAACUCUAUUUUGGCGGGGUUGUUUUUCUACAGUUGAGCAUGCUUCAAAUUGCUCUGUUUUGCUUCCCGGGUGUGUCUUCCUAUAUUUAUGAAUGAAUAAGGUAUAGAUUUGUGGGCUUAUGAGCUGUAAAGGUGAUUUCAGUGGGGUUGAGAUUCUGGGUCCACAAGAAAAAAAUAGAAUAGCAGAAGAGAAAAAUCUGUAAGAGAGUUGGGAAGUCCAGAGUAGUGCAAAUCCUCUUGGGCGUCUUUGGUUCAGAAAUAUCAGAAAAGUUAGAAGGAUGAGAAAAACAAGAAAGAUUGUUUGCCUUUGAACUUUUGAUUGCUUAAAGAUGUUUGACAAUGACCACUGUAAACAACCUGCUACUUUAAUGGUUGUGAUAUUUGAAUGUCAGUAUGAAGAUGUGAUUGGGGUGAAAGUGCUGAAAUCAGAGCUCAGGAGAAGAUCAUUGACUAUUGAGUCUGAUAUGGAAUACAAUUGAAAUGCCAACAUUGAGAUAUUUGGAAGAAGGGGUCUUGCUCCAGGAGUUAGACUUGGUGGGGUGGUUGGUGACUCACUUACCAGAGUUGUAGGAAUGCAAGCAGAUGCACUUUUGUUUGCAGAGGCCAGAAAAUAGGGUUUUGAUUCUUUGGAAAGAGAAGAUGACAAAUAUUUGGAAAGAUUUAAAUUGUUUCAGUUGGAAGCUACUGAAUUUUACCAAGUCUUGAUCAAGAAAAUAAGAAGAUGUAGUGGGCGUCCAGAGGAGCCAUUGUUUUAAUGAAAGUCAGAGUUCUAUAGUUCUAUUCUACCAAUAAAAGUGCAUGAUUUUUGUUUGUCUUAAGGAUCUUGCUAGGUGCAGAGAGCUCUAUAACAAACCUGAUGUUCAGAGUCGCAAUUGGUCAAUUGCUGCUACCUGUUAUAGAGAAGUAACAAUAAUUUGGCACUGGUGCAACUGAAAGAAGAGUACAUGAGGAAAUUCCCUUUCUGGAAUGAUCCAUAUGUUCUAGUGAGCUUGCUUUCUGCUAGCCGACUGCGUGGAGAUGUUGUAAUUGGGGAGUGUUUGGCUAAAUGGCUUCUAAAACUUCAGCUUGUGACUACUUCUCCUUAUGUAUUAUUAUCAAACUUGUAUGCUUCAGAUAGGAAGUGGGCAGAUUUAAAGAACCUGUCAUCAGCGGAUAACAACUUCUCUGACUCAACUUUAGACUCAAUUUCGGGGUUAGAAUCAAUCAAGUCUUUAGAUUUAAGUCGCAACCCCUUUUCUGGUGAUAUGGCAGCAUCAUCGACAAAACUGACUAAUUUGGUAUCCCUUAAUUUAUCGUUAAAUGAGUUCGAAAGUAAAAUUCCAAAAGGUCUCGAGCUGUUUUCAAAACUUGAAAUUCUUGACUCGCAUAGGAAUAUGCUCAGUGGACUUCCAGACGAGGAAUUCUUGUAAUUUUCAGGUGCCAUUCGUGUUGACUUUAGUGGGUGCUAGCAGAGUACUAUCUAUGUUAUUCAUUAUAGCAGAUUCUUAACAUCCACAUUUAUUUAGGAAUAGAUGCUUCAGUUUGGAUGAUAAACAGAUUACAGAUUUAAGGCAUUCUAUUGAUAAGAUUCUAAGUGACAAGUCUUCUUGGAAUGAAGAUCUCUUUGUUGCUACAGUCAAAUUGCUUACUUCUGCUGCAGUUGAUCAGCCUGUUUUUUCUUGUCACCAUAAUUUCAGCCAAAGACAAUCUAGGUUUGAUGCAGCCAAUAAAUGAAGCUUCUUUUGGAAUAUUGGGGUCUGUCAAAGCAAGUUUGGUAGAUGCACUCUUGCAAGUUAUUGAAAGAUUUCAAUGAUCUUAUCAAAUAGCAAUCCCCGUUUACUACUGAAUGUGCUUGACUUACUGAAAACAUUGUGGCAAGGGGCUGCUCAAUAUGCAGAUAUUUUGGAAUGGCUGAAAAACUCUGAAAAGUUCUGAAAACUAUUUUUGUAACUCUAUUUCUCUAAUUGUUAGAAUGAAAGCUCCCCUGCCUGAGAAUCUAACCAAAAUGGAGGCUCUAAGCUUGGCAUACAAAUACCAGUGUCAAACAGCUGUAUUGGAAAUAAUGGCAGAAGUCUUGUUCCUGUGGAAGAAGUUACUGCAUGCUGAAUUUCUUGAAAUGCUUGCAAAUCUGCACAGUUCACCAAUUGAGCCUAGGAAUUCUGAUAUAUCUUCAGGAAUGGAUGACGAGUCCAAUAAUAGUGAGAUGCUCGCAGCUACUAACAUCCACCCUGGACAAGAUUCAUGGAGAAAAUUGGAAGUUGAAUACAAGGAAUUGCCGCAAGUGCACAAUGGUACAUUGCAGCAGAGCAUCUCUGUCGAUGCAAAACUAAUCAAAGAGGAUGUAAUUAGCUUAGUAGAUAAGGAAAGAAGGCAAGCUCUACAGACACCACAAGUGGUUAUGAACAUGCUCGAUGCGACUAUGCCUGGUACUCUAAUGGAAGAACAUAAGAAGAAGGUCCUGGCUGCCGCAGGACAAGGAGAAACAGUUAUGUAAACUUUGUGUGAUGUUGUCCCAGGGGAUAUUUGUGGAAAGCUUUCUACUGUUGUUUCUAGAAUUUUGGCAUACUCAAGGCGUAAAUUUAAACUUUGAGGGUCUUCUGAUGAUUGACCAGACUCCUAAUGUUUCGUCAGGAUUGAAAUCUAAGAUCCAAAAAGAAAUUGGAAUAACAUCAAGUGAAGAAGGUGGGACCGAAAGCUAGGAUACAGUUGAAGAUUACAAAGGUAUAGUUCUUGGAGGUUCCGAAGCCGCCAAACACUCCUUGGAGAAAUUAGGGAAAAUAUCAGAUGGAAGUUCUUGCUCCGGUGUAGAGAAUUCUUGUAAUCAUUCACAGAGAAUCGGUGGUCAAAUUAUAAGUGACUCGGAUGAAGAAGUGGACAUUGAUGAAUAAGGAGGUGGAAAUGAGUUAUUUGAUUUUGCUGCACUGGCUGCUCUCACGAAAAUAGUAGCAAGUGCAAGUUCCGAUAGUGGUAGUAUCACAAUAACCUCUCCAAAGGGAUCCAAGCUUCUCUCUGAUUGCCCCCCCUGCUGGAUUGGGAUCUACAAACCAGUCUCUAAGACCUGCUCCCCAACAAAACCUGUCCAAUCUUUUUACCCAUUUUCCAAUCUUGCAGGGAGGCAAACUGGUGAAGAAUUUAAUCUUGAUAUUGCAGAGAGAGUUGUUUGUGAUCUUAACACUACUGAAGCGUUUCCAAGUGUGUUAGAUCUAAAAUGCAGCCUGAAGUUCUCUGGCCAACUAAACUCGAGCCACUUGAUCGCCAGAUUGUCGAAGAACAAAUCCAGUUCAGUUCUUUCCUUUUACUGGUUUUCUGGCUCAUCCCUACCUCAUGAAUACACCCAGUUAGGCAGUGUUAUUAAAGUACCAAGGGACCUUAUUGAUCCCUACAUCCUGGUUAGCAUCCUUGCUUACGGGCAAUCCUGAACAUGGUGCGCAGCUGUACUGAUAAUCCGUCAUCUGAUAAGUCUUGGAGAUGUUCCCUGCUGCUAUUGCAUUCAGAAAACUCAGAUUGCAUAAGGAAGCUUGCUGAAAGUAUCUCAUAAAUGCUACAACAAAGGACAACUAAAAGGCAAUUUCCCAAGACUUAAUGCCUCAUUUCUGAAACCUGCAAGGGGAGAUGAAGUAUUAUCCAAAGAACCUAAAUGACGAUAUGGAGCUUCAUUAAAAUCUGUCCAGAGAAUUCAAACAGAUCAAUGAAGAGCUGUCUCUAAAGUCAUUCAUGAAAUCGAAAGGACAAAGCCGCGUCAAAAGCUGUUGCUGCUCGCGGUCUUGGACGCAAUGCAAAGAUUGGUUCUGGGAGGGGUCUCAGUGUUGUAGCUAUGGCAACAUCUGCGCAAAGAAAGGAAAUGACAAAUUCGAACAUGAAAUGGAAGUAGGGAUCUUCGCCAAGGUUCAUACUGAGAGAAUGGUUUCAUCUUCAAGAUUUGGAAUCCCAUCAAGACCUCUUGCCAAAUGUUCUCCUCAUGUUUGUUUUCGUUUGCUAUUAUAGUUACCUACGGUGUCGGAUUUCAUUCGAAUUUUUCAGACAAGUCUCCGCAUUCAGCCCAUGGAAAUGACAACCAGAAUUCCAAAACAACAGCGAUCAGACCAGUUCCCAGAUUCCAAUUGUUGGAUAUGUUGGUCAGCCAUAUGGAGCCCCGUCACUACCAAUCUCCCCUCUCUAAUAUCUGUAGCUGAAUUAGCAUCACCAGCUUCAUACGAUUGGCAUCUGGUCUACCUCUUUCAUUAUACUUUCCUCAGAAUUUGUUUUCCAGACAGCAAUGGCAGGUUCCAAUUUGGAACCCAAUAGCUAAAUAGAACCCACCUGGUAGUAAAGGUCAGCAAGCAGGGCUUCAAAACAGAGAAAAUCGGAAGUGAGGAGACCAAAAUCUUGUGCAAUAAGUAAAGAACACUUCAAAUGCCAUAUCCUUUUUCAUUAGAUGCAGAAGGAGGACUCUCUCUGGGUAGGAAUUGUAAUGAUAUGGAAAGGAUGGGAAGUCAUGAUACAAAGCUGUUUUAUCGUUUUAGCUUGGGAAUUGACAACUUCAUCUUCAAACGGUGGAAUUCCAUGAAUAAGGAGCUUUAAGACAUGCCAACAAAUUGCCAAGGAAUAGUCAACUUCUUCACCCAACAGUGAAACUAAAAGUGGAAAGAGCAGAGUAGCAUUGUUUUUUUUGGACCUUUUAUGAUCAUCAUGCAGAAAAAAAACAGCUCAGUAGCUGAAGUUGAGUAUAUUGGCAAACCUGAGAAUGCACUUCCAACCGAUGGAACUGAACAGCAGCAUAAGAAAUCUGAUUUGGAGUUAAGACCUACUACCACAUUACAAGCUCUAGUUGAUGAUUCAAAUUGUGAUCUCGAGAAACUAAAGUUGAAUCCAAACGACAUUGCUGAUGAAAUCAUGUAUCAAACCCUAUGAGCUUUGACUCUGAAAUGAAUAUGGACAGUUCGUUUCCAGUCACGCCAGCAGUAUACGGAGAUCUCUUCACACAACCACCAGCAACGUAGUCACAGCCAAACCCCCAAACCCCCAAACCCCAUUCUCCAUGACCGAUCUGGUGCACACUACUCUUUUCCUUUCACACCCCUCUUGCUUUCCUCGUGAUUUUAUGUGUCUUGAAUUGUGUUUUCAAAAAUUGUUUUCAUCCAAAUAAAUCUAAUUUUAGAUAAUCAUCUUUAGACCUUCUCUAGGCAUUGAAAUCUAAAUUUCAACACCCUUUUGCUGCCAUUUUCCUUCCGGCAUGCGUCUUCACUAUUUUAUUUGAUUUUCAACUAAUUUUCUUGAUUUUCAACAAGCAUGAACAAACUUCAUGAUUCCAAACAAUGGAAUUCAUUGAAUUGACUCAUGCAAAAUCAACUAGGGCUUUGGUGGGGGCCCGACAUUCAUAACACUCACUUCAAUACUGUUUACUUGAUAUGUUGAUUUUUGAUUCUUCUUGAUGAAAUACUUGAAUUCACUUAAUAUUUAUUGUUGAGAUGCUCUCGUUUCCCAUAGAGGAGUACUAGCUUGCUAUCCAGGUACGCUCUCUUCUCAUCUAUUUUUUUAGAACUCUAUGGACUUGUAUGUCAUUGAUGACCAUAUCCAUAUUUGAUGUGAUUCUUGAAUCUCUUGAUAUAUGCCUGAUUUGCUUGAAUAAAACAAAUGUUGUGUGAUGUAUCUCCAAACUAAUCUCUUAUGUUUUAUGAUAGCGCUUGGGAAGCCGUCCAGGUACGCAUUUUUAACUCUUCUUAAUUGUGAUCUGAUCUUGUUUGAUAUGUUAUGUUUUUGGAAUCACCUAGCCUACUUAGGUAUCCAUGAUCAACCAUUUAAUUGCCACGCUUCCCUUAACUUAGUCAGUAGAGACCUCUUUAGGGCUUAGAGGGGUGCUACCUCCUAGAGGUACCUUUCCAAUAAGUAACCUGAUCCCCGGACCUAAACUUGGGUUUCUCAAAGACAUGCUUUUUCCAAAACUAGAGAGUCACUUUUUAGGGUUUUUCUUUCUUGUUUUAUUUUCCCUUUAAAAUAAAAAUAAAAUAGGUGGCGACUCCAACUUUUUUUCCAAAAAUAAUAAAAAGCGAGUCUCGCCGAUCGAGUGGGGGCGCACGUGAAAAAUGCGGGUCCACAAAUUGGCGACUCCGCUGGUGAUUUUGAGGAUCAAGCUUGAACACUAGUUAAGGAAAAUGUGGCGUUUAAUUGGUCGAUUAGUGGGUACCUCUUUUUUUUAGGCAAGGUGAUUCGAUUUGCUUGCUUGUUUGGUUUGCUAUCUUAACAUGUUUGAUUGCCUUGGAUGAUCACUUGAUUGUUUUGCUCACUUUAGCAUGAUUCACUAUCACAUAUGUUAGAUAGGACUUUGUUUGUUUGAUAUUUAUUUGCUUCGCAUGACUGUUUGAAUGAUCACUUGAUUGUUUUGCUCACUUUAGCAUGAUUCACUCUCACAUAUGAUAGAUAGGACUUUGAUUGUUUGAUAUUUAUCUGCUUCACAUGACUGCUUGUUGCAUGACAACCCUUUCUCUUGCAUGUUCGUAUGAUUGCUUGUCUUCAUUCACUAUUUCACUUUAGAUCUUAGGUUUUUUUCGGAUGCACCCACAUCCUUCAUUGUGCACUUUAGAUUAUCCUUGAGUGUUGAGAGAUGGGAGAGCCUUCACCAUUAAGAAACCCCCUGAGAACGCGAGGAAGUGCAUGUGUAGAGGUGAUGACCACCUUGCAUGGAAGCACCCCAUCUCUUUGGAGGCAUGCAGAGGGUUGCGUACCGCCGGAGGGUACGAUCGCUUCUGCUAGGGAUCCUUUGACCCACCCAUUUUACCCUAUAGAACCACCUCAACCUUGUAGGUUAGCCUAGACCCAAUUAAGAUCUCAUUCCUACACGUGGGUGCAUCUGUGGACCUUCAGAACUGCCUUGGUCACAAUUGGAUUCGGUUAUCCCUUCCUUAGUCUCCUUUUGGUGUAAUCAGAGGAGGGUAUCAGAUUGAGUACAUUUGGGCUAUUCUCUUGCACACUUAUCAGCUGAUUCAUACAGAGUCACUUUCGUAUCGCAACUUAUCCAGUGUUUCCAUACUUGUAGGAGAGUUUACCGUGACCAGUCUGGAUUCACCUUCGUGGAUUAGAGUUAGAGGCAGAUUGACCAGAGCAUCAGAUCAGUCAGACCGGAAAUCAGAUCAGGGGGAUAUGGAUUCUCAGAUAGUUAUCGUUGACCAGUUUGCUGCAGCCAUGGCUUCGAUCCAAGAGGCUAUAGCUAGCCUUGGCCAGAGGAUAGAUGGGCAGCAGGCCCGACAGGUCCCAGUUCAGGAGGAUAUCCAGUUUGAUACCACAGUACCACCGCCACCUCCGCACAGUCAGCCAGCACCACAGACUAUACCUUUUACUCUGCAUAGUCAGACUGAGGUUGCACCACCUCCUGCCAUAGUGCCUACUCCGAUCUCAGAGGACCCACAUGCUCGUAUGGAUAAACUUGAGCAGAAGUUGAGACAGAUGAGGACUUCAGAGGGAACUAUUACUUGGGAGGAUUUUGAUGGAGCACCAGUGGCCAGUCUACCGGCCAAGUUCAGGAUGCCUGAGAUUGAGAGAUACAUAGGCAUAGGAUGCCCUCACAUCCAUUUGAGACUCUAUAGUACUGUUAUGAGGGCCCAUGGACUGGAUGAUGCCCAGAUGGUUAUGCUCUUCCCUAUGUCAUUGAGUGGAGCUGCACAGCGUUGGUUCGCUUCAUUGGAGGUAUCACGCCGUAGGACUUGGGAUGACUUAGCCCAGGAGUUUUUGAGACAGUUUGCAUUUAACACUAUCAUUGAUGUUUCGAGGAGAGAGUUGGAGGCUUUGAGACAGAGGCCGGAGGAGUCAAUCACUUCAUUUAUCUCCCGCUGGAGGGAGAAGAUUUCACAGAUUAUAGACCGUCAUUCAGAGAGAGAUCAGAUUAGCAUGAUCAUGAGGAGCUUGCAGCCUAGAUUUGCGAGACGCUUGAUGGGAUUUCCCCAUACGGAUUUCGGAUCUUUGGUACAGGCUUUGUAUGGUAUAGAGGAGGGCAUUGCUAGAGGAUUAUGGUCUGAGUCUUCCCCUACUGAUUCUAAGGGGAAGAGGCCUUUAGGAGGACAGAGAUCAGGAGAUGUUGGUGCUAUCAGUUCAGUAGGGAUGAGACCUUCUAGACGCUAUCAGACAGUUGGGCAGACUCCUGGGUACUACUAUCCACCUUCACCUCAUGCGCAUUACAGACUACCUACUCCUUCCAGACCUAUGACUCCUACUUAUCUGCAUCCGGACUUACAGCCUGUUUUUGCUGCACACGUCGCAGAGAGGUCUCCUGCCCCAUAUACUCGACCCCGAGCUCCACAGACCACUACUUAUGUGCAGAGGCCACCACGUCAGUUUGCUCAGUUGGAUAUGCCUUUGAGUCGAGCUUUUCAGAAGCUCACAGAUGGUGGAUUACUAAUUCCAUUAGCAUCCAGGACUUUACCCCAACCCAUACCACCUCGCUUCAGGAUGGACUUACAUUGUUCCUACUAUCAGGGACCAGGGCAUGACACGGACCAUUGCACUGCUUUGAGACAUGCUAUUCAGGAUUUGAUAGAUCAGGGUUUGGUCAACUUGGGGCAGCCAAGUGUGACCACCAACCCUCUUCCUACUCAUUCCACACGCGCAGUGCAUCCAUCUUCAGGAGAUAUUCAUCACAUGGACCUUAUAGAGGGUUGACAGUAUACACAUGUUGAGUUGGGAUGAUGGAUUACCCGAGCCUAUUGUUCUACAUGACAGUUAUGAGGUCGAUGGGGUUUCAGUGGUCCCUCAAACUCCUGCACCAUUUAGUUUGAUCCCGGACGAGGCACCAUUCCAGUUGACUCAUCUUACACCUUUAGUUAUCGGAUGUCAGGAUGCUUUUGUCCCAUUCACUUUAUGGCCUGAGGAUGAUGAUUCAGUAGGGAGAGAGAUACAGAUUGUGACUCGUAGUGGGAGGAUAGCUCAGCCACCACCACCAGCAGUCAGACCAUUUGAGGGUACAGCCUCUCAUGAGGAGGUUAGGAGAGAGGAUGAUGAGGUUUUGAGACAGCUACAGAGCACUCAGGCUCGCAUUUCCAUCUGGAGUUUAUUAGCAUCAUCCAGUACUCAUAGAGAUGCUUUGAUUCGAGCCUUGAGUCAGAUCAGAGUAGAGACUACCACCACUCCAAAGGGAUUGAUUCAUAUGAUGACGGCUAGCAGGGCCACUUGCAUUGUAUUUUCAGAUGAUGACUUGCCACCUGAUGGUUUAGACCACGUGCACCCUCUAUACAUCACAGUUGGAUGUUCAGGCCGUAGAGUCCCGUCUGUCCUACUGGACAACGGCUCAGCCCUGAAUGUUUGCCCUUUAGCCACUGCUAUAGCCCUUGGUUUCGCGCCUUCAGAUUUUGGUCCUUCUACUCAGACAGUCAGGGCGUAUGAUAGCACCAAAAGGGAGGUUAUGGGUACCUUGAUGAUUGAUUUGCAGAUUGGUCCAACCAUAUUUUCCACUUUGUUCCAGGUUUUGAGGAUUCCUACAUCCUUUAACCUACUACUAGGCCGACCAUGGAUUCAUGUACCUGGAGCUAUUCCUUCUUCCCUUCAUCAGAAGGUGAAGUUUAUUCAUGAUGGGCAGGUCAUCACAGUUCGCUCUACCAGGGAUAUAUUUGCCGCUUCUGAGCCAGUACUUCAGAUCAGUCACAGUGAGGACGACCUACUUCUGACUGGGUUUACUUUUGAUGAGAUAUAGACUCUCAAGAUUGAGGAUUUUUGUAGAGACUUUGUGGCUAUGUCAUUUGAUCAGCACAGUAGCACAGUGGUCCUUGAUAUGAUGAGGGGUAUGACCUUUCUACCUGGCAUGGGGUUAGGACGACGUCAGCAGGGACCGAGCGAGUUCAUAGCUGGCAUGGACCAUGAUACGACAUUUGGACUUGGAUUCAUCCCUACUGAGGCCGAUUACCGUCACAUGGCGCGGCUACGCAAGAAGAAGGUGAGAGCCCGUUUAUCCCGCACACCAUUUGAUUAUCCUAUUCAACCCUAUAGGAUGAGUUUGGCUGACCACUUUGUCAGAGGAUCAGAGACUCGACCUCGUCUAGAGGGGAUUGAUAGUGUGGUUCAUACAGAUAGAGAGACUGACCUUCAACAUCUAUUUCACCAGCUACAGUUGAGUGAUGGGGCUCCCGACUCUUUUUUCCCUUUGACGAUUACUCCCACAUCUCCAGAUCGAGCUAGCAUGUUGUCUCUAUGCUUUCCAGAGGAAAUCACUGGUGAUGGGGUGAUUGUUGAUCCUACUGAGGUGAUUGAUGGAGUUGUUCCCCAUGAUGAGUACCGUGAUGAGAUGGACAUGAUGACCGUGAGCCAGAUUACUGGCAUUGUUCAGCUUCAGCCUGUUUCAGCAUUUGAUAUGUUUGGGGUGUCUACCAUUGAGGUUUUUGAGGGGACUCAGACUCUUCCUGUUCCAGAGCUUCUAGAGGAUGAUAGUUGUUUGUUUGAGGGCAUUAUUAGCCCAGUUGAGGGAGCGUCCGACCUUGUGGACCCACCUCUUUCUUUUGAUGUUUUAUCGGGAUUUGUCUCCCGCUCUAACGAUGUUUCUGUUGCUUCAUUUAUGGAUUUGAGCAUUUUUUAGUAUUCGCCUGUCUCUUGUGAUAGUAUCUUUAUAUCUGCACCCCACCUACCCACUUCACAGAUAUUUGAUAUAGAUGAUGAGAUUGCACAGCCCAGUUCGGAUAGGGACUCUUUGGAUCAUGACUCUGGUCCCAUAGAUGAGAGAGUUUCACCUGCUGUAGGGGACAUUGAGAUUGUUGAUUUUGGCACAGAGGAUCAGCCUAGAGAGCUGAAGAUUGGUUCACCCCUAUCUACAGAUGAGAGAGAUAGACUCAUCCAUUUACUUAGGUCAUACUUGGAUGUCUUUGCAUGGUCUUAUGAGGACAUGCCAGGUGUUGAUCCCUCUAUAGUCCAACACCAUUUACCUACCCUACCACAUGCUAGACCAGUUAAGCAGAAAUUGAGACGGUUGCAUCCACGUUGGAGUCUACAGGUAAAAGAGGAGAUUCAGAAACAACUCAGUGUUGGAUUCAUAUCAGUAGUUGAGUAUCCAGAGUGGUUGGCUAAUGUCGUCCCUGUUCCUAAAAAGGAUGGCAAAGUUAGGGUUUGUGUUGACUUCAGAGAUCUCAAUAAAGCCAGCCCUAAAGAUGACUUUCCCCUUCCACACAUUGAUUUGUUGGUUGAUGGCACCGCAGGCCAUUCGAUGUUGUCUUUCAUGGAUGGGUUUUCAGGGUAUAAUCAGAUUUUGAUGGCUCCAGAGGAUAUGGAGAAGACAACCUUUAUUACUGAGUGGGGUACCUACUGUUACAGAGUUAUGCCAUUUGGGUUGAAGAAUGCAGGAGCCACUUAUCAGAGAGCCGCUACCACUUUGUUUCAUGACAUGAUGCAUAGGGAUGUCGAGGUUUACGUGGAUGAUAUGAUUGUGAAAUCCCGAGGUAGAGCAGAUCACCUAGAUGCUUUAGAGAGAUUCUUUAAGAGGAUCCGGAAGUUUAGAUUGAGGUUGAAUCCUAAGAAGUGCACCUUUGGAGUGACUUCUGGGAAAUUAUUGGGGCAUAUGGUCAGUGAGCGAGGCAUAGAGGUCGACCCAGAUAAAAUCAAAGCCAUAUUUGACAUGCCUGCACCAAAGACUGAGAAAGAGAUUAGAGGUUUUUUGGGCAGAUUACAGUACAUUAGUCGGUUCAUAGCCAGAUUGACAGACAUAUGUGAGCCUAUCUUUCGUCUUUUGAGGAAGAACCAACCAACAAUUUGGAAUGACGACUGUCAGUUUGCAUUUGAGAAGAUCAAGGAGUAUUUGCUUUCUCCUCCUGUUUUAGUGCCUCCUACGCCAGGACGUCCACUUCUUCUAUAUUUGUCAGUUUCAGACAUGGCCUUGGGAUGUAUGUUAGCUCAGAUUAAUGACUCAGGGAAGGAACGGGCUAUUUACUACUUGAGUAAGAGGAUGCUGGAGUAUGAAGUGAAAUAUGUUAUGAUUGAGUGCCUAUGCUUAGCACUAGUUUGGGCUACCAGGAGGUUGAGGCAUUACAUGACAGAGUACUCAGUACAUUUGAUAUCCCGCCUGGACUCGUUGAGAUACUUGUUUGAUAGACCUGCAUUGACUGGUAGAUUGAUGAGAUGGCUUGUACUUUUGACAGAGUUCGAUAUUCAGUAUGUUUCUCAGAAGUCUAUUAAGGGAAGUACUGUCGCUGAUCACUUAGCCUCACUACCGACAUAUGAGGAUAGACCAAUUGAUGAUGAUUUUCCAGAUGAGGAGUUUGUUGCUAUAACCAGCUUAUCAGAAUGGUGCAUGUACUUCGAUGGUGCAGCCAAUCAGUCAGGGUAUGGGAUAGGUGUUCUAUUGGUAUCCCCUCAGGGUGAUCAUAUUCCGAGGUCCGUUCGUUUGGCAUUCUCUAAUUGACAUCCUACCACGAAUAACAUAGUUGAGUAUGAGGCUUGUAUCCUUGGUUUAGAGACUGCAUUGGAGCUUGACAUUAGACAGAUAGAGGUAUUUGGUGACUCCAAUCUGAUACUCAGGAAGAUUCAGGGGGAUUGGAAUACUAGGGACGUGAAGCUUAGACCAUAUCAUGCAUAUUUAGAGUUAUUGGUUGUGAGAUUUGACGACUUGAGAUAUGUUCAUCUGCCUAGAGCGCAGAACCGAUUUGCUGACGCCUUAGCUACUUUAGCUUUCUCCAUGGACAUUCCGAUUGAUGUAGUCAUAUGUCCAUUAUUGAUUGAGUUGAGGCUUGUACUCGCCUAUUGUUGUUUGAUUGGAGAGACAGAGGUCCAGGAUGACCUACCUUGGUAUCAUGAAAUUUAUCAGUUUCUUAGAUCUGGCACAUACCCUGAGGUAGCCACUGCCAAGGAUCGGAGAGCACUAAGGAAUUUGGCCACUAGAUUUGUGAUUUGUGGAGAUACCUUGUACAGACGAUCAGCUGAUGGUAUGCUUCUAUUGUGUUUAGAUCGAGCCUCUGCAGAUCGAGUGAUGAGAGAGGUUCAUUCAGGAGUUUAUGGUCCGCAUAUGGGAGGACACAUGCUAGCCCUUAAGAUUAUGAGGACGGACUAUUUCUGGUUGACUAUGGAGACAGAUUGUUGUCAGUUUGUCCAGAAAUGCCCAGAGUGUCAGAUUCAUGGUGAUCUCAUUCAUGUACCGCCAUCAGAGUUACACGCUUUGACCUCGCCAUGGCCAUUUUCAGUAUGGGGUAUUGAUAUUAUUUAGAAGGUUUCACCAAAAUCUUCCAGUGGUCAUGAGUUCAUCCUAGUUGCCAUAGAUUAUUUCACCAAGUGGGUGGAAGCCGCAUCAUAUGCGAGGUUGACAUCUGCUAGGGUUGCCAGUUUUAUCAGAUCACACAUCAUUUGCCGCUAUGGGGUUCCUCAUGAGUUGAUUUCCGACAGAGGGGUGCACUUCCGAGCUGAGGUAGAUACUUUGUUGCAGAAGUAUGCCAUCCGACAUCAUAGAUCUUCAGCAUAUAGGCCACAGACCAACGGGGCAGUAGAGGCUGCAAACAAGAAUAUUAAGAGGAUUUUGAGGAAAAUGGUUGAGACUUCUCGAGAUUGGUCAGAGAAGCUUCCUUUUGCGUUGUGGGCAUAUCGUACAUCUUUUCGUACUUCUACAGGAGCUACGCCUUACUCUCUAGUGUAUGGUAUGGAGGCUGUUUUGCGAGUCGAGACAGAGAUGGGUUCAUUGAGAGUAGCCAUUGAGCAGCAGAUUUCUGAGACAGAGUGGGCUCAGGCUCGAUUUGAUCAGCUUAACCUUUUAGAUGAGAGGAGAUUGAGAGCGGCAGAUCAUGUUCAGGCCUAUCAGAGAAAGAUGGCUCGUGCCUUCAAGAAACGGGUUAAGCCUAGACCAUUGCAAAAAGGGGACUUAGUUUUGAGGAUUCUCAGAGGUUUGAUUGGAGACCCUAGAGGAAAGUUUAGACCUAGUUGGAGUGGGCCUUAUGUUAUCCGAGAGUUGACUCUAGAAGGGGCUGCAUGGUUGACAGACUUAGAUGGAAACCAAUUUUCAGAGCCUACCAACGUGGAUCAGCUAAAGAAGUAUUAUGUUUGAGACCGUGGUCGCAGGAUGGGUGGCCAUCAUUUCGGUUAGCCUCAUACUUUAUCACCUCUAUAUAUUAGACCGUUGCUAGCCCAUUGAGCUUCGCAUGGUAUGUUAUAGCCUUAUUUCUUUCUUAUAGCUUUGAUUACCAUUUCUACACCCGGGUUGGGGCCCUUUGAUGUAUAUGCAUGUUUUGCUAGGAAAGUCUCAUGAGCUUUAGACUUAUAGGUCUAUCUUCUCAUUUUGUUACCAUCCUCUUAUCACCCUAUUUGUUCUAUUUUAUUAUCAUCAUAUAUUCAUUCUCUUUCUUGUCUCUAUCAUUAUUUGCUUCAUCUUAUCUAUUCUCUUCCUUGGGUUGAUGAUUCUUCACGUCUUAGUGCAAAGAGGGCAGUCAUAGCACUUCAUUCAUCCCAUCAUUUGGCAAUGAUUCGGAGAUUUUAGUUUGAGAGGUUGUCUCAUGGGUUAGGGUUCAUGUAUUCAUCAAUGAUUUGAGAGAGUUUAUUCAUUUUAUUGUAUAUUUCCCAUUGGAGUUUGACUUAUUGAUGAUCAGAGCAUGCGCAAAAAAAAAAAAAAAAAAAAAAAAGCGCAAUGACAUGUUUGUGUAUGGUAUCUUGCUCCAUUGGGUACUUAUAUCACCUUUUGAGGUAUGUUUACUGGGUAUAUUUGACAUUGUGGGUUCUUGUGAGAUGUUUAUAUGAGUUUUCACUCCUUGAGCCACUCUUGUUAUGCAUUUGGAGUGUUGGGGGUUCAUGUGAGAGUUCUAUGGUAUCCUAUGCUUCUUGGUCAUGGUUGAUACAUAUUAGGUAUGAGAGAUGAAUGACCUUUUACUAGGGUCUCCAGAUCAUUGUCUUAUCCACCAUUCCAUCAUUGGUGAUAUGACUUUCCUUUAUUGUACUAACAUGGGUUGAUCAUCACUCGUUCCACUUUCUCAUUGCUUUCUUUUGUAUCCCAUUACCGCUUUCCAGAUCUUUGUUCCACCUUUUAUUCAUUCCCUACAUAUUGAUACCCAUUACUGAUUUGAUACUUUUUUUUCACAUCAUUCACAUAUUUCAUUGAUGGUUUGACCAUUCAUCAUUUCUCUCAUUUCGUUAUCGACAUUCCCUUUGGUUACUUCUAAGUCCAUGACUCAUGAGAUUUUUCUAUGCAUUACAUCUUGUACACGAGGGUACGGGUUUGAUCAUUGGGUAUUUGAGCCUAGUUUCCCUUCAUUUCUUUCACCCUAUCACCUUGGCCUACGUUACGUCCCGUGUCUUAAGACCACCCUGAGGCCACGAGAUCAGACGUUAUCUUUGAUAGUCUUCACUUGGACAGGCUUUUGUAGAUUGAUUGAAGUAUGGUCGUUGCUAUGUUCUCUUUUAUGGAAGAUACUUUUGGAAGCAUUUGGUUUCUCUCUCGCUUGGCAUAUUGAUGUUUGAUGGAUUUUUUUGGGUUUGGAGACAGUUCAUUGAGGAUAUUGGAUUCAUCCUUUGGUUGUGCAUUAGAUGUCCAUAUUGGGGAAUAUUCCCCUUUCAUUUGGUUGAGAUGAGCCCCUAGUGGAGCACUUUCUUUGAGUCUGGGUAUUUUCACCGAUCAGAGAUUCCUAGUGAGGUAUGUUGAGGCUAUAUCAGUUUUAGUGGAGCAUCGUUGAGCCCCUAGUGGUUCCAUUCGCGGAGUACUUCUGAGAUAGACUAGGGGAUUAUUAUUGAGUUGGAGGCAGUUUUCAGUGCAGUGUAUAGAUCAGGCAUACUGGGGCAUAUUUCCCCAUUUUGAGGUUACCAGAUCCCUAUCAGAUUCAGUCAGGGAUUCAUCAGAGACAUGUUUCUACUUUUGAGAUUACCACAUUCCUCAUCAUUUUGGCUAUUCAUUUGAGAUUAGAUUUAGAGUGUCUCCCUUGAGGCAUUGGUCGAUACUUCACUCCGACUUCUUAGCAGAUUAUUGUUGAGCUGAGGAUAGUUGAUUGAUGAUGUUGGAUUCAUCCUUUGGUUGUGCAUCAUCUAUUCACACUGGGGCAUAUGCCCCCCUUCCUCCGAGAUUCUUAUCUGUUAUUGUAUACGGUACGAGGAUGGAUGAUCAUUGUUAGUUUGUUUACCUCACGACUUCGACAUUAGAUUAUCCACACUGGGGCAUAUUCCCCUCUCCUUGAUGAGAUUGUGUUUGGACAGCGGUACGAGGAUGGAUGAUCAUUGUUAGUUUGUUUGCCUCACGACUUCAACAUCCGAUAUCCAUACUGGGGCAUAUUCCCCUCUCCAUUAUGAGAUUUAUUUGAGCAGUGAUAUGAGGAUGGAUGAUUGGUGUCGGUUGUUUAGCUUAUGACUUUGACAUCAGGUCUCAUACUGGGGCAUAUUUCCCUACUUUUUGAGUAUCCUUGAGAUUGAGACAGUGACCAGCUUGGUUUUAGAUUGAGUACUAGCCUAGAGCUUCCGACGAUCGACUGUAUCAGGGCCUCCCUACAUGGAUUUGUUGAGAUAGAGAUGGAUCGUAUCAGGUUUCACCCGAGGAGCGUGGGUGGAUCCUUUAGCCAGAUGCUCAUGAGACAGAUUUGUUUUCGUCAUUGUUACCUUGUCGAUUGGGUUAUUUGAACAAGCAUCAUUUUGUGCACUUUGAGAUUUGCUUUUAGAUGAGCCACGAUAUACACGCUUUGAGAUUUACCUUUUGACAUUCGUCGGUAGAGCAAUUUUUCAGACACAGAGGCCUCUUUCAGUUUUGACUUUUCAGAGGUUUGUCAUGGUGUAUUGGUUUUUGACUCAUUGAUUCUAGCAGAUGAUUGGUUUACUGGUUGUUUCAGCAGUGUGAGCACCUUGGAUACUAGGGCAUAUUUCCCUUCUUGGUUUCAGUAGUCCGACCCUUGACAUUUUGAGUAUAUGGCUUUGAGCCAAUUUAUUUCAUGUCCACUUUCAAGUUGGUCUUCUCUAUUAUUCCCUUCUAGGCCCUGAGCCUUAUAGCCCUAAGUUAUUCAUUCCUUCUAGACCUCGAGUCUUACAGCCCUGAGCAUUCUUUUUCCUUUAGGCCCUAAGCCUUGUGGCCCUGAGCUAUCAUUUCCCAUAGACCUAGAGUCUUUCCAGCUCUUAGCUGAGCUUUCAUCACUUGGUCGCCCAUGAGUGGUUUGACAUGGAGUUUGCGUAUCGCAUUCUCCUUCUAGCCGAUCAGUCAUAGAGCCCAAAGCUCAUAGCCCUGAGCUAUUCAUCGACCCAGAGUCAUUUUCCAUCUUGACCCAGAGUCAUUCAUAGCACCCCGAGCCCUGAGCUCACGACCCGGAGUCAUUUGCAUCAUUCAUAUCCCUGAGAUGUUUCGUUUUCAUCAUUCUAGCCACUUGUGAGUGGUCUCGACCCGACAUCUUGAGUCGGAAAGUAUCUUGAUCGGCUAUCUAUUAGAGCCUGGAGCUCUCGACCCAGAGUCACUUUCCAUUUCGACCUAGAGUCAUUAUUUCCUAUUUUAGAGCCCGGAGCUCUCGACCCAGAGUCAUUUUCCAUUUUGACCCAGAGUCAUUCCUAUCUAUUUAGAGCCCGGAUCUCUCGACCCAGAGUCAUUUUCCAUUUUGACCCAGAGUCAUUCCUAUCUAUUUAGAGCUCGGAGCUCUCGACCUAGAGUCAUUUCCCAUUUUGACCCAGAGUCAUUCCUUUCCACUUAGAGCCCGGAGCUCUCGACCCGGAGUCACUUUCCAUUUUGACCUAGAGUCAUUAUUUUCCAUUUUGACCCAGAGUCAUUUUCCAUUUUGACUUAGAGUCAUUCUUUCCUAUUUAGAGCCUAGAGCUCUCGACUCAGAGUCAUUUUCCAUUUCGACCUAGAGCCAUUCUUUCCAAUUAGAGCCCUGAGCUCAUGACCCGGAGUUUUUUAUCCUAUUUCAGAUCCAGAGUCGUUCAUCUUGUCCCUGACCCAGAUUCAUUCAUCCCAUCCAUGACUUUGAGUCAUCAUUUUCACCUCUUUCCAUCUUUGUGCUACUCGUCACAUACUGUUCUCUCUUUAUUGUCAUUCCCCCCACAUAGAGUUGUCCCAUCCAUGUCAUUGAGACCCCAUCUUUUGAUCUUACCUCUUCAUGUGCUAGGACAAAAUCUCUGGUCCUUCUUUAAUUCUUCGGUAUAGUUCACUUCAUUCUGCUCAUUACUCGUGUUUCUACUCACAUUCUCUACACUCGUGAUCUAUACCAAAGAGGGGCAUAUUUGUAGACCCUUAAUUUUGUCCAUUUAGCACAUGUCUUUAAAUUCACAUCCAGUGCUCCACGGUAGUUCCUUGGUGGCCCAUUACUACUCAUAAGGCUUACCUUUUUCUGAGUCACCUCAGAGACUUUGGUUGAGGGAUUAUCUGACCCCUUAUUGUGAUCCUUGGCAAUCCUAAUUUAGAUUGGGCUUGAAUUAGAUACACUUAGCCCAUUUAGGCACCUUAGGCCCACUUAGGCAUCUUAGGCCCGUUUAGAUACACUUGGCCCACUUAGGCUCACUUAGACCCACUUAGGUCAUCUUUUAAAUAUUUUUUUUACAUAUUUGCAUGAUUGCAUUUUUUUGUAUGACUUGCAUGGUUGCAUGGCUCAUGGGGCCUAAUUUUUGUUAAUUUGUUUGUUUUAUUUUUAGUUUUAGUUUUAUCAUUAUCAAUCACUCGUUUAUUUAUUUAUUUAUUUUAUUUGUUAUCUCAUUCUUUAUAUUAUUUUCCUUAAUUUAUUUAUUUAUUAUUGUUUUAUUGUUUUCUAAUUUGUUUGCUUAUUUAGUUAUUCAUUCAAUUAUAUAAUUUCAAAAAUUUCAUGUUUUUGCAAGGAAACUUACCAUUGGAGACUAAGGAAAGCGGGACUCUCCUUGGAAAGUUUUGGAGGGGAAUUUGAAGUUGGGAAGAUUGCUUUUGAAUUGGAAGAUUUAGAAAAAGGGAAAAAGGAAGAAGAGAAGAAGAAUGGAAAUAGGGGAAUUUUCUUUUUUUUUGGAAACAAAUUUAGGUCUUGAGGGAUGAUAUAUAUAUGUGAGAAAAGAAAGAGAAAGGGGGAGUGAACAAGCACGCAUUGGAGGAUUGGGAGAAAUUCUGGGAAAAGGUGGAGAGACGUAUUGGAGGCAUUGGAGGAAACCAUUUAAGAGGAGAAGAAGAAAGAAGCACAGAAAAACCAGUGGAGAUUUUCUGAGGAUAGAAACCAGUGCAGAUUUUUUUUUUUUCGUCAAAAGGAAGCAUUCCCAGGUAUGUCUACUGUAGAUUCCUUCUUCAUUCCCAUUAUCCUUUUCUUAUGUACUAAUCUUUGUCGGGUUUUGAGUCUUGCUUGGAUGCUAGGGGGGCAGAAUGACAGAGGUCACAUGUUUGUCUACAUUGAUACUUGCUUCUAUAGAUGUUAUUGAUUUAUCCCUUAGGAGUUCUCUAAUUUUGAUUUAGUGCUGCUAGGUUCCAUUUAUUAUUAUUUCAUGUGCAUUACAUGAGAACUGUGGUUGUAUUCGUUUGUUGGAAUCUGCUCGUACUUAUCCCAUCAUUCCAAACCCAUUGAACCUAACAUGAAAUGGGUUUUCAUUUAAUGGAUCACUUAUUUGUUCAUCCAUUUUUUUUAUCAAACUCUAUUUUGGCGGGGUUGUUUUUCUACAGUUGAGCAUGCUUCAAAUUGCUCUGUUUUGCUUCCCGGGUGUGUCUUCCUAUAUUUAUGAAUGAAUAAGGUAUAGAUUUGUGGGCUUAUGAGUUGUAAAGGUGAUUUCAGUGGGGUUGAGAUUCUGGGUCCACAAGAAAAAAAUAGAAUAGCAGAAGAGAAAAAUCUGUAAGAGAGUUGGGAAGUCCAGAGUAGUGCAAAUCCUCUUGGGCGUCUUUGGUUCAGAAAUAUCAGAAAAGCUAGAAGGAUGAGAAAAACAAGAAAGAUUGUUUGCCUUUGAACUUUUGAUUGCUUAAAGAUGUUUGACAAUGACCACUGUAAACAACCUGCUACUUUAAUGGUUGUGAUAUUUGAAUGUCAGUAUGAAGAUGUGAUUGGGGUGAAAGUGCUGAAAUCAGAGCUCAGGAGAAGAUCAUUGACUGUUGAGUCUGAUAUGGAAUACAAUUGAAAUGCCAACAUUGAGAUAUUUGGAAGAAGGGGUCUUGCUCCAGGAGUUAGACUUGGUGGGGUGGUUGGUGACUCACUUACCAGAGUUGUAGGAAUGCAAGCAGAUGCACUUUUGUUUGCAGAGGCCAGAAAACAGGGUUUUGAUUCUUUGGAAAGAGAAGAUGACAAAUAUUUGGAAAGAUUUAAAUUGUUUCAGUUGGAAGCUACUGAAUUUUACCANNNNNNNNNNNNNNNNNNNNNNNNNNNNNNNNNNNNNNNNNNNNNNNNNNNNNNNNNNNNNNNNNNNNNNNNNNNNNNNNNNNNNNNNNNNNNNNNNNNNNNNNNNNNNNNNNNNNNNNNNNNNNNNNNNNNNNNNNNNNNNNNNNNNNNNNNNNNNNNNNNNNUAGGUGCAGAGAGCUCUAUAACAAACCUGAUGUUCAGAGUCGCAAUUGGUCAAUUGCUGCUACCUGUUAUAGAGAAGUAACAAUAAUUUGGCACUGGUGCAACUGAAAGAAGAGUACAUGAGGAAAUUCCCUUUCUGGAAUGAUCCAUAUGUUCUAGUGAGCUUGCUUUCUGCUAGCCGACUGCGUGGAGAUGUUGUAAUUGGGGAGUGUUUGGCUAAAUGGCUUCUAAAACUUCAGCUUGUGACUACUUCUCCUUAUGUAUUAUUAUCAAACUUGUAUGCUUCAGAUAGGAAGUGGGCAGAUUUAAAGAACCUGUCAUCAGCGGACAACAACUUCUCUGACUCAACUUUAGACUCAAUUUCGGGGUUAGAAUCAAUCAAGUCUUUAGAUUUCAGUCGCAACCCCUUUUCUGGUGAUAUGGCAGCAUCAUCGACAAAACUGACUAAUUUGGUAUCCCUUAAUUUAUCGUUAAAUGAGUUCGAAAGUAAAAUUCCAAAAGGUCUCGAGCUGUUUUCAAAACUUGAAAUUCUUGACUCGCAUAGGAAUAUGCUCAGUGGACUUCCAGACAAGGAAUUCUUGUAAUUUUCAGGUGCCAUUCGUGUUGACUUUAGUGGGUGCUAGCAGAGUACUAUCUAUGUUAUUCAUUAUAGCAGAUUCUUAACAUCCACAUUUAUUUGGGAAUAGAUGCUUCAGUUUGGAUGAUAAACAGAUUACAGAUUUAAGGCAUUCUAUUGAUAAGAUUCUAAGUGACAAGUCUUCUUGGAAUGAAGAUCUCUUUGUUGCUACAGUCAAAUUGCUUACUUCUGCUGCAGUUGAUCAGCCUGUUUUUUCUUGUCACCAUAAUUUCAGCCAAAGACAAUCUAGGUUUGAUGCAGCCAAUAAAUGAAGCUUCUUUUGGAAUAUUGGGGUCUGUCAAAGCAAGUUUGGUAGAUGCACUCUUGCAAGUUAUUGAAAGAUUUCAAUGAUCUUAUCAAAUAGCAAUCCCCGUUUACUACUGAAUGUGCUUGACUUACUGAAAACAUUGUGGCAAGGGGUUGCUCAAUAUGCAGAUAUUUUGGAAUGGCUGAAAAACUCUGAAAAGUUCUGAAAACUAUUUUUGUAACUCUAUUUCUCAAAUUGUUAGAAUGAAAGCUCCCCUGCCUGAGAAUCUAACCAAAAUGGAGGCUCUAAUCUUGGCAUACAAAUACCAGUGUCAAACAGCUGUAUUGGAAAUAAUGGCAGAAAUCUUGUUCCUGUGGAAGAAGUUACUGCAUGCUGAAUUUCUUGAAAUGCUUGCAAAUCUGCACAGUUCACCAAUUGAGCCUAGGAAUUCUGAUAUAUCUUCAGGAAUGGAUGACGAGUCCAAUAAUAGUGAGAUGCUCGCAGCUACUAACAUCCACCCUGGACAAGAUUCAUGGAGAAAAUUGGAAGUUGAAGACAAGGAAUUGCCGCAAGUGCACAAUGGUACAUUGCAGCAGAGCAUCUCUGUCGAUGCAAAACUAAUCAAAGAGGAUGUAAUUAGCUUAGUAGAUAAGGAAAGAAGGCAAGCUCUACAGACACCACAAGUGGUUAUGAACAUGCUCGAUGCGACUAUGCCUGGUACUCUAAUGGAAGAACUUAAGAAGAAGGUCCUGGCUGCCGUAGGACAAGGAGAAACAGUUAUGUAAACUUUGUGAGAUGCUGUCCCAGGAAAUAUUUGUGGAAAGCUUUCUACUGCUGUUUCUAGAAUUUUGGCAUACUCAAGGUGUAAAUUUAAACUUUGAGGGUCUUCUGAGGAUUGACCAAACUCCUAAUGUUUCGUCAGGAUUGAAAUCUAAGAUCCAAAAAGAAAUUGGAAUAACAUCAAGUGAAGAAGGUGGGACCGAAAGCUAGGAUACAGUUGAAGAUUACAAAGGUAUAGUUCUUGGAGGUUCCGAAGCCGCCAAACACUCCUUGGAGAAAUUAGGGAAAAUAUCAGAUGGAAGUUCUUGCUCUGGUGUAGAGAAUUCUUGUAAUCAUUCACAGAGAAUUGGUGGUCAAAUUAUAAGUGACUCGGAUGAAGAAGUGGACAUUGAUGAAUAAGGAGGUGGAAAUGAGUUAUUUGAUUUUGCUGCACUGGCUGCUCUCACGAAAAUAGUAGCAAGUGCAAGUUCCGAUAGUGGCAGUAUCACAAUAACCUCUCCAAAGGGAUCCAAGCUUCUCUCUGAUUGACCCCCCCUGUUGGAUUGGGAUCUACAAACCAGCCUCUAAGACCUGCUCCCCAACAAAACCUGUCCAAUCUUUUUACCCAUUUUCCAAUCUUGCAGGGAGGCAAACUGGUGAAGAAUUUAAUCUUGAUAUUGCAGAGAGAGUUGUUUGUGAUCUUAACACUACUGAAGCGUUUCCAAGUGUGUUGGAUCUAAAAUGCAGCCUGAAGUUCUCUGGCCAACUAAACUCGAGCCACUUGAUCGCCAGAUUGUCGAAGAACAAAUCCAGUUCAGUUCUUUCCUUUUACUGGUUUUUUGGCUCAUCCCUACCUCAUGAAUACACCCAGUUAGGCAGGGUUAUUAAAGUACCAAGGGACCUUAUUGAUCCCUACAUCCUGGUUAGCAUCCUUGCUUAUAGGCAAUCCUGAACAUGGUGCGCAGCUGUACUGAUAAUCCGUCAUCUGAUAAGUCUUGGAGAUGUUCCCUGCUGCUAUUGCAUUCAGAAAACUCAUAUUGCAUAAGGAAGCUUGCUGAAAGUAUCUCAUAAAUGCUACAACAAAGGACAACUAGAAGGCAAUUUCCCAAGACUUAAUGCCUCAUUUCUGAAACCUGCAAGUGGAGAUGAAGUACUAUCCAAAGAACCUAAAUGACGAUAUGGAGCUUCAUUAAAAUCUGUCCAGAGAAUUCAAACAGAUCAAUGAAGAGUUGUCUCUAAAGUCAUUCAUGAAAUCGAAAGGACAAAGCCGCGUCAAAAGCUGCUACUGCUCGCGGUCUUGGACGCAAUGCAAAGAUUGGUUCUGGGAGGGGUCUCAGUGCUGUAGCUAUGGCAACAUCUGCACAAAGAAAGGAAAGGACAAAUUCGGACAUGAAAUGGAAGUAGGGAUCUUCGCCAAGGUUCAUACUGAGAGAAUGGUUUCAUCUUUAAGAUUUGGAAUCCCAUCAAAACCUCUUACCAAAUGUUCUCCUCAUGUUUGUUUUCGUUUGCUAUUAUAGUUACCUACGGUGUCGGAUUUCAUUCGAAUUUUUCAGACAAGUCUCCGCAUUCAGCCCAUGGAAAUGACAACCAGAAUUCCAAAACAACAGCGAUCAGACCAGUUCCCAGAUUCCAAUUGUUGGAUAUGUUGGUCAGCCAUAUGGAGCCCCGUCACUGCCAAUCUCCUCUCUCUAAUAUCUGUAGUUGAAUUAGCAUCACCAGCUUCAUACGAUUGGCAUCUGGUCUACCUCUUUCAUUAUACUUUCCUCAGAAUUUGUUUUCCAAACAGCAAUGGUAGGUUCCAAUUUGGAACCCAAUAGCUAAAUAGAACCCACCUGGUAGUAAAGGUCAGCAAGCAGGGCUUCAAAACAGAGAAAAUCGGAAGUGAGGAGACCAAAAUCUUGUGCAAUAAGUAAAGAACACUUCGAAUGCCAUAUCCUUUUUCAUUAGAUUCAGAAGGAGGACUCUCUCUGGGUAGGAAUUGUAAUGAUAUGGAAAGGAUGGGAAGUCAUGAUACAAAGCUGUUUUAUCGUUUUAGCUUGGGAAUUGACAGCUUCAUCUUCAAACGGUGGAAUUCCAUGAAUAAGGAGCUUUAAGACAUGCCAACAAAUUGCCAAGGAAUAGUCAACUUCUUCACCCAACAGUGAAACUAAAAGUGGAAAGAGCAGAGUAGCAUUGUUUUUUUUGGACCUUUUAUGAUCAUCAUGCAGAAAAAAACAGCUCAGUAGCUGAAGUUGAGUAUAUUGGCAAACCUGAGAAUGCACUUCCAACCGAUGGAACUGAACAGCAGCAUAAGAAAUCUGAUUUGGAGUUAAGACCUACUACCACAUUACAAGCUCUAGUUGAUGAUUCAAAUUGUGAUCUCGAGAAACUAAAGUUGAAUCCAGACGACAUUGCUGAUGAAAUCAUGUAUCAAACCCUAUGAGCUUUGACUCUGAAAUGAAUAUGGACAGUUCGUUUCCAGUCACGCCAGCAGUAUACAGAGAUCUCUUCACACAACCACCAGCAACGCAGUCACAGCCAAACCCCCAAACCCCAUUCUCCAUGACCGGUCUAGUGCACACUACUCUUUUCCUUUCACACCCCUUUUGCUUUCCUCGUGAUUUUAUGUGUCUUGAAUUGUGUUUUCAAAAAUCGUUUUCAUCCAAAUAAAUCUGAUUUUAGAUAAUCAUCUUUAGAUAUUCUCUAGGCAUUGAAAUCUAAAUUUCAACACCCUUUUGCUGCCAUUUUCCUUCCGGCAUGCGUCUUCACUAUUUUAUUUGAUUUUCAACUAAUUUUCUUGAUUUUCAACAAGCAUGAACAAACUUCAUGAUUCCAAACAAUGGAAUUCAUUGAAUCAACUCAUGCAAAAUCAACUAGGGCUUUGGUGGGGGCCCAACAUUCAUAACACUCACUUCAAUACUGUUUACUUGAUAUGUUGAUUUUUUAUUCUUCUUGAUGAAAUACUUGAAUUCAUUUAAUAUUUAUUGUUGAGAUGCUCUCGUUUCCCAUAGAGGAGUACUAGCUUGCUAUCCAGGUACGCUCUCUUCUCAUCUAUUUUUUUAGAACUCUAUGGACUUGUAUGUCAUUGAUGACCAUAUCCAUAUUUGACGUGAUUCUUGAAUGUCUUGAUAUAUGCCUGAUUUGCUUGAAUAAAACAAAUGUUGUGUGAUGUAUCUCCAAACUAAUCUCUUAUGUUUUAUGAUAGCGCUUGGGAAGCCAUCCAGGUAUGCAUUUUUAACUUUUCUUAAUUGUGAUCUGAUCUUGUUUGAUAUGUUAUGUUUUUGGAAUCACCUAGCCUACUUAGGUAUCCAUGAUCAACCAUUUAAUUGCCACGCUUCCCUUAACUUAGUCAGUAAAGACCUCUUUAGGGCUUAGAGGGGUGCUACCUCCUAGAGGUACCUUCCCAAUAAGUAACCUGAUCCCCGGACCUAAACUCGGGUUUCUCAAAGACAUGCUUUUUCCAAAACUAGGGAGUCACUUUUUAGGGUUUUUCUUUCUUGUUUUAUUUUCCCUUUAAAAUAAAAAUAAAAUAAGUGGCGACUCCAACUUUUUUUCCAAAAAUCAAUUUUUCACAAAAAUAAUAAAAAGCGAGUCUCGCCGAUCGAGUGGGGGCGCACGUGAAAAAUGCGGGUCCACAGGUCUCCUUAUAAUCAAUGCCUUCCUUUUGAGUGAAACCUUUUGCGAUUAGGCGUGCCUUAUACCUAACAAUGUUGCCUUUUGAAUCCCACUUGAUCUUAAAAAUCCAUUUACAACCAAUCGGUUUUACACCUUCAGGCAACUUUACUAGGUCCUAAACACCAUUGUCUUUCAUUGAUUUCAUCUCAUCCUUCAUGGCUUCUAUCAACUUUUCAGAGUCAGAACUUUGUUUGACUUGACUAAUUGAAAUUGGAUCGUCUUCCAAACCCAUGUCAAACUCAUGUUCCUGGAGAUGUACAACAUAAUCAUCUGAAAUUGUACUUCUCCUUUCUCUAGUGGAUCCCCUCAGUGGCACUUGUACUUGAGGUUCUUGAGGUUGUUGAGUUACCUCUUCAUGAACUUGAAUCGGUUCCAUAACUUGAGCAGGAGGAAUCUCAGGUGUGUUUUGAAUCUCUGUUAUUGACUGUACAUUUUGGAUAGUGUCAUCAAACAUAAUAUGACCAUGUCCAGUCGUAAUAAUAGGAAUACUAACAGAUUCCUCUUCAAAUACCACCUUUUUUAACUGUUCUCUCCCACUUAACUCAACAUCCUCAAUAAAUUUAGCAUUGCCCAUUUCAAAAAAUGAUCUAGUUGAGGGGUCAUAAAACUUGAAACCUCUCGACCUUUCAGAAUAUCUUACAAAGUAGCAACUCACUGUUCUGGAGUCUAAUUUCUUUUUAUUUGGUUUGUAAGGCCUAGCUUCAACUGGACAACCCCAGACAUGCAAGUGCCUAAUACUAGGUUUCUUGCUAGUUCAUAACUCAUAUGAGGUUUUGGCUACUGCUUUGCUUGAGACUCCAUUCAAAAUAUAAAUUGUUGUUUUGAUGGCUUCGCCCCAAAGUGAUUCUGGUAAGGUGGAAUGACUGAUCAUACUUCUUACCAUAUCCUUAAGAGUACAGUUUCGCAUAUUUGCUACACCAUUUUGGCUUGGAGUUCCCAGCAUGGUGUAUUGAGGAAUAAUACCACACUUCAUCAAAUAUUUGGCGAAUGACCCUAGACGUUGUUCACUGGAUCCGUCAUAUCUACCAUAAUAUUCACCUCCACGGUCAGAUCUGACGGCCUUUAUUUUCUUGCUUAGUUGGUUCUCAACUUUAGCUUUGAAAUUCUUGAACACAUCUAAUGAUUGAGACUUCUCAUGAAUCAAAUAAAGAUAGCCAUAGCGUGAGUAAUUUUCAAUGAAAGUGAUAAAAUAUUGUUGUCCAUUCCAAGAAGGAGUAGGAAAUGGACCAUAAAUGUAUGUAUGUAUCAAUUCCAAGACGUCACUGCACUUGUUAGCAUCAUUUUUUCUCAUAUUUGUUUGUUUACCCUUAAUACACUCUAUAUAGACUUGAAAUUCUGAGAAAUUAAGUGGAUCAAGAAUUCAUUCUAACACAAGCCUUUGAUUUGAAAUAUGACCCAAACGCCUGUGCCAUAACAUCGAUGAAUUCUCAUUUGUUAAUUUUUGUUUAAUGUCAUAAUUACUUAAAUGCAAGGUUUCAUUUCCAUUAGUGGUCUUUAUGUUUAAUUUGUAUAAUUUGUCUGUUAGACUACCUAUACCAAUAACAUUUGAAUUUAGAUAAAGACUAACCAUUCCAUUUCUAAAUGAACAAUAAUAUCCAAAUUUUUCCAGACAUGAAACAAAAAUUAAAUUCCGUCUAAACGAUGGUACUAUAAAAGUCUCUUCCAAAUCCAAAGUACAUCCAGAGUCUAACUGUAAUAUAAAAAGACCAAUAGUCUUGAUUGCAACCUUGUUGCCAUUUCCCACAUAGAUGUAUCUUUCACCAUCAGUUGGCAUUCGGCUCCUUAGGCAACCCUACAUCGUGACACUUAUGUGAGUAGUUGCACCCGUAUCUAUCCACCAAGUGUCAGUAGGCACUACGACUAAAUUAAUUUAUGAACAAACAAAGUUGAGAAGUGUACCUUUCUUUUCACGCCAAGCAGCGUAUUUGGUACAUGUCUUUUUCAUAUGACCAACUUUCUUGCAAAAUAAACAAGUCAUCUUCUUAUCUUGUUUCUUCUGCACCUUUUGCUUUGAUGUCCCAAAAAUUGCAGUUUGUUUUUCUUUAUUGUCCCUCUUUCUUUUCUUGUUGGUACCAAAUGCCUGAGAUGUGGAAGCCAAGUGAGCACUUUCUAUCUUUUCUUGUUUCAAUCUCUUAUCCUUUUGUGCACAUUGAGCAAUAAGCUCAUUCAAAGUCCAUUUUUUCUUUUGUAUGUUGUAACUGAUUUUGAAUGGACUGAAUUGUGUAGGUAAAGAGAUCAAGACCAAGUGUACGAGUAUGUCUUCCGAAAACUCUAACUUUAGUGCCUUUAGUCUAGUCACAAGAUUAGACAUUUCCAUAAUACACUUCCUUAUAUUCUCUUUCCCUUUGUACCGCAUAGAGACAAGCUUACUAAGAAUAGUGCUUGUCUUAACCUUUUCUUUUGCAGCGAAUCGGCUUGCUAUCUGGUCUAAGAAUGCCUUGGCUCGAGUUUUCUCAGGUAUUACACCCUUUAUAGCUUUUGGAAUUGAGUGCUUUGUUAUCAUUAACUCAUGCGAUUGGAUCGCUCUCAUUUUUCCAUAGUAGACCUUUGCUCAGCAGUGCUGGCACUAGUAAGAUCUGAAGAGCAAUCCUCUCUUAAUGCAUAGUCUAAAUCCAUGCACCCGAGCACAAUUAUAGCGUGCUCUGUCCAUUUCUUGAAGUUUGUGCCAUUAAGCGCAGGAAUGUUAUUAACAUUUGCAGAUAUAGAAUAUGUUGAAUUCAUAAUAAUAAAGCUCACAAUCAGUCACAUAAACAUCAUACAUACAUGAAAAACAUCAUACAAGAUACCUAGCACAAACAUUAAUAUUCUGUCUUUGGACAAUAAAUAUUAACUUGUAAUUGGUAUCCUUAUACAAAAUUAAUUCAUAAAUAUUUAUCGACAAUAAAACCAAAAACAGUAUGCCUAUCUUUAGACUAACAUAUCGAAUGCAAGAUAAACUUUAUAUGUCACAUAUUUAUGAUUACUUUAUUUAUUAUUAUAUUAAAAUAAUCUUCUUUUGAGCCGAUUAUUUUAAAUAAUAAUAAUAACAUGUUUAGAUAUUAUAAAAUAAAUAAAUUAUAUAAUAUAAGUUACUUUGGCAACUAACAUACAUAAUUCAUUUAUUUUAAAAUAUUAAACACAAACAUAACAAGAAAUAAUAAAUUCAAUUAAAAUUAUUUAUUUAUUUAUGCAUAAACCCAUGUAUAUAUAUGUAUAUAUUAAUUGAAGCAUAAAAAACCAUCUACAUGUGUAUAUAUAUCAAUUGAAGCAUAUAUACAAGCUUUAGUCUAAUGGUUUAAGCAAAAAAUAGGCCAUGGUAAAGGGUUUAAGCCAACCCACCCCUUUAGUUUGGUUUUUGUUUUUGUUUUUUUUUUAAUUUCUUUUGGGCUAUUGACCAUGCAUUCUCUCAUGGCCCAACGACCACUUGUGUUCACUUACAAGCCAAGCCCCUUCCAUAUAUAUAUAUAUAUAUAUAUAUAUAUAUAUAUAUAUAUAUAUAUAUAUAUAUAUAUAUAUAUAUAUGUUUUUUUUUAUUUUAUAAAUUUUGUCCAUUGCAGCCCAAAGUGACCAUCCCUUGAAAUGGCAUCAUCAACGGUGCCAGAGUUGUCCUCGAAUGACGCCUACAGUGAAACGCCGCUGCCAUCAUCGGAACGGUGAUUUCCCAUCGCCAAACGACGGUGUCACUACCGGAAUGAUGCUGUAACGGCAUCGCUGGGAAGCAGCCUAACCUGUGGCGUGACGUCGUGACAAGCAGUGCCGCCAGCGGUGAAACGCUGUCGCCAUCAUCGGAACGGUGAUUUUCCAUCUCCAAACGACGGCGCCACCACCGGAACAACGCUGUAACGACGUCACUAGGAAGUAGCCCCACCCGCGGCACCAAAAUGGUGCUUGGAUGGCGUUUGGAAAGCUUGGAACAACACUCAAAUCAGGGCUUCUCACUGGCAAAUGACGUUUGAACGGCGUCUGGAAAUAAUGCCUGUAGCGCCUAAAAAUUGUGCUCUUUUGAACACCUGAAACAACGUCGAAAUGACGUCUAACGACGUCUGGAAUUGCACUGUUGUCUAGAAUGAUGCCAUGAUGGUGUCUCACUCGCCUUAAAUGGCACCAACCACUGUGACUUGCAGCCCCAAAAAUGGCGCUUGAACAGUGCCUGAAGUGUGCUUGGAACGACGCAGCAAACGAUGCCUAAAAUGGUGCAUUUUGUAUGCCUGAAAACGGCACAGGAAUGAAGCCUAAACUACGUCCAUUUUGAACGCCUAAACGGCAUCCUAACGGCGCCUGGAACGGUGCCUGAAUGACGCCUGGAAUUGGCCCAGAUUUAUUUUCUGUUGUUUCCUUCCUCUUGUAUAUUUUGUUUGUGUUUUAAAAAAAAAGUGUUCUGGUGAAAAUGGGAAAUGCAACCAGGCUCUGAUACCAUUUUGUGAGACGUUCAUUCUCCAUUAUCAUCGAACACAUGCAGGAUAUAUUUUAUAUAUCUAUCAAUUCAUUCAAAAUAUGCCUUCAUUUUAUGGAACAUACUCGAAUCCAUUUUGUUUGUGUUGAAGAGGUACAGAUCUUCUAAGGCUAUGGGGAGGGGAGGGAGGGGAGGGGGGUACCACCUUUUCUGAGAAUUCUCUAUGACGAUGGGAAGCCGGAGAGAACAAGUUCUAUUUUUAUUUUGAAAACGUUGUUAUCCUUAAAAAACAAACACUAUUAUUUGGAUUUAUACUCUCCUACCUUAGGGACCAUACCCUUUGGCUAUUGGGCCUCACGAGUCUUAGGUCCAUCAUCUAAGGCUCAUGAUGGCACUAGGCUUUACACAUAAGGUGACCCAUACUCUGAAACGAAUAGAAAUCAUAUGUGUAUAUAUAUAUAUAUAUAUAUAUAUAUAUAUAUAUAUAUAUAUAUAUAUAUAUAUAUAUAUGAAUAUUUAAAUCCUGAACAAUGGUUAAUAUGAUGUCGGUUCACAUUUAUUAUAUCAUAGAGACUUCCUAUCUGAAGAAAAUCGACAGCAGAUAGCUUUGCCAUUCUUAGUCCGUAUACAACCAACCUUAGCAAGGGUUGAACCCUUUUAUGCUUAGUUGUGCCAUACAGAUCCUUACCAUUUGAUAAUGUCAUCUAGUGAACCAAUACCUCCAAAUGAGAGACCAUUGCCUCGGUAACUAGGGCUCAUGACUGAGAAUUGUGUGAACCCUUUUGCUUGGGAUGGAGCUUGACUGAUGAACAAAAUAUUCAUAGGCCUCUUCCCAUAACUGGCACCUUGUGUUUGCAACAUAAUUGAACAUGUAUUGAAGUGAGUUUUUUUGCAUCUUUUUGUAAGAAAAUUCUAAACAACAUAGACUACUUAGUGUGCCCAGCUCCUCGGGGAAUCAAGGUUCAUUCUUGUAGGGCCAAUUUUAUCACAGUCGAACUAGAUAACAUGGAGAGUAUGUUGCAAUGCUUCAAUGGGGUAUUUCUUAGGAAAAUCCACUUGAAGCUGGUACAAUUCGUUGGCGUACUGAGUUCUUGGAGCUUUAUUGACUUCAAUCACCCAUCUCUGUAGAUUAUCAGUGACUUUAUGCUCGGAUCCUGUAGGAAGAUUGACCUGACAUUCCACUAGCUCUUUCUGGAAGGUAAUCUUGUUUAACACCGUAUGAGAAGAGGCAGGGGAACUGGUCAUUGUUUCUUUGAGAAGAUCAAUGGCCGAGGAUGGGUUUGGACCAGAAUUGCUAUAUGGGUUUUCUUUGGGUGAACCAAUUAGCGGAGUGGGUGGCUAUAUAGCAACUGAAGGGUGGUCAUACUAGCUGACAUUCCACUAGCUCUUUCUAGAAGGUAAUCUUGUUUAACACCUUAUGAGAAGAGGCAAGGGAACUGGUCAUUUUUCUUCGAGAAGAUCAAUGGCCGAGGAUGGGUUUGGACCAGAAUUGCUAUAUGGGUUUUCUUUGGGUGAACCAAUUAGUAGAGUGGGUGGCUAUAUAGCAACUGAAGGGUGGUCAUACUAACGAGGAGCUAUUAUUUCAUGCAAGUGGACAGGAAAUGAGUAGCUUCUUCAAGGAUAUAUGAUUAUUCAUCUUUAGCUUACGUUGAAUAUCUCCUAACAAAUUUCUGCUUUGAAGCUCCCUUAGUUUCACUACAGCUAACUUGGCUAACUUGGUUUCAUCAUGUUUCCUACAACCUCUAAGCAAAGCACGCCAGAUCACCGGAUUAGGUUCUAUUCGCAUUUUGUCCAUAAACUCCUUUGCCUAUUGACAAUAGACUGCCCCUCAAAAUUUGAUGAGAUAACAUCAAUGCUGACAUGUUGGCCAUCGCCAUAAGCAUCUUUAUAGAGAUUGAUUCUAUGUUUACAUAUUUCUCUCUCCUCAAGUGAGUUCAACUUUUCUGUAACAUCCUUCUCCUUCUCAACUAACAGUCUUAGUUGAACAUCCAACCUAUGUUCCCAAAGUGCCAACAUCUCAUAUCUGAUGACAAGCCAACAACCUUGUCCUUGCUAAGACCCAAAUAAGUAUCUAGAACCAUCAGCAUCAACCCUUUCAUAGGCCUUUGUAUUUGAAGGUCGGAUUAGGAUUGCUUUGAAUGCAUUGGCAUUGCAAUACACAAUUGUUUCUUCUCCAAUAAAAACACCACAAAGAGGUGAGAGGACUGGUAUUAGCAAAGAAGUGUUGUUAUCUAUAUUGUUCUGAGCCCAAGUACCCUCAACAAAAUCCUCAUCCUCAUCUGUACUUUUCCAUUACAUCCUUAGGCGUUUCAAUGUGAUCCACAUGGCUUACAGGAAUCCAGAAAUACCGGUCUGUAUAAAAGUUGUUCUUAAGGGGCUCUCCUAGAAAACAUCCCAAUCAAGAUGAUCAACCUAGCUUAGAUGCUCAACACCCCAAACUUACCAUAAAUAGAGGAAUAAAAAGCAAGGAUAGGAGCCAGAGUAAAAACUGAGGGAAGAGCAAAUAGGAAAUCAAGCAAAACAUGAAUGUAUAGAGCCUCAUUUCAGGUGACAUCUUUGGGCUAAUAAUAGGUGGAAUUAGCAAAGUAGAUAAGCAUGAUUGUUAUAAAUAUCAAGUUCAAGGAUGAAGCCGUGCAUCAGCUACUUAUAGGGGGAGUCAAGGAAACCAAGAUAAGAUCAAAGAGAGCAUGUAUGCAAAUAAACAGAUUCGACAAAAUAGACCAAACAGAUCAUGAAUAUCCUCCUACAAAAAACUACUACACGUGGCAAAAAGUGAUGAAACAAAAAGAGUCGGGUCCGCAUAUACAUAUCCUAUUCUAUCCUAUUCCUUCAAAUCCAAAGCAACCUAUAUUUUCAAUGGGAUUUGUUGUGAUGAAUUUUACUGGAUUGUAACAUGUAAAUAUGUUAAAAGAGGCUUGGGACAUUCCUAUAUAGUAACGCAUAAAGGUACUUCCAUUGUGAAGUUAUCAAAAUUGCAAAUUUAAAUUACAAAAUUUGAAAACAUAGAGAUGAAAGAUGAUGAAACCUUCUUUGAAAUUUUAUAUUGAACUCAUUAAUAUUAUUAAUUUUCAUUUCAGUCUAGGGGAUAGAAUUCUUUACUCUAAAGUGGUCACAAAAAUAUUAAAAUUCCUUGUCGAGAGAUUUAGACCUAAAGUGAUCAAUAUAGAAGAAAGUAAAAAUCUUCUAAGUGUAGGUAAACUUGUGACUCUACCAUUUCAUAAAAAAUCCUCAAUUUUAUAAAUUAUAUAGAUUUCUUCAUUUGAUACAAAAUUUGAAUAAAGAUUUUUCAAAUGACAACACAAGGAAAGGGAAAAAAAAUUCUCUCCAAAUCAUAUUAUUUAAUCACUUAAAUUAUUUAAAAAUAAAAAUGCUUACUGCUAACAUUAUUUAGUUUCAUCUUUCUUUUGAUGGAGGUUAAAAUUCAUAAUUUUGAGGAAAAAGAUGAGGAUUCUCAUUUUUUUUCCAUGUAUGAAUGGGAUUCUCAUUGUGUAUAUGUGGGUUACUAAAUGGCAAAUUUGCGGGCCACCAGAGUCUGCAAUAUGAGUGAAAAAAUGAAAUUGAGUUUGUCACCAAGAAUAGACAUGGUUCCUACAAAGGUGGCAUCUUUAAUUUCAUGUUUGGAUUGGACUUGUCAUGUAACAACUUAACAAGUGAAAUCCCUCAUGAACUUGGAAUGUUAAGUUUGAUUCAUGCAUUGAACUUGUCUCGUAAUCAACUAAAAGGCUCCAUUUCAAAGAGUUUUUGCAAUCUUUCUCAAAUAGAGAGCUUAGACCUUUUUAAUAAUAAACUAAUAUAAUAAAAAAUAUUUAGGUAGAUCACAUUUAAAUAUAGCUAAUAUAAUAAAAAAUUAGUAUUAUUAGAAAGACAUGAUCAAUUAAAUUUUUUUUCUUAUCUAUGACACGACUUUAUUUUUUUACAUAGUCAAUAUAAUUUAUUACAACUUAUAUGUCAUUAAAUUAUACACGUUUAUAUUAAAUAUAAUAUAAUAUCAUUAAUGGAAUAAUUAUGCAAGUAAUAUAAAUUGUAUAUAAUAUAAAAAAUUUAAACUCCAUCAAACUAAUGGAAUCUAUUAUAAUAAGUAGACUAGACACCAUGUUGGCCCGAGUUGGAAGCCUGGGCCAGAUUUUAAAGGCUGGGCUUUGAGUUGCCCGUGGGCGUGAGCCAAGGUCUUCUCUUGGUAUCAUCAUUUUGAAGAAAUAAAUUGCUGAUACAGAGAAAAAAACUAUACUAAAUAGAAAAAUAAAUAAAAGCAUUGACUAAAAUGAAGGUCAAGGUCCUUGAAAAAUAAUCUUUAAAUUGUUGCAUAUAUAAUUUCAAUAAUGCAUAAAUAAUUGCAAUAUAUAUGAUAUGAUAAAGAAUUUGGAAUUAAAAGAAGAUUGAUCUAUUUUAAAUGUGGUUGGAAUAUUUCUAAAUUUGUGAUGGGAAGUUAGACAGCCAAUUAGGGAUCCAUAUUAUUUAUUUUCAAUGAUAUGAAUUUAUUUAUUUUUAUUAAUAUUCUUAAUGCAACAAUAUAAAAUAUGUCAAUUUUCUAAAAUUUAAAAAGUAAUUGUAAAAGAAAUUUUUUAAUUAUUUUUCUGAAAUUGAGUUUAUUAUAACAUUUUUCUUUACUUAAAUUUCUUUUUUAUUUUUAUUUUUUUAAAAAAUAAGAUAUGAAAAAAAAAGAUCAAUAUUAGUAAAAGUAAAACCCAAUAUAUAAAAAAAAAUGAAUAAAUGUUUAUGAAAUAAAAUUUAAAAGUGAGAAGGUAAUAAAUUUUUUCUCUUUUAAUUCCCAUUCAAUUCAUUACAAAAAAUAUUUUUGGUUUUUAUGCUAAAAUUUAUUGUCUAUUAAAAAAUUCUAGUAUAUCUAGCUAUCAUAGAAGAGCUAUAAAAUUUUAUUGUUUAAGAGAAUAUGUGUUGCUACUUUAAAAGAUUUAUAUGCAAAAGGGAUUGAUAUUUUUUUCCUUUGGAUAUGUUUAGUUCCCGGAAAAUGUGAGGGAAGAAAAAUAGAGAAGAAAAGUAUAACAAAAUAAAAAGUGAAGGAAAAUGAAAAAUAGAUUUAAAGUUAAUAAAUUAUUUUCAUUGGUUUUUUCAAACUUAUUUUACUUAUUUUAUUCUAUUAAAUAAAGAUUAACUAAUUUUAAUUAUAUUUGGUUUGAUUUUUAUUAUUUUUCAAAGCAAAACCAAAUAUGAAAAAAAAAAACAUUUUUUUUUGUUAUUUUUUUUUUCUUUAUUACUUUUCUGGACUCAAACAUAGCUUUUAGAUUUGGAGCAUGGAAAGAUAAGAGUAUUGAAUAAAGGUUCUAUAUAUGCUCAUGCCCAUGCCCAUGAUACCAUUGAAAAAAAUGGAGAGAGGGUGAAACCUUUACUAGAUGAUAAAUUAUUCUCUUCAAUGGAAAUCAAAUAUAAUUAUUUUUAUCUUGUAUUAAUUGAAUGUUAUACUCCAUAAACUCAAAAUUAAAAUAAAUAAAUAAUUUAAAAACUAGGACAAUCCCAUUUUUUUUUCAAUUUCUUAAAAAGAAAUUAAAUUAUAUUUAUUUAUAUCUAUUUUCAUCCCUACCCAACAAAAUAAUAAUAAAAAAAAAAAACAAGGUGGGACAUGUAUGAGAAAUUCUCACACUAACUCUCCCUAGUUUAUUUUUUAUUUUUUUUAAAAAAUCAAUUUCUUUUAAAAAAAUUAAACUACAUAAAAAAUAAACAAAUUUUACAAAAUUUUUUUUAAGAAAAGUAAAUUUCUUAUUUUAUAUAUGUUAAAAAUAAAUAUAAUCUUUUAUUUUUUAUAUAUAUAAUCGGGAGUGGGACAAAGAAAUAAUCCCCUUCGAUUCCAAUCCAAAAUUUUAAAAUAUAAAAUAAAAAUCUUAAACUCAUCCCUAAUCCAUUUAUUUUUAAUCCUAAACUUGUCUUAUUAAGAAUAAGACAAAGUGAGCACAUGAAAACACUUCUUUUAUCAUCAUCUCUACAAGUUCUAAUGUUUAGAUUGCAAUCCAUAUCAAAGAUUUAUAAAGAAAGAACAACGAUGAAUUUCAUAAACAUUUGAAAGCAUAUACAAAGUUUUAAAUAAUAUUGCUUGAGGUGCAAAUAUUAUUUGGCGCACAUGUUGAGGGACUUCAACUGGUGUAGUCUAGGUUUUUUACACUAGUAAGUAAUCUUGAAUAUCUAGAGUAACUUGAUCAAAAUCUCUUUAAUUUUAUUUUCUUUGAUGGUUGUAUGAUGAAUUAGAAUGCUUAUAUAACAGGAUUAAAAAUUUUAAGAAAAAAAACCAAGAAGAAAGAAAGAAGCACCGAUCUUCCAAAUAUUGCUUCCACUUUAAUAUCUAGAAGGCUCUAAGAAAAUAACUUUAUUCAUGAAUCAUAACCCAAGUCGAAAAUAAAUUGAACCCAUUUUCUAAGUUAAAUUUUGAAUUUUUUACUAGUGAAUGCAAAUUGGGAAAAUGUAUAUAAAUAUAAUUAAACUAGAAUAGUAGAUUAGGUUUGUAGGUGGAGUUUGUUUGAAUUGUUGGAACUUCCAAGUCGUUGUGGGUCUAGUGGUCCCAUAGCUCUCUAUUAAUUUCCACCAUCAAUUUUCUACAAUAAAGUCAAGUCAUUCCUAACCCCUAUAUUAAGUUGGCCUUAAAAGUCAAGUCAUUGAUCAUAGUUACAUUCAUGAAUCACAACCCAAGUCGAAAAUAAAUUGAACCCAUUUUUCAAGUUCAACUUUGAAUUUUUUACUAGUGAAUGCAAAUUGGGAAAACAUAUAUAAAUAUAAUUAAACUAAAAUAGUAGAUUAGGUUUGUAGGUAGAGUCUGCUUGAAUUGUUGAAACUUCCAAGUCAUCGUGGGCCCAGUGGUCCCAUAGCUCUCUAUUAAUUUCCACCAUCAAUUUUUUUGCAAUAAAGUCAAGUCAUUCCUAACCCCUAUAUUAAUUUGGCCUUAAAAGUCUAGUCAUUGAUAGCUAAAUCCUAACCCAAGUCAAAAAUAAAUUGAACCCAUUUUCUAAGUUCAACUUUGAAUUUUUCUUAAUUGGAAAAAUGUAUAUAAAUACAAUUAAACUAGAAUAGUAGAUUAGGUUUGUAGGUGGAGUCUGCUUGAAUUUGUGAAACUUCCAAGUCAUCGUGGGUCUAGUGGUCCCAUAGCUCUCUAUUAACUUCCACCAUCAAUUUUCUGUAAUAAAGUCAAGUCAUUCCUAACCCCUAUAUUAAUUUGGCCUUAAAAGUCUGGUCAUUGAUAGCUACGUUCAUGAAUCCCAACCCAAGUCAAAAAUAAAUUGAACCCAUUUUCUAAGUUCAACUUUGAAUUCUUUUAAUUGGGAAAAUGUAUAUAAAUACAAUUAAACUAGAAUAGUAGAUUAGGUUUGUAGGUGGAGUCAAGCUUGAAUUUGUGAAACUUCCAAGUCGUCAUGGGUCUAGUGGUCCCAUAGCUCUUUAUUAAUUUUCACCAUCAAUUUUCUGCAAUAAAGUUAAGCCAUUCCUAAACCAUAUAUUAAUUUGGCCUUAAAAGUCAAGUCAUUGAUAGUUACGUUCAUGAAUCACAACCCAAGUCUAAAAUAAAUUGAACCCAUUUUCCAAGUUCAACUUUGAUUUUUUUACUAGUGAAUGCAAAUUGGGAAAACUUAUAUAAAUAUAAUUAAACUAGAAUAGUAUAUUAGGUUUGUAGGUGGAGUAAGCUUGAAUUGUUGAAACUUCCAAGUCAUCAUGGGUCUAAGGGUCCCAUAGCUCUCUAUUGAUUUCCAUCGUCAAUUUUUAUGAAUUAAGAUUUAAAAGUGAGAAGGGAAUAAAUUUUUUCUUUUUCAAUUCAUUACAAAAAAUAUUUUUGGUUUUUAUGCUAAAAUUUAUUGUUAUUCAAAAAAUUAAAGUAUAUAAAUAAUAUAUAUAUAUAUAUAUAGAUAUAUAUAUCUUGCUAUUAUAGAAGAGCUCCAAAGUUUUCGUGUUUAAGAGAAUAUGUGUUGCCACUUUAGAAGAUUUAUAUACAAAAAGGAUUGAUGUUUCUCCUUUGACUAUUUUUGGUUCCCAAAAAUUCGAGGGAAAGAAAAUAAAAAAAAAAAAAGUAGUAAAAAAGAAAAAUAAAGGAAAAUAAAAAAUAGUUUUAAAGUUAAUAAAUUAUUUUUAUAUGUUUUUUCAAACUUAUUUUACUUUUUUUUUCAUUAUAUAAAGAUUAAAUAAUUUUAAAAAUGUAUAAAUUUCUAACUAAUUUUAAUUAUAUUUAAUUUUUGUUUUUAUAUUUUUUAGACGGGAUCCGACACAUGAAAAAAUCCUUUUUUUUAGCAUCUUUUUUUCUUUUCUUAUUACUUUCCAAUAACCAAAUAUAACCUUUAGAUUUAGCCUUUAGACUUGGAGUAUGGAACGAUACUGACUAUUGAAAGAAGGUUUUGUAUAUGGCCAUGAUACCAUAGAAAAAAUGGGCGAGAGAGAAAAAACCUUUAUUAAAUGAUAAAUUAUUUUUUUCAAUGGAAAUCAAAUAUAAUUAUUUUUAUAAUAAUUACUUUAUUUUUAAAAAAUAAUAAUAAAACAAAUAAUUUGUUGUUGCAUUAAGUAUUCUUGCAUUUGGAGAAGCAUGUUACUACUUACUACAUAAAUAGAUAUUCAUGGAGUGCAUUCUCUAAAAAGCUCCAGUCUCAUGAAAAUGGAAAGAUGGACCGGCCGGUGAACCGGUUCGAGUUUGGAUUUAUGGGCUGCCUCAGCCUUACACGCAUGAUAGACGGUUGCAGGUGAAGAACUAAUUAAUUUAAAGCCUUCUUCUAUCCUCUCCUAUUCCUCUAUCACUCCAAAUGUUCCACAUGAUAAUGACAAUUCUUUUGUUAAAUGGUAAAAAAAAAAUUUAACAAUUAAUUUUUAAAAAUUUUAAAUUCUAAAUCCAAUUGAAAUUUGACUCUAAUUUGAUGAUAGUUAAAUUACCAUUUUGGGAGAUUCCACUCACUAGUAUUCUCAUUUAUAAAAUCAUGAACUUUGGCAUCCUAAUUAAUGCAAUUUAAACUUUUUUUUUUGUUUACAAAUGAAAUAAGAGGCAACAUAAAAACCCAAAAGUUAAUUUUCCUACCAUCUCUAUGCACCAUUUUAGCUUUACUCCAAUAUAUUUUCUAUGAUUAAUUAUUUUCAUUCAAACAAUAAUAUCAAAAUAUUUUAAAAUUAGACAUAUCAUAAUCAAAUAUCAUUAUAUUAUUAUCGAAUAAUAUUUAAUGUAAUUUAAUAAUCAACUUAUACUUAUAAAAUUUAUUUUUUUUAUUAAUGCAUAUAAUAUUAUUAUCAAAUAUCAUAAAUUAUAUAUAUAUAUAUAUUUCUUUAACAAAACAACUUUAAAAUAUCUAUUAUACUUCUAAUUUCAUUUCUAAGAGGUUUUUUUUUUUUUUUUUUUUUUUUUUUUUUACAUUUUUAUAAGUUUUGAUCAAUUGUAGGCUAACCGAUAUUUUUUAUCAAAAUAUCCACCAAUAUAUCUCCGAUAUAUUAGAUAUAUCCGUAAAAUCGAAAUACCAAUAUAUCCAUGAUUAUCGAUAUUUUUAUCCUUGAGGGAUAACAACUAAUCUAGUUUUUGCACUUAUUGAUAUUCCUCAACAUUUAGAUUGAUUUGACCAAAAUCUUUUUAAUUUUAUUUUCUUUGAUGGUUAUAUGAUGAAUUGGAAUAGUCAUAUAACAUUAACAUAUUUAAGAAAAAAUGAUAAAAAAGAUCGCAUUUUUCAAAUAUUGGUUUCAACUUUGAAUAUUUUUAUUGGUAAAUGAAAAUUGUGAAAAACCUACUAAUGCUAAUACUUUUCACCACAUAAUUAAAUAUAAUAAACUAGAAUAGUGAUUCAUUGAUGUCUCAUAAAGCUACAUGCCUUCUUUGACUUGUUAGUUGAUUUUUGUAGGCGGAGUCCAUUUCCAUUUGAAUUGUUGAAACUUCCAAGUCCUUGUGGGUCUAGUGGUCUCUCUAAUAAUUCCCACCAUUAAUUUUUUGUGAUGAAGUGCAGUCAUUGAUAGCUACUAUAUCAAUUUGCUAUUAAAAGUCAAGUCAUUGAUAACUACUAUUCAAUCUUUUUCAAUAUGGAAAUUGGAAUCGCUAGCACUACUCUUCUCAUUGUUCAUUUUUAAAUUUUAGGUAAUGUGAGAAUGUGUGAACAUAAAUGUCUUCUAAUCAACCAAUUUUUUUGAAAAAAACAUGUACAAAAUUGUAAAACUUGCAAAAUCAAACUUUCUUGUUGAAUAACCAUAGCUUGAUGGUUUUGAAGAAUCAAAGGAUGAAUCCUAAAAGGGUAUUUGAUAAAAAAUAAAAUUUAAAAAAUUAAAAGACAACUACUCCCUUAAGUGUAAUAAGUGUUGUAGACCCCCGGAAGCAGGGACUUUUUUUGAAUUUUUAUUUUUAUUUUCCCGGGGCCCGACAUGAUGGUCAGGAGCUGAUUUUUGGGGCAGAGAGGGGACUCAAGUGGGCGGCUCUCGGGGGGGCAGAUUGGACGGGAUACGGCUGGCUUGCUGAGGAAGACAGGAACAGAAGAAAAACAGAGGAGAAAAGAAGAAAAAGAAAGAGAAAGGAGAGGGGGAUUUCAGACAAGAGGGAGGGAGAAAAAGAAAAGAAAAAGCUGACUGGAGAGGAUUUUGUGGACAGAGGAACCUUCGAGGUAUGAACACUAUCGAUNNNNNNNNNNNNNNNNNNNNNNNNNNNNNNNNNNNNNNNNNNNNNNNNNNNNNNNNNNNNNNNNNNNNNNNNNNNNNNNNNNNNNNNNNNNNNNNNNNNNNNNNNNNNNNNNNNNNNNNNNNNNNNNNNNNNNNNNNNNNNNNNNNNNNNNNNNNNNNNNNNNNNNNNNNNNNNNNNNNNNNNNNNNNNNNNNNNNNNNNNNNNNNNNNNNNNNNNNNNNNNNNNNNNNNNNNNNNNNNNNNNNNNNNNNNNNNNNNNNNNNNNNNNNNNNNNNNNNNNNNNNNNNNNNNNNNNNNNNNNNNNNNNNNNNNNNNNNNNNNNNNNNNNNNNNNNNNNNNNNNNNNNNNNNNNNNNNNNNNNNNNNNNNNNNNNNNNNNNNNNNNNNNNNNNNNNNNNNNNNNNNNNNNNNNNNNNNNNNNNNNNNNNNNNNNNNNNNNNNNNNNNNNNNNNNNNNNNNNNNNNNNNNNNNNNNNNNNNNNNNNNNNNNNNNNNNNNNNNNNNNNNNNNNNNNNNNNNNNNNNNNNNNNNNNNNNNNNNNNNNNNNNNNNNNNNNNNNNNNNNNNNNNNNNNNNNNNNNNNNNNNNNNNNNNNNNNNNNNNNNNNNNNNNNNNNNNNNNNNNNNNNNNNNNNNNNNNNNNNNNNNNNNNNNNNNNNNNNNNNNNNNNNNNNNNNNNNNNNNNNNNNNNNNNNNNNNNNNNNNNNNNNNNNNNNNNNNNNNNNNNNNNNNNNNNNNNNNNNNNNNNNNNNNNNNNNNNNNNNNNNNNNNNNNNNNNNNNNNNNNNNNNNNNNNNNNNNNNNNNNNNNNNNNNNNNNNNNNNNNNNNNNNNNNNNNNNNNNNNNNNNNNNNNNNNNNNNNNNNNNNNNNNNNNNNNNNNNNNNNNNNNNNNNNNNNNNNNNNNNNNNNNNNNNNNNNNNNNNNNNNNNNNNNNNNNNNNNNNNNNNNNNNNNNNNNNNNNNNNNNNNNNNNNNNNNNNNNNNNNNNNNNNNNNNNNNNNNNNNNNNNNNNNNNNNNNNNNNNNNNNNNNNNNNNNNNNNNNNNNNNNNNNNNNNNNNNNNNNNNNNNNNNNNNNNNNNNNNNNNNNNNNNNNNNNNNNNNNNNNNNNNNNNNNNNNNNNNNNNNNNNNNNNNNNNNNNNNNNNNNNNNNNNNNNNNNNNNNNNNNNNNNNNNNNNNNNNNNNNNNNNNNNNNNNNNNNNNNNNNNNNNNNNNNNNNNNNNNNNNNNNNNNNNNNNNNNNNNNNNNNNNNNNNNNNNNNNNNNNNNNNNNNNNNNNNNNNNNNNNNNNNNNNNNNNNNNNNNNNNNNNNNNNNNNNNNNNNNNNNNNNNNNNNNNNNNNNNNNNNNNNNNNNNNNNNNNNNNNNNNNNNNNNNNNNNNNNNNNNNNNNNNNNNNNNNNNNNNNNNNNNNNNNNNNNNNNNNNNNNNNNNNNNNNNNNNNNNNNNNNNNNNNNNNNNNNNNNNNNNNNNNNNNNNNNNNNNNNNNNNNNNNNNNNNNNNNNNNNNNNNNNNNNNNNNNNNNNNNNNNNNNNNNNNNNNNNNNNNNNNNNNNNNNNNNNNNNNNNNNNNNNNNNNNNNNNNNNNNNNNNNNNNNNNNNNNNNNNNNNNNNNNNNNNNNNNNNGGCCCGCCAUACGUGCUUUCCUCAUGAUUGAUUGAUUUGAUUGAUUGAUUGACUUGGCUAUCAUACAUGAUUUAUUUAUCCUGCUCUCCGACAUGCAUGCUAUUAUUUCUUACUUGUGCACUAACCUCUCUCUUGAUAGCGCAUGGUGGCUCGUCGCCCAAGUACGCACCUACUUUCACUCUGGUAAUUGCCCAAGCAUAUUUUGAUUCUCACGUGUGCAUGAUUUAUUCUGGGUACUCAUUGAUCUACUCGUCCAUUGCCAUGAUUGCUUCAUUUUAUUAGUAGAGACCCGACUUUAGGGACUUAGAAGGGUGCUACGGUCCUUACCGUACCUUCCCGAUAAGUAACCUGACCCCCGAACCCGACCCGGUUUUUCGCAGACCGCCUUUUUCAAAAUAAGGAGUCACACUUAGGGUUUUUCUUUCUUAUUUUGUUUACCCUUUAAAAAUAAAACAAAAAUAAGUGACGACUCCAAGUCAUUUUUUUUUUCUUAAUCAAAUAAAAUCAUUUUUCUAACAAAAAUCGAGUUCGUCAUCGAGUGGGAAACACAUGAGCCGAAAUGCGGGGUCCACAAAAUGGCGACUCCGCUGGGGAUUUUUAGAGGGUCAAACUUGAACUUAGAAUGAAGCAAGCGUGGCAUUCGAUUGGACGAUCAGUGGAUGCCCAUUUCUUGAUGGCACAUUGAGGAUAUUUGAUGUAUGCUCGGAUUUUAUAUCUGUUCGAGACUUUUGACAUGUUGAUUAUGGUGAUUGAUUUUAUCCUAAUUGAGGCUUUCGAGGCCAUGUUUUUUCGUGCCUCACUGAUUAUAUCUGUUUGCUACAUCGACAUUGUUGAUUUAUUGAUGAUUGAUCUUAUUGCAUUGAUUAGCACAUUGAUUCUGAUUUUGCCAUGUUUGUUCUGAUCACUUCACAUGCAUACACUCACCACUGUAUAUCACUCGACUUGACAUGUUGAUUCUCUGACUUGUAAUACUGUUUUGACCGUCUUUGAGCAUGAUGUUUGUAUCACUAUUCGUCCCGAUCGUCGUAUUCUCGCUUAUCUUGCGUGUAUAUGAGUGAUAUAUCCUGCUCUGCCUGACUGUAUGAUGCAUGACUGCCCUACCUCUGCAUGAUUGCAUGUCGUCUGUCUAUGUGGGUCUCACUUCUAUCCCCCUACCUCCAAAUCUCUUGGUCUCGGUCAUUCUUUUCAUCUCGGUUCUCACUAUUGCAAGUGUGAGACCUUCUGUGUGCUUGCUCUCUGACCGAGCCAGAGAUUAGGAGUAGGGUCUAGCGACGGGCUAUAUCGAUGCACGGGAGCAUUCUGGAGGAGAGCGACACUUUGAUGUCGAUUGGAGUCCGAUCAUUGAAGACCUGUAUAGCCCCGAGCUAGGUUUCAUGGAUAGUCGUGCGACCAGUGUGUUUCCUCUUCUGCUCUAGAUUCUUAGGGUUUUCGGAUGUACCCACACCUUUCACUGUGCACUUUAGUUGACCAUUGAGCGUCAAGAGUUUGAGAGGUUUCACCAUAGGAAACCCCCUGGGAUGUCGAGGUAGUGCAUGUGUGGAGGUGAUGACCACCUUGCAUGGAAGCACCCCGUCUCUUUUUGAGGCGUGCAGAAGGUUGCGUACCGUCGGAGGGUACGAUCGCUUCUGCUAGGGAUCUUUUAAAGUCCACCCAUAUCCAUUUAGAGUCACCUUCACCAUGCAGGUUGAGCCAUAGAUCCUUUCAAUCAGGACUCCCUCCCUACACGUGGGUGCAUCCGUGGGCCUUCAGAGACGGUUCAGUAGCAACAGGUUUGGUUACCUUCGCAGUAGUCUCUUAUAUAUCUGCUCAGGGUUGGAUAUCAGUUUGUUCGCUUCCAGGCUACCUUUUGACACAUUUGAUAGACAUUCUUUGUGAAGUUUCCCUUACCCCGCACCUUAUCUAGUAUUUUCACUAUUGUAGGAGUACCGAUACGUUCAGUCUGGGUUUGACUUCUUGGAUCAGAGUUGGGGGUAGAUUGAUCAGGGUAUCGGACCAGUUAGGCCAGAGAUCAGAUCAGAGGGAUAUGGAUUCACAGAUAGUUACCGUCGAUCAGUUCGCUGAGGCCAUGGCUUCGAUUCAGGAGGCUAUAGCUAGCCUUGGCCGAAAGAUAGAUGGGCAGCAGGCCCAGCAGGUCCCGCCCCCGGUUGGUGCCCAGUAUGACCCUACAAUGCCACCACCUCCUCCACCCAGUCAGUCAGCGCCACAGGCCAUGCCGUUCACUCUGCAUAGUCAGACCGGGGUUGCCCCACCUCCCAUCACCGCGCCCACCCCGACCUCAGAGGACCCACAUGCUCGCAUGGAUAGACUUGAGCAGGGUUUGAGACAGUUGAGGGCUUCAGACAGAGCCACUACUUGGGAGGGUUUUGAUGGAGUACCGGUAGCUAGCUUGCCGGCUAAGUUCAGGAUGCCUGACAUUGAGAGGUAUACCGGCAUUGGUUGUCCACGCCUCCAUCUCCGAUUAUACAACACCGUGAUGAGGGCUCAUGGACUGGACGAGCCUUAGAUGAUUACUCUUUUCCCACUAUCUUUGAGUGGGGCGGCCCAGCGUUGGUUUGCAUCUUUGGAGGCCUCGAGGCGCCGCACAUGGGACGACUUGGCCCAAGAGUUCCUACGACAGUUUUCGUUUAACACUGUCGUAGAUGUAUCGAGGAGGGAGCUCGAGGCUUUGAGACAGAGGGCGGAGGAGUCUGUUUCUUCUUUCAUUUCUCGCUGGCGCGGGAAGAUAGCUGAGAUUAUCGAUAGACCAUCAGAGAGGGACCAGAUUCAGAUGGUUUUGAGGAGCCUGCAGCCGCGGAUCGCCAGACAUGUGGUAGGGGCCCCGUUCACAGAUUUUGGGUCUCUGGUUAUGGCUCUGUACGAUGUCGAGGACGGCAUCUCGAGAGGCUUAUGGGCAGAUUCUUCCCCUAGUGAUAUUAAGGGGAAGAAGCCCUUCGUAGGAUCGAGGCCAGCAGAUGUGAGCGUUAUCGGUUCUUCCAGUCAGAGGCCUCUCAGGCGCCAUCAGUCGAUCCCACAGUUUCCCGAGCCUCAUUCAUCCUAUGCAUCUCAUCAGUACAGACCACGGGCACCUCGUCCAGCUUAUGAUCAGACAUAUACUCCGCAGACUCUGGCUUUGCCUUAUUAUGCCUCCCAGGGCAUUGAGAGACCCUCAGUUUCCUACACGGCUACAGGACAGCCAUGCUAUGCUGCUCAGUUCACUACGAGACCCGCAGCGUCUUAUCCCCGACCCAGAGCUCAGCAGACUUCUGCUCCCUUUGCUUUGAGGGCGCAGAGGCAGUUCUCACAGAUAGGCAUGCCGUUGAGCCAGGCUCUUCGGAAGCUUACAGAGGCUGGGUUAUUGACUACUCUCACCCCUCGGUCGCCGCCUCAGCCGAUUCCACCUCAGUUCAGGAUGGAUCUACACUGUGCAUACCAUUAGGGGCUUGGACAUGAGACCGAUCGAUGCACCGCUUUGAGGCAUGCCGUUCAGGAUUUGAUUGACCAGGGUUUGGUACACUUGGGUCAGCCGAGUGUGACCACGAACCCGUUGCCUGCUCACACCACACAUGCAGUCCCUCCACCAGCCGAUGACAUUCAUUUCUUAGAGUUUGAUGAGAUCGAUGAUCACAUCCACAUGCUGAGUGAUGUUGAUUCAGACCCAGAGCCCAUCAUGCCAGAUGUGAUUUAUGAGACGAGUGGGGUGACUCUGGGUCCUCGGAUGCCUGCUCCAUUCCGAUUAGUUCCCGAGGCGGCGUCCGUGCAGGCUGCCACAGUUGAGCCAUUGAUUUUGCCGCAUUACAGUGUCCAGACGCCUUUCAUCUUGAUCCCGGAUGUUGAGGGGGUUCAGGCUCCGUAUGUUGAUGAUUCUCAGACUCUGGACAUUCAGUACGUUCUCCGAGGAGGUAGAGUGAUGAGAUAGCCACCUCCAGCUGCUGCCGCUAGACCCUUAGGGGGUGCGUCAUCCCAGGAGGAGGUUAGAGUAGAGGAUGACGAGAUUUUGAGGCAGUUGCAGAGCACUCAGGCUCGUAUUUCUAUCUGGAGCCUUUUAGCGUCCUCCAAUACUCACCGGGAUGCACUGACUCGAGCUCUGAGCCAGAUUAGAGUUGAUACCACGACGACUCCUGAGGGACUCAUUCAUAUGAUGACGGCUGGCAGAGCCACUUGUAUCAUCUUCUCCGAUGAUGACUUGCCACCAGAGGGUUCUGGCCACGCGCGUCCUCUCUAUAUAUCUGUUGGUUGUUCAGGUCGCCGAGUUCCAUCUGUCCUUCUGGACAAUGGCUCGGUCCUGAACGUAUGUCCUCUGGCCACCGCCAUCGCUCUUGGGUACGCACCAUCCGACUUCGGUCCAUCCACUCAGACCGUUCGAGCUUAUGACAUCACCCGUAGAGAGGUCAUGGGUACAUUGGAGAUUGAGCUCCUGAUAGGUCCGACCACAUUUAUCACUAUCUUUCAGGUUUUGAGGAUUCCUACAUCCUUUAACCUGCUUUUGGGCCGACCGUGGAUUCAUCGAGCUGGAGCCGUUCCUUCUUCACUUCAUCAGAAAGUGAAGUUCAUCCAUGAGGGCCAGGUAGUCGUCGUACAGUCGGCAGGGGACAUGUUCAUUUCCGCUGAGCCCGUGCUCCAGAUCAGCCACAGUGACGAUGAUUUACUACUGACCGGGUUCACUUUUGAUGAGGUACAGACUCUUGAGCUGGGAGACUUUUGCCGGGACUUCAUCGCUAUGUCCUUUGACCAGCAUGGGAGCACAGUGGUGCUUGAUAUCAUGAGAGGCAUGUCCUAUCUACCCGGCAUGGGGUUGGGUCGACGUCAGCAUGGACCGAGCGAGUUCAUCACCAUUCCUGAUCAUGACGUACCAUUUGGGCUUGGGUUCAUCCCCACCGAGGCUGACUAUCGAUACAUGGCGCGUUUGCGCAAGGAGAGAGCGAGGGCUCGGCUGACCCACACGCCUUUCGACUAUCCUCUUCGCCCAUACACCAGGAGCUUAUCUGAUUACUUUGUGAGGGCAUCGGAGUCACAUGCACCAUCUGAUGGGAUCAUCGGAGGACUCAGCACCACCCAGGAGGCCGAGCUUCAACGCCUUGUCCAACAGUUACAGUUGAGUGACGGAGCCCUUGGCCCUUCGGCUUCUGUGUUGAUUGCUCCUCCUUCCCCAGAUCGCACGAGCCUUAUGACGCUUUGCUUCCCGGAUGAGAUUGAUGAUCACGGGACUUUUGCCGAGAUUGGAGACGUAGUGGAUAGAGCCGUGCCGCGUGACGAGUACGUUGAUGAGAUGCUCGCGAUGAGUUUGAGCCAGACCGAGGAGAUGGCCCCGCCGGAGCUCGCUUCACCUUUUGAUCUCUUUGGGGUGUCCGUCCUCGAGAUCACUGAGGAUAUCCAGGUUGCCCCCACUCCAGAGGCCGUCGAGGAUGUUAUAGUUGUUGUUGAUUUGUUUGAUGGCCCUGUUGGCCUAGUUGAGGGAGCGUCCGACCUUGUGGACCCACCUCUCACCUUUGAUGUUUUAUCGGGAUUUGUCUCCCGUCAUGACUAUGUUUCUGACUUUUCAUCUAUGGAUUUGAGCACCUUUGAGUAUUUGCCUGUCUCUCAUGUUAUUGAUUUAUCUGCACCAUCUUCACCCACAUCACAGAUUUUUGACAUUGAUGAUGAGAUUGCGCAGCACGACUCAGACGAUGAUUCGUCUUCUGCUUCCGAUUCAGACCCCGUUGAUCAGAGAGUUUCACCUGCUGUAGGGGACACCGAGAUUGUUGACUUUGGCACAACAGAUCAGCCUAGGGAGUUGAGGAUCGGAUCAGAUUUGUCUACAAAUGAGAGAGAUAGCCUCAUCCAGCUACUCAGAUCCUACUUGGACGUUUUCGCAUGGUCCUAUGAGGACAUGCCAGGCCUUGAUCCAUCUAUCGUCCAGCAUCGUUUGCAACUUCUGCCCCGGGCCCGACCGGUUAAGCAGAAGUUGAGACGAUUGCACCCUCGUUGGAGCUUGCAGGUGAAAGAGGAGAUCCAGAAGCAGCUCAGUGUAGGAUUCUUAUCAGUGGUUGAGUACCCGGAGUGGCUGGCCAAUGUCGUCCCUGUUCCCAAGAAGGACGGCAAGGUGAGAGUCUGUGUUGAUUUCCGAGAUCUCAACAAGGCCAGUCCUAAGGAUGAUUUUCCUCUUCCACACAUCGACAUGCUAGUUGACAGUACGGCAGGUCAUUCGAUGUUGUCCUUUAUGGACGGAUUUUCCGGGUACAGUCAGAUCUUGAUGGCUCCAGAGGACAUGGAGAAGACGUCCUUCAUUACCGAGUGGGGCACUUAUUGCUAUAGAGUCAUGCCAUUCGGAUUGAAGAACGCAGGAGCCACAUAUCAGAGAGCAGCGACCACACUCUUCCAUGACAUGAUGCAUCGGGAUGUCGAGGUUUACGUAGACGACAUGAUAGUGAAAUCCCGAUAUAGAUCAGAUCAUUUGGCAGCUCUUGAGAGGUUCUUUGAGAGGAUCAGACAGUUCAGAUUGAGACUGAAUCCCAAGAAGUGCACUUUCGGAGUGACUUUCGGGAAGCUCUUGGGAUACAUGGUCAGUGAGCGAGGCAUAAAGGUAGAUCCGGACAAGAUUAGAGCCAUUCUUGACAUGCCUGCGCCGAGGACAGAGAGAGAGGUCAGAGGCUUCCUGGGCAGACUUCAGUACAUCAGUAGAUUCAUAGCCAGAUUGACAAACAUCUGCGAGCCCAUAUUUCGACUCUUGAGGAAGAGUCAACCUACUGUUUGGGAUGACCAGUGCCAACGUGCCUUCGAGAGGAUCAGAGAGUACUUGUUGUCACCUCCUGUUUUGGCGCCUCCUACACCAGGCCGUCCUCUACUCUUAUACUUGUCUGUAUCAGACGUGGCCUUGGGUUGCAUGUUAGCUCAGCUCGAUGAUUCGAGCAAGGAUCGAGCCAUUUACUAUUUGAGUAAGAGGAUGUUAGACUACGAGACGAGGUAUGUCAUGAUUGAGCGUUAUUGUUUGGCAUUGGUUUGGGCCACUCACCGGUUGAGACAUUACAUGACCGAGUAUUCCGUGCAUUUGAUAUCUCGCUUGGAUCCUCUGAGAUAUUUGUUUGACAGACCCGCUCUGGUUGGUCGCCUUAUGAGAUGGCUGGUACUUCUUACUGAGUUUGACAUCCAUUAUGUCACUCAGAAGUCCAUCAGAGGGAGCAUUGUAGCAGAUCAUCUAGCCUCAUUACCAGUUUCUGAUGCCAGAGCUAUUGACGAUGAUUUUUCAGACGAGGAUGUCGCUGCUGUGACUAGUCUGUCAGGUUGGCGCAUGUACUUUGAUGGCGCGGCCAACCAUUCCGGAUAUGGGAUAGGCGUCUUGUUGAUAUCCCCUCACGGUGAUCACAUUCCCAGAUCAGUUCGUUUGGCAUUCUCGGAUCGGCACCCUGCCACGAACAACAUUGUUGAGUAUGAGGCUUGUAUCUUGGGAUUAGAGACGGCCCUUGAGCUUAGGAUUAGACAGAUGGAGGUGUUUGGUGACUCCAAUAUGGUAUUGAGACAGAUUCAGGGUGAGUGGAAGACUAGAGAUGUGAAGCUUAGGCCUUAUCAUGCAUAUUUGGAGCUACUGGUUGGGAGAUUUGAUGAUUUGAGAUAUACCCAUCUGCCUAGAGCGCAGAACCAGUUUGCUGAUGCUUUAGCUACUCUAGCUUCCAUGAUCGAUAUUCCCGUUGACGCCACUGUUCGAUCUUUGUUGAUCGAGUCGAGAUCUGCUCCUGCUUACUGUUGCCUGAUCGAUGAUGUAGAGCCAGAUGAUGGUUUUCCAUGGUAUCACGACAUAUAUCACUUUUUGAGACUCGGCAUAUAUCCUGAGGCCGCCACGGCCAAGGAUAAGAGAGCAUUGAGACAGUUGGCCACUCGAUUCGUGAUUUGUGGCGAGACACUGUACAGGCGAUCACCUGACGGGAUGCUAUUAUUGUGUUUGGACCGCGCCUCUGCCGAUCGGGUGAUGAGAGAGGUUCAUGCGGGAGUCUGCGAACCACAUAUGGGAGGACAUAUGUUGGCUCGUAAGAUCAUGAGGACAGGAUACUUCUGGUUGACCAUGGAGACAGAUUGCUGCCAGUUUGUUCAGAGGUGUCCCGAGUGUCAGAUACACGGAGAUCUCAUUCACGUGCCGCCCUCCGAGCUGCACGCACUAACUUCACCAUGGCCAUUUUCCGUCUGGGGUAUUGAUAUCAUCGGGAAGAUUUCACCGAAAUCUUCCAGUGGUCAUGAGUUCAUCCUGGUCGCCAUCGAUUACUUCACCAAGUGGGUGGAGGUCGCUUCGUAUGCGAGAUUGACAUCGUCUGGAGUUGCUAGUUUCAUCAGAUCACACAUUAUCUGUCGCUAUGGAGUCCCUCAUGAGUUGAUUUCAGACAGAGGAGUACAUUUCAGAGCAGAGGUUGACACCUUAGUACAGAGAUACAGCAUCCGGCAUCAUAGAUCGUCUACGUACAGGCCGCAGACGAAUGGGGCAGUAGAGGCCGCGAAUAAGAAUAUCAAGAGGAUAUUACGGAGGAUGGUCGAGACUUCUCGGGAUUGGUUAGAGAAGCUCCCAUUUGCAUUGUGGGCUUAUCGAACUUCUUUUCGCACCUCUAUAGGCGCCACACCCUACUCCUUGGUAUAUGGCAUAGAGGCGAUGCUACCCGUUGAGAUUGAGAUGGGUUCGUUGAGAGUAGCACUAGAGCAGCAGAUUCCCGAGGCAGAUUGGGCUCAGGCUCGAUUUGAUCAGCUCAAUCUCCUAGAUGAGAGGAGAUUGAGAGCAGCAGACCAUGUUCGUGCGUAUCAGAGGAAGAUGGCCCGCGCUUUCAAAAAGCGGGUCAAGCCCAGACCAUUACAGAUAGGUGACUUAGUUCUGAAAGUCAUCAGGGGAUUGAUCAGAGAUCCUAGAGGGAAGUUCAGACCCAACUGGAGCGGACCUUAUUUCAUCAGGGAGUUGACCCCAGAGGACGCUGCAUGGUUGAUGGAUUUAGAUGGAAACCGAUUCUCAGAGCCAACCAAUGUGGAUCAGCUAAAGAGGUACUAUGUUUGAGACCAUGGUCGCAGGAUGGGUGGCCAUCAUUUCGGUUAGCCAUUUACCUUGUUACUCCCUUUUGAUACAUAGUCCAUUGCUAGCCCAUUGAGCCUCGCAUGCGCAUUAUAGCCUUUCUUUUUUAUCGCCUUGCUCACAUUUUCACACCGGGAUAGGGGCCCUUUAAUGUAUGCAUGCAUUGUUUGGUAGUUUCAUGAGCUUUGGACCUAGAGGCAUGUUUUUUCUCAUUGUCUUUUUCUAUCACUACACCUUUGCAUUUUCAUCUCAUCUUAUUGGUUAUGUUAUUCAUCUCUUCUUCCUUAUCCUAUCUACUAUCUGUUUGUUUCAUAUUUCGCUUCACCCUGGGGGGUGAUCCUCCUCAGUUCAUCACAUGGAGGGUAGUCACAUCAUUUCUGCCAUCUAUCUCGCGGACACUGAUUUAGAGAUCCUUAGUUUGAGAAGGUCAUCUUGUCAAAGAGAGUUUGUUUGUUACCUUAGCACUUGGGGGUGUGUCCAUUUGUUAUCGAUAUCAUCUUUGGGGUUCAUUUGUUCAUGUUCAGGGUACGCGUAUUUGUAUAUAUGUAAAAAAAAAGAGAAAAAGAAAAUUAUUAUUAUUAUUAUUAGCACAUGUGUGUAUGUGCAUAGUGUUCUCGAUCAUUGGGUAUGUAUAUUGAUGUUUGGGGGUCAUUUUUAUCGAGUAUGUUCGUUAUUGGGAGUUCGUAUGUGAACUCUCUGAGAUCCCACGCUAUUUGUAUUGCUUCGUCAUAUCUAUUUGUGAGAGAGACGAGUGACCUUCUCCUAAGGACUCCGAGUCAUUGCCUUUUCCAUCAUUACCUUCAUUAUUGAUGUGACUUCACUUCAUGUUUGAUCUGAGUCGUUCACCACCUUUCUUCACAUAUUCAUUGUUUCGCCGUCGUUUUUAUCAUUGCUUGUGAUUCAUCUCAUUCCCUUCGCGUCUUAUUCCCUCCUUAUAGCGACCCAUCUCGGUUUCGAUGCUCACUUCGCAUCAUCAUUACACAUGUCACUAUCAGUUCAUUUUGCUCCAUUUGUCUCCUUAUCGAUAUCAUAUUCACGUUAGGCAUCCUCAGGUCCAUGGCUCAUGGGGUUCACUAUACAUGUUGCAUUUCAUAUAUGAGGGCAUGAGUUUUGAUCAUUGGGUAUUUGAGCCUAGUUUCCUUUCGUUUCUAUCACCCUAUCACCUUGGCCUACGUUACGUCCCGUGUCUUAAGACCACCCUGAGGUCAUGGGAUCAGAUGUCGUCUUCGGCAGCCCCUACUUGGACAGGUGAUUGAGAUCUGGUUGAUAUUUAGAUAUUGUCAUGCUUCUUCUUCUGGGAGUCGCCCCUUUGAUGUGUAGGACUGAUUCAGUUGUGUUCGGAUUACCAGGAUCGUGAGUUUGACGAUGAUUGACUUGGUGUCACCUGUUUUUUUGACCUAUCAUACCUCUGGUACCACACUGGGGCAUAUCCCAUUUCAUUUGGAGGUUCAUGGAUCCUCACGGAGUUGCGCGAUCAUCACUUACUGGAUGCUCAUCGAGACGUGGACAUGAUCGUUACCUUACGAAGCCUCUGAGACCCAUCCAGCCAUAUGAUUUCUUGUCGCUUGAUUUCUGGCCUAUCGUGCGCCCGAUGCCAUACUGGGGCAUAUUUUCGUUUCGGAUGAGAUAUACGGAUCUUCACGGAGGUCACGUGCUCGACGAUAGAUGAUUUCAUGUCAUUUGUUCUGCAGACCUAUCGUGCGCCCGAUGCCAUACUGGGGCAUAUUUCCGUUUCGGAUGAGAUUUACGGAUCUUCACGGAGGUCACGUGCUCGACGAUAGAUGAUUUCAUGUCAUUUGUUCUUCAGACCUAUCGUGCGCCCGAUGCCAUACUGGGGCAUAUUUCCGUUUCGGAUGAGAUAUACGGAUCUUCAUGGAGGUCACGUGCUCGACGAUAGAUGAUUUCAUGUCAUUUGUUCUGCAGACCUAUCGUGCGCCCGAUGCCAUACUGGGGCAUAUUUCCGUUUCGGAUGAGAUAUACGGAUCUUCACGGAGGUCACGUGCUCGACGAUAGAUGAUUUCAUGUCAUUUGUUCUGCAGACCUAUCGUGCGCCCGAUGCCAUACUGGGGCAUAUUUCCGUUUCGGAUAAGAUUUACGGAUCUUCACGGAGGUCACGUGCUCGACGAUAGAUGAUUUCAUGUCAUUUGUUCUUCAGACCUAUCGUGCGCCCGAUGCCAUACUGGGGCAUAUUUCCGUUUCGGAUGAGAUUUACGGAUCUUCACGGAGGUCACGUGCUUGACGAUAGAUGAUUUCAUAUCGCUUUUCUUCUGACCCGUCCCACGUUCGAUGCCAUGCUAGGGGCAUAUUUCCGUUUCGAUUGAGAUUUACGGAUCUUCAUGGAGUUGCAUGCUCAUCCCCACUUACGAGAUACACACUGACAUGGUUGUUUCCUCCGUGGAGCCUCUCAGGAGUUACCCAGUUAGGCCUACACUUCGCGACGCCUCGAUGUCAUCAUGUUUUCCUUCCGGGAGACGCCCCUUUUGAUCUAUGGGUUUGAUUCAGUUGUACACGUGGAUGAUUUGGAUCGCGCAUUUGAUGACGGGUGAUCUGAGCUCAUCUGGUUCUUCUGACCUAUCACACAUCCGAUGUCAUACUGGGGCAUACCCCCAUCCUUGAGUCCACCAGGUAUUUUGCGAUUUUUCUCAUCACUUGAUCCACAUCUGGAUCUUUGCGGGUCGUCAUGCUGGGGCAUCCCCCCACUGUCAUUUACGUUUGGGGCAUCCCCCCACUGUUAUUUACGUUUGGGGCAUCUCCCCAUUGUUAUUUACGUUUGGGGCAUCCCCCCACUGUCAUUUACGUUUGGGGCAUCCCCCCAUUGUUAUUUACGUUUGGGGCAUCCCCCCACUGUCAUUUACGUUUGGGGCAUCCCCCCAUUGUCAUUUCGUUAGGGGCAUCCCCCCGCUGUCUUUACGUUUGGGGCAUCUCCCCACUGUUAUUUACGUUUGGGGCAUCCCCCCACUGUCAUUUACGUUUGGGGCAUCCCCCCAUUGUUAUUUACGUUUGGGGCAUCCCCCUAUUGUCAUUUCGUUAGGGGCAUCCCCCCGCUGUCUUUACGUUUGGGGCAUCUCCCUACUGUUAUUUACGUUUGGGGCAUCCCCCCACUGUCAUUUACGUUUGGGGCAUCCCCCGCUGUCAUUUUCGUUUGGGGCAUCCCCCCACUGUCAUUUUCGUUUGGGGCAUCCCCCCACUGUCAUUUACGUUUGGGGCAUCCCCCCAUUGUCAUUUCGUUAGGGGCAUCCCCCCGCUGUCUUUACGUUUGGGGCAUCUCCCCACUGUUAUUUACGUUUGGGGCAUCCCCCCACUGUCAUUUUCGUUAGGGGCAUCCCCCCGCUGUCUUUACGUUUGGGGCAUCUCCCCACUGUUAUUUACGUUUAGGGCAUCCCCCCACUGUCAUUUACGUUUGGGGCAUCCCCCCAUUGUCAUUUCGUUUGGGGCAUCCCCCCACUGUCAUUUUGUUUAGGGCAUCUCCCCAUUGUUAUUUAUGUUUAGGGCAUCCCCCUAUCUUCAGUUUGUUUAGGGCAUUCCCCUACCGUCAGUUCGCUUAGGGCAUCUCCCUUUGUUUCAGAUUUAUCACCACCGUAGGUCUUCACCUAUGGGCCUUAUAGUUUAGUGUUUAGAGUUAGCUUUUUGGUUUGACUUUCAGAGCUAUUAUUUUCUCAGUUUAUCAUUUAGAGUUAGUUUUUUUUUGUUUGGCUUCCAGAGCCAUUAUUCUUCUAGUUUAGUGUUUAGAGUUAGCUUUUUUAUUUGGCUUCCAGAGCUAUUAUUGUUUUUUUCCAGUUUGACGUUCAGAGUCACCAUCAUCACUUUUCAGUUUCGGCGUUCAGAGCCAUCACCGUGUUUUCAGCUCCGGCAUUCAGAGCCAUCAUCGAUUUUCAGAUCGACAUUCAGAGUCGCAUCCUCGGUUUCGGCGUUCGGAGUCGUUAUCACUCCUCGGUUUGACGUUCAGAGUCAUCAUCAUCACUUCUCAGUUUCGGCGUUCAGAGCCAUCAUCAGUUUUCAGAUCGACGUUCAGAGUCGCAUCCUCGGUUUGACGUUCAGAGUCAUCAUCAUCACCUUUCAGUUUCAGCGUUCAGAGCCAUCAUCGGUUUUCAAAUCGACGUUCAGAGUCAUCAUCAUCACUUCUCAGUUUCGACAUUCAGAGCCAUCAUCGAUUUUCAGAUCGACAUUCAGAGUCGCAUCCUCGGUUUCGGCGUUCGGAGUCGUUAUCACUUCUCGGUUUGACGUUCAGAGUCAUCAUCAUCACUUCUCAGUUUCGGUGUUCAGAGCCAUCAUCAGUUUUCAGAUCGACGUUCAGAGUCGCAUCCUCGGUUUGACGUUCAGAGUCAUCAUCAUCACUUCUCCGUUUCGGCAUUCAGAGCCAUCAUCGGUUUUCAGAUCGACAUUCAGAGUCGCAUCCUCGGUUUCGACAUUCAGAGUCGUUAUCACUUCUCAGUUUGACGUUCAAGAUCAUCGUCAUUACUUUUUAGUUUCGGCGUUCAGAGCCAUCAUCGGUUUUUAGAUCGACAUUCAGAGUCACAUCCUCAGUUUCGACGUUCCAAGCCAUCAUCACAUCUUCGUUGACGUUCAGAGCCAUCAUCACUAUUUUCAGUGUGGCGUUCAGAGCCAUCAUCGCUUCUCAGUUUAGGCUUCCAGAGCCAUUACUGUCAUCUUGUUUAGGCUUCCAGAGCCACUACUGUCAUCUUGUUUAGGCUUCCAAAACCACUACUAUCAUCUUGUUUAGGCUUCCAGAGCCAUCAUUGUCGUCUCGUUUAGGCUUCCAGAGCUGUUAUUUUCUAGUUUAGCUUUUAGAGUCAGUUUUUGGUUUGGCUUCUAGAGCUUUUACUUUCUUGGUUUAGUGAUUAGAGUUAGCUUUUCGGUUUGGCUUCCAGAGCUUUUAUUUUCUCAAUUUAGUGCCUAGAGUCGGUCUUGUCAUCCAGAGUCACAACUCCUGGCGUUCAUGUCCACUGGCAUUGCACAUCUUACCUUCAGGGUUUUGCAUUCGUCCUCGGCUUUCCUCACUUCGUUACCCGGUGCUUAUCCCAUAUUCAUCUCGUACUCCAGGGUGGUUCGACCGUUACUCAUCUUUGACAUUGAUCUCUUGAGUCACCUGUAGAGAUGUCUUAGAGGGAAUCUGGGUCCUCGAUGCAGCUUUCGAGGCGCCUUGAGCCUCUCUUAGAAUUUUAGAGCCUCGAGCGAGUUUGUGUUCUACUUGUACCUUUCGGGUUCGGGGGUCUUUCUUUGUUCUUCGAUAGAGUUCACUUCAUUUCACUCUCUUUUCACACUUCUUUUUCACUCUAGUGUUCACAUUCCUUACACUCGUGAACUCUAUCAAAGAGGGGCAUAUUUGUAGACCCCCGGAAGCAGGGACUUUUUUUGAAUUUUUAUUUUUAUUUUCCCGGGGCCCGACAUGAUGGUCAGGAGCUGAUUUUUGGGGCAGAGAGGGGACUCAAGUGGGCGGCUCUCGGGGGGGCAGAUUGGACGGGAUACGGCUGGCUUGCUGAGGAAGACAGGAACAGAAGAAAAACAGAGGAGAAAAGAAGAAAAAGAAAGAGAAAGGAGAGGGGGAUUUCAGACAAGAGGGAGGGAGAAAAAGAAAAGAAAAAGCUGACUGGAGAGGAUUUUGUGGACAGAGGAACCUUCGAGGUAUGAACACUAUCGAUCUCUCGUUUUCUUCCACAUUUUUUUUAGUCUUCAUGCAUUUUUGCUGCUGUUUCUAGCUCCCUUUCAUUGCUUGGACAUGGAUAUUAUUGGUUAUGUGCCCAUUUGUUAUUGUUCCUCUGAGAUUUCCAUGGCUGCGUUUAGGUUAUUCAGGUUGCUCUUUCUAUGGUUUUGGAUUCUACCUGUUCAUAAGUUCAGUGGUUUUCAUCAUGACAUGGGCAUUGGUUUAUAUCACCCGCCGAUUUGUGUUCCAUGUUGUGUUCUAUUUCUAAAGUUAUUUAUUUUUUUUCUUUCUUUCUUUGUUAUUAUUCUCCCCUGCUUCCAUUUCUUAUCUGGACGUGUGGCUUCUUUUGGGUGCAUUGUUUCAUCACGACAUUCCCACUCCAUUAACUUUCAUAUUCAACCUCAUGCUCUCUCUCUCUACCCUUUACUCACACCCACCGAACCCAUUCCUCCCCGCCACUUUCCAUCACCUGCCCCAAGCAUCACCCAUUCAAUCAUUUCAUUCCUUCUCCGUGUACAUGAAGCUCCAUGCAUGCGUGCAUGGGAGCCAUGCAAAGGUGGCACGCUCCUGUAAAGGCCACAGCUGCCGGAUCCGUCCUCGGACACAGACACCAGGCCGCAGCUGCAGGUUCCACUCCCGAACGCCGACGCUGGAACGCGAUGGCGAAGGCGGCAUGGGUGGCGAUAAUCGAGGCGGCGGCGUGGAAAUCGGGCAUCCUGGACAGAUUUCGAGGCCCUCCGGCGUUGCCUCUCUCACCUUCAUUUCCUCCGUCGCCGUCUUCGGAGGUGAGGAAGAAGAUGAAGUUGGCUUUUGGGCUUGCCCAUGGUGUUGGGUUUGGGCUUAAGUGGGAGCCCAGCCCAAGCAAGGUGAUGGAAGUCAAUGUCUUCUCAAUGAAUGGGUUGAGACAGGGAUGGGCUUGGGCUUGGGCUUUGCUAGUGGACUUGGAGGCUUGGAUUUGGGCUUGAGGCUUGCUGAUGGACUUGGACUGAAAUAGGGUUGAUAGGGUGAUAUUAUUAUUAUUAUUAUUAUUAUUAUUAUUAUUAUUAUUAUUAUUAUUGUUAACGAAUAUUAUUAUCAUUAUUAGCAAAAUAUUAUUAUUAUUAUUAUUAUUAUUAUUAUUAUUAUUAUUAACGGAUAUCAUCAUUAUUAAUUAUUAUUAUUUCUAUUAUUAUUAUUAUUAUUAUUAUUAUUAUUAUUAUCAUUGUCAUUAUUAUUAUUUGCUCAGUUUUUUCAAAUCUUUUCAUCGUUAUUAUUUAUUAUUAUUAUUAUUAUUAUUCAUUCAAAUUUUCAAAAUCUAUUUAUUAUUAUUAUUAUUAUUAUUAAUCCAAACUUCCAAAAAUCUCAUUAUUAUUAUUAUUAUUAUUCAUUCAAAUUUUCAAAAUCUAUUUAUUAUUAUUAUUAUCAUCAUUAAUCCAAACUUCCAAAAAUCUCAUUAUUAUUAUUAUUAUUAUUAACUCAAUUUUCAAAAAUCUAUUUAUUAUUAUUAUUAUUAAUCCAAACUUCCAAAAAUCUCAUUAUUGUUAUUAUUAUUAUUCAUUCAAAUUUUCAAAAUCUAUUUAUUAUUAUUAUUAUCAUCAUUAAUCCAAACUUCCAAAAAUCUCAUUAUUAUUAUUAUUAUUAACUCAAUUUUCAAAAAUCUAUUUAUUAUUAUUAUUAUCAUCAUUAAUCCAAACUUCCAAAAAUCUCAUUAUUAUUAUUAUUAUUAACUCAAUUUUCAAAAUCUAUUUGUUAUUAUUAUUAUCAUCAUUAAUCCAAACUUCCAAAAAUCUCAUUAUUAUUGUUAUUAUUACCUCAACUUUCAAAAUCUUAUUAUUAUUAUUAUUAUUAUCAUUAUCAUUAUCAUUGAUUAAAGCUUUCAAAACCAUAUUAUUAUUAAUUCAAACUUUCUAACUUCCAAUUUCCAAGCCCAAUUUAUAAAAAUUCAACCUUCAAAUAAUACUUCAAAAUUCCGAUCUUUAAAACUCAAUUUCGAUUUCCGAAAACACUCAUACUCACUUUAAUCUAUUUAAUUAUUGUUAUUUUGAUAAUUUAUUUCAAAACUCCAUUUUAAAUCGAAUUCUCUAAAACUUCUGAUUUUCCGAAUUAAAUUCCUAAUCCCAAAAAUUCUCAUGUUCCCACUAAAUUAUUUGAUCAUUGGUAUUUUAUUUAUUUCAAAACUCCGUUUUAAAUCAAAUUCUUUAAAAUUGUUGAUUUCCGAAUUAAACUCCUAAUCCCGAAAAUUCUCAUGUUCUCAUUAAUUUACUUAAUCAUUAGUAUUUUAUCUCCAUUUUAAAUCAAUUCUUUAAAACUUCAGAUUUACAAAUUAAAUCCCUAAUCUUGAAAAUUCUCAUAUUCACAUUAAUUUAAUCACUAAUAAUUUGUUUAUUUAUCUUAAAAUUCUAUUUUAAACAAUUCUUUAAACUUUCUGACUUCUAAAUCUAAUUUCCAAUUUCAAAAAUUUCAGCAUUCCCAUUCAUUUAUUUAAUCAUUAUUUUCGUCCUUAUUAUUAUUAGUUCAUUUAUUUAUUUCAAAAUUCCAUUUUUAAACAUUUUUUUUGAAUCCCAACUUUCGAACUUAAUUUCCGAUUUCUAAGAUUCUAAUUUCCUUCAAGUUUGACAUCCCAAAAUUCCAACUUUUAAAUUUAAUUCUCAAGACUCCAAUCUUCAAAUAAUUUUCGAGACUCCAAUUCCCAAAUAAAUUUCAAAAAUUCAAUUUUCUCUCUAACAGUUUUAAUUCUCUUCGGGUUUCAAAUAAUCUUCGAUUUCUCUUGGUUUUAUAUAAACAUGAAUGCUAUUUUCAUAAUUCCAGAAUAAUGGGAUUUGUGAUAUUAAUUCCUGCAAAAAUGAAUGGGCUUUGGUGGGGGCCCGCCAUACGUGCUUUUCUCAUGAUUGAUUGAUUUGAUUGAUUGAUUGAUUGAUUGACUUGGCUAUCAUACAUGAUUUAUUUAUCCUGCUCUCCGACAUGCAUGCUAUUAUUUCUUACUUGUGCACUAACCUCUCUCUUGAUAGCGCAUGGUGGCUCGUCGCCCAGGUACGCACCUACUUUCACUCUGGUAAUUGCCCAAGCAUAUUUUGAUUCUCACGUGUGCAUGAUUUAUUCUGGGUACUCAUUGAUCUACUCGUCCAUUGCCAUGAUUGCUUCAUUUUAUUAGUAGAGACCCGACUUUAGGGACUUAGAAGGUGCUACGGUCCUUACCGUACCUUCCCGAUAGUAACCUGACCCCCGAACCCGACCCGGUUUUCGCAGACCGCCUUUUCAAAUAAGGAGUCACACUNNNNNNNNNNNNNNNNNNNNNNNNNNNNNNNNNNNNNNNNNNNNNNNNNNNNNNNNNNNNNNNNNNNNNNNNNNNNNNNNNNNNNNNNNNNNNNNNNNNNGGCUGCGUUUAGGUUAUUCAGGUUGCUCUUUCUAUGGUUUUGGAUUCUACCUGUUCAUAAGUUCAGUGGUUUUCAUCAUGACAUGGGCAUUGGUUUAUAUCACCCGCCGAUUUGUGUUCCAUGUUGUGUUCUAUUUCUAAAGUUAUUUAUUUUUUUUCUUUCUUUCUUUGUUAUUAUUCUCCCCUGCUUCCAUUUCUUAUCUGGACGUGUGGCUUCUUUUGGGUGCAUUGUUUCAUCACGACAUUCCCACUCCAUUAACUUUCAUAUUCAACCUCAUGCUCUCUCUCUCUACCCUUUACUCACACCCACCGAACCCAUUCCUCCCCGCCACUUUCCAUCACCUGCCCCAAGCAUCACCCAUUCAAUCAUUUCAUUCCUUCUCCGUGUACAUGAAGCUCCAUGCAUGCGUGCAUGGGAGCCAUGCAAAGGUGGCACGCUCCUGUAAAGGCCACAGCUGCCGGCUCCGUCCUCGGACACAGACACUAGGCCGCAGCUACAGGUUCCACUCCCGAACGCCGACGCUGGAACGCGAUGGCGAAGGCGGCAUGGGUGGCGAUAAUCGAGGCGACGGCGUGGAAAUCGGGCAUCCUGGACAGAUUUCGAGGCCCUCCGGCGUUGCCUCUCUCACCUUCAUUUCCUCCGUCGCCGUCUUCGGAGGUGAGGAAGAAGAUGAAGUUGGCUUUUGGGCUUGCCCAUGGUGUUGGGUUUGGGCUUAAGUGGGAGCCCAGCCCAAGCAAGGUGAUGGAAGUCAAUGUCUUCUCAAUGAAUGGGUUGAGACAGGGAUGGGCUUGGGCUUGGGCUUUGCUAGUGGACUUGGAGGCUUGGAUUUGGGCUUGAGGCUUGCUGAUGGACUUGGACUGAAAUAGGGUUGAUAGGGUGAUAUUAUUAUUAUUAUUAUUAUUAUUAUUAUUAUUAUUGUUAACGAAUAUUAUUAUCAUUAUUAGCAAAAUAUUAUUAUUAUUAUUAUUAUUAUUAUUAACGGAUAUCAUCAUUAUUAAUUAUUAUUAUUUCUAUUAUUAUUAUUAAUUAUUAUUAUUAUUAUUAUUAUUAUUAUCAUUGUCAUUAUUAUUAUUUGCUCAGUUUUUUCAAAUCUUUUCAUCGUUAUUAUUUAUUAUUAUUAUUAUUAUUCAUUCAAAUUUUCAAAAUCUAUUUAUUAUUAUUAUUAUUAUUAUUAAUCCAAACUUCCAAAAAUCUCAUUAUUAUUAUUAUUAUUAUUCAUUCAAAUUUUCAAAAUCUAUUUAUUAUUAUUAUUAUCAUCAUUAAUCCAAACUUCCAAAAAUCUCAUUAUUAUUAUUAUUAUUAACUCAAUUUUCAAAAAUCUAUUUAUUAUUAUUAUUAUUAAUCCAAACUUCCAAAAAUCUCAUUAUUGUUAUUAUUAUUAUUCAUUCAAAUUUUCAAAAUCUAUUUAUUAUUAUUAUUAUCAUCAUUAAUCCAAACUUCCAAAAAUCUCAUUAUUAUUAUUAUUAUUAACUCAAUUUUCAAAAAUCUAUUUAUUAUUAUUAUUAUCAUCAUUAAUCCAAACUUCCAAAAAUCUCAUUAUUAUUAUUAUUAUUAACUCAAUUUUCAAAAUCUAUUUGUUAUUAUUAUUAUCAUCAUUAAUCCAAACUUCCAAAAAUCUCAUUAUUAUUGUUAUUAUUACCUCAACUUUCAAAAUCUUAUUAUUAUUAUUAUUAUUAUCAUUAUCAUUAUCAUUGAUUAAAGCUUUCAAAACCAUAUUAUUAUUAAUUCAAACUUUCUAACUUCCAAUUUCCAAGCCCAAUUUAUAAAAAUUCAACCUUCAAAUAAUACUUCAAAAUUCCGAUCUUUAAAACUCAAUUUCGAUUUCCGAAAACACUCAUACUCACUUUAAUCUAUUUAAUUAUUGUUAUUUUGAUUAUUUAUUUCAAAACUCCAUUUUAAAUCGAAUUCUCUAAAACUUCUGAUUUUCCGAAUUAAAUUCCUAAUCCCAAAAAUUCUCAUGUUCCCACUAAAUUAUUUGAUCAUUGGUAUUUUAUUUAUUUAUUUAUUUCAAAACUCCGUUUUAAAUCAAAUUCUUUAAAAUUGUUGAUUUCCGAAUUAAACUCCUAAUCCCGAAAAUUCUCAUGUUCUCAUUAAUUUACUUAAUCAUUAGUAUUUUAUCUCCAUUUUAAAUCAAUUCUUUAAAACUUCAGAUUUACAAAUUAAAUCCCUAAUCUUGAAAAUUCUCGUAUUCACAUUAAUUUAAUCAUUAAUAAUUUGUUUAUUUAUCUUAAAAUUCUAUUUUAAACAAUUCUUUAAACUUUCUGACUUCUAAAUCUAAUUUCCAAUUUCAAAAAUUCCAGCAUUCCCAUUCAUUUAUUUAAUCAUUAUUUUCGUCCUUAUUAUUAUUAGUUCAUUUAUUUAUUUCAAAAUUCCAUUUUUAAACAUUUUUUUUGAAUCCCAACUUUCGAACUUAAUUUCCGAUUUCUAAGAUUCUAAUUUCCUUCAAGUUUGACAUCCCAAAAUUCCAACUUUUAAAUUUAAUUCUCAAGACUCCAAUCUUCAAAUAAUUUUCGAGACUCCAAUUCCCAAAUAAAUUUCAAAAAUUCAAUUUUCUCUCUAACAGUUUUAAUUCUCUUCGGGUUUCAAAUAAUCUUCGAUUUCUCUUGGUUUUAUAUAAACAUGAAUGCUAUUUUCAUAAUUCCAGAAUAAUGGGAUUUGUGAUAUUAAUUCCUGCAAAAAUGAAUGGGCUUUGGUGGGGGCCCGCCAUACGUGCUUUCCUCAUGAUUGAUUGAUUUGAUUGAUUGAUUGACUUGGCUAUCAUACAUGAUUUAUUUAUCCUGCUCUCCGACAUGCAUGCUAUUAUUUCUUACUUGUGCACUAACCUCUCUCUUGAUAGCGCAUGGUGGCUCGUCGCCCAAGUACGCACCUACUUUCACUCUGGUAAUUGCCCAAGCAUAUUUUGAUUCUCACGUGUGCAUGAUUUAUUCUGGGUACUCAUUGAUCUACUCGUCCAUUGCCAUGAUUGCUUCAUUUUAUUAGUAGAGACCCGACUUUAGGGACUUAGAAGGGUGCUACGGUCCUUACCGUACCUUCCCGAUAAGUAACCUGACCCCCGAACCCGACCCGGUUUUUCGCAGACCGCCUUUUUCAAAAUAAGGAGUCACACUUAGGGUUUUUCUUUCUUAUUUUGUUUACCCUUUAAAAAUAAAACAAAAAUAAGUGGCGACUCCAAGUCAUUUUUUUUUUCUUAAUCAAAUAAAAUCAUUUUUCUAACAAAAAUCGAGUUCGUCAUCGAGUGGGAAACACAUGAGCCGAAAUGCGGGGUCCACAAGUGUAUAUGGUAGCACAAAUUUCCUACCACUUAUUAUUUUUUCCUUUCUUAAAAAAUCAUUUACUCUAUUAAAUAAACUAACCUUGGCUUAUCACUUAUAGCAAAAUAGGUUAAGUAGUUUUUAAAAUUUUAUAAUAUUAGAUUUACAUUUUUAUCCUUCAAAAUUUCAUUAAUGCUAGAUUCUUCUAUAUGCUUAACUAAUAAAUAAUUUUUAGCAUUUUUCUUUUCUUAUAAACAUAAAAAAAUAAAAAUAUUAUUAACUUAUUGGUAUAUUUUAAAUUUUUAAUUAGAUUUAAGCUUUUAUUUGUUUGGAUUACCAAUUAUACAUAUAAAUCCUUUAUUAUUAUUGUUAUUAUUGAAAGAAAGGGGUUGAAUAGGUAGUCCCUGAAUCCCCAAAUUAAAUUCUUUAUUGCCUACUUUUGGUUUAUUCCUUUACAUGAAUUCCUUGGUGAGAGUAAACAUUUCAUUAAUAGAUAAAUAAAAUUGAUUCCAUAUCAUAGGGUAUAAUGUGGAAAAAUCACCAGUCUCAUGUGUUCCUUAGUGGAUCCUUUGGAGCCCUUAUCAAAGUUUCAUGAUGAAACCAUUGACUUUUGUUUAACCCAAAUGUGCUUUCAAGACAAAUCUUGAAAGAUUUGAGAGAUGGAGGUUCAAGUCUUUUAUGAACGACCAUGUUCUCUUAGGGUUCAUGAAAAUUCACACCUUUUGAUAAAUAAAACUUAUCUAUUUAUACAUCUAAAACCCAGUAUUUAUUUAUUUAAUUAUAGAAAGUUUCUUAGUUUUAAAAACAUUACAAAAAUCAUUUUUAGAAUCAAAUAACAAUUUUAGAGAUAAACACAAUAUUAAAAUUUAACAAAAACAAAAUUUCGAAUUAAAAACACAAUAUAAACUAAAUUACAAAAUAUAAAGUAAUUUUUAUCCUAAUUUCUUGUUUCAAAACCAAAUGGAACACCUAGAAGGGGAGUGAAUGGGUGAUUUUAAAUUUUUUCAAUAAUGAUUUAUAAGUUAUACCCAAUUCUUUUACCUUGCGAGUUGUUAGGGACUAUCAAUUCUUUUCUUUUGGCAAUUCAAACAAUAUAUCAAAUAAUAAAAAGAUAUAAAUAAUGAGACAUAAAGAUUUUUAUGUGGAAAACCCCCCACACUAACCAUGGAGAUAAAAAGUCAUGGAGUCUAAGACCUAUUAAUCUAAAUUCACUUUACGAAAUCAAGUUACACAAAUUUAUUUGGCAACUUUACCUUAAAGACUUACUCUUCGGUACUGACAACUUGAUUCACGUCCACGACGUAGCAACCCUCGAUUACUCCAAUGGAUCACUUCAAGCUUACUAAAAGGAUGAAGGCCUUCAAACCAAGAUUCAAAAAUCAAUUCCUUGAAUGAGAGAUCAGGAAUGGUGUGCCACUUUAGGCUUUCUCUCUAAGAACUCUAAAAUGAUCUCCUCAAUGAAAACCUCUUAAACAAAAUGAGAUAUUUUCCCACAAUCUCUAAUCCUUAAGGGGUUAUAAUGAGAUAUUUAUAAGCAACUAAGUUGAAGAGUUUCAGUUUUGGAAGGUUUCUCAAUUGAAUUUGUGUGAAAAACUCGGCAGAAUCAACAUGACUGCUCGAGCCAACACACUUCCCACUUGAGCGUUUCGGGCACUUGAGCGGUAAGGCUCGCUUGAGUUGUCCCAAGCGCUUGAGCAUUCCAGGCUACUUGAGCAAUCUUGCUCUAUUUCAAAAGUUAAUUUUAAAUCAUUUUAAGUUCAAAACAAAAUUGAUUCCCUUUAUACCUCAAAGGAGCCUAACUUGCCACAAACCAAACCUUUUUAGAUAUACUUGUGACUUCCUGGUUGGACGAAUAACAACUCUUAAUCUUCAAUGGAAAGCAAGUCAUUAUCUAAAAAGAUUUAUAUGGUCAAAUAUAAAAAAACAAAAAAAUUUCCAACAUAACAACAAGACUCAAUGUCCUAACAAUCUCCCCCUUUGGCAAUUUUAUGACAAAAACAACGUUACAUAUACCCACCUGAACUCUCAUAAUGGAGUUUAAUAAUACACAUUAACGUUCAAUUAAAAAUAAACUAAGGGAAUACUUUGUAUCACUUUGUAGUAUUUGUCUUCCAACUUUGUAACCUACACACAUAUAGAAAACUAUGCCAAAGGUAAAGCAAUGUGCAAGAUAAGAUAUGAUCAAGAAAGCAAAAUAGGAUAAUUGGAAAUUUUGCUUGAUGCCUUGUGAAAGCAUGAAAAAAGAACAAAUUCAUAUAGUAAUACCAAGGGACAAAGCAAAACUCGAGAAGAAUAUAUAUGUAUGCAAAUCAACCAAACAUAAUUAAAGCUACAUAAGAUGCAAUAGAUCAAUAAUAAUGCCUAGGGGUCUAUCUCCAACCAGAAAAUAGGGAGUGAAGAUCAUAGGAAGAACCUUCUGUGACUUAGAAAGGUUCUAGAGAGAUAGUCAAUUCAAAUAUAAAUAUCUUGCUGGAAACAUCUAUGUUAUGUAUCUCUCUAAACCUUCUAAGUUAUGCUUUCAUCAGUUGAUUUGGUUUUUCUCCAAUGUCUUAGGUUUAAUUUCCUCUAAUAUUUCAAUUAGAAAGAAAUUGGUAGUCAAUUGACUUAGUGGGUGUUUGGUAAAACUUAAUACUUAUUAUUUAAUGAUUAACUUUAAGUUAAAUUGUUCUUAAGUUCUUAAUUUAAAAUUUAUUACUUAUUCUGUAUUUAAGUAUUAAGGUUAUUUGAAAAAAUCGACUUAAAAUUUAUUCUAAAUCAUCAAAUUGACACAUUUACCCUUAUUAAUUUUAAUUAUAUUUAUUUUCAUUAAUUUUAAACAAUAAAUUUAUUCAUAAAACAUCUAUAUUUUUGUAGAUACAUAAUAACCAUAAAAUAUUUACUAUAAAAAAUGAGUCAUGGAUGUAGAAUUAUAAUUCAAAAAUAUACACUUAUGAGUGUGGGUAAAUAAGGCAAAAAUGAUUUGAGAUUAAGAGUAAAGUUAAUUAUUUUGACUUAAGACUUCAAGUUAAAAAUAACUUUAAGUUGCAAUAUUAAGUUAUUUUAUCAAACAUGGUUAAUUUACUUAACGACUUAAAUUAAGUUAUUAAGUUGAUUUAUCAAACACCCCACUAGUAGUAUGUUGAAAAUGAAGAGCAUCCAUAGUAGAUAAUGUAUAUGUAUUUGUGUUUAGAGUAGAAGGGCACUACAACAAUGGACUUGCAUGUGAUUUGGUCGCGAUAUGAUUUUGGUGAGAAUAUUUUAUUGUCUUUAAAAUAUUGUUAUAUGAAAUGCCAGACUAUGUUAGUAAAUAAUAGUUAUGUUAGUAGAAAUGAAAGUUUGUUUUAUAAUGCAUUGACCAUCCUAACACAUGUACUUAAUUAUCAUUAGUAGUUAGACAUGUAUUCCCUUUUUUCAAUUUUUUUCUUCUUUUUAAAUACAUUCUAGUGGUACUUUGCCUUAUGACUUAAUUUUUGUUACACUUACUACUUUUGGUUUUAGUCAUAUUUCGUUUUAUUAGUAUUUUCAUUUUGUGUUACAAUUUUAUUUAGUUUCUCUAUAUUCUCUUUUGGAUGGUGAUUUCACUUCAAAAUUUAAUUCAAAUUAGGCUUAUUAUCCCCUUAGUAAGCCUUUUCUAGGCGAGUUGUUAUAGAAAAUUAAACAAACCUCUCCUAAGGUUGGCCUUGUUACGUAGACUUCUUUUCUAUUUUGAAAUAUUAUAUUGACCUCCCUUGUUAGAUAUUGGUUUUUACAAUUACUAAGAAUAAUGCUUCUUAAUCAUUAUUAACGACGUCUUCUUUCUCCAAUUUUCUUCUUCUUCCUCCAUACAUGCUAAUUUGCAAAAAUUUAUACCCAUUAUUUAAAUGAAAUUUUUUGAAAUAAAUUAAAACCUUCCUUAUUUGAUAUUAUAGAAACCUAAUUUAAAUAAAAUAUUUUGAAAUAAAUUAGAUAAAAAAAAAAAAAAAAAAACUUGUCAUCAUUCUAACCCAAAUCAAAUUUUAAAGAAUAAUUAAAUAUUUCAAGUCUCAUUUUGUCUCAAUAUCACCUUUGCUAAUCAACCUAUCCAAUCUUAGAUCAAACCCAAAUUGCAAUCAAAUUUUGACAAGAAAAAAUCAACUUAAGACUGAAUAAGAAAACUUGUGGAAAGAGUCUCAUCAAGAAGGUGCAUGAAACCCUCCGUUCAAAAACUUCUUCUAAAAUAAAAUUAAAAAAGAAAAGAAAAAGAAAAGAAAGAUAUUCAAUGUUAAAGGACUUUUAAGAUAAAUCAAAAUUUGAAAAUGAAUGUUAAUACUUGCAAUAGAUUCCACAUUCAUGAACAAAUUACCAUUGCACCACUUAUUUUCAAUUCACACUUUAAUUUACUAUCCAUAGAAACUUUCAUUAAAUUUUCCAUAAAACAAACAAAGAGCCUUAACCCCCAAAUAUUUUAAUUCUUAAAAAUACAUCAUUUCAUCAAUUUUUGAAACCCUCAUUUUAACACAAAUUAUUUUUUUUACAAAUAAUUAAAAGAAUAAAAAGAAAAUUAAGAAGAGGUUGUCAUUAUUAUUCUUGCAAAGUCACCACAAAAUAAAUUAUAACAAAUAUAGAAAAUAAAAUAAUAUGACGAUGAAGAUAAUGCUUAGAAAGUUAGAAUGAGGAAGAUAAUAUCAUUUAGAUGAUUUAGGUUAAGAUGAGGACUAGAUAAGGAAAGUGACAUCAAUUGCCUAAUUAUUUGGGGUUUUAGAGAUACAAAAUGAGGGAGAUGACUAAAAUUAUGGUUUAAUUAUUUUUGGUUAAGGAUUAUUAAGUUAUUUUAAGGAAUUAAUUAAUUUAUUUAUAAUAAAUUUAGAAAUUAAUUAAAAGUUAAUUAUAAUAAUUAUUGAUUCAUAGUUUAAUUUAAAGCUAAUUUGAAUAAAAGAUGAAAAACUGAAAGUCCAUUAGGGUUCCACCUAGAGAGGGGAGAGGAGGUGGAUGAUUUAAAAAAUUUCAAUAAAGAUCUAUAUGUUAUAUCCAAUUUUAUUUUACCCUGUGAGAUGUUAGGGAUAACCUUUUCUAUCAAUCUUAGGCAAUUCAAACAAAAUAUCAAAUAUAAAAGAUAAGAACAAUAAGGUAUGCGAUUUUUAUAUGGAAAAUCCUCACACUAACUGUGACGAUAAAAACCACGAGGUCUAAGACCUAUUAAUCUAAAUGCACUAGAUGAAAUCAAGUUACACAGAUUUACUUGACUGCUUUACCUUAAAGAUUUACUCUCCGGUAGGUACAACUUGAUUCAUAUCCACAACAUAGCAACCCUUGAUUGCUCCAGUGGAUCACUUCAGCUUCCUUGAAAGGAUGAAGGUCUUCAAAAUAAUAUUUAAAGAACAAAUCCUUGAAUGAGAAAUUGAGAAUGGUGUGGCAAUCUAGGUUUUGUCUCUAGGAGACCCUUUUUAGAGAAUAAAGUCUCUCAACAAUCUAUCUCGAAUCUCUUCAAGAUCUCUAACCCUCAAGAGGUUAUAAGGGAGGUAUUUAUAGACAAAAGUUUGAAGAGUUUCGAUUUUGGAAGGUUUCUUAAUUGAAAUUUCGUGAAAAACUUGGUAGAAUCAACAUGAUUGCUCAAGCGCCUCAAGCACUUGAGUGGUAUGGCUCACUUGAGCGGUCCUAAGCGCUUGAGUAGUCUUUAGUGCUUGAGCACUCUAGGCCACUUGAGCAGUCUUGCUCUAUUUCAAAAAUCAAUUUUAAAAUCUUUUUAAGUUCAAAACAAAAUUGAUCCUCUUUAAUACCUCAACAUAGCCUAAUUAACAUAAGUCAAACCUCUUUAAACAUGUGACUUCUCAAUUGGACAAACAACAACCCUUGAUCUUCAAUGAAGAGUAAGUCACUAACUAGAAAGACUUCUAUGACCAAACAUUACAAAGAACAAAAUUGCCAACAUAUAGGCAAGACUUACUGUCUUAACAAUCUCUCCCUUUGACAAUUUUGUGACAAAAAAUCGUUACAUAAACCCACUUGAACUCUCAUAACGGAGUUUACAUAACACACUUUAAUGCUCAAUUAAAACUAAAUUAAGGGAAAACUUUGUAUUAGUUUAUAGUACUUAUAUUUCAACCCUGUAACCUACACACAUACAAAAAACUAUACUAAAGGUAAAGUGUUACGACCGCCUCUACCACGGCUUCCAGCACGUUUGCCACGAGGAGCUAUGGUGAUUCUUUGUUGUAACAAACCUGAUCAAGAGAAUAAAUAUGGUUUUAAUUCGAGGAAAAACCAGACCUCCCAAUAGCAAACUGCUAUAUAAUAUUCUGAUUGUUCCCCAUUGAUAUGCCGUGAAGCUCUAUAAAUAGCUUUACAAAGUUAAACAACUCCAACAUCCCUAAACUACUCAUCACCUAGAUAAGGAUAAACACUAUUCCUAACCAAACUCCUAAUACUUUAAUCUGAUAACAAUUCAGAUUGCUAUUAUUAUCCUAAAACAAAUAAAAAUAAGAUAAUUAAAUAAAAAAUGAGAUAAUCCUAACACAAUCCUACUCAGCAACUCCUAUGCCUCAUGAAUACAGCAACUCCUCUUGCUAGUGGACAUAACAUUUCCUACCCCUUUAGAUUCGACCCUUGUCCUCAAGGGUGAUAUCAGGAAAACGAAGCCUCAUGAAUACAACAACUCCUCUUGCUAGUGGACAUAACAUUUUCUUCGAUAUCUCCAAUUCCGUCACCGUUAUCCUCCUCUGGCCAGCAUCCUUCAAUCAAAAAAAGCUUCUUACACCGAUGCCCAGGGGCAAACUUUUCGUCACAAUUGAAGCAAAGGCCCUUAUCUCUACGUUCUUUCAUCUCCGUUGGUGACAAUCUUCGAAUGGCGGGAGUAGAUGAAAGUGGGCGACUGGUGACUGUUGAGUUCGUUGAUACAGUCUUUUUUGGCUCAAGGUUGAAACUGGAUCGCUUAUGAUAUUUAACCUCAUAGAGCCGAGCCAAACCUAUUGCUGCAGACAACGUUGGUGGUUUCAUGGCUUGAACAUCUAUCCUCACAUCUUCGUUUAGACCACCAAUGAAACAAGCAACCUGUUGAGACUGAUUUAACUUCCCCACUCGGCUGAGGAGUUUCUCGAAUUGGCUUUGAUACUCCCGUACUGAACCAACCUGUUUGAGCCUUAUAAGAUCUCCAAAAAAAUCAUCAAAUUUCGUUGGCCCAUACCUGGAAUUCAGCCCUUCCUUGAGCGUGAGCCAUGCAACUUCCCCUUCUUCCUUCAGUAUUUGAUACCACAAUUGUGCCUCGCCUUCUAGAUGAUACGUCGCUAGCGGAACCUUCUCUUCCUCAGCAAUUUUCUGAAAUUCGAAGAAUUGCUCUACUCGACAAAUCCAACUCGUUGGAUCUUCACUGCCAUUAAAGCGAGGAAAAUCAAGUUUAGUGACCCUUGGAAUUACCGCACCAUAAGACUCAGUGGAGUCACGAGGGCCUCUAUAAUUGAAUCGCCGAGACCCCCCACCAUUGUGUGAACUCUCUCCUCGUUCCAAACUUUGGUUGCCCGAUAUUUGAUCUAAUCGGGUAUUCAUUGACGUUAUUACUUGCAUCAGUGUUUCUUGUAACUCCUGGAACUUCCUAUCUUGCUCUGCUGCUAUAGAGCCUAUCUCUGUCUCCAAACGAUCAAUGCGUGAUUCAUCCAUAACCUGCUCUGAUACCAAGUUGUUACGACCGCCUCUACCAUGGCUUCCAGCACGUUUGCCACGAGGAGCUAUGGUGAUUCUUUGUUGUAACAAACCUGAUCAAGAGAAUAAAUAUGGUUUUAAUUCGAGGAAAAACCAGACCUCCCAAUAGCAAACUGCUAUAUAAUAUUCUGAUUGUUCCCCAUUGAUAUGUCGUGAAGCUCUAUAAAUAGCUUUACAAAGUUAAACAACUCCAACAUCCCUAAACUACUCAUCACCUAGAUAAGGAUAAACACUAUUCCUAACCAAACUCCUAAUACUUUAAUCUGAUAACAAUUCAGAUUGCUAUUAUUAUCCUAAAACAAAUAAAAAUAAGAUAAUUAAAUAAAAAAUGAGAUAAUCCUAACACAAUCCUACUCAGCAACUCCUCUGCCUCCUCUUGCUAGUGGACAUAACAUAAAGUAGUGUGAGGGAUAAAGUAAUGUUGAGAAAGCAAAACAGGAUAGUUUGAGGUUUUGCUUGAUGACUUGUGAAAACAUGAAAAUGGAACAGAUUUUUGUAGAGACACUAAGGCACAAAGCAAAGCUUGAGAGGAAUAUAGAUACACACAAAUCAGGAAAACAUAAUAGAAGCUUGAUAAGACAUAAUAGAUCAAUAAUAAUGCUUAGAAGUCUAUCUCCAACCAGAUAAUGGGUAGUGAAAACCAUGGAAAGAAGCUUCUAUGACUCAGAAUAGUUCUAGAGUGAUAAAUAGUUCAAACAUAAAUAUCUUAUAAGAAACAUUCGUGUCAGGUAUCUCUUUAAACCAUCUAAGUUAUGCUUUCAUCAGUUGAUAUGGUUGUCUCCAAUUUCUCAAGUUUAAUUUCCUCUAAUAUUUCAAUAAUUUCCCUUAAUGGAUGAAUGAAUGAAUGAAUGAAUUGAAUUAAAGAAUUCAAAAUUUUUAACUCAUAGUAACUCCCCUUAAAUUACAAUCAAUACAAUAAUUCAAAUCAAGUAUACCAAAACAUAAAUAAUAGAACAUUUAUGCAUUAGGUGGCGGUAGAGGGAUAGAGCUUGAAGCGCCCUGAGAAUGGAUACAGGAAAAGAUGUAGUUAAGUUAUCCCUAAAUCUCUCAGAGUUGGAGAUCCUAAGAGUCCAUCUUCUGAUGAAGUCGAGCCAUGGAAUUUAGAGCCUCAUGGGCGUUGGGUCUACAGAAGUAAAAGCCUUGUGUGUAGCUCGGGAAGAACUAACACAACCUCAACUCUAGAGUGAGUCCUCGGAGCAGACUCUAAAUAGUCUGUCUCUAGAAUUCCACUCUACUCCAUAGCUCGAAGCUCAUCCUCCUGGACAACUGCCUCUGCAUGCUGGCCUACAUCAUGCAGUUCAUAAGCUGGAACAACCAUCAAACUGUAUACAUGAAUGUAGUGCUUGGCCCAGGAACUCCCAUCCAAAAAGGCAUGGGUAGCUUAGACCCCUAGUGUAGGAUCAAUCUUAAAUCCCACAUCCUCGAGUAUCCGCGUGAUGAGGAGGGUAAAGGGGAGAGUGCCUCCUCUAAAGGAUAAACCACGAAGGGGAAUGAUUGUAUCCAGGAUGACCUAGCCAAUGUCAAAUUGUUGGCUUGAGAGAAUGGCGUGAAUAAAGUGAGCAGAUGGUCAACGGAUUUGGGUGCAGUGUGUAAAUGGGUAGAAGGAGUAAGUGAAUAAUGUUGCAAACAACCAUGUUUGCUUGGAGAAGCCAACAAUCAGGAUAUAAGAAGGAAAGAGGCAAAGACUGCCAUAAAGAGAAGUCAGAAUGGUGUCAAGUUUCUCUCGGGUGAGAGCCUGAACCUCUGGGGAAAACAAAGGAAUGAGAGCCUUAAUUUGCGACUUGCUAAGGACACAUUGAAUGGAAUGAGAGGAAAUAAGGAAAAAUUGACCAUGCAUGGUCACCUGAAAGCUGACUCCGACCAUAAUAUAAUGCAUGUUCUCAUAGAACAUGUGAACAAGAUGGGGAUAGGAAGUCCCCUAGAGAGAAAACAGUCUCCUAACCCUACUCUUGAAUGAUGAUAGGGAAGACAGUGUCCUGAAAAGCUUAGAGGUUAAUGGCAUGCUCAGGCUCGACACACCGAUAUGUGAAAGAAGCGUAAUUAUGGUCCCGUGCCACCUGGCAGUGAAAGCGCUCAACCGGAAGUGCAUCUAGGUUAAAAAGACCCUGGAGUGGGAUGCCCUAGACGGUUUCAGUGACCUAGGAAAGGUCACCUCCCUUUGACAUCUAUGACUAGCCAUAUCUAAGGUAUAUAAUAUGAAAAAACAAAAGCUAAAGAAAAACUAAAGAAAAUCCAGAGAAAAGCUAAACCACUAAAAAUGUUAAACUCAAUGCGUCGAACAAUACUAUACAAAUGGAAAUGAAAAAUAUGAAGCGAACUGACCUCAGAAUACAAAAGGACAGUAACCCAGAGGGCUCGAAGAGGAAUAGGAAAGUUUGAAAUGAAUAUGGCGUCCUGGAUGACCUUUAUAUAGCUUAUAGGAGUGCUUGAUGCAGAUUAGCACUCGAGCGUCCUUACUAACUUAAAUCAAAUUAUUUAUUAAUAUGUAAAUAUUUUAAAAGUUUCAAAGGAAGUAUUCAAUUUAGAACCUUUUUAGAUUUUUUUUGAAAGAAACAAAAAUAAAGCGUGAAAUAUUAUGUGUUUAAGGUGUUAGAAGACAAUAUUGUCUAAUCCAAAGCCUUACACAUUCCCACAAAAAAAAAAAAAGGAAAAAGAGAGAUAUUAUAUAAGAUUUUGAUCACAUCUAAUAGAAACUCAUAUUUAGCAACAUAUCACCAAGCACUAUCUUAUCUGAAAGCUCUAACAUGUUGGAAAUUUAUUUAAGGUUCCAUAACAACUAACAACUUUUUCUGACGACUCAGUAGUGGACCAUUUGCACUUUAACUGCAUUAUUGAAUUUAAAUCAUAUUAGAAUAGUAAUUGACUUCUCUUUUGUGAGGCUACAUAUCUUGUAGGAUGGGAUAGGUGAUUCAUUUCAUAUAUGAAAUUUAGUUAAUUUAGUAAUGCAUCCAAGUUCAUUAUGAAUCUAAUGGUAUCACAACUCCUUGAAUAUUUGUAAUCUGUAAUCUUUGAUUCAACUUCUCAAGUCUAGUCAUUUUAUCGGCAUAACUAGUUUGCUUCAAUUAUCUCUCAACUUUAUUAUAAAACUAAGGGAAAAAAUUAUCACGGAUUUUAUAUUAACUUAACCAAACAUCUUUAUAUAUAUAUAUAUAUAUAUAUAUAUAUAUAUAUAUAUUGUAAAUUUAGGAAAAUUUCAUCCAUUAGCCAUAGUAAGUAAGAAUCAAAUAAGGGAUAUGUAAGCCAAUGGUGAUAUUGAUGGCGUCAAAUCAAUGACAUAGUAGAAAAGUGGAUUGUCUAUUUUCAAACCUUUAUAUUUUCAUCCAAUAGUAAAAAGGUUUAGGCAUCACUUGAAAAGUAGUUCGUUUUUUUACCUUGGACUAUGAUUUAUGAAUAAAGUUCUUCUAUUGUAUACCUUUUGUGAUGCCCCAAACCUAAUUUAUGGGUAAAAAAAAAUAAUUUAGAAAAAAAUAAAUAAAAAGUUAAAUAAAUUUAAUUAAGGUAAAAAUGUAUUUUCGUAUUUAAAAUUCCUAGGUAUCAAUUAUAUAUUUCUUGUCUUCUCUAUUCAAAAAACCCUAUUACACAAAAAUCAAAUAUUAGAGAACAUAGGACAACGCAGGGUUGAAGAUUUGGAGGUUUAGGGUUGAAGAUUAGUUUUCCGGGUAAGAUUCUAACCCUUAAAUUAGUAUUUUAGAUUCGUUAAUUAGUUUAAACACUUCAGAUAUUCUUUGAAAAUCUGAAUCUAUGUUAGGGUUUGUUAAUUUAAUUUUUAAAUAAAAAAGAUUGAAAAUUUAUGAACAUAAGUAGAGUUAUUAUUAAAGAUUGAAAUUUUUUGAAUAUUUGAAUUAAAAAUCUAGAAAAAAAGAAGAAAAUAAAUUAUAGCUUUGGAUGUGGAAAAAAAUUAAUAUUAAUAAAUAAAUAAAACCUAUGAGUAUGGAGGUAGAAAAAUAUGAGAGUUGAAAGCAAAGAAAAAAAAAAAGAAUAAGGUUUUGUGGUUGUACAUGCCUCCUUAGUGGAAAAAAAAUACAAGGUUGCUUGCAAUAGGAUAUGACAAAGAGAGAGAGAUAAAUGCUUAGAUGUUGAUUUUUGUGGGGAAAAAAAGAUUGGGUAAUGUAGGAGAGAAAUAGGUAGCACUUGUAGAGUUGGUGGAGUUGUUGUAAAAGCUCGUAGGGGUAAUUGUUAGGUAGUGUAGGGUAUGAGAUUAAUUGUUAGGAAACAUUAGGACUUGAAAUAAUAAUAAUUGCUUCUAGUAAAAGUUUUAAUUUAGUUUAAGUAUAUAAAAGAAAUAGAUGAUUAGAAUAAGAUUUGGAAGGAAUAUGAAUUCAUAAAAAUUUCGAGAUUUACUAAUUUAGAUUAUUAUUGUUUUGGAAGUUGAAUAUAAUAUAGGUGAUAAUAUUAUUAAUAUAGGAAAUGAUUCAGAUUCUCAAACCUACAAUUUUAGAUAAAUAGUUAAUAGUAAUAGAUGAUUUUUUAUUUUUAUUUUAUUUUUAUUUUUUAUGUUAUGUUAAGUGAAGAAUGGAUUCUUUGAGAUUAAUUCUCUAAGGUUUCUAAGUGUUUCUUUAAGGUAAGGGAUGUUAAUACUGAUUUUGUAAAUGAAAAUAUUUCUUUUUAUAAGUUAUUUUAAAUUAUGAAAAAUUUUAUUUUUAUUUAUGCAUGGAUCAAAUAUAUAUUUUUUCACGAGAAACAUGUUUGGGCAAUUUCUUUGUUUAUAAAUAAAUAAAUAAAUAAUGAAAACUUUGGAAAUAUAAUGUUUUGUUUUGUAAGUUUAAAAUAAUGAAAUAAAGUUUUUUGACUCUAGUUUAUAUGACCUUAGUUAAUGGGUUAUAAUUGUUGACAUUUUCAGCUCCAGUCAAUGAUUAUAAUUGUUGACAUUUUUGGUUCCAAUCAACGAUUAUAAUUGUUGAGAUUUUCAACCCUAGCCAACGGGUAUAAUAGUUGACCUUAUAGCCCUAGUCAACAGAUAUAAUUGUUAACCUUUGGUUUUGCCCAUCUUAAAAAGAACAAAUUUAAGGCUAGCCAUUUAUUUGUAAAGUCCCACUUAACUAAGUACCAUUUGUUAUUUAAUAACCAGAGUAAAGAUAUUUUGAAUGUAUUUGAUAUGAAAUUGUUUUGAUAUAAAUAUGAAAAUGUUUGGUUGAAAAGUUCAAAUGUUUAAUGCAUGUUGAAUUCAAAAGUUUUUAUGAAAAUGAUUAUAUGUUAUAUCCCCUAUUUGUAAGUUUGAUCCAUGAAACUGUAUUAAUAUUCCUUAUUGGACUUUGAGCUCAUUCCCCUUUGUUGAGAAUUUUUUUUGGUAUUCUCAGUUUGGGUAAGGAGUGAUGACUGGGUUGGGGAAUUUUCUUUGCUAUGAUUUUGGUUCAAUCUUUAUUUUGGACAUUGUUUAGAUGUUAAAAUUUAAUUGCCAUUUAAAUUAUUUGAGUUUGGAGUUAUUUGGACGAUAACACUUUGAUUGAUGUGUUAGUUUUAAAGUUGAGAAUUGAAAAUUAUAGAAUUUAUUUAUCUUACUACUUUGAACAGAAAUUUAGUAGUUGGAGAUCAUCCAGUUACAAGAUGAAUAUUUGUGUCGUUUCCACUUUGAGCGUUCAGGCUUAGGGUGUGAAAUGACCGUUAUGCCCUUGGAGUGGGUAUAUUGUUUAUUUGAAUUUAAUGGUCCCUGAACUCCUUAAUUACUCAUAACUUUAUAUCACCUUCUCAAAGUAAGUUGUUUUACAACUACUAUCUAGCUACUUAUCUCUACUAUGACAACUUUAUUACAUAGUGAUUAAUUGAAAGAAUCUACAUGUCUUAUUUCAUAGGAUAGUUGAUUUUUUCACUCAAUGAAUCUUGCUUUUAUUAUUGAAAUUUUCAAAUCAUUGUAGUCCAACAAUUUCCUAUCCAUUGGUAAUUUCAUAUUACAUUUCCAAAGUCUAAUCAUUUAAAAACACUUGUAGUUAAUAUAUUGGCAAUUGCAUUGUGGGAAGUUGUUCACUUGAUUUUAAUGUUGAAACUUUCAAAUUGUUGUAGUCCAACAAUUCCCUAUCCAUUGGUAAUUUCAUAUCACAUUUUCAAAGUAUAAUCAUUUACAAAUACUUGUAUAUAGUAUAUUUGGUGAUUGUAGAGUGGAAAGUUGAUCGUUUUUAUGAAGACCUCUAAAAUAGAAAUUUUUUUCAUUCCAUUUAAUAAAGAAUUUCAUUAAUUGAACAUAUAUGUUUUUUAACCGGAAAGUAAAGGCCACAUUAGGCCUUAGGUGACAAUACUAGGUGAGGGUUUUUCUUAAAAUUUAUUUAUUACGAAAUAUAAAUAAUAUUAUUUAUUUUAUAAUAAAGAUUAUUAUAAUAUAUUUUUUAUAGAUUUGAAAAAAAUAUUAAUUGAGUUUUAUUUAUUUUUAAAUAAUUGUUUUCAAUAAAUAACUUAUUUGUAAAAAUAAAACUAUUAAAUAUAUGCAUUUGAAAAAUAUUUAAUUUUUAUUUGAUUUAGUAUCAAUUAAUAUUUGUAAUAUUUUUUAAUAUUAUAGAAGUUAACAUACCCAAUUAAGAUAUUCAAGAUCAAGAGAAUAUUAUAGAAGUUAACAUACCCAAUUAAGAUAUUCAAGAUCAAGAGAAUAUUUGAGAUUGAAUUAAUUUCUUUAUUGUUUAUGUUUUAGUAAAUUUUUAUAUCCAUAACAAAAUUUUUAUUGUUUAUUUUUCAUUCAAUGUUUGCAUUUUGUAAUAGAUAUUAAAACAAAUUUUUUUCUUGCAUGUUAAAAAAAUAUUUCAAUGUCUUUAAAAAUAAAAUAUUGCAGUAAAAUCAAAAUUACAUUGUGAAACUUUAAGCAAAUGUUUUAUACUUAAGAAGUGCCAAUUAGAGUAAGCAUGCAUCUACAAUUGUGAUUUAGAUGUCAUAUUGAAACAAUAGUUCUCUUUGACUAUAUCAUAAAAUUUGGUUCGAAUUACUUUAAGUCAUCUUGUAGAUUUUCAAGUUCCAAUGAUAUGCAUCAAGUAUGUGCAACAUACUUGAUAUAACUAAUAUUUUCUUAAGUAAUUGGACACUUUUUUCUAUAAAUUUACUUGAUUAUCAAUGAAUACUUUUAUGUAGGGUAUUGAUAUAAUUCGAUAAAUAUUUUAAAAUAGUAUUAGAAUAGCUUUGCUCUUUCCCAAUUAACAAAUUUACUAAAUUAACUUAUAUAUAUUUGUUUAUUUGAAUUUACUGGUAUUUGACGCAAAUUGUUAUUAUUUUUAAAAUUAUAGGAAAACCAUUAUUUAUAGAGUUUAAUUAUAUUUGGUAAAUUAUCUUUUUAAGUUUGACUAAGAUUAGGAAACUAUUAAUUUAAUAUUAAUCCAUAAGGCUCUAUAAAUUUGUAGUUUUAUAUAGGAUUUAAAAAAAGAAAGAAAAAGUAAGAAAAAGUAAGAAAAAGUGAAGAGAGAUAGGCAAAGAGUGCAUUGGGUUUUAGAUAGAGAAAGGUUGAGAGAGUUUUGAUUACUACUCAAAAAGAACAUAUUUUAGAUAGUAAUUCUCAUGGGUUUCACAUCUUUUGAGCAUUAAUUAUGCCUAAAAAUGCUCAAUUAACAUGUUGUUGCCCUCGCAAGAGUUACUAACAAGUUUUAUAAAGUUUUGGAGUCAUUUCAAGUUAUGAUUUUAAUAAAUUGAUGACAAAAGAGAUGAACUGAUUUGAAGAAGGCAAAUAAUAUUGAUGAUGAUCCAAAUGUAAAAUGAAAGAAGCAAUAUAAUUAGAUUGAUCGGGAUUUGCUGCUAAUUUGGAGGUAGUUAAGGUGGAGUCAAAAGAAGAAAAUGGAAGAAAUGACAAAGAGGACCUUAAAAACCAAAUGUUGCAGAUUUGUAUGAUCAUGCAAAAAUUUUACAUGACUAUGCGAAAUGGAUUAGAGAAGGAAAAUUGACUAUGGUAUAAGGAGGAUGCUUAAGUUGAUUUCACAUGAACAUGAGAAAAUUUCGCAUGAACAUGUGAAAAUUUUGCACAAUCAUGUGAAAUGGUCCAAAAAGCUCUCUAAUGUUGUUGUUGCUCCACUAAUUUCUCACCACCAUGCGAAAUCGAUCUUUUCAUGCAAAAUGGUUGAAGCUCAUGUGAAAUCAUGAUUUUGAUGCUAAACUCUAGAUUUGUGAAUUUGGAAGGUUUUAGAAGACCAAUGAGAGGUUGCCAAGUGUCCACUUGACCUUGGUCUAUAAAUAGAAACUGGAAUUUCCCAUGUAAAGGGCUUUGAGAUACUUUUGAUUUUAGAUUUUUCUAGAAACUCUUUCUCUAAAUAGAAUUCUUUAUUUUCUUUAAUUUUCCCUCAUUUUCUCAUUAGCCAAACAUGCCUAGUGAGACCAAAUCUCCAAGUAUGAGUGGCUAAAUCUCGUUUUUCUCAGAGGAAUGAGGAUCUAGAGGUAAGAUCUAUGGUGAAUUAUAGAAAUGAGUUUUAAUUGCAAAUGUAAUUUGAUCCAAUUGAUUGAUUAAUUGAAAUUUGAGGAUUUUUCUCUUUAAAUUGUCCUGAAUGACUAUUACAUUGCAAACUAGGUAGAUUCAUUAAAUUCUUAAAGCUAGAUUUAAUGAGACUGAAUAGUUGCAUUUGUAUGAAUCAUUGGAAAAUGAUUUAAGAUGAAUUGAAUAUAUAAUUUAAAUUGAUCUCUUGGAUUAAAUAACCUAAUUUGAAGAGAAAUUAGGUUUAGACUUAAAGGUAAAUCUAAAAUUGGUUUAGAUAAGAAUUUAGGUUUUCAAUCUAACUUGAUGAAAAAUAAAUCUCAACAUCUAUUCGCCAUGGAAAUUUUUUUCUAAAAAAUAUUAACUCCAAGAAUUCCUUUUCCUUAUCAAUUUUCUUAUGUCAUCUAUAAUGUUCUGGUUUUGUCCUCUGUAAUGUUCUUUAUUGUAUUGUGGAAUUAUUCUCUCUCAUCUAUGUAGGCAAGUUGCUAAACCACGUUAAAACCUCAAAUACCAUUUGUGUUGAUUUUUUUUUAUCUUUGUGUUCUUGAUUAAUGAUGCUUGCAUCAAAGCUUCUACCAACGUAACAAUGUGCAACAUAUUUGAUAUAACUUAUAUUUUCUUAAGAAAUUGAACACUUUUUUCUAUAAAUUUACUUGAUAUCAAUGAAUACCUACAUAUACGGUAUUGACAUAGUUUGAUAAAUAUUUUAAAAUAGUAUUAGAAUGGCUUNNNNNNNNNNNNNNNNNNNNNNNNNNNNNNNNNNNNNNNNNNNNNNNNNNNNNNNNNNNNNNNNNNNNNNNNNNNNNNNNNNNNNNNNNNNNNNNNNNNNUUCUUUUUCCCAAUUAACAAAUUUAUCAAAUACACACACACACAUAAUACUCAUUAGUAUGUCUUUUAUGAAAAAACUAUAUUGUUUAUUUGAAUUUAGUAGCCAUUCAACUCCUUAGUUACUCAUAAACUUUAUAUUACCUUCUUAAAGUCAAGUCAUUUACAAUUAUUUCUAUCUAGCCGGCCUUCUCCAUUAUGACAACUUUAUAAGAUAGUGAUUGAUUGGAAGAAUCUACAUGCCUUUGUUGAUAGGAUAAUUGUUUUUCUUUUUUUCGUAUUCAAAGAAUCUUGCUUUUGUUAUUGAAACUUUCAAAUCCUUUAUGUCUGAGAUUUGAUGUAAAUUUGCUUAGUUACCAAUGAUUUCAAAUUUCAUUAAUUAGUACCCCUAUAGAUGUAAUUUGUGUACAAAAUUUAUUUUUUAAAAGAAUUUAGGGAAAAAUAUUUUAGGUAUAUGUCUUUAACAAUUCUCUAAAAUAAAUUUUACUUGCUAAAAAAUAACUUAUAUAGAUAGAAUACAUCUACAAGAGUUCUAACUAACGAAAUUUAAAACUAAUGGUGGUUUAGCGUAUUUAAACUAAACAUUAGGAAGGGUGACUGAAAUUAACCCUCUAGGUAUAUAUGUUUAACAAAAUUUUUAUUGUUUAUUUUUCAUUUAAUUUUUGCAUUUUUCAAUAAACAUUGAAAAGGAAUUGUUUUUCCAUAUGUUAACAAAAAGAAAUUUGAACACCUAUAAAAAUAAAAUCUUGUAGUAAAAUUGGAGUUACAUUAUCAGACUUUUAACGAGUGUUUAUGUUUAGAAAGGCCAAUUAAAGCAAGCAUGCAUCUAGAAAUUGUAACUUAGAUGCAUCAAACAUGAGCAACAUAUUUGAUAUAACUAAUAGUUUCUUAAGUAACUAAACACUUCUUUUUCUAUAAAUUUACUUGAUUAUCGUGAAUACUUACAUAUAUUUACAUAGUUUGAUAAAUAUUUUAAAAUAAUAUUAGAAUAACUUUGUUUUUUCUCAAAUAUUAGAAAAUAAUAUAAAGUUACUUAUAAACUUUAUAUCAUUUUCUCAAAGUCAAGUCAUUUACAAUUAUUUCUAUCUAGUCUUCUCCAUUUUGACAACUUUUAUAUGAUAGUCGUUGAUUGCAAGAAUCUACAUGUCUUUUUUGAUAGGAUAGUUGUUUUUAUUUUUUUUAUUUUUUUUAUUCCAAAAAUUUGCUUCUAUCAUUGAAACUUUCAAAUCUUUUAUGUAUAUUACCAAUCAUUUUACAAGUGAGUUAAUUUCACUUAGGGUAGAUAUACUUAGCCACACCCCUAUAGAUGUAAUUUGUGUUUAAAUUUUAUUUUUUAUUUAGGUAAAAAUAUCUUAGGUAUAUGUGUUCAACAAUUCUCUAAAAAAUAAAUUUUCUUAUCUAAAAGUUUAUAUAGAUAAAAUACAUUUAUAGAAGUCCUAACUAAUGAAAUUUAAAAUCAAUGGUUGUUUAGUGUAUUUACAUUAAACCUUAUCGGGUAUGAUUGAAAUUAACUCUUUUACAAGCACUUGUAGCUAAUAUGUUUGUAGUUGUAGUGUUGGAAAUUGAUCAUUUUCUUGAAGGCCUCUAAGAUAUUGGAAAUAUUGCCAUAGUUUUAGACUUUUUUUUAUUACACCUAAUAAAAAAUAUUAUUAAUUUAACAUAUAUAUUCUUAACUUAAAAGUAAAGUCUCUCCAUAUUGUAUGAGCCCUUAGGUGGCAAUAUUAGGUGAAGUUUUUCUUUCGUUUAUUACAAAAUAUAAAUAAUUUAUUAUUGUAUGAUAAAAUUUUAUAUAAUAUAUUUUUAUAGAUGUAAAAUUAUUAUUGGGUUUUAUUUUAUUUUUUUACUAAAUUGUCAUUUCAAUAUAUAAAACUUAUUUGUAAAAAGACAAUUAUAAACUAUAUGAAAUACAUUUAGUUUUUUUAUUUAAUUUAGAAUUUUAUUUGGAUUAAUAAUUGAUAUUUGUAAGAUUUUUUAAUAUUAAAAAAAGUUAGCAUACUUAAGAAAGAUAUUCAAGAUCGGGAGUGUUUGAUAUUGGAUUAAUUUCCUUAUUUUCCUAUUUUAAUAAAUUUUCAUGUCCAUUACAAAAUUUUUGUUGUUUAUUUUUCACUUCAAUAUUUUUAUUUUGUAAUAGACAUUUGAAAAGAUUUUUUCCUACAUGUGAAAAAAAAAAAGAUUUGAACACUCCUAAAAAAGAAAUAUUGCAAUAAAAUUAAAGUUUACAUUGUAGGACUAUUAGCAAGUGCUAUAUACUUAAAAUAGACCAAUUAAAGUAGAAAUACUUCUAAAAUUGUAAUUUAGGUAACAAUAAUAUAAAAAGAUAAUAUUUUUGAAACAAUAGUUCUCUGGAGUUUUGGGUACGAUGGACUAGACUUUAUGUAACAAUAGAUAUACGAACUUUCCAUUAACAUCUUGAGAGACAUGAUGAGGAGCAAAGUCAUCCAAGAAGGUACCAUAGAGGUACCUUAGCUCCAUUCAUCUAGACUACAUAAUGUUUAAAGAUCAAAUUCAAUGACUAGAUUUCAAAAAUCAAUAUAAGCUUUCUCAUAUUCUACUCUAUAUAAGACAAUGGUAUCAUUUUAACAUCAGUUUGAAACUUAGAAGUCACUUAGCACAUUCUAGUUAUUAAUUUAAGAGCAUUAAAAGAAAAUAUAAAAAAAGUUACUUUAUCCUUGUGAUUUUGAUCUAGGACUUUUAAUGAUAUUAAAAAAAAAAAAAACAGAAAAAUAAAUGGAAAUAAAAUCAACAAAUUAAACAAUUGAAUUAUGUUAGUUUAAUUUUUGCAUCGUUAAAUGGGUAAAUAAAGACUCUUAGAUUUGAUAUUAAUAUGAACAUCAUGACUUCAGUGAAUCUUACAAGAAAAUUUUAGUUUGAAAGACUUCAUUCAUUAAACGUGUGGCACAUAUUAAAGUAAAACUAAGUCUUCUCUAUAAUUUGUACCUAUCAUAGUUUCUUUCCUCAUAAAUAGCCUUUUUUGAAUAUAAUAUAGACUUCAACAUGCAUGGUGGGGCCGAUCAAACUACUAGUCAAGACAACUCAUGGGCAACAACGAUGUACCAACUACAUUUAAAUACUCUUCAUCUAUUUGCAUAUCAAGAGUAAUUUAGUAGUGUCUUUCUUAUGUACCUCAUAUCUAGAUUUUCAAUGGAGAGUUCUUCAUCUAAAAUUUUGACUUGGGUUUUCAUACUAGUUUUGGUUUAGACAUGUGGAUGCAAAGGUUGCAUCAAAGAAGAGAAGUGGGCUAAAUCAUCUUACAAAUUUUCAAGUUCAAAUUAGAUGCACCAAACAUAUGCAACAUAUUUGAUAUAAUUAAUAUUUUCUUAAGUAAUUGAAUACAAUUUUUUUUUUAAAUUUACUUGAUUAUUAAUGAAUAACUACAUGUAUGGUAUUGACACAACUUGAUAAAUCUUUUAAAAUAGUAUUAGAAUAACUUUGCUAAAAAAAAGUAAAAAUAAAAAUAAAAAUACAUCUAUAUAUAUAAAAUUAAAUAAAAUUAAAAAUUAAAAAAGAAUAUAUAUAUAUAUAUAUAUAUAUAUAUAUAUUCUGUGUGUGUGUGUGUGUGUGUGCAUGGUCCCACAACUCAUUAGCUACUCAUAAGCUUUAUAUCACUUUCUCAAAAUCAAGUCAUUUUGUAAUUAUUUCUAUCUAGCCUUCUCCAUUACGACAACUGUAUAGGAUAUUGAUUGGUUGGAAAAAUUUUCAUGUCUUUUUUUAUAAGAUAGUUUUUUAUUAUUAUUAUUAUUCAAAGAAUUUGCUUUUAUUAUUGAAACUUUCAAAUCCUUUAUGUCUAGUGGUCCUACAAUUCCCUAUUCAUUGGUAUUUCAUAUUACCAAUCAUUUUAAAAAUAAGUUUAUUUCACCCGGUAAAUAUACUUAACUACCAAUGGUUUCAAAAUUAAUUGAUUAACACACUUAUAGAUGUAAUUUGUUUUUAAAUUUUAUUUUUUUAGAAGAAUUGUAGGUAAAAAUAUUUUAGGAAUAUGUGUUCAAUAAUUCUCUAAAAACAAUUUAUAUAGAUGGAAUACAUUCAUGGAAGUUCCAACUAAUGAAAUUUAAAACCAAUGACGAUUUAAUGUAUUUGCACUAAAUCUUAGGGGAGGUGUACUAAAACUAGCCCUUAUACAAAUAUUUGUAGCUAUAAUAUUUGUAGUUAUGGUGUUGGAAGUUGAUCAUUUUCUUAAAGGCCUCUAUGAUAUUGGAAAUAUCGCCAAAGUUUUGAACUUUUUGUUUCACCUAAAAAAAAUAUCAUUAAUUUAAUAUAUAUACUCUUCGCUUGAAAGUAUAGUUUUUUCAUAUUGUAUGAAGUUGUAGCUAGGUGACAAUAUUAGGUGAAAUUUUUUUGGUUAACUACAAAAUAUAAAUAAUAUAUUUAUUAUAUGAUAAAAUUUUAUAAAAUAUAUUAUUAUAGAUGCAAAAUUAUUAAUGGAGUUUUAUUUUUUACUAAAUUAUCAUUUCAAUAAAUAAGAACUUAUUUGUUAAAAGAAAAUUAUAAAAUAUAUGCAGUUGAAAAAAAUUUAAUUUUUUUUAUUUAAUUUGGUAUUUUAUUUGAAUUAAUAAUUGAUAUUUGUAAGAUCUUUUAAUAUUAAAAGAAGUUAACAUACUUAAAAAAGACAUUCAAAAUCAAGAGAGUAUUUGAUAUGAAAUUAAUUUAUUUAUUUUUCUAUUUAAAUAAAUUUUUACAUCCAUUAAACAAAUUUUAUUGUUUAUUUUUCACUUCAAUAUUUUUAUUUUGUAAAAGAAAUAGAAAUAAAAUCAACAAAUUAAACAAUUGAAUUAAGUUAGUUUAAUUUUGUCACCGUUAAAUUGGUAAAUGAAGACUCUUAUAUUUGAUAUUAACAUGAACAUCAUGACUUCAUUGAAUCUCACAAGAAAAUUUUAGUUUGAAACAUUUUAUCCUUUAAACAUGUGGCACAUAUUAAAGUGAGACCAAGUCUUCCCUAUAAUUUGUAUCUAUCACAAUUUAUUUCCUAAUGAAUAGCCUUUUUGAAUAGAAUAUAGACUUUAGCAUGCAUGGUGGGGCCUAGCUAUCAAACUACUAGUCAAAACAACUCAUGGGCAAGAAUGAUGUGCCAACUAGAUUAAGUAUUCUCCAUCUAUUUGCAUAUCAAGAGUAAUUUAGUAGUAUCUUUCUUGUGUACCUCAUUUCUUGACUUUCAAUGGAGAGUUUUUUAUCUUAAAAUUUGACGUGGGUUUUCAUACUAGUCUUGGUUCAGAUAUGUGAAUGCAAAGGUUGCAUCGAAGAAGAGAAGUAGGCUGAGUCAUCUUACAAAUUUUCAAGUUCAAAUUAGAUGCAUCAAACAUGUGCAACAUAUUUGAUAUAACUAAUAUUUUACCAAGCAACUAAAUACUUUAUAUAUAUAUAUAUAUAUAUAUAUAUAUAUUAGUGGUCCCACAACUCAUUAGCUACUCAUAAGCUUUAUAUCAUUUUCUUAAAGUCAAGUCAUUUACAAUUAUUUCUACCUAGCCUUCUCCAUUGCAACAACUGUACAAUAUAUUAAUUGAUUGAAAAAAUCAUCAUGUCUUUUUUGAUAGGAUAGUUUUUUUUAAUUCAAAGAACUUUCAAAUUAUUUUUAUCUAGCCUUCUCCAUUAUGACAACUGUAUAAGAUAUUGAUUGAUAUGAUAGUUUUCUUGUAUUCAAAGACUUUGCUUUUAUUAUUGAAACUUUCAAAUCCUUUAUGUCUAGUGGUCCUACAAUUCCCUAUUAAUUGGUAAUUCAUAUUAUCAAUCAUUUUAUAAAUAAGUGAAUUUUUCACUCCGUAAAUAUACUUAACUACCAAUGGUUUCAAAUUUAGUUGGUUAGCACACUUAUAGAUGUAAUUUGUUUUUAAAUUUUAUUUUUUAGAAGAAUUUUACGUAAAAAUGUUUCAGUAUAUGUGUUCAAUAAUUCUCUAAAAUAUUUAUAUGGAUGGAAUACAUUCAUGAAAGUUCCAACUAAUAAAAUUUAAAACCAAUGACGAUUUAAUGUAUUUGCACUANNNNNNNNNNNNNNNNNNNNNNNNNNNNNNNNNNNNNNNNNNNNNNNNNNNNNNNNNNNNNNNNNNNNNNNNNNNNNNNNNNNNNNNNNNNNNNNNNNNNGGGGGGGGGGGGGGGGGUGUAUACUGAAAUUAGCUAGUAUAUUUGUAGUUGUGUUGUUAGAAGUUGAUCAUUUUCUUAAAGGCCUCUAAGAUAUUGGAAAUAUUGCCAAAGUUUUGAACUUUUUGUUUUACACCUAAAAAGAAUAUCAUUAAUUUAAUAUAUAUACUCUUCACUUGAAAGUAUAGUCUCUCCAUAUUGUAUGAAGUCGUAGCUAGGUGACAAUAUUAGGUAAAGUUUUUUUGGUUUACUACAAAAUAUAAAUAAUACAUUUAUUAUAUGAUAACAUUUUGUAAAAUAUAUUAUUAUAGAUACAAAAUUAUUAAUUGAGUUUUAUUUUUUACUAAAUUAUCAUUUCAAUAAAUAAGAACUUAUUUGUUAAAAGACAAUUAUAAAAUAUAUGCAGUUGAAAAAAAAUUUAGUUUUUUUAUUUAAUUUAGUAUUUUAUUUGAAUUAAUAAUUAAUAUUUGUAAGAUCUUUUAAUAUUAAAAGAAGUUAACAUACUUAAAAAGACAUUCAAAAUCAAGAGUCUUUGAUAUGAAAUUAAUUAAUUAAUUUUUCUAUUUAAAUAAAUUUUUACAUCCAUUAAAAAUUUUUUAUUGUUUAUUUUUCACUUCAAUAUUUUUAUUUUGUAAAGGAAAUAGAAAUAAAAUCACCAAAUUAAACAAUUGAAUUAAGUUAGUUUAAUUUUGCCACCGUUACAUUGAUAAAUGAAGACUCUUAGAUUUGAUAUUAACACGAACAUCAUGACUUCAUUGAAUUUCACAAGAAAAUUUUUGUUUGAAAGAUUUCAUCCUUUAAACAUGUGGCACAUAUUAAAGUGAGACCAAGUAUUCCCUAUAAUUUGUAUCUAUCACAAUUUAUUUCCUAAUGAAUAGCCUUUUUGAAUAGAAUAUAGACUUUAGCAUGCAUGGUGGGGCCUAUCAAACUAUUAGUCAAGACAACUCAUGGGCAAGAACGAUGUACCAACUACAUUAAAUACUCUUCAUCUAUUUGCAUAUCAAUGGUAAUUUAAUAGUGUCUUUCUUAUGUACCUCAUUUUUAGACUUUCAAUAGGGAGUUCUUUAUCUAAAAAUUUGACGUGGGUUUUCAGACCAGUCUUGGUUCAGAUAUGUGGAUGUAAAGGUUGCAUCAAAGAAGAGAAGUAGACUAAGUCAUCUUAUGAAUUUUCAAGUUCAAAUUAGAUGCAUCAAACAUGUGCAACAUAUUUGAUAUAACUAAUAUUUUAUUAAGCAAUUGAAUACUUUUUUUGAAAAAAAUUUACUUGAUUAUUAAUGAAUACCUACAUGUAGGUAUGGCAUUGACACAAUUUGAUAAAUCUUUUAAAAUAGUAUUAGAAUGACUUUUCUAGAAAAAAAAAAGUAAUAAUAAAAAUAAAAAUACACAUAUAUUAGUGGUCCCACAACUUAUUAGCUUCUCAUAAGCUUUAUAUCACUUUCUUAAAGUCAAGUCAUUUACAAUUAUUUCUAUCUAGCCUUCUCCAUUACGACAACUAUAUAAGAUAUUGAUUGAUUGCAAAAAUCAUCACGUCUUUUUUGAUAGGAUAUUUUCUUUUUUAAUUCAAAGAAUUUUCUUCUAUUAUUGAAACUUUCAAAUCCUUUAUGUCUAGUGGUCCUACAAUUCCCUAUUAAUUGGUAUUUCAUAUUACCAAUCAUUUUACAAAUAAGUUAAUUUUACUCGGUAAAUAUACUUGACCACCAAUGGUUUCAAAUUUGUAGCACCCUUAUAGAAGUAAUUUAUUUUUAAAUUUUAUUUUUAAGAAGAAUUGCAAGUAAAAAUAUUUUUGGUAUAUAUGUUCAACAAUUCUCUAAAAACAAUUUAUAUAGAUGGAAUACAUUCAUGGAAGUUCCAACUAAUAAAAUUUAAAACCAAUGUCGAUUUAAUGUAUUUGCACUAAAUCUUAGGGGGCGUAGACUAAAAUUAGUCCUUUUACAAAUAUUUAUAGGUAGUAUAUUUGUAGUUGUGGUGUUAGAAGUUGAUCAUUUUCGUAACGACCACUAAGAUAUUGGAAAUAUCGCCAAAGUUAAGAACUUUUUGUUUUACACCUAAAAAGAAUAUCAUUAAUAUAAUAUACAUAUAUAUAUAUAUAUAUAUAUAUAUAUAUAUAUAUAUAUACUCUUCACUUGAAAAUAUAUCUCUCCAUAUUGUAUGAGGUCUAAGGUGACAAUAUUUGGUGAAGGUUUCUUUUUUUGUUUAGUACAAAAUAUAAAUAAUUUAUUUAUUAUAUGAUAAAAUUUUGUAAAUAUAUUGUUAUAGAUGCAAAAUUAUUAAUUGAGUUUUAUUUUUUACUAAAUUAUCAUUUCAAUAAAUAAGAACUUAUUUGUUAAAAAACAAUUAUAAAAUAUAUGCAGUUGAAAAACAUUUAGUUUUUUUUUUUUAUUUAAUUUAGUAUUUUAUUCGAAUUAAUAAUUGAUAUUUGUAAGAUAUUUUAAUAUCAAAAGAAGUUAACAUACUUAAAAAGAUAUUCAAGAUCAAGAGUGUAUUUGAUAUGAAAUUAAUUUCUUUAUUUUUUUUUUCUAUUUUAAAAAAUGUUCACAUCCAUUAAAAAAAAUUUAUUGUUUAUUUUUCACUUCAUAUUUUUAUUUUGUAAAGGAAAUAGAAAUAAAAUCAAUAAAUUAAACAAUUGAAUUAAGUUAGUUUAACUUUACCACUAUUAAAUUGGUAAAUGAAGACUCUUAGAUUUGAUAUUAACAUGAACAUCAUGACUUCAUUGAAUCUCACAAGAAAAUAUUAGUUUGAAAGACUUCAUCCUUUAAACAUGUGGCACAUAUUAAAGUGAGACCAAGUCUUCCCUAUAAUUUGUAUCUAUCACAAUUUCUUUCUUCAUAAAUAGCCUUUUUGAAUUGAAUAUAGACUUUAGCAUGUAUGGUGGACCCUAUCAAACUACUAGUCAAGACAAUUCGUAAGCAAGAAUGAUGAACCAACUAGAUUAAAUACUCUUCAUCUAUUUGCAUAUCAAGAGCAAUUUAGUAGUGUCUUUCUUAUGUACUUCAUGUUUGAACUUUCAAUGGAGAGUUUGUCAUCUAAAUAUUUGAUGUGGGUUUUUAUACUACUCUUGGUUCAAAUAUGUGGAUGCAAAGGUUGCAUCGAAGAAGAGAAGAUGGGUUUGCUUGAAUUCAAGGCUUUUCUUAAAGUGAAUGAUGAGCACACAGAUUUUCUUCUUCCUUCGUGGAUAGAUAACAACACUAGUGAAUGUUGUAAUUGGGAGCGAGUUAUUUGCAAUCCCACCACAGGUCGAGUUAAGAAGCUUUCCCUCAAUGAUAUAAGGCAACAACAAAAUUGGUUGGAAGUCAGUUGGUACGGUUAUGAAAAUGUCAAAUUCUGGUUACUAAAUGUCUCUAUAUUCCUUCAUUUUGAAGAACUUCACCAUCUAAAUUUGUCUGGAAACUCAUUUGAUGGGUUUAUUGAGAAUGAAGGUAUGUUACCUCUCACCUUUCAAAUUUCUUUUCACUUAUACUCCAAACAUUCUAAAGGAACUACUAGCAUAUGUUCUUAAGAGUGUUCAAAUGGAGACCAAAUGGUCACUAAUAACUAUUGAAUUUAAUAUAAAUUACUAAUGAUUAAAAUUUAAAAUAUGAAUUAACAUUUAAAUAGAACAAUAAAAAAUUAUUAUUUUAAAAUAUUAUAGAUUACAUUAGCCUUAUAUAUAUAAGCAUACUUGUUAUUUAUUAAUUAACAGGAACACUUAGGCUCCCGUAUUCUUAUCCUUUUUGCUUAAUUGUCUUUCUUUAUCUUCCAUUCCUAAAAAGUUUGAUUUCUAUAUUCCAAAUUGAUAGAGAUUGGUUAAAGAAAGGUGAUCACAAAAAUUGACUAUUGCUUUCAAAUGAGGAAUCACCAUUUUUAGAAUUUCACAUUUACAAAAAAAAAAAAAAAAACUUAGCCUUGGGUAGGGCCCAGGCCUCAUUGUUUUAUUCUGAUGUUGGGUUGGUUUAACAAUGAACAGAGUAAAGCCCAACCCAUGACUACUACGCAUUUCCAAAUUCCACCCAUCCACAACCCAUUGAUAUGACAUUUUCAGGGACUUAAUUUAAUCAAUUAAACCUAUUAGAUGGAUUCUACAUACAAUGUUAAAAUGAAUAUAAAAACUUUAAUUCAGAAAAUAAUUUCCUUUAUUUAGUUAGGAUUCAGAUUAUAGGGGCACAAAGCAUGAAAAAUUUCAUUUUAAAUUCACAAAGAUCACAAAAUCUCUUUGAAGCUCUAUGGACUUUUUUAUUUCUAACAUUUAAACACAAAAAUCACAAAAUUGAAUUAAUAAUUUGGAUACAUAUUCUUAUAUUAAAGACAUGUAAGCUUACAGAUUUAAAUAUGAAGAUCUCAACUUGUAAUUACAUGCUUCUAAUUAAAGUUAUAUUACUCUAUUUUAUAGGAUUUAAAGGGUUAUCAAGUUUAAAGAAAUUGGAGAUCUUGGACAUAAGUGGUAACGAGUUUGACAAAAGUGCCUUAAAAUCUUUGAGCGCAAUAACAUCACUCAAGACAUUGGCUAUUUGCAGCAUGGGACUGGCUGGAUCUUUUCCCAUUCGAGGCAUGUUAUAUGUUCACAUUGUUUCUUCAAAAUUAAGUAUAAUAUAUUUCUAACUUUUAAUGUUCCUUAGUUAAUCUCUCUUUUGAUUCAUGUUUGUUGCAGAAUUAGCUAGUUUGAGAAAUUUGGAAGUGUUGGAUCUAAGCUAUAAUGAUUUGGAAAGCUUUCAACUAGUGCAAGGUACUUCAAUAACUUGCUAAAAAAAACUUAUGAUAUUUUGUUAUUAAAUUAACAAUAUUAGCCAACAAUUUCAUCUCUCUUUUGAUUUGUAUUUGAUGCAGAAUUAACUAGUUUGAGAAAUUUGAAAGUGCUAGAUCUAAGCUAUAAUAAUUUGGAAAGCUUUCAACUAGUGCAAGAUACUUUAUUAACUUGUUAAAAAAACUUAUGAUCUUUUGUUAUUAAAUUAAAUGUAAGAUUAACCAACAAUUUCUUCUCAUUAGUUAUUUUUCUUUUGUAAUAUCAUUAAAUUUGAUAUAAAGUAGUCUAAGUCAUCCUUUCAAUUUUUUUAGUUUUAAUAAAUGCAUCAAGCAUGCACAAGAUGUUUGAUAUAACUAAUAUUUUCAUAUGUAAUUGAAAACUUUUUUUUAUGAAUUAAUUAACUCGAUUAUCAAUAAAUACUUACAUGUAUAAUAUUAAUAUAGUUUCAUAAGUAUUUUAAAAUUGUCUUACAACACACACACACACACAUAACAUACUUUUAUGCUAUGUUUGGUUCUAAGAAAAUUUGAGGGAAAAUGAAAGGUGUGUGAUACUUUUAUGCUAUGUAUGGUUCCCAAAACAAUUGAGGGAAAAUGAAAGGAGAAAAAGUAGAGAGGAAAAUUAAAAGAAAAGAAGAGAGUGAAGAAAAAUAUAAAAUUGAUUACAGUGAAUAAAUUAUUUUUAUGUGUUACUUUAAACUUGUUUCACUUAUUUUAAUUCUUCAAUAUAAAGAUGAAAGAUUUGAAAAUGCAUAAGUUUCUAAUUAUUUUAUAUUAUAUUAUAUUUUAUUUAAUAUUUUUUACAAUACAACCAAACAUAAAAUCUUAAUACUUGAGUUAUGUUUGGUUUGCACAAAAUAUGAGGAAAAGAAAAUAUAGAAGAAAAUUAGAAGGAAAGGAAAAGUGAAGUAAAAUAAAAGUAAAUUUAAAAUUAAUAAAUUAUUUUUAUAUGCUACUUUAAACUUAUUUCACUUAUUUUAAAUUAUUUAAACUCAUUUCUAGCAAAUAAUAAUGGAAAUUACAGAGAAGUUUGUGUUAUUCAAGCUUUACAAUGACUUUUCAGGUGAAAGAAAAUAUUUUUGUUGAAACUAAAAAAUGAAAUACCUUCCUAAAUAGCCUAUUGACUGAAAGCACAUUACCCUAACACAUACAUGCACCCUUAUUAUUUAUACAAUCAUGUAAUAAUUAAUAUAGUUAGUAGGAUUCUGAUGGUCGUUUCUGUCUUGGUUUCCAAUAUUUCUGAUUGAUAGUGUUUCGUUAAUGAAAUAUCAUAAAUUUUGACUCUAACAAGGACCUCAAUUAGACCUAAUCCUUGUUAAAUGUAACUAGGUGGCCUAAGACUAAAUAUUAGACCCAACUAAUAAAAACCCAUCUAUUUAUUGGAGCCUAAAUAACCUGGCCUUGGUUAGGGCCCACGCUUUAUUAUUUUAAGAUGUAGUCCACCUGGUUUGACACUAGAUUAAGUAAAGCCCAACUUAUGAGCAUCUGUGCAUUUCCAUCCAUCCACAACCUAUCGACAUGGACAAACUUUGAUCAAUUAAACCUAUUAGAAAUGUAUACAAAAUUUUAAGUUCAAAAGAUAAUUUUCCUUAUUUAGUUAGGAUUCAUAUUAAAAGGGCACAAAGCAUGAAUUUUCAUGUUUAAAUUCACAAAGAUCACGAAAGCUCCUUCUUGCUCUAUGGACUAUUUUAUUUGUAACAUUAUAUUACUCUUAAUUAUCAAAUUAACCAACAAAUUCUUCUCAUUAGUUAUUUUUCUUUUGUAAUGUCAUAAAAUUUGAUAUAAAGUAGUCUUGGUCAUCAUUUCAACUUUCAAGUUCCAAUUAGAUGUAUCAAGCAUGUGCAACAUAUUUGAUAUAACUAAUAUUUUUUAUAAGUAAUUGAAGUUUUUUUCUACAAAUCAAUUAACUUGAUUAUCAAUGAAUACUUCCAUAUAUGAUAUUGAUGUAGUUUCAUAAAUAUUUUAAAAUAGUCAUAGAAGUCUUUUAUCUAAUUCACUAGAAAGAAAAAUAAACUAUUCUAAUGAAAAUACUUGAUGAUUUGAAGUGAUUGCUUUUGAUUUUAUUUGAUUGCUACCAUUAUUAAUUGUUAGAAAUUUGCAACAAAUACCCAUUUUGCAUCACUUCUAUAUGCAUUGGAAUGAAUUAUAUUUCAUAAAGCUAACAAGUCAAAAAUCAUACUUUUGGAAUUAUGGAAAAGACUGCUAUAAAGCUAAUUAACCAUUUGUAAUCUAAUUAAGACUAGUUGGUUUCGAAAUAAUUCAUAUGGAGAUUAAAACAACUAUGUAAUUUAGUUUAGUAGCUUGGGUGCUAUUGUAAUGAUUAAUGAUCUACAACUUGAAAACAUCCACUAGUGCUUCCUAAUUGUAUAGCUAAAUUCAUGUUACCACUUUGAACUAUAGUACUUACAUGAGAAGAAAGCUUUUCCUUAAUGAUAAUGCAAAAGAAAUUAAGUAUCAAUUUUUGUUGAACUAACAAGUGAUAGUUUAGAUAUGGUUUGAAUACACUUCCUUUCUUCUAUUUUUUUUUUUUUUAUUUUGAAAAAAAAAACUCUUUAAUGAAAUAUAAGAACUCUUAUAUGCAUAAAAAGUAAAGACUUAUAUAAAAAAAUUAUUUUCAAAAAUUUUUAAAGCAAAAGAAUUUAUCUUCUUCAAAUUUUAAAAAUUUUGAGAAGUGUUUUUAAGAAUUUGUACUUUUAGUAUAAUAAUUCCUAUAUUUUAUAUAAAAGUUUUUGUUUAAAAAAAAUAGAAAUGUAUCCAAAAUACAACUUAUUUGUUAAAUUAAGAAUGUUUGUCAAAUCAAGAGAUAAUGAAAGUUGCAGAGAGUUUGCAUUACUCAACAUUUGCAAUUACUUUUUGAAGGUGAAAGAAAACACCUUCUUGCAUAACAUACAAUGGCAGGUUCUGGUUUGUAAGAAAUUAAUAUCUAAAUAAAAAUAUGAAUAAGACUUCCUUUAUAAUAAAUAUGUAGAAAAGAAUAGUGGAUGAUAGGAGGUGAAAAUCUUGUAAUAAAAUAUAAAUGUCGGUUAUAAGAUAAUCAACAUUUUCUCUAUUUCUUGUACCUAUGUGAUUAAGAAUCUUGUAGCUCCUUUAUUGAAAUAUAAUAUAAAAAUAUAAAUAAACUAUUUAGAAGUAAGUGCAUGUAGUUUUCAACAUGAGGAAGUUCAAAAGCAAGUUAAUUAUGAUAAUUUUCUAUAGUCUAUAUUGAACACAAAUUAUUUUUGCUAAAGGUUCAAUCGUUCUAUGAAGGUUAAAAGUUUGAAUUGUUUACAUAUGCAAAUGUGAAAUUUGAAAUUUUAUAAUUUUUUAUAAUUUUCUUGUAGAUUCAAAAGGCUUGUCCAUAUUCAAAAAGCUCGAGACCUUGAACCUCGAUGACAAUAAGUUCAAAAACACCAGCCUACAACAAUUGAAUAUAUUGACAUCCCUUAAAAAUCUUUCUCUACGAUGGAACAAUUUUGAAGGAUUUUUUCCUUUCCAAGGUUUGUGUAAUUAUUAUUACUUUUAAUGGUAAAAUAUUAAAAUUAUCAACAUCUCUUAUCUUUUUUCCUCUCAAUGGUGCUACAGAAUUAUGCACUCUGGAAAACUUGGUGAUGUUGGACCUAAGUGGGAAUGGCCUUAUUGGCAUGCAAGGUAAAUACAAAGUGAAGUUUUGGUUAUGUAUAUAUCAUCUAAGAACAUAACUAAAAUCAACAUUCUUUGUCUAUCAAUCUGUCUAUCAACAUAAUUGAAGGAAUGUCUAGCUGUACAACAUUUAAGAAUUUUGCAUGGCACAAUGAAAAACAUGGUAAUCAAUGUAUGCAAUAAAAUUCUAAUAGUUGAAAAAGAAUUUUGUUGUAAUUUUAUGUUCAUGUAUAGGUUAGAACAAAGAGAAAAUCAUGAAAAUGAAUAUUAGUUAGACUUUAUAUAUCGAUAGACAAAAAAAAAAAAAAAAAAAAGAUUAGUUCCUUAACUUAUCCUAAAAUUUUCUAGAUAACAAGGAGUUUACAACCUGAAAAGUGAAGAUGGUUAAUAUUAGUAAUAUAAUUUUGAAAUAUAAAAAUUAAUGAAAUAAUGUUCUUUAUAACUAUAAUUGCAACUAUGAAUAAAAUAUAAUAAAAUUACUUUAGACUUUGAAUCCAUGGUUAGGUUUGCAAUUUUUUGAUGAUCAAUAAAGCUACAACUUGUGCUACAAAAGAUUACAAAAUGUAUUAGUAGCAUUGCUAAGCUCAUUUAUCAACAAAAGAAAUCCAAUAACACUUUAAUUGGAAAAAACCUAGAAUCUUGUUUGAUAUAUAUAAUAGGUGAAGAAACAAAAUAAUAAUUCCAUGGUAUUAGUUAGUUUGAUAUCUCUUUUGUUAUAUGGAAUAACUAUUCCAUUUUAAAACAAUUAUUUCAUCUUAUUGUUAGAACAAAAAGUUUCAAAUAGUUAUAUGGGCUUUUGAGUUUCUUAAGAAUUUAAGCAUUUAUGAGUCACACACACACACACACACACACACACACAUAUGUAUAUAUAUAGGAAAAAUAAAAAAAUAUUAUAUGGAGACAAGGGUAGACACCCAUAACUAUACAUAUAAUUAUUUAAAUAAAAAUAUCAAUAAGAAACAAUAUACAAUAAAAUAGAAAAUUUUAAUCUUCUUAAAAUUUAAAAAUAAAAACUUAAUGAAAACAAGAAUUUAAGAAGUAAAAAAAAAUAGUAAGAAGGUCAAGAGUACAAAUAGAGAUGUAAACAAAAUAAUAAAUAAAUAAAUAAAAAUAAAAAUUUAAAAGAAAAAAAAUACAUAGAUUAACAUGAACACUAAAUGAAGAUUUUUGAGAUAGACUUAGUUAAACUUGAACUGGAUGGAUAUUAAAAAAAAAAACAAAUUUCAAAGAAAUAAAAACUAAUUAGAUGCUAAAUAUUGGAUUAAAAUAGCCAAAUGAAUAAAGAGUAAUUAUUAUUUUUUAACAUUUUUUUAUUGCCUAGAAUUAUUAUUUUGUGUAUUAAAUGUAUUCUGAGUGUAGUGACAUAAAAAAUGUAGUUAAGAAAACUAUGAAGAAUAAUAAUGGUGAUGACACUUAAUACCUUUUAUUGUACAUUUAGAAAAAAUGAGGUCCUAGAUCUUUGUGGAGAUUAUCAUUACUCAUUCGCAAGCAUGUUGAUAGUUGAAACUACCCAAUUAUCAAAAAUUGAAUUUCUAAUCUUCAAUUUUUUUCUCUCAAAUGUAUAUGUGGGUGAGAAAGCAAUAGGAAGAUUAUAAGGUCUCACAUGUAUAUGAGUCAUAGGAUAAAAAAUAUAGAGGCAAUACUAGCAUUUAUUUGAUCUAGUGGCAAGUAGAGAAAUAUAACAUAACCAUAACCAUAAUGUUCUAACCUUAUAUAUACAAGAACCAUGUUUCCUUCAUUCAAUUUUGCAACUUUUUCUUUUCAAAUUAGAAUGUAACUCGUAGGAUCCAUUGCCCAUCGAAAUUUUGAAUCGAAUAUUAUAAGAUAUUUCACAUUUCUACAUACUAAAGCAUGAGCUUCAAUGUUUUGAUGCACUUUUUGCUACUAAGUUAAAGAACUCUUUGAGGAUCAAUGGAGGUUCUAUGAGUAGAAAAGCAUUAUAAUCACAAAUGGGCUGCACUUAUGGUCUUGUCAGUGAUAUGCAAUUUGACCAAGAACCUAUUCCCAACUAUUUUAUGACUUUUAUGACUUUUAUGACUUUUCUUGGCUACUUGUAGGCAAGCUAAAGAAAUUUUCUGGUUUGUUCAAGUCUAAAAAGUGGUUUCAAGUUUAGGACCAAGCUUGGGUUGCACCUAGGUCCUUGGGCCUUGUUCAGCUCCACGUUUAAACCAACCCUGAGCCCAUCUUUGUAAUUUUUCUCCCAAUUCAUUGAUUAAUGUUAGGGUUUUAUAGAGCCUAUAAAUUGACCAACUAAAUAAAGUAAGUUUAUAAACUUUUAGGUGAAAAUUUUCUCUCUAAUAAAUGUUAAUUCAAGAGUCUCCGUAAUCUUUUUAUAUUCAUAUUAAUUGGUAUUUAAACCAGCCUUAUUAUAUUAAAGUCAAAUACUAAAUAGUGAACACUAUAUCUGCUACUACCAUUAUGAUGGUCACAAACAUAGAAUGCUCAUUUUUUUUAGAGUCAAUUGAUACUUAUAAACAACAACUUUGUUUGAAAAUAAAAUACAUUGAGUGAUUGCAUCAAGAGAUAGAUGUAAUAAUUGCAUACUUGAUGUUGAUAAUGCUAAUAUGAGUUGAUUAAAUUAAUGAGUAUUUACUUAUAAGGUAGCCCAUAGAGCAUUAUUUGUGGAAAUAUUCAUGCACCUCUACAUAUGUUCAUGAUAACUUAGGUCGAUAAAUUUAAGAAGAACAAAUUCAUAACCUUGGACAUAGUUAGUAAGAAAUUUCACCAAUAUAGUUUGGUAUCAUGAUUCUAAUUGGUCAAAUUGUUUUAAAAGAAUAUUUUAAAUUGCAUGUUAAUUUGCUUCUAAUAAAUGGAGAGAAACCAAUUCAAGAAGAGAAUUGUACUCAAGCUAUGUAUAGCAUUCAUGAAGAUGUAGAAAAUAUUGAUGAACUUACUUUUGAGCAAGUUGAAAUCAUAAUUAAAUAAAAGAACAAAUCCAAGGGUUAAGAUUGUCAAGUAAAACUUUAACUAAAAUUUAUUGAUUUUUUAAAUGCCUAUUAGAUGAACAAUAGAAGUUCUAGAUAGAAAGUAAGAACUUUUCUAAGAAAUCACUUGUUAGAUUUUAACUGAUCAAUAAAUAUAAUGUCCAAUUUAAAACUUUUAUAAAAGCAAUGCUUCUAAAGAAUAACUUGAUUUGAAUUUAAAGUUAUUAUUGAUAUUUGUUUAUAAUGGAUGUAGUUAAUCAAUUGAACACAGUAAAAAACACAUAAUUUUUUCAAAAUACCUUCUAGUUGUUGGGUAUAUUUAAGUAGUUAUUCAUAUCUCAUUAUCUUUUUACUCACAUACUAAUCUCCUUAUUGAGAAUUUACCAAUUACAAGUAGGUUGAAAGUUACUUGAAUUUAAGUCACUAAUCAAUGUUAACUUGAUGAUAAAUAAGUCUCCCUUUGAAACUUGUUUUACAAGAUAGCGAAAUGUAGUCGGUCAAUCAUCGAAACAAUGUUUAAGCAUUAGGAUUUAGUUGUUAUUUUUUAUUUUUUAUUUUUUGUGCUUUAAACAAAGACAAAAAUGAUAAAAACUCCUAAAAAGUACAUAUUAAUUGAAUUUAAUUUAUACAUCAAACAAGAACAAACUAGUGUUGGAUUUAAAAUUCAAUAGGUUUUGUAAUUAUAAUUCCUAAAAAUUUGUAAGACAACAAAAUUAUUGGACACUAGGCUAUUGGGUGUGUAUGACUAAGAGGUGAAGGAGGGUUCAUCUUAUACAAAGGAUGAUUUGAUUAAUUUUAAAGAUUCGAUAAACAAUAAUUGCAUAAUAAAGUAAAAAUAACAUUUCUAAAAAGGAAAAUAAGUAUUUUAGUCCUCAAACCUAAAAUGGCUAAAAAUUUUAAUUAAUACAAUUACAACUUCACCUACAAAAAAAAAAAAAAAACCCAAAACUUUUCAAUAGCACAACUAAGUCCAUUUAUCAAAAGCUCUAUGAACAACAUCCACUUUCAAAUCACAUAAAUCAUGUUGUUUUCAAAGUGCCCUUGAUGUUUUAAAACUUAAUAUAUUACAUAAAAAUCAACCAAUAGUGUAUGGCAUUAUAAAAAAACAUAUCCAAAUCCAUUGUCGAACUUAAACUAAAUUCAACUUUAUAUGCAUAGUCACAAGUGGGUCUUUUUGUCUUUCAAUUUGGGUUAAAUUCAUAUGUUAGUUUUUUACACAACAAGGGAUUAUCAAGGUGAUAAUUCAUGCAUAUAAAUAGUAUUACUAAUAUAAAAAAAGAUGGUAAAUGUAAUUUUUUUGUAUUCACUCACCAUUUGGCAUAUCAAUAAGAAAAAAUGUAUAUAUAAUAGGUGUUAUCAAUAAUAUUACUCAUCACUAGAAAUUAUAAUUUUUCAUUCGUUGUCACUAUUUGUGCACUUUGGAAAGCUUGCUAGGUACAACAUAUUAGCUCAAUGAAGAAAUUGAUCAAUUCCUUCAUUUCUAAAUAAAUUUGCAUAUACACUAGAAUAAAAACAACUUUUUAACUUAACAAGUUGACUGAGUCUCAGAACUCAAUAGGUUGAAGGUAUAGACUUCCAUCCAAACUCAUUGACUGGCACCAUAUGUUGGAAAAAUAAAGAAAAAUCAAAACCCUUGAGUAUAGUUGCAGACAAAUCUAAAUAUAGAGUGAGAUCUACAUUUCUUUGAAAGUUUAGAACAAAUUUUUAUUUUUAUGAUAAGACUAUGCAGUACUUAUCAUUCUCUAACAAGUCUAUAAUCAGUCCAAAGCAUGGGAUAUUGCAUAAAUUCUUGAACUCAAUUAGUCUUUAAUCCAUGCAUUUCAAGUAAAUUUAAAACCUGGUGUACUUGUUCUUGAUUCACAUCCUUGUCACUAUUAUCAUUACUUGUUCUUGAAUAUAGAACCUUAUUGUCCAUUAACAAGCGGGCCUAUGUUCCUCCAUGAUUCAAGAGUAUUAUGUUUUGUUCAUCAUCAGUUGGUCUUGCUCUAAAGCUUCUUUUUUAUGACUAUCAAUAACCAGACUUAGAUACCAAAAUUUAUGCAAGAGAGCAUGUACUUUAUACAGUCAAGAACUUGUGAGUCUAGACUUUGUUAUCUAGGUAAAAGAAUAAAUUGGUUUGUCAAAAUAGCUAGCAUUAGGUAUCUAUUCAAUUCCUAUCUUAGACAAUAAAGAUAGAAAUGAUCAAAUACAUUCUUAUUAAGAAACAUUUGAUACCAAAAGUGAUGUAAGACAACACAGUUCCUCUAUUCAAUCAAGUUUAAGGCUUAGAUGAACCUAUGAAUUUAUAUUAAUUAAUUGGGAAAGAGAAUAAAUAGGCUAAGUAGAAGUGAUAGGAUUGUAAUAGCAUUAAGUUAAUGAUCUUGUUUAGGUCUUCUACUAAAUUAGAGAAGAAACAAACAAAAGUAAUCAAACGUGUUAGUGAUAAUUAUAUCUACUUAACAUUGAGACAAUAGUUGUACUAAUGGUAAUUAUAUUAUUUCUUGAGAGUUUAAACAAUAUAUAUUGAAAAUAUUUUUAAAGGUUUAGCAACUACCAAGGUUAUAAUCAACUACGAGCUUUUUAUUUUUAAAAAUAUGAAAUAUUAAUAUCUUUACUUUCUUUGAUCUUCUUGUAGGUUUUAAAAGUUUGUCUAAGCUGAAAAAGCUGGAAAUCUUAAACCUUGGUGAUAAUCAGUUCAACAAGACCAUUAUAAAACAGUUGAGUGGACUCACAUCCCUUAAAACACUAGUUGUAAGGUACAACUAUAUUGAGGGACUUUUUCCUUCCCAAGGUAUUGCUUAUUCUUUUAAUAUCCUUAGUAACCACUCUACCAUGAUUUUUUUUUUUUCAAUUUUAUUUUCUUUCUUGAACCAUACAGAAUUAUCUAUUUUUGGAAACUUGAUGACACUGGAUUUAAGCUGGAAUAGAUUCAAUGGCUCCCUAUCAAUCCAAGGUAAAUUCUAAUCAGAAUUAUCAUUAUAUUUAGGGCAUAUAAUAAAUUAAUUAAAUUAUUUUAUCUAUUAUCAUUACUUGGUUAUUUGGAUUUUCUUGAUAUUGUUUAGCAUUUUACAUAGGAAAAUGAAAUGGAAAAAUCAACCCAUGCUUAGUGUUUAAGCACUGGGCUAGAAGUAUAUUUGUCUUCCCAAUUUAAUCAAAGAGAAAAGUCAUAAAUAACAUAAUUUAACUUAUACCUUAUAUUGAUUGAAGAGGUUAGACUACUUUUGGAUUUAAUGGUCAAUAUUUGUUGAAGAUAGGGUUUCCUAAAUUUGAUAAAAAGAACUUCAAUUUAAAUUACCAUAACUACAUAAAGGUGUGACUAGCAUAAUUAAACUCUUUUAUUAAUAGAUGUUCAUAGACUAGUAUUAUAUUCCCACACACACAAAUAAUCAAAUUUUGAAAUUAGUCUUCAAAUAACUAUGUAAUAUACGAAACUACAAAAUGAAUGGUAGGUCAUAAUUAAUUAAAUUCGUACUAUAUUCAAUGUUGGUCAACACGUGUCAAGUAAAAGUUUUGGCCUAAGUGUAAGGGCUCACUUUCUCCUAUAUAGAUAUUAUUCACUUUGGGUUGAGGCCUACUUUAAAAUAUCUCUAUACAUUUAUGAGAAGUCUACUAAAUAUAAAGUCGUAGAAACUUUUCUUCUUAGGUGAUAUGGAAUUUCACAUUAGGACCAACAUUUUAUAUAUUUUGAAAACAUAAUUUAAUUAACAUUUUAGAACUAAUUAUUAGUUAUCCAUUUAUAAUCCUAGAGGAAAUUCCUUUUACCUAUGCAAAUUAUAUACCUCUAGUAAUUACCUUUAAUUUCUCAUUUACAACUUCCUAAAAUAAUAUGAAAAAUGACAAAGUGUACAAUAUCUACCAAUAUGGGUGGAAUAUGCAGUGAGACCCACAAUGCUCAAUAUAGUACUAGCAUCUAUGUCAUCUAAUAGCAAUGAAAGUACUAAGUAAUAAAAACAAUUGUUUUGGGCACUUUAUGCAAUUGGCCUUGUAAAAAAAGAAAUCUAAGGUAGUUGGACUCAUUUACUAGUAAUUUAACAUAUGACUAGAACCUAUUGAAUCAUUUGCAAUAGCACUUACUUUGGUCAUGUCCAAAUUUAGUGCACAUGGUGCAAAAAGGGGUGUUGCUAGAGGAUGCUUUGUUUUCCCACUUAUGAAAGUCUCAAUCUUGCUAAUAUAUUUUAUGCCAUGUUUAUCAUAUACAAAUUUAGCCUAAGUGUAAGGGCUCGCUUGCUCCUAUAUAGAUGUUAUUCACUUUGGGUCGAGGCCUACUUUAAAAUAUCUCUAUACGUUUAUGAGAAGUCUACUAAAUAUAAAGUCGUAGAAACUUUUCUCCUUAGGUGAUGUGGAAUUUCACAUUAGGACCAACAUUUUAUAUAUUUUGAAAACAUAAUUUAAUUAACAUUCUGGAACUAAUUAUUAGUUAUCCAUUUAUAAUCCUUGAGGAAAUUCCUUUUACCUAUGAAAAUUAUAUACCUCUAGUAAUUACUUUUAAUUUCUCAUUUACAACUUCCUAAAAUAAUAUGAAAAAUGACAAGGUGUAUAAUAUGAGCCAAUAUGGGUGGUAUAUGCAGUGAGACCCACAAUGCUCAAUAUAAUACUAGAAUCUAUGUCAUCUAAUAGCAAUGAAAGUACUAAGGAACAAUUUAACAUAUGUUUUGGGUACUUCAUGCAAUGGCCUUGUAAAAAAAGAAAUAUAAGGAAGUUGGACUCAUUUACUAGCAAUUUAACAUAUGACUAAAACCUAUUGAAGAAUUUGCAAUAGCACUUACUUUGGUCAUAUCCAAACUUAUUGCACAUGGUGCAAAAAGGGGUAGUGGUCGAGGAUGCUUCCACAUAAGAAAGACCCUACUUAACUAUUACAAAGGUUAUUUUCCCACUUGUGGGAAUGCUAACCUUGCUAAUAUAUUAUAUGCCAUGUUUAUCAUAUACAAAUUUUUCUUUACUAAAUAUUUCUUUAAUGAUCUUGAACCUAAAAUUAAAUAUUUCAUUAGUAUUGGUCAUGUCGUUCCUCAACUUUUCAACUUUUAGAGUUAAAUCUUUAUCUUUAUCAUUGAUAGUUUUAUGUUUAGUCCCUAGAAACUUCACCUUAUUAACAAUAUGUUCAUUUAAUAUAUUGAUAUUUUUAAUUUUCAAAGAAUCAUAGAGCUCAUUAAUUUUAAUGUCUUUUUAUUCACUUUUAUGCUUUCAACCUUUGUUUUUAGUUUUCCUAUAAUAAUGCAUCAUAGACCCCAUGUACAUCAUUAAAAUAAAACUCAUUUUUUUCAUUAGGAUUCAAUUAACCCAGUGGAUCAUAAUCAAAAUUAGUUGCAUAUGAACAAAAACAAUAAGAUUAUCAUUUUGUACAUCUUUACUUUCAUUUGAGUUCUUAGCCCUACAAUCAUGAAACAUGGAAUUACUCCAAGUCACCUACAUAGCCUUCAUACCUAAUGUUUUUAAGGCAAGGACAAUCAACAACCAUGUGUCCCAUUCCCCCAAUGGUUCACUACAAAAUCAAGGUACAUAUGUUAUGCUUUCUUUGUUUCAUAGAGAUUAGAGAGGAAAACAUUGUAAAAAAAAAAAAGUUGUCAUAGUUAAUGUAAGCUAAAACUAAAAAACUUGCUUUUUCAAUUGUGUAAGCGUGUUUUGUUCUUGAUGAAUAUUUACAACAUUCAGAGUUACUAAUGUUUAUAAUUCACAGAGACCUCAUUAACAACAAGUAACAACUAAUUGUAAGUAACCAUGGAAAAAAAUAAGGAGAAAAAUAAAGGAAAAUCAAGGAAAGUGGAAAAUUUUUUCAUCCCCAUAAAAAAUGCUAAGGAAGAAAAAGGUGAAGAAAGUUUAAAGAAAGUAUAUUUUUCAAAAAUUGAAUUUUCUUUCCCUUAAAGUUGGUAUGGACAACCAAACAAGAAAAUGAUUUUUAAAUUCUUUUUUGACCUUUUUCUAUCAUUCUUUUUUUUCCCUCUACUCUAUUUCCUUUCCCUUAAACUUUCUAGGUAGUAAACAUUACCUAAGAUAAAUAGGGAAGAAAAUAUUUUAUCAUUUAUUUAUUUAGUAUUUUUCUUACCUUUUUUUGUAUUUUAUCCAAAUAUAAGAAAACUACUUUUCUUUAUUUUUUUUCUUUUCCUUGUUGCUUUUCAAGAAUCAAGCAUACUUUAAACUCUAAUUAAGAGUUACAUAGAUUUAUAGAGAAACAAUACAACUGGUAACUAAAAAUUAAGGAAAUUUAAUUUUUUAAUUUUUGAGAGUAAGUAUAAUAAAAUUGGUUUGUUUGAUACAAAAUUUGAAUAAAAUUAUUUCAAUGAAAAUUCAAGGAAAGGAAAAAAAAAACUUGAUCUCUAGACUAUAAUACUAAAUCACUUAAAAAAUCUCCUAACAUCGUUUAUGUUCAUCUUUCUUUUUAUGGAUUUGAAAAACCCAAUAAUUUGGAAAAAACUGAUUCAAGGAAGAAUAAUUUUUAGAAUAAAAGAUUAUUAUUUAAGAAGAUCAUAAAUAUUAUAGUCAUUGUUGAAUAUGAUAAAUGAUUAAAAAAAAAAAAGGUAGUUGGAAAUUUAGAUACUUUUAUAAGACAAAUGCAUUUUUCUAGUAUGAUAUGAAAAAAGGUAAAAUGAUAGGCUUUGAUCAUUUUUUAAGGUAGUUUGUUUAAAUCAUUUUAAUUUAUUUUGAUUUAAUAACAAUAACUUUUAUUACACUAGUUAUUUUGAUUUUCUUUUGAUAGAUUUUGCAAGCUUAAGCAAUUUGGAGCUAUUGGAUUUGAGUCAUAAUUUAUUUAGUGGGAUCGUUCCAUCGUCUAUAAGAUUGUUGUCUUCUCUCAAGUCUUUAUCUCUGGUUGGAAAUCUCCUCAAUGGUUCCUUAGCAAAUCAAGGUACAUAUAUUGUGAUUACAAGUUUUUCUGUUUUCUUUUUUAAUAUCUUGUUUGUUCUUUAUGCCAAUUAAGUCAUGCAUGUCUAUUAAUUUUUGGUAUUUAAUAAAAAACUUUAUUCUUAAUUCAUAAAGACCUCAUCAACUGUAAGUAACAGCUAGUUGUAAGUUUGGGGGCAUUGACAAGACGAGGAGAUGAUUGGUUACAUAUCUUAUUCUCUUUUGUAAGCUUCUGCCAAUUGAAUAAGCUUCAAGAGUUAUAUCUUUCUUACAACUUAUUCCAAGGGAUCCUUCCUCCAUGUUUGAAUAAUUUGACAUCUUUGAGGUUAUUGGAUCUCUCUUCCAACCUAUUCUCCGGAAAUCUUUCUUCCUCUCUGUUACCUAAUCGCACAUCCCUGGAGUACAACGAUCUCAAUUACAAUCAUUUUGAGGGUUCAUUCUCUUUCAGCUCUUUUGCUAAUCACUCCAACCUUCAAGUGGUCAAACUUGGAAGGAAUAACAACAAAUUUGAGAUAGAAACUGAAUAUCCAGUAUGUUGGGUUCCAAAUAUUAUGUUUUUAAAUUUAUCCAACAAUGGUUUUGAAGGUAUUCUCCCAUCCUCAAUAGCCGAAAUGAGUUCCUUAGAGUCGUUGGAUUUGUCUGCUAAUAGUUUCUCAGGGGAAGUACCAAAACAAUUGCUUGCGGCAAAAUAUUUGUGGCUUCUGAAAUUAUCAAAUAAUAAAUUUCAUGGUGAAAUGCUUUCAAGGGACUUUAACUUGACUCAGUUAGGGUUUUUGCAUUUGGACAAUAAUCAGUUCAAGGGAACACUGUCAAAUGUAAUCUCCAGAAUCUCUAGGUUAUGGGAUUGGAUGUGUUUGGCCCCCACACUCAUUUUAUUCACUAUCAAGGUUUAUUCAAUGACGUAUUACCAAUAUAUUAAUUUCACUAAUUAUAUAUUUUUUUAGUGAUUUUUGUAAAAAUAUUUUUAGUUUUUAGUGCUUUUAUUAAUGAUAUUUAUGUCGGAAAUGCUUAGUCUAUAGAGUACAUCAACACUUAACAAUCCAUUAAUAAAAAAACGAAUGAAAAAAGUUACAAUGAUUAAACUUUAAAUAAAAAAAGAAAAAACCUUUUAAUUGCAGUUGUAAUUGACCAAACAACUCGACUCUCAACAUCUUGAGCGAAGUCCAACAACACUGAUUCAAGCUUCACAAUCUAGCAUAUGGAUUUUUCUUUAAUUUUCUCCCCCUCUUCAAAAUAAAUUUCAUUUAGAAUUUUUCUAUUAUUAACUUGAUAAUUUCAUAUUUGCUAAACUUAAAAACUUCUUAUUAAGAAAUUUUUAAAAACUUCUUAAAAACAACUACAUGUCAAGUGAAAUUCCAAGCUGGAUAGGUAACAUGACCCAUUUGACUACACUGGUGUUGGGCAACAAUAGUUUUAAAGGCAAAUUACCACCUGAUAUUUCUCAAUUGCAGAGGUUGAAGUUUCUUGACGUUUCUCAAAACGUUCUUUCAGGAUCUCUUCCUUCUUUGAAGAGCCUGGAGUAUUUAGAUACCCAGAGAUUGAUACCCAGAGAUUUUCUCAAUUCCUCAUAUCUAUUGACUUUGGAUAUCAGAGACAACAGGUUAUUUGGAAGUAUUCCCAAUUCAAUCUCUAGACUUUUAGAGCUAAGAGGAAACCUUUUAAGUGGUUUCAUUCCAUAUCAGCUUUGUCAUUUGACUAAAAUAAGCUUGAUGGAUCUUUCAAACAACAAUUUUUCUAGGUCAAUUCCUGGAUGCUUUGGUCAUAUCGGAUUUGGAGAUUUCAAAACUGAGCACAAUGUGAAUAUACCGAUGUUGGAUUCGUAUUGAGAAAGCAAUCCUUCUAUAUAUACAGGUUACUUAAUAAAAUAUUUAUUUUUCUCUAGUGAACUCCCUGAUGAAGUAGAUGAAGUUGAGUUUGUUACCAAGAAUAGGUAUAGCUCCUAAAGAGUAGAUAAAAAUAUUUGUUGGGAAUUUAGAUAAUUUUAUAGAAAAGUAGACAAGUAUUCUAAUUUAUAAAAACAAUGAAUUUCUUUAGUUUGGUAUAAAAAAAUGAAGCGAUAGGUAUUGGUAAUUUUUUUUAAAGUAACAAACGUUUUAUUUUAUUUGUAUUUAAGAACAAUGUCUUUUCUUAUACUAGUUAUUUUAAUUUUCUUUUGACAGAUUUUGCAAGCUUAAGCAAUUUGGAGAUGCUAGAUUUGAGUUUUAAUUCCUUAAGUGGGAUUAUUCCAUCAUCUAUAAGAUUGAUGCCUCAUCUCAAGUCUUUAUCCCUGGCCGGAAAUUAUCUCAAUGGUUCUUUACAAAAUCAAGGUACAUAUGUUAUGAUUUGUUUGUUUCAUAUAGAUUAGAGAAGAUAAAUAUUGUAAAAAAAAAAAAAGUUGUAGUUAAUGUAAGCUAGAAAUAAGUAUCUUGCCUUAUAAAUUAUAUAAGCAUGUGUUUGUUCUUAAUGAAUCUUUACAACAUUUAGAGUUACCAAUGUUUAUAAUUCAUAAAGACCUCAUUAACAGUGAAUAACAACUAAUUGUAAGUAAUUGUGGAAAAAGUAAGGAAAACAAAAUGAGGGAAAAGCAAGGAAUUAGGAAAUUAUUUUGUUCCCAUUAAAAAAUGUUAAGGAAGAAAAAGGUAAAAGAAAGUUUAAAAAAAGUAUAUUUUUCAAAAAUUUAUUUCUCUUUCCUUUAAUUUUGCUAUGGACAACCAAACAAGAAAAUUAUUUUAUAAUUCCUUUUUUAUUUUUUUCAUUCUCUCUCUCUUUUUUUCCCUACUCUAUUUCUUUUCCCUCAAACUUUCUUGGUAGUAAACACAACCUAAGAUAAAUGGGGAAGAAAAUUUUCAGUUUUUUAUUUUUAUUUUUUUAGAAUGUUUUCUUACUUUGUAGUAUUUUAUGCAAAUAUAGGAAAAUUAUUUUUUUUUUCUUGCUCCUUUUCAUACAUGAAUCACACUUUAAAAGAAAAUUAAUUUUUAAUUAGGAGUUAAGAUAAAUUUAAGGAGAAACAAUGAAUCACGAAUAACAAAAAAUUAAGGAAAUUGAAUUUUUGAAAGUAAGUAUAAUCAAAUUGCUUCAUUUGAUACAAAAUUUGAAUAAAAAUUCUUUCAAUGAAAAUUCAAGGAAAGGAAUAAACAUUUUUGUCUCUAGAUUAUAAUACUAAAUCAUGUAAAAAAUCUCUUAACAUCAUUUAUAUUCAUAUUUCUUUUUAUAGAUUUGAAAAAUUCAACAAUUUGGAAUAAACUUAUUCAAUGAAGAAUAAUUUUUAGAUUUAAAGAUUAUUAUUUAAGAUCAUAAAUAUUACCAUCAUUGUUGAUGUCUAAGAAGAUCAUAUUCAACAAUUUUUUUAAUAUGUUGUUUUUUAUGGUAAUUAAUUGAUGUCUUGUAAUUUUUAAUAUUUAAUGAAAAACAUUAAUUUAAUUCAUCUAGAGCUCUUAAUUCAUGAAGACCUCAUUAAUGUAAUGGUGAGUAAUAGUUGGCUGUAAGUUUGGAGUCAAAGACAUGUUAAGGAGAUGAUUAGUUACAUGUCUUAUUCUCUUUUGUAGGUUUCUGCCAAUUGAAUAAGCUUCAAGAGUUAGAUCUUUCUUACAACUUAUUCCAAGGGAUCCUUCCUCCAUGUUUGAAUAAUUUCACAUCUCUGAGGUUAUUGGAUAUCUCUGCCAACCUAUUCUCCGGAAAUCUUUCUUCCCCUUUAUUACCUAAUCUCACAUCCUUGGAGUACAUCGAUCUCAGUUACAAUCAGUUUGAGGGUUCAUUCUCUUUCAGCUCUUUUGCUAAUCACUCCAAGCUUCAAGUGGUCAUACUUGGAAGGGAUAACAACAUAUUUGAGGAAGUUGGAAGGGAUAACAACAAAUUUGAGGUAGAAACUGAAUAUCCAGUUGGUUGGGUUCCCCUGUUUCAGUUGAAGGUUCUCUCUCUAUCCAGCUGUAAGCUCACCGGUGACCUUCCUGGUUUUCUUCAAUACCAAUUCAGGUUAGUGGGGGUUGAUCUCUCCCAUAAUAACUUGACAGGAAGUUUCCCCAAUUGGCUGCUUGCAAACAAUACGAGACUAGAAUUUCUAGUCCUGAGGAAUAACUCUUUAAUGGGUCAACUACUUCCCCUGGGACCUAAUACCCGUAUCAAUUCAUUGGAUAUCUCACACAAUCAGUUGGACGGACAACUUCAAGAAAAUGUGGCCCAUAUG